GACCGAUACAUUACUACAAUGAUGAUGAUGCGCCCAUACAUAGAGAGAAUUAUGUCGUGGAUUGGAUGAUUCGUUACUGUGUAUACAGAUACCUUGCCUGUGCUCAGGGUAGAAGUCAAGUAUAAGAGUGAGUGGAGUCUGGCCUUUUUCUUAAGUAUUUCGCUUUUUGUGCUUCUUUCUCUCUAUAAGAUGAUAUGUGUCUAUUUAUUCUUCCCCCUCCGACUUUGUUUUCUGUAAAAACAGCGAAUUCUCGUUCAUACUAUAAGACCCCUCAUCCAUGAGUUCCAUCAGUAUUGAUAAGAAUGGAGAGUUAUGACUCAGAGUUCAUAUUUGUUGGUAUUGAUAUGAUGUUACCAAUUCAUUCAGUAUGGCCAUUGAUAGAGAGCCAAUUCAAAUAAACUAAUGGAACGGAGAGCCAAGCCAAUUCAAAUACACUAAUGGAACGUGGAAUUUGGCCUUUUUGGAUCCAGCAGGAAUCGAACCCUCUAUAUUCUUUUGGACCAAUGUGGAGUUGGUCGCUUUUACCAUUAAGCUAUGGAUCCAAUCACCGCAAGUAAACAUUAGGUUUAGGAUUUGUCACCGCAAGUAAACACUAGGUUUAGGAUUUGAUUGUUGGUGCUUCUCGAGCUUUAUCCGCCAGAGUCAAUCCAGCCCCAAGGGUUGCCUAGCCCCUAAACUAUGGUACUCCUCUCCUUCAUCGAUGUGGAGAUAGAGCCAGAAGUGAGGCUUUGUUCCUUCGCGUAUCCAUUAUCAUUGACAAAGCGACUCUUACAUGCAUGGCUUACUUAAUCAUUCAGUCCUACUGGGGAUGCUAUGGUCACAGCAUUUAUAAGGGAAAAGAUGAUAUAGAGAUGGAUUGGAGAAGAGGAACGAACCACUUGACAAUUCAGAUGUUACAUGUUUUGAAUACAAAGGAAAUAGUAAGGAAGAAGAGAAGAAAAGAGAAAGAAGAUAGAUAAGGUAGGGGCCAAGGAACGGGAUCAGACUUAAUACAGUAAAUCCAAGACUUCAACUAGUGCUACCGAGGAUGGAGCUACUAACAACCAGACUUCACUCACUACCAACAAGAAUCAAACCUAGGGCUGCUAGGACUGAUGCUGUGUAGGUACAGGCUUAAACGAAGGAGUCACAGAAUGGCACUGAUGAGUCUAAGGCUGAAACAAGUACUACUCAGAAUGACCCUAAAGCGGAGGUAGGUACGAGAUACUUUAGGUUACUCGUCCUAGGAACACCAGUAAUAAGAAUUGAGACCUCUCUUGGCAACCACUAUAAUGAAUAGAAGUCAGCAGUAAUAGAAUCCGCAGUGCCCCAGGAAUGGAAGUAUUGAUUGGCAAGAAGUAGAUGAGAAAGCAGCUUGCUUAAUUCUGUAUUAGUUGACAGAAGAAUCAGUUCGGGUUAAGUACCCUGUAGCCUGUAUAGGAGAAGAAUCAACGCGUUAGCCCAAUGUUAAUAGAAAUAACAUAAGAAUACAAAACCCGUCUCUCGAGAUCAGAAUCAGUGUCAAGUGAGUCAGCAGUGCCAAAGUCCGCCAAGUCGAGUUUCAUUCCUGGAGUGUUAGUAACAUACGAAAAAGGGAAGGUGCUUCAAGCAUCUUUACUAACUCAUAGGUUCCUUGUGAGCGAGAACUUACAAUAAGGGCCUUAUCCUUACUAAAUUCAUUAUUGAUCUUUUUAUAGGAGAACGGAUUCCUAGUAUAUGCUUGCCAGGUUGUGCAAAGAAUGUUUCAAUGUUGUUUCCUUACUUCUAUCUAUACUGGGCUAGGUGCUCAAGAGACUCUAUUGAAUUCAUAAACUUUCCCCCACUCCACAGAGUCUGGGCCGGAUCCUGUUUCUUCUUCUCCACUUGAAGAAUGACUUGCUACUCUGCAAAUGGCAAAUGCGCUCGACCAUUAUCGGUAAAGGAAGCAGUAAACAAGAGAAGGAAGGGGCAAUUCGAGUCGCCAACACAAAAGCACCAAUAUCUACUACAUUACCAUCACUAGAAUUCUUUUCAACAAGCAAGGAGUAAGCAGACCAAGCAGGUGCCUACGGAACAAGCAAACUUGCAAGAAAGGGCAAUGAAAGCAAGGCCAAUAUUGAGUUAAGAAAGGGAAGAAGGUUACUGACGCGCCACGGGUAGCACUUUAGCGACACCCCGUUCACUUUAGCGUCAGCGAACAAAGGACAAAGAAAGAUCUUCCGAACACAAAACAAAGAAUUCCACCUUUUAUGAUAACUGCCUCGGAUCCUUCUCUUGGAGACUUAACUCGAACAGAAAUAGACUUAAUGGCGAAAGUGUCCUUGCCAGGCGCAAGUCAGGUUUGCCGGCCUCACUUCUUGUAUAGGUCGGGUGGGAAUUCCACUCCAAAGUUCAUGGCGGCAGCUUCCCUGUCCCUUGUUUCAUCUGUGUUUGUCGUCUUGGCCCAGUUGUGUUCUAGGCCUUGGCCCCGUCUUUUUGAAUAGCAAAUAUAGACUUUAGUAAGGUGCUGAAAGCCUUGAAGUUUCAUCUUCAAUUAUAGAACUGACCGAAUUAAUAGUAAAGGGCUGGCAACUCACUUCCCGAACUUACCCGCCUGUCCUAGGUAUAGCAACAGUCUCAAAUCCUCCUGCCGAUUCUAUUUCUACUUCUUCUACUUCUUCUAGAGUUGACUUUCCCUUCCAAGAUUCUUGUAUACCCGCCUUUAAUGCUUUCUUCUUAGGGGUUUGUCCUCUACUGCCUCUUUUGCAUUCCCAUCCUAUAGUUUCACUCCACCACUCCACAAUCGAACUCUUCUGCAGCUUACUUGCAUCAUGUAAGGAAGUGUGCUCUUAUUCUUCUACUCAUAGGUACCCGACCCAUCGCAUCAUCUAACAAUGAAAAGAGCAACUUGGAAUUCAAUCAAAGCUAACAGGAAAUCGACAACCACCAGAAAGAGUCAAACAAAAAGAAAUAGGACUUUCACUCCCCGGGGGCCAAGUAACGGAUAGACAAGAGCUAAGCAAGAAGGAGGUAGUCAAUAGGCCCAGCUACAACCGAACAGGAUCGGUAUUCCACUCUCACAGGACUAGCUACUCUCAACUACUGGCAAAGAAUCCAACUCGCCAAGCUACUAGACAAGUAACGGGCAGGCAGUUGACCAAAACGAGAUUUAUGCUUACUAUUGUGGUAAAUUCCCUAUUCUUUGUUUUACUCUUGUUAGCGGAAGUAUAAGAUUUGGAUGUCAGUGCGCUAGACUCAAAGCAAUAGCAUUCUUCCCUGUACGAUUAUUAUCAGACUUAGAUGUAUUAUCAGAUUGUGUAGUAGAUGUUUUGAGUCUUGGAAGGGGUAGCUCAAGUCUGUUCUCCUGCUCACAAUGCCUUAGAGCUAUGCCCGAUAUCCUGUAUUGCUAGGUUGAUUCUCUCCGAUCCGGUGCCUACUCUUUGACUUACCUGUUUGAUCCUCUGUUUCCACUUCGAUCCUAUACUUAGUUAGUUCAAAACCAUACUGGCGAGGUUGGUUCCCCGUCUAUAGCAUCAAUACGAUAAGUGGUGGGUUUAUUCUUACUAGUAGUCGUUCAAGUCUAAAAGCAGUGGGCUAAGCCUGUGAUUUACCUAUUUAAUUCAGAGAAGCAGUAGCUCCCAAUUCUUUUAGUUAUUAGUUUCAGAAUCAAAGACAGAGGUAGGGUAGGCUCAUAUACAGGGAUGGCAGACUCCCUUUGUGCGGGUGGGCAGACUGAACAGUGAAAUAAGUAAUUGUAUUUUGGAGUGUGAUUAACAAUAAGAGCACAUAGGAUCCACCAGACAAGACCUAAUCCCGAAACUGGAAGAAUCCAAAAAGCCAAGACAAAGAUAGCCAAGCAGACAAGCAACGUUGUAAAAGUGCUGUGAACUUGUAUAUAAGGGGGUUUUCAUGGCGGUAGUGAGCGGAAGAGUUGGUUCAGAGCCGAGCCCUAGGUUGCUGUUACCGUAAUUCUAUCAUACAUAGUUAAAUGAUUACUUUGCGUUAGCAGGAGCCCAAAAGAAGGAUAGGCAUAACUGCAUUGCUGACUUAUGGCAUAUGAUAUAUAUGAGUAAAGACACCGUUGCCUCCGCUCCGUUACUCGCUUAACUACUCCUAGCGCACAAGUGAAAACUGCUCACGUAAGCGCUUCUCUUACCAGAUCUGAUCCCAUUCUUUCCCGGAGUCGAAUGAGAGACUGGAACGCGGGCGAGCUGAGCUCUCUGGCUCUUUAUAGAUGUGCCUGGCAUGGUUCAAAGUCUACAUAGUGAUCCCUGAAGCUAGAAAUAGGGAAUCCUGAUUGUUUUCUGUGUUCCCGCGUUUAGAAGCUGAUUGGAUCUGAUCCUGUAUCUACUUGAAGGAAGCAUAGGGGCUCUACCUUCCCAAGUAGUAGAGUUGCAAGAGGCUAGAGAGCUAUGAGAUCGAUUUGCUUCUGAUAGAUGAUUCCAAAGAGUAAGGGAGAGUUUAGCAUGCUUGCCUUUCGACUAAAGCACUAGAAGAAAAGGACAUGGGACAAGAAGAAGCCCUCUUCUCUUUUCAAGCCGCCCUCUUCCUUUUGAAAGUUGAUCCCCCUCAGACGUUAUGCUUUCAAGCGAAAGGCUGUCUUGUGGACCUUACCUCCAGCAAUCUUGUCUUUCCCGCUGCAGGUGACCCUCGAGGAGAUAGGACAGCAAGAGAGAAGCUAGCCCUACUUGAGAUUGGUUUACGAACUAUCCCUUCAGGCCUUCUUAACACUGAUCUUACCCUACCGCGACUAGAUCCAAUGGAUUACGUGGUAAAGAGCUCAAAACAAGGGAUUUGGCCGAUCCAUAGUUCCUCACUACCUAUGAAUGAGUCUCUUUGCUAAUUAACUAUCCACUACAUGCAAUUGACUCACCUACAUUUUCUGCUUUCACCCUUGAUUUAGUACACUCAGACUCAGGGAAAGUGCUUACAUAAACUAUCAUUCCUAUGGAGCUAACCGAUGGGUUAGAGCGGAACCGCCAUUCUCCAAAGUGUGGAAGUGAGCCAGGACAAUAAGACAAUAGGUCUAAUGGGCCAAGCCAGCUAUCAGGCAUUGAGUGGGAAUCAAUCCAGAAAGAGAGAGAUAAGGUCGAGUGCAAAGAGAAUAAGGUCUAGUGAAAAGAGAUAAGGUGGUCUAGUGCUCUCAAAACUACGUACUAUUUUCUUUGGAAUGGUAAGGGGAGUCGUUAGAUGCGGAAUACAAACAACAUGGUAAGAUUCAUCCUCUGAGUACCUGCUAAUGGAACCAUUGUCAAAUAUGUGUGCCCUUUGAAUUGUAGUUGCCUUGGAUGUCAAUCUAUAGGCAUGCUUUAAUGUCGAGACUUCCACUCCAUCUCGAAUCCCGCCAAAGUCCCACCACUAGUAGGGAAUGAGGGAUAGAGGCCGAGUACCACUAGAGGAUCAAAGAGAAAAAAGGGAUUCCUUCGAGGCUAGAGAGUGGGGGAUGACGGGAAGCCAACUUAUAAUCUAAGCGAUGCCUGAGCGCGAGGAGCGGCCUUUCAAAGAGGAGUCGUCGGGAAGAGCAAACAACUUCAUCUUCCAACUAUCUGGUGGCGCUUGAGCAUUUGUCUAACCAUGGGGUUAGGAGAUUGUCUCUGAGUUGAGAAUGAAGGACACGACUAGGCUAUAAAAGGAAGUGGCAGAGGUCAUAACCUUUGUGUUUUUUGCCCUUUCUCUUCAACUAGCCAAGGAUCUGCGCUCGUUGUUUUCAGACAAUAUGGUCAACAGGGUCUUUCUUUUGACAUUUAGUGAUUGUAGUUUCAAUCUUCCUUAGUUUGUUUCUUGGAGAUAUUCUUGUAUUUGACAUUUGAUUCAAUGCAUAGAGCCUUCAUUUCAAUGCCUUGUUGGCUUCCCGGGUGCUGGAAUUGGGUUCAUUGGUGGGAGAGAGAAUAUUGCUCGGCUUUCUGAACUAAAUUGACCGAGGAGGACGCAGAGGCAAGUAAGGAGAAUCAGAGGCGGAAUAAUAAUAUCAGUUAGUGCUCUCCGACUCAAGUAGUAGUAGCAGUCUUUUGAUUUGUGUUUGGAUUCCCUGCAGUACCAGUUCAAUCCCAAGUUUCAAGUUCUAUUCUAAUAGUCAGUGUGGUUGAGGAGCGAGCGGGUAGGUAGUCAAUCCUUCUCAGCAGUGGUUUUCUUCUUCUAGUGUUUAGUAUUUCCUUGUGGUAUAUGCGGCUAACGAGUGGAAGUUGUUGCUAGUUAGGAGUUGAUUUCCCUACCCAUUCUUAUACUGGUGUUGAUUCCUCUCCCCUAUGCCUAACAGCCUCUUUUCUAUAUGUAACAGCCUCUUUCUAAUGACUAUGUCUUAAAGAUAUGUGAUUUCAAGUGAGGAUCUUUCUUGCCUCUUUCCUGCCAGUAGUUCUUCCCCUAAUUGUCAUUUCAUUUCCCCUUCUCUUUUAGGAUAGCAUUCCGUAUUGAUUGUCACUUCUUUAGAAAUCCGUCUUCUUCCAUUACUACAUUCCUCCCAAAAGUCAAUUCUAAUCAUAAAAGGCAAGGUGUUUGGGAAGUGUAUCAAGCUCUAUCCUGCUGUCUUUAUAUGGAUUUCUCUAUCAUCAAUCAUUACGGAGAAAGAGAGUUGGAUCUCGAGAUUCCAAUCUCGUGGUGCCCUCUUGAAUGAACCAACCUGUACUCUUUAGUUUCCGCUAAUGAAGCUGCAUCAAAUUGAGUGGGCAGAAGAUCAGCUAGCUGUCUCAUACUCGGACUAUAGAUCUUUUAUGUGCUGGGUUGACGGCAAAGACAUCCAAAUCUAUAGGAUGAAGCUGACACGCGAGCAAGCUAAUAUGAAGAAGAUAAGAUCUUGCCAUGCCAUCUUCUGUGAUUAAAGUAAAGCCCUAUUCUACCCAUGUGUAGGGCGGAGCAAGGACGGACAGAGGCCUAAGGGUUCGUUUUUCAUAACUUAGUUAUAACUAUGGUCGAAAAGCAGGUAUGAUGUCUCCCACUCGACACCAAUAUGUGACAGAAAAGAAGCACGAAAGCCAGUCCGUCGCCAAGUCUUUAAGCUUCUGGUAUUGAUAUUGAUUUUGAAUAGAAUAGACAGAUUCUUGCCCUAAGGUUAGGCUUCAUGCCCGAAAAAGGAAAGGAAGGGUAUUUUCGGAGCGUACCAAAGGUCAGUCCCAACGCUAAUUCACUACAAUAGAAAAUCGAACUAAGAGAUAGGUUAGUUAUACGACCGAUAGGGAGAGGAACGAAGGACUUCUGAGUUUAGGAUAGAAGAAGAACAAGAGAAAGAAAGGUGCAGAGUGAAGGUACGGCAAAAGAUAGAAAAACGAAACAGUAUUGUAUUAUUGAGCACAGGAAAGAAUUAGAAGACUUCGAUUCGGUGGAAACCAAAACGGUUGAGUCAGUGCUGUGCUUUGCCCUUUAGCAAAUGCUUCUCCAAAUCACUAUAGGACCAGACGUCCGAGCUAUUCAAAGAAUGGACUUUUCAGUAAUGGAAUAAGGUUAACAAGGGAUUUCUCUUUCUCCAGAGAGUCAACCUUAGCUCAAGCAAGGAAGACAUUGGAUGUAGAUUAAUGCCUGUUACUGAAUGAUCCCCAGGGAGUGACUUCCUCAUUAGCCAGAAUAGCCAAUCCAUCCUUAUUUGCUUAGUUAUAGAACUCCUCCCGCUCUUCAAGGAUCGAGGUUCCCAGCUGGUUAUAAGAUUAUAAGCCGAUUGUCAUUCGACAACUCCCCCUUUUCAGUCGAAACAACCCCUCUCCCUAUCGGUCUUCACUCCUAUAGGUUUCCUCCUCUCCUUCCUUUAGUAUAGUAUUGUAAUAGCGGACUUUCCCGUUGGUCUUCCUUCGGUCGCCUCCUAUCUCGAACUUUCAAUCUUACGCUUCAAUCUGACGUUGGUAGAGCCAGUCUGUUGUAUAGCAUUUACUAGCUAGCCUUCCUCUGCGGAAGAGAAGAGAACAAUCCACCGAUUCGAUUACCUUUUGCCGAGCUACAACUCAUUCCUAUCCGUUAGGAGAGCUAGCACUCGCACUUCCUUGAGUAAUGUACGUACUUAUUUAUUGUCGAGCGAGGAUAGGUCUGUGAGAAUAGAGUUCGUUUUAGCCUUGUUAGAUUAGUCCAGUGACCGAAAGGAAAUGCCCGGACCCUGUGAACUCUUACUGUUCGUUAUCUAGUCGAAACUAGGGCAAGACAAGAGAUCGUAUUCGCUAAAUCUGUUAUGAUAUUAGGAAUAUAACCCCAGCAUUCGAGAAUCAUCCUCUGUAUCUGGCGCACAAUCUAAAGCUUUGUCUCAUCCCUCUUCGCGAGCAUACAAUAAGCAAAGAAAAGUGGAUUUGUUUGGAUCUGAUCUAUACUAAUGUUACUACUAAAUUCUGUAUUGAUCCUUAUAUAGGAUGACAGAUAACGGAUUCAACAAAAGAAUAGAUUGAGUCAGCUACCCCAGAGAAAGUCAAGGAAUGGAAUAUGAAAUGCACUGAAGCGCGGGAGUAACUGAAGGCGUUGUUAAGUGAGUUGAAGUUAACGAGUUAUUACUCUAUCUGCUGACUAACCUUUGACUGCUGACUAUAAUGCUCCUUACUCUAAUCAAACAAGGUGGUUUCAUUGAAUACGAGUUCCAGUUCUUUACCGAACAAGCCUUAUUGCCUUUACUUCUUCCGCGCGGUAUCUGAUAGUUGUAGUCUCUUUUGGUGCUUGUGCUUGAGAAGACCAGAAUCUCCGUUCUUUGAACAGCAUUGCUUACUUGACUCCCGACUCUGAGGCUUCAGCACCCCUUACAAAGUCAUCUCACACUGAACGAGCGUAGGUAGUAUAAUCCAGUUUGUUAGAGAGUUCCGAGCGCACCUUACCUUUCGAAAUCCAUAGAUUAUUACCCUUGUACCCUUGCUUUAAGAGAAUCAUAGAGGAACCCAAUCGCUAUUGCUUGUUCUGUUAUUUGUUUCAAACUAGUAGAACUAUACUUAAGUACACUGCCGAAGUACACCGCGCUUAUUCCUUUAAUUGGAAUCCAUCGAAUAGGAGUCAAUCGUGGUUCGGCUUUAAGGUAAAGGCAAGGGAAGUCCACAGCAGAGCCAGAGGAUAAAGGAUUCCAAAGACAGGGUCAAGAUGUUAGGCGAAAAUGUCAUAGAACAGUCAAUAGAGAUCCUCAAUGAGAAAUGACCUAUGUUGCCCCCUGAAAACGGAACUUAUGGAUAGCAUUCCAGAGUCUAAAAUCCUAGUUGGAACCCCCAGUAUAGAAAGAUUCUUAUGCUUUUGUUUAAGGCUCUAACUCCUUGUGUAUCAUCUCUUUGUGUGCCAAUGUUGUAAGGAAAGGAAGCUGAAUCGAUUAAUAGUGAAAUUGAGGAAUGAAAUAUAGCGUGCAUUGGUGAGUAUAGAAAGAAGGAACCCUAACCUCACUGAACAAGCAAUCAGAUCCUUCCGGAGCUUUAUUUGGAAAUAAGCUGCUAACUACGCUUUUCCUUUUGGGCGUGCCGGGCAAGAAUUUGGAUAGUUACUACAGUCAGGUUACCCUAUUACAUAAGAGGUGCAUUAAUACUCUUUCUUUACAGUUGUACUAACGUGAGUUCGCCCGCGAAAGCCUUAGUUCUCUUAAAGCUGCAAGUCAGCAGUAAACAUAACAACCUUAGAAUACUGUUGCGCUUACGGGAGCUCGAUAAUCAAUUCCGUAUGGACGGGGACGGACUGAAGAUCCACUGUCUUGACUGCGAUAACGGAGUUCUCUUUGGAAUGUUUGACUGUAGCAUUAGGAGUUAGAGCAAGCGUUAGUGAGUUGUGCGCUAGUUCAUAAAUCAAUUCAGUAAAGUAACAGAACAAGAAGUUGUUAUAAGUAAAUAAGUAAUGCUCUGUUUUAUUAAUCAAUUAUAGAAUGUGAUACUUAUAUCAAUGAAAGGUAGCUUAAAACUCGCCCUACUGCCUUGUUACUGCAGGAGAAGUCUCGUAUCCAAGUGGAACCGUUGAAAGAAAUGGUGCCUCCGCCUUCGUAUAGGCAGCCUAUACUCUAAUCUUUGCGCUAUUCCUAGGCGCUACUCUCUUCCAUUCUGUAGUUGGGGGUGCGACACUGAACUCCAAUCUCCAGUUUUCAUUUCACUUCUAUGUAGUUGGGGGUGCGACACUGAACUCCAAUCUCCAGUUUUCAUUUCACUUCACGUCACGGCAAUACCUCUGCUUGACCGCAAGACCUCUGCUUCUAUAUAUAUAGGAUUCGAGUCAAGCACCCGAAGACCAACAAUCGAACUACAGAGGGCGGUGGACUAACUCUCGAACUAAAGAACAUAAGGGACAACUAAUAGAUUCAAGUAAGGAAAGUCAGCCCGAGAUCAUAGUCGAAGGAUGAGUAGCAUUGGCGCAAUUCCUGUUAUCUGUGAUUUCCGCCCUGUUUGCGAGAGUAGAAGAAUCCGAUGUGAAAUACUGUUUGAAAGGGCAUCUUUGAAAUCCAGUAGCUAAAGAAUUAGAGUAAGGAGAGAAAGAUGUAGAUCCAGGAAUGACAGGCGACUACUAAAUAGGUUCAAUACGUAUUUUGUGUGUCAGCGUUAAAGCAUGAAAGCAAAGCGAGUUAGGUUGAGAAGCAGUAGGGGCAGCCCCAUGGAUAGGACAGUAAGAAUAAGAUAGAGGCGAGGCAGGCUUGUUAGCAAUAGCUCGAGUCUUAUCGUUAGUGAUUUCAUCCUUUUUUGAUCAGUGGAAUUAUUAUACCUAUUGGUCUUAAAGCGAUCGUACGCAUAGGUUCCAUUCUGGCUAUUCAUAGUUCCAAUUAUUAGAAGCCAUAGUUGGAGAACGAGAGACAGGAAAGGUAGACUUAACUAAAGGAAAGACUGCUUAGGUGCCCAGGAGCUCAAGUAUUGUUAGCGGAGGAAUAAGAUUGAAACCAAAGAGAGGUGUUUUGAAAGCUAAGAUCCGGAUCCGGAGUUGUAGAAUCAAAGCAAGGUGCUGAAAGCCUUAUUGAGGCAUGAGGGAAUACUAAAACAAGGGAGUUGGAAUGCAGCUAACGUUCUAUUACUGAGUUCAAUUCAGUAUUGUUAUACAUGUACGAUUUUCUUACCUUGUUGGGCGCUACCUUAUUAGUAGUACAGUUAGUAAUCUAAGACUUUCAGCAAGGAGUCUGUCUAAGUUUGAAUAAGGCCUGCCAGGAACAAACCCAAGAGUGAGAGAAGAGAGUUUCCAUUUUCAAGGAAGACUUAAGGCCAAGAGCGGAAUAAGUAGUAGACUUAGCUAAAGGAAAGGAAGACUGACUAUCAAACAUAGGAGUGGGUUGGUUCCACAGGGGUAAAGUUUGAGAGUUAGGGACGGUAGGCUGAGAAGCCGAGUAGUCAGAAUGAGAUUUAGGAGCGGGGGAAUCUGAUCGAGUAAGGACAGGUUAAUAGGUAGGAAAGCUAGGUUCCAGGUAGUGGGGAAGGUCUCAUUUCUUUGUUUUAGCUUAUAGGGAAGUAGUCCACUCCGAUAUAUACUCCCGUAGUUAAAGGCGGAUACCCACCUGUUACAUUCGCGUAGUGGGGAGCAUACCCUUUAGUCAAAUUCGGAUUAGCUGUUGUUGCACUCCUCGGUUCCAGUCUUGUACUUACUAGUUUCAUAGAAAAAAGUCCGGGUAAUAAGAAUGGUAGUCAGUAAGAGUAGACUAGGAUAAAGGAGAGUCAGAGGGUGGUUAAGCCCAAACCUGCAGAGUUAAGGCCUGUAAUGGAAGAAUCGAAGGGUAAAGUUCUAAUUAGAUGUAAGGAGCUGUAGGCCUAUGCUUGGGAUUUGGUUCUUCUACUAAUCAAAUCCAUUAUUCAAAUUCAUGUCCUUCAUUCUAUUACUGUUGAGCUUGAUUCUAUCCUAGCUUAGUGGGGUUCCCUAACGAUUAGAAGAUGAAAACUAGCAAGCUGGGCUUUAAGACAAGAGCGGUUGUUUGUUAGUAGGGAGUGGAGUGCCGGUUUCAGAGUUCAAGCAAGGGGCUGCAUAUUCUUAUAUAUAUAUAGGGGAUCAUAUGACUAAACCCAUAGAAUUGGGCUUAAAGGACGGAGUCAGGGAAUUAGACUUAUAUCGGUAUGAGUCAAUAGGCGGUAAUCGAGAAUAGAAGGUCGGGUAGGCAAGCUUGGUCAUCUAUGCAAGUAGUUCGUUUUGGAGUUAAGAGCGGCAGUGCUAUACCCAGGGCAGUGAAUAUUCUUAUUGUUAGGUUAAUUAUAGGUGCAGUUAAUAUUCUUAUUGUUAGGUUAAUUAUAGGUACUAUUGCUUUCUUUAUCCCCAGUUCGAUUAUUGGUAGCACUAGUGGAAUUGCCGGUUUUGAGUGGAAUUGCUAGUUAGUAGUUAAAGUCUAAUCAGUAGUAGGAAAGGAAACCAACCAAGAAAACAUGGGAAUGGAGUUUACCGAGCACAAGGUAUAGAGUGAAGUAAAUACACAAGUUCCUUUUCUGUGGAAUCUGACUUCUGACUUGCACCGCGUUUGUUGUAGUGACUUGGCGGUAGAGGAGCAAUCAAGAGUUAAGAAAAGGUAGAUGAGCCUCCACCACUAAAGCACCGAACCUUUCUCUUAGAUACCAACCCAGUACGUGCUCUCAAGCAGGAAAGUAGGAAUUGGACUAUCAAACCAUAAUGAAACUAAGUCAGCAAUCGGGUCUGUUCCUGUUGCCUUUGUCUAUAAGUCUACGAAUUGCCAGGCCAGUGCUUUACCUCGCAUCAAAGAAAUCAACCAAAAAGGAGGAAUUCAGAACUAUCUACUUCUCAGGUCUUCUACUAAUAAUCAUAAGGGAAAGAAAGAAUACAACUGGUAAGUCAAAGUCUAUGAAUGGGGUUACAGUCUAGCAGAACUACAUUUCCAUUUCUUAUCGAGGUUGCUUGUCGGCUUGGCCCAGUAUAGAGAGCUUUGGUGCUAGUGUAUAGAUAGGUUUGGUGCGAGGCUUUGAAACGGUAAGUGAAUCCCCAGUUCCUGUUCUGGUUCUUGUGGAAUACCUAUAGUAGUAGUAGUCCUGUUCGAGUAAAGUUUUAGUCUGAAUCAAUCAGUGAACUUCCAAAGACCAAACGAUUUCAUCCCAAACUAUCUCUUUAUGGCUGAACCUUCCGAGUGUCGAUAUUUUGAGACUCAUUGUUUCAUAGCCUCUUGGUCAAGCGAAGCCAUACUAGCCACUUUUGGUAGACUGGAAGGCCUGUGCCUUGAAGUCGUCUAGUGUGAGGUACGUUCUUUAUUUAUAAAGGAGAAAGAGAGGUCGCUCGGAAGCAUUCAGUUAGUACGAAUAUGUAUAUUGCAAUUCCGUUAGUACGAAUAUGUCUAUUGCAAGAUGAAGUAACGGAUGCUGGUUUACUGUAAGUUGGUCUCGCGAUGAGUUCAGAGAGUUCUAAGCUGUCUGUUCACUACGCUUUCUUUCAAGCAAUGCUCGGUUGCCUUAUCUCACAAAGGUCUGAUGCCGAAAAUAGGGUGAACGAACCAAUGGCGGUUUCACUGACCCGAUCUGGGCUACCCCGCAUUAUUCCAGUUCGUAGAGACAUUGUCGAUCCUGCCGGGAUGAGAGUGCAGACUAAAGAGUCCGUCUUUACUUGUAAUGGUUUGGACUCCGUCGGGUGAUUGCACUGGGUGUCAAAAGCAACGUUUGAAUCCAUAACUAACCCGGUGUCUUAUAUUGAAAAGGUCCUGGAGGUGAUCUCAUUGAAGUUUUAUCUGCCGUAAGUCUCUUCCUUGGAUCUCGACCAACAAAAGGGUAUGGUAUGGGAACCCACAUUGAAAGCCACUGCUCAUGACGACCGAAUGUGGGUUUAGCACGAAAUUGGAAGAUUUACCUAAGAUCUUGACUAGUAACAAGUAUGAGCAGCCUUCGCAGAAUUUGAUUCAUUUUCUCCAAGAGGAUAUCCUGUCUUCUCUCCGGGGGUUUGUAAAGAACACUUUGGAUCACCGGUAUACCACACAGGCUUUUAAUGAAGACCUAGGAGACUUACUAUACUCUGCCUCUGUUCUCGUGAGCUAGAUAAGGCUAGGUUUGAAUAGAUCAGUUCGGUCUCCGCUCUGAGACCGCCGAGUAGUAGUAGGUAAGUCGCAGCUAUCUCCGACCGAGCUAAAAGAAAGUAGUGGUUUUUCGGGAUCCGCCUUCUCUUCUUCCCCAGGUUCUAAGAGAAAAGAUAUAUUCCAAAAGGGUAGUCUACGAAUUGUUGGUCCUGACCAAUGGCGGCCGUGCUUUCCAACUAAAUCCCCUGGGAAUCUGUCCCCGAGCGUGCUGGCUUUCCUUUACAUAUUAAAUACAUUUCUCAAUUUAUGUUGAGUGAAAAUGCAUUAUGUGAAGAGGGAAGCGACUCAUUUAGCUUACCGUCAGGUUCACUUGGGUUGGUUUAGGCUGCUGUCUUGUAGUCAGUUGAUGGGAGGUCUUCCAUUCCAGUCCAGAAGAUAUUGGAAUUGCACUCUUUUCUUUCCCCCACUUAUAAUCUCUCUGUGGGACUUGUUCCCUCUUCCACUCAGCGCUUUAUAGAUAGGCAUUUGAUUGAGAAUAGAUAGGCAUUUGAUGGAGAAUGCUACCUUAUCUUUGAAAAAGUAGCCGAGCCGAAGGCAAAUAGAAUUGGAGUACCACGGAGAAAAGCUAGCUGGAUAAACAAGACAGGGAUCGCCCGCUCGGCAAUGCUACCUUGGGGAGGAGACAAAACACUUGAAUAUAUAAACGAAUAUUCUACAGCUUUUGAGAUAUAUGAACAAUCUGACUAUGGAAGAGUUUGUGUCUGACUCAUAGCUCUAAGAUUACUAGCAUGAAUAAGCCUGCUUCAACACCACCUAGACUCUUCCAAAUAGAGAGACACCGACCUUAAAAGAACCUGGCAUUGGAUUAACUCACUCCUAAGCUCCCUAGACACUGCAAAGAAGACAUAAUUCGAACUUCCUGGUAAGGGCUGGGCGGAACGAGAAAGGAGUUUGCUAAUAGAAAGAGUUUGGGAAUGCCCCGCGUAGUUAACAAACAUCGAGUUGGGAGUCGGGGCAGCAUGUAUACGAGACUAUUGAAGUUCCGUUUGGAAUCAUUGUGUUCUUCAUAUUCCAAAAUGGGAGAAUAGCCAAGGCCUUUUUCAGCGAUUCGACGCGCCCCCCCUAAGCUAGACGAUUCACCUACCUGACCUCAGAGAGAAUGGAAUGAGUCGCCCUAGCCCUAAUCUGACUAAGAGGUUCAAUUGCUCUAUAGAAAGCCAUCCACUACUGAAUAGCCCUUAUAUAGAUUUAUCAGCCAGGUCAACUGACGCCAUCACUACACUACACUACGGUUUAUUUCGCUGUGAGAAACAAAGAAAAUGUCUGUGCAUUGCUGCUGCCAUCCAAGUUCAUUUAAGCCUUCCUUCCAUCCCUAGUUUCCCUGCUUGAGACUGUUUUUGAUUAGCCCGCCCUGGUUUGAGCCAUGGUCUACCCAGCUGUGCUUCAUAUCCUCCUUGCUCUUUGUCUAAGAUUGGACUACAGGUACCAAACGAUUGGACUGAGGGCAAUCAAAUCAGUGCAUCCUUUGUGGUUGUUUGAGAUUUGGGCUCGUAGGUUGUACGCCAGCCAUACGUAGCUUGAACUGUAAUGGCCACAAUGCGACGCUAUUGCCGAUCCCCAAGACAAGACGCCUUUGAUUGAAUGUGAACACCUGAUCCACCGUAUGCACUUCCUACAUUCACUCCCGGAGAGGAAACUAUUCACCUUAUAAAGAGCCACUAUACGAUCGGACCAGACAGGUGCAGGUAGCCGCCCGUAAUUGUCCAAUAUUGACAGCAGCUAUAGUCGCCGUGUCUUUCGUUUCGCGUAGCUCGGAUUCGUGUGGUGAGAUGAGAUCAACACCUAAUGGGCCACUUUUUCUUAGGCAUAUAAGAGAGAUCAAUAAGUUCAUUAGAGAUCAAUAAGUUCAUUAGAUUUGGGAAUCUUAUUCAGUACCGCGCUUUAGGCAGCUACACUCAGGGCACCGGGCAGCAGCGCUAGUAUAGGGAGUUACUCCACGGGCCACAAUCUGAAUCCUCCACAGGAUUUUGUUGCACUUACUUUUCGAAAGAAAGAUCACAGCCUACUGGGGCAUAAACUUGGAGCUGGAAUUAGCGACGGCUUUUGCUUUAGAAUUCGCUAGAGAACGAUGGCCAUGGAUGAAAGAAACAAACAAAACGGAAAGGCUAUUCGGUUGGAGUUGGUGUUCAGCAUGGAGGUACCGCUUCACUAGGGCUCUGCGCCCGUUCCUACUGUUCUUGACCCAAUGCCAGGUGAUUAGCUAACCUUGCCCCUUCCUUAGAAGGUAAGGGAGGUAUGGUUGGGAGGGACAGAGAGAUCAGAAACCAAAGGAAAGGGAAUAGACUAUCAAACUGUAGAUUGGAUAAAGCAUAAGCUCUGGAAGCGGAUACGCCGAUAGAGGAAGGCUAGCACACAUCAUUUAUCUAAGAAGAAGUUAUUUGUCAUGGGAAAAACGCUUUUUUCGUUGAUCUCUUACUGGCACUCGAAGCACUUGCCUUUUAGCCGUCCACUCAAAGAGGAAAAAGAUGACCGACCAACUGCUGCUUAGCUUAUCACUCUUGAGACUGGCGUGGCGCUGCUGGAUGCUUCUGAUCAAUAGGAAGAGGAGGACUGAUGAGCUGCUAUUUGAGUCGAUCAUUUCCAAGAGAUAUCACAUUCCAGUUUGAGCUUUUAUGUAGUUGAAAUGCCUUACAAUCCUAAGUGUUACGCUUAAGGUAAGAAAUGUUAUUGGUGGAUGCAGGGCUUGGGACCCCCGGAAUGGAAUUAGUAUGCAAGAUUAGCUUACUGGAGUGCCAAUCAAACACCAGUUUUUUUAGAAUAAGGUGGCUGGCCGGUGAAUCACUGAUCAAAGAGCUAGGCGAAGAAGCAUAUCGCUUUGAACGGACACCCGACUCUCUCUUAAACCUUUGAGCAUAUCUUUUACUUGGAGAUUCCCGGUCUUCUGUCUUAGCCCUGACCAUGUUCUGAGAGACUCUUUCUACUUUGUCGCACCCAGCAUCUUAGCUAUGUUCCGAAUGUCUGGUCAUUUAGAAUCCAACUCAUAGAUUCGUUUGCUUCCAACAAGAUCUGAUUGAUCACAACUAACGGGUAGUACGAGACUCUUCUAGCAGAGCGCUUCCUGAUUCAGUUGCUUGAUUCACUGGGCGCACAAGAACGCUUUGCCCCUAUUGAUUGUCCAAACCUCCCCUCACUGCUGCCUAUUCUGUAACAAGAGAGAGCAUUCGAUGCAUUUUCCUUAUUCUAUAGAAUCUAUUAUUUCAUGAGUUUCUUCUAUAUAAUCUAUUAUGUAAUGAGUUUGAGAAUCUAUUAUGUAAUGAGUUUGCUUCAAGAGUCUAUUGAAGGUUAAGGUUAGCCCUCUGACUCGGCUAGUGACACAUCAGACCUCUUUCUUUUUUGAGAAAUUCCUUGAUUUAAGCGGAAAAACCAGAGUGACAGGCCAAGCACUAACAACAAGAAUCCAACUAGUCAGCAUCAGAACCAAGCCUUGCCGUGGGCCGAGUGGGUACAGAAUUGACCUCGGCAGUCUUUAGCUCGCUACCGCGCAACACGAACAUUGGCUCCUGUUAUGAGCAAGUCCUGUUUUUGGGGCCGCUAGAGUUCCCGUUAUUACAAGUCCUGUCUUUGCCAUUCGAAUUUGCUCUUAGAAAGGAAAGGUCACUAUCAUCUCAUAUAAGAGGACGUAAGGGAAUGAUUUCACAUUAGUAAGGCAUCUUUUCUUCUUUGACAUUGUUUUCUCAGCACGGAAUCCAAUUAAGUAGUGUCAUCCGCUUUGACGACAGCUGUUAUCGCUGAAGCAUUUCCAUUGGUUAUCAGGUGGUAGGCACAGCAACAUUAGUUAUGGAAUGACCUUACCCAUCAAACAUUCUACGAAGUCAAAGGUCAACCUAUAAAUCUACGGUCUCAGACCGGCCGCCCCUAACCUUGGCUGGUUUUGAUGCACAAAAGACAAAACGGGAUUUUAUUUCCACUCAUAAGGAAGGUGAGAUACCUUUUACUGUGUGAAAACUCCCGCGGGCCCUCACCUUUCUGACUGGACGGACUCGGGGAAGGGCAAAUAUCCGACGGAGCGCACAGCCACUCAUUCGUCCUGAUCGAGUACUCGUAGCCGCUAAUCACCACGCGCAAGCCCCAUCUAGAAUUCUCGUUUGCUUUAUCGAACUUUGCUUGAUGUUGGUUGGCCCCCUCUUUGAAACCAUCGACCAGCAAAGCGAUACGGCACUUACAUAAGAGCACGAAUAAGAACGCAGGCAGCGGCAAAAGAGAAGACCGACCCAGAGCGAAACUUGAAUGAAGGUUGCUUGCUGACUCCUAGUAUAGUAUGAAGGAAAUCUCUUGACUUCGCUUAUGCCCUUAUUGCCCUGAUGCAGUAAAGAAAGCAAGUGAGGCGGGCGUCGAUUCCAUUCUGAGUAACGUUACAGGAUUCGAUCCAUCUUCCACUCUUCUCUGGAUUCCGAGUUUCUAGAGAAAAGGUCCCAUCAAUAAAUAUCAUGAUUGGGUCGACUCGACCAUGAAUAGAAAAUAGAAAACGGAAUUAGUUGAUUGGACAGCAACUCGAUUUAGCUUCACGGUCUGAUUUCUGUCCUGUCUUAUUCCGAGUAGCCGCCCUUAAUACAGCUCGCCCUCAACCCCCGACCGCUUCGUUGCUUUUAGGUUCGACUCCUUCAAAGACAAAAGACAACCUGGAUAAGUCUCAUUCGAUGUCGCAACCGAUGCUUAAAACAGAUGAAUCGAUCUUCUCAGUCAAGUCUUCGAGCGAUCAUUCUCUGCUUCAAAUAGGAGGGGACUUCCUCCACCUAAAGGUUAUGAUCCUUACUUAACAAAAAGACCUCCCAUAGGACUGGACUCCUCUCGAGCGUUGUUUCUAUCUACAUUAAUAGGAAUAAAGAAUUGAUUAAUGCCACAGAAGCCUUACUCUUUUGGUGUUCACUUGUAAGCUUUCGUUCCACUCCUUUCCAACUCAGGUUCAACACCCCUUUGAUCCAGGGCUGCAGAUAGGUCUAGAGAACCGAACUGUCUCACGAUUUCCUUACGGUUAGCUACACUUUGCACAAUUCACGUAUCACUUGAGUAGUAAGGCACUAGUUUCUUCAAGGAGGAUCCGUUGAAGAGUGUCUGUUGUCUUGGUAGGGAAGAGUUCUAUCUUUUCCACAAUAUGAUAGAGUCCUUUAGAAACGAAUACGAAUGAGAUCAAAAAAGCUCUGCCGAGGCUCGAAUAGAAGAUGAAACGACCCCACUGGAAUUGACUAGUAAGUUAUAGCUUGAAGUUGAAUUGACUAGUGAAGUUAUAGCUGUAAGGUUCGCAGAAUGACCGAUGGAACCAACCGAAUCCACUCUCGUGACAUGAUCGAAGCCACCACUUUGCCGUCUUUUUAGUCAUUUUCGCAUUUCCUCUAAUAGAAGUUAUGGCGGAAUGCUGCAAAUCCACGGCCGUGCCCCUCCACACGUUCUCAAACCGAUCGCCGGAGGAUUGAUUUCUCUUUCACUGCCUACUUUCGACACUGCCUACUAUCGAUACUGCCUACUAUCAUCAAUUCAUUCUUUCUAGCAUCUCCUGUCUGCUACUGUUACUCAUAUUCAUAGAAUUCCUUCUAGCAUCUCCUAUCUGCUACUGUUACUCAUAUUUAUAGAAUGGAAUAUAGCACAAUAUAGAAGAACAGAAAAGGAAUGGAAUAUAGCACAAUAUAGAAGAACGGAAAAGCCCUUCUGACUCAGCUAGCUAACGUUGCUUGUUUGUUCUCGCUACGAGUAAUAGGAGUGGGGUUUGGUUACUUCAUUCCAUAAUAGGUGGCACAACAUCUCUAUUCCAUUUCUCCACUUAAGUAGACCGCGCUUAAGGCAAGAAGUACGAGUAUCAGGAUACCUAGUCUUGCACCCUUGCUUGUUUUUCAUUUCAUAAGUCACACGUAUUCCAUAAGCUUCUUAGGUUCAAUGCCUAUUCCUCUAUUUCAAUGCCUAUGCCUCUAUGUGUAGUAAAUCUCCCUCGCUUCAACCUAUGCCUUUUCUUUCUUUAAGUCUAGGAUUCGGCUGCGGAUAUGAGUUCAACAUGUAAGCAAUCAGGAGUCAGUUACCUUAUUUCUAUUAGUUUCGGAAUUAAGUGAAGCGUGAGCCUUCUUUUGAAGCAAUGCAUUGGUAGAGUGAAGUUACAUUUAUCUAUAUUGUGCUAGAGUUUUCUUAAUUCUCUAUUCUUAAAGCAAGGGAAAGAAGAAAGUACCCUUGUAUAGAGUUCGGGUCAAUAACUGAGUUUUGAAGCGAUGUUGUAUGUUGUUUACUUGAUUCUCUCUGCUGCUGAGCGCUUCAUUCUUUUCUUUCUAAAAAGUGAUAACGUCUCGGUCUUUUGUUACUGUAGUAUAGAACAGGUGUACUCAAAGGGGCGAACUCCCACCUGCAAGCUAGAGCAGUACAAUCAGUUCCAUUUCCUGUUUCCUAAGUGAGAAUUAGUGAAACUACUAGGGGCAAGGACAGCCAUCAUCAAAGUUCAGUUCCAAUCGUAUAGAUAAGAAGCGGUGAAAAAGGAAGCUGCAAGCACAGUAUAGAAUUCAUUGGGUAACAAGCACCUAUGACUCCGGGGGAUUAACCUCAAACAGAACAAGCAAAAGAAAAGCGCUAACAAGCAAGGACUUAUUGAAUGGAACUAUACGACUUGCUUGCUCUCUUGACUCUAAAGAAGAAAAUGUUCGCCUUGUGCCCACUGCUGGAAUCAAAGAAUUGAAUGCACUUCACCCAUUGUAUAGAAGAAAGGUAAAAACACACACUGUAUUGCUUCCAACAAGCUGCAACGGCAAACCGAAACUCUAGCUAUACCACCUCACAAAUGGGUAUCUGACCAAAUCCAUCUCCAAAAUAGGUACCGGACCCAAUCUAUCUCCGUGGAACCUGUGCUAAGUACGCAGGCUGAGCUAUGCCCGUGACAAAGAAAUAGUAGGUCUAUCUAAUCAAUCAUAUUCUUGAGAGAUAAGAAUUCUCCCGUUAGCCGAAAACAGAACUCCUACUUAAGCUGAAGUAAGGAACUCCCCGUAAGCUGAGGACAGGAACUCCCCGUUAGCACAAUGUCUUACAAAAGAGCUCGUUAACGCUGUAGUCUAGAAUUCAUUUCACUAACAACAACGUCUUGCCCGAACUUUAUAACGCGAUCGGAUUAAUCACUUGUACUCAAUUCUUUUCUUUUCAAUAGGGAUAGGGAUGCCUCAAUUCUGAAAGCUAUAGGGAGUUUGCAUAAACUUCUCUAACUCGGUGCCCAGCUUAGUAACACCCAUUUGUGAAACUCUGCUAACGCUUAUUCGAGUGCUUAGAAGGAGGACGAGGGAAGGAGGACGAGGGCGAAGGUUUAGUCUAAAGUAAGUAGCGCAAGUCCGCCGCUGAGUCAGCAUCUAAAGAGUCCGCAUCAGCAGUGGAAGCAGUGCUAGUGCUGUCUCCAAGAAUUCAGAGCAGGGAACAGGCUACGCGGAAAAGGCUACUACUAGUUAGGCAAAGGCAAAGAGACCAGCAACUACACCUUAUGUGGAACCUAAGAAAUAAUACUUCUGGGCUGGAAAAGACCUAAGACCUGCGUUAGCACUAGGGCGAAAGAGAGUGACUCUACCACUUAGCGAAAUCAAAGAAUUACCACUCCACACUUCUUUGUUCCGUUGCUUUUAGAAUAGAGGAGAGUGUACAACUAAGGGAAUUAUGUAAUCUUACUGCUGACUUACUUAUUUGCUUUAAGAAGACCUCUGCUUUGUCACAAGCAUCUGAACCUCUGCUUUGUCAAGCAUCCUCACUACAGGCAGGGCUAAGCAGUUAUUCUUUCUUUGAUGCUUUCUUUAGUUUGCUAGCUUUACUUAUUCUGUUGCUUGUUGACAUUAAUCACUCAUAUCGUCGCUGGUUGCUCUUCAAAGAGAUGCUGACCCUCUGUUUGAUAGCUCAGCUGUAAGCGUCCUAUACUAUCCCGUAGCUCAGUAAGCAUCCUAUCCUACCUAUUUAUUAGUAGCAAAGAGAAUCCUACCCAUAUAUUCCAAGAGAAUCCUACCUAUAUAUUCGUAUUAUUAUAAUUAGGAGCGGGUCUAAGCGCAAAGAGAUCCUAUUAUUAGUAUGGAAACGGUAUUAUGGGUCGGGUCUAUGUUCUUAAUCAAAUAUGCAGGUCUAUGUUCUUAAUCAAAUAUCAAUUCUAAGAGCCUAACAAGCCACCUAGUUCCAUUUAAAAGACAAGCAUUGAGGUUAGCUUACAAAGUCCUAUACCAUGUGCUCGCAAGUAUGGUUUUCAUCAUCUGUCUUAGUUGGUGCCGGGCAAGAAUCGAGUCAACAGGCAAGGAAGCCAGGUGUACUGAUUACAACAAUCUUUCUUUGAGUGCCAAGGAAAGGAGACUCUAGAAUAUGAAUCAGCGGUAUAAAAUACGGGAUCAUCCGCAGCAAUUGAAAGUAGAGUACAAAGGUGCCAGUCUUUCUGAAAGUCGAAAUAGGGCGCUUAUGUCUAAGUAAUCAAGGAUGGUUCUUGGCGCAAGUGCAAGUCCAGGAAUUUCCAUUUAUUAAUUCGGUUCCACAAGUCCUGUUCUCUAAUGUUCUGGUUCUCUAAUCUUCUGCGCUAAAAGAUUUUCGUGACUCGGGCCAACAAGAACUAGUGCAUCAGUGGCGUCGGUAAGGUGUUUUAGGAGUUUCAAUUGACAUUAAAUAAAGUCUUCCUUAACUGACUGCAAACUCGGCCCAAGAUUUCAUUACUGUUUUUAUUGGCGCAAGAAGGUAGUCUUGUCUUGGUAUAGAAAGUCGGUAAUAAGAGUAAUAGAUAUAUUACCAAGUUAAGCUUUCGGUCCUGUUGACAGUGUUGCGGCGGUACAGAUGAAGGCGCUAGUAAGUUCAGUUCACCCUUUGCCUCAAUUCGUUAUGAAAGAAAAGAGUAAUAUCCGGAGUUUAGUUACUGGAUUUAUAGGUUUAGUACUCAAUUAUCUUCUUGUUGAGUUAGCAGUUCGGUUAGAAAGAAGCAGUCCUUUAGGUUACUCAAUCAUAUGUCCUUUAGGUUACUCAAUCAUAUUAGGUCAUGCUCUUAUCUUAUCUGUAUAGUAGCUUGUUCCGGGCGCAUUAGCUUAUUCGACUUAUAAGGGGCUAGUUAGCUUACUUCUUGGGUGCUAACGGAGCUUCAAAAGUCAUAAGUUAGUUUGUGCCUGCAGUAAUCAGUGUUUUGAGGAUCUCCUAAUAUGUAAGCUGUUCGGUUACUUGAUUGUAAGCAGUGAAGGUUCCACAUAGUAUAGGGUUAACUCCAUUCUAUUCUUUAGCUCGACUCGCGGUUGGAACUUAUUGGAGUGGAAAGCAAGGACGCAAGCAAAGGCAAUAAUUCUGUACUUUGGGGAUUGAGUAUCGGGAUAGGGUUCGUCAGCGAGGGGAAGAGUCUGUUGUGUUAGAUUACUUUCCCAUAGUGACAUAGUGAGCUGCGUUAGAUUACCGAGUUCUAUAAUAGGAGAGCACCAAAUUCCAUUACUAAGUGUUGUGAGGUUACCGAACAAGCAACGAACCAAACUACUACAUAGAAAGUAGCGCUUACGCGAGUUACAAUGACUAACGCUAUACAUUAUACAAAGCUUGUUCCUCGAGAGUACGCAGUGUUAGAGCAACGAGUAAUUGAGUCUUAAGUUGGUCAAGAGUGGAGUAUUUUCAUUAUAUAAUAUGUGUGGGUCAGUACAAAUCUUUUUGAGCAGAGGAGUUAACCGUUACGCAUUAGUGUUCAGCUGAAAUGUGAGAUUAUUAAAGCCGUUCAGAUCCAAUUCUAAAAGCUUAGGCGCGUUCAGAUCCCAUCCCAUUCUUAAAGCUUAGGCGCGUCAAUAAUGUAUGACUUUAGCCUAGCCUUCAAUGUGCCUAGCAGAGUUCCUCAAGUCAACAGUGCAUUUUAGAGAGUGAGCUGACUAUGCUUAUAGAAGAUGUUUGACUUAUAUGAAACGCUAUAGGGUUGGUAGCUUGUUUGUGCGUUAAGGGUUAGCAAAGCAAGAAUGGAGUACUUGAGUAUUUGGUAAAGCCCACUCAGCUCGAUGUCAAGUGCAUUUGGUAAAGCCCGCUCCGCUCGAUGUCAAGUUCCUGUUUUGUAUAGAGAAGGCGCCGAUAUUCAAUGGCCUUAUAGUCAUUCGCGUUAGUAAGCUCUGCACUUUCGCCCUUGCUUGUUCCCUAUAGCGCUAGUUAGUAUGCCGGAGGAAGUGGAAACACUAGAAUGGUCAUUAUGUCCUGUUAGUAUAGGAUCUAUCCGCCUCAAUUCUUAAAGCCAGGUGCGCCUCUAUGUUUUUUACAAAAUGAAGGAAUAUGCGCUAUCCGGAUAGAUUCAAUUCAACGUUGCUCAAUCAGUAAUAAACCAACUAUUCUAUUUCUUUGUAGUCUAUCCUUGGGUGCGCCGAGAUUAUAUUCUUUGACUUUCCGGGCGAAACUGUGAUAGUGAUGGUAGCGAAUUACUAGAAGGCCGGGCGAAACUGUGAUAGUGACAUUUAGCUGACUUUUGUUUGAGAGUGCUAAGGAAAAACGAGUGGUAGAGAAUAAGCUUUAGGCAAGAAAUUACGUACUAGCGCUUGGCAACUCCCGUAAGCGCUACUUUCUUAGUUGUUUGUUCCCUUAACUAGAACAUUAGGACAAAGAGGCAGAGUGGAGAGAAGAGAGAUUGACUUUGCUCACCAUAGGAAGAAUGGGAUGGGCAGUGAACGGAAUGUGUCUCAUAUUUCCACUUAUAGUAGAAUGAAUGAAUGUGUCUCAUAUUUCCACUUAUAGUAGAAUGAAACAGCAAACCGAGGUACAAAAAAGCUAGCCUAACCUUGCUCUUGCUUUCUUCGCAUCCAAGCACUAUUAGAUAGAAAUGAACCCAUAUGGACUAGAGAAAUAGGGGAGCCCCGGCUGUGUAUCGCACUUAUUCUGUAUAAAGAUGAGUCUCUAUGGUAAAGAUGCCUCUAAUCUGUGUCCACUCUCCAAAUUCUAUCGAUAAAGGGCCUAUGUUAUCUAUCUUAUCUAUUUUAUGCCUAAUCCAGCCUAUGUUGAACCAAGCUAUAGAUUGUUGAAGGCCUAUGUUGAACCAAGCUAUAGAUUGUUGAAGCAAGAAGAGAAUCAUAGAUUGAUGUCACAUAGUUCCAUGUUGUAUAUUAGAUUGCUGCAUUGAUUUCCUCUUCUAUAGGGGUCUGUCUGUCUCAUCGGACACCUAUUGCUUGGCCGCUUGCUUUACCAAUGGCUUUCAAGGACGUUAUUGAGAGCGGAGUCCAAACCAAAACUCAUUCAUUCAUUUAGAAAAUACUAGAAUAGCGCUGAAUUAGUUGGUGGCAACCAGGCUGAAACAGCCGAGACCCGACCCAACACCAUAUAUCCUCUUCAUCACAGGAAGAAGGUAAAUCCAUGUAGUUUCUUGAGUUAUAUCGAUGGUAAUCAACGAGAAUAGAAAAAGAAGGCUUGCACAGCUAGGCAGACGGGUCUCUCGCGCCGCCACUACUAUACAUCGAAGGAACAGAACAAAUCAGAAUUUCGAAGACAAGACAGAAGAAAUCAGAAUUCGCAUGGUGGUUUGGAAAGAGAAGAUUGAAGCCCAGCAACAUACUUGGAGUUUUCAUAUACAUUGCCUAGUCAUAAAUGUCGAUACAUCUGACUAAACUAUUCUUGGUCGUCCGCACGAUCAUCACAUGGUGCCAUCCACUUAUCACCAAUGCAUAUCAUACCCCCGCGCCCUAGGAUUGGUAGGCAUAGUGGCGGACAAUGAUCCGGGCUUAAGCUUAUAAUUAAGAAGCCCUAUAAGCAAGCAAGAAGCCCUAUAAGCAAGCGAAGAAAGAAAGAAAAAGGAGAAAGAAGCGGUAAAAGGUUCCAAUUAGGAAAGGAAGCGAGACUCCACUAGAAAUUAGACCUUCCGUCCAUGUCCCUAGGUCCAAAAGAGAAAAGAAAGGGGCUAGAACACUGAAAAUCAACCCGAGGCGAGAGAAACUAUCCUAUUAAGGAAUUGAUCUGUUGUGUGGUGUAGACCGAAAAUCCAUUGAAGGGUUUCUGCCAUCUGUAACUACGAGCGCACGCACCCCUGAUCAGUGCAUUGGGAUGUGUCUAUUUCUAUCUUUUGACUCGAAAUAGGAGAGAGCUGGUUGGAGAAAAAGGAUAUUAGAGUUGAUAGGGUAUCUCUUGACUCGAAAUAGGAGAGCUGGUGAGUUUGAAAAAGGAUCUUAGAGUUGAUAGGGGUAGCCUUCGAUUCUUUCUUUCCAUCAGAGUUAUUUCACAAAGACUUGGUCAUGGUAAGGGAGAAGGGGGGGGAACAAGCACACAUGAAGAGCGCAGUAUAACGAAGAGUUUGAUGCUGCCGUUCAGGAAGGUACCAAAAUGAAUCUAGUGAAUCUAUCUCAAGGUGUGGGUGCGAUGAUUUACUUUGACUUCACGGGCGAGGUAAGGGAGAAAAAGAAUGGAAUAAGCAUCUGACUCUUUCAUGCAUACAAAACUUGGGGCGAUAUUGCUCCGUUGGUAUAACUCUGCUCUUGAUAUUGGGUCGUUCCGAUUACGGGUUAGAUGUCCAAUUGUCAAGGCGGUAAGAAAUCAUCUAGUAAGAAAGAAGAAAGGCGGUAAGAAAUCAUCCAGUAAGAAAGAAUUCAGAAUAUAAAGAAAUAAGAAAUACAUAGAAUAGUAUAAUAUAAAUAAAGAAUAGUAUAAUAUAAAUAAAGAAUAGUAUAAUAGAAUUCAAUAAGAAAUAAUAGAAUAGUCAAUAAGAAAUAAUAGAAUAGUAUAAUCAAUAUUGUAAGAAAUAAUAGAAUUGUAUAUUGUACCUGAACCCGUGGCUCACUUUUCUAAGUAAUGGGGAAUAGGACCGCGCUGAAUGACUCCACUGAUACAAAAAGAGAGGCUGAACGUAGAGGAGGUGCGUUGGUCUAAUCUAGUAUGGAUCUACCAUGGACGAUAGUUUGAGUAAGCGGCUCUCCUGGGGUUAACUCAUCUGGUAUCCCAGGGGCAGAGAAGAGGAUCAAGUUAGCCCUUGCGAAUAGCGCACACUAUAGCACCUUAACCCUUUGAGCGAAAUGUGGCAAUUAACCCUUUGAGCGAAAUGUGGCAAAAGGAAGGAAAGGAUAGGAUAAUUCAGGGACCUUCGUCUCCACCCACCCCGUAGGAACUACGAGAUCACACCAACCAAGGACGUCUGCGGCUUCCAGGGGUCACAGACAGACCAUAGACCUAGUUCAAUAAGUAUAACGCAUUAGCAGUCUGCGGGCAGUAAGGGUAGCCGAAGGGCAAUCACUAGUUCUUAACGCCCAUUCUUCAGACCAAAGAAAGAGUCGGGCGGGAGGCCAGUUCUACUUUAGCUGUAUUCUACGGAAGCACAAGAAUCUUUAGAAUAGGAUUCCCACUCUGAGCACCACCCCUUUUCUAUUUACUCUGAGCACCACCCCUUUUUCUAUUUGGAGAAAAGAAAGAAGAGUUGUUCUCGAAAGAGCACACAGAUUCAAGUUGUAAGCUGUGUUCGGGGGAAGUUCUUGUUUGUCUAUCGUUGGCCUAUAUAGUAUAAAGAAUACGUCGGGGAGGCCUGAGAGGCGGUAGUUUACCCUGGGGCAGAUGUCAACGGUUCGAGUCCACUUAUCUACAGCCCGUGAACUUCACUGAUACUAUAGAUAAGAUAGCUACCCUCCAAUUCGCCAGCCUAUCUUGGGGUUAGUAAAGGCUAUUCGAUUUCGCAUUCAUAGAAGUUGGUUGAGAAGAUCCUUUUCCAUUUAGAAUAGAAGCACUGCACCGUGCACAGUAUUAACAACCUUAAUGGUGAGGUUCAGAAGAAACGAAGGAAGUCGAUACCGGGGCACCCAGAGAAAAAGAAGGGCAAUGCUUUGGAGAGUUUCCAAUUAAUAGAGUAGGGCCCCAACUAGUAUAAAUGCCCCAACAAGUAGUUUAGUAGUAGAGUAGCCCAGUGGCAUCUGUCUUUAUUCGAGUGCAAUUCUUUAAUGAAAUACCAGAUGUGGAAGAUUGGUCAUAGUCAACUUCUAGGAGUUGGCAAAGGAUCUGAACCAGUGCAGUUAGUAGUCAAGUUUACAGGUAAGGGAUAGCCUCUUUCUCUUGUGCCUCUGCUCCGGACUCUCAACUUAUGGAUACCGGUAACGCUUCUGCACUCUUUACUUAAAUGAAAGUGACAGGGAUUCCACUAAUGCCACUAGUAGUUGCUCGACCUAGUCCACUCCUUGAUAAGAUUAAGAUAAGGUAGUAGUUGCUCGACCUAGACCACUCCUUGAUAAGAUUAAGAUAAGGCCAUAAUAAAUAGGCUAGCGCAUCUAGUAGAACACUUAGAAUUGAACAAGUCAGUAAUGGAUUUCAAGCCCUUAAGUAAUUGGGAAAGUCUUCGAGAUAACUUAUUGUCUCCCUCGACAACCCAGUCCAAUUCCAAUAAGGGGGGCAAGAUAACACAGAUCUUAAAUUGAAGUGGACCCCGCCUUUCGAACUACUUCUUCGUUACUAAUCGACCCUGUCCUGAGUUAACCUGGUGACAAACAAUAGCUAUAGGUAUGAUAGAAGUAGAAGCGGGUAAGUACCCUGCGCUCUUCACAAAGCUAGUGGGAGUAGGAGCAUAACCAGUAACAUCUCUUAUCAAAAAGUAAGACCAGAUCUGAGGAGAGAUUCUCAAUUCACGCGAACACAGGACUUGUAAUAACUCUUAGAGCUCGAAAACAUCAAACUACUAAGCUUGUCUACUUGCCUGAUAGCUUGAAUAGCUUCCCUUGACUGACUACCUCUCAUUGUGCACCCUUUCUUAUUGAUCAAUCAAAGAAUAGCUCUCAUAUACAGAAGGAAAUUCUGAUUAGUAACCUUAAGCAGGGCAGACAACACACCUGAGAGGAGAAGCUUAGAUAAGGAAUCAGCAAAGUAAUCAGCAAGUUAAGAAACAGUUAGGUAACAACAUUAUAUCAGUGGUGCUCCAUAGAGAAAUCAAUAUUUGGUUCCUCUGCGCCUAGAAAGCACAACAGAGUAAAUAGAUGCUUCACACACCGCUACGUCCACAUGGGCAUUCUCUUAGGCUUCGGCUUCUUUCUUUUCUUGAUACAACACAACAAAACAAACGACCAAGCUUAGGCGCAAGACUGCCAGACAAGCAUACAAGCAGACAUGUCGGUUCUUCAAGUAUUGUUUCGGGUGCGAGUGUUUCAUCCGUUUUUCGAGUUUCAUUCUGAGUUGACUACUUGGUAAGGGAUAUCAGGUCUUAUACUCCGGUACUACUUAGAAGAAUAAUGGGGCUAACCGGUCUUCUACUCUGGACUCCUGUAUUGGUAUUAUAACUCCUUUCACUCCGGACUCUGGAACUUCAACUAGUCAUCAAUAACCCUUUGAGUUAACCCCUAAACUUCUUAUAUAGACCUCUAGUGUUAACGCCUACCUUUACUCUUUUACCUACCUAUCCCCUUUCUUGCCUAACUCUGUUCCUUGGUUCAAGAUUCUACCUUGCCGACCUCGACCUUACUUUCCAUUGGCACAACUAAAAGAAUUCACUGAUGCUUAUGCACAGAAUGAGAUUGAACUGAUUUAACUACAACUCUAGAAUUCAGGAAUACACCCUCCCUUCUCUUAAUAGCAUUCUUGAGUAGCUCACCUAUCAACCUCGGGCUUACAAUCGAGCUAAGGCAUUUAAGUCAGUAGGGGAAGUUGGAAAGCCCGCUUUUAGAUUAGUAGUUUCAGGAUUGUCGUUAGUCGGUCGCUUGUCCCGUAGCUUGGUGGCUAGCUUCUGUGCUUAAGGCCUAUCGUUCUUAUCCUUAUUAUUAGAUGAAUAUGGAUUGCUUUCUUUAUUUCCACUGUGCUUCCGAUACACUACUUAGUUCAAUUCUGAGUGUGGUGUUUGAUAUUCUUCUAUACUGUUAAUUCUAUUGGUCUUGUAACUAUGAGUUCAUUUCUUUAUUGAUAGCUUCUUUCUUAUUAGUUGACAUUGCUAGUUUAGUUAGUUUGGGCGAACCUCGCACAUGGGCAUUGAAAGCAGUGCAGUUUAGGCAGUAAGUUAGAUCUUAGGUUUGGAGCGUAAGAGUUAAAGCACUGGGAGUCAAGGUAAUAUAAGGGAUAGGCGCUAUGAGAGUUGGUAGCGUGAAUGCGAUUAAGCAGUAAAAGCCCUAUUGAGCUAAGGUGUUAUUGGUAUUGGUUCAGUGCAGCCUUGUUAGUUACUGUUGCAUUCCUGGGUUUAUUAGUUUAUGAUAGUUAUCCAGCAACUCGAGUCUUGUUGGCAUUGAUUGAAUUCUUUUUUCCAUAGGUGAAGUCUUGCUAAGCACUAGUUCCGCCUUGCCUUGGAAGCAAAGAAGUCCGGAUCAUAGGUGAACUACAGGAAUUAGGUAAGUAAUGCCAGGCUAAUAGCUAUUAGUGGGAUUCCUCAUUUCAAGUUCCAGUAUUGCCCGGAGUAGUUCUCUUCUUAUUGGCAGUAGUAUAAGCCUUACCGGUACUCGUUCAAUUCUUUCCCAAUGUGGUUCACAAAUAUGAAAGCCUUGUGUGUGAGCAGCGGGGAUCUGGUUAAGUGGUUAGAGAAUAAGAUAAAGCAAUAGGAGACUGAAAGUACUUUAAGUAAUGCUAUAAAACAUAGAAUAGGGACUAACAGCAAGCAAGGGGCUCGGAAAGCUGCAGUGAAAGCCAGGGUUAUGUAGUGGAGUAUGACUCGUAUAAGGUAUAUUCUUGUUCUCAGUGGUAUUGGUAGCGCAUAGUUGAGUUUGCUAGAAACGAUAAUAAGAGUGAGAUCAAGUAAGGGCUGUUUAUGUGUAAGUAAAGGCAGAAUAAAAGACAGUAAUAUAAGUUUGUGAGGCACUAAGCUAGGAUCCGAAUCAGUAGCCCUAGAGUAAAAGCUUGUAGAUCUAUUCUCAUCAGCAGCAGUGAAAGCCCCAGCUAGUAGGACAAAUGUUGUUGGCAUCAGUUUUCUUCAAUUGGGGUGGCUUGGCUCUAUUCUAAUUCUCAGCAGAUUGACUCUUGUUAUAGUAGGCUCUAUUCUUAGCAGGAUCCAUUCCAUCCUUGUAUUGACUAUAUAUCUCGUACCUAUGACAUUGUCUAAAGAAGAAAGUACAGGCGCAUAGGUGGAAGCGCCAGGAUCCGCGAGAUAGUCAAGUAAGUCUGAGUUUGCUGGGGAUGUUCCCCGUUUCCGGCUGCUGUCUUCCAGUCUUUAUUCCUAUAGGUUGAUACUCACUUUACUACCAGAAAUGCCCGGGGCUCGCUUCCCUAGGUCUAUCCUCCCUCGCUUUGAGGCUGUGCAUUACCAGUCUUUGAUUCCAGAUCAGCAGUUACAGAAAUAAAGACAAGAAAGCAAGUAAGUUGUUUAAGGAGUUAGAGUUAGGCUCGAGCUGCAACAGUGAAUUCUGAUCAAGCAGGGGUUUGAUUCCCGCCCCAGAUCCAUAGUAUUGUUUACAUUAAUAUCAGAUUGGAUUCCAGGGCUCGCAGGUGCUAGUUAAAGAAAGAGAAAGUCAAGGUAGGCUAACAGUGUUAGGUAGUUGUGAAGAAUAAGAGUAAGUCAAAUAAGCUUUAAGGUCAAUAAAGCAAGGUCAGCGUCAGCUGCUGGCUGCUGGCUCAUUCUGAAAGUGACAUAAAUGAGUCUGUUAGCGGACCCCGGGGCACUUGGUCUUUGUUCGUUCGCGCAUCAGUCAACGUCAACUCCGCCUUGAAAUAACAUAACAAAGUCUGUGGAUGGUUGCUUUUAGUGUCUCAUCGCGCCCACUCUACUCGGCAAGGUAAGUUUAGAGAUAGAAUCCGUGUGUGUGUUACGUUGAGUAGAUAAAGAUCCCUUUUGAACCUAGUGUAGCUAAGCAAACUACAAAUAUCAAAUCGAAUAUCAAUCUAAUACGAUAAAACACAUUCUACUAAAUAGAGCUAAGUAAUGCCAAUCAAAGAGUAGAGUGCUGCCCGCCUGCGAAAGAAAAGAACUAUACCCCUGUAGGAACUAGAACCUUGCUUGUUAGAUCAAACCAGCUACUCUGCUUUCUCAUUCCUCGAAUCCGCUCUCGAUGACUGGGACUAAGCCCUCCAAUUACUAUGGUUCCCAUUACUAUGUUUCUCAUGCCUAUGUUUCCCAUGCGGGUAGAGGUCCGCUACUCCUUUAUUGAAAUAGAACUUUACUGCAUCUCGGGCUUAACUAACUACCGGAGACAACCCUACCGCUAUAAUACUUUGACUACUAACCCUCAGAUCCAACUACGCCUAACAACUUUCGCUACUGCAUCUAAAGCGACAACUCCUAUCUGGCCUUAUACUACAUCCUGACUUGAAAACUCCAAUUCCCGACCUCAGAUCUGGCUUCUUAGCUCUAGUCUUGUGCUUGCCCAUUGCAUUCUUUCUUGUUGGUUUCAAACUUCAACUGUCCUAACUUUCAUUCCGUAGUUCUCUUAUCAGUCUUAAAAGCAGCAUUGAAAACCUUAUUUCUCCCCGUAAGCGCUAGUGCAAAGUCCGAGUGUUGAGCUAAAGUCUAAUAGAACUAGUUAAAGCCUAAAAGCUGUAUAGCAAAACCCCGGUUGAUCCUUGUUGUCAGUAGUCGAAGCCUAGAAGCAACCCUCGGCGCCAGAUCAUACCUUUCUGAGUUUUAGUGCUUUAUCAGGAGCAGCUAUAGCCUUGGUUCCUUGUUCUAUUCCGCUACCUAUGAGUUCGAUCCACUUCGAUUCCCGGUUGAUUUGUUUGAUUCUGCCUUGACUUACCUCUGCUCCUAUGUUUGAGCCUGUCUUUCCCGGGGUCUCUCCUCUCUAGGUGCUGAAAGCCUAUGAUGAGAAGACAGGCGAUAUAGAGUAGUAAAGCAUCCUUUCUAAAUGUGGAGCUGAUUGGAACCUCCUCCCAUUGGUGAAACGGAAACGAUCUUUAGCAAUCGUGGAUUGGUGUUCAGUAGUAUAUUAUUCUAAAGUAAAGAAGUCGUUCCGUUUAGGCGGGCAUUUCUUAAGGAGACGAGCGUGCAACUACAACAAGUCACUUGAUUUCUGUUUCCGAUCCCCGAGUUCAGGUAUUCUCAUGAAUCUACGGAAUGACAAGAGUAGGGACUACCCUCAUACUAGCCUCCGCUCAUUGGAAAUCAAAACCUGGGCCUCUUUACAUCAAACAAAAACAACAAGGUAGGGACGAGGUUUCUGUGAUCGGAGCUUACAAAAUGGAAGGUUGGUGAACAUUCCGAUCCCGGACUUUUGGCUACCUUACUAAAACCUUAAAAUGAGGUAAGGGCUGCCCAUUAUAUAUGGGAAAUAGAGGCUAUCACGGCCUAACCAAUAGACACCAUUCUAGCUCCACACGCGGUCUAAACUCACUAUAUUCCCCGACUCCUCACUUUCCGUGGAUUAGCUAGCUGCCUUACUUAGUGAAAGUGUCUUCGACUUAAAGCAAUCAAUCAUGCGUACCUUCUUGCUGUGUGGCUUGCUUAAGGGGUAAGGUAAAUUAACAUCUCUAGUGGUCCUACUUACCUUAACAUCAAGGUUCAAACGAAAGAAAGAGAGCGGAGCACGGGAUUCUGGCUUUUUCACAGGUAAGGGGAAUCCUUUGUAUAAGAUGCUUUCAUUAUAUAUGAAUAGAAAGAAUACAUCUUUCCGGAUGGUCUUGAUUUCUAAAUAAGAAAAGAAAGAGAAAUUCGAAAGAAUACAUCUUUCCGGAGGGUCUUGAUUUCUAAAUAAGAAAAGAAAGAGAAAUAGGCUUAUGUGCGUAUUGAAGUACGUGCACUUUCCUUUGUUCAGGAAAGCUUUCUUUGUCUUGAAGAUGCAAUGUUAAUCAAUAACGUCUUGUUCUGACCAAUCUAUGUUCCCGCUGUGAAGAAAAGAAAACGGAAGAGAAAAGAGCAGACUGGAAUAAGGACUUGGUAAUAACUCGUUCUGACGCCGACGAAGAAAGGACCAAGUAGCUCAUUCCCUUGUCCAGACAGUAAGACAUCUCCUAGAAAGGCUGCUUGCUAUAAGGGAAGGAAGUAGGUAAGCAGACUGGGGAGUUGGGCUUGCACCUACUUCUCCUUUACCGAAAAAAGGAAAAACGAUGCUAUACCCUAGAGUGGGGAACAAGAGUCAGAGAUCAGGGUAACAGAUCUCAGAGCAGGUUACGACUACGAAAGUGGAUAUAAUCUGUCUUGGCCUCUGAGGAAGGCAGCUAAAAGGGGAGCGGGUAUUGAAGAGCCUCGAAAGUCAGAUGGGACAGUUAGAGAUUUAGCGGCACGAGGGUAAACGGCAAGGUACGAGAGGAAGAUCCAGAGGGUAUACUUCUAAUGCAGGCAUGCCAUGAGUUCAUGCGAGGUUACUGUUUUCUACCCGUGAGGUUCGGGCAAAGGCAUAUGAGUUCCGGCUGAUACUCUUUGGUAGUAGGAUACUAAAUACAUCAAGCAGGGUUCCAAUCAAACAAUUAUAUAGGAUCGAUUGAGUAGAGCAUGUGCACACGGCCACCAGUCGUUUCUCAUGGGCUUGGAAGCUUGAAGUGAGAGAUCGGAUCGGACGCCAAUGGUUAUACCUGCUACAAACCUUCGAUUCUUGCUUUAGAAAUACGACCACAUAAAGUAGAGACUAACCAUCCAUUAUUUCAUAGUCGUAUGUUAUUAAUCCACCUUAGUUGUCCAGUUCACUUGUAAGAUCAAAGAGUAUAUAACUCUUUCUUCAACACUCCGGUCAAAGAGACCUCUCCAUCCAUAUAUCCAACAGGUGGGUCUCGGUCGUGAGGGAGUACGCUCAAUUUGUUCCGAUGAGCGCCUCGAAGUUCAGGCCUUAGGUUUUACAAAGAUCAGUAUAGUGUGUGAGGUGUCAUAUAUGAAUUAUUAGCACAAGAUUGGAAUUGAUCCGCUGAGUGACAAGUCUGCUAGUGACCAACCAUCGAGUAAAGCUAGGAGCACGCCGAGAACCAAUGGCUUAAGAAACUCAUGCCACAACAAGGGGUGAUGAAAGACUCGUCAGAUUAUUCUCACAGCGCUUCUAAACUAUGCUAAUCGGUCACUUCACUAUGAAAAAGGGUGUAUUUUCUGUCUUUCGUGCUUGCCACGCCGCACAAUAAGAGGGCUUGCUUUGCUUCUUCUUUCGCCGCUUCCGCUGCAGCAGAGUACCUUGACACCACUUAUUAGUGAGCACUUGAAGAUCAUAGUUCGAUCGAACGCUCCUCUAAGUGCUUUUCUUUGUAUUCGUAUCAAAAUGAAGAGUACUUUUCUACCAAAUACCCGGGUAAAUGGAAUUGGUUGGAUACCCCAGAGCCAAGAAAGACAAAGGUAACAAACCGCAGAGGCCGAAUACGAGGGCCGGGAGUUAGGGGAGUUAUGUUGGGUAAUUGUACGAUGGAUGCUAUGUCCUCAGGCGCUCAGUCAGGUGCUAUUGAGCUCUUUAUUCCGAUUCACUUGUAAGCAGAAGGCGAGCUAGGAGCCAAGCACUACGAUAAGAUCUAUCAGACGACGACUAGCGGGGUCGAUCUUACUUUACUGAGUAAGUGUAAGUGAGGUUACAGAUAAUGAGCUAUGAUAUACCCCUCUUAACAAAGUGAAAGACCCAAAUUUCCUAUAUACUCUACAAAAUCUCAUUCAUUGCUAUUCCAUUUGCAUUUGGUUAUGUUUAUUGUUAUCCACGCUAUGAUGUAAAGGAAUUCCUACUAAAUGAAGCAUCUGAAUGCCAUGCCCUUCUUGACUCCGAACAACAUGUUCUAUUAGAGACGAGUUGCUUUACGCCCUUGUUUUGAGUUCUCUUCUCGCUCUUCACUGGUCUCCCAGAACUAAGAAGGUGUUAUUUUGGAAGCUGUUGCCUUUUACGCUGUUAGCGAUGAGUGAGAUGAUGCCACACCAACAACCACCUUAGAAAGCACUUAUGCGUAUAAAACGACUUCCCUUGAUGCUGCCAUCUUCGUCUGCUCUUUCUGCCCUCAGUAGGUUCUUCUUCUGUUUCUUUUCUACUGACUCUGUAUCCGCAAAUGAUGCUUUUGGAUUAGGUUCUCCUAUCUAAUAACAACAAAACUAGUAAAAGCAGUGAAAAAAGCACUUUGGACUUUGGAACUGCCUGAGCCCGCCCGGUUAAGCUCUUCUUCUUAAGACCGGUUUUAGUUUGAAUCAACGCUGGGCAGAUUGUUCUCCUACUCGAGUUCAAAGGGUCUUAUAAUUCAUAGCUAUUCUUUCCUCCAAACUAUCCCGCCAGUCAGUGGAUUGGAGACCAGUCUUCAGACAAGCAAGAGAGGAGAAGGGCACUCACCCUAUCUAUCCCAUUGAUCCAUCCAGUGGAAAUACGAGGAUUCUCCUAUUACUAAGCUUAUGGGAGAGAAUAGAGUCAAGCUAGCGACCAUACGAAGAUUCUCCUAUUACUAAAGCUUAUGGGAGAGAAUAGAGUCAAGCUAGCGACUGUCUAGCCUCCUGAACUCUUUCGCGCGUACAUCUUGAGACUCAAAAGGACAGUUCCGCUUCUCUUUCACCGUUAGAACACUCGCGGAUAGAACAGGAAGAAAAGAGGGUGGGUUCUGGUCAUACUUGCUCGCAACAGGUGCUUCUUUCUUUCCCGCAACCGAGGAGCUUACCUUAUGCUUUUGCCCUACCUCCUUUGAUUCCUUUUAUCUCAGUACUGGUUCAGGUUCGAAAUAGGUAGUUAUUAUCGGAGGUAUUCUCCUUUGACAAGGUUUAGUAAAUAUAAUAUACUCUAACCGGCCCUCUUACUCUUAAGUCAGUUCGAAGCAAGAUAUCCGUUAUUAGGACACAAAACCAGCCUUCACUUACUUACUUAAAUGAAAUAGGAAUAAGGAAACUAUAGUCGACAGUCUUUAAGAAGAGAAGAUUAGAACCAAAAAUGAGUCGUCCCACCUAGCCCCAAAAGGGAGAACGGAAAACCAACAACAACAUGAAAGAUGAAAGCGUUCCUCCCCUCACUCUAAUGUCUAAUGCCCCUUAAAAAAGGGUACCUUCUCUCCACUCGCCUUAAAGCGCCAUACGGGGUAGACAAAGUGACAUUCAUUGUCAAUAAAGAAAGAAGAUCUUUUGUCUCUCGCUUAGCUUUGGAAUAUGCUAUGAUAUUAUGUUUCCAAGGGUCUGAUAGAACUAAUCCUGCUGCAAUUAGUUUCAAUAAAUGAAUAAAGGUUCCUGAGACCCGCUCCCCUUUCUUUUCCCAAUUGGGCUUUGCGCCACUUCGGAGAGUGAAACGCACGAAAGGAGGUAUAAUUCUUCCUUUUUUGAGCCUUGGAGCCGAAGGAAGACAAAUGGGACUCGCAUCCAUUGAGAAAAUGACUUUCCCUGCAAGCGAUACAACUAUAGAGUGUGAAAGUGCUUGUAUUGACCGGAAGCGCUGGAGAACUUAAGAUGAAGAUGGUACCAUUGAGAAAGAGAAAAAUAGAAUAGGUUAACUAAGGCUAAAGAAGAAAGAAGACCUAUCGACUUAUUACACUUCGCCCUUGAUUUUGGAUACUGGAGGGCAGCUCCCACUAGUUCUGUUCUAUAGGUAUCUGUAGUUGUAAUAGGACUUACUUCUCGACCGGAUUACCCAAGCUUUAGCUUAGCCGAAAUUGGUAUUUUAUUGGGUGGGCUGGGCGCUUUCCUUAAUGCGACACAUCAAAAUAAGGUCAAUGAAGAAUGCUGUCUAACCGAUCCUCAUCGUCCCGGAAUCAUGGAAUUGGGUUGGUGUUCUUUCGGGCUUAAUUCCCCUUUCGAACUUUAUUAUACCUCUGCUGCCCACAGAAUCAAAGAGAAGGACAAAGACGCCUAGAUCGACAUGGAUUCUAGAAAAUGCUCCAUCAUGAGUCGAGCCAAUAACUAAUGAUCCUGUCUUCCUGUUCGCCUAAUGGCUAAAAUAUGAAAAAGAAUUCUCCUUUCGCGAGAGAACUGGUAAAGUUAUUCCUUUUCAUGGACCUGCAACAUCCUGGGACUAUCCAUUCGAAAGAGCUAGAGCUUGAAGGAAGACCUCCUUCCCAUAAUUAGAGUGGAAAGGGAAUCUUAUACACCAAACCUGUAAAGAAGGCAUGAACAAUAGAUAGGGCAUCUAGCGAAUGCUUGGAAUGGGUUCGCCUCUCAGCGCCUACUAUGAUUAUAUAGGCAAUUAGUGAAAAUACAGAGAGUUAGGAGAAGCUUCAGAGAGAUCAUACGAAUAGGACCAAAAGGAGCCCACAUCGAUAGGGUCAUUCAUAAGCCGAGUUCUUCCUGGGAUGAAAGCCUGAAACUAGAAAUGUGACAGUUGCAGUUUUCAAGUAAGCAGCAAUCGGGUAUCUCGGUCAAAAGUCAACAGUGGAGGUUGGGCGCUAAGAGAGUUUAGUUCCUACUUCCGGACCCCAAUCCAAUAGUACCCUUUUUGCUAACGCUGUUCAUAGUAGCUAAGGUCGCCUGUAUACGGAGCCAGAGUAGGAAUAAGAUUCAAGGAAGCCCCAAAGAAAAGAAGAAAUACCCACGUAACGCUUAAGCUGUGCGAGUAGAAUGAAUUGGUGUUGGCAAUUCCGGUAGUUUAGUUCGGGUCAAGCCAAGUAUAAGGGCUGGAAGAAUAGAUAAGGAAAGGCAAUGUCAAGUGUUUGAGGGAAUGGCGUGAAAAGCCCUAUUUAUUGUCGUUUAAGCAAGGGGAAACUAAGAGAAUCAUACUAAGGAUUCAUCUCUUGAAACAGCCAAGACACGCAAAGACAACUAGAAACGCCAAGACACGCGCCAAGUCACUCCUAAUGUGUAGCGGCAGCCUUCUCCACUUUUCUGGAUUAUUUGUGAUUUCUAAUUGAUUGUUUUCCAAGGUGAGAAACAUAAGCCUUCGCCAGGUAAUAUAGAAUCCAUCCAAUCCAAUCCGGUAACACUCCCUCUCCCUAGUCAUUAACUCUUCUUAUCAUAGCCAUUACCUUUCUUUUCUCCUUCUCUUAUUAGCCUAGCAACAAUAUUGAUUUAUAUAAUAAAGACGUUAGGCAAACAUUUGAUACCUCCCGUAAGCUCGUUACGCUUAACGCCCACUUACUUAAAGACUCGUUUGACUCAAGAAAUUCGAAUAUUGAUUUGAGUCCAGAAGCUGUUGCCCUUAUCCGGAUUUACCCAGUGAGGUUGGCGCUUUUGAGUCAACGUUGACACUUUCAAUGUAUGGAUCAUACCAUUACUGAUUAAGUCGUAUAGAAAUAUAGUGCUGGCAGAAAGGCACUCUCAAAGCAUGGAAUUCCCAAGCAGGCAGAUUCGAAGGUAAGGUCAAAAGUGCAAGGCAAAGCUUAGUCUCUGUCUGAUCCUAGGUGAACCACCUUUAGCUUUCGAUAAGACAGUUCAAGCAGAAAGAAGGAUCUCAAUUACUUUACUUUCGGCGUAAGACACAGUUUUCGGGAGCGGAGUUGGCAGGUAGCCCAGGAUUUCAUAAGUCACAAUUAUUGGUCUCCUUUGAAAGCGGGGUUGCCUAUGAAAGCGCCCUUUCCUACAACUAGUAUAAUAAUGCCGUCAUCACUUUGAUUUUAGUUGAUGAGGUGAUCAGAUCUCGCCUCUAGGCAGGUCGAAGAACAGAUUGUUAUCACAGUGCUACCACCGAAUACAACAAUUAGACAGCUCAGUUAGGAUUUCUCCCAGACAUUCCUAGAGUAAACCCUACCUUACUCGGGAAAUUUCACAUUUCAGUCUCUAAGUUCGCUAGACCAAGCUGUAAAGAAGAUGUAUAUAGCGGUAGACAGUUAUAGACGUGUGGGAACUCUUUUCCUAUCUUCCUCUCGCACACCGUUAUUGGUUACGAAACCUAGCUCCCGGGUCGGUCCUUUCGCCGGGCCACCACACAAAGGGGACAAGGCCUUCUUCUCUAGUCUAGGAUUCUCCACCAGGUGCCUCUUCGGAUUCGGAUGUAGAUGCGUCUUCCCUUGAUUUACUCCACAAUAUACCCACUUCAGGAACUAUCAGCUGGAAUGGGUUCUCCUUCUUUGUUAAGCAGAGACAGGUUCAGAUGUGGUGGUUUCCGCCCUCAUUCACAUUGGUAGGGGUAUGCCGCACCCGAUACUUUACCUUACACUGGGAGUACUACUUUCUACAAGCAAGGCAGGUUUGAAAGGCCCAGGCCAGCCCUUCCUUUCAUAGGAAAGAGCAAUUACUUCGCUUCCUUCGGAACCUUUGUUUGAAUGCUUAAGCCUAGAAAGAUCAUUCGUUAAGAAAACAGAUAGAAUAUUCUAAGAAAGUAAAUAGGAAUUGCUAUCACCUUAAGGUUCAAAAGCAAGCAUGAGACUGAAUAAAUAAGGCAUCUGUAGCAAAGUAAGUAGCAAAGGAAGUAGUUUAAUGCUGACUAACCGGCUACGGCCCCCUAAAAUGAGCUCAAGCUUUACGAGUGGACGAGGACCGAUGUUCAUGUGCGUCAGUUGUUAUGGAGUUAUGUGUAUUAGAGUGACAACGGCCAAGCAACGGAUAGACAAGAUAUGUUUAAAUCGUACCGAGUCCUGGCUUUGUUGUUUCCCAAUACCAGUAGUAAGAGGGAGUUUCUAACCUGGGCUCAUCAGAGUGUGAGACUAGCUCUUGGAUUCGUUCUGCCUGUCAUUCUACUGCCUUUCAUUCUAUAUCCCUUAGUACUGUUUUCUCUCCUCUAUCUCUUCCAUCCCUUGUCAAGCCUUUGUCUAAGUGUUUUAAGGUUAAGUGAGCAAGACAGUGAUAAAUAAAGUGCUUUGAUCCUGUGAGCAAUCCAAUUACUUGCCAAGCAACUAGACAGCUAGGAGGAGCAUGUUGCCAGGACUUGGUAAUAUAAUGAGUCAUCUCUCAUGAAAAACCAUUUCCCCCCUUAUAAGUAUUCAUUCGAACAUGGUUAUGACCGAUAGAUAUGACCGAUAUCCGUCAAAGAAAUCAGUAACAUUAGGUCACAAGUUCUUCUAUACCUAUGGCUCCGAUACCUCUUCCAACUAACCUAACUCCCAAACCACAUAGAGAGUAGGCAAGCAGACAACUAGCUACUCUCAACUACUGGACUGGAACCCUUUACUAUACUUGCUGUAAACUUUACCUCUCCUCAAGCGACUAUAACUACUCAAGCGACUAUAACUACUCAAGCUACUCAAGCGACUAUAACUACUCAAGCGACUAUACUUCUGGCUCUUCUCUGCUAACUUCUUUCUUAUCUUAUACCUCUGGCAACAAAGCCCUAAAUAAGAAGUUCCUCUUCCUUCUUAACCCUCCCUCGACUUGAAAGACUGUAAACUCGAACAAGUCACUACUUUACCGCAACUCUGAUAUCCAAUACCUAUGGCUACUACACCUAUUCUCUAAACUAAGAGAAGAGAUCUGCUUUCACUAUGCGCUCUAAACACUGACGGAGACCCUACCCUAAGCUCUAACUCUACAAGCAGAAGCGCUUGCAGCCUACUUACUUUAUACAGCUCCGGAUCUUGUUCUUUCUACUCUAACUCCAAAACUCCACUUUCCGAAUCAACUUCACUUGCAUAACCGCUUGUAGCUUCCUUUAGUCAAGCAUCUGCUCCUGCUUAUUCUUAUAGGUUAGGCCUGGACAACUUAAACGUAGAAACUCCAUUCUUAAAGGAGUACAUGCCUGGUUGGUUACCCAUAGCAAUUCUACCUAGCUCAAUCCUAUUCUUCUGUUUAGUCCUCCACAGUGGAAAUUAUGACUUUAGAGUCACAUUCUUUAUUGUGAGUUUCGAGCCCUAGGUGGGUGACCUUUUUCUAUUAAACAGAGCUCCAUCCCCUUAUUCCGCUUUUGACCUUCAAGUUCCAUUCUGAUAUGUAUGUUGUUUCAUUCUUUGACCAGAUUGGUUAAGGGCACGUACACUCAUAUUCCGUAUACCUCGCUUCCAAUCCUGAUCCAGAUCUUGAUUCCGCUUCCUUACCUGAUCCUAGAAAUGGCACUGUCCUAGCUACUGACUUGCGUAUGCGAGGUGGAUUCUUGGAUUUACUGGUUGGAGAAAUUACAAUAAGGAACUACUUAGCUCAAUUCUACCCCUUGCCUUGAGAGCUCCAUUCUAUCCCCUGUCAGCUUAGGUUCAUUCUUUGAUUUACUGGCUGUAUUCUUAGUUGUACUUGUUUAAGUCUUUCCCUUGCUAGCUAUAUUCUCUGUGGUACUGCUUUGAGUCUCGGUGGUAUCGGUUUGAAGGAAUUCUAAUAAAAUAAGGGUCGAAAUCCAGCUGAAGUCUUGUUGGUACUGGUUGAAGUCCUGGAGUUAGUGGUCGAAGAAAUUAGAAUAAGGUCCUCACUACUAUCAUUCUGUUUGUUAGUAGCUAUGGCGCCUUGGACUCCCUGGGUUCAGUCUGAUAGUUAGUAGUCGUAUUCUUAAACUACCUCGUUGCAUUCCUGUCCUUGCUAGCUCCCCUCUGAGUGGUAUCGGUUUGAUUCUCACUGCCACUGGGUUAAGUCUGGGUAGUUAGAUGCCUUAGCCCUGUUACCCUGUGUUUCAGUCUUGUGGUUACUGUAUUAAGUCUUAGAGUCUUAUACUAGAUGAUAGGAGAAUUUCUACCUUUUAUAGAUCUGUAGUCCAGAGGCCCUUUUAUUAAGUCGCCAUAGUGGAGUUCGGAAAAAGGAAAGUGAUGUUUCCCUAUAUUUCCCUAUAUAAGUAGAGUCAACGGUCUCCUAUGGUUUACUCUGCUGUGUCUGUACUUAGUCGGUAUAUGAUAAAGAGAACUUGGUUUUCGUCUUUGUUUAUCAAUUCCUAAAGUUUUCUGUUCCAUGAACUCACUCCUGACUGCUUCCUCGGUAGCUAGGUAUGACAGAGCAACCGAAGCUUCUGUUUCUGUAGACGCCAGGUAACUACAGAGGAAUGGAAUUGAGCUCUUCAUAAUAGAAGUAAGUUGGUAACCACAGAGCAUAGGUAGCUGAACCCAUAAGGGAAUCAAGAUCUGACUUAGUUCAAAGAGUUAGAGUAGAGGAUAAGAAUUCAGUUCAUUGUUUACAGAGGUAGAUUAGAGUCAAGCUUCUCAGUGCCAGUUUUCUUCUUUGGUCCGCAAGCCAAGGUGUCAGCCUCAGGUAGUGGAAUGAUUUGUUUCAAGGGGAUGGGUUCUACUACGGGAGAGAGUAGCUCUAGUUUCAUGAGUUGUCGAUUCAGAAUCCCUUGUUGCAUUUAGUACUGCUUCUGUUCUGGUUAGAGUGGAAUGAUUUGUUGCGAGUAGUUGCUAGUUGGCAUUUCAGAAUCAAACAAGUCAGUAGAAGCCUUAUANNNNNNNNNNNNNNNNNNNNNNNNNNNNNNNNNNNNNNNNNNNNNNNNNNNNNNNNNNNNNNNNNNNNNNNNNNNNNNNNNNNNNNNNNNNNNNNNNNNNNNNNNNNNNNNNNNNNNNNNNNNNNNNNNNNNNNNNNNNNNNNNNNNNNNNNNNNNNNNNNNNNNNNNNNNNNNNNNNNNNNNNNNNNNNNNNNNNNNNNNNNNNNNNNNNNNNNNNNNNNNNNNNNNNNNNNNNNNNNNNNNNNNNNNNNNNNNNNNNNNNNNNNNNNNNNNNNNNNNNNNNNNNNNNNNNNNNNNNNNNNNNNNNNNNNNNNNNNNNNNNNNNNNNNNNNNNNNNNNNNNNNNNNNNNNNNNNNNNNNNNNNNNNNNNNNNNNNNNNNNNNNNNNNNNNNNNNNNNNNNNNNNNNNNNNNNNNNNNNNNNNNNNNNNNNNNNNNNNNNNNNNNNNNNNNNNNNNNNNNNNNNNNNNNNNNNNNNNNNNNNNNNNNNNNNNNNNNNNNNNNNNNNNNNNNNNNNNNNNNNNNNNNNNNNNNNNNNNNNNNNNNNNNNNNNNNNNNNNNNNNNNNNNNNNNNNNNNNNNNNNNNNNNNNNNNNNNNNNNNNNNNNNNNNNNNNNNNNNNNNNNNNNNNNNNNNNNNNNNNNNNNNNNNNNNNNNNNNNNNNNNNNNNNNNNNNNNNNNNNNNNNNNNNNNNNNNNNNNNNNNNNNNNNNNNNNNNNNNNNNNNNNNNNNNNNNNNNNNNNNNNNNNNNNNNNNNNNNNNNNNNNNNNNNNNNNNNNNNNNNNNNNNNNNNNNNNNNNNNNNNNNNNNNNNNNNNNNNNNNNNNNNNNNNNNNNNNNNNNNNNNNNNNNNNNNNNNNNNNNNNNNNNNNNNNNNNNNNNNNNNNNNNNNNNNNNNNNNNNNNNNNNNNNNNNNNNNNNNNNUAGAACAAAUAUGGAUCCUUUUUAGGCUUGGCCCCUCCUGAAAUGAUAUCUUAUCUUAUAUAGGAGAUAGUUUCGAAAGAGAGAAGCCAACAUAGAGAAUAGUUGCCUGUUGCCAUAGUUCGGGCCCUUAUAGUACUUUCUUUCCCCUUGUAAUGGAGGUCGGGUGCUCAAACAAAAGAAGUUGGUUCGGGUCAGGCACUUAUUAGAGGUCAGGUCAUCAAGGGGAGUUAUUGUUUCAAGAGCCAGAGUGAGGUUUUAGGUUAAAGAGUACAGAGCCCUAGGUUGGUUCAGAGCAAUCUAUCUUAUACAAGAAGCCGAGGAUCAUCUAGAAUAAUGUCCUGUCGAAUCAGAGGUGUAGUGUAGUGGUAAAGUUCAAUCCGUAUUUGUUAGUUUACAGAGGUAGAUGAGACUGUAGGUCUGUUAUUCUUCUUAUGUUAUGAGUAGGAAUACCUGGUAGUCCUGUUUCAUAAGAGGUAGCAUAGAAGUGAUAAGAGAUGCUAAAGUAAGUAAAGUCUCUUUCUGUUCUUGUGUAGGUUAAAUAGCCAGCUGCUGUAGUGGAGUGGUAGGUUUCAAGCCCUGAGCUAAGUAGUGAAAAAGUUUCAUAUCAAGUAGUUGUCCAGUGGAAUCCCCAACAAGUAGCAUCCCAGUAGUAGUGGUCCUGUUUACAGAUAAGGGAGUCGAGGUAGGCAUACAAUAAGAAUGGAAAUAGAGUUGACAGUUCCAGUUAUCAAGUACAGAAGCUAGACUUGCUUUUUCAUAGCAUUGGUUGAGUGACGGAGCCCGUAGUAGUUGACAGAGGAGUAGUUAGUGGAAUACCGAGUUUAGUCUUAAAGUCUGGUUUCGGGUUCCAGUCCAGUAGUAGUAGCUUGGCCCAGUUAGUAGUUAGUAGAUCCCUUAUUCUUUGUAGUAGUAGUAGUAGCAAGAGAAGAGCCAUAGGUAAGAGGUAGCAUGGAAGUUAGCAUAGAGGAGCAAGCAGAGUUCCUUUAUUCACUAGCGGCAGAGCAGAGGGUAGUAAUAGAUUUGGAGAGUUAUUAACGAGUCCUGUGUUUGGGAGUGGUUAGUUGACAGAGCCAUAGUUUAGGUCGGGGAAGACAAUAAGUGUAGCAAGAGGAGAGGUGUAGUAGCCGAACACUAGCGGCAGGCAAGGGAAGUUUUGUUUGGUGCUAUAGCUCUAGUAAAGUUGCUAGGGUAGGCUGAGGCUUGUUCCAUUACUUGUUUACUUACUCGUUGGGAUGUGGGUAGGUAUUCCCUUGUUUGAUCUGUUGGGUAUGCUUGUUUUCAUUCCUUUACUAGGUCGGGUAGUCAAAAGAGAGUACCAUCUUUUAGGGUAGGGUCGGCUGGUUUACUUACGGGCUCGGGUAGUUUACUGACUUGGAAAACAAGAAAUUAGAAAUCAUAAAUAAUCCAGGCCAAGUAACUGCUAAUGUUACGCGGCAGCAAGUGACAGUCAUAACGAAGUUAUUACAAUAUAUGUCUUCGCGUUUUGAAACCCGUGUACUGACUAAGUAGAGGAAAGCCUACUUCAUUCUAUAUUCUCUUUAUAUAGGUGAACGGAUGAAACCACCGCUUCCAAGGCUGAUAUCAGUGCUACUCAGAACCAAACCUGUGAGUUACAGGCUGCAGCUGGGUAGCUCGGGUCUCUAACAAGUGCAGGGCAGACUGCUAUUGGGUAGUGAUAGGCUGAAGCUAAGGAGGGAAAGACUUAAAGCAGUGCCAGCAAGACUACAACCAUUGAGUCAAAGAAUGGGACGAUUGAGGGCAAGAAUGCAGCCACUACAACCAAGAAUGCAACCGGGGAGUGAAAGGCCAAGCCUGAAAGUAGGGAGUCCAAGGCUUAAAGCAAGGGUAGUAAGUCCGAUGCUAGGUAUUGGUAUGUAGCUAAGGUAGCUAGGGUCUCAAUUGAGCUAGUAUUGGUAUGUAGCUCGCUCCUGUAGCUCUAGUUCGAAAGUCAGAAUGUACCUAAGGAGUUAAAGAGUGGAGCUAGAGUUAAAGAGUGUAGCUAGUAAGGGGUAGUCCAGGUAGUCCUGGUAGUCCCGGUAGUCCUGUGAGAGGUAAGUUAGAGUCUAGGUCGGCACUUAAAGGAUAGGUCGGCAGACAAUAAGAAUGGAAUGGAAUUAGGUGACUCCGGAGAGGCGUAGUUGCCAGCAGCUGGGCUUGUUAAAAGAAGUAGGCUAGUAGGAAGAAGUAGGCUAGUAGGAAAGAGGUGAGCUAGUAGGAAAAUAGGAAUGAAACUAAGAGGUCAGCUUGUAGGAAAGCUAGAAAUAUAUCUUAUAUUAUUAAAGAAAGCAGAAUGUCAUAGAAUAGAUGUGGUUGCGCCUAUUAUGUGUGCCUAUUAUGUGUGCCUAUUAUGGGUGACCUGUAGAAUAGAUGUGGGUGCCUCCCCUGAGGGGAUCUAUCGAAUCAAUCCAUUAGGGCUGGAGUGGUGGACUGACUUGUGGAAUUCUCCGUUAGUGCUGAGGAAGCUAGUCCUUCUUUUGGUGUUCUUGUUGAGGGAAGCUGUGGAAUCAGUAUUUGCUUUGAAAGAAAUCAAGAAAUCAAGUGGAGCAAGAGGUCAGAGGUGGAUGAACCAGACCAGAGGAGUGGUGUCAGCAGAGCAGGAGUAUCGAGUUUACUUAACACUGGCAUAAUGACUUCAUUUCUCAGAAAAACGAAUUGGAUUUCUCCUAGACCAACUCUGUACUAGCUAAGAAGGGAAAAUGAGUUAUAUAAAUCUCUGUUAUUAUAUAGGUGAAUUGGCUUGGCCCCCGCAUCUAGGUUAAGAAUCAAACUAACUAGCCAAAGAACCAAACCAGAGGAGUGCUAUCCAGGAAUGAGAGGAGUAAAACCGGUGCUAUCAGGAAUGAGACAAGGUAGUUAAAGAAUAGAUCUGGGGCUACUCAGCCUGAUACCACUACAAGCAAGCCUUAAAACAGUGAACCCGAGGCUCAAACCCAUGCCCCAAGCCUUCAACCAGUCAAUCCAAGGCUUCACCAAGGGAGUUACAGGCUGUAGCUGCUACCAAUCAGAAUGCAACCCGAGCUGGGCAGACUUAAAGCAGUGCUAACAAGACCUCAACCGGUGCUUCCCAGGCUGUUGCUAGGGGAUGAGAGAAUGGAGCUAAGUAGUUCGAGGCUACAACCACUACAAGCAAGCCCGCUAUUGGUGCUCCUCAGAACCAAACACUGCAUUCCAAGCCUGAUGCUAUGUAGUAUGGGACUGAAGCGGGGUAGAGAUAGGAUGAAACCAAUGAGUUAGAGAAUGAAGCUAAGGAGUGGGAGAAUGGGGCUGAUCGGGGUAAGCCUGAAACAAGGUAGUUAAAGACACUGCCAAUGAAACUAAGUAGUGAAAGAUUUGACCCCAGCAGUCACAGGCCAAGCAACGGGGGCACUCCAACCAGGCUUCAACCUACUAACAACCAGUUUUAACCAAGUACUGUGUUCGCCACUAAGGGGCCAGCUCUAUCUCUAGUCCAGAGUAGAGGUCGGGUUGGGAAGAAAAGAAUCCAGUGAGUAAAGUAGGGGUGCCGCGCCUUAGGAGGUAUAAUAGAAGAAGGUAGUUAACUAUGCGCUCUCUACUCUUAAGGCAUCAUUGAACUAUAACUAGGGCUUCGAACACCAAUUCAUUACUACCACUAAACCAAUGCAAUGAAAAAAGACGGUAAAACGCAAAAGUUGAUGACUUGAGGACCUCGCCUGGAGGGAAAUUGUCUUUGCAACGAAAAAUCCCGGGGCCAAGUCACUACUAAUGUGAUGCGGCAGGAGUCCCCGCACAAAUCUCAUUUCCAUGGAUCGGUCCAGGAAGGAAAAGGACGAAGCUACCUUUUUUACCGAGAAAACGCCAAAUGAUCAUUAGAAAUUGGACAUCUAUUAGCGGGCCAAGGAACUACUAAUGUUCCGCGGCAGGAGCUCCCCGUCGCUAUCAAAAAACACGGUAAAACGCAAGAUGAUUGCCCAAACAAGUAGUAUAGUAGUAGAAUCCCUUGUUCCUGUUCAUAAGUAAGGUUAUGAGAGGCCCUUAUAGUCAGUCGGGAACCAUCUUUGGAAGCAGUUAAGUCAGUUCAGUUCACCAAAUCACCAAAACCAGAGCAAAGGUAGAGGAGAAAGAGGUGUAGUUAGAGAAGUAGAGGAGCCAUCAAUAGCAGUUGUUUGUCUAUCCGUUCCUUGGCUCAUAGCUUCGUUAGUUUAGUGGUUGAGUGGUAGUAAUUCAUUGGUGGCAGAUAUAUAAGUUGCCCCUUAUAGUAGUAGUCCAUUUGAAUCUGUAUUAGUUGUGACCAGUAGUAGUCCUGUUCUGGUGAUUGUUUCAUACCGGUUGUACUGUUCUGGUUCUAAAGUAAGAGUAGCUGUUUCAAAGCAAGGACUUAUUGGCAUACUAAUAAGAAUAGAGUAGUGGAUCCGGAUCGGCAGUUAUGGCCUGUUUGUAAGAUGUUCGAGUCUUCUAGUCGUUAGCGCGAUUCCUAGUUGUUAAUUCGAAAGUGUUAGCUGGCUCCCCAGUGCCUAGUCCCGUCCUUGUAUGCCAAGUUCCAUUCUCUCUUUUGAGUUAGAGCUCGAGAAGCAGUAUAGCAGAGUUCCCGGUUUUAUAGGUCAAUUCUUCUAGUUGGAAGCUCGAUUCUGAUGUCGUAGUGGUUGGAAGCUCGCUUUUGAGCUGAAGUACGAGAAGUCAAAGUGCAGUUCUUGGUAGCACUAGGUUGAGAAUAACAAGAAACAAAGUCGGACUUAAUAUAAAGUAAGGCAGGGCAGUCUAACUAUAUUAAUAGGAAACUUUACUCCAACAAGAAAUGGCAGGCUAACUAUUAUGUGUUGAAUUCUAUCAGCUAGCAGAUGAAGUUGGAAGCUCGCAAGUAAGAACCUGUGCCAGUAAUCAUAGAAUGAGAUUAUGGAGCUAUAGGCUAAAAGCAAGUACUAGAAGAAUCAGAGGUAGAGCGCUAAGCCUGAGAUAAAGUAGAAAAAGACUGAUCUAUGAAUAAGGCGUGUGUACCGCUUGCUUGUGUAUUCGAGUAGUAAGGUCGUUUGACUUAGUCUCUUCGCUCGGGUAGUUAGCAGUGGGGCGAGCUUACAUACUUGAAGGCUGGAAUGUCAGUUCGAAGCUAACGAGUAGAAGCCUACAGCGCAGAAGCUAUAAUGCAAGUAAGGAUCCAACGACCCAAACUAAGUAAAAGUAGAAUGGAGCUACUGGCAAACAGACUUGAGCAAUACCUGAUAUAAUGGAACUGGUGCUUCUCAUAAUAGAGCUUACUGCCUAGCAGGUAAACUAUAGGUCUUACUCUCCUAGCGAUCAGUCUGCCCUGCCGCUACACAUUAGUAGUUACUUGGCGCGUAACACACACUAUUUGCUUUCCCUAAGUCUAAGCCUAAUUGACUCUACAGAUAAGCCUAAUUGAAAUAGUAAGGAACAUCGGAGAGAAGAAUAAGAAUAGAAAUAAGGCUACUAAUACUCACAUCAGAACGAAACAACAACUCUGUUAAUGAAACAAAGAACUCAGAUGAGAACUCGGAACUGGGAAUGUAGCUAGUGGGUAUCAGGCUAUCCCGGCCCGAGUUACAGGCUUCACUCACUUACUUUCGGACUCAAACGACUCCUACUCAGGCUGAAGCUAAGGGUAAGCUAGACUGAUAUCGGGUAGUCAAAGAAUCAAACUAGGGCUAGCAAGCCUUCAACGAGGAAGUGACAGACUGAUGCUAAGGAGGGAAAGAACCAAACCAGUGCUAUCCAGGAAUGGGAGGAGGUAGUUACAGGCCUAAACUCAGAAGUAAGGGCUUCCACUACGUCAACAAGACUCAUGCUCAUAACUAAGACUAAACUGGGGGCAGCGCCUCUAACCUCCUGUGUCCGCUUCUACGGCUCUAACUCAUAACUUAGCUAUGGUUUAAUAAGUACCCAUUUGUAUUAUCUGUUAUUUACCACUAGAAACUCCUGUCUAAGCCUUUUUAUCCCCUGUAGUUCUCUUCUCUGCCUAUAUCUCCUGUUUCUCAAGCUGACACUCCGCUCCUAGCUUUUAAGUAUUGCUGACUUCACUGGCACUCCGAGCUUUGAUUCCGACUUCCUUGACUUUGAGUCUUACUUAUUUGUUUGGCUCCUCCGCUCCUAACUCUGACUAUUACACUCCUUGGUGAAAGCCUCCCUUGUUAGACUUCUGCUUUUAGUUGCUUAGCCCCAGCCUUACGUCCAUGUUUUAGUCUUUGACUCACCUCUGGAACUCUUUAACUGUUAUACAAACUUAUAUAAAGAAUAUUGAUACUAGAACCAAGGUGCUGAAAGCCUCAUACUAUCAGAGUGACCCUACUGCUUCUAGGGCAAACAACUCCAAGUUUGGAUGAAACUAUAGCACCAACGCUCUUAUUCCUUACCCCAAUGCACUAGCCCACUUUCAAACUUACACUCCGGGGACCCGAUCUUACUUUCCGGGCUUUUAAAGCUAUAUUUCACCUAUAAGGCUUGCUUCCCUGUAUUUCUAUAAUUAUGAAAAUCCAGACUUGUUUUCUUGAUUCCAUCAGUUAGUCUGCCUCUACUCGUUUUAAGUCUCUCUUUCCUGGCUACCACUCUUACUUUCCUGCCUCCCUUUACUUGGGUUCAAACUUUGACUACUGCCCUAUAAGACAUACCUAUAAGAAUACCACCUAUCAAACUGGGAUCGAACUACAGCUAAUAGGACUGACACGGGGAACUCCGCCUUUCUCCCCUUUCUUUUAUUCUUGGAUAACUAACUACAAUACUAUAGUAGUAGCUAACGGUACGAGGCUAGCGCAUCUAAUCUAGUAAUAUACUAAUAGUGGUCUGAUCUAGGGCAUUAGAAUACUUAUAGUGGUAAGUGGUACGAAUGCAAAAAGAACUAAUCAGAAAACAAAUAAGAAGUCAGAAGUCGACUAAGAAGUAUAGUAGCGCAUCUAGAGAUGUAGAAUCAAACAAGCAAGUUGGAAUCGAACAAUAACACGGGAAUGAGACCCCGAACCCAGUAGGGUAAGGGCUAAUGCUCAAAGUCAGAACCAACCCUACAAUAAAGAAGAAAGUAGAAAAGGUCAGGAGAAUAAACAACCAAAAUGAGGCAAGUAGGAAAAGUCAGAGACAAGCUAACGCAAGAAUCGAACCGCUACUGGAGAGAAUCAAACUUGUAAUAAAGAAUCCGACUGCUGGCUUCUAGGGUGACUAAAAGACUUUACCUACCGCUAUAGGAAUGCGUCUACUGCUUAUAAGAAUUCAACCCGAAACUUCUCAGGCUGUAGCUACUAACUAUCAGAAUGAAAACACUGCUUCUAAGACCCUAGCCCGGAACUCAGAGGCUAACUCACCUGUUUGAGUAUGCCCUUACUCGCUGGAAAACGCUUUCAGCACCCUCACUUUUAUGUUCUAGCACCCUUACUUGUUAGCUUUAGUCAUGUACUGCUCCUUUUCAUUCCUGAAUCACUGAGUAGGAUCUUCGCUUCAAAGCUUGGUGCUAUUGCUUCUAAGAAUGCUACUACCCCUUAUUAGAAUGUACCCGAGGAGCCCAAGCCUCACUCUAAAACUGGCAUUCCCCCAUCUGAUAUUGAUUAUUCUGUUCACGUAGAAUAUAUUCUAUUCCAUUUCAUUAUUCAUAGGAGACAAACAGCAUUCUGAUUAUUCAUAGGAAACAUCAUUUUCCACCAAGUAGUACAAGAUUCAUAAGGAGAAGAAGCAAACCAAGAAACCGAGCCAUACCUUUCUUCUUAGCAUACAAAACCAGACUAGUGGGGCACUCUUCUCUUGCUCCUAUGUUCUGACUCUUGGAAUUGACCCUUGAAUUCUGUAGUAAACCUAUUAGCCUGCUAUUCCCUAGUUGGAGUAUCACUUGACUGUGUUUUGGUAUAACUUUAAGGACUUCUAUUCUGAAAUGACGAAUAAGCAGAGUAGUGGUAUGAUCCCACUUGGGCAUAUAGUAAAGGUAGUUAUAGUAUGUGUGUUAUUACCUCGUGUAUAUUACGAUAGAGAGUAGGCGGCUUCUGUCUUUCAUUAUUUAUUUCAUCUAGCAGGAUUAGGCUCCUUAGACCGGCAUCCUGACUUGUAGUCUCCUAGCAAGGCUCUACUCUUAUAGCUCCAUAUUAGUAUUAGCAUUAGUAUACUUACUUGAAAGUUAGCAUUCCUCUGAUUCCAAUACAGACUCCGAGGGCCUAGCCUAUUCUGUACUCUUUCAUUACGUAUGUAUCUAGUGUUUGAUUCUGUCUGAUCUAUGGCACAUUGUCCAUUAUUUGACUACAGGGUUUCUAAUAAUUCAAGAAAAAAUACAGAAACUGGGAACUAAGCCCCUCAUCCACUGUCUAUUAACCCCAAACAGAAGAAAUAGACUCAGCGCCAAAAAGCAAAGACCGCUUUGGGGCCCCAGUAAGUAAGAAGAAAAGACAGGACAGACGGGUAACUCAAUACCCCCCUUUUAUGGUGGAAGCCUCAUUAGUUAGUAGUUAAAGCCUUGGAGGCAGUGGUCCCAGUCUGAUAUGGUGGAACGUAGUUCUUAAAGCACCAGCGUGAGCUUGAAAGUAAGGAUCCGGUCCAGUGACUACAGCCUUAACUAUAGGGGUUUGAGUCUGAUAAUUGGCUUUUGCGCUCCGUAUUCUCCUUCUCGGUGUGAAAGUAUAUGCUUUCAUUUCAUUCUAAGCUCUAUUAGUUGUAUUCAAUGAUCUAUAUAUUGACCAUAAACCCAAUAAGUUAUGUUAGAGUGUCAAAUGCACUAAUCCAUUGAUUUAUUGGUUAAGGAAGAAGAAGUAUGCCAUACCUGGGGCCCAAGAAUUCCACUAAUAGGCCAUAACCCAACUAGACAAGCAAUGGUGUAAGGGAGCAACGGUGUGAGGAAAAGAAUUUCGCUCAGAAUCUCAUAGUAAAGAAAGAAACAGCGCAUAACGAGUUUUGUGACUACAACUUAUGUGUCUUCGUAGGAUAAAACUACUAGCUAUAAGAAUAUCGCUACUACUGACGGGUCUUUGCUUUACUGUUUCAAACAAGCACUCCUCUCUUAUGUUGAGUCUGAAGUUGACAAGUAUGGGUCUGUUUCUGGUUCUCAAGUAAGGGAUAGGCCAGGAAGCUAAGCAAUAAGUAAAGAAGUGCAGAAUAGGAGAGGAAGCCUAUAAGUACUGAAUUACAGAAUGCAACCAGUAAACCAGUAAGUAGAAGGAUGAACCGACGACCAACAAGAAUGGAAUUAGUAAGUAGGAGUUACAGAAUAGAACCAGCAAGUAAGGGGCCAAGCGCCUAGGCAAGUAGACAAGGCAACAAUACCUAUGGCAACUAUGAACUGAAUGAGGUAUACCUCUUAUCCGACUGUUACUACUGAGUUGAGUGCAUUUCUUUGUCUUCUACUAGAUGCGCUAGAUCUAUCUCCUUAUGUUUAAGUCUUCAUUGAUGGGUGACUUUGGACUUUGUUCCUUAUUUCUUAUAGAAUAUGAGUUCAAAAGAAGCCGGAGAACCAUAAGCACUCUUCUAUACCUCGACUCGCGUUACAAUUCGGAAGUAGUUGAUUGGACCUAGCUGCCCUGGUUAAGUCUAGUAGGGGCUUGGCUGUUGCAAGAGUUCAAAGAGAUGAGAUGAGCCGGGAGUGCUGUGCUAGUUUCAUACCGGUAGUAGUUGUCCUGUUUCAUAAGAGGUGUAGUCCUGUAGUUUCGUAGUUUCAUCAGUAGUGGCGGCUACCAAUGAGGUAAUUGAACGGCGUAGUCCAUAAGUAGGAAUUACAGAGAAGCUGGAAUGGAACUCAGUUGGCAAGUAGGGAGAAUGUCCUGUUCGAGCUUACAACUUCGGGUAGUUUAAUGAAGUGACCUCGGGUCGGCUGGUUGACUUACUUGGAAGCUAGGGUAGUCAAAAGAUAGUACUUACUUGUUUUGGUCGGCUUGCUUAGUUGCUUGGCUAUCCGUGUCUUGGCCGUCUUACUUAGUUGCUUGGCCCGGAGUCCUAAUUAAUAGCGUCAGCGAGUUCAAAAGAAUCCAAUCAGUACUAUAAGAAUAGAACUCGGGAAUCAAACACUAAACCCGAAAUUCCACUCAGAACUAGCAAUUGAACUAGGAACUCCACGAAACUACUUAACUGGCACUGAUUCCAGAGUCGAUUCACCCUGGCAAUGAAUAAGCUUACAUUGUAGUUCCGGAUCGAUAUACUGUAUUAUGUAUUCGUGUAUACAAGGUUGGGCAAGCAGAAGUGCUAUAAUUACUGAACCUUAUCCACACCAGUUCCAUUCUCAUUAGUAGUAGCUCAAUUCCUAUGCUCUUGCUUAAAAAACGGAGAAUCCCUAACUCCAUUCUGUAGUUCACCCCGAAAACUGCCAUUCAGGUCUCUAAGUCUCGUAGUUGUCCUUUUCGCAUUCCCUAUUUCCCACUUUGAUUCUUUGGCUUACCGCUCUUAGGCUCCACGCUUUGAAGCUUCGUUACUACACCCAAUAGAAAGCAUAAUGCUAAGUCUUUCUUGACCUACCCACACAGACUUGACUUGAUCCUGACAUGCCUUUAUGCGAGGUUUCAGUCUGCUAGCCCUGUCCCUAACUCUUACAAGUACUUGUUUGAUUCCUUAUCCCUUGUUUUAGUAUGUGCCUCUCCUGCUUUGAAUUAUGCAAUUAAGUAUGAAGUUAACUUAUAUGAGAAUUGGGUUUGUUUCUUUUUGACUCUAUGUUCUUAUAUAAGAAUGCAAAUGAUAACUAACAGAAUCAACCUAUGUGGUUAACUAUAAUCAGAAUUGAGCACUGCACCACAGGAAUGGAAUUACCAGAGAGUAGGAAAUCCACUACUGACUUAUAAGAAUCCAGCUAGGGAAUAGGAAAUCCGCUACCACAGCUACAGCUCUAAACGGGCCAAAGCCAGAAUCCAGCUAUAUGGCAUUCUGAAUUGAAUCACCGAUCAAAAGAAUGGAACAUGGAACUCAUACUUUGACUGUUGGAGUGUUCUAUGUUUUUAUUCUUAUUAAAGGAGAGACCUUGCUUUACUACCUACGAUCCUUACUUGCUAGGUUGAGUCUACCUAUCCUUCCGGGCAUGCUUGCCUGCGAGUUAGAUCCUUACUACCCUUACCCACAUUACAUAUCUCUUGUUCCACCCUGAUACUCCUUACUCAUAUUCUUAUUCCUAUUAGUAUAUUAUAUGUUAGUAUAUUAUAUGUUAGUAUUAUUGGUAAGAUCUGGGGCAUAUAGAUAUCGGAAUUUGUGUUAGAUAUAAGAACCAUAAUUCAGAAGUAACUGGGCAGUAAACGUUCAUUUCAGACUUGAACCUACAACUAGGACUUUCCCCUCAACCAAAAAGAGAAAAGGAACUGGAGGAAACGGCACAGCUAUCAAGCGGCUUUUCAAAUGCGUACGGACGGAAGGUCUCAUCGCCCGAUGGAGAUGGAGGGGUUUGAACUGGCUUGAAAAAGAUGCCUCUAUCUACUCUGGGACAAUAAAUGACAAGUUCUGUGUUUCUUUAGAGCCUACAUCUAAUCUUAGAAAAGGACAUAGCAUCCCUUUUUUCUAAGGAGUUACUGCAGUUGGCGUGAGAGGGUCUGCUUGCUUGUUUGGGAGAAAUUAAUAGUAAGGGCCCUUCUUUUGAGUGCUGUGUUCAGCUAGCGCAUUCCUUUCUUUUAUAGAAGUAGAGAGGCCCUUAUAGUCAGUUUCCUCUAUAAUAAGUCUCGGGAAGCAGUAUAUUGACUGGGUUCUGUACCAAGUGAAGGAAGUGCUCGAUACGAAAGAUUCACGAUACGAAAAAGAUUCAAUGAAUUCUCUGACUUCUGCUUACGAAGUUUAGUUUAAAGACUGUUGCGCGGCACAAGACAACUAGAAAUUCUGGUUGUUAGCAGGUGCAAGCAGUGGCGUCGAGGAUAGUUCGGCAAGGGGGAAGAAGAUGUUCUAAUAGAAGAGAAAAAGCACUUAUAGUAUAGUACUGCUAGUAGUGAGCGAGGGCAGUAAACUCGUAUCAACUCUUGGGGUGCUCCGGGCAAGCAGUUAGGGAGUGACUUAAGUUGACUUCUUUCUUGCCAACUCCGUAAAGUACGUGUUACUUCCUCUAAUAAUGAAGACAUCUCUCUUUCUUAUCGGAAAUCGGUAAAGUGAAUAGUCAUCAAUUCUUUCAGUUGACUUUCGAAUAGUGAUCGGAAAGGGACUCUCGAUCUGGUGUGAAAGCCUGAAACUCAGUUGCAACUAUCUGAUUGCCCUAACUACACUUGAAGCUGAUUGCCCCAACUCCCCUUAGUACAGAGUCUAGCUCCGAUGCUUCUGCUUCAUCUCUUGCAGACAAUGCUCGAACUGCUCAGAUCCAUGAAGCAGUUAUUAACAAGUCCUGAGUUCAUGGCGGCAGGGAGUUCUUUAGCAAAGGCAAAGAUAGAAGACAAGCCAAUUACCUUUACUAGACAAUACUGGCAACUGCUCUUUCCACUUAGGAUUCUUUUUCUUCCCCAAGUCCUGCAUUCAUGGCGGUAGGAGUGAAAAGCGAAAGGGCCGCUCUUAUGUUUUAGACUUCGACGCUUAGCCCACACAGUAUAUGUUGAGAUCUUUUGCUGGUCUGGUCUGAUAUAUCUUCUGUUUCUUUAGUCAUUGUGUAAGAUCUAUCUCGACGGUAAGGGUAAGUAAGGGUAGCAAGGAGGACCACUGGGGCAAGGAAUUCUCCCGGCUUACAACAAAAACGAAGAUGAGAAAGCCACUCCACUUGCUUGCCUAGAAGGCCAGUUCCCUCUGCUGGAUCCCUAACUCUGGGGUCGGCAUUUGACAUCACCUGUGGCCGUAGCCUGACUCUGUGCUUUCUUUUAUUGAUCGAGCUUAUACCGGCCGUCCUGAACUCGAUCUUUUCUGAAGCUUGCUUGUUCCCUUACUUGCUGUUGUUGCUGUUACUGACUAUUUGUAUCUUUCUUUGUACUGAAUACUCUACUCUUUUGGUACGUGUUCCUUUGCUUGUUCCCCGCUCUGUCAGUUCUUAUUCUUAUUCAUAUAGUAGUAUGAUUCAUAUAGUAGUAUGCUUCAAUCUAGUAUGAUUAUUAAUAUAGUAUAAUUCAUAUAGUAGUAUGAUUCAUAUAGUAGUAUGCUUCAAUCUAGUAUGAUUAUUAAUCUAGUAUGAUUAUUAAUAUAGUGCACAUAGCAUAAAAGAGAGGAAUUUCUGCAUUUCCAUAAGGCACAUAGAUAGCAUCUAAUAUAGUCAGAUUACCUAAGGCACAUAGAUAGCAUCUAAUAUAGUCAGAUUACCCGUCGUAUAUAUACUCAACAUACGCUACUUGAUACUUUACUUAGAAUUAGAGGGAAGGGGUAGGGGUGACAGAAUACGAGUGUUUCUUUGGGUGCGAGUGAAGUCGAUGAGAAUUGACUUAUUUCCCUUAAUAGCCUGAUUUCCCUUAGGCCUUAAUAGGCUUCUUCAGCGCCUCGUGGUCCAAGAGUCAAGUCGCUUUUGAUUCCGUUCGCUCCGAGAGUAAGCGUUAGGGGCUUGUUCUUGCGAAACAGCUUGUUUCAUGUAAGUGCCACCCAUUAGAUAGUUUCAUGUAAGUGCACCCCCAUUAUAGAAUUCAGUAAAAACACCUCACUGCGGACUCCUCUCCUUACCAUAAUAACUCAGCUAGGCAGCCCGAAACUUCCAAUAGUGGUUAACGUCUAGGAAAACAAAUUCAUAUGUAAUCUAGAAGACGGAAUGCGAGUAUCAAGUCGUCAGCAGCCACGUAGCAGUUCUGAAAAUGUCGUUUUUUUCGAGGAAGAAUCUCUGACUUGCACGGUAAGUGAAUGUUCCGGAUCUGGAUUUGAAGAAAGUGAGGCGACGAGAGAAAGCAGCGGAAGAGUCAAAGGCGAAAACAUAAGAAGGAGAAACCCAGGAGGAAUUAGAGCUAGGAAACUUAGUCUUAAAGAGAUACAUUAGUAUCGGACUUCUAGUUAAGAGUUGUUGGCUAACUUGCGGGAGUGCCAGAGUCGAACUAAAGUAUAGUAAUAAGAAACUCCAGAAUGAAAUGAACAAGUGAAAGAGUGAUAACCAGGAAAAGCAUACUUUAAGAAGGAGACAUAGAAUGAAAGUCCAGAGGUGGUAGUUUGAGUUGAAGCAAAGAGACAUAGCCUUGAAUACGAGGUAUUGAGAAUGAGAUGAAGCAGUAUCACACUUAGGGCAGGAAAGUGAGUCUUAUCAGCUAGGCUUUCAGCACCUUGUAGUAGAGUAGUCCAGAGCCCUAACUUGAUUUGUUAACUACGGUAUCGGAGCCAGCUGCUUUGCUAGUUGAAAGAAGUAUGGGUUGACCAAGUCCUGUGUUCGGGAGCUCAAGAAUGAGAUCGAGUAAGGGUAGCUUUGAGUUCCGGGGAUAAAGGCGUGUAGGCCAGGAAGCAAGAGUAGUUAGAAUCAAUCGUCGUUGCUACAAUAAGUCUCAAAUAAGGCUCUCACUCACAGGCAAAAGGAUGCAAGGGACAACUAAGGAAUGGAAGGGGCAAAUACACGAAUGAAAGAAGGGAGUUACCAAGGCUAAUACCAGAUUUCAAUAGUAGAGUGGGCCUAUGGAUCAUCAAACUCAAAUAUAAGCUUGGACAUCGAUACACAAAGGCAUUAGGUUCAGUAAUACCAGUUUGAAACGAACAAAAGUCCGGCUUGUGUUCUAUGCGCUCUUUUCUGUAUUUAGUUGUUGCUUUAGUCUCAUGUCCUAGAUCGUACCAUACCCCUACUACCUAAUGAGUCUUAUAACUCUAAUAGGAGUUUAGUCCCCUGAGCCGAGUACCCCUACUUUAUAGAUGACUUCUGAAAUUCCUACUUGUCUCUUUGACUACUGGAGUCAAUUCUUACUUGAUUGUUUUUGUCCUCCAUUACGUACUCUUUGUUUUGAACUUCAUUCUGGAUUUCCCACUUGAGAGUUGAGUUGGCGACCCCAGAGUUCGAUGUUAGCUUCAUGCUUAGAAGUAGUGGUUGGAUUCCUUAUUCUAAUAAAAAGUAUUAGAAGGCCCCACCGGUUUAAGUCUUAUAAGUCCUAGGUUAAGUACUAGUGGAGUUCCGACUUCUGUCUUUGAUUCCCCCGCUUUAGCUUCUUCAACAACAACCCUUGCACUGAACUGAAUUCUUAUACUUNNNNNNNNNNNNNNNNNNNNNNNNNNNNNNNNNNNNNNNNNNNNNNNNNNNNNNNNNNNNNNNNNNNNNNNNNNNNNNNNNNNNNNNNNNNNNNNNNNNNNNNNNNNNNNNNNNNNNNNNNNNNNNNNNNNNNNNNNNNNNNNNNNNNNNNNNNNNNNNNNNNNNNNNNNNNNNNNNNNNNNNNNNNNNNNNNNNNNNNNNNNNNNNNNNNNNNNNNNNNNNNNNNNNNNNNNNNNNNNNNNNNNNNNNNNNNNNNNNNNNNNNNNNNNNNNNNNNNNNNNNNNNNNNNNNNNNNNNNNNNNNNNNNNNNNNNNNNNNNNNNNNNNNNNNNNNNNNNNNNNNNNNNNNNNNNNNNNNNNNNNNNNNNNNNNNNNNNNNNNNNNNNNNNNNNNNNNNNNNNNNNNNNUAGUUGUUCUUCCCUCCGAGCUCAAUUCUUAAAUGACUUAUUCCGAUGCUUUAGGGCAUGAGUAACAGAGUAGGAGUUUUGAUAGUGUUAGUGUUUGCAAGCCGAGGCUUUAGGGCGGUAGUGACAGACUGAGAGAUAUUAGUGGAAAGACUUAUAGCUGGCGAGUUCUUGGUGACUCAGAGGUGUUAACUAUAGGCUUUAAGAUAGUUGUUUCAGUUUGAUGGACAAGAAAGUAGGGUUUUAGUUCCGGAGCGCCAGACUCAAGUUAAGAAGUAAGGCUUUUAGACUGCUGGGUUUAGUUCUGUAUGCCCAUGUUUCAUUCUCCUCUUUUUUGUAAGAUUCUUAGGGAGCUUUCCGCCUUAUAGCUUAGGUAUUGCAUUCUUCUUCUAACUUGUUAUGUUUAUUAGAGACAAAUUGAAACUGUAGAAUGGAGAUCAGGAGUGAAAGGAGUGUUAUAAUACCGAUACUAGAGUUAGGAGUAUAAGAUCUGAGAAGAAGCCAGGGAAGCAGUUCAGUAAGAAGUAGAGGCUAGAGUGUUGAGUAAGCCCGAAGUCAGUUACUAGAGAAGAAGGGAGUCAGUAGUAACAGACCGAUUUCAUCUGUAUUUGUAGAAAGAGCACCAGGUGGGCGAGAAAGAGGGCAGUCGAUUCUUAAGAGUCAGUAUUUCAUACAAUAACUUCGGAGUAGUGGGAUCAGUAGUUUUGAGUUUCAUCCCAAACUCGUAGUAGUCCAUUUCGAGGUAAAGUUGCAAGUAUAGUUCUUGCCCCAACAAGUAGUGUAGCCAUAGUUAUAGGAGAAGAAUUCCGUUAAGUUAAUAGUUUCCAGCAGGGCCGCUAGUGUUCAUCCAUCAGCUAGCAGCGCUAGUGUUCAUCCAUCAGCAGUAAGUAAACUCUCUUCUUUAGUGCAAUACCAGGCUCCCUGUUUCCUUGCCUUAAAUUAGGUCUUUAAGAGAGUACUGGUUCUUAUGCUUGUGUUUAAGGCUUACACUCCGUUCCUUGUUGGUCAGGUUAGUGCCAGAUCUGUAUUUGUUCUUGUAUUUCUCCUUUUGUUUCCAUUUCUUUGAGUUUGGAAGAUAGAUCUAUUUCACACCAAUAGCAUUCCUCGAGGAAGUGUAGUGAGCUACCCAUUCUAUUUGUAUUUUAGGCUUUCAGAGCACCCGAAGGCAUAGAGAGUCAGUCACUCAUUCAAUAUAUAUUAAUGAGCUAUGAGCUGGUCCAGUAUUCUAGAGUAUUGUUUCCUUUCCUCCUGAAUAGCUUUCUUAUGUACAGGCUUAUUCAAUAGUUAAUGGAUCAGAACCUGCAAUAAGACAUAGUUAAUGGAUCAGAACCUGCAAUAAGACAAUAUAAUGAAAGCUCAUCAUCAUGACAUUAUUAAUAUCCUUCCUUCGAGUGACCCCAGCUUAUCUAGGUGAUGAUUCAGGUGCUCUGAAUUACUAAUUCUUUAUAUCAUCUUUAUAGGAUUUAGAUCAUCUUUAUAGGAAGCUUUAGCUUGCUUAGGCUGCUAUUCACUUAUCGAAUUCAGUUCAUCAAACUCAACAUCUCUUUGACAUCACAACUUUGUUUGAUAAAGGAUAGGAUAGUUUAUAACCACUGGAAUUCUGAGCAUAACCUAAUAGGACAGUAUGCACAUUUCUGACUUAUGUCCUCGGUUCUCUUAUCUUCCGGUAUUUUGGCAAAUGGAACACACCGAAAAUGAUCAAAUGAGAAACUCGGCGUAAGCGCUCCAUACUGAUUCUGGUGUAACAUUGCUAAUUCGCGGAAACCUGUUAAGCAAAUAGACUGCACAAGCGACCCCUACUAUUCAUGAGGAAGGAUUCUUUCCAAACUAAUAGAUACAUCGAACAAUGUAAAGGAGAGUCAAUCAGUCCGUACGGCCUAUGUCAUUCUAUCUGAUACUCCAUUUGGUUUGGGUGUUUUUGUCAUGGUUCAUUUCCGUAUGAUUCUAUAUUCUCUUUCCAAAGAACUUUCCCAUUUUAUUGAUGUGUAUUCACGACCCCUAUCUGUUCUUAAGCAUUUUGUCCUACCUUUGUAUUUCAACCAAGUUCAUUCAUUCCUGAAACUUUGUAUUUCAACCAAGUUCAUUCAUUCCUGACAUUGACUUUACUUAGAACUUAUUAGCUUGCAUUUCCCUAAGUAAACCUCAGUUUGACCACUAUGAUCAUUAGUACUAGUAAGAAACCACCUGCUUCCGGAAAGUGAUAUUGGACGGGUUAAGUCUGUAACACCUACAGAUCAGUCGGAGUAGCAGUGCUUGAAGUCUCAGAUGCACUGGUUGUGGUCUGUAACUGCCUUGGUGCAUUCUGAGGGUCAGUGGUUGAAGAAUAAGUAGGAGUCGUUUUAGUCUGAUACUGAUUAGCUGCAUUCUCAUACAUACUGGUUUAUAAGCCUGCAACUCCAUUGGUUAAGUCUAGCUACCCUUGCUUGAAGUCUUGGAGUUACUGCUUUGGUUCUUGCUGGCACUGGCUUAAGUCUUGGAUUAACUGCUUCCCUUGCAGACCCUACUUCUGGAGUUUGAGCACCCGACUAGACCUAUAAUAAGUGUUCACCCCGAACCGACACAAGAACAGAAAGAGUAUCCACGGAAGUCGACCUAGACCUCGCAACAAGGUCUUCAACAAGAGAACCGACCUCUUAUAAGUGCCCGACCUCUCAUAACCUCACUUUCUUCACUGGAACUGGGGGGUCUCCUCUGUCAAUGUCCACAGAAUUCUACAAGUUGCUUUCGAGAAGAAGCUAGAUCCGGUGCUGGUGAGGAAGCAUAAUAAGUAUAGUCUCCUUCAGUCCCACAGUCCCAGUGUUGUCCCCGGGGUUUAGUAAAAUAAUCCCAAGAUUCUAGUAUCGGGAGCAGGUUCAAUGUGUGGGUGCAUUCCUUCUUUAUAGAUGGAUAUAUAGCAUCAGUUCAUAAAUUCAUGUUUUACUUAACUCGGCGUAACAAACAAGUAAGGGAACAAACAACUAAGCAAUAAACAAGUGCAAAGAUGGAGCGAGGAUGGGAUAGUGCAAAGGAACAGGCAAGCAAAAUAAUGGAAUUUCCGUAUUGUAUAGAAAGGCACCCUGUCAUUAUUGAAUCAGAGGUAUUGUGUUGACAACGAGAAUGUAAGUAGCAAGCGUCAAGUCUAGUUCUAUGAUUGGCUUUCCCGAGUGGUGGCCUUCUAAGAAUAAGCUGUAUGAGAAUAAGGAUCUUCAGCCACAGAUGGAGCAGGGUCUUUCUCGGCGGUCUCGGUUCGAGUUCAGUCAUAUCAAGAAGAUAAUCUAGCUCGAAGAGAAUACCCACGUUGCGAUUAAGCCGUAAAGUCCCCAGUCCCCUUCUGUUCGAGGUUAGGAAUAAAGAUCAUAAUAAGGAGAAGAUGUAUCAGAAUCAUAUGGAUCAGAUGAUUGAUUAGAAUCCACAGUAGAAUCCAUAUUUGUUGGUGACGAAGCUGGAAGUGAAGUUGAGUUCGUGGAAGAUUUUAUUACUUACUGUGAACCGAGGUGUGAAUGAGUUGACUAUAGGAUAGAAGCUAAGCAGUAUCUGGAUCUGAAAGGAUUCGCCGCCAGCCUCUCAAUCUUCUUUUCUUAAAGCAGCAGAAAAGAAACAAGCUUUCUUGCAAUUGAGUCCGAGUCGGGUCGGAAAGCUUCAAGUAAGGGCAGAGGUGUUCGCUCAAGUGGAUCAGUCUUAUGCUUCCAAGUAGAUGGAAUUUCCGCCUAAGCCCCGCGAGUCCGUUUCCGGACACCUCGUAUCAAAGCAGUAGAAUCUGUCCUGCGCUCUUUGACAGUUCUUUUCUUUUUUAUUAACUUACAUUAGAUAUUAAGACUGACUUUGUUUAUUAACUUACAUUAGAUAUUAAUAAGUGGGUAACUAGAUCAUCAGCUGUUGAAAGAGAGGAAGCCGACCACAACUCUAUUACCCUUACCAUCAAGUAAGGCUAGCUAACCAAACCUCGCAACUUUACUAGAGCGUAAGCACCAAACCAAACCUAGCAACUAACUACAAAGCUUGGCCCUUUCUUCCCCGCUUGCUGCUUCCUUUAGGGACCCAUACGAGGCACCCGCAUCUAUAUUAUUCACAUCUAUAUUAUUAUUAUAUUCUCAUUAUAGGAAUUGACACCCAUACCCGAGUCACCGAACUCUCUGGAACUACCCCCAAUAGUAAGUAAACCAGCCAUGCCUAUGAAGUAGCAGAAACCCUUCUUUCGAGCCCAAUGCGGGCAGUACAGUACAGUAACUAUCUCUUAAUGCGGAGAAGCAGCAAGUCAACUCUAUUCUUAAGGGAAGCUAUGAAAGGACUUGUGUUCGUGGCUUUGAAGCGGGUAAGGAGAGAAAGGGGAGUGAUUGUGCUCGUGGCUUGGUCAUUAGUAGUGAUUUGGCGGUCAUUAGUUGUUGUUGGCCUCAGGAAAACGGAUUGUAUGCCGCUGCUUGCCUACUUUAGAGGCUUAUUCCCACUAGAAAGAAGUAGCACGGCCGCUAGUCAAUCACCAUACCUUUAGUAGAACUCUAGACUUGAAGUCUAUAUUGGGUACUCAGGCUGAAACAACCAACUACCAGAAUCAAACACCUAACUACCCGACUUGAACCAGUGCACUAACAACAAGACUUAAACCAGUGGUCUAGGUAGUAUAGUAGUUGACAGAGGUAUCGAAGCCAGAGAGGAGAAGAGUUUCAUUCAAUACAGGUACCUGAGUUAGGAGUGAAAUGAAAUACCUGAUCCGGAGUGGAAGUUAGUAGGAGAUAGACUCUGGUUAUGAGUAAGCCCGAAGUCUGUCACUAUACCAUUAAUUUGACACCCAUAUCUUGCUGGUACAGGUUCGAUUCACCAAGCAACUACAACAAGAGAAUCGGAUUGCUAGUCUCCGUUUUAGAGGUAUAGUAGCAAUAGGUAGAGUUGCCUUGUCUACUUGCCCGUAUAUACAAGCUGCUUGUUAGUUGGGUGACUUUCUUCUAUCUAUUAUAGGGGUGUGUGCACUCCAUUUCUAUUCCUUUACUUUCUGGGGUGGGUGCCCAGCUGAGUUCAACAAGUAAGGAGUCAACAAUCCACUAUGGUAGCACUGAGGUUCCCGCUCCGUGCAGUGUUUUGUUACUCUCAUAUGCAACUGAUUUCAAUUCAAUGCCAGGUUUCUCAAGCAGUAAAGUAGAUCGUCCUGGCGCUACUCGCACUACAGUUGUUGCAGAGAGAAGCAGUUGCAGGUUUAGUAUCUGACAAGUCACUACUAACCGCUUCAAAAGCACUUGCAGUCUACUGCACUGGAACUAGACCUGGACUCUCAUCUACCUCUGUAAACUAAGAACUUCUUUCAAGAGCUAUACCAACUUAAUAUAAGGGCAACAGCCAAGCGGAUACUACAGGACUGGAACCCUACCUAGCGCUCAUCUAACUUCAUUCUGACUUGCUUCUUUAAGACAUCUCUUGCUUUAUUAAGACCUCUUGCAACUAUCCCUCUGAUCUUGCUCUUUGAACUCAGUUAGUGCUGACUUUCCCUUGCUUGAAGAGUCUGAUCCUUUCCUGGCACUGCUUCUUCUUGAGUAGACCUAUAACCCAGCUUCUUUAUAAGAUGAAACGAGGGGUGCCGAUAAGGGUUGAUGCAAUCGGUAACUAUGCUUUAUUCUUUUCUAGUUUACUAGAUCGUACCUGCUUCUAUGUCUUCCACUGGAUGCGCUAGAUGUACCCUGUUCUAUCUUAUACCAAUACUAGAUGCGCUAGCAAGGACUUGCUCAUAAAGGGAAGCGAUUACAGGACUUGGGGAAGAAAGAGAAUCCGGGUUGUUGACCGCCCCUACUCUUUGAGUCUAGUGGUAGUGGUCCAGUGGAUAGGCCCUCGCUUUGCUAUUAUGUCUAGUAAGACUGAGCUAUGUAGUUAAAGUCUUGGUAUUGGUCGCUAAGGUCUCUAUUGCUAUGUAGCUAAGGUACUACUAUAGGUAUGGUUAGCUAAGGUAUCUGAGCUAGUAGUUAGGGAAUGAAGCUAAGGAGUGAUAGAAUGAAAUCAGGUGUUCGGGAGCUACUGCCACUCAGGCUUCAAUCAGCGCAUCCAAGCCUUAAACGAGGGCCAAGCUUGGUCAUUAGUAGUUGUUUGUCUAGUAGUCACUUGGUGCAUCAGUACAAAGAUCAGAAUUCCACUGAGUAGUCACAGAAUGAAAUAGGACCCCUUAAGUCACGGAAUGCUCCCCACUCGACAAAGAAUGCAACUUGGUAGACUUAGCCGGAAACUCAGAAUUCAACUCAUCGGUGAGCUAGUAAGCAAGUCAGAAUCAAACUAAGAAGCCGGGUGCUCAAUUGGUUGAAUGAAACUAAGUUGUUUCAGAAGUAGAUGAGCAACCACUUUAUGAGUUUCCCUUAUAUUAAGUUGCCAGAGUGAAAGGAGAAGAAUUCUUGUAGAUGCUAGCAAUAACUUUAUUUGUAGCCUUUAUAUUAAGUCGUGUCGGUAGGCAAUAAAGUCAUACUGAUAGGCCCUUCUAGUCAGUUUCGGGUGCCAGUUUAGUGUUGUAGUGGAGAAUUGAAAUUACUAUAAGUCCAGGGCGAGGUAAAGUAGAAAGUCCUGUUUUUGGGGCCGCUCUUCAUCCCCUGUUCUCUUGACACUCUAGUAGUGGAAAGUAGUUCUCUUUAGUAAUAAUACCAGAGCCAAGCUCCUUGUUGCGAGUGUGAGUUGAAGACCGGUUAGUAUAAUACCUUGGUCAGUAGUCGUUAGUUGCCCUUAGAUUAAGUCGCCAGAGGUAUGGGAUAUCUUAGUUUAGGUAAGGGAGUGAAUUAGUACUGGAGUGAAAGAGUGAGUCUAGUGCAAGUCCUGUGUGAGCCUUUUAAAGAGAGGUCGGGUCAUCUAACUCUAGUGGAGAGUCCCUUAUUUACAGUUUCGGGAAGGUAGAAUCUGUAACCAAGGAAAAGAGGGUUCCAGUGGAAAUAGCAAGAAAGGAAGUAUUUGUUGGUUGACCAAGGAAAAGGGGUUCAAUUAUUAGUGUUCUACCAGAUGUUGUAGUGGUUGAAUUCCCUUACUUACUAGUAGCAUUCUUGUUGUUAGUGGUUUGAUUCUUCUACUAACCUAGUGCUCUCAAGUCAGAGUUCCACUUUCAGGGGAUAAACAGAAUCAUGAGCUGAGCUCGGGUAUGAUAGAAAGAAGUAACCUCGGAUAGGAUAUAGCUUCAAGAAAGAGUUGGGAUAGGAUAUAGCUUCAUGAGUUGUCCAAGCAGAAUGAAGUUCAUAGUUGCCCUAGAUUGAAGUUGCCGAGCCAGUAGUAUACGCUUGAGGAGAGGUUGCCAGUACUUUUCUUGUUGUUGGUGAAUACCUGUAGUUGUAGCCUGAGGAUAGAGAGUAAAGGGAAUCAAGAGAAGAGGAGUUGUUUGUUUCAAGAGCAAGAUCAGAGGAAUCUUAGGGAUCAGUAUCAAUAUAAGUAUACGCUGUUCCUAGAGGUCGGGUGUCAGCCAGUCCAGAAGAAGACCGGUCAGUAUAAUAUUAAGAAUGUAACAUCGUGUAGCACAGAAAGAAUAUAGUUCCCAAUCAGUUGGCCCGCAUCUAGUAUACGCUUGGUCAUAACCUGUUCUUGUUAUGUGCUUUUCUUAUUCCAGUUGUGUUCUAGGCCUUGCCCGUCUUACUUAGUUGCUUGGUCGUUAGCAGUUGCUUGGCGGUCGUUAGUAGUUGCUUGGCGGUUUCAAGUUAGCAAGGACAGUCUUCUAAUGGGGGCGGGUCUCCAGAUCAGUGGUUAAGGUAUGUUUGGCACUAGCUCUAUUCUAGUUAGCCAGUGGCGGGAUCAACAGCAAAAGUGUUUUUAGUUUGGCCCGGAUUCUUAUUAGCAUCGGCGUUUUCCCUAUUUCUAUUCUAAUGGAGCAGAGGGUGUUCCUAAGGUAUUGCUGUCAGCAGGUGAAGUCUGUCUUUUGCUACUUCGGUUCUGUAGUUACUAGUUUAGAGCGCUGGGCUGUGUACUACGCCCUUAUUCUUCUAUUAAUGAGUAAAAGACAUUAAUUAAGUCAAGUAAGCUUAUAGGGGCUAUGAAGUAGGGCUUAGUUAAAGGAGAGACCAUGCUCUAUGUGUGAGUGUUUGGAUUCUAUGUUGCUUGUUUGAAUAUUGUUAGCCGCAGCUGAUUUACUAGUUUAUAGCUCCAUUCUUUUUCUUAAUCGUAUACACUAUUUCAAUCUAGUUCCGAUUGGUUUCAUGCGGAAAGCAAGCCCGAGAUCAGGUUCAAUUAAAGUAAGCGCGGCAGGCCUAGGAAAGUGCAAUACUGAUUUAGAUGUAAGAGUUCUAUUCUAGUAGUUAGUAGUCACAGUCUUAGAUAAAGUAGUUCAAGCCCCAGUUCCAAGCUAUAGUGUUGUUAGGCCAAGGCCGUGUUCAAUUGCCUGUUUCCAGCUAAGGUAUUGUUGGUGGUAUCGUGUCUGUAUCGAUGGCCACUUAUGAGUAAAAGCCUUAUAAUGCGUAGAGCAAGCCCUAGUUCUUAGUUCGGUUAUUGUUGUUGGUGUUCAAUAGAAGGUUAGAUAGAGGAUCUAUUUUCUAUACGACAAAUCUGAGGUCGUAGUGAAUCCUAUGUGUUACGCGCCUAUCGCAGUUAAUCCUAUGUGUUACACCUAUAAAUGUAGAGGAAAUAGAUAGUAAAUGUAGAGCCAAUAUAUAGGUUGGAUAUUACAUAGAAUGAGUUUUCCAUGGCAACAAAUCUGAAGGCGUAAGGAUACCGGGCUAAGUCAACUAAUGCUAAUAGUAGUCAAAAUGAAUAGUACGCUAAUGGUAGUCCAAACUCAAAUGGUAGUCAAAACGAAUAGGUAGGUGGUAUAUGAUCUAGGGCAUCUAAGCAUAGGUACAUCCAGCGCAUCCACUAUAAUAACAACAAUAAUAAGUAGUAGAACAUAGAAUCAACUCAAUAGCAGAAGAAGGGGACAGUAAAGCAGAGAUCCGAAUUCUAAUCAUACGUAGCACCCGGGGAACUCUCUAACGCGCUUAAUAACUCGCUAACGGGCAAACAAGCGGAGAGCAAACAACUCCAAGAAGCUUAUGCGCCUUGAAUAGAAUUAGUACACCCAUUGGAGAAUGGAAGUAACCAAACCGAACUCCUCACUCGAAAUCCAAAAAAGAAGAAUAGAAGUGGUCCAUCAUAUAGAAAAAGUGAAUUAAUAAACUAAUGCACCCUCUCCUCAGUCUAUCGUAAGAGCGCAGGGAAAGGAAAUACACUCUCUUGACUUAAGUUUAAGAACAUCGACGACUUACUAGAUUGGCAUUGGCGCACCCGCUUGUAUACUCGUUUUUUGACUUCUUUCUUCUUUAACUCCACCGCUUGCUUGUUUACUGGAAAUAUAGAGAAUUGAUGAAUUCCUAUCAGUAUUGCUUUAUUGCUUAUAGUUCGUGGAACAAGCAAUUUGUUGCGCUUACAUGAGUUGUGCGUUAGUGAGUUCAAUUGAACCCUAGACAAAGGUUACCAUCUUAUUGCCCGGACUUGCAUGAGAGUCUGAUGAAGCGCCCGUAGGUAGACUAUUUAUUAUGGCCAGCGCCCAGCAGCUCUAUUCCUUUGACUUUGCGUGCUUGGCUUAAUCUUCGUGUGACCCAGACUUAUAUACGCACUAAAACCUCUCUCACUUAUGAGAGAACCUCUGUCACUUAUGAUACACGUCACUGAUUGCCUUUACUUCUUAUGGGCUUCUGCUUGUUCCAAUCAUACGAGUCUUUUUUUGAGCUUUUCUUGAACAAGUAUAUUGUACAACACUGGCACCCAAAGAUACUCUACCAUAGAACUCACUUUAGCCUUAGAAUUCUUUAUACUCUCUACAAUUACACUGAAACUAAACUUAAGUAGAGACCGCUUCAUUCUUUGUUUACUCGGCGCGUAGGGGAGCUUCAAGUUCCAGUAAGGAUUUCGGGAGUGUAGUGGGCAGUAAGGUAUUCGAUCUCUAGGGUUGGUCCAGCCCUGAGCCCAGAGUGAAAGGCUUUCAUUGCGCCUAAGGAGUUUGUCGGGCAAGACGCAGCAGGAAGGAAAGUAUCAAUACGAGUUCCAGAAAGAUAAAGCACUUGUACUAAAUACAUUAUAAGGAGUUAUUAACGGGUCCGGCGGUGACAGAAGCUCUUCUUUAAGAAUGAGUUUAAGCAGGAUCCGGAAAGGGGAAUCGAAUUGAUGAGUAUAGAACAAAAGCAAGGUAAUAAGAAGAAAAGGAGAAGUCGACUUGGAAUGCUGGUCUUUCACUUUCAGUUCUUGACCCUGUAUAGUAAGCUUGAUUAUGGCCUUCCUUCUUCAACCCAACCCUGGAACUUGGCUUUCCCUUUGUUGGCAUGGCAUAGAGAGAAUCCGCGGUAAAGUCCCCCUGGACGGUUAAGUGGGUUUACGCUCUCCUUGUAGUAGAUUGGAGAAAGUUGUCUAGGUUGGUGCUUCGCUUGCAUUAUGUUAAGGGUAGUGUAGUUCGGGUGCUUGUGAGAAAGCGGAAGUCUCAAUAGGCUGUUGCUCCUUGUCGUAGUGGAGAGGUUCGGUACUCUAGCUCUAAGUCUACUCGAUGAAAAGAUGGAUCUGGCCUUGCAAACGAUCCUUUAUCCUUGCUAGGAGUUUGGAAGACGAAUCUGUUGAAACUUGAUCUGCAGCUUCGUAAGUUAUUAAAGAAAGUCAAGACUCAGUAUAGAAGAAAGAAAAAGGGCUUUCGCCUCUCGUACCAUGUCUUGUUCUUCAAGAAAUGACUAUUCUUUAUCACCCGAGGGAACUGCUUAUGGUAUAUGGUAAAGGAAUGAAGAAUAUAUUAAUAAUAGGAAAUCUCUUCUCUUAUAUAGAGAAAUGGGGCCGGUUUUCACUUGAUAGAAAAUGUCCUGCUAAGUAAGUCCCAGAUGCACUUCUUUCAAUGGGGAAUAAUGGGGAACACCUGUGCUGUGAUAGAGUUAGGGAGUUACGGUCAUUCCCUUGUUCUUCCUAAUGAACAGGAAGAGUCCGGAUUGAAUCAAGUCAUUCCAUAUAAGUUAGGUAUAAAGCAAGUCCUUUAUUUCAAGGAAAGGUAAUAAAUCGGAACUAUAAGACAGUAUCUAGAUUCAAGUUAAUUACUUCAUUCUAUCUUCCCUAUUCAUUAUUCCUCAUAUGUAAGUGUAACACAUUCAUUAUUCCUCAUAUGUAAGUGUAACAACUUCAUUCUUUCCUUUCGGAGUCUGUGCCUUAAGCUGAAGUCUACAUCACCGGGAAAGUAUAAGAGCGGAUUCUAUAACAAGCGAUUCCAUACUUUACCUUCACUAAUGGAGUCUAUUGGGCCUAGCCUAUGGCUUCUAUAGAGUCUGUUUAAGUCUUAGGCUAGAUACUUCUAAGCCGGACUUCUCUGUGCUCUACUAUUGAUCAAAAGAGCGGCUAUCUUUUCCCUUGGAUUAACUAUUCCGAAACAGCUUAUUUGGGUUUAUUAAAUGAUUCUUUAUUACCUUCCUCCAAGACCGGUUACGAAAGCUGCUCCCCCUAGUAUUGAAUGUGAGGCUCUCUUGGUGUUGAACUCUCGUGGGAAUUGGCAGUGACUUUUGCAUCUCUCUCUGUGCAUCCUACGUUGCUACUAAGACGGCAUUUCUAUUCCUAUCUUCUUAUCGCUACUGUGAAACCUGCUCUUGCUAUAUAGAAAGAGAAUUCUCCUGUUUGUGAAAGAGAUUUGAAAGACGCACCUUAGCCAGCAUCGAAAUUAAGUGACUAUUGAGUAAGAGAAGGGGAUUCUGUGUAAAAUAAUUGGAAGAUGGACAUGAAACCUAAUAAGAAACUACACUUAUAUCCCACUAGCUCAACCACAGCUUAUUCUCGAGCAACUUCUUCUUAAACAACCGAUUCUCUAAUAGCAGCAGCGGCAACUGAUUCACUGACCUAUGUAACUUCCUUGCUAAUCGGAUUCUCUAGAUCGAAUUAAGGAAAAAGCUGGAAUAGCCAACACAGUUAUCUGCCUACGUGUGAUGAUCUUGGUGUGUAUCCUGUUUCAGGACGAUUAGGUUGCUCGUUGAAGGGUGCAGGGAAGAGGCGUAUCUUCGCCAUUGGUAACUACAUUAACCAACGACUACUUUCACCUAUGAAUUAAGGGUUAAGAUAUCAUUGUCUAAAUCCCUUAUUUCGAAAACAGCGUGUGCAGAGUUUGCCAAGAGGUUAUGAGUUUAGACGAGUUGAGACCAGAGUUUGCCGAGAGGUUAUGAGUUUUGACUUUACUUCAGUCCUAUCUCGUCUCGUUGUUUGUCCAACUUCUAUCAUCCUGUAGGUUUGUAUGCCAUUCGGAUGAUUUACCCUAUGAAAAGGUUUUGUACGUAUUGUAGUAUCGGAGUGUUGUUGGGCUACCUGAACCUUGGUCGUCUUCACAGUGACCGUUGUGCGUCUGUAAGACGGAUGCGAUGACUUUGAUAUAAGCCUAAUUAUCCAAUUGAUUGGUGAAGUGGCCCCUUUCUUUCGAAUUGAAAGAAACAGUAAAGCAAUAAAUCCACUAGAAUCAAACCAAAGGUAGCUGUAAAAUCCGCUUUGGCUAGCUGUCCAUCCCUAGUCUCGGUUCAGUGUUCCAGUACCAAUUCCAGUCUUUUAGGGGUAGGGGAGAAACACCAAAACUGCACUCUGCCUCUUAUGAAACGUUACUCUGCCUCUUAUUAAUAUCUAGUUCCGUACCGUAAGGUCCCCUUUCCGCUCCUAGCGAGCUAACAUCAUCAAAACCUUUACAAUAACCUCUAUUCGAAGCCCAGCCAACCAUGAUUCCCAUUCCCCUGCCUGUAAAUGCAUAUAAGGAACCACUGAGCUCUCCUGGCUAGCCAAGAAAAAAAGCCUAAAAAGAAAGACCUUACUAGCAAUAGCAAUAAUGGUAGAAGCCAUCUCUUUCCUAUUCCUUUUAAAGAAUCUAAUCCCUUAGAUCUGUACAUUCUGGAUUAGCUGUUGCUAAACUUGGCCCUUUCUCGCUUGGGGAGUGAGACAUGCCAUAUGUCAAAUUCUGACAACUGUAAAAACCAUCGCGCUUUCCUUACCUUACUCAACUGUUUAAGAAUAUAGAUUUGUGCUGUAGGUAACCCAGCCCCUAAGGGUAGUACCGGGCAUAAGCUUACAUAGCAGCGGACAUUUGAAUAGCAUAAUUCUUAGGAGGAUUCCAGAUAGAGUAAGAAACACUUAAUGUAUUGACGUGGUAUAUUACGAUAUAGUAAUGCUCGCUCCGCUUUUCCCCAUGGAUGAAAUCGUUACUCUUUGUCAAAUGGUAAUAUCUUUCUUUCCCUUUUGCAUAUCUCUGUACAAGUACUUUGGGGGUGAAUACGAAAUCUACCCUACAGAGAGUUCAUUAACGUAUUAUAGACAUAUGACAUAGGUUCAUUACCAGCUUUCUUUGCUUCUAGUCAACUCUCGUAGAGAGAUGAAACAAAGUAGUAGAAAGGAGUAGGCUUCUUCUCAAACAAGUAUCCUCUUCGUGGUAUAACCUUGUCACCCAAGUAUCUUGCAUACUGCAGCUCUUGAUACUGCUUAACUUCUGUCUAAUUACCCUGUUUGUUGGGAAGAGUAAUACAUUUACCUUGUUACCCCAUUUACGUUGUUACCCCUGGAAGAGUAAUACAUUUACCUUGUUACCCUUAUAGGGUCAGAAAGGUCUACUAAUACAACUAGGACAUUCUACUAAUACAACUCUACUAGGUAGGACAUUAUACUAAUACAACUAGGACAUUCAAUAUAAGUCUAAAUAAAUCAAUACAAGUUGGACAAGUGAUAUUGUAGACCCGCCUAAUGGAGCCUACUUCCUACAAUGGGUGAAAGGAUUUUCCUCUUCAAAUUCCGGAGGCUUUCGAUCUGACAUCAAGACUUGUCUUUCCAAUUACCAUUCGGGCCCGGCAUAGGAGAAGUUUUCAUGAUCUACUAAGGAGAAUUUGAAUGAACAUCGUAGUAGUCUCGGACCAGAAGGUUUAUAUGAAUCAGCAUUACCUCCAUAGUAACCACGCCGAAUGCAUGUAUAAAGGUUCCUAUUUGGUAUAUGGAUAACACUUUCAUGUAUUUUUCUAUCCAGUGUUUCAGAAGCCAGACGAAAUCUUUCUCCUUCUAUACGAAAUUAGGAAAAAGGGAGAAAUACAUAUAAUAUAGAAACAAAACGGACUUAGCUAAUAUAGAAACAAAACGGACUUAUCUCUUUUGUGUCCAUUCAACGAGACGAGCCGGCGGUAUAGUAUAGUAGCUUGCUUUCUUAUUCGAUCUUGUCUUCUUCUUCCAGGCCAGGUGAAGCUUUGGUGAAGCUUUGAAAUCCAUCUUUCAAAGAGCCUAUGAUGAUUCCCUUUAGAAAAGAAAAGGGCAUUCGAGUCGAGUAAACUAUACGUCAACUAUACGAGGGGGAAGUCGUCGCUCUUGCGCCUUGCUGCUUCUCUUAUUCUUUUUUCGACUUUGUUUUGUUUAGUGAUUGCUUAUCUCAUAGAGUCUAAGUCUAGUCACUCAACUAAUCAACUCGUGGAAUGCUAGUGGUUUAGUAGUAGUCUGGUAGUUUAGACUCCCCCCUUCUUAUUCUGUAAAGCCGAGCCCUUCUAUUAGUCAGGCACUAGAGUCCUAUAUAGGGGUAUAAAAAAGGGUAAGCAUCCUUCAUAGCUACAGAGUUUUGUGAGCUAUCGUUUUUUGAUAUAAAGAAUCUCCGUUCCGUCUAGUUUGUCUCCACUGACCCGCUUUACGAUCUCCUAUCAAGUGAAACAAGAAUGGAAGGAAACAAGGCAAACGGGAGCAGAUAGCACCAAAGCGAAAGGCCUACUAGGAGAGCAGACCAAGUCGGAUAAAUCGGUUUUCAGGAAGCAAGCAAGGCAGCAAGCUUUCUUCGGGUCCCCCUUUCCAGCACCAAGGUACCAACAAAAGCAAAGCAUAGCGACCAGACCAAAUCACAGAAAAGAAGGAGAAGGGAGCUUACGGAGCUUAGAGAUACUGGAGUGGAUAAAGGUAAGAGAAGCAAGGACGGAGUGAUAUGAGCGUAGGUUAGGUCAGCUACCAACAAAGCUAGGAAGCAGGCAAGUAGCUAACACAGCUAGGAAAUAAUAAUCCCUGGGCUGGGAUUCGUUGACAGAAGGAGGCAAGAUCCGCGCGCGCUUAAUAGACUCCAAGAUGUCUCUUCGCAAGGCACAAAAGGCCCUCCUCUACUAUCCUUGUCUAAACUCUCAAUCUUCCAUUAUGCAUUUUCUAACAAUAAUAGGGGGCGUAGCGAAACUCUUCAUCAGGACAAGACUCUUCUGAUUGGCCCUCCUGAAGCCGGCUGCUCGAUAGUGUUUUAUCGUCCUGAAGCCUCGCCUCUGAUGACACAACCUCGUAGGCAGCAGUCUUUUUGAGUAUCUACCACAGCUUUUUCCAAAACAUUAGCUUUCUUUUUCUUUGCCAUGAACUGGCUAAGUCAAAACCAUCUUGCAGUCCACCUUCUGUGGUAGGCCGAAAAACAGGGUUGGAGCCUAUAUUGACCAUACUCUGCUUUGAUCUUGAUUGCAAGACGGACUCUCCUUCUUUUAUUCCUCCAUGAGAUCAUCCUCCAAGGCGCUAAGUACUAACUUAUAAGAAACCUAUGCGGCUGAGCUUUAUCGGGCUUAUUGUGGUAACUCUUCCCAUUCUUAUCCUCCGCUAGGUACACAAAACGGAGGUUUUCUUUUGAUCUUAUAAUAUCCGUCUUUCUUUUAGCUUUCUUCUUUUCAUCGCUAAACCCUUGCCUUGUUAAUGGGAGGACGGGUUGGUUCUUUUAAGAAACAUAUUUCUGGGUUUGGGAGCUAUUUCCACUCAGAUAUAUUAGUUCUAAACAUGCAGACCCCUCCUACUCAACUGGUUUACUAGCUUUACUUUAAUAGCCACAAAAGCAACUGACCAAUCUCUCUCUUGUUGUCCCCUAAUAAUCCUUUCCCGGUGGUGGAUCAGAGCUCUUGCCCUCGUAGGACACUCUAAGCCAAGGCUCAAAAGUCAGUAGGAGUUUACUACACAUCGAAAGGUACCUACUGACCCGUUUCGACGUCGUUUUCUUCAAAUUAGCUAAAGUGCGAUACCCACAAUCACCUAAUAUAAAGAAGGACGAUACCAACUUUCUAUGAGAUUUAUACGCACAAGCAGAAAGCCCAUACGGGUGAUGGCAGGACAAGACAGCACGUGCCGAAAUAGGAUCCCAGUCUACACGACGAUCCUUAACCCUACCCUAAAUCGUUUAGCGAACUCGGCACAACCAGUAUAAGAGAUAAGAGAUUCUAGACUUCAAGGUUCUGAGUGAGCGCGAAGAGAGGCCAUAUGAGGAAUGAUAUCAGAGAGGCUGCCCAGCUACGAAACGGAAAGCUUUCCCUCUGCCUUUCACAAAGGGGACCUGCAACAGGUUCAUUGCUAAAGCAGAAUUCACUACAGCUUCACUUCCGCAAAUGCUCUACCAAACAUACACUGAAACAUCUCAAACAUGAAAACGAAAACCUAUAAGUGGCCGACUUUAAAUCAAAUGAGAAGCAAUGUCUGUGGCCCACUAGUCAAUCCAGAGGUGAGGUCUGAUCAGAAGUACCAGCCUGGAGUCUCUUUUUGAUAACCUGCGACAACCAGUAAUGAACUGUAUGGAGUGACCUUUGAUUUACAACGUUACCUAUGGCAAAAAUCCUCCUAUUUCCUCCACCCUAAAUUGACUGACCCAACCGCCCAGUAACAACUGGCCCCACCUCGGGAGACCGGAAGAAACGGACAAAUCCGAUGUUCAAAGAAUUAUAGAUUCACUUAAUAAAGACGUUAGUUAUAGGGGUCAAAUAGAGACCUUAUGAAAAGAGCCCUUUAGGUACCUUGGUUCCUUUGUUCCCCCCUAGCAUGAAAAAACUCUACAAGCCAUCGAAAUCCCGGAAGUUCAAAAGUGUGAGCUGGAAAGGAAGACCGACAGCGUUUACACUGUUACCUAUCAUAACGAGAAAACACUGACAGCAUAGUAUAGAAACGAAACUAGGCAAUGCUUUCCACGUAGGUGUCCAUAGCAUAUUAUGGGGUAUCGAACGGAUAUCAGGUAUGUACCGCAGUCUCAAAUCUUCCAUAAAUCGGCUUUUCUUCUCUCAGUUACAAAUUGAUAAACAGCGUCCAUAUCGGCAACGGGAGGACUAGAAUAUAAGGGCGAUUCCAAAGUGUCUUUUUGAAUCUUAGACCUAUAACAAUAAUCCGAGACAGAGAAUGUGAAUCUUAGACCUAUAACAAUAAUCCGAGACAGAGAAAAGAGAAAGAACAAGAAGGUGCUGAAAGCCUAACUCGUGAAUCGCGACGGUACAUACGCCUAGAUGAAACCGAGGAACGGUACAUAUGCCUAGAUGAAACCGAGGAGAAAUUAGUGGAUAUCCUCAUUUCGUGAGGGAGACAGGAACCGGAAGCUUCAGAGAUCAUGUGAACGAAAGAUUCAUAAGUGGGAAAAAGGCCCUUUCUAGAGGUUGUCCAUCUAUGAAUGAGGUUGUCUAUCUAUGAAUUCGUGCUCAAAGUAUGGGCUCUUUCCCUGUCUCCAUAAACAUAAAGGAAGAAUAAACCAAAGCAAAGAGCUUUCUGUCAGCUUCUAUUCUCUAUUCCUAUCCGAGUGCCUCUUCUCUUCCCAUGGUACCCACCUCAAAACGGAUCCUAAUUCUCUGCCGUGUCUCACUCUUUCAAUCUUGAGACAAGUCUAGCCUAACUCAUUUGUAGCCUUUAACAAAGGGAAUUCGUGCAGCUCAUGGAUUGUAUAAACAUUAGGCUCAGGUUUGCCCUGCCUUUGUAGAAUGAAAAAGAGUAGAAAGUAGAUUUCCGUAUGCUAUUUAAAGUAUAUUUCAUACUAAAAGAAGUUUACCUCAAUGAAACGGGGAUUUCUGCCUAGCCUACGGUUUCAGGUGAAGGGACAGAGACGUCCUAUUUCUACGUUACUUGUCUCAUUAAUGUGAAAACUGGCAAGCGGAGGUGCGCUAGCUUCAUAAUUAAUAAAGCAGUUCGUUCCGGAUGUUCCACUUUUUCUUCAAUCGGGCAAGCUUGCUUAACAUAUGAUUAUUUUGACUCUAUAUUUGAGCAUUCCCACUUCUGUGAUGAGGAAGACCUUCUUUUGGAUGCCUCGCCGAGGGAUUUGACCAGCUCUAGCUACUGAACUAGAAGCGAUUUCGCUUAGCUCUCGAAACAACCUAGGCGAAUGAGAAAGUUGUACCGAGUCAACUAAUUGACUCUUUUUAGGCUCUACCUGUAAUUACAAUCUAAGAUGGGAGAACCGCAAUAAGACCUGAGAGCUUAUGGCAAAGCAUCGGGAGGGAGUGUCAUUGACCCGAUUCUAGAAAUACCAUCUAUGAAUUAGGGACGUUAUCUUGCGUACGAAUUCAUGUUGUCAACGAGGAUCUUUGCCUCUUCUUAUUGUUUCACAGCCAACUGUAUAAUUCAAAUAAACAAAAAAGAAUGCCUUGGAGAGCGGAAAGAAUGUAGGAACGAAGCUUCCCGGAGUCCUCAUCCCAAGUCGUCGAGAAAGACCUUGUUUUGGUUCUAUCACCAACUCUUGUUUGAAAGGAAUGGUUUAUCGAAAUGAGACUAAAGGUUUGUUACUGGAAAUGAGACUAAAGGUUUGUUACUCCGUGUCCCUCAGCAUUUUAUAUUCAACCGUCGGGGAAGAGAUGAAUAGAGAUGGAGACCUAGUAAGCACAAGAGACUUUUGCACAGCAUCAUAUAUGUAAGCCAGUCAAUACUUUCCGGGGAUCCCUAUCUUUCCUCUUUUCGAUCUUUGAGUCGUCCAACAUCUUAUACUACUGAAGCAUCCGAUAACCCUAAAGUCAGAGGAAUAGGUCUUUCCCUAAAGUCAGAGGAAUAGGUCUUUCCAACCAGGUAGAAUGACUGUAUACUUUCUUAGGUAGGCCAGCCACUGCCCUUCCUGCUCAAACUUACCCAUCCGAGUCUUUUACAGUAGCUCCUCAUCUUCUUUCUUCUUUUUCUGAGAGAUCAGACGGUGAAUCUAAAGUACCUUUGUACUAAGAGACCUCUCCCUUAGCAAGUCUUGGAAAUAGAGAAUCUAAUAUAAGAGAAUAUAUCAUACGCCUUUACUCUAAGACGAUGCUUAUACUCUGCCUGGGCCAGACUCACAGGUAAGACUAUCACUUUUCUCGGGCGGGGAAAGUCCUUUCCAUCUACAGAAGCAUCAAAGAGUCCAGUCCAUCCCCCUCAUCAAGUAACUCGUAAGACGAUCCCUUUGAUGACUCUAAGAGGUAAGACUAUCACUUUAGUAGAACAGCAAUUCUGAUUCCAUCUCCUGGCCAACUCGAAUCUGUCUUGGGGGAAUAGGAAAGACUCCUUGGGCGAACCGGAACUCACUCAUACUAACACGUAACUCGCUAACGCCUGAGAUAGACGCCCCCGUCAGUGACUCGACUUCUUUUAGUAGCGCUAAAACGGACCCUUGUACUUCGCUCGGUUCGGUGCUUAUAAAACUCAAAAGAAGCUAACGCUUACCUUUUCUCUUAGGGGAGGCUAGGGCAAUAAGCAAUGCAGUUUAGGUUCCUUUCUUAUAUCCAGAAGUAAUUGUGAUAAAGAAGUAAUUGUCGUUAAGAUUCAUUUCUGGAAAGUGGAGUUCACCCUUAGCCUAUAUGAGUGAUUAAAGGAAAAAAAGAGUAUGCUGUUUUAGAAGCAAAAGAAUAAGCGUGACCACUGAAAGAAGAAGGUAAACGGACUCUGUUACUCUAACCUUUUUGAAUUUCAUCGAAACUUGUCGAGCUGCACUUGCUACCGAGAUACCAGCUAUAUAGUAGGGGAAUUCAUGAGUUUGGAGGAAGAGUAGGGCCAAGUCAAAUAGGAAUUCAAUAUCAAUCAGUCAACCUGCAAUUAAGGGCAUAUCAUGAAUUCCAGAAUAUAUAUGGCAUAUGAUAGAAUAUAGUAACAAAACAAUAUAAACUCACUGACGACGCGCCCCUUCCUAGUUUCAAAUCAUUUUCACUGACAUAACACAUAUGCUAUAAUUGCAUAGCUGGACUGUUUACUCCAAUAAGCCGGCCCCAAGAGAAUGAUAGAUUUGUUAGCGAGCGGCGAACUCACGUUGCGCUUACGGAGCCUAUUGUUGCUUGUUCAUUCUAUUGCUUGUUGAUUCUUCUGAGACUUAUUUCCGUUAUUUGAGUUUGGGCCAGUAUGUAAAGUUGACCUUGAAUGGAAUCUAUCUAGUUAUAUGGAUCUGGAAUGGAAUCCAUCUAGCCAUAGGAUCUGAUCUGGAAUGGAAUCUAUCUUGGGCAUAAUCUCUAGCAUAUAAGGGAGUAAUCUGACCUCUUCUAUACUCAAUGAGAAGCAUUCGCCAACUACUAAUUAGCUCCUAGCGAAAACAAGCCAAUGAAUUCCAUGACGCUGAUACGAAAACAGCAACUUAUCGAGCUAAUGCGGAUUCUCUCGUCGCAAAGACAGAUGAAACUCAACCUUUCCCGCUUUCGGCUUCUGAUCCAGAUUUUUAUACGAGAUACGAUUCCACUCGAACAGGCUAUGAAUCUGUUUCUAUUCUGUCAACAACACCUAUUGGCGCACUUGCUCCUGUUGUACCGAGUCAAACAGUAAUUUCAUCUCCAUUUUGUGCAUAUGGUAUAGAUCUCAGUAAAUACACUUCUCCUUCUUAUGCAGUUGGUCGACUUUCAGUUCCUCAUUGAAUUGAUUUCAUCAUCUAUCUUCUUAUCUAAUUACCCAAUAUUUCUAUACAAGGGAACACCUCUUUUGUCAGCGCCAACCUCUUUUCUUAGCGCCAACACAAUCACUCCCGAACCCAGGAACUAAACUCACACUUGAAGAACAGAACCGCGCUUGCUUGCUUGAUUGAUUGAUACCCUGUUUCGCCUAACCUUCCUUGUAGUGGGCAUUCGAACGGAGAUGAAACAAGAACCUACCGACCCCAUUGCUGAUUACUUUCUAACUGGAACUAAUGAAUUGGAAUGGAAUCUUGAGAGCACAUGUAGUAUAGAUCUCAGUAAAUACACUUCUCCUUCUCUUUCUUCCUCAUCUGCUCUUUCCACUAUAACAGGAGCAGGCUGGCCUACAAAGAUCUCCAGGAACUCAACCUUUCCCGCUUCUCCAGGAACUCAACCUUGCCCGCUUCCUUGAAUUCAAUAAGUGAUCAAAAGUUCACUCCCUUAGUGCAAUGAUAUAUAAUUUCUGAAUAUUACCUUGUUAUCUAUACUCCACUUUAUACUUUACAGAGUUUUGCUUGUUUGCUUGUUCCUAUCGUUAGCCUAAUUCAGUUCAUAAGACUUCUCGGAAUAAGCCCAUUUUCUCAGAAUCAUACGCUUUCUUAAUAAGCUCUUCUACAUAAUCUAUUUCACUGCGGUGCGGAUCCGGUGCUUUAUAGAAAGCCUUAAUAAAUAGAAAGGAAAAGUACAAGCUUCCAACUGAGAAAGCGGUCUCCAGAUCCGCUUUUUCGUCUCGAUUCCCCACCCGGUGCCUAAAACUAACCCCCGCUCGAGGAAAGCCAUCAACUAUGCCUUCUUAAUAGUGUGCCUUUAUUUAUGGAUGGUGUUCUCGGUAUCGUUUUCUUCAAGAGGGGAAGGAAUCAGGGGAUGCCCCAACAAGAAAGAGAGUCAAUCAUUUCACUCCUUAUGGAUCACGCCUCACUUUCCUGAGAUCAACUGAUAUGGCCCCUAACCUACACUCAGCUCUUUCUAAAAGGAGUAGGUCGUACGCUGGUAGAGUUCAAGAAGCCCACUUAUCAUUUCAGUAUGCUUCUCUAAAUCGGGGGAAUAAGUCAACGCUGCACAAUAUGGUCUUUUUGUAGUCGCUCUGAUUACUAUCUCUCCCAUCUCUUGUAUGCUUGCGGCCUAAGGAGAAAGCAUCAAGGUGAGUGAGAAAAAGGCGUAGUGCAAUCAAUUCUCUUCUUUAGAAAUACUUUGUGAGCGUCUAUGCUGCUGUGGCCAAUGUUGGCGACCUUUUCUUCCCCGACCCGGCUCGCGUCGUUCCAAAUCUUCAAUGAGAAACAAUAGGGAUCAAACACUCUCUUUCCCGCCUGACACAGUUUGACACGCGGUGAAAUGAGCGGCACUCGACUGGGUAUGCAUAUUUCCACUUUGAUGAUAGAGGUAAGGUUUUCAAUCCAUAAGAAGAGAAAGAAGUAGAUUGAGGUUAAGAUGAAGAAGACCUGCUAUGCUAAAGAAAUGCAAGGUUAGUAUUGAAACUAGUUCUCUUCUCAAAGACGAGCCCAAACUGUCCCCACUAAGAAAUACUGCCUUUGCUCUAAUCGCUCCCGCUGGUGUAGCAAGCCCAUACUGCUCCCGUGCCUCUGUACCGUCCGUAUUCCUCAAUCAAUCUAGUAAGUGACCCGAAUAAACCCAAGAGCUAAUCCAUUCUCUCUUUACUACUAUUUCUCUGAUCUGCUAUGUAUUUUGACAUUCCAGUUUGAUUUCUUUCUUUACCUUGGAAAUUCUCCACGCCCAUAAAAGAAAUAGAAGAUAGGCAGCCAAUAUACCUGUUUGUUUCCAUUCUUUACCCUCUCCUUAUUCAUUUCCUGUCGAAACCAAUAGUGUGAUUGGGCUUUGCUAUCCCUUCGUGCCUUUCUGAUACAUACGAUCAAAUAAGGAAAACGGAUAUAAGGAGGAAAGCGCAUUUCAUUAUAAGAACAGUAAGCAAAGCAAGCCCUCUUUCUCUUCCACUUCGCUACGGUAAGCAAAGAAAGCAAGCCCUCUUUCUCUUCUACUUUGCUUAUGAUAAGACUCAAACCAUGGCAUGGACUCUUUCCACAAUCUGGCACCGCCUGUCCUCUCUUGCUAAAGAAUAUAGAAUGGAAUUUCUCAGGUUAAUAUGAUAUCUGAGAUUGAAACCACUCAGGAAAACUAUAAGAGAAGAAUUGUAGGAACCCAAACUUGAUUCACCACUCGGUUAAGACGAACAAACAAGCUUAGGCGCUAAGAGAAGAGAAAGAAGAGGUUGGAAAAGGGCAAUCCGCUCGUUAAGAAGCUUUUUCAAUAAAGAGUAUAAAGUGAGCGGACCUACUUACUUAAUCAGAUAACACAAGUUGAUCUUGCCCUCAAACACCGGUUUACAGAGACUCGGCACCAGAAACUAGUCCUGUUGUCGGUGAAGAAAGGAGAGUUCGACAAGCAACUGAAUCCGCUGCGCCGAGAGAAGAAUCAAGUCUAGGAUAACUAGGUUCAAAUUCAUUCCUUGGGUAGUUUCUUUGUUUCGUAGUUGCUCGGUGGAUGAAAAGACUUCCAAUCAGGUGUUACUGUCCAAUAAGUAUUCGAAGGAAUAAGCUCUUUAUUAUUAGCCGACCCUUACUUCUUCAGCGCUAAGCAUAUUUAUGAAGUAGAGUUCGCCGGGGUGCUUAUGUGAGCUCGGGCUCAGGGAAAAGUUGGUAUUUUACUAGAAAGGGGGGGGUGUCAAGGCCUUAAUGAGAAAUCCGAAAAUAGGGAUAACAGCCUUCUUAGACAAAUAGAGGUAACAGCCUUCUUAGAGAAAUAGGGGUAACAGCCUUAAAGACGAUAAAUAGGGAUGUUAAGCGGUAAACGACAAGAAAUCUGUCUUUCUCAAGCGCUAAGCAUAUUUAUGAAGUAGAGUAUCCACAAGCAAUGGCGCUUACGGAGCAUCAACGGCAAACAAGUGGUAUAGAGAAAUAAUGGCUUUCGCACACUAACAAGCUAAGGAGCAAGCCCUUGCGCAAGACUCCGUAAUUGAGUUCCAUUUCUCAAGUCAAGUUCGGGUGUUGUUGGCAAUGAAUCUAAGGGCAAGUCGAAUCAGUAGAAUCUCUAAUGGAAGCUCUGCAGAGGUGCUCUAGCUCUAAGUCUUGUUUCGGGUGCUAGUCCAGUAGAAGUGACUUUGUCAGGUUCCGGUAUUUCAUUGAACUCCUAACCUGUCUGAAACUCUUCCUCGCCUCAAGCGUAUACUACAAAGGCAAAAGAUGCUGGGCGAGUUAAGUAUCCGACAAGUCACAGGAGUGAUUACUGGCAAAGAGUGACUUAAGGUACUCCAAAUGAAGCCGAAGCCAGUUCCAGUUAGUUAUGGGAUAUGAAGCCGAAGCAGUAGAAGAGGGAAAGGCAACUUCUAGGUAUAUGAUAGCGGUAGUAGAGUCUCUUGGGGUAGUAGCAGUACAGAGAGGUAGGUUCGGUAAGACCUAUGCUUUGUUGGUUACCUCGGGUUUAUUGCUGAUAGGCUAGAAUCCAUUUCUCCACUUUAUCCUUAAGAACUUGGCUCUGUUACUACUGACUCAACAAAUACGGAUGAAACAGGUUCCAUGGCCUACCUCUUUAGGUUUGACUCAUUAUUCUAUUGAUAAAGCUUCCUCACCCGAUCCCCAAGUCCUGUCUGUGAAUCCAAAGAAUAACUAAGCUCCGUAUAAUGUAUAAUUGAUUCAGGUAACACUUCAGUAAGGUUAAGGCUUGAAGACCUGAUUGACGGAUGAGAAUAUUAGUCUCCUACUGUUGCUACUAUCUGAACUCACUCCUCUUGUUGAACCGGCAACUGAUCCUUCAACUGAAACACUCCACUUGAUGAAGAACCGAAACUCCUCACCUCGAACUGGAACUGUCCGAUAAAGAGCUAGAGCCGUGACUUAUGAUUCUGGCGUCUCUGAUUCUCUCGUCGACAAGAAUGAAUUUGAGCCUGACUUUCCGGACUUGGAAUCUACUAGGAUAUUCUGCCCUGAACCCGGACUCUCUAAAAACUGUAGGAAUUGAAUACAUAUUGUGCAUGGUAUAGAAUUAGUAACAACACACAAGGCUUCCAUGGAAUCUGAUCGCGCUCGGCUGGCUUGGCUUCCCUUUUGCCCCCACGACCUUUCCUUGAAGAAUAGAUUGCGGCUUCUUAUGAUCCAGCUCAUAUACUAUUCCUUUGCUUCAAAACGAACUAUCCCCGCUUCGCUCAAGUAAGCUUCUUUGAGUUAUGUAAAUGGAGUGCACCUACUAUUCUAUAAAAUGAGUAAUCUGACAGCCUGCUUAAGUAGCAUAUGACAUAUAUUGGGUAAAUGCACUUAUUCCCUUUGAAAACUGGAUUGUUGACUUAUGAUGAAUGAGCUUCUUCCGUCGACAACAAAGAUUCCACUUAUACUGAAACCGGAACAGCAACACCUCUUAUUGACGCGCCAACCUCUGAUCUUAGCUAACUUUCUUCUUCUAUUGUAGCUCGAGAUCAAGUAGAAACUGAACAAGUGCUUUCUUCGUCGCCAACACCGGGAUACUGAACUCCCGGAAAUCCUUACACUAAACUUGAUGAAGCGCUUGUUGCUGAAUCUGGGCAUUCCGCUUCUGUUCCUACUCUGGGUACUUACUCUCAAACUUCUCAAGCAAGCUUCUUAUCAUUUUCAUAGUGACUAGCUAUAUCAAAGGAUUUCGCCUUCGUAUGUGACAGUCUGAUUCCAUUCAUUAUUGGUUUACUGGUAAAACUCUGCCUUGUCUUUAAUGCGCUCCCCUACUAUAUUGAUUGCAAGUCUCAUAGAAAGAGAAAAAGGUUAGUGACGCUUCAAUGAAACCAAGCAAGAGUAAAAGGCUAUACAGGAAAGAAGAAGUUAAGAGCAAAGGUAAGCAAAGGUAAGCCAAAGGUCAUUGGUUUAGGGUGGAGGACAUAAAUAAUAAGAAUAAAUGAUGAAAGCUAGAGCGCAAAGGCAAAACCAAGAGCAUCACUUUACUUCAGUACUUAUGGCAUCACAAAACCAGUCCAUUCUCAAGUUGUCUUAUCUAUGGAUUUGAUUCUUCCUAACACAGCUCCUCAGUAUGAUAACAUCUCCGAGGCUUCUUCUUUAUAGGAAUAGAUAGCGUCACAGUUUGAUAGGAAUAGAUAGGGUAAGUGGCGUGGCGCCUUAGUUAAGAGUCAAGCAAGCAGAGUGUUGUUACUAUUACGAAAUUCGAGAAUGUGUGUCUAACUAACCUUAGCAGAAUGCCAUUGCUUGUUAGUGUGCGAAAGCCCCUGCUUGUCCAUUAGUAGUGAAAAGUCAUUGACUAUCUAUCUUUUGCAUAUCUAAUUUAGGAAUGUAAUCAAGCAGAAACUCCGUUAGCUAAUGAAGACUGGAAAGGAACUAUCCCUUCCAUAACUGAGACCUGAGUCUUUGAAGUACAGUGAACAAGCAAACUAGAGGAAUAUCUAUGCGCAUGAGAUUGAACAAGCAAAAUAAAGGAAUAUCCAUGUGCAUGAGAUUGAACAAGCAAACUACUUAUGCGGGGUGCUUUAGGGAGUCUUAUACGAAAUUCCUCCCUUUUCCAUAAAAUGAUGUCGAACUGGCAAUUAUAGUCGACUUUAGAAAGCUUCUGCUUCAAAUCCAUCUUAUGAUUCCUGAGUUCUAUACUAAACGACUCUAUUCCCUUAUUCCUACCUAUACUUGACUCGAACAGAACUGGAAUUUGCAGACCAGACCCCAUUGACGCUUCUGAUCCUAGAACUGUAACUGAACGCCUUGUUGAAUGGAAAUUGGAUAUUGAGCACAUGGUUGAUAUAGAAACAAAGUCAAGACACAGCUUAGCAUCCCUUUGAACCGCGGGCAGCUGACUACCUUUCUACUGCUUCACUUCAGAUCUUAGAACCAAGGACUUGCUUAUUACAGAACAAAGGACUUGCUUAUUACAGUAACUCACUCCUAAUGUUACUUACGCGAAAACCCAGAACAGAACGGAUUCAUCUCUUGAUCAAGUAUCUUCUGUUGUUCCGACUCCUACAGUACUAGAUUAUUACCUAAACGCUUUCACGCCAGACUUUUCGUUUUAGGCUUUCGGGGAGAAUUGGGAUGGGAGUCUUUUUCUGACCUUAGCUGUAGCUGUUGAGAGAAGAGCUUCUCAAUUACAGUAUUAUGCCCUUCCCUUCUUAUUGACUUUCUCCAACUCCUUUCUUUGAUACUCCAAUUGACAACACCUUUCUUUGAUACUCCAAUUGAAUAGACUAAGUGAGUAUGGAGGGCUAGUGCAGUAUUGUAGUGUGAUCCAAGUCGUCAACUGACUCUAGGAAGGGUUGGCUUGUCUUGUGUUAAGCAAUGCGAGUUUAGAUGGAAGUUAGUACUUGAACUCUAAGGCCCUAUACUACAUUGCUAGUGCAUUAGGUAGUCAAUUCCAUUGAUAUAAUAAAUGUAAGUCAACCAUUAAGUAUCUGAGUUUUUCAAGUCCAGUGUUCCCCUCGUAAACUACUCGCAAAAUACUAUCAAUAUUCUAAUGAGAAAACACAUUCCAAAUUGCAAAUAAUUAAUAGCACCGGCACGACGUGGUCGGCGUCGGUCGUGCAACGAAGGGACAUCAUCCAGAGUAGCAUCGCAUAGUCGGUCAGAGUAGCAUCGCAUAGUCGGUGAGCUCCCAUGCAUUCAGUAAGUGUUCGGUCGGUGGUGCACCCGCGUAUGAUAUGGGAUGAUAUGGUAUGGGAUGGCGCAACACACCCUAGUAUCGGAUUCCAUUAUUCUAAUGAGAAAACAUUAUCAAAGGAAAUAGAAUGGAACACAAAACAGGACGACUGGAAACUUACAUCGGAACAGCUGAUUCUUCCACGAAUACUUAGAGGAAACAUUAAGCUUGCCCUACCUCAUAUAGAAGCUUGCCCGACCUAUCUCUGGUUUGAUCCUGCCCUAUAAGCUCUCCAUUCUAUUAUGAAACAAAACCUUAGUCUUGCUUAGUUAGCGCACGACCUCUAGCCACAUUGAUACGAACUCUUAUACUUAACGUUAACGAGCACCGACACAAACAUAGCUACCCACGGGAGAAACAUACCAUAGUACCCACCACAUACCCAAGGUAUACACAAACACACCUAUCCAAUAGCUCCGAUGCGACCGCUCAUUCUGAAAGUGACUAAGCGCAUUCAUCCAGUUUGCGAUCAACAACAAUAAAGCAAGGUCAGCGUCAGCUGCUGGCUCAUUCUGAAAGUAUAGAACCACCCAUUCUGGGAUCUGUGCGGAGGGGCUAAUUCUGCUGGGGGCAAUUCAUUCAUUCAAGUAACGUAGCUCAUUCUAUUCUUAAAGUCACAUCAAUCAAUCUUAUACUUCUAUUAUAUUAACGUAAAUGAGUAUGUAUAGUUGGCGCAAGGGGCAGGCGCACUCUUUCUAGUUAAGCACAUUCUGCAAGUCAAGUUGCUCAGCCCGAAAGUUCAAUCAAUAAGUCUGUGUCUAGUUUGCAAGGUCGGGUAACUCGGUCUUCAAGGUAGGCGAGCUCGGUCUUAGGUCUUAGGGUCAUUCUUCAAGUUCAAUCAAUUAGUCUUCGGGCUCAACUUAGGACAACGUGGUCGAGGUCGACGUACUCACCACAGACCCACCCGAGGGAGACACAUACCUAACCAUGAGCAACCAUGUGACCAAUCAGUCUUAUAUGCAGGUGGGGGAACCCAAGAUUUCUGUGAACAGACCCCCGUGAAGGUGCGUUUUGUUCAACGUCGAUGAGCGGUCGGUGGUGCUAAGAUGGUCCCCGGGCCGGGCAACUGUCCUAGGUAUGGGCUGCUGGUCUAAGAAGAAUUAUUUGCACUUUUCAUAAUUAUGUUUACUAAGAGGAAUUAUGCUCUAAGAGGAAUUAUGUUGACUUAUGAUAAUGAUGUUUGACUAGUAAUAAUGAUGUUUACUUAGAAGGAUGAAGUUGAUUUAACACCAGCACCACUAGCUCCAUCGUUCACUGAUAAAAGAACUAUUGCUUUUUGCUCUGAUUUAGCUAAUAAGCCGCUAAUUGAUAUUCUAUAGGAGAACGAAAUACUGACAUCUAAAUAAUCAAGUAGAUAAGUCAGAGUUACAGGUAAGGUUUUGCCUAGAGGGGAGACAGGCUCGGAAGGCAGUGUUAACAGAGUGAAAAGCAAGAGAGUAAGGUUGCUGAUAGGAGAAGUCAGAAUCGAGGAAGGGAAGCCUCUCCUAUAGUGGUGGAAGUUUUCAAGUAAGUAUAGAGUCUAGUCCUAGGUAAUGACAUCAAGUAAAGUAUAGAGGCGAGCCAGGGGUAAUGAAUAAGAAUAAUGAAUAGGAAUACGAGGCUAAAAGAAAGUAGAUAAGGAAUAGGCGGGGGUAAACCAAAGAAGUAAGGAUCCAAUGCAAGUAUUAAAAGAAAGAAGGUAAGUAAAGGUAGAACUUAGCUAAGGGAUAGGGAGGCUUAGAACAAAGAUAUAUAGGCGGAAAGCAAGGAUAUUGAGAGUUGGGGCAAGAGGAGAGGAGUGAAUUACAGAACCAAACCAGGGAGUUACAGAACCAGUGAUCAAGCCAGUGAUCAAGGCUAAGAAUCAAACAGUAAACAAUCAGACUGAAACUCAGAAGUGAGCUAGUAGACUUCCAAUAAGAAUUCCACUCCUAAGUCAAAGAACGUUUAAUCCGAAUUGAAAUCAUCAGUCGCAACAGACCGACCUAAGCCCAGUUGGACAAGCCCUACUACUUAGCUUUCAACCUUGUAUUUCACCUAGCAGCUGACGCUGCCCUUGCUUUGAAACUCAAACCACCGAUAUAACAUCUUGCCCCUUAGAUCGAGUCUACCAUUACUUUAUCCUACUUAUAGGUCUGCUACCACUGUCUUUUAGGCUGACUUUGACUAUAUCUUAGGCUGACUACCCCUAUUAGCAUUCCAUAUCUCCUCUUGAACUCUACCUUUACGGACUUCAAUACUGUCUGUGGCACUAUUAGAAUAUAGAAUGGAGCCGGUACUGACUAGAAUGGAGCAGUAGGAAGAGGAGCAAGGACCGAACAGGUGCCAACAAUACUUUUACUCAUAACUGGGGAAUCAAACACGGGCUUCUAAGACCUUAGCUCGGAACUUAGCCUUACCAACUUGACUUUCAAACAAAAGCUGGUGCUUUUCAUUCCUUAACUAAUUACUUCGAACCUUAUUGUAAGUGCUUGCAUUCUGUAUUAGUUCAUUUGAAUACUUUCUCUGACAUAAUAAAGAAAGAAACCAGUGCUUCUCAACCUUAACUAGUUACGUGCCCAAACAAGACUCUAGCUCAUAACUUCACUAGGCAUUCAACCACCGAUAACAAGAAGCAACCUUAGGAAUAUAGAUUCCUGGAGCAGUAAGCAAUCCCCAUUCACCAGUAGCAAAGCCUUACUUGUAUUCGUUUCAUUUACGUGCAGCUUCUUUUCAUUCUGUAACUAAUGAUACAGAUCUUUGCUUCCGAACCAAAACCUCUUUUGCCUUUAGUCUUGCUUUACAGUAAGCCCAUAUCUGCUCUCCUGUCAGUUAGCCCUAACUCUAGCUUUCAUUCUGUUAUUUGUCCCUCGCAUUUCCGUAGUUAACCCCAGGGUCUACCACUAAUGUAUCUCAGUAUCCCUUUCCAGUAUUAUAUUCUAUAACUAUGGCAUGGGCUCCUAGCUUCUUAGAUGGAGUCUACCUUUCCGGGCUAUCAAAUACUACUAUUGAAAAACCACUCAAACCCAUUAGCCACCAAUAAACUCCAAUAAUACUGUAAUAAUAAUCCAAAUAAUCCGUUUUGUUGUUGUUAUUACGCCUGAUAUGCUCGGCAAACGGAACUGCAAUAAGAAAUCCAACUAAUGUAUUUAUGUAGAGUUAUUACUCCUGUUGUCUUCGGCGGUAGCGAGUUAAUCACUACUUGGAUCAAAUCUGACCUUACUGACUUUUCUUCUUUAAAUAAAUACCGAUCCGGGUCCUUACUUGCUUUCUUGCUUGCUCGUUUCAAAAUGAGAUUACUGCUCCUUGCUUCUUCUACUGCUAACAAUAGGCCUGCCACACUGACAUCUGAUCCGGGCUUUACCACCUAUGUACCCGCCUCUCUGCUUCCAUUAUACCUACCCUUGCUAUCAAUCCGCCCUUCCUUGCUUUUAUUCUCUCUAAUAUGGAUUCAAUGGCUAUACUUAUGAACUCAUCAAUGCCUACUAUGCCCGAGAUAUAGGCUUACUCCACUUGCUUUUAAACCUAAACUAGUGCUUUCAUUACCGAUACUAAGAUUCACCACUACUCUAUAAGAAUACAACAAAUACGGAUAGUCUGAUAACUUACUGAUAAUAUGAUAACUCGAAACUGGGAAUCUCUAUAAUAGAAAAAGGAAUUCCUAUACUAGAGCCUAUUCCUUAGCUACUGACUUGAAAACGGGAUCUCCGCUUUGACUCUACCAUUGCUAUAUCUCAUUCUAACUAUCCUUUGAAAGUCUACCGCUCCUUAGCUGCACUCUGUAGUCCAUGCCUUUCGCUCUUACUGAACCCGGGUUCCCUCUGUGGCUCUUUGCUUUCAUUCCCCUUGCUUAUAAACUCCAACUAGUGCUACCAAAUACCGGAACUGGGAGCUCCACCUUUCUACCCCUGCUUGAAAACUCAACCGAGUGCUUUUCGUUCUCUAUCCCCUGCAUCGGAUCCAGGCUUGCUAGCAUCCAACUUAAACAACAAACUAUUAGAAUAGAACCUGGGCACCGAAGCCCGCCCUGCCUCCGCUCCCCAACAUCUAUUCCUUGAUCCGAGCCUUGCUAUACUGGCUUAUCGUUUUACUGUACUGACUUUGAAGCUGUAUAUCCGCCCCCACUCUCUGUGUUACCCCUUAUUCUUAGUAUGUGGAUCUCCUCGCUUUCAUUCUACAACUGUUGACUUUCAUUUUGUAUUUAAACGUUAUUGUGUAUAAUAUCGAUUAGUAUUUUCAGAAGGAGAAACCUAACAACGUUGCUUGUUUCAGCCCGGAAGAUACUAUUUCAUCUCUUAUACCGGAAUUCUUCUCCGCCAAGCAAAAGCAACUACGCACCAACCUCUAUAAGCAUUAAAGUCAAAAGCACUACCCUUAACAUAAAGUAAGCUAUUAACUAUUGACUCGGUUUAUCCAAGAGCAGAACAUCUCUCAGCGGCAAACAGAUACUAUACUAAGAAUAGAAAGAAUAGGUAUGAUUGCAAAGAAAACUUCAAAAAGAAACUUCAUAUAGUAUAUUUCUUAUGUGUUAUUACUGAAGAUGUGCCCUUAAGUAAUUGGCGCCCAGCAACUACAUUCUGAAAUGCCUUUGAUCUUAAUAGUAUUGAAAGUGCAUUUAUAUAAUAUUUGAGAGUAGUUCAUUAGAGAAAACCAGUCCAAAAACAGCAACUUAUUUGAUCUUUUUUGAUCCACUAAAACCCAGUGUUUUUCAUUUGUAUUUGAGAUGGCCCUGCGAUGAAUGCGCUUAGCCCCCCGAAGAGUGUGCCAGGCCCAAUGAAUGAGCGAUGUAGCUUUAAUAAUGCGCUUAACUACUUGAAGAGUGAGUUCGCCGACCUUGACAACUAGCAAAGAAUUCUGUAUGUUCUUCCAAAGAUUGAAGGAUGAGUUACCCGACCCUGCCCCAACUGCACAGACUGACUUAUGGUACUUUCGGACUUUACUAUGUGAAUUGAGGAAUGAGGUUUCCUACAAGCAUUUAGUGGUGGUGCUCGCCGCGCACCUCAAUGAACGCAUUAUUGUUGUUGAUCGCACCCAAGAAGCGAAGAAUUGACGAUGUACCUUUGAUGCAUGAGCUAUAUCGCCUUCAGAAUGAAUGCCACCUCUGACUUCGGAGACUAACUCCCGUAGCUCUAAGAAUGAGUGGAUGUUACUGACUGAUUGAAUUCCCGGCCAAGCGUAUACGUUAGACCGCCAAGCUAGUAAAUAAUCUAUCUAUUGUAAGUAGCGCUAGGGCUGCAAGCAAGGGAACAAGCACAAGCAGGGUAUGGGUCAUUAGUCAAGUUAUAAAGCAAGGGUAGAAAAAGUGCUAAUGUGAGUAAAGUCUUAUACGAGCGAAAGUUCAUCUAUCUCUUACCUCUUUUGACCAAUAGAAUAUCCAUAUGUUUUCACUCCCUUAUUUGAUUAUCUUUCUUCUGCGCGUAAGAUGUAUGCCCCUGCACUUUCACUGUCAACUACUUUCUCUGAUGACUGGACCUAAGAUGGAAUAAUGACCCCCGGUUUCUAUUCAAUACACCAAUACUAAGCUUGUUCAUUUUCCCUUUCUUUUGCUUCACUUAGUACAAUAGGUCAUUUAUCUACCCUUAUGGAAUUGAGUGCUCCACCUUAAUAGAAUUGAAAACCAGCUUAGCUUCCAAACCAGUAAUAUAUUCUGCCCGGCGCACAAAAGGGUUGGAAUAUCAUUGAGUGCAAGGUUGAUUCGUCCAGCACUGUCCACGACAACUACAUUCAAGUAUUGUAGGGAAAUUCAAUAGAACCGGUGCAAGCAAGGGCAAGGGAAGAAAGAAGCAAGGAGUAAGCGCUGUGAAGAGUCAGCAUCAGCAUAGUCAGCAUCCGUAGUCAGAGGUAUAAUAGAAGAGUCAGCAUCAGCAUAGUCAGCAUCAGCAUAGUCAGCAUCAGCAGUAAGAGGUAUAAGGUUACAAUAACUUCUAUAACAGAUGCUAGCAAGUCGAGAAUGCCCACGGAGCGGUCUUGUAUCAAGGAAAGCACUAUCAAUCAGGUAGCCCCGAGUAGUGGUGGCCCAACAACAUAAUGCUUCAGUGAGAGAGGUCAGAUCACCAAAAGCAGAGGGAAGGGAGUGGAAUAUAGACAUAGGUCAAGUGGAAAGUAAGUAGCCCUUGUAACCUGCAAUGAAAUUCUGUCCUGAAGUAGCGUAUCCUUCUGUUCGAGUUGACUCGUACUAUCUAAGAAUAAUAGGCUAAAGCAGUAUCCCAGAGAAUCGGCUGUUUCAGUUUCAAGAAGCUCGCGUAUCGUUGAGCAUAGAAAAUGUGGUAAUUGAGGUAAGAGGAGGUGUGUGUUGUCUCGUGGAGAAUUGCCUUAUUCCUAUUGCCCUACAGUCUCUCUUUACAACGCGGGGAGGUGAGAUAGAUAGUUCUUCAAUGAUGUUCUUGCUUGUGCAAUCGUAUAAAGAAAGAAGACAGACAGAAUGCGAAGGCUAAAGGAAGAGUAUAAUAUAGAAUCCAAGUAAUAGGACACUCCCAAGUUCGUUUGUCUCCGGGUGGUUACCGAUUUACUAGAAAGUCAGUUUACCGCAGAAGUCAAGUAUCGUUUUGGUAUUGAAGAAACAGGAUAAGAAAGAAAGUCGACCAUAUCAGAUGCGAGAGCUGGCGAUUCAGAAUGUCCGGAUUCUCCGUCUUUUAUGUUCGAAAGUGAAGUUAUGUUAUCAAGUCAGGAACAAGGCGUUCAACAAGUGGUGUUCUAGCAUUGUCUGGGAGCUCAGUUCUUUACCUUCCCCUUUGCUUUAACCGAGUUUGUUAUUAGUCGAGUUGGGGACUGCAUAAAUUCCUUCAGAUGCCCUAAGUGUAUACGAGUAAGGUUUAGCUAAGUGUAUACGAGUAAGGUUUCAAGUUGGCAACCUUGUAGUUAAGGGUUUCCUAGGUCAAUAUUGCAAAUCAUAUGUUUGACUCGGUGCUUAGGAGAAAGUUUGCAAUGAAUAAUUAUUGGAAUGAAUCUUUGAGUUUAGCGGAAGGGAGUGUCCAUUUCAUGUUGAAAUCCUUUGUAGCAUUCCUAUUAGAUAGAUAGGCGGGAGAGUUCCAUUCAUUAUUGGAAUAGUGAUCAAUGGGGUAGCAUCUCACUAGUCCAACUGUUGUAUUAGUUAACACUGGUGGCCCUACUUACACUUACGACUCGACUACAGCAAGCAACAGCGGCAUAUUGUGGUCCAAGCAUAAAAGGAGGUAAAUAUAGUUAUGUUCGAGUGGAAUCCAACUAGAAGAAAAGCUACUACGUGAGGCUAAGUCUAUAUUUUCGGAAUCCAUCUUUUGGCAACAAGAUCUGAAGAAGGAAUGGAUUAAGAAGCACAUCUCACGCGAGAAAGAAUUAGUGACUUGUUGGAUCAGCAGUAAGAUAAGAGAAUCCAUCCCGAGUUUCCGACUUACUAUUUCGUUGUUGUCGACUCGAAUCGGUAAUAAGGUUGAACUGAACCCUCCUUAUUGUAUAGAAGCUAGAGGUAAUAUUCCACACUGCCAUCUAAUCUUUGUAAGUGAGAAAUGAUUGAAUUCCUGUGCUGGUUGACUCGAAGCAACAAGAAAGAUGACUGGUUGGUUUACUUGCGAGUUAGGGAACGGAGUUUCGAGUUUACAGGGUAGGUGAGCAGCUUGAUCACCAUUCCUAUUAGCGCAUCAGGUCAAUUAACUUCACUGUUUUCCUCUUCCUAUCUUCUUCCUAUUAGAAUAUCCCACUUUUUUCCUUUUCCUAUCUUCUUCCUAUUAGAAUAUCCCACUUUUUUCCUCUUCCAUUAGGAUUCUUUGAAGAAUAAGUGGAAGAAAGCAGUGGCUCUCUGUAUCGCUACCGUAAUUCUAUCUAUCUAUCUUCCAGAGUAAAUCUCAAUUGAUGCUGGAAUAAGAGCCUCCCUUUAUAACUCAGUAGAAGUUGGAUUCAUCCCUUUAUAACUCAGUAGAAGUUGGAUUCAAAGAAGUCGUCUAAACUUGGAAGUUCUGGCUACGAGGUCCCUAGCAAUAGGGGAAUGGAAGGGGGAUGGAUGUGGUUAACUAGUCUUUUUUAGCUAUUUGAUCACUACAGAAGUCAAUCGGUUGAAUGCACAGGUGGAUAGCUUUGAUAGUCCGCCAGGUUGAAUGCACAGGUGGAUAGCUUUGAUAGUCCUUUUUUUCAUCUUCUGGAUUUUCUUUUCUCUUAUUGACUCGCUAUACGGUUAUUUUCGAGUGACCCUAAAAACAGCAGUGGCAUUCCCACUUUACGACGAUACUAUGUCUAUAACCGCCAUGCUGAACAGAAGGGUUCUAGCUUCAGAUGUCCGAAGGACCUUCCUUUCUUUUCCAGAGAAAUCUCCUUCUUUAUCUUCAAAGACUGUUGUAAUUCUAUAACGGGAGUGAAAAGAGAGAGAGUUUUCCUUUUCUAUGAGUUGGUUGGUCACAUAUGAUUGUUUUGAUCCUAUUCGUGAGCACCUUUUUGACUUCUUUUACUUUUCCUUACUUGCCAAUUUGGAGCUUCUCGUAUCACCAAGGGAAGAACUGUUACUUCAAUAUCUGUCUUCUUUCCAUCAAAUGAAACACUCUUCUCCUCGUUCAGAGCUAGGCGAGAGCACUCCGCUCCUAUUCUUUAAUGAUUGACCAGGCACUGAAGUAGAUGUUUCGAUCAUCAGUGUUCACCUCUUUGUGUCAUUGCUCGAGUUGCCAGUUUGAGAUUUCUUAUUCAGCCUUACCUCUAUUCGUUCUCUUAUCUCUACCUUUUUCAUUUCCGCUCUACCCCUUUCUUUCUCCAGGGCAUUCCUAGAAAGUAUAUUCUGGUAUUUUUCCCUCUAUCCAAUAGAGAAUCGAGCAUUCCAGUCUUCUUUAAGAGAAAGAUCUUGGGCUAGCGUUGACCGGCCAGUCGGCACUUUAGGCGGUCUCGUCGAUCCAAUCACUUCUGGGGCUUCAACUCUCUGGUUUCAAGUUCGAGUGGGAUGUGUUAAGUGAAGCAUCUUGUUUUAUCCUUGCUUCAUCGAAAACUCUUACCUACUACCUUUAUCGAGCCAGUUUGGUUACAUCUCAUCUCUUUUUUCUUUCCAAAAGUGAAGGUUACUGCAAAAGUCGAAGUCAAAGAAUAUGCUGUGGACAAUCAUCUGAGGAUAUUGAGUAGGUACAAAACCCAUAGAAAAAAGCUGCAUCGCCCUAUUCUGGAAGGUUGUUUCCUACUGAGGGGGUAGCGUUACGGUUAGCUAAACGGAAAAACACAAACCUCACACACAUAUAUAGGUGUUGAACCCCAAUAGAAGCCUGUACAUAGCUAGGCAAUAAGUGAAGCCAGGCCACGCAGACAAGACACGUAGUUAGACCGCAAAGCAGACAAAGAUGAGCCAUAGGUAGAGGAGAAAGAGUGAAAAGAGCUAGUGCUGUAUUCGUUGGUGUUCAAGCGUUAGCAGGGAGGCCCAAGAAGACCACUAGAUUCAAGGGUCAGAGUUCCAUUUCCAUUGAGGCACCAUCUCUUCAAUUCCUAUGAUAGAUAUAUGAAUGCAGUAAUAGUAAUCAAUUAAGAAAUUCCGUAUUUACUCGCUACUCAAAGUAAUGAUAUGAAUGAAUGGCCGUCCCGCAGUAGCUCUUUAUCGGAGAAGUAAUUGUAUCGCAGUAGCUCUUUCUCAGAGAAGUAAUUGUCUCGACAAGCAAGUACACAGGCAACUAGUUACGAUAAGUAAGAAAAAUCAAAGCACUCGUUUUGCAGUUCGAAAGGAAGCUACAAGCCGGUAAGAUGAAAUUCAAUGAGAAACUUUCCAUCCUGUUUUCAAGGGGAAUCUGAAAGGGAAGCAGUGUAUUUAUGCUGGUAACUAUGGAAUCCAAGGUGUAGUGGUGAAGAAUAAGGGGGUGUAUAGGGAAGGGGAGUGGAAAUCGAACUAGAUCGUAACCAAUUCGAAUAUCUAUGUACCUAAUGCGCUAGCAAUUAUGUAUUACGGCCCCCAAUUGUCAUUAUUGUAAUUAAUAUACUUGUUUCAAAAGUGUGAAGAGCAGGUUUGGAAGCAGUACCCGAGUAAGCAGAUGGAGUUGGAAGCUGUUCUGUUGACUAAACCCCGGGGCUAUAUAAGUAUUCCGUAUUUAAGUAAGCAGGUAGAUAAGCAGAAGAAUAAGUUGAAAGAGCAAGAGCGGAACGACGUUAUCUGUCCUGUGUUCGUAACCUGUGUCCUUAAGUAAUUGGUGUCCGAGUAACGCAAAGCAAGGAAUUCAUAUAAAUACGUUCUAUAAUUAGUUCUUACAAGUCCUGUCUUCGCCUGCUCUUAUAGUAAGUUGUAAGAGGAAAGUACCGGCUUUGAUUGUUCGGUAAAGUAAAGUAUAAAGAUCUGAAUCAGCAGUUGUCGAACUUUGAACUGUAGUAUCACCCGCCAAGUAGAGUAAACCCCGGGUUUCUUCUUUUGUUUGAUACCUGAAUGAGGCUCCUGUAUUUAUCUAGUUGCGAGUAGCUUGGCAUCUCUUCUUUAGUAGAGGACCAGGUAGUUAAUUACUUGAUUUUCCUUUGUUUGUAGUAGUUGCUUGUCGACGCUAACUUUCUUCUUUAUCUAAGCUAACUUUCUUCAUAUGCUUGUUCCCUGAGAGAGUUAGGAGUGAGAAUACCCGGAGUGAAAGGAGUCCGGAGUCAAAGGUGUGGAGGUCGGUUCGGGUGUUCCUGUUAAUAAGUUAGGCUCGGGAAGCUAUUAGUUUCUUUCUAAAGCAAAGAGAGAGGCCAGGCCGGGAGAAUACUUUCAUUAAUGGAGCAAGAGUAGAGGUCUAGUAGCAAGAGAUGAGCCAGGACUUUCAAGGAAUAAGCACUAACGGGUGUUGCAAUACAAGAUCAGAGGCUAGAUCCAGAGUAGGAAUCAGAGGUGAGGAAGCUGAAUCCAGUGCUUCUGAAUAGGAAUAUUGCAAGUAAGCUGCUGUCGGGUAUGUUCUUGUUUGUCGAGUGUGAGUGUCAUCCCUAGUUUCGUGUGAAAGUCCUGUGUUCGGGAGCUACUGUCGCUCAGGCUUAAACCUAUGUUGCUUGGCGCUUUCAGGCUUAGUACCACUCGUUUCAUCCUAUCCCUUGCUAGCUCCCCUCUUUGACUAAUGAGUUGAUUCUCGCUUGAGAACUGACUUGGCCCCUGGACUUCUUUCGUAUAAAAAAGAUAAGUAGGCUAUGCCUCACUGAUGCACGACGUCUUGUUGCGCAGAGGAAAGUGGAGUCUUCUGGUUGUUUACUCCAAUCUAUUUCUUCUAUAAUAGGUGUGGUGUGCACACUCCAUUCUGAAAACAUACCCACGGAUCUUAAAGGGUAGAUCAAUAGCAGCGGUAACUCGCAAUAAGAUAAGGAAAUCAAGUAUAUUCUUUUUUUGGUCAGAUUUCUUCACACAUUCAUUUUGCACUAAAUAAAGCAUAGAGUUUAGAGUGAGGUUGACUAUUGCAUAAGUAUAUAAAGUUAGCAGUACCCAAAGAGACUCGCAUUCUACAGUAUACCGCGCACCCUACACAUCUACUGUUGGAUUGAUUUCAAGAUUUCAUUCGGAUCAUGCUCUUUCUGUAUCCAACAACUACUAAACAAGCUACUCCUUACGGGCAAGUCAAAGAAGAAUGAAUAGAAUCUCUCUUGCACAUACAUUGUAUAGAGAAUUGGGUAAUAUUACUUAAUUCCAUAUGAUUUGCUCUAAAGUCAUAAUGGAGGCUUUCAGCACCUUGCUUGUUUGCUUGUUUAUUCAGUUGUGCUAACGUACGAUUAAUUAUAGUUCCUGUAUUCAUGGCUAACGGAUCUCAAUAAGAUAGAAGUUCCGGAUUCGAGUCAGAGAUCUUUUUGCUGGUAUUGACUAUAUGGCCAAGUGGAAUAGCCUGACAGUAGUCGAACCUGGUUCACUAUUUGGAUUCGAUCAAGUAGAAAUCUCUUGCGCUUGAAGGAAGACUAUCUUGUAUAGGGCCCCCCCAAACCGAUUCUCAAAAACCACCCAUAAAUAUAAGUAAGAACAAUAGCAUGUCCUUGGAGGGAGAGCUAUUUGAAUUCAAGAUGCGGAUUUGUCGUAGGAAAGAUAUAGGAUGGUUGGCUGUGACAAGAGCUGGUUACCCCAGUCUGCAUAAUCAAUUUGCUCUUACUGCUUUUUUCUCUUUUUCUUCCUAAUUCUGUUUCUUCUACUAAGGGAUCGGUCUUCUUCUCCGCAUCCCUACUUAGCACUAGUACUUGUUGCCGGUCUUCUUCUCCGAUGUCACUCACGUAUAAUAGACAUACGGUCUUCUUCUCCGAUAACUAUACUAUAUAACUAUGUGGUCUUCUUCUCCGCAUAUAGUACUAAGAUCAGAAUUCCACCAGUGCCAGCAAGAACCAAACCGGUGCUUCCAAGGCUUCAACUCGUGCUAGUGAGAAUGCAACCCAUGCUUCCGAGCCUGAUACGGUGCCUGCUAGGUAUGUAGCUAGGGAGUCAAAGAAUGAAAAACCAGCCCCCUGAUUCCCAGCCGGAAGCGUACUGGAUCGGAAUGCACCUCUGUAGUUACAGGCUUUAUUAGGAGCUAGCCCGGCCGGAGUAGAGCUCGUUUUGGUGAACUGCAAUGAUCUGGUUUACUUACUUUGUUUACAGAGUCGAGGUAGGCCAGAUAAGAGAGGUAGGUUCGGCAUGAUAGUAGAUAUAGUAGUUCCGGUUUGAUAAGGUCUCAUCUUUCACCAAGGAAAAGAGGUAAGCAAGAAAUCGGAUAGGUAGGUUCGGGGCCAAGCUACGAGGCAAGUAACACCGGUAGACCAAGCAACGAGGCAAGUCGACAACACUAGUUCCAUAUAGUUCCCCCCGAACACACACAGGAAUGGACUCGUUCGAAACUUUCUCUUUAAUACUUUCUCUUUAAUAAAUAAGAAGAUCUUCCGAAACUCAAUCCUUAAUAAUACCGAAACUCAAUCCUUAAUAAUAACAGUGAUUUGGAUAGUGCUUUUUGGCUACUGUUUGUGUAGUGAGUCGGUACAUAAGAAAUGGAAGUGAUUUUGCAUCCUUUUUCAUCCUUGCUUCUCUAUUAUGACAGUGUUCAGUAAACUCAUCACUCCUGAAAUACUCCUGAAAUGCAGUAUGUAGGGGGAACUAGUACAGAGUUGGUAUAGGAGAAAGAGAAGUCGUUUUUCAUCUCCUUCAAUUCCGUAUGUAGGGGUUGAUACCAUAAUUCUUCCCACUUCUGGAAAUUAAGUAUUCCGGGGUUUCUAUCUGAAUUCUUCCAAUUGCUGCUGUUCGAAGGCCUAGAACACAAUUGUAAGCAUGGAAGCUCAUAACCAGUUUGUUUCGUUUGUUAUCCGACUUUCGAUGCCCACUUAAUUAAUUGGUGAUACGACAGGCGUUAUUGAGACUAAGGCCAGGGACCGAACCUUGCUCUACUUACUGAAAAGCUGUCUGCUUGCCGUCUUGUCUAGUCGUUGCUUGGCUCUUUUUAUUAGUAGCUCAGUUCUUUGGCAGCCGAGUUACAUUCUCCAAUUUAUGUCCUUACAUUCUAUGACUUCUGAGUUGGAUUACCCAUAGUCCACACAACCAUCAAGUAUUACAAGCACUAUUUUCUUUAUUUAUUAUAAGUCUUAUUACAGGGAUGUUACAGAACGAAAGGAAAGAGGGACAGGCAACGAGGCGGUAGUUUGAGUUUCUAAUAGUUUGGUAGUGAUUUCAGUCUAUCGGGGUAGUGAUGCAUUCUCUUACCUAUAUUAGUGGAAUUACAGGUGAUGAGUUCGAGUAUUGUUAUUACUAGUCAAGUUCCUGUUAGCAUCAGUUCGAUCCUCUCUUUACUAGUAGCUCAAUUAUCCGUUUUGAGUUUUAUGCCUCAAUUACUUAUUCCUUUUUUCGAUUUUGAUUCUACUAGCUUUUACCACAUCUCUGCAUGGUAGGUGUAUUCUUUAUCCCUUGCUUUCAAGCUAGCUGUAACUACUUUACCUCUAAGAAGAACUACUACCAUAUUAGAUGAAACUAGAAAGUGGCAAUACAACUACUGAUAGCAAGCCUAACUCUUUAGUUAAUAGAACUCGACACCUGGGUCCUAGCUUUCCACCAAUAAUUGCCACUCGUCCCCUACUACUUGCAUUCUAUUACAACUGAUUCGGAUCUUUAGUAUUUGGGGGUUGUUUCAGCCUUGAGAUCAGUAGCGAAAGCCCUAGUUCUUAGUUUCAAUACUGUUACCGAUAAGGAGGAUGUUUACUAUGAGUAAUAAAAUGAAUGAAAUCAGAAAACUAACAAGUAGGGAUACCGGGCUAGGUUAACUAAUAUUAAGUAGAAGAACCAGACAAGUGCCCCUAACUACUUCACCUAAGAAUAAAGAAAUUCACUGGAACACUGGAAUCAUACCAAUACUAAUAAGAACCUCUCUCCUGGUAAUACUGAAGCUGCUAACUAGGGAUCUCGCCACAGCUGCAGAUCCUCACUUGCUUGUUUCAAACUAAAACCCCUGCCUUGAAGCCCUCUUUUGGACUUUGAAUUCUUUAGCUCCACUAUAAGCCUUACUAUCCGGGUUUUCAUAUCCCAGCUUCUUAGCUUCAGCCUUCCACUUACCAGCUCCAUUCUGUGACUCACUUGUUUGAGUCUUGCUAGUAGUAGUUCCAUUCCUUGACUUUCUCUGGCUUGGCUCCGAUACCUAUGUAAACAAUUCUAACUGAACUGCUGACCUUGUCGACCUCCUACCUAUGGCUCUUCUCUUGCUAAUCUACCUCUGUAAACAGCAAAUCUCUCAUCUCUGGACUACUCUCCUCAAGCGUAUACUACUGGACUGGACUAAAAUCUAACUCGGGCUACUCGGUCUUUAGACUAUAACUCGAACAGGAUCGGUAUUCCAAUAAGAGUAACUGACCUCGCCUCUCCUCUGUCUCUUAACUACGAAACUACUUGCUCCCCGGGCUCUGUCAACUAAUUCCAUGAAAUGAUUCUCUUUCUUGCACCGAAUUAACCAGUAAGGCCUAACUGCUUCCCUACAGUAUACUGCCUCCACUGCCUCGGAAGCUAAUGAAACUAUCCGGUAAAGAAUGCAAUUCCAAGGAAAGAAACUGGGCAUUGAGCUAGGGUAUAUUCGAACUGUAUUGACUUGGCGGGGGUGCUCCUACUCUUGGGGUGCAAGGAAAGCCCUCUCCCUCUCUAUCUGGUUUUAGUGACUAUCUUUUCUGUCCUUACCGCUUCGUUGCUUGCUCGCUCUUUAUUCCUCUCCGAUAACAAUACCUCUGUCAACAAUUAACUGAAUUCUUCUCCCUUAGCUACUAUAUACCUGUCAUUGCUUACUAUCUUAACCACUAGAAUUCUAUCGGCACUUAACAACUGGAAUUCACAGGAACAGAAACACGAGCAAACACACUGCAUUUCUCUCUUAACUACUUUCAUUCCACUCUUCCUCGAACCUAUCUCUCCUCGGAUCUUCUCUGGAUCUUUGAACUCAGGCUUUAUACCUAUGGCUACUACUACUGAUGAAACAGGACUACUACUACUAGAUGAAAACCUAGCUAAAUCCUCUUAUUCUUAUUCUUAUACAAAGAGAAGUGAGAAGGGAGAGAAGAAACGGACUAAGAGAGCAGAAACGGACUAAGGGAGCAGAAAAGGACAAAGGUAAUCUUUAAGAUUGACAUUAGGAAUUGUAAUCAGAGUGUCUAUUUGCUCAUUGCUUAACACAAGCAAACAGACUAGAAGGGCCUAGACCUUUACGCCACAGUACUACCGGUAUUCAACAAGAACAGGAGCUCAAAAGCACUAAUAACUAGAGGAAAGAAACCAUAAAGCAACUUACUAGAAGGGCCCUGUGCUGUCAACCCAACAAGUCACUACUAGACGUUACUCGCCCCCAAAGAGUAGAUACGAGUUUACUUCCAUCCCCCAAAGAGUAGAUACGAGUUGACUUCCAUCCGAUAUGACCGAAAUGAGUCAAAUAAAUGAGUCACAUUAGUAACAAGUUCUUCUAUACCUCUGGCUCUGUCAAGCUACAACUACUGAUGCUGAUUCUCUUUCUUCUUAUUAAGUACACAGCUUCCCGAAACUGACUAGAAGGGCCUCAACUCGGAGGGCUCCUGCCGCGCAACUAACUACGUUGCUUGGCCCCGCUUCAGAAUCACCAUUCUUCUAGGGCAACUAGAACUAUGGCAACUCAACCUUAAGCAGAAGCAACAGGUGGAUCAGCGACUCCUAUAGUCCUAUAGUUAUUAAGAGAUCGGCUCCUAGACCUUAGUAAAGAAAUACAGAAGAAAACUCCGUAGUGAAAGAAUGCAACAAGCUGCUUUAUCAUAUCCCUCUCCUCUCGCAACAAAGAAAGAUUCCACUAAAACCAUUAACUUUAGGGCAGCUUGUCAACUACUUAUGAAACAGGUUCGGUGCCCUUGCCUCUCUCUCCUCUUUAAACAAAUACUGUUAGGACUCUGGACUACUCUACAACACCUCCGGCUCAUCCAACUCUGUAAACUAAGAAAGUUAGGGCUCUCAUCUCAUCUCUUUUCACUCUGGCUUGGCUCUAUCUCCUCUGUAAACUAAUCAAGUUAUUGCUCUGGACUACUCGUAUACUCAGUAAAAGCCUUAUUGUAUCCCGAACAUACCUCAGUUAGAGAUUACUUUACUAGCUGCCUCGCCUCCGGUAAAGCACCGAACCAGCCUCUGCUUCCCUAGCUUGCCCAGGGCUUGUCUACUUAUGAAACUCGGGAUUCCACUAAUUCCAUUAAGUCUACCUCAGCUACUGAUGAAACAGGGGGUGCCGACCUAAACUCUGGCUCAUCUCCACUAGACCUCUGUCAACUAUUUCUUUCAUUCUUACUUCAAACAAUAGCUCUUAUCUUUCUUCCCCGACCCGACCUAUCUACCACUACUAAUAAGAUUGAAACUAGCAACUCUCACUCGAUCAGGAACAGGGGCUAAAGGGAACCAUCAAUCUUAUAGGCAGAAAUUACUUAUAAAGACAGUUUCUUAGUGGAAUGGGAAAUACUUCUAAAAACAUCUCAAAAUGCUAAAUCAUGCUAUUUUCGUAUAUAGAAAUUAGGAUAUCAAGUAGAAACCUUCAAGUAGUUGCCCAGGUUUACAGCCAGGAAUAGCUUCCCUUGCAGACCCUACUUCUGGAGUUUGAGCACCCGAACUCGCCUCUUAUAAGUGUUAACACCGAACCUACCUAAACAAAUACAGAAUUCCACUCACCCUCGACCUAGAACUAUUACUGGCACUGGGCUCUCCUUCUUACUGAACUGCUGACCUUGUAAACCCUUAACCUCUCAUAAGUGUUAACCUCGACCCGAACUAACUCUAUCUGACUUGCCGACCUAUCCUAUAGACUGACUAGAAAUAGCAAGAAGGAAGAGAAUGAGCAUCUGAUUGAUCCUAAAGAAGAUAAGAAAAAGCGGAGGGGCAAGCAAAGCAAGCGCUGGUAUUGUUCCAAGUAAGGGAAUUCUGAAUUCUAGUAUUUGGAGUCUUAUGCUUUGAAGGCUUACGGUAAGGCUUAGGUUUCUCUGCGGGUAGGGAAAGAGCAACAGAGACUAGAGCUUAGGGAAGACAUUUCACCUACUAAGACCCUCCCUUAAACGCCGAAUUCUGUUAGUGCUGUCUUUAACCUUUUAUAGCUUGCAAUUGAUCUUUCCCUUCGUGUACGCCCACUGAAGCAGGAAACUCAUCUCUUUUAAAUAGAGUCUACGACCUGAAUAACCGAGAUCAUCUUCUAUUCGUGACUCACUAUCGGAAUUUGGAAGAGAGAACUAAGCCUUUCAUUCCAUUUUGAUAACUAUCGCUUCUAAGGCAAAUAAUGUAACCCGUGAAAACAAAGAAAAGAAAGAGAAGAGCUUUAAGGAAUAUGGGAAUAAUAUUCAUGGAAGUCGCGGAACACCAAGACAAGACACUCGUUGGGAACCGGGGAUGAAUAAGGCCUCUUUCUAUAAGUUGAAGCAAGGUGCUGAAAGCCUAGACAAACUACUACUAAUGGGCAAGCUACGUAUAGACUCAAAGAGUAGGGAAAGAGACUAGAAAUCCGGUGUUAAGGACUAGCUUCUGAAGCACUAACUGAGUUUCAAAGAGCCAUCGGAAGUCUGCUUUGCUAUCCGCACUAUUUGACUCGCAGCUCGCAAGAGGUAUUUCUGAGUUUAGUAUAGUAAAGGAGUUCAAGAGGAAAGAGAGAGUUUACUUAUUAGGAGUUACAGAGGUAUUAUACACUAUUGCACCAGAGUUUGGAUACCGGCACCUGGCAAAGCUACUACUACAAAGACAUAGGGCCAAUGUUCGUGUGUAGCGGCAGGAGCCCCGGGUUAGCCAACAUAACGAAACUCAUAAGCACAAGAACGCGAAUCAAACUCCAAAGUCGGAAUUUCACCCAUAGGUAUUAAUAUAGGGAAUCCAACAAGUAAGUAAAAGACAUAGGUACGAUAACUAGUACUAAUGGGAAUCCAACUUGAGAUACAGAAUUCCACUCAUUUGUAUAAGACUCAAACUAGGCAUUGAAGACAGGAGUCUCAGACGAAAGGCCAGGGGCGAUAAGGGCGAACAAAAGAAGUAGGGCUUCAACGUGAUGCAAGGGUAAACUACAGGACAGAUAUAAAGGAAAGGGAGAUGUGAGAUCAGUCAAGUCAGAAUGGAGGUAUAAAAGUAGAGAAUGGAGUUUCCUUCAAACUUUAGGAAUUUAGAAACAAAGAUGGGCAAGCUACUCUGCUAUUUACUUAUUUAAUGCUAUUUAAAGCUAUUCCGCUACUCCUACUGUUACUACUUGUUUGGGCUGGAAACCUGGACUACUCUACUGAUGAAACUACUAUACUACUAAUUGGGGAUGAAACUCUCAAUCUGGUGUAACAAGAGAAGCAAGGGCAGCGUCAGCUGCUACUUAUUAAUAGACUUCCCGCUACUCCGAUACUAAGAUCUAGUAAGAAUACAUACCUCUGUAAGCCUUAGGAGGUCUCAUAAGAAAGGUAGUGCAGGACCUGAAGUAGACUCAUCACCAACAAACACAGACAAAACUCGAACUGGCUAUUAUCCACGAGACUAAACUAUCACAGCGGACUGUUUUCCUGGCACUGCUAAUUCUAGAUACCUGGCUUUGAUACCGAAGCAAGCUCUGGCAAUAGGCUACAAUUCUCUACUUCCCGAACUCGACUUGCUAUCUUUAGCUUCUUAUCCCAAGACUGGUUAACGCCGCCACUACUAUAGUAGGAGACAAUAAGUAUAGUGGGAGACAAUAAGGCUUUCCCGAGUAGUAGGAGUUCAAGGCUUACUUCUAUUGUUUAAUCCUAUCUAGGAGUUGGCAAAGGAUCUGAAGCUGUGUGGUAUGACAGCAGAGGAGUUCAAGAGUGGAGCUAGUUGUCUGCUUGCCGAGCCUGUAGUUUAUGAGUAGUUUCCAAGGUAUCAAUUCACUGGUUCAGAAGCGGUUGAAAGAUCAGACUUAGUUCAAAGAGUCAGAGGAGAGGGAAGAAUUCAGGUAGAAAACCAUCGAAUAGGAGUGUGAAGAAUGGAGUUUGCCCUAUUCUUUGAUGAGCGAGCACUUCCAUUCUCUUCCUUCCAAUCAAUCUGGCUAAGCUAAGCCGCACUCGUCUCUGGUUUAUAGUAAAGGAAAUUGUUGGCAUCACAUACAUCCUUACUGACCGUCUUAGUGUAUGUCGGCUGUACCUGUGGGUGGGGUGGAAGACUAACUUAUUAUCAAAGGAACUGAUCGUAGAGUUUAGGGUGUUGUUGGCAAUGAAUCUAAGGGCAAGUCGAAUCAGUAGAAUCUCUAAUAGAAGCUCUGCAGAGGUGCUCUAGCUCUAAGUCUUGUUUCGGGUGUCAGGAAAGCAGUCCGCCUGCCUCUAUCUGUUCUGUUGUCAAGCAAGUAGUGGAGUGGAGUAGUUUCAUAAGUAGUUGUAGCAAGAGGAGCGCAUUUCUAGGGAGAGGGAGUGUUACCGGAUUGGAUUCUAUAUUACAUGCGAGUUCAAAGCGGGUACUUUUCUUGUUUACAGUGGAGAAUUGCCUGUGACUCGGGUAGGGGAGUCAAAAGAGAGCACCAUCUUGUGAGGCUCGGCUGGUUUACUUAUUUAGUUGACAUAGGUAUCGGAUAAGAGCUAGAGGAGAGGAAGCCUAUUAAGUUAAGUAGUCAAAGUAUCGGUCGACCAGAGAAUCAGUAGUUACAAGAUCAUCAGCCGGGGGUUAAGCUGUUCCUAGGCAAUCCCAUUCUUAUUAGUGAGUCGAGGCCGGGGAAGGAGAUAGUACGAGUGAAGUUAUUGUAUCUAAGUAAUAGAGAGACGAAGGAUGGUUGGCUUAACCGAACCGAGUAGUUAAUGGCUUAACCGAGUAGUUGGAAUCUCUUGGGGGUGCUCCUACUCUUGUCUGCGAAUAGGGUCUUGCUCUUAACUCGGGUUUCUUGCCCUGGAUCAAUAGUAUUUAAGAAAGAACUUCCCGCGCGCAACUAGCACUUUUCAACUGUCACUUACUUACUUUCGACUGAACUGUCUUUCACUCGGGAUUCCACAAGAACUUGAGCAGUACUACAUUCCACUCGGGAUGAAACCACUAGAAAAGCUUCUUUUAAUUACAUUUCAAGCGGGUUUGAUCUCUGCCCAGCGGAUUAACUGGUAUCUCCCCUGUCUUUAAAUGAAGUUAUGAGUGAACCUUAUUAAUAGCGGCAGUGAGCUUACUUGUCAGGCCGGGUGUUGGCUUGUUGAAAGAAGUCUUUUUAGUCUGAGGUAGAUUCGGAAGUGUUUGUUUCCUAGGAGCCUUAUUCAGUUAAUAGGAGCGUUCACUGCUUACUUUAGCAAAUCAGUUAUAGGUCUAAGCGGUCUUCUACUCUGGAUCCAGAUCCUUAUGAGGUGCAGAUAUGAUAGUUUAGGCCCUCAACAAGAACCGCCGAUGCUGCUGAUUCUCUAGUUCGCCAUGAAGAAAGUUCUGUUGCUUGUUGGGUUAAGGUAAGAAAGAGAAUCCGGUCCAGGUCAAUCAGUAUAGUCUCCUUGUUAGCGAGGCGGUAAAUUAGAUAGUGCCUAUCCUCUGGUAUUUCUAAGUCAUUAUAUAAGAACAGCUACCACCUUCUGAGUCCUUUGCCCUUAAGUAAUUGGUUACGCGGCAGGAGCUCUCCCUUGCAGCCUUUUUUCUCGAGAAUUAGCAACUUUAUUGAUUUCUUUAUUUCCUUCCCGCUUGCAUCUGCCCUUAUAAUUAAUGGUAGACCUAACUGGCACUGUGGAUUCUAUCUCUCCACGACUAGAAGAUGAAAAGACAAAGAAGCUGCUGCAUAAGGGACGGGAGUAGUGAAAGUUGGUUGGUUACCUUAGAGCACAUGGUAGGCGAGAAAGAGGCUAUGGGGAGUUUACUUACUUUGCGGGUAGGUUUACUGACUUAGUUGACAGAGCUCGGGUCUAUUGAAGGUUGGGUCGGAAUACAGAUGCUGAAUGAACUGUUCUGGUUUCAUCAUAUCUUAGAGAAUUGCCCGGUGAAAAGAAAGAACAAAUCACAAAUAAAUAAGAAAAGUGGAGAAUCAGCUGUGCUUGUUGAGUCUAGGUUCGUAGCGAGGGAGAGUUAGAAGAGCAAUCCAAUCCAUAGUUAUUAAAGAAGAAAGUAUCGAAAGAAGGAAGUCCUGUCUUCGUACCCGGGUUUUGGUGAAGUGGAAUCAGUAGCUGAAGCAGCCAAUGAUAUAUAGGAGCUAGGAGCCGGAGUUAGAUUAGAUGAGAGCCCUGGAGUUAUUGGAUAAGAAUGAUGGUAUCAAAUGAACUGGAGUGGGGUGAAUUGACUUAGCUUCUUUCUUGCUAGAGUAUAUGCUUGCCUACUUGCUAUGUGUUUGUGGAGACAGAGGAGAGCGCACAUAGGUAUAUUAAUUACCGCAUCACUGCGAUCCAUCUUUUAGAAUGGAAUAAAAGGAAGAAAAUCCAAUCAAUGAGAAAAAGAAGGAGCUGUGGGAUUAGAGUCGAGGCCUCUAUAAGAGGGGUUCCAGUCCAGUAGUAUACGCUUGCCGGUGACAAGUAUCUUUCUGUUCUUGUUUAAUACCGAGUGGAAUCUUAAGUUUAUAAGUAGUGGUCCUGUUGACAGGUAAGGUUAGCCAGAGUCGAUGAACUCUUUAUUAGUUGCCGGAGGUGUUGUAUAGUAGUAAAGAGAUCCAAGUCGCUGUCCAAGGCAAGCUUAAGUAAGAAGGAGAAAUGAACUAACUGCCAGCUGCCCCUGUUCCAGUUAUAAAGUGAGGUUCGGAACCAGUUGCAUCAAACCCAGUGGUAGCUAGUCUUGGAUGAGCUAGUAGGGAAGUUCUAAUUGCACUCAGUUGGCAAGUAGUAUUGGUAUUAAUUACCCGAGGAUCUAGUAGUAGUAUAGUAGUCCAGAGCUAUAACUGGAUUAGUAGCCUGAGUCUAGGUCUGCAAGGUCAGCUGUUAGAGAAGAGCCAAGCCAGAGUUCAAAGAUACUGCUCGAGGAAGAAGAGAGUAAAGGCAAGGAAGCCAGUUACUUGCAGGGCUAAGUUAGGACUCUGAAAUAACAUAAUUUCUUUUGUAUAGGUGUAUAGGUAGUCCAGUUGGUAAGUCAACCAUAUUCUUAAAGGCAGUAAGGCAGGAGUCCCAGAUAUAUCACUGGGGAUGAAACUAGAAAAGGAACAGGAGAAGCAGACCGGUCCCUUAUUCUUAUUCCAGGGGUAGUUGCCAGCUGCAAUAGGGGCUGUUCUUGUUUGUGGAGUUACUUGGCGCUCUAGUACUGUUGCUUAUCCCGUAGCUUGUCUCUUACUUUCCAACUUAUGGGUGGAAUUACUCAGCUAGAGCUAGGUAAGUUAGGAUAAGAAUGAGGGUUUUGUUGCCAGUGUCUAGUACUAAUAGGUCUAAUCAGAAUGAAAGUUCACCAAAGGGGUCUCAUUGCUUGGCCCCUGUCAUUGGACUUGGUAUUAAGAAUACAACUACUACCAACCAGUCUUCACUCACUUAGCGCUAUUCCGCUUCUAGUAUAAGAUAAGAAUUCCACUCAUAUUACCGCAGAUAUAAUAAGUGGCACAGGACUGGAAGUUAAGAAAUCCGAAUUAGUUGACUUAGGAAAUGAAUUAAGGGCACAGACAAAGUGGAAGCUCCUCGCCAUUGCUUGGUUAGUAGUUACUUUGCUGAUAGCCAUAGGUAUAGGAUAUCUGAGUGAGAUUUGAGUCUAGUUCCCGUUCUAAAGUAUAAGGUUAUUACUGAUAUGACCGAUUCCAUUCUGAGUAUAGUACACCUGUUUGUUACUUCAUUGAAUCCCUAGUGGAAUCCGUAUUAGUUGACAGAGGAGAAGUAGAUAAGCUAGAGAGAUCAAAGAAGUAUUUGUUGCCAGCUGCUAGUGGAGAUGAGCCAGUGGAAUCCCGAGUUGACUCCCCUUCUUUUGUUGUUGCAUCCCCUGUUCUUGUUCUUGAUGAGACUGUUCGAGUUAGAGUUUCAUACCGGUAGUUGUAGUGACUUCUAGGCGUAGUGGUAGUGCUUUCUUGACACUAGCGUUGUCCCCUCGCGCUGUUGCCCUGCGGUAUACUUUCCGGAUGAUCACUUCAGCGGGCUAGACGGCAGUUUUUCCUCUGCUAGCGGGUCGGAACCCAUGGAAGAGCUAUCAAAUGUCUUUUCUUUCUUUCUUCGCUUUUCAAAAGUGAACGUAGGUGGUACUAUUGGAUUGCUUGAAGCUAUAGGGAGAGGAUAUUAGAAGCUCAUGAGAAAGGGCUAUGAUGCAUCCCCUGGGGUUGGGAAAUGCUCUCGAUGGAAAGGAACGUAAGCGGCUGCAGAUGGUUCUGCUCUGGAUUCAUUUAGUUAAUGCCGAAUAUCUUUCUCUUACGCUAUUACCUAACUUAGCCACUUCUUUCUCUUACGCUAUUACCUAACUUAGCUACUAAUGACUUCGUUGAUAAAGACAUCUAUUAACACUUAAAUGGAGGGGUCGGUUUAGUACAAAAAAGAAAGCCCGCAUAGUUACCUACUCAAACUCUUCAACAAAGCCUAUGAUAGCCCUAUCAUAGGAAACCAGGGGGUCUCUCAAUCAAAAAGGAUGCGGAGCCGACCACGCGGAGAAAGCUGCCCAAGCGCGCGGAGGAAUGGAGCCGAUGCUAUUUCAAUCUCAUCUACACUGUUGUCUUUACUUGUUUUGCUCGACCAAAGAGUGAGAACGUAGUUACUCAAUUUGGUACCCCAUUCUUUAGUUGGCUCACUAACGUUCUUUCUUCACCGUGUCGAAUCCCCUUGUAGUACCGAGCAGGUUCCAAGUCAUUAUAGACAACAUCAAUUAGCCUUUUUUGUUCAGUGAAAGAAAGAUAAGCGAUUACCAGACUCCGAGGAGAGCACUGACGCUUAACAGUACAUAAAAAAGAAAUCUGAGCUUAAGUAAUGAAAUGAAUCAAAUCUCAUCUAUUCAUAAGCCGAUCAAGAAAAGAGUAAUCAACGUAGAAAUCAAAUAAGAAGAUAUCGGGGUUCUCCUACUACUAUUAUAUAGGAUAUAUCGAGUAGAGCAGGUUCAAACAGCACUCCCUUUUCACUCCUUUAUAAUGCAUUUCUUAAAUGAUAGUGGAAUUGACCAAUGGAAUGUUUCAUAUGCUUGGAACUUCGAUCUAAGUCGAGCUGGCCCUAGUAUAGGGAAAGGAUGUCUCUAUUCUUUAGAGUCAGAGCAGUCUUGAGUGCUGGGACCUUAACCAUAUGAUUCUGAUCUACAAUAGGGGUAUUCCCAGUGGUAUGUUCAUGAAUGCUUAACCCAGGCCUUCCAAUAUAUAUUAUUCCAAAGAUAGACUUACAAAUGGGUCUGUUCGAAUUCGAAUUGGAGGUCUUGUGGGCCUUCCCAUUUACUUAUAACUGAGGCUUGUUGGUGGUGGGCUAAGUGAGUGUCCCGUCCCUCUCCUUCUACAGCUUUGAGUGCUUACUAUCUUCCGAGCUGCCCUUCUGCUGCCGCGUAUGGUGCUGGUAGGCCAUCAUCUGUUUAUGGUGCGGCUACUGUCUGGGAACUUCUGUCGGCCUAGUAAGUCCGAAGCUACCCUCAGCUCCUGGUUAGAUGUGAUGAGCUACCUGGACAUUCAUUCUAUCUAAUCUAAGAGUAGUGGACAAACUCUUGCCUUGCUAGGAGGAAGACAGGAAUUAGCACUUGGAAGGUUUCACUCUGUCGUGAACUGAACAACGGAAGCUUUCCUCCCCGAUGGUAUCAACCGGUUCAAACAGCACUAGUUUCUAACUGCAACUAACAUAUUUCUUUUUCUUUAGAGUUCCUUACGAGUCUUGCGCUUGCGUUUUCAAGUCUACGAUUGUUGGGUAAUCAUUCCCUCCUUACUUCUUACCUACUAAAGUCUCUCUUAGCCCAGCCCUCAAAACCAAACAAGAGUUCCAGCAUGGAAUGGCUAUCUUUCAAGACAUGGUCAAAUGCCCUGACUCUAACGGUGCCCACCAGUAUUCAUCGGUACUUUUGUCUUUACAUCCCCUACAUGAUUGCAGAUGUAAGGAUUCGUUUUUUGGGCCUAUUCUAUUCGAGUGUUCGUUUGCCGAUGACAUCAUAGACACCAGGCGUCUGUCUGUCUGUGCUGUUUCGAAUGAUCGGGUUGAAACGGCUUUACUAGCUGCUUGCCGGAUAAAGGCUUCAACCAUCUAUCCUAUCCCUUUCUCGCUUUCACAUCACAUUGAGCUCCAACGAACUCUGGGAAUCGAUCCCUUACUAGUAUUUAAUACGUGUGUGUUUUGAGGCAUUUGUCUUUGGAAUCGGUCAAGGGUUCAGACAGGAGAUGUGCUUUAGCCAAAGAAGCGGGGGCUCCUGCUCCAAUCAAGCAAAGAGGACUAGCGUUGGUCUGGGCACCAUAUCCACUCAGUGAAGGCCGGGCAAGACUGAACGUCCGAUCCGAUCCGAUAUAGUAGUGUCGGACAUUUGGAAGACUUCAGCUGUGGGAUAGACUCCUUUAAAUCAAAAGAUAGGAGCGGAGAGAUUAACCCGCAGGAGCGCACUAUGGUCUAAGGCCUUGGCUGACAUCCCCGCGAAGCUCCACCUUACAAGGGAGCCUAUGUAGAUUCUCUAGAAGUAGCUAAUAGAAGACGAAGAUGUCAUACGCGUAUAGUCUGUUACUAAUACGGAAAUAGGUAGAAUUACCAGGUACUAGAAACAUUGGAAGGUAAAGCAAAACAUCAAAACUCCGAUUAGCAAGCAAAGGGCCCGAGGUCUGCGAUGCGAACCUUUCCAAAGAUUAAGGGUCUACGCAUCAGUAUCAACCGAUGGAGCUCCUUCCUGUCCCACAUCGAUAUCUGUUCCAAGAAAUGGAGUCCGGGUCAUCCGAAAUUGGCAACCACGCAACUGAAACAGGCUUUGCACAUUCCAAUCUCUACUUGAAGUUCAGAAUUUCACUUACUUGCUUCCUUGCUUCUGAGGUUUAGUCUUUUACUUACUUGUUUUGUGUUACUCCUCAAUUGCUUGUUUCUUUCGAACAGAGCUCCUCUCUGCUCUAAUACUAAUGGCGUAUAGGGUAUGGUACUAAUUAAUAGUCAAACUAAAAGGGUGGCGGGACCAUAGGGAAUCCAACAAGUAAUAGAGAAUAUGGGUACAGCUAACAGGACUCGAACACCACCCCUAACGACUUGGAACCGCAGCUUAUGAGAAUCAAACGGGGAAAUAGAACUUGCCUACUGCCCCAAUAAGCUGACCUUCAACCCAACACCCCUUACUCAUACUAAAUGAAUUCUUCUGCUUAUGAGUUUUGUUCCUUAUUCCUAGGUAUGAGGAAAAGGAUUAUUAGCUUAGGGGUCAGUCUUAUCGGAUAGAAGUUAUAGGUGGAAACCCAGAGAGGUAGGCUCGAACUAAGAAGCAAGGACAUCUCCCAGCAGUGAGAAAGAAUCAAAGGUAUAAUACAACCUAAAGAGGAGUACUUGAUUAAUUAGAUAUAAUCAAGCCAAAGAGUGUCGAAUCGGUAGUUUCAAUCUUAUAGUGGGUAGUGGAAAGCCCUAUAUGUUAACUUAGUAGCCUAAGCCUUACUUGCCCCUCCCUUCUUAGGUCCCUGCCUCGCCAGUCCUACACUUUUGUUACUGCAAUGCGGUUGUUAGCCUGGCACUCCCGCCUUAAAGACUUGCUUGUUAGUUUAGGUAUUCCGAUACUGUCCUCAAUUCAGUAGCUCAACUCUAGGGCUUAUACUCUCUCUUUUAUCAACAUUGUCAGCCUUUCUUUCAAGUAGUAAACAAAGAAUUGGACAAAGUAAUAUAAUAAUGGUAGACUCCAACGCGCCAGAAUAGUGAAACUCAGAUACUAGUACAAGAAUCCAAGUGAAAAUUAGGAAUCCUACUCGGUAGUCCAAGUCUGACUGCUUAGUUGCGUUCCGUAUCUCUUGUUUCCAAACCCCUACUACUUACUCCCCUCGCUCUUAGACUCCUGAUCCAACAUCCGUAGCCUGAAACUCCUAUGUUAUAGCUUCAAACUGACUACCCUGUCCCUAGCUCUUACUCUGAAACUAAUGCCUAAAGUUCUUGCGGGCCCCUCUUAUGAUUUAUUAGUAGUCUCAUUCUCGUACUUUGCCCUUUCAACUCCUGCCUUACAUACCGUAGUUCUUGGUUUAGUCUAAUACUUGUACUGCUUAGCUCAAUCCUCAUUGCCUCUUUCUCUUGUCUCAACCUAUAAGUUGUAGGAUUACGCUCCUUUCUUGACAUUCUGACUCGCUUGUUUAAUUGUUCUACUUUUACUUGUUCCACUUUGACUUAUACACUACCACCUACGCUGGAACCUUGCUUUACUAUACCAUUAUAACAUAACAUUAUAACAUAGCUUCUAUCCCCUUGCCAUCAAAACAAAACAAGUACUUCUCGUGCUUUAGCCGCUGGCAAACAGGCUGAGCUACUGAUUCGUAGAAUGGGACUUACUUACCUCUAGGCAUACUCCACUUUCACUGUUGACUUCAACUAAAGCAAAGAAAUAGGACUGACUACUUUCAUACCAGUACUAAUGGCUUCAACACUCCUUACUUUCUUGCUUGUGAGUUAGAGCCUUGUUCAUAUGGCAGCUUUCCCGGCCUUACUUGUGUUUGCUUCAACCUUACUAUCCUUUAUCUGAUUCUUUGACUGACUUCUGUAAUUCUUCUAUUGAUGAGAUAUAUUGUAUGCAGUAAUAGAGUCGAACUACAGCUUCUAAGGCAACAACCAGUGCGAAUAAGAAAACCACUAAUAAAUAAGGCUUUAAAUAGAACCUAUUAGAAUGGAGCCGGGGCUAACCCUGGCACAUCCUUGCUUCUUAGCUGCAGUCUGCUAUUCCCCGCUCGUAGUCUCACUUCCACUUCCUGGGGUCUCUGGUUGUUCUUCAACUCAUUGGUACGAUCUAGCACAGUAUCUGAUUUCCCCUUCUAAGUUCGAAGUAAACUAAUAGUUCCAAUUCUGAGUAGGUAUACCAAUGAGUAGCCGAUGAGUAGGUACACCAAUAAGUAAGGCACCCCCGUAAUAAAACGACUUACUGGAAUUACUAUAAGCAAACUCACCACUUGGACUUCCACCGUUAACUACAGAACUCAACACAGAACUAGGAAUUGACACCACUGCUAAUCUGAAUGAACUUCCCAUGUAGUCAACCUUACUUGCUAGCUUCAAACCUCCACUACCACUUGAGAGUCUUCCGAUCCCUUAUCUAAUUCCGUUUACUCCCGCACUUUAAGAUAGAACCGCUGCCAACAAGCUUUAUUUCAUUAGUCCCCCAGCCUUACUUGUUAGCUCUAGAGCCUUACUAUACUGUCUCUUAUUCGGAAACUCAUUGAUAUGAUCUAGCGCCUAUAGAAGUAGAAACCAACUGCUUAUAGUCAGAAUCAAACCGCCAAGUCACUCGAGCACAGGCAAGUCCUUGAACUGCACUUUUUGAGGCAAGUAUUACCUUACUGUCUAUAAUUCUCUCUACCCGGCCAACAACCCUGGCUUGACUUUAUCUCAGCCCAUAUCUCCCGGCUUCUAGUCAGCAUUCCCACUCUAACGACUUUUCUCAUUCUAGAUCUACUAGCUGCGGGUCCUCCACUCCCUCACUUCACUAUGCCGCUACUGACAUGAAGUAUUAUUUGACUUUAUAUAAAUCCCUACACCUACUGGCCUCGAUUCGAUCUCGUUCUCUAACUACUGAUCCGGCCAAAUACUAUCUUUACCUAUUAGUCUGUUUUUCCCUAUCUUUAUUCUUAAACUACGAAGCUCUACAGCUUAUUACCCUAUCUUUGAUUCCUGUGCUUCUGGGUGAAACUUACUUUCCUGCCUCUGAUUCUAAGGCUACUAUAACUAUUGGAAAGACUUAAACAAGUGCUAGCAAGAAUGAGAUCAGCGCAUUUAAGAAUGGAGCUCAGUUGCCCAGGACUACUAUACUGGUUGGGGAUGCAACUCAUAAACUACUGGCUCGGCUCUAAACUCGCCAACUACGGAAACCCACCCUGUAUGUGCUCUGAAAUUUCAUUAGAAAAGAAAAGAGACCGGGCAGCGUCCUGUGUUAACCUGUAUUCAAGGCGUCAGCGAGUUCUAGUUAUGCGUCAGUAUCCAUUUAGUAUUGUAUUCGUAUCUGUGUCAGCCUCAGGGAAAGUAGUUUCAUCCGCUUCAUUAGUUGUGGAAUACCGAGUAGCCAGAGAAGAGAGAUUGCCUGUUGCCAUAGGUAGCUGAGCCAUAGGUAAAAGGUGGAUGAGCCAGAGCAGAGGUAUAGUUUGACCCGCCAAGCAACUACUAACGUUGCGCGGCAGGAGCGGUUCCUUGUAGUUGUCCUGUUGCAUCCUUAGUGGAUUGGCGGGUUUAGUCUGAAGUUGCUAAGUAGUAGGCUUGGCGGGUAGGGUAGUCAAAAGAGAUUACUUACUUGUUAGGGUAUGGGAAGGGCACCGAACCUUUUUCAUCAGUAUUAGCUUACAGAGGAGAGGCUGUUGUUUAUGAGUGGAAUCCCCUUUAAGCAGUAGUCCUUUUCGAGUGAUAGUGGAAGUUAGCCUACCUUUAAGGAUUGCUAGUGGAAGUGUUAGAGAUAUAGAAGCCUGAGCCAGGUAAUAUAGAAUCCAAUCUGGUAACCACUCCCUAGUCAUUAACUCCUCUGUCAUUUCUGGAUUUGAUUUCAUUGCUGCUAGUUGACUAUUUUAUUGAUUGAAUUACUGCUAGUUUACUUCACAGUAAAGAGUUAUUAGUAGUGUUCAGGGCACAAUAUCUUACUUACUUGGAAGUGGAAUAGCAUAUAGGUAAAGGGAGUUUCAAAGGACUGUUCAACACCUUUACUUCAUUCUGAUAUACCUGGGUUGGGUGGAUCUAGAUUCCACAAAAUCUUGUUGGCGUUGGAAGGAAGAAAGAAAGUCUCUAGUUCAGGGACAGAAUCAAGUACUAGCUUUUAAGCGGGAAGUGUAGUUCUGUCAACGAUAGAAUCCGCAGGAGCUGGUUAGGUGACUUUACGGACGAAACAAUAAGAUAAGGGAUUUUACGAUCAAGCAACUAAGAAUUCCACAAAUGAUCCGGCUUUCACACCUGAUUCCGUAAUGAUCCGGCUUUCACACCUGAUUCCGUUAUUGCAACACCAUAUUGAGAGUCGGGCUAAACUAGUAAAGAUCUUUCGAGCUCCCCUCGCUAACGCGCUACUAUAAUCAAAGAUGCAUUUCUGAACUGUGAUGCUCUAUAUAUAUGAAUAUAAUAUGAUAGGAAUUGCAACCCCCUGAAUUGACCUAUAAACGAAACUCGCAUUAGCAGAAGACAGGAACUAAACUACAGCCGAUGACAAACAAACAAAUGCGGAUCUUUCGAGCACAGAAGAUCUUCUUGCAGCUGACAAGCGCCCUUUACUUAAUUGUCCCUUUCAAGCAUUGGAGUGUACUCUCAAGUUACUUACUUCGUGUCCUCUCCUGUUUGUUACUUACUUCGUGUCCUAUACAGUGACUUACUUUGUGUCCUAUACAGUUACUCAAAUAUAUAAUAAAUCAUUGGCCUAAGAGAGCAACGAAUGCAUUUCGGAUCUAAGGCAGGAGCGCAGUCAAGUGAUCUUUCUUUGUUGGUGACGAGACGAGAUCAGAAGCCGUGGAAGCAGAUUCCUAUUGAUCAUCAGCAGGUAAAGAAGCUAGAUUCUAAAGGCGGGAUCUAAGGGUAAGAAGCGGGGGCAAGAGAGAAUUAUCUUAACAGCGGGAGCUGAAUAAGUCCUAAGCCGGAAUGGAAAGAAAAAGGAGAUGGACCUAUACCCUAUUCAUUGAGGAGAGGAGAGCCUGAGCACCGAUAUUAGUGAUUAAACAAAGAUGUUAGGAUAGUUUUGACCAUAAUAUUUCUAUUAUGUGCCCCUAAAGGGAGUUGUUAUGAACUGACUGCUAUAAUAUGUAUGUCCCUAAGAUGAAAGAGGGUAAUAAGAAUCAUAUUAAUGGCUGCUUCCGUAUGGCAAGUCCUGUGUUCGGGUGCUGAGAGCUAAUACCAUUAUAUCAUACCACUAACAUUGCUGAGAAUUCAUAUUAUGCCUAUAACACAGGGGUCAAAGACUUAUAGAAGGGAAAGGGAGAGUUAAAGAUAUAUGAGUUACAGACCAAGCCAAGAGGAGGAUAGUCAGAAUGAUAUAUAAGGUAGUUCGAAUAGGAGUUAGGGGCGAUAGGCAGACUUCUUUUUUGGAUUCCAAUUAGAACUAGUUUCAUCCCCCGGUUCCUGCUUGAGUCUAAUAGCUAGCACUUGACUUGCCCUUGAUUUAUUGUUCGCUUGUUGAUACGUCCUGUUAUAGAUUAAAGGAGAGUUCCAGAAGUCCUUGUGUGCCGGGCUGUAAGUUAUAGAGUUGAUCCUAUGUUCCACUUAUAUGUUACACUUAGAGAAAUAUGGGUUGACUGUCCCUUCAAGUUGUGGUCCUGUAAUUAUAGUGAUUUUGAGUACCUUUAUUUAGUAAGGGGGAGAGUCGCUCUAGUUUCAUUCGAGGUAAGUUAUUCAAGUCUAGUUGAGGUAAAGUGGAAAGUGGAGUGAUUGCCCCAAUGCUGCUGAAGAUCUCGGUAAUUCUACUAUAAUACAGACUAUAAGGGUGAGUUACCUGCGGAAAUUAUACCUAGCGCAUGAUUCAUACCUAGCUCAUCAUUCAGUUUCUUACCAAAGAGUCAAAAGAGCCCAUAGGUAUUGUUGCUAGAGGCAGAGGAGAGAGAUUAGUUGUUUCAUCUGUUUAUCGACCAGGUGUUCUUGUUUCAUUGUGAAGAUCAUCUCCGUCAGUAAAGUCAGUUGCAAGCCAAGUAUGGGGCGCGGGUUAAGAUGCCAAUAAAUAUGCAAUUCUCAAUGCAACGGCAACUAAGUGCUUAGCGAGUGCUUUUCCUCGCUCUUGUGCGCUAAAGGGAAGGGAUGCCGACAUCAAUCCUAUUAAUGAAGUUAGCAGAUAGGAGCAAUAGAUAUUUAGAUGAGCCUCAUUAAGUUAGCAGAGAGGAGCACUAGGGGAAGUAAGUAAACUAGUAAUCCGGUUAAGGUAAGAGAUGGAUUCCAUUCCUGUGCGAGAGGGAGGUUAGAGUGCUUGUGUAUAAGGCUGUAACUCAUAGACCUAUAGCUAGGAAGAGGUCAAGAGAAGAGAAGUCUCAAGUCAAGUUGUCGCGUAUCUACUUACAGAGUUGAGAGUUGCGGCGCGGUGCGAGUGUUUAGCAUAUGAGUUAUCGUUGACUGUAGUUCAUUGUAUCUAGCCCUCUAGCUCUGCGUCGGUGAAGUCUGAGGUCCGCGGGACAGUUGUUAAGUGUCAGAGUCUCCAUUCCAUUAUUUCUGCUCGUAUCGAGUUACGUAUCAAGAAGCUCGUUGAGUAUAGACUCAUCUGCUGGGGAUCAGGUUCAGUGAAAAAGUCAGUAACAUAAGCUGUAUCUGAUGAAGUAGUUUCAAGAGAAUACUUUUGUUGAAACAGAAGCAGAAGAAAGAGAAUCAUAUCUUACUGGCAAGUCCGCGCUAGGUGAAUGAGUGGAAUCUACAUUAAGGUAUUGUUGCCAGCUGCAAAGCCAGUGGAAUGAUUUGUUGAAAGUGUAGUUUAGUUCCAGUAAGUAAACUAUGGGGUGAAAUACCGAGUAAGUCAACUAUGCAACUCCUAUAGUAAUUAGUUGAGUUACCGCUAUCAGGUCUUCUACUACUUGUAUUCCUACUAAUCUUCUAAUCCGGAUAUACCGUACCAAGCUCCAAACUCUUAAUUCCACUCGAAAGUUAGAAACAGAAUAGGGUGCAGGUAUACACAAGAAAUGAAUUCUUUAUCAAGCUUUAUGUAUCAAAGCCAGUACAUUGAUUCUUCCAAGGGAGUUGCUAAGGUUAGCUAAGUUCACUUGUUGGGUUGACAGCCUUUCAAGGGUAGUGAGUUGAGCUUUACGGACCUGACCUCGGAUCGGAACUUAUCCCUUCUCUGAUUCUUAUUGUCCUUGCUACAAUUCUGCAACUCAUGGGUACGGUACUAGAACAAAACUCAGGUAUAUUUUGAUAAGUUAUAUCUAGGCACCGUAUCAGACGUAUAUCGCGAAUAAAAUCAAGUAUGGGAAGGUUACAGUCAGAAUGCAUAUCAAGUAAAGGGUAGUAGCACGAGAGUAUGGUUGCCCGAGGGUAGUAUCCGUUCUAGAGUCAUAAUUGAAGUAGUCGGAUUUAGGGUUAGGUUCCUCGUAGUAGUCCAGGAUUUAGGGUUAAUAGUAGUAAGUCCGGGCCUUACCUUUCUUCUUGCUUAUAUGAGCUAAACUCUGACUUUAUGGUUUGAGUAUUAUAGCUUAGUAUCAAGUUUUCCAUUAGUAUCUGGGUUCCUAUAUAAUGUUAUUAAGUUCUAACAGUUCCUUAGUUCAUGCGUCAGUAACCUCUUUUGUUCUUCACCGGGUAGUCAACUCUAUUAAUUAGUAGAAUGUAUUUCUCCACUGGAAUUCUAUCUUAUAUAAGUGAAUGAAACUCGGCCUCACCAUUCCUUAGUUGCCAACAAACCCGGAGGCAGACUACGACGGGUAAUCUUACAAUACUAUAUUUGUUUCGAGCAAUUCCUUCUUCUGUUGAUUCUUAAGCCCCUAGUAUAGUAGUGGAACUCAUUAAAACACAGACCUAGGAGCAGGAAAUGAAACUGAUUGUCCCGACUCCAAGUCGACUCAAGAAUACGCUGGAUCAGAUGCUGGCGAAAGACCUUGUGCUUCGGGCUUGUAUCUAAGUAAGAAUAAGAAAGUAAAGUUAUUGUUGAAAGAGAAGGAUCAGAAGCGGGAUCAGGCAAUGAAAUCCGGUUGGCACUAGGUUGUGUACCUCCCAUUCUUAUUCGGAUAUAUGUCAUUCUGUAUUUGACUAAAGGCGCAUACCCAAUAUUCUGACUCUUGGUGGUACCCUAUUCUGACUCCAGAGUUUCUAGUUCCAUUCAGUAUUUCUAAUGGGUGACUUCUGACUUCUUUGUUUAGAGCACAUAAGUAUCAUAUAUGACUCUGUUACUGUUGCUUCAUAUCGAGUAUACACUUUCUUCGCACUGAACUCUUUAACUCUUCGAUAUGUGGCUUAUACUUCCUUGCCAAUACUCUAUUCUCUUGUUCGCACAGCACAGUAUCCUCUUGUCUUGAAUUCCUACUCCUAAAAACAGGACUGGAACUUGCCCCCCGAAGAAAUAAGGAACUGUAAGAACUUCGUUUGCUUACUUUGACACUGAAAGAGACUCGAAAUACAGAUGCGCAGUUCCCUUGAGAGUUGCUAAGCGGGUUCCGAAGGAGUGAGUGUACUCUCCUAUUACUUCCACACCUAAGUCCUAAAUACUAGUUUUCCAGUUCCAGUGUUGGCGACGAAAGAGAAUCAACAGUAGAAAGAUUAUAAACAGAAGAAUUAGCCAGGUAAGAUAGAAGCUGGCACCCAACCUAGCGAUCUGAAUUGAAAGUUCGAAUUGAGUCCUUCUCGCCGACCUACAACUCUGAAUUCCACUCCUUAUAGCCAACGAAUCCAACUCCUUAUAGCCAAUAAAGUUCUCUGUGCUCUGAACUAGGAAUUGCAAAAUGGAACUAAGGAUUGACGGUCUAAAUCCUCUUGUCUGCUUGUUGGGGGUCAACAGAUGAAACACACCCACCCGACCCUAGAUCCACUGUUUUCAGCGCCUUCGCAUUCUACUCUGUUCUGUCUUCUAUUCUAUUUAUAUAUGAUAAUAGUCCAACUUCAUUGAUUACAGCUGACUUAUGAACUCGACUUGUUGAACCUCUCUCCACGACAACUAAGGUAAAGAAAUGGAACUGGCCGAGCUACACGAGACUUCACUCGCACCCUCAGAUAUGAGGAAUCAGUAACAAGAUACACCCUCUCCCUUUGCUUGAAAACUCACUCCUUACUCUUAGCGCCCUUGCUUGUUGGGUUGAAAACCUUAACCUAUAAAGUCAGUAUUAGCCAUCUAGCUCAGCUAUAGAAUGGAAUAGAAUGCGAGUGCACAAGAAUAUAGAUUAGAUAGAAAUUCAGAAAAACACUCCAGACUCUUAAGGAAGUAACCACCUUGCCAAUCUCACUUAUGCUAUAGGGCUUGUUCUUUAAUAAGGAAUAUCGGCAAAAGAGAAACAAGUGAUGGAACAAGGGCUUCAACUAGUAACGGCAAACAGACAUUAUCUAUAGGCCUCGCUAACGCACUUAGUCUUUCUAAACUCAACAAGCAUUAGGAUUAUUUGGGGGGUACGCAAGCAAGAAAGAGCUCGCAUUAGACUUAUUGUUCUGGGUACAUUGUUGAGUUCUUUGAAUGUGAGUGCACAACAACUUAUGUAGUGGAGUAACCACACUCCUGACUUAUGGAAUGGAAUCUAUCUCCUUACUUUAUGGAAUUGAACAACUUCAGUUAGCGCCUAACAGCUAAAUGGAACUGACUGAUCUACAUAUGAUCUAGGAAUUGAGCGCAGAGCCAGCCUGAAAAGAUUGGAAUUGGAAUGUCAACUCUAAACCCCGUAAGCAGAAGUCAAAAGUCUCAAGCCAGUUCCCAUAUAGUAUCUAAAUGACCUAUGAUUAUUUAUUGAAUUACCUGAAUUAGGACUGGAAUUGCUGCUUACUUGCGCCUUAACCGCUACGUGGGCAGUAUAGAUUCGAUGGAAUUAUUCCAUUCUCUAUUUCAGUACCAACACGCUUCAGAAGGAAGGACAUAAGAAAAAGUACCUUAGCGCUUCAACUUAGUAACUCGCUAACGAAAUGAUAGUUCGCAUGAACAAGUUGUAGAUUCCCAGGAUCAGGAUACACAGUAGUAGUCGCUUUGCGGGAUUAGAAUUAUCUACAAGGGGGCGGGUCUUCAACUCUUAUCUGAGAAUAAUCCUUCUGAGGGACAAUACUUCUGAGGGACCCGGUCUUCUACUCAGCUACUUAUAUAUUGGAAAGUAGUCAAGUCAGAAUGAAACGACUCCUUAAUUCCACUGCUCCUAAUAAGAGCCAAGCUACUACUCGAGUUAUGAGCAAGUCAAGGAAGGGUAUAGAAUCGUUGGGUAAUCAACAGGGCCUGGCGUUUCAUAAUUCUUUGUUGACUGAAGAUCAACUGCCCUCGAAAGAUUCCAUUAAGUAUUUGUUGAACAGCUUUACUCGGAUAAGCAAGACUCAGUGCGUAAAUAUCGACUUGCGAGUUCCGUUCCAGAAGGGAAGUCCACAAGAAAGAAGCUGUUUCAAGGAGGAGUCUCCCGGGACAUAAAUCCUAGUUUAGAGCCAACACCAAUAAGUACUCUCAAUUAGGGUUCUUCGGCGCUAAGAUCUUUGACUGCAAGAUGAUCUUAAUGUAAAGAGUAAGUAGUGAGUGGUUCAAUUCUUUACACGACGGAUCCUCAGUAUAAUCUUAAGGUAGCUAGAUCCGGAGUAGGAACUGGAUUGGAAGCUUCAGAUAGAUUAGAUGCCCCCCCUAACUCUAAAAGCAAGUGGACUACAUAGUUUCACUCCCGAAAAAACUAGUGGAAUUCCUUGUUUCCAGCGACCAGAGAAUCCGCUGUAGAAAAGAAAGGCUCCAUAAAAGAUUGACUCGGGUGGCAAGAAAGAAUCAAGUAUUUGUUGCGGAAGCCCUCAACUCUCAAUCCGAAGUAAAAGCCAAGCCAAGCCCUAUUUGCCCUGACUUCUAAAACGAGGUUCAGUAUAGCUCUCCAUAAACCGAAUCUCAUGCCCACUCAUAGGUUAAGUUGUUAGCGUUAGUAGUGUAAGCGUAAGGAGCUUCUGCACUACGAUCUUUUCCUGGUUGACUUCUCAAUUCCUGCCUGGUUGCGAGAUGAGAUCUCCAUUCCUAUAUUCUUGUAUGACAUGCGUGAGAUAGAGAUUCAUUUCAUGAUUGUUUGCCCCAUAUAGUAAGUGACUCAACUGGACCAACAAGAACAAGUGCUAACGUCCGGUGAGUUAAGAGCAACGUCAUCUAAGAAUUACAGCUAUCUCUGGAGUGGGUAAAGAAAAGAAGCUGGAUAUGGGUGCAUUAGUAGUAGUGAGUGACUUCUUUAUAAUCAGAAUCGAGUUUACCGGUACCGGGUAGUUAAUGACUUUUAGUUCCUUCCUUUCUUUGCCUUUGUAUACGUUGCUUGGCCCUGGCAGCCUGGAUUUUCUAUACUGGUUUUUUACUUGAACGAUACUUGCAUGGAAUCAGACGAAGAUAAGCUGGGACUGGAUCUUUACCUAGAAUACUGUUUCUUUCCUCUUUCUUUCCAAAGAACCUUUCUUGCUAAAGGUCAAUUGAAUUUGAUUAAGAAAUACAGGAAGGUGAGCUUACCAAACGAGCACUUUGGACUCUGCAGGCCCUGUCCUGGUUGGAAGUAGAUUCUCAAUAAGGAAUCCAUGAACUAUGAAUUUGAAAGCGGAAUCCGGCCUCAAAGCGAUCAUCUGCUAGGGCUAUUUUGGAUAUGAUGGAUGGGUGGGGGGUUUCAAAAUGACGGAUUUUAGAGUGCACAACUUCUGUAAAGAGAAGAAAAGCUUAUAAGAAACUAAACAUAUACGGCUCCACAAGAAGAAACGAAACUAAUGGGAAACUCUACUCUACAAGCAAUGUUCUAAGAGUGAGUUGGGGAGUAGCGCUUACUCCGUUCUAUGAGUUGUGCGGUAGUUUCAUGAGUUCCUGUCAACAAGCAACGGGAGUGACUCUGAGUUUCGUAUAGUAUAUAGUAGCGCUAACGCGAGUUCUUUGCCUUACUGCCUUUAGCACUUUGGCUAGAAUUGAGCUAUCUCGGUACUGUUUAAAAGAAUUGAGCUCGAGUCGUAGUAUUUCUUUAAGGAGCGGACAUGUGAAACUCUGCUAAUUGCCUAUGGAUGGGGCACCUUUCUCUUAUCUUAUUCUCGAAAAUGCCAGUGAGAAGGAAUUGCGAACAUCUCUCCCAUUCUUUCUCUUAGCGUGCCCUGCGCCGACAGCUUGCCCAUAUUGAAAAGCUGCUCUAAGGGGUAAAGGGAACAAAUGACUUGUAUAUCUAAGGGUUCCGUGAAAGAAUCACUUGCUGGUAUAUAUAAGGGUUCCGCUCAAUAAGAUUUGGAUUAGGGAAAGAAUCACUUGCUAGGGGAAAGAAUGACUUGUGGUGAAGGGAAAGAAGAACUUGUGCUUGUAUAUCUCAGGCAAAGAAUGACUCAUAUCUAUAGAAAGAAGUAGCAUAUUAUGAAAGCUAUGUGCUGAUAGUAGCAUAUUAUGAAAGCUAUGUGCUGAAGCUGCUAGUUUUUGAAUAUACACUUUGUAUAGGCCCUAUGUUAUCUUAAUCAAAGUGUCGAGACAAGAACAACUAACAGUGAAUAUUUCCUGUUUGAGAACUAUAAGGUAAGAUAAGAGAUAGGAAAGGAUCGAGGAACUCACUAGAUAAGUAAUAUGAAUAGGAAGAAACACAACGAUCCGUUACAAAUAAGGCCAAAACUGAUACUUCUCAUACUGAAACUAGGCAUCCGGAUCCUUUAUCUUAGAGAAUGACUCGCUACUGGUACUGGGAAAUAACUCUUUCGUUAUACCGGGCUCUCCCUUUACCCUAACUAGGUUCAAACGUCCCGGCAUCCAUCUUGUUUAAAAGCUUCGAAAGGUGGACCGGGCUAUUUCGAUUUCGCAGUGGGAGACGCAGCAGGUGGAGUGAUGGAAGAUUUCAAGUGGGCAAUUCUUCUCGUUAUGCCCUCUGGUUAUUCUGGUAUGGCAGAAUUGACUUCAAAUGAAUCCUCGUAACAGAAUUUACCACUUUGAAUCUCAUAAACGAGAACGAGGCCACGUGUGAUCCUCAAUGGAAGGCAUUUACCCAGAAAGAUGCGACUAAGGUAAAACCCACACCAACGGAAAUUAACCGAAACCGUAUCUCAACAGCUUGUAGAUAGGUCAAUAUCAGAUUUACGUGGGGAGUUGCUAGUUAGAGAGGGAGCACUCGGGAACAACCUGAGCAUGGGAAAUCAGAGCACUUAGGAGUGCCUACAUUCUUAGUGGAAUUUCAGGGAACAAGACAAGAGCAUAGAAAUCGACUUACGAGAAUGGCAUGAAGGGAGCUCUUAGCACGUACAUAGAAAGCGGAUUAGAACACUUAGCUAAUGAUGCUUUUGAGUAUUUGACAACAAAGAGAAGAGGUCGAGCCUCCCAUUCAGAAUAAGGAUUCCUAUGUCAUUAACUGGCGCCUUUACUUCUUGCCCCCUUGAUGUUGAAUUCUUUGAUCGGAACACAAGAGAAAUUCAUGCUGGAGAGAAUCGAAUGAUGCUGGUGGAUCUAUGACUCUUUGGGUUAGAUAUGCAGCUCAACGAGCAAGAAGUUACACAACAGGCGGAGGAGGUCUUGAAUAAGUUGGUGUCAAAGAAGCUAAGGAAAGUCAAGGGGUCGUUGGUAGACUCCGCUCUCUCUGAUGGUUAAAGAGAUUCUUUGGGAACCUGGGAAGCAAGUAAAGUCGUUCAGCUUCAAAGCUCCCAGCUUCUCGUUCUUAAUGAGUGAAACCAGUCUCAGGGCUAGUUAAGGUUGCAGAAUACAUUCAGUAAACAAGAUGAAUUUCGCUUGCACUUCAAACAUCAGAUUAUGAGUCUGCUUCCAGCUCUAAAUGAGGCAGGAUAGGAUUGUGUAACGACCCGCUAAACUCCAGAGGUUUUCUAGUAUUAAUUUCCCCCGAUCGAUUAGAGUGAGAAUAACUGUUAUUCAAUAAACAUGGUGCGGUGAGAAAGUGUUCAAUGCUUUUGAUCUAAUCGUUUGAUUGGGUUCAUCGUUUUCACUAAAACAAAACUCAGAAAGGGAAGGAAAAGGCUUACUACUCGGGGGCACAAUACUCUUUUUGAUGUUGGAAAUGGGGAGUUUCUAACACUCUAUCAAAGCCUAUGGGCAACCUAAACCCAAGGAGUGCAGAGUCCACCCAUCCAGCUCCAACGACGUAGAUAGAUUCUAAAGUUAGGUGCUAGUUUCUUAAGUGAGAUCGGCAGUCCGGGCUAUAUCGCGUUACAUUAGUUUGGCAAGACCCAGUGACAUUGUAAGUUGUUUUCUCCGCUGAUCCAAAUUACAGUCCAAAUGGAAUAGGGUGUAAUCCAGCUAUUGUUGCAACAAGGCGAUCGAAUCCUGUAUGCCAACCAAAGGUUUUUCGACUCUUCCUGUUAUAGGAACUUAAGGAGGUACGCUGCUGGUCCAGGAGAGCUCAGUAUGGUUGUCCCCAACUCUUGUUUCAUAAGUUGGUUGGCCCAGUUGUUACGCUUUCUCGUUCAUUAAGAACUGCUUUUCCUAGGUAAAGGAAGGUUGAGCCUAUAUCUUGGUGAGGCCGAGCUACAAGUGGUGUCCUGUACUGCCCUCCAACUUCUAAUAAGCCGGCAUCUUUUCCCACAAGUAAAGUGACCUACCUUUAGGGGGGAAUGCCUCCAAUGCCUUAGAUGACAAGUAUCGAGCUGCUCUAGCAACUUGCCUUUGUGUCUUUGACUACGCCUGAUGCUACUACUGGUAAUGUAAGAAGCCUUGCCUCUAAAGCCUUUGCUCCAUAGCUUUUUCCUCUACUUACGCAGGCUCCGUCGCUCCCCCCAUGACUAGUCGAUCUCCACCUAGAUGGGUAAAAGGAACGAGAGUCUUUGGCUGGGUCAGUUACUAUAUGCAAUAUCUCAAUACUAUAUGCAAUAUCUCAAUACUAUAUGAUUGAACCCGAACCUAGAUCCGACAACGGAUUGAUGACCAAAGCUAUUCUCUUUCGUGAAGCAUUAAUAAGUAAAACAGGAGAUAGCAAAUGGCAAGAUGGACUUUGGCUCUGUCUCGCUCGGGUGUCCCUAUCCCGAAGUAGCGUUCUCCUCUCCCCCUUGCAUCAUUCCAUUCAGAGCGCAUAGAUUGGAUGCUUCCCCGGGGCAGUAAGGACUGCUUGGUGAAAUUACUGACUUAUGGGGUUAGGUUAGGAUUCCAUCACUGUAAAAAGCAAGGGAGUGACACUAAGGUUGAAACUCUCUGUAGAAAGAUUGCCUAAAUUGAAGCAAAGAAGUGAUCCCCACUACGAAUGAGAUGUCGUAUACGCAAAAGAAAGCUCCGUCCGUUGCAGGCGCAUAAUCCUACUGUCAUAAGGAAUUCCAUUAACUCCAUAUUUCAGAGAUAUAAGCCUAGGAGCAAUAGACUAAAGAGGUAGGGGGCAUCAUCUGUCACAAAGUAAGUAACCAAGGGAUAAGGAAGAAAAGGCAAGGACGGGUGUGAGCAAGGAUUUAUGGCGCGGGAGUAGUCAACUUUUUGGAAGCUGUCUUUCCUUUAGCCGUCUAUCUUCUCUCAAACUAUUGGGCUAUUUAUCAGACCAUCCAAGGAAAUCGUUAGGUCUAGCGCCCCUUUCUCAGUCCAAGGGAAUGCUAAAAUGCUAUUGUUUCCAUUUCCCUUCUUAUUUCUUAGUAGAGCCUUCCAAACAAACCGAAAGAGUCAGAUUGCAAUUAGACUCCAGAAGUUUUCCCCCGCCACAGACUUGCCCUGUCUCCAUAAAGCCCCAAUAUACUUGAUUUCUUUUAGUCAUAAGAUUCCACGGAGUAAAUCAUACUUACUGCGCUUCAUUGAUGUCGGAUGGUUUGCGGAGCCCCUAGCCUCCCUCCUCCUUGAUUUCUCCUAUACAAAGCUUAGCCCAACGGAUAGUGUGUGUAUAUACCCCUUUUUCUAAAGAAAGCUGCUAAAUAGACUGGAAAUAGUCUUCAGAGUGUAUCUAGAAAGAAGGCUGCUAAAAGUAAGGGAUACUCUACUGGACGUACAGAUCUAAUUCACUCCAAUCUGCCAAAGCCAGGAACAACGAUUGGAAACUGGAAACGAAAUUUCCAUAAUGGAACUCAAUAAGAGCGGAACUGUUACUGUGCUUCAACUUUGGAUCAAGCAGAGGUAGUCCCUAAAUAGAAAAUCGAGUUGUAUAGGCUAAUUUCCCGUAUACACCACUCCCCAAGAAUUGCAUAGACUUGUGCGGGCGAUUCAAAAACGAGUCACUUAGCUCUUUGAUAAUAAGCAAGGCCUGACCUGACCACACUGCAAACUUAGCAAAUAACCCAACCUUCCAAAGCAAGAAGAGAGAAUGAACUUCACCUUUGAAAAGGACAAGCAGAUCAUCCGCUAAAAUAAGGUACCUUAUCUUUGGAGCCAGUUCUAAACAAGUCAAUCCUUCUUGAGUCAACUAAAAAGCAAACUCAGAAAGAAACACCAAACCACCCGCUUACUUAUAAGAAAGAGAAAAGAAAAGGAAGGAAAGCUAGAAUAACUCUUAAGGGAGGGAGAUCGAGCUCAGAACUCCGUAACACUAUUAACAAUUUCCAACUCAAAGGAAAGAGAUGUGAAAUAAAACUAGCACAAAAACACUUGAUUCUAAAAAGGAAAGACUCCAGAUAAUGACUAAAUGAAAAAGAUCUUUCGAGACAAACUACUAUCAUGAACAUGUCGAAGAAAGCUGGGAAAGUGAGAAGAGCUCUUAAACCCCACGUAGCUGUAUCUAGGCUAGGUUUAGAAUAUGGCUUACCCUUUUCCCCUAUUUAGAUUAUUGGUCUCUUAGAAGCUUACCCAUCUAACUUAUAAUACUGCUAACAAUAAGCCAUACUUAUAGAGAAAGGCGCCAUACUUAUAGAGAAAGGCUAUGUCCAGCUGUCUAUCCUCUUUCACUUAUCAAUCUGUCUUUCCUUGACCCACAUCUUCCUCCCUUACCUCUAGACCCAACCUCCUCCAAAUAACGACUAUCUCCCUAUUACCGUGUUGCUGGGUUACUCUCAUUUUCUUGUCUGCUUGCUACGACUACUCUAAUGAAGCUAGGAAUCACUCCACCCUAUGAGAGUUAUUUAUGAGUCUGCUUGCUACGAUCAUCUAAAUAAGCUAGGAAUCUCUCCAUCCUAUGAGAGUGAUUUAGAUAGGUGGUAUAUUACAAGGAGUGAUGAAAGUGUGUCAGCCUAUAAGAAAGAUGAGAAGAUACGUCUCCUGGAAUUAGUUGCUCUCUAUGUAAAUUGAUCUUUAGCAAGAAGCCCUCCCUCAGCUAUUUGAUAAUGACAUAGGUCCCUUGCGUAUGCCUUAAUUAGCUUUUUUUCAUCUCUUUCUGAUAUGCUAUCUUCCUUUAGCCGGACUUCUCCCGCAUUACUUUUGAUCAAGAGUGGGCGAGUACAACUAAAGUAAUGCAACCCUUUCUUUCCUUAAGAGAGUUCAGCACGGAUCAAGUUUCUUUCCUUAAGAGUUCAGCACUGAUCCUUCUCUCUUCUUUUUGAAAAGCAAUCUACUUAUCCUUCUUUCUCUAUUAGGAAAGGCAAUCAAUCCACUACCACUAAUCCUAGAAAAGGCAAUCAAUCUACGACCACAAAUCCUUAUUAAUAAGUGCCCUUCCUAUCAAUGGAGCAUCCAACCACUCCUUGCCUUGACCGAGUCUAAAGAAAGGGGAGCGCCUCGUCGUUUAGCUAUCGAAAGCCAGCAAGAAAGCACUUUCGCACAGAAUCAAUCACAUAGCAAAGACUUUUCCCUUAAGGCUACUAGCCCCCCUUUUCCAUAAAAAGAAGCAAAGCGCAUGGCGAUAAAGUUAAUGAAAUCAGGCAGACCGAUGGAUAAGAGAGAGAAGAAUCCCAGAGAAUAGGCUCACAAGAUAUCAGAUGAAGACUGAAGCGAAUCCGUGUUUUUUCUGAAUGAGAAAACAUCCUCCUCUCCUCUUCUUUACCCCACUGAGCGGUAUAAUCAUAAACAAGUAAUCUCCAAUCCACUAAUAGGUUGAAAUUGGGUAAUCACUUUCGAGCACUGAGGAUUCUUUAAUAAAGCAAACCCUCCAGUCCUAUCUUGCUACCACUUGCAAGUUUAGAGAUCCUACAUUCCCAAUGGCAGAGAAGAAGGAAGGAUUCAAGCUGGAAGGAAGCAAUAGAGAUUCAUCCAAUAUAGAGAGAUUAUACCUUUAGAGAUUCUCUUCGAUCCCCUAAAGGGAAGUGCCCAUGCAAUAGAAUCCAUGUUUAGAAUCCAAGCGAGCUACUGUCCGGUCUAACAGCUACGCGACUGGUCUAAGAGAUAACACAUUUGUUUUGAUCUUUCUAUUUAAGUACUAGUGGCGUUACGGAUGAAGACGGGGAGUGAGCAGGUUAGAAGUCGGGCAGCAGUCUUAUCACUUCCAGGAAGACCUAUAUAUUUGGGAGUAGAGCGGCAGAAGGAGGUCUUUCUUCCCCAAUAAAUCUACAAAGGUGACUAGUCUAAGAUCGUAGACAAAAGACGGAUCAUCAAUUCUUUUGACUAUUUCUUUAGAGCCUAAAAUGAGAAAGAAAUGCUAACGAGGCGAGGGUCAAUGAGGCCCACGAAGGAAACCAGCAGCGUAAAGGCUCUUUCAAAGGGGCAGGGACGUAGCAUAGGCCGACUCAUAGGAUAAGACUGUGCGUGUGAAUCCCGAGAGUUCCUUUUCAUUCCAUUCCUAAAAGGGCUGGCUACUCUUACUAUUUGGAAAGAGCUUGUUUAAAGCAUCUUCUAUUGCUCACUUUAUCAGUCGAAUUCCAGUUUCGGGAGAUCACCUUUCUCAGGGAAGAAUAAAAGAAAGCACUUACUAACUGAAUGACUUAAAAAGAAAGCACUUAUCAUUCAGGAGAGCGGGAAAAUCCAGAUUCAUUAAGUUUGGUCCUAGAGAUCCUUACUCAAAAGAGAAGCAUAUUACAAUCAAUUGUAAGGCAUGAACCAAAUGGGGGAUUGACUUGAAAGUGGAGCGUCGCGAUCUAUUGGCAGGAAUGAAUGUGAAUGAGAGAAAGGAAGAAUAGAAUGAUUGCGCUUGCCCCAGCUCCAAAGGGGGGAAUAACAGUAUGGAAUAAAAGAAGACGUCGUGGGCAGAUAGAAGACUUACCGGAGUACAAAGGAAUUCCUUGCUCCACUAGUAUACAACUUUCCAUGUAGAUAUUCAAUGGUAUAUAGGCCCGAAAGCUAAGACGAAUUCGAAUUGACAAGAUGUGAGUAGUGGCCAAAAAGAGAACUCCCGUGGACUCACCACUACAAGUUUUGGACUCGCGCCUUGCUUUGAACUCAGAAAGAGAGGCAUAGACUCUCACAAAUGUUCAUAGACAAAUAGACUCUCACUAAUGUUCAUAGACAAGUAAGGUAAGGAAAAAGAUAGAAGGUAUAUAAGACCAAAGGAGGCUAAGAAGAAAUAAGAUAGCAUGUUGGAAGAGAGCAAGUAGGAGUGAGAAAAGCGAAAGAUGGAAUAUGACUAAAAGAAGGAAGCAAGCAAAUUCAAGAUGAGAGCAGCUAGCAAGCAUAAGUCGGAACUAAGCAAGCAGGGAAAGUAUAAGCGCCUUUAAUUGCGCUCUAGUACAGGGAGAAGGAGAAAGCUGUGGUGGGGACAAAGGGACAAGAGGGUAUCGAAAUGCAUUCCUUUGCUUGACCUUUUAGAGAUUUAUCCUAUAGUCUCCAUAUAAAUACCUAUGUCUGGAUAGAGUCGGGGUGGAUAAGAUCAGAUCGACACUAUUAAAAGAGAGAAUAAGUAUAUUAAAAGAAAGAAAAAGUGGAGGGUCCAUAGCAAAAGAUAGAUUUACAUAGAAAUCACUAAAGAAAAGGAUGUGUGCCCGGGGCUUGAAUAUCAAAUCUCCAUUUAGCCAAUACACCAGGUAGACGUUAAGCCCAUAAAAGAACUCCAUCUCUGGUCGCCGACAGUCAACGCAACACAAUCACCUCUAUCGUAUGAUUGACUUAGCGCUGAACAUGAAAGAUUCCCCAGGGGCUUAUACUCGGCUGCCGAACCGUACGUGACUCGUAGGCUCUUCUAUCGAAGGUCGAAGCUAUGCCUGGACUAUCUCCUUUUAUAACUGGCACAAGAACUCCCAGCUCUACUGUAUGGAAUGAAGUCUUUGAAUCCGGAGACUAGGAACUCAACAACUUGUCCACUGGCGCAUAUCAAAGAAAAGUCAGAGAAGAAAGAGCAUUAGCCCAAGCUAGAGCAUUUAAGGUUUGGUGGCAAUAGGGAACCACACUCAACACAAGUAAUGCAUGCCUUUCAUCGGGGUAAAUAAAGAGCUAUCGUACUAGGGUGGAAACAGGAAUUGGGACUGGGCCUCCCGGCUUGAAACUACUGGAGCUUUAGCCAUUAGUCUAGCUCACCCCUGAUUUGUCCUGGAUCUUUUAGCGAAUUGGAUGAUCGGUAAGAUAUUAGUUGUCCCCUCGCUCUCCUAUAUAUGAUCCCUAUAUAUUUACCUUGAGCAAGUGAAUUUCCCAACUCCAAAUCUAUAAAGCUUUUCAAUCGGACAACUUUCGAAAACUUCAUGUUUUUCGUCAUCAAGAGUCAGAGGAUGCUUUUAGAGAGUCCUCAUCAGUCAGAACUUAUAGAGUAGUAAGUAAGCAGAUAGAGUAGUAAGUAAGCAGAUAGAGUAGUAAGUAAGCGAAGAUGGGCGGUGGUGGGGAGAGGGAAGAAGCUCACGACGAAUCGUUUCGGCCACUCGACGGAAAGGGAAAGCAAAAACAAGUCCCUUACCUUAUUUUGAUGCUUAAAGAAAGCAAGCAUGGUCACAUCUUAAUUGAAAUAGAAUUGAGAAAUAUGCCGCUGGUAGCAUUCCCUGACUCGGUUCCGCUGGUAGCAUUCCCUGACUCGACGAACUAUCCGAAGCACAGGAGUGCUCUUUCCUUGAGCCCCUACUGUACCUUAACUUAUUGUUUGGCUCGAGUUAACCAGGGCGAUGGCCUUCACCUUCCCCGAGCCCCUCCGCGCGGUGAUUGAUCCCACCGCAUUUCUUGCCCUGCCCACUUCUUCGUCAUCAGCCCCCAAAGUCGGGAAUCGCCGAGAGACGAGACUCAGGGCUCUUCCAGAAGAAAAGACAAGGAAAGAAAGGAGUCUGAUCUCUAUAGAAAAGAGUUAUGUCAUAACAAAUAAAUGAAUCGAUCUAUUGGAAUCUGUCUCUAUAUCUUCAUCUAUGGGGUCAUACUUAUGGUGCUUUUUGUGUACUGGUUCCCUCCUCGCUGGGAGAGGGGAUCUUCCAUUCUUCCUGUGGAUCCAGCAAGAGUCUCCGAGGACUUAGUAAGCUCCGACUCCAACCUUCUAUGAAAAAGCCUGACUUUAAGUGUAAGCUCCGACUCCAACCUUCUAUGAAAAAGCCUGACUUUAAGUAAUCUUGCUUUCUGUGGUGAACAGGUCGAGGGGAGCAGCAGCCGAAACCGUGAUCUUUAGCCCAAAAUGUCAUUUUCGUGUCUUUAUGUUAGCCAGUUAGUUCCAAACAAUAGGAACGGGCAUCUUUCGGGAGUAGCAGAAGGAUAAGAGCAACGGGGGCAUGAUCUGAAAGUGUUCUACUCAGGUGCUGAAACAGUAGUGUGGAGAAAGGGAACUUGCCAGCAUGAAUUGAUUAGGCUUCUGUCCUACCAACCUUGCUCGGAUACAAACAUCUUCCUAUUGGUUAUUACACCAACUUGAUACCAAGGAAACCAGCAUUGCAUCUAUCCGUUUUGCUAGAGAUAUGGCUUCAUGGAAAUCGUCUAUGGAACGGUACCGAAGGAGGGUCGGGUCCCUCUCGUUUGCAUAAAGGAGAGUGUUGAAAUCAAUCCAGAUUAGCCAGCAGGGCAUUUCUAUUGUUUGCGAUAGCACGUGUAGCUGCUGCCAUAGUUCUCUGCGGUCAACAAUCGAACACCUUGCGUACACAAAGGAUAACACAGCCUCUAUCUACCGUGCGCACAAUUUGGUUCCUGAAGGUAACCGAUUUGCUCAUGAGAGUGCUGAAGGGUUAGCUGAGUUGGUAACUUCCUUUUUCUUACCUAAAUCUUUACACAUUUUAGAACAAUGAAAUUAUCCAUUCCCUAUCGCUUGCAAAGAGCCUCCGCUUUCUUGCUAUCUAUCAGAAGUUCCUUAAUUGCUAUCAAUUGAACUCUAUGCUCCAUGAUAAGCGUCUUCCGUCUUCUAAGCGCAAGAAGUGAGGUGAGGGAAUUCCUAUAUUCUUGUGGGGGUUGAGACUAUCCUCCGAGUACUCUAACCACCUAUAGGCGAAUGAAUAAUGUUAGAAAACAGAGAUGAGAUGCAUAGGCUAAUAAUAGGCUAAUUAAUUGAUUAUUUCAUCCAUACAGAGAGCGGGAAGUCCUUUAUUCUAGUUAGUAUAGAGAAGAAGGGGGCUCGGCCUGCAGGAGUACUUAAUCUCGGGACUACCACGAGGCUUGCCUUCUUUAGAAAGACCAAAAGCCAACAAUAAGGUUCCAGACAUCAAUGUACCUCGGAAAUGAUUAGUUCGGGCGGUGGUGCAUCCACUCGUUCUUAGAGCGACUAUGUACCCACUCGUUCUUAUAGCCUAAUCAAUCUUAUAGUAGUGAACGGAAUACCAUAGGAUUCACUGGGCAGUAAGCAAGACGCAGCCUACUUAACGAGCGUAAGUAUUAGUUCUGGAACCAAAUCUUAUUAUUAGUAGAGUCGUUUGAUUGGGCUCCCCACUAGGGUAUUCUUUGACUUAUUACUGUGAUUCUGAGUUUGGGCAGUGCUAAUGCUAUUCUGACUUUGGACGGUGCCAAGCCAAUGCUAUUCAAGCCAAUGCUAUUCAUAUCAAGUUGACGCAGUACCAAUGCAAUUCAUAUAAGAUAGUUAGUUUCCUCAGUGCAAAUAAUAUUCGAUUCUCUUAUAAUAUAUUAGAACAUAGUUGAUUCCGUGCCAAUGCUACUAUGACUUGAGAGUUGAAGUAGAGGAGAGAGAUGCCUAGCUGACUUGCACAAACUAACCCACCCUAGAGCGACUAUGUGCCCAAGCAUUCGCGGACCCCGGGACACAAUUCCAUCAUUCAUUCAUAGGUCGUUGGUGCACCCAUGAAUUCAGUGAGCGAGCAAUCAUUCACCAUCACCAUCGUGUACGUGCAUCGUGGAUGCGAUCAACGUUCAUUCAUCGUGGCGGCGAUCAACAAUAACAAUAAAGCACGGUCAGGCGACUCAGUGUUUUCUUUUAGUAACAUAAAUAAGUAUGUGAACGACUAUGUCUAUGUGCCGUGCCCAAUCAGUCUUAUGCAGCGGGAACAAUCAUUCUGUGAACGGACCCCCGUGAUGGUGAUUAGGGUUUUGUCAACGUCAACAACGAGCGUAAGCGUAACACGUACCUCCGCGGCCAGGGUUCAAGUCAAAACACCUUUAGUAGCACCUAGAAACCGAUCCUCUCUAUCUGAGCGAGACAAUAAACAACCAUUCUUUACGUACCACUACAUAGUCGUCGGGUCGGGGCGGGGACCAUCUCUCAUUCAUCGCAGGGACGGGACAUCGACAUCUCCAAUCUGAAUUCCAUUCACCGGUUUUUCAAAUGGAACGAUAGAUCAAAUCAAGUUGUUUCUACAUCGGUUAUGUGGUGAGUACGUCGACCUUGACCACGUUGGUUGUUUCCUUUCAGAACGAAUUGACUCCCAGCAUGAAGUAACAAACAGCAGACUUAAAGAUAGAUCGCUCGCUUAGUGCAGUAAAGUGAUAUUAGGCGGUUCCUGUUUCAAGUGUAAGGUAAGAAAAUCCAAUCAUAGAAUAUGAACGACAACUCAUAUUUGUGAGUAAACAACCAGCUUCCUGUUAUUACCCAACUCCGCGCUCACUGCGAAACUCUACAAACUCACUAAGCGGUAGCACUUAGGCUUUCAAAGGUCAACUCGCAGCUGUAAACAGAAGAAGCAAGGGCAGUAAAGAGCAUUAAUCUGGGCUACGGAUUAGUUGGUAAAGAUGGAACCUUCCGAGAUAAAGAAGUCGUGGUGUCUGUCUUUACAUAUUUCAUAGAUUUAUUGACUCCCGAACCCUUUCCUCUACAUCAGGAGAAAUCUUAUCCCUUCGUUCCCACCUUAUAGUAUUGGAUAUUUUCAUAAGAUUCCGGUAAGGGCGGUUGAGCAGUUGAUUCAGCAAUUUCUAGUGAGGAUGUUAGUUGCUAAAGAAAGAUGAGAUGGGACGGACAGCAAGUACUUAUAAGAAGAGGCAGAGUUGAGCACACAUGAUAGAAAGAUGCAACUGCCCUUAUUCUAAUUGAUUCUAAUUAAAUAGAGCAUCUCCUCUUAACGUGAGUUUUAGUAUGCCUAAAGUCCUUAGCCGAUAUUCUCGUAAAGUCAAGUAAGCUGCUUUGUUACUCAAUUACAUUAUAGGAGAGAGAUAAGAAUAGUGAGUUUCCUGUAUUUCCAUGAUAGUGGUUGACUUGAGACUUAAGCGUUACGUGGGCAUGAGAAAAGAGAUGAUCUUCUGGAUACGAUGACACUUAUUGACUUUGUUGUCUUAGCUGCCGUUCCCUUUUACUUAACCGACACAUGAGAAAAGAGAUGAUAUCUUAUAGCGUUAUUCCUGACUUCAGAAUUAAUGAAAUAGUAAGUGGGUGGAGUAUAACACAGUGCGCCUAUUUUCAUGAUUAAACGAAGCAAUGCAGUUUUUUUACGCAAUGGCAAUGCUGUUACUGUGCUUACACAUAGAAUAUGUGCACUUCUAUACCCCUUAUUAUGUACAGUACAAAGUCAACUUCUCAGAUUCUUUUCAAGCAGGCAGAGUUCAAUUGAAUUAUAAUAAGUGACACAUAAUAUCAUUUACGAACCUAACCCAACUGAUUACUCCUCCUAAGCUCACGUAAGUACCCGCUAAAGUAAGCUUACACGCGGAAGAAGGCUUCUUUCUUUCCAAGUAAGGACACAAUCCGGUAAUUCUCCACGACAAUACUGGAACCUCUAUUGUAGACAAGGAGCGGAUCUCGCAUCUGAUCUUGUAACGGCUGAUUCUCUCUAAGACAACAACUGAACUGUCCGCUACUACCACAUAAGUAAGGGUUCAUCCAAUACUAUAUUGAUUAUGAUCGAGUAGACUCACUACUUCCCGCGCGUACUUUGACUUUAAUCACCUCUCUAUUCAUAGAUUGUUUGCUCACCUCUAACGACUUUAUUCCCAUUCAUAGAUUGUUUGCUCACCUCUAACUACUUUCUUCUUUCCUUAGGUGCACCGAGCGAGCAUAGCAACAGCGGGCCGGGCCCACCUCAAGAACAACCAACCCCUUUGGAUUUAGUUGUCGUUCAUGAAAUAUUCAAUGAUAACAAUACCACUAGUUCUGUGACAUUUCUAGAAGGGUGCUUAAAUACUUCUUUUCUAGUUCUGUGACAUUUCAUAGUUCUGUGACAUUUCUAGAAGGGUGCUUCAAAAUACUUCUUCUAGUUCUGUGACAACUAAUGAAAGGUGCUGAAAGCUUGUGCAAACCUAAGAAUGCUUGCUUUGACCCCCCACCCAGAACAGGCGGACCCAAACUCCCGUCCUGGAAGAAGACCCCGAGGCGCGCCAGGUAUGCCCGUAACCAGUGCCAGAGAUAGGCUAAAACCCGGCCAACCAACAUCAAAGAAUACUGCGUGUAAGCUCUGGAUCCUUCGAGAUCCCCAUGCAGAACCGCUUCCUUCCUCUAGCACAGUUUUUUAUAGGAAGGAUGGACCCUAUCUCUCUCCCUAAGCCAGGCCAAGCUCCUCAACGGAGGCUACUACAGAAGCCUACAGCCCGAUCUGACCUCAUAGAGCACUUCCUUCUCUUAGCCAUAAGCUCUUAAGCACUCCUUUUCUCAAAAGAAGCUCUUUCUUCACGACCGUAUUCUUUCUCUUAUCCAUAAGCUGUUAACGACCUCCUUCUCUUAUAAUUGAGAAUCUUUGAUACUCCCAUCCUUCUCUUAUCCAUAAGCUCUUAACUACUUCCUUUUCUUUUCUCUUAUAAUCGUUUCGACUCCUAUUCUAUCUCUAAAAGUCAUCCCUCUCCUAUCCUAAAUAGAAAGCUGAGGAAGAAAGCAGUUCUAACAAGUUGUCUUUCUAUCAAUAGCUACACUCUUUUAGAAAUUCUCUAAUCGACCAGGCGUAUUGUGUCGAUUCUUGUGGAGAUGCUUUGAUCCGAGUCGAUGAGUUUGAAUAUUAGUCUUCUUCGCUCAAAUAAGGGUCAUUCUCUCUUUUUUGAGGACUUUUUCGAUCCCAUCCUCAAUCCAUUGAUUUCUAAAGUACCUAAUUGGACGCGUGCUUGCCACGGCCCUUCCUUCCCAUUUACUUAUUUUAUCCGGGUCGGGGGUUCAAAUAGGAGUUGGAUCCUGGCUCAUAAGGAAGGCUAGUGUUAUGUCAGGACCCCAGGCAGAGUGUUUCACGCGUUGUUAACCGCGCAGUAGCUUUUGUAGUAGUAGUCGGGAUCGUUUUUGAACGCCUUGACACCCCCUUUCUAAACACUUGGGCCCUGUUACCUCCCUUUGAAAUGAUUUCUUCUUUAAUAACAUAGCAUAGCCCUCUUGUCUUGCUUACAGAGCUUCUUUCUCGCCUUACCAGCAUGGAACUCGGGUUAGCACAACGGAAUAAGGAACGGAACAAUACAUAGCUUGCUCGAGCUCACUAAUAUUGCAUUGCGUCCUUCCUUGUUAUAGGAAUUGAGGAAAAUAAUCUAUCUUGCAUAUGGGAUGGGAUAUAAACGCGUCACAUAACAGUUUGCUUGUUCUUACUUACUCACUUAUUGAAGAAAGUAACUCUCCACACUGUUUACUGCAGGCUCUAACUGCGCCAAUAAGCGUUAGCGCGACGAAAGCGAACGAAAAAGGUUCCUUAUGUUGAAGCAACUUUCUACUUAAUUAGAUACGCAGAUGAGACACUUUUGAAGCAACAACAGUUGGACAUAAACUUGAAAGAAAUAAGUAGCAUAUGAGAGAAAGUAUAGUAAACAAACCGCAUUGCUUCUGCCUUUCCAAUCAAAGAAUCGAAUUUAGUGCACCAAAUAGACCGUUCGUAUAGACAUUGACUCGGCUUGGAUCGAUAACAAAAACAUAGAAAGCCUUAGGAUAGGAAGGAACUGCUAUUGUGUUUUAAAAAGGACUCAACCUAGAUCAUUUUGGAUGUGCUUUCUAGGCUUUCUUCGGAUCCCUGAAUUGAUGCUUAUUAGAUCCAGAACCCUCCGUAAGAAGUUCCAUGUGUAUGUGCCACGAGCCAGCCAAUUCCAGCUUGCCCCUUUGAAAGGUGUUGGAGGAAUAUAAGUAUUCUGUAUCCUUUCUUUGGAGAUCAUACGUCUGAGCUCAACGAUAACCACCUAUGAUUCUUUAGAAACCCAUCCAUCUUAUGCUAAUAAUAUAACUCAAGCUUUGGAAGCAGUCCUAUUAGCUAUUCUAGCCACCUAUUGUAUAUUUACUACUUUGAAAAGCAGUCCAAUCUAGGUCUUGAGUUCUGUAGUGAAGCCCUUUGAAAGCCCCAGAGCGUAGAAAACUACAUACUUAUCAGAGUCCUUUGCUGAGAUGAAUUUAGCAUCUGGGUACGAUAAGUGGGUGCAUUGGCUAUCUAGUGGACAGUUCUUCCCUUCGUAGCGUUGGAUGGUAGGAACUUACUUAUGGAAUGGAUUUGAUACUAUACUCGAAUGGAUUUGCAAUAAUAUCAAUACUAUCGUUUUGGUCCAUAGCUUAUGAGUUUGAAUGUCCCGCUAACCGAACAUAUGGACAUCGUUCUGAUGAAAGAAGCUAGUCGAGCUGAAGGAAGUGAUGCUAAGAAUGGCUACUUUUCGACUGACCCUAUCCACUCGAUUAGAUAUAUAAAUUCCAAGUGCUUAAGGGCCACUAACUCCCUAAUACCUUGGUUAAAACAAGAGCUCUCCACCGGAUAGAGAGCGGACAGCUUCGAUUCUAUAGGACAAAUUCCACCUCAUUUUCGGAUGGCACUCUCUUGCCCAUCUUUCUUUCUUUCUCCUCUCGAAAUGAAGGAGGGUUUGCUGAUAGUUUCUCUUCCGUUUCUUGAUUGGAACUCAAUGAUAUGAUUUUCUCAGACAAAGGAAGCGGAUGGGCCGGGGUCGCAUCCACCAUGGGCUUUGCUUUGAUAUACAAAUCCCUUAUGUUUCCUCCUAUGAGGAUAAUGUUAUGGAAUAGCAGAGGAGCAGCGAGAAUUCCAGAGCUAGGAUCUAACAAAGCGCAGGAAGACUAUUUAGUUACUGUACUUCAUCCCCAAGCGUUUAGAAUUCCAUCUACACAUUCUUUUCUUAGAUCAGUGACCAGAGGGAGAUUCAUAUUCAUUACCAAUUAAGCGCUUAGCGAAUAGAGUUCUCCUUGAAACAAACAAGUAUACGGAAAAGGAAACGGAAGAGUACCUACUUACAGACCCUCAUCGAUCCAUACCAGAGUUAUAGCUCUUUGGCUCUACAACUGACUCGGUAAGUCAAGUCUCUCUAGUUCGUAUCAGUCACAGGCUAGCUAAAGCAGAAUAGGAAUAGACUGCAAAAAGCAUCCCUUAUACUUGGAGCUGUGAUAGCUUAAUCCGAACUAACAAACUCUCCCAUUCCAACUUUCCCUCAAAUCAAAGAAGAAAAAUAAGGGUGCUCAUAGGACGCCUCGUGAAAGAAUAUUUACCCAAAUGAGAAUCUUAUUCGAAGAGAGAAAAACUUCCCUUCUUGCUUGUAUAAAUUAUAGAAUCAAAGAGGAUCUAUCCCAUAAUCAUUCUUGUUUACCUGACACGCAAGGGCAUUUCUUUCUGACUCUAACGAGUCCGCCCCCGCCCCAGUGGUCUGGGUUCAUCCUUCAAUCAAGACGUAGAUUUGGUUUUCCUUGAGAAACUUCAAGACGUAGAUUUGGUUUUCCUUGAGAAACUUGGAAAUACUGACCUUAUUAUUAGAGAAAGGUGGAAAGGUAAUAUUAGAGAAAGGUAGAAAGGUAAUAUAGACGACUGAAAGGUUGAUAUGGAAGGUGUCAAAUGGCUGGGAAGGUGUCAAAUGGCUGUAUAGGCGACUGAAAGGUUAUAUGGAAGGUGUCAAAUGGCUGAUGCUUAUUACUGGAAGAUAGAUAGAAUAGGCGAACGGAUGUGCUACCCGGGUUUGACUCUAUCUGGCUAUUCUAUACUGUGCUAGUGAGCAAAUUACCUCCCGACCUGUUGAGCAGUUCUUAUGUAGGCUAUAACAAUGAAAUGAAAGCUCUAUUGUGGAUCAUGAAAUUGAGAUUGAUCCAGCCAAGGUAAAAGCAAGAAUCGAAUAGCCACCCGACUACUCACUCUUGAUUCUUUGGCUUUGAUUUACUGAAUAAGAUGGGACGAAGUUGCUCGACCUAUAGAGUGUAUAAAGCAUGGUAAGACUAGUAGGGCAGGAAAAAGGAGUUCGAAAAAACCCUUAAGAGGUUGAGAAGGUGCGAAGUCUUAACUAGCACAACAACGACUUACUUGACUACUAGCACUCUACGACUCUCUUUGUUGAGUGACUAGACUCAGACUCUCCUUUGAUCAAUCACUAUCGCCAUAAGAAUCAGAGAAAAAAGGUCAAAAGAAGGUAGGGAAGGAGGGAGUGAACUAGGUUCUAGGCUGAUGGCGCCCAUAGGCAUUUCGAAAAAGCAGUGUAUAGUGUAAACCAACGAAAACCAUUAAGUUAAGGUGCUGAAGCCAUCUAAUAUGAAAAAGAAGCCAAGACCCGACUCUAGCUUUUGUCUUGCUGAGCCUCGCGAAGAGAAAGUUGGAAUUAAAGCAUACUUUAUGCAAGUCAUUCCCUAUCGACCUCUUGAUUGAAUACGGAGGGGGGACUAGGAAUGAUGGGCUAGAACGUAGAUGGGAUAAAGGGAGGGAAAGUAUAGCAUAGGGAAAACCCCCUCUUCGACGCUGUAUCCAUACGGGCCUUGAAGCCUUCCUUCUUAUAGUAUGAGAUUGCUGCUUACUCACCUAACCUACGGAUUAAUGCUUUCAAGGCUAUGACAUCAGUACAAGAAGACAAGAGGAGAUGAGGUAAAGAGUCGUCUAAGAAUUCGCCUUGGGGGGUCUGGUCUACCUUAGUCCUGUGCUCUAAGCAAUUAUUUCGCCUUUGUCAAAAGAGUAGGUGCAGCAUAUUCCUUUAGAGGUAAGAAGUAGCUCCAUCAUAAGGUUACUACAGGAAGUAGAUGCUCGUCCGACCCUCUCUCCAUAAGACCUCUCUAUCCCUAAUUGUAUAGUAAGUAUGCAACCCCGCACAUCUACAACACAGUAACUACCAUCGUUCGGGGNNNNNNNNNNNNNNNNNNNNNNNNNNNNNNNNNNNNNNNNNNNNNNNNNNNNNNNNNNNNNNNNNNNNNNNNNNNNNNNNNNNNNNNNNNNNNNNNNNNNNNNNNNNNNNNNNNNNNNNNNNNNNNNNNNNNNNNNNNNNNNNNNNNNNNNNNNNNNNNNNNNNNNNNNNNNNNNNNNNNNNNNNNNNNNNNNNNNNNNNNNNNNNNNNNNNNNNNNNNNNNNNNNNNNNNNNNNNNNNNNNNNNNNNNNNNNNNNNNNNNNNNNNNNNNNNNNNNNNNNNNNNNNNNNNNNNNNNNNNNNNNNNNNNNNNNNNNNNNNNNNNNNNNNNNNNNNNNNNNNNNNNNNNNNNNNNNNNNNNNNNNNNNNNNNNNNNNNNNNNNNNNNNNNNNNNNNNNNNNNNNNNNNNNNNNNNNNNNNNNNNNNNNNNNNNNNNNNNNNNNNNNNNNNNNNNNNNNNNNNNNNNNNNNNNNNNNNNNNNNNNNNNNNNNNNNNNNNNNNNNNNNNNNNNNNNNNNNNNNNNNNNNNNNNNNNNNNNNNNNNNNNNNNNNNNNNNNNNNNNNNNNNNNNNNNNNNNNNNNNNNNNNNNNNNNNNNNNNNNNNNNNNNNNNNNNNNNNNNNNNNNNNNNNNNNNNNNNNNNNNNNNNNNNNNNNNNNNNNNNNNNNNNNNNNNNNNNNNNNNNNNNNNNNNNNNNNNNNNNNNNNNNNNNNNNNNNNNNNNNNNNNNNNNNNNNNNNNNNNNNNNNNNNNNNNNNNNNNNNNNNNNNNNNNNNNNNNNNNNNNNNNNNNNNNNNNNNNNNNNNNNNNNNNNNNNNNNNNNNNNNNNNNNNNNNNNNNNNNNNNNNNNNNNNNNNNNNNNNNNNNNNNNNNNNNNNNNNNNNNNNNNNNNNNNNNNNNNNNNNNNNNNNNNNNNNNNNNNNNNNNNNNNNNNNNNNNNNNNNNNNNNNNNNNNNNNNNNNNNNNNNNNNNNNNNNNNNNNNNNNNNNNNNNNNNNNNNNNNNNNNNNNNNNNNNNNNNNNNNNNNNNNNNNNNNNNNNNNNNNNNNNNNNNNNNNNNNNNNNNNNNNNNNNNNNNNNNNNNNNNNNNNNNNNNNNNNNNNNNNNNNNNNNNNNNNNNNNNNNNNNNNNNNNNNNNNNNNNNNNNNNNNNNNNNNNNNNNNNNNAUAGGCCCAGUUCCUUUGAUUCCGGAUUGAAAGGUUUAGUAGGUUAGCAUUGUCAGUUCCGCUUUGCUUUCAUUCACUUCACUGGAUCUCCACCAAUCAUUGAACAACCAGCAGACGAGAAUACCUUUACAAGUCCUGUGCCGUUUACAACCUUGCCUUAACCACUAAACACUCUCAAUCUGGGUGUUAUAUAUAAGCCUUACCUUAACCGCUAAACACUCUCAAUCUGGGUGUUAUAUAUAAGCCUUACCUUAACCUUGUAGUGGUCCAAGCAAUGGAACAUGCAAAGAAUCAAUCUCUCUAGCACAAUAUAUAACUGAUUAACAACACUGCUUCCUCACUACUGGAAGAACGAGUGGAAUUGAGUGUUAACCUAUUUGACUUUCUCCGUGCAUUAACCUAGCAGUUGGGCGAGUCAUACUUACUAUACAGCACCGCUACCUACUUUAUGAAACUCCUGUUAUACUUACUAUACAGCGCCACCCGACCCGAACCCUUACUCUCUACUUUCAUAUGGAACUCCACUUUCAGAACGAGAACGUCUUGAUGGUUCUUCUUAUCCUGUUCCUACAGCUGAUCUUCAAACUGCUGAUGAUCUAUCUUCUGCUUUUUCGCUGGUGGAAGCUAAUAGCAGGACUUGGGCGAUAUGGAGUUAUUGAAUUGGAAUGUUUUACUCGUAACAAAAACACUCCGUUUUCAGCGUCAGAGUAUCAGUUCAAUCUUAUCCUGCGCAAGUGGAGUCUCGUAUGGCUGGGAUAAGGUAAAGAACCGCAAUUCUACAAACAGAUGAAACAAGGGAUUCUACUAGUGAUUCAACUCAAACUUCCUAACCUGCUCCGCCUGCUACUCCAAUAGAUUCUCCGUAAGCGCUAUGAAGUCAAAUCAUGAAUGGAAACUUUGAAAGCAUCUGAUCUCGUUGAUGUCGACCUUCUUUCUUCAGAUACCAGUGCUCCAACCUGCGCAGAAGCUUAAGAUCUUAUUGAUGAAUUGAAUCCAUCUCUUGACUCUCUUGCAUCACAUCGUCGUUCUUAUGAUUACCACCAAGAUAUAUCUAUACCCGGGCUCACCAUAAGCGUAAACACUUACUUCAUUGCUUCAAAACCUUGAUGACUUCUGGAAUGGAAUCUUUUUCUCUAUUGAAAUGCUGGAGUACAGAAUCUUGAAUAACUAUCCACAUAUAUAGAUAGGAUAAGGUAAAUGACUCUCCUGCUACAGGAAACCCUCUCUCUUGCGCCGUUCACACCACACGCUCUCACUCAAGGGAAUGCACUUACUAAGGCUGGGAACAAAACAGAUGGUUGUAAACGAAUUGAACUUCAAUCAGUUACACAUUGUAGAAUAAAGUAACCAAGACCUUUAGGCUCUAAAGAAAGGGAGCUCGCUAACUUAGAUGCGAUCGAUGCGAUGAAGACAGAAGUGUUGAGCGAGUUAAGAUUGAUUUCUUUCCUGCUAACUUGAGACUUAAGCGCAUAGUGGGCAGUUGAUCAUUCCAUUCUUCAAUUAACAAUUCAAAAGGUGAACUCUCCUCAACAACAAGGGCUUUUUGAACUCUAUGACAAGGAGCUACAGUGGGACAAUCACCUUAACCUUUGCUUGCUGUUGACUUUCGCACAGGUCCUGAUCAAGUUUCUGCUGACUGACUACUUACUCUCGGGUGAACAGCUUCUUCGGGAGCUCACAUAUCGGAUUAUUCUUCUGAUGCUGAUGAAACAAGAAAAGAUUCUUCUCUGGAGUCGCCUUAACCUUACUUUAUAUUCCGCUUUUUCUCCCGCUUCUGCUUUUAUGCUGAUACUGUUUAAGAUCUUUAUCUUACUCUUGAUCCAAGAACGAAACUUCCUGUUAGCGCCCGACCUCCCAGAGAUCUUAGUCCAAUAAAACCGACCUCUCUUCUCCACGACACCGUUCAAUUGGAAUAGAUUCUUCCCUGAACCCUUAAAGUCACUACUAAUGAACAAGUGGCGGCAAUAAAGAAGGUUCUCAUUUCAUUUGAAAAGUGCUCAUUGAAAAACCCAAGUAGUCGGUGUUGGCACAAGGGAAGGGAGUGGAAUGAUUGUUUUACUUGACUCCGUGCUCGGCUCUAAAGAUUCAAUGAAUUAUGAAGAUGAAUACUAUUGAGUGGAGUAUAGAAAUGGGUAAAGAAUAAGGAUCUGAAGCUGUUAAUCGGUUAAGACUAAAGUCAGCAGCUGCUCUUAUAGUAAGUUUCUGCCUGGAAUUCCAAUUCUCUUCUUUUUAUAGGAGACUAUCUGAUUGCCCCAACUCUACUACUCAUCGGAUUUCCCCCAUGAAUACAGGACUUGGUAACAACUAACGCACCGAACACAGGACGCAGUUGUCUUGACUUAACUCCCUUCUUGAUGAAGAGCAUUACCUAUUAAUACAUGAUACUCCCUUAUUGAUACCUAACUUUAUACCUUUAGACAAGCAAUAUAGUCGGGUAACUGCUUUACUUCGAGCUGUAGGGCUAAUUUUCCGUAAAUCAUUCAUUCAAUCAUCAUUAAUCAAAUAAGGAUAAGUCGCAUACAUACUCUAUCAAAGUAGCAACACAGCACAGCAGACUCUAUUCUGCCUUACAACCCUUCAAAUACUCCGUUCCUAAGCGCGUGAACUCUGCACUUGUUUCUUAGAAUUCCAUAAACACUGCUUACUCCUAACGCACUAGUAUCUUGCUUAGUGACUUUGUUUUCUUUUCGCCUAGUUACGGAAUGGAAUGCUUAUAGCUUCCUUUAAUCACGAGUUGAGGCAUAAGAGGUUAUAGUGCACCCAUUACGGAAUAGAGGUACCCUCACUGCUUACUCAACCCUUGACUUGCUUGGGCCCUUCUUUCGACCCGGGCCCCUUACUAUAAAGAAUGGAAUCUAGCGUUCAUAUGAGAUAUAAAUGAGUAACAACACUGCAACAAGCUUUGUAUAAUGAACAAUCCACUCGAAAACUAACGUAAGCUCCCCCAAGAGUCUGGAAGCUAACGCACUUGUUAUGUUCGAAAACGCUCACUCUUGACGCUCUUUCUUUUCCUUAUUGUCCCCACUUCUUCUGCACCAACACUGACUCUCGCUUAUUUCCUGCCCUUACAUCCUCUGCGCCAACGCUUACUCUCGGGGUGCUGACGCGGACUUUCGGGUUCUUUGCGAGUGUGAAGCAUCUAUUUACUCAGUUGUGCUUGGACUUAAUAAAGAAUCUAAUCUCUACAGCCCACUACACUCCUAGCUAACCUUCUAUUUUCUAAGCUUGUUCUGUGAAGACCACUCAUACGUUAGCGCAACUUGCAUUCUAUUUUCGAAGCUUGUUUCUCUCUUGUGAAGGCACUUUUCUUUUGUUCUUUAGUUAGCUAGUUUGCAACGUCAGAGGUUUGUUAAGAGUUGGAAUAUAUAUUAAGGCUUUGUUUGCUUAAGAGCGAAAUACUUGUAGCUCGUUGAGUUAGCUCUUUGUCUUUUGUAGCUACACUACCAGUAUGCUAUACAUGGAAGGUGGUCUAAUUCAGUGCUUAGCACUCAGCUUGCUCAGGGCUUGGAAAGAGACCCUUCGAUAGUGAGGCAGCUCUUACAGAGGAAUCCAAAGGGGAUUCUAGACAAUAAAGCGGUUGCAAACUCCCUUCAGGAAGAGUAGGGAGGUACCGAAGAGACAAAGACAACUAUGUAAGGCUUAGACAAAGCUACUACCGAGACUCCUUUCUUUGGAAAGCUCUCUCUUCAACAAGCACUCUUGCAAAGAGAAUCAGGGCGGGCUAGCUCUCUCUCUUCAAGCACUCUUGCCUAAUCAGGGCUAGCUCUCUCUCUCUUUCAAUAAGAACUAUAAUCGAAUCACUCUUACCAUUCAAGCACGACUUAUAGCUAUCUAUCCCGACUACUUGUGCUAUGGACUAUCCCGACUACUUGUGCUAUGGAAAGUUCUAAAACUACUAAACGAAAGGAAGGCAAACAGCUUAUGACCAGGAAAAGUACUACAACAACUAUGCCAGCUAUGAAAGUGAGAUCUAUCAUGAACAAGACAAUUCCACUAGAAAAGCGAGAGACAGACCUGCUGUUAAAGUAAGACAAUCAAGAGCUAUAUAGCUAGAAAAUGAUAGACUUGUAAAGUGUGAGACAGAUGACCUGCUCUCUUUAUUGGCGAGAAGAUAAUAAGUCGAAAGGACAAAAAACGAAGCCCUAACCUAAUAAGAAGGAAGAACUACUUCUGGAAGGGUAAGAAACUCCACGGACCUAAAAAAGAGAAAAGAAAGCAAAGAAGAGACCAACUUCUGAGAUACCCGCUAGCUUAGGUCUCAGUGAGCAACGAGCUUCUUCAAUAGCUAGCCUAGCCUUCACCGCUACUUCUUUAUUAUAGUUGUUUAUUAUCAUAUAUUACAGAACGAUUCCUUUAGCCCUACCCUAGCUCCAAAAGACUAGCUACACUCUUUCCAUUCCUUUUCUAAGAGACACUUGAUUUGAUACUAUACUUGCAGAGACACUUUCUUUUAUACUAUACUUGCUAAAGGAAAGGAAAGGCGAAGUAUCAACUUAUCUAACACAAGCACAAGUGCCUAUGCCUCUCUGUCCUAAAGUAGUAUAGGGUUCCCGAUAUUCUAGAGUAACAUGCUUUUGACCCAAUGUUAGAAUAUUGCACACUUAUAUGAAAUUCUUUAGUGGAGUCGAGUCUCAGAUAUACAUACAUACAUUCUGAAUUCUUAAGUCGAGUCUCAGAUAUACAUACAUUCUUAAGUAUAGCCGAGUCUCAGAUAGACAUAUUUGUUAUACGCCGCUCUUCUCUAUCCGUAUUCUUAUCUAUCAUAUUCUACUUAUAUAUCUUUUAUUACUUUACAGAACAGAGCACAGGCCUAACUCAGCCUUGUGUUUCAUCCGUGCUCAAGCAGUCUCCUCGUUUCGUAUCAAGAAGGGAGUGGAGCUGAUCUAGCGUUAGCGAGCUACUUUCCCGGGGUUCAAUUGAUUGAUACCUUACUUUAGACUUUCUACUCAACUUGCAUUAAUAACUAAGCUAAGUCGGCGGAGUUGGGCCUAAGUGAAGUCAACCAUUCAUUUCAUAUUCCAUCUAUAUAGCAUAUGAGAUAUCUAUAUCAUAGUAAAGUCUAACCUCACUCUAAGAUCAUUGUCUUUACUUCAAUCUAUACCCCAUACAUCAUGUGCAAGAAAGAGAACAAGCAAGUCCAACAAGUAACUGAGCAAGCAAUCCAACAAGCUAAUCUAGAUUUGUAGGUUCAGAGCAAGUCCAACUAGCAAUGGAAGAAACAACGGGUAGAUCACCAUCCGCGGGAUCUUCUGCUGCUAUUGGGUAAUCUUCAAGCCUUUGUUUGUGCUUCUGUUAUUGGCUUUCCCUUAUUGAGUAGUGGUCCAACUGAACUAAUUAACACAGACCUAUGAGCUGGAACAACAACUUGCGGACUUUUUCCCUUGCUUAUUUUAGCACAACGGGGAACUAUACAAUAAUAAUGCUAGUUUGCUCGUAGAACUCAACAAUACACUUUGACUUCUCUUCUUGAACUCACAAACCUCAAGGACUAGAUUGAGAAUUAGUAUAUCAGUCUUAAGUAGCCAGAUAGAGAAUUAGUAUAUAAGACAGUAAGUAAGAAAGACAGUAAGUAGAUCUAAUAAAGUGACAACAUUGCGUACUUAUCAAGCAGCAACAACAGUGUUACCAGUGAACAAACAAUCUGAAUGACGAAAAUCUUUUCCUGAACGUGUUAACUCCAAUAACUUGAAGAACUGUUUCCCUUACUUCCGGACUCCUUAAGAACUGCUUCCUUCGUAACUCCCACCUUGAGCCUGGUAUGAGAGCUAGAAUUGAGUGCACCUAGGAACUGGUCACUGUAAUACGGCUUAAAUGCAUUUAAACACCCGAUAGGGUAGCUUGAUGAUGGAUGUUGUUUGUUUAUAUUCGAGUCGUUUCCCGUAGGUGAAAGACCAGAAAGAUGCCUUUUUCAAACGAUGAAGUCUAAAGUGAGAGAGAAAUAAGAUCCGUUUGAUAAGAAGCCGAAGAUCAUAUCCUUUCGAAUGCUUAGCUAAGCUUAGCCCACUGAGCCUGCGUUAAAGUGUUUCUUCGGGGUGUCUCUCUUGCUAUUGACAAGGUGCUUCAAGCCUUUCUAGCAAUAGAGUCCGGAAAGCUUCAAGUAAGGGCGGAGGUUGGCGCGUAAAGAAUAGAUGUUGUCUCAAGUAAGAGGUAAGGAGCUGAAUUGCCAGUUCCAGAAGAAAGAAGAAGGAGCGGGAAGGGAAGUCGACUCGAAUUGCAAGUUCGAAAGUCCGCAGAGGAAGCAUGUGCCUACGGAACAAGCAAAUCACUUCUGGUUUUUGGGUGCUAACAUUUAAUGAGUUCCAACAAGCUAUGUUCCUAAGCGCGUUGUUGAGUUGAGUUCAAUGUUUAAGACGGAUAUUAUUCUUUUCUUAAAGCAAGAGCGAUUCGGUGCCUUAGCCGACAUCAAUCUUCUAUUCUAUUCUAUGGGUGAGUUAAGUAUUGAGUAAGGAGUCAGGGAGCAGUAAGCAAUGCGGAGUUACUCUCUUAUGGGAGCAGUAAGCAAUGCGGAGUUAUUCUCUUAUAUAAUAUGCGGAUCAUGUGAAACAAGCUAGGGCGCUAAGUCAAGUGAAAAAGGUAUUUUGUAAAGCCCACUAAGGAAGGGUAGUAAACGUCGUCCAGCUGCCUAUGUACUGCAAGAAAGCGUGCCUUUUCUUUGUUGACCGGCGGAAGCGGUAAGUCAAGAAGUGUCCGGGUGCUAGGAAAUUCGAUAUUCUUUUCUUUUGAGGCUAAAGGGAAAGAAGACUGUGCUGGUUUCCUAGGCGCAAGUGAAAUAAAUGCAUUCUUUUUCUUUGUUUUACUCGGUGCAAGAGAGAUUAGCAAGAGAUGAUGACUUCUUUUCUUUGUCAGUUCAAUUUCCAUUAAUUUGUUUGUCGGCGCUACAAGUAAGGUGGAGUUUUCGUCUUAAAGUAGAGCAAGGAGUCAGCUGUAAGGUAGAGCCAGAGAAAAAGUAAGCUCUUUGUUUGAGAAUCUUUCUACCCUUACGAGUCAUCAAUAGAGUCAGCUGUAAGCCGUAAGCUGUGAGGGGUUCAAACUAGCAGUGAGGUUUUUUAGGUUGUUGCCUUCAUUGUAUACUAUGUCCGUGAAAUGAUGAAAUAUGUCCGUGAAAUGAUUAAAGCAACAGCGAAAGCUGCAAGGGAAUAAAGAUCGUCAGUAGUAGAAGAUAAGAUGAUGCUGUAUCUUGACUCCCAUCUAGCUGUAUCUUGACUCCCAUCUAUACAAAGUACUAGCAAGUCUGGUUUUGUUUUUAGUAGGACAGGAACCUGAUCUUCAGCUGUGCGAAAGGAAUCCAAUAUGGAGUUUUCAAUGAAAGGUAUUGGUUGGUGUCGAGAGUUUGAUUACCGAGUGCUGUCUUCAACUCGAAGGCGGGGCACCCAUACAAUAUCACAGCUUCGUAUUAAUGGAGUAGGAGGUCACUGAGUUACCUAGAAAAGUCAUAAACAGCCUAACACUGAAUUGGCAGUCCACUUAGGUCAAGUCAAGCAAAGGUUCUCGGGGGUGAAUGAAUUUACUAGAUGGUUUCUCUACAUUGGGGGCAGUAAUUCAGAAAUGCUCUAAUGGAUGCCCAUAGUCACCAACAUAUAAAACAUUCUAGACUUACCCUUUCACUAGACUUGUAUACAGUAAAGGCAGUAAUAAGUUUGAUUAAUUAGUUCAGCACCAUAUAGUGUGAAGCUCGGGAAAACAUCUUGGGACGGACUAACUGCUUUGAAGGGAAAGGCUGUCUCAUGAACUGGAUUGCGGGUGGUAAGGGGAGAGCGGGGACUACGUGAAGCAUUUCAUAUAAAUCUCAUUCGAUUCUUGCAUUAGUGGGCCAUACACAACUCUAAGAUUCCCCUAUUCUAUUCCAAUUUGUAGUUAGGAGAAAAGAGACAACCUGCCCCCACUCAUGGGACUUCGAAAGAAGGAAUAAGCCAAAGCAAGAAAGAGACGGGUAGGUAGGGGCUAGCUCCGCCUUACUGCCAGGCUUCCCAUUGAGAAAGUGGCCGACGCCCUUAUUAAUGAAACCCAUAUGAUCCCACCCAUACAUAUAAGUAAGAGAAAGAGAGAAGUUAUUCCCAUACAUAUAAGUAAGAGAAAGAGAUAAGUUAUUGAUUUUGUACAUUUCAUAUUUGUACUGGUACUAAAAUAUAGUGAAUAAUGUGGGCAAGGCAUCCACACUCAUUUUCUAAGAUAAUAGAAGUGUUUACAAUAGAUAUCAUGAAAUUCAAUAAAGUCACAACACUCAAUAAUACGACUACACUUAUACUAGACUAGACUCAACUCAACUUACUUCUGGAGCGGAACCCUAUACUGGAUUCAUUCCCACUUAGACUAGACUCAUUAGUAUUAUAGGACGUUCAUUUCAUAGAAAAUAUGAGAAUAUACUUAUUAGAUAGAAAGAGAAUAGACUUAUUUGUAUUAUGGGACGUUCAUUUCAUAGAAAACAAGAGAACUACGGAUACCCUAAUCCAAUACUGAAUAUAGGCACCGCAACCCCCUAAUCUAUACUACACUCAUUUCCUUCCCGCUUACAAAUAGCAAUAGGUAGUCGAGUACGGUUUCAUUUUGGCUGUAGUGAAUAAGAUAGUAGAUCUAAGCUCUUCCAGUCUAUUAGUGGUAUUUGUCCUAUUAAGCAAUAAGAUGUGUUGUUACUAUAUUCUAUAAUACAAUAAGAUGUGUUGUUACUAUAUUCUAUAAGAAUCCUCUAUUAACCUUUAGCCUCUAAGAACCUUUACCAUUCUGAAUUUCACACAUGGUGGCCGUCAACCUUUGACUUUCCAUUUCUUUUACGAGAGGAGACUUUGUAGCAAGUUGGCUUCCUCUUCCUUAAGUUACGUAUAGGGUGCGGGUGCCGAUAUAUGAAGUCGGAGUUCGGAAUUAAUAAGUAAUACAUCUUCCUAUAAUUCAUGAAAUUGUAACCUAAACACACUUCUUUUCAUAUAAGUUCAUGGGACCACAAAAGAGCAGUGGAAAUCAACCCAUCAUAAAGCAAUGGCUUCUUCAAUAUCUUUCUCAAUCUGUUCAUGAGAGAAAAAGGCCAAGAGAAAUCCGGGCCCGAUAACCUUUGCUUGUACCUUUUCUGUGGAGCACAUUCACAUUUCCUGUGCUCGUCUCGUGGGAUUCCUGCUGUUCCACCGAUUAGACACAUGUCUUAAGCCAUAAAGCAAACACAACAGAAGAAAUAGUCUCUAUAUAUCUUAUUCAUACCAUUUAUCUAGUAAAGGUAAAAGGAUAGGCGGUCAGGAGCGGACUGAUCUAAUACAUCUCUUAUUUGCUCCUCUAGUUAUAACAUUCAUUUGCUUGUUUCCUAUAUUCUAUUUCACAUAGGACAACCAUAUUCUCAUAAAUGCUAGUAGGGUCAAGUUCUCCUGAACAUAUUAAUGUUCUAUUGGGUACCCAUAUGCUAAUAGUGUGAAUAGGGUAAAGUGAUUCCUACCCUAUAUGGAUUUUCUCUCGGGGUUCUCUAUGCCACCAACAGCUUGCUAUGACUUAUUCUAUUUCAAGACGGAAUAACUUGAACUAGGUUUGGUGUGGCUGGCUAUGACCUUCUUGGCCUGAUACUUAAUGGGGAAGAGUUUGCUCUUUCCUUGGGUCAGACUAUCCUAUGCUUUUCUGGAGGGUCUCGCGAAUGGUUCUCGCUCCGAAUACAGAAAAAAUGAGCGAUUGUCUCUCGGUCCAUUAGUUCACUUUUUGAAUAAAGGCAAGAUUCUUUCCCUAAUUGAAGUACUUACUAAGGACUCUGUUCUUUCUUUCCCAUGCAAGCAUUCAUCAUAAUUAGCUUCCAAGUCUGGUACUGAAAUAUCUCCCCAUGGAUGUUGUUGAUGAUGGGCUUUGAUGCGAGGUAUGGUCCAAGUCGAGUUCGGGAAUAAUCUAUUUGGAAUGCCUACUCAGCGGUUAAUGCUUGACCGAGAUACUAAGCAGAUAUAGACAUAGACUAACUGUUUGAACAAGGAAGGCCUAAACCCAACAAGAGCACAGGUGUUUUAGUUGAAGGUUCGGGGAAGUCAAGAGCAUAGCAAGAGGAGUUCGAAAGCAAAACACGAGCAAAGGCGAAGUCAAGAGUGGAGCAAGAGCAAUAGUAGAGUAGAGCUCGGCUGAAAAGGAGGCUAUUGGCGCACUGGCCUAUUAUAUGAAUGCUAUUAUUAUUUGAUCCUUCUAGAUAAGCACUGAGGCGAGCACUUCCGCGUUUUCUUUUGUAUUAUCCAUCUCAUAUAAAGCCUUAUUAGAUCCACGGUGUAGACACCGCGUCUUUCAUUUCAUUUCCUACUUCACUUUUUCCUUCCUUCUUAUGUUUCACUUAUAAUGGAUCUCAUAGGGCGGGUAGACGUUCUCUAAAAGAAAAGGCCCGUGUUCACAUUAGAAGCAGUAUCCCGAAUAAAGGCAUAAGACAUAAGAGUUGUUUCAGCUAUCAACUUCCGAGUUGCAAUGGGCGCAGAUGACCUUAUUUCUCUUUUCUUUUGAGAAUUCAUUAUACGCGAGAUAGGCAGGACUGCGACACCGGCUAUACUUACUCUCACACUUGCCAAGUCUUUACGUCGAGUUUGGAGUAUAAUGGAUUAUUUGUACACUCAGCAUAGAGCACUAAUUGAGAUCGAAGCUAGCAAAUAUUUAGAUCGAAGGAAGCUAGCGAAUAAAGUCAGUGUGUGUUCUCUUAUGUCUAAAAUAAUAUUGAGUAGCGCACCUCAUUUUCUCUUACCAGAUGUAGAGAUAGAUCUCGAAGCCCUUCUUCUUUCUCCCCUUCCAUUGAUCCUUUAUGCGCGAAGAAGGUAGAUUUGACUGACUUUUGCCCACUGUAACCUAGGUAAUUGAGGCUAGCUCUAGUACUUCCCUAUUUCAUUACCGGGCGGGCAAUCUGAAUUGAGUCAAGCAACUAGGGGACAAAAAGCCGUAUCGCAUCAAAAAUCCACUCACUCUAGAAGCAGAGAGACCUUUGAUCACGCAAGAAAGCAAUCAAUUUCGUUCUUUCACCUACCUUUGUUUGUCGACCUUAGAAUGGAGCAAGAGAAGCUACAAUAGGAACCUUUACCGCGGCUUCUGCCCGGGCAACUGUAGCCCAUAAAAUGAUCUAAUCAGGAGAGAAAAGAAGCUCAUAUUGUAUAUUUUGAGUCAUGUUACCGAACAAGCAAGGGAGGAAAUAAACAUAAUUCUGAUUACAGAGGCAGAGUUUAGUUCAGGGAGGCAGGCACAGAGUUCAGGGGGAGAAAAUAUGAUAGAUAGUAUAGAGUACUCUGGCUUUGAAGCGCAAAGUUAAUGAGUUUCAUCGUAAAGUUCCAAAAAGAGAAUAGCUGCGCAGGUCGCUGAACAAGAGUCUGCUCGAAAGCAAGUAUAAAGUGGAGUUCCUGUUUUGAAUUCGAGAGAGGUAUUUUACUAUAAGUCAGGAGAUAGAGGUGAUAGUUUUGCAGUAACUUAAUUAGCUGUUUCAAGGUUGGUUGAGUUCUUGUGUUGAAGGAGAAGUAGGUCAUUGUGAUUGACUUGCUUUCCCUUUGCUUUGCCUGGGUUUCAUUCCAUUCUGACUUGAGAGUUGACGUAUGGGAUAGAAUUAUAAGUCAUAUUCCCCAUUUCUAUACGAUAUAACCACUUUGCAUUCCACUUCUUAUUCGUCCUGUGUUCAUGGCGUCAGCAGCAAUAGUUCUAGUUGCCUGAGUUAGAUUAGCCUGAGUUCAAAUAGCCAUAGUUAGAUGAGCCUCAUUCCGUUAGUCAAGAUAUCUGAUAUUUAGAGUACCUUAUGAUUAGUAGCAGUUGCUUGUCUAGUCGUUACUUGGCUUAGGCGUUCACUAAUGAAGAAACACCUCUUAACAAACCUCUUGAACUUCUUAAGAAACUCUAUCUCUUGACACUAUAUCUCUUGCCUUGCCUUGAAAACGGAAUUCUGCAUUUAGGAACUGCAUGUGCCAUAUAAGAGAGGAAUGUAACCAACUCUCCCUGAUGCCACUGAUGCUGAUACACUUGUUCGUUCUUGCGCCAAAGACAUCUUUUGCUUUUCUACCCUUAACGUAAAGAAGGAAGGAACAACUUAUUUAUAGGCGGGCUCAACACAAUCAUUUACUGAAACGGAAACUCUCACUUAAGAUUCUCUCUCGCUCUCGUCGCCACAAAGAUGGAUUCCGAAAAUAUGGACUUGUUAUUAACAUCGGUGAACAAAGGACUUGACUUUCAAACUAGACUGGAUUUCCCGCUUUCUUUAUACUGGGCCUGGCAAUACUUACUUUACUGGCAUGACUUAACGCUUUCUGUCCCGAACUCAACUAGUCAAGCUCUUCUCUCCCCAUAUAGAAAUAUGUAACUAAGCAUCUUACUAAGUUGCAGGAUAUGUUUUUCACUGGAACUGGAACUAGCCGAGCUACAGCCUAUUUCACUUACAUUUCUCAAAGGGGUUUUCACCGAACAAGACUUGAAGGUUAAUCAAAUUCAUCUUGAUGCUGUAGGAUUGCCCACUUAUAUAUAUAUACUAAAUAUACGAGCUUCUACUAAAUCCACUCUUGAUACUGUUCCUGUUCCUUGAUACCGCACUGCGGAUUCUAUUGUUGAUUAGACAGCGGAUUCUCUCGUAGCUUAUAGACUGCUUGUUUUCUUCUUCUAUCGUAGACUCGUACCGCCUGCAAUUCUUUGAUGCCUCCAUUUGCUAGCUCGACGCUGGUUGCUCUGAUUUGAGAGUUUGCUCCUCUACUCCCUCCCUAUCUUUCUCCGUGUGCAAAUAAUCUAUAUGAGAUAGGAAUUGGCCACCUCUACCGUUAGCCAGCUGAUAUGUAUUUCUAACAAGAACGGAAAUAAAAGAAGCGAAAGAGCCAACCGAAUAUGCAAAGAACAACCGAAAGCCUUGAUCGGGCCUGUCCUCUUCUUGCUCUGGAAUAGGAGGAUGUUUCACUGGAUUCCCUCAUUAAGAUUCAACAACUGCUUUAUACCCGCCCCAGAAAGAGGAAAAACGACUACUUCGUCUCCAAAAACAGGAUGAGUUAGUGCCUCUAUUUCCCUGAUUGUGCCAGCUACGUCCUUCCUUUACUAUAUUUCUCCUUGACUAUCAAUCUACUUUACUACUUUACUAUCAAUCUAUAUUUCUAUAUCUUCUGCAGGCUACGAAUCAUAUCAUUUUGGAAUGCAUCUGAAAGCAGCACUCGUACAAACACCCAUGUUAAAUAAAAGCGAUUGAUUGACGACUACCGAAUGCUUUAAUCAUAAUGUUAUACUGCUGUGAAAUUUCACUAAAUCAAUUUCUUUAAACGAGUCUGAUGGAUUCGCCAACGAACGGCCGGGGCAUACUGCUUCCCUUAACUAGAUUUACAUGAGAAAAGUCAGAAAGAGGAUUGGUUAGAAGAUCAGAGGCUGGCUCUCUCUCCUCAAGGUUUGGCUGCCGCUUUACCUCUCUUCCCCUAAAAAGUAUGAAUAAGAAAGAGAUCGAGAGUCCUCAUUAUUUUCAAUAAAGUAGAUAUUAGAAUAGUUGCCGACUUUUCCCUUUAGCUGUAAACUGUACCACACAGCGAAGCCAUCUGCGCCUCCAGGAAAUGCAUAGGGGUGAUAUAGAAGCCAAACGCUUGUUUUAGUUAGAGAAUUCCAAGAAAGAUGGCUACAGACUGUAUCAACCGCUUACCGAAUCACGCUACCAACUCAAAUGACCGUGUCGUUCUGCUCAAAGAAGAAUUAUUGACAUAAUUGCCCGGUUAGAAGACCCUGAAAUAGACUGGAGCGAGAGGGUUCCUGACAGAGCCCGAGGAAGAUAAGAUGAGAGUAGUAACUGCAAAUAAGGUUUCCAUCGAAGAAGAUAGACAAGAAAUAAUGACUUGGGAAGAUAACCCCUCGGAAGAACCCAAUCCCCCCACAGAUGAUUAAGUUCGACGCGCGGAACAGAAGGCGCCCCUCUGAGAAUCUUCCUAAGUGCCAGCCUAUCAUCAGAGGAAGCUGAACAAUACGCUCCUUAAGUAAAGGAAGACAUUUCCUUCCAUAUUUGUGCGGCUGAGCUGCCUGGGCUAGACCCUUCAAUCGCCGUCCACAGGCUUAAUAUCAAACAGAUGCGUUGCCCAUCAAGCAAGCUUUCAUCUACUCCAAGAUCGGAGAAGAGUCUUGGAGAUAGAGACUUCGAAAGCACUACAUGAGGAUUAAUCCCCUUAAAUGCUUUCUGGGGGUAGUAACUGGAAAGUCAUUGGGUUUGUGAAAGAUGGAAUCACUCUUGUACAUCCAAAGCUUCUUCAAGUCCCAAAGCACGUACAUCCAAAGCUUCUUCAAGUCCCAAAGCACUCAUCUACGGCUCUUAGCACCUUUCUUUCUCUUCAAUGGCCGCGCCCUAUGCCGAUUCCCACUUUCACUCUUUUGCCUCGAGACUUCCUAGGGAAAAAGGUAUACGAUGGAAUUCUUAGACUUACUAGAGUUGUCAGCUGUUCUCAAUGGGCGCCAUUCCGCAGUGGAAUAUGAUAUUUCUAUAGUAGCUCAGUCAUUUGUUAAUUCCUUUCUGGAGUCCAAAAGUAUAGGAAAGACACUCUAGAAAGAGUUGCCGAAACCGGUGCUACACCAAAGCAUGGGCUUUUUCUUUCGAAAUUGAUUUGGAAUUACAUGACUGCUUUUCAUCCUGGGAAUCCGCCUUUCAUCCGUGGCAAAAAGCCAAGAGUAUUCACUGAAAACUCGGAGUAUUCUCACUUACCACCUAAUCUAAUGGAGAGUUGAAACCGCCACCUGUUUUCCAAGCUCUUGCUUUUAGGGCAGAUAGAUGAUAUAGCGACAUAACUGGGUCCCUCCGGAGAGUACGAUGUUUGGCUUGCAGCUCUCCCAUCUCAUUAGGGAAAAAACCCACCACACACGAAUGCUUUCUUUUUCAAAGCAAUUCCCUCCCUUAUCCAUCUUACUCUUUUCACAGGUGGUGCUACUAAAAGCUGGGGAAAUACUAUGUUCUUGCACAAAGGUCAAAGGUGAGUUUCUCAGACGACUUGCCUGUGAGAAAUCGCUAUUCAUUCCAAUAUGGGACACCAACUCUGAAGGAGGGUUGGUUCCUCGGAUGAUUGCUUCUAUCGACUGUCCUUCUCUAUGUUGACUGGGGCAAUGUUCAACCUGACUUUGCUCCGCUAGUGCUACUCCUUCUUUUGGCCUGAUCUCGUUAAUAAAGGAAGGCUCAUGAAUUACCAAUCCCUAGAAAGACAGAAAAAGCAGACUAUUUGAUUAUGCUUCUAUCUGGUCGUACUCGGCCAUUAAGGUCUAACUACUGAACUAUUUGAAUCUUUCUAUCCCCCAUGCAUUGAGAUAGCUGGUUUUCUCCUUUUCUAAGACAGGAAUGGGUGCUCAAUCAAUGGAAUGUUUGCUUUUAUAUCUCUUCCAGUGCUUUUCCAAUCCAAAUAGAAGGUUUAGGUCGAAAUAAGGGAUCAACCUGUAGACAUGCAGAACCUCUCUUCCUACCGCUAGGAUGCUUGGCAGCCCGAUCAUGAUGUAGUCCGAGAUAGAAUAUUUCCAAAAGCAGGGAUAUGUUCUACGAGCUACUUGUUAUCAGUCUUUUUCCAUAUCUUUGUAAGAGAAAGACAAGAGAAACGGAAAAAGCAUGGGUGUUUUAUCGAUGCGAUGGAAUGCUUGCUAGGUAAGAGAAAGACAGGAGAAACUUCAAAAGCAUGGGUGUUUUAUCGAUGGAAUGCGAGCAUAUCUUACUGGACAUCUUGCUUGAAGCUCUUUUCCCAUGUCGAUGUGAGCUCUUUCUUUGCUUUGACUAUGUUCUUUGCCUAUUAAGAAGAUGUAUUGGUGUUGAUUACUUACCAAAUGAUUAGAGGCUUUGUUUGUUCGCUUGCUUGCUGGCACUCCAUACCGACCUUGCUUGGCUCUUUUAGGCAAUUUCGAAUUGAGUCUCGCUAGCUAUGCUCGCUUCUUUCUUUGGUAUGGAUAGCGGCCCUUCACACCAUAUUUCUCUUUUCCCGCCUGCCGCCUUUCAUCGACUCUUCCUUGGUCUAUUCACAUAGAUAUUCAAUCUCAGAAAGCAACUACAAACAACUGACUGUUUGAUAGAUCUUGGUCAAAAGGAUAGGAGAUAGGUGGCUUUAAAGAUCAAAGUCCUCCGUGGGUCUUGCGCCAGAGAAAGUACCUGGAGGCUUUCAGCACCCUUGUUGAGUGUUAGCUUACAUUCUAUACUAUGUCUCGAUAAGAAAUUGAUGUUUGAAUCGAGUUGAGAUCUGAAGCCUUAUAAGUGCAUUUGGAAUCGAGUUGAGAUCUGAAGCCUUAUAAGUAUCUGAAGCGGAAGGAUUAGAAGCUGGGAAGGCAGGGUUUCGUUCUGGUUUUGUCAAUGAGAUCAAUAGCGGGAUCUUAAACUAUAUGAGUAUUUGACUCAGUUUAGUAAGGGGUGAGAGUUUACAUUCUUGCCAGAGGGAGCAGCUUUAUAACAUUAAUAACUUCCACUUAAAGGAAAGAGGUCGGCAAAAGAACCAUCAAUGGAACAAGCAAGGAAACAAGUGAAAAAACAAGCAAGUAAAUAAAUCCGUAAAGAAGCUAGUUCAAAGGCAAGGGAAUCUUCAAGAUCAUAAUUAGUAGGGCGAGCUAGUGUUGUUGACUUGGCUAAAGAGAAGGGGACAGCGCCAGUUCAAUCUCAUUCUAUACUAAUAUAAUAAACAGUGGAUUCUCUUUCCGUUCUACUUUCAUCAUAUCUACUCGAAUAGCCUGAUCGAAAGUGUCAAGUAAUCUGUCUUUCUUUGUUGGCGAUGAAGCGGGAAGGCGGACAAAGGAUUUAGCCCUGUCCUAGCUUUCCAGUACUUAUUUAUUUCCUCUGGUUCCCUUUCUUCUUGUUUCAAAGACGGGUCUGUUCUGAAGUAAACAAAUCAUUCCACUCGAACAAGAACUGGAACUGGAGAAGGAUCGACUCCUAUACUUAUGGCUACAAAGGCAACGGCCAAGCCACCACUUAGGAGUGAUACCCUAAACAACCAGAAAAAGGGGUUUCUUUACCUUUCUACUACUCAGAUAGUAAUUAGUAAUAGAAUUAGUCACUAGCCGCUACUCCAAUACAAAUUAAUAAGAAUAGAGGCCAAGCCAGAGUUCAAAGAACUGAGUUAGAUUAGAUCCAGUCCUGUGUGAACCUUUCUUCGUCACCAGUGUUCGGGUUUUGAAGUGCUAACACUCAUUGGAGUUCCUGAGUUUUGUUUGACUAUCUUCUUUGGAGUUCCAGAGCUAGGUUCAUUUCUUCUUGCGGACUUGUUCCCUUCCACUUCUCUUCCUUGCUUUAAGAAUGGAGUGCACAAAGGAAUAUUGGCAAAGAAAAGAAUAUGCACCUGACUCUCGGUGUUGCGCAUUAGCGAGUGGUGCGAAAGAAGGGAAAGAAGGGUGUUUAGCCAGCUGUAGAAAGGAGAGUUCGAAAGGAAGCUUAAGAUACUGGUGGAUCACCAUCAGCAACAGCAAGGGGGCACGCAAAUACUACAAGUCCUGUGUUCGGGAACUCAAAAGCGGGAAUGUCACUCAUAAGUUUAAGACAAAACACUCCCUCCGCCUAAAAACACUCGAACACUGUUUCACGGGGCUAUAGCUCUCAACCAGGAAAUCCACUAUAGUAACGAUAAGAACGAGAACUACCUAUGAGAAUGGAACUGCUAACUUCGCCUUUAUCUCUUUACUAGAAAGCUGUAUUUCACCAGCUUGCUAACAACCCUUUGCUUUCUUCUUAUUCUUUGGCUAGUGUCAUUUACUUAUAUAUGGAAUAUGAUCUAGCCUAUUUGCUUAUAUUAAGAAUAAGAUCUAGCCCAUAAAAGCAAUAUCGUCGAACUACUGAAAAACUUUGUACUAGCAAACGGAAUAAGCUAACCGAUAUAACAAGGAUGAGGACAGGAAUAAAGAAUACAAGUCAAACUAAUAAGAACGAAACCCAGAUCUUUGCUUUACUGUACCUUGCCUCUCACUAGUGCUUUACAGGCUUUAUCUAAUUCUCAGUGCCUUGCACUUUCGUCUAGCUACCCUGCCCUCUACUCUUCAACAGAUGGUUAUCAUUCCGAAACUCAGGCCUAUAAGCCUGUAUUGACUAUUGAACUCCCUCAUUGAUAUUACUGGAAUUCUUUUAACACCAACUUAGCUCCUUACUUGCAGUCUGGAACCCUCAUCUGUAUUUCACUUAUGAGCCUGCCUUGCCUACCCCAUAAAACAUUAUAACCAUUGCAGCUCUUAGAAAGAAAAAGCUCUUUCUUCUUUGGUUAAUCCGGACAAAUGCUAUCGAAUCAGCUGCUUGAGAAUACCCUCCGGGUGGUUAAGUCUGUUAAGAAGAAUCUAAUCGGUUGCUAGAGGAAGCCAGAAGCAUGGGAAGGAUCUUUAUAGUGAUUUAAGUAAGUAAGCUAGUUUCACCAAUCCUGUUAGUCUCUUUGGAAAAGCCAGUGCAUUUGCUGUGCCAGUGGAAAUUGGAAUGGAUUUUCUUGCUAUAGAGCCAAUAGGUUCCAGGCCCGUCCAUUCUGUCUGUCGUAUAUUGAUUCUACAAGCUACGUCCAGAGUUCACCUGCAGCAAUUCCUUAAACUGACCGGUCCAAAGCUUCUAUUCGAGCUGGAUCUGAUGUCUUUCAAUGACACAGUUCGUUGGAUUCUCGCUAGUUAGUAAAGGCUGUCUUGGAUUUCUCCAAGAGUGCAAAAUGCUUUGACUUCCGCCAGUGCCUAAUCACCGCUGAAACCCUCGUAUCAACAGGCCGCCUGCCACAUUCUAUUUGAUGAGUUACUAUACUAAGUCGAAUCCAAGUCACGUCGCAUCCGAAUAGUGAGAUUGAGCAGGCUCCAGUCGCUAAAGAAAUAGAUUAUUAUCUGGCUCUGUAAGCAAGACCCUUCUGGAAUUCCAUCUUGAUACCCGAUUGAGACGAGUACAUGAUAGUAGGAUCUCUCUUGCUUACAUCAGAACCAUCAUAGCUUAUCCAGGUCUAAAAAAACACCUGAGAAUCCCUCUCCUCUCGUCCUUAAACGCAUCGCUACCUUACUGUGUGAAUGAAUAUUCGAAAAUGUUGAUAUAUUCCUCAACCCCAGGAAAGCUUAGCAUACGAGUAGAACACCCUCUUUCUUGGUGAUGUCGAAGGAUCCGUUGGCGAAUCCGACUUCUGGUUUGCAGCUACCGACACUGACUAAUAGCUUCGCACCUUGCUUAAAUCUAUCUAUUGCUUGAAUCUCUAUUGGUUCCAUCUCUAUUGUUUGAAUCUAUCUAUUGCUUGAAUCUAUCUAUACUUACUCCGUAACAAUGCCGUUAAGCUUCCGGGCCGUAACAAUGCCGUUAAGCUUCUUGGAGUCCCUUCCGGCUCUGCUUUAUGCUGAUAGUAGUCUUUCUUUUUUCUCUUAUUUUGGAUUGAUUUGGAGUUUGUAAUAAAUAAGCCCUCCAUAGAAGUCCCUCACUCGACAUCACUUAGGUAAAUAGCUGACCUUCCUGUCAAGUAAAUAGCUGACCUUCCUGUAAAGUAAGUAUCAUCCCGGGCGAUUGCUAACCACGUCAAAGUUUGAAAAAGCUCCUAUUGAACAAAGUAAAGCUCACCAGACUUAAUACCCACGGGCAUCAAUAUCAAUGCACUUAUCGUACUUUGGAUCCCUUUCAUUCAAAUCGCUGUCAUUCACCACCCUUAGGAACUUGAUGUUUAUACCAUGCCCUCGAAAGUGAUUUCAAUAGCAAGCAUGGAGUGAUUUCAAUAGUCAGCAGUUAUUCUUUCUUAUGUUCUUUCUUUCAUUCCCUGGCGGAGCUAGACUUAUCUGUCUGUUUUGCCAAAGGUGGAACUUACGGCUGCCCUAUGGUAGAACUAUUCAUCUUCAUUUCUCUAACUUAAAUCAAUUAGGACCUGAGGAGAAUCGAUUCAAUGGCUACGCAGCUCCCUCGAGGAUAAGAUCCCAACUAAAGUGGCCAUUAUCGGUACACAAAUUAGGGUUUGCCCCUUUUUCAUGCUCAGGCUUUUUCCACAUCUUCUUCCUCUAUCUUCAUUGCACUAACAGAAUCCAAAGAAGAUGAAACCUUAUCUGAUCCCAUCGAAGAAGGAAAUGAGAUUCAAAUUACCAAGGCUACAUCUAUACUAAGCUAUUCUUCAGAUUUCAUGCUUUUUGACUUCCGAGUCCUUCUGCCUUUGCUACUGAUGCCAUACCGAGCUAGCGGAUAGUUCUCUAUUCCUUAUGAUCUUAGUAGUCGAUUUCCUAUUGCUUCAACAGAAGUGGCUUUCGUUCUUUCAGCGUGGGGAAGAGAAAUGGCUCACGCUUCGAUAAGCCUGCCCCAAAACGGAAAGGGAAUGUCAGAAAAGGUAAAAGCUGGCGGGAUCAACUACUUAUAAAUUGGAUUCUAUAGGAUCCCUGCGUUCCUCCUCACUCUUCUCGGCGGGACUUCUCUAAUUGAUUAAUGUCGUCCGUCCGUCCUGGCGAGACUCAAACAUGUGAGAAAGAAGAAAGGUUUAGCUCACUCACGCCCUCGGCAAUGCUUUCAUUCAUCUCGAAACUUUAUAAGGAAUGCUAAUCAAUCGAUCUCCCCUACUUAAGGAUGUCUGCUUUGCUGCUCAUCUAGCUUUCGACUGCAUAAAGAUAAGCACUUUUAUGAGACAGACUCUUUCUUUGUUCACAGCUUAUCAACGGGUAACCAUAGAAAAAGGAGAGGACGAAAGGAAUACAAGUAAAGUAGACUCGAGUGCUUUCACGAGAAAAUGGUUAGAUCCGGGAAUGGACCUUUUCCUGUUUGAAAAGAUGCUUGCAAUAGCCUAGCUGCCUCUGUCCUGAACUAAUGAACACACACCUCUGGGUAGUUCAUUAACGUAUUUUCUUGCCCUACGGCUAUCAAUUAUGUCCUUAUUACUAGAUAAUAGCUGGACAGGUAUGAUGUAUCCACGCCACACGGGUGAAUGAGUUUUUCAUUGGGGGAGCGAAGCCCCUUUAAGUGGAGUGAGUAAACUAUCCCCGAUCCCCUACACACGCAAGGAGCUAUCAUUUCUCUAGUUCGCAGAGCAAACUUCCUUAUGAGUGAGAAAGGCUUCUAACCAAAGAGAGCGGAAGGCAUUCAAAGACAAAGUAGAAUUAGUAUAGCACAAGAGAAAAAAGUACCUUGUUGCGAAAAUGGGAGUUCUCACGCAUCACUCCACUUACUACUUUAGCAUUAUUAUAUUGCCAUUAUGCUUGUUAAAAGAAAUGAUUAUGUGCACAGGAGUUCGGUUCGCUCUGAGGAGUAAGAGGAUCCUCGGAGAGAUAGAGAGGAUGGAGGGGCUAACAAAGGAUCCCCUAAUGAAAAUCAUAGCUAUGAAUUCCCAGGUCCGGUACUAUUUCAUAUUUCUCAAGGAAAAGCUCCAAUAUUAUGUUGAAUGAAGAAAGGCAUUAGAGAUUCUCUUUCUCUUUAUAGUGGUAUUCAUAUUCAUUGAAGAAUAAGGAACUAGAUAUACUUCAGAAUAAGGAACUAGAUAUACUUCUUUGUAGGGAAAAGGAACUAGCUAGAAUUCUUUGUAGGGAAGGAAGUGACCCCACGGAGCAAUGCCUUAGUACAAGCGCUAAGCAAGCUCUAUUACUGCUAUCUCAUCCUUUAAGCAAUUGCAUCGACCACGGACUCAUUCUUUAAGGAGCACCACAUAGCUUUAAAGGAGAACCUAUCCGCCUGCGAGCGACCAUGGACUCAUUCUGAAAGUAGAACCAUUACCAUGGACUAAUUCUGUUGGUAAGAACCAAUCAUUCUGUGAGCGUUUAUUCGAUCAGUCUGUGAGCGGUCAUUAACUCAUUCAUUGGUCGGAAACUACUACGAGGGUAAUCGCACCGGAACAAACACACCAUACUACAUACCCACGGAAUAAACUCACACAGAGAGAUCACACAGAGAGAGCGGGCAUGCACCUCAUUCUGAAACUAAAGAGUCGCUCAGCCGGAAAGUAACAUCAAUAAACCAGUGGAUGGUGGUGGUUCUAUUGUCAUCGCUUAUGCAUUGGGUGAAACAACAUGAAUUGUUCGGUCGGUCGUGCAUCGAUGGUCCCCGGGCAAACUAUUGAUUUGAGCAGCAUCGCUAUGAAUAAGGAAAGGAUGCGACUUAACGAGCACUAAGAUAAGAAUCAACAUUGGACAUUGCACCGGCACAAACAGCCUCAACAACAGAAAAACGAACGACUUUGUUGUGCUUCAAAAUCGAAAUAGAAACAACCCCUUUUUGAGACCAAAACAGCUAUUGCUAUUCUGCUUUUAUGGAUGUGUCGGUGGCGUACCAGUCUCUAUUCUAAGUACUCUCCGUAAAGUUCAUUGACACCUAUGUGCUCAAGUCCUUAUUUAUUUAGAGUAUGUUAGUUCCGUGCCAGUAGCGAGUCCAGUCUUUAUGUCGGUAGCUCUCCAGUGUAGCGUCCGUCAGUUCUGAAACCAUAAAGUGAGAGUUUACCUCCUUAUUGCCCAACCAACCCUAGCUUGCCCUACCAUAGUUCUCUUUUUCUCAUUUCAACCUCGACCUAUCGCCAAGGAAUGGACACCGGCACCAACCAACAUAGAGAAAAUCCACUACCUUUUUUGCUCCUAAGAUAUAAGCACAAAUACUGUCAAAAUCACCUAGUUACUAUAGGCAAAUACUAAUACACUAAUCAAUAUUCUAUAAGUUCCAAAGAAGAACAAAUAAGAAAACAAAGAAUGCAAUACAAAAUACAGAUUGGGGCUGCUGGGUUCGAUCCUAACAGCACUAGUUUAAGCCAGAGUUAUGAGCUAUAGCCUUGUUGUUCAGUGUCCAAUGCCUAGUUCCGAGUUGUUCUCUUACUUCUUUGUUUGAUUCCAGGAAUCGAAUAAAGAAAAGAAGCUUUAUUAAGACAAGGGCGAGGAAAGUAAACGAGAGAAGAAGUAGUGGAAUCAGUAUAAGGAGCAGGUGAGAGGAAGCCUAAAUAAGGAUUGUCCGCCCCAUAAUAGAAAAGUAAGCCUUAUAGCACUCCGGAACUAAACAUGAAAUUGGGGUUCUCUAUUAUAAGUGGUUAGGGCCUACUACAGCUCCAAAGUAUCCAGUAUAGUAGAUCUCUUCAAAAGAAGAGUAGAUCUCACAAGAGUCUGAACCUAUCGAUUAUAGGCCGCCUAGGCUACAAGCAAGAGCGUGGUUCGCUUUCCUUGCGCUAACGUAGAUUUCUAGUCAUAACACCUUUGUGAAGCAGAGCUCAUGGCUAAUCGUCGGUUAGGUUAAGUGGUUCAAUUGUCUUUCUUUCUAUUCGAAUGAAAUCGUAUAAAGAAGAUCAUACGGAAUGAGAAACUGCUGAGGUUUAGUCUCAUGGAACAGUAUCAAGGUCAGCUUCAUGGUAUAAAGGUGAUGUUAGGAGUUUCGAGUGAAAGAGUUUGUCGUUGCUUGUCUAUCCGUGCCUUGGCCCGUUCCUUGGCGAUUCUUUUAACAAGCUAGGAGAAGUGAACACGAGAAGUUCGAGGAAGUGGGUAAGCAAGCGCCCGACUUAUAAUAUCAAACAUCAAUCUACUAAUCCGUCUUCCAUCAUAUCAAACAUAUACUAAUCCGUCUUUCUCUUCUUAUCUAUAAGCCAGCAAAUUACUAAUAAGUCUUCUCCUCUUAUCUAUAAGCCAGCAAAUUACUAACAAGCUACGCACGCACCUUCUUGUACUCAAUAAGGCAAGGCAGUCGCUCUUCUGGAGUUAAGGUAGUAAGAUAAUGGAUAGGCAGAUGGUAGGGUUUGGACCAAUUAUAAAGCAUAAUAAGGAAAGCGGACAUUCUUAUGAAUUACUUUCUGUCUUAAGAGAGCUAGUACUUAGGAGUUGCUAGUAGCUCUGACUUACUCUAUACUAGUAGCUAGACUAGGAAUGUAGCAGUGAACGGACGGAGAAAGGAGUGAGCUUAGCCCGUUGCCUUUUAGGGAACUUUUGUUGCUGUAGUAGCUUAGGCCGGGACUAUACUUAGGCUUAGGAAAGGCAGUUGACUUGUUGUAGUUGCGGGCUAUACUUAGGCAGUUGACUUGCUUACUAGUUUGUAUAGAAAGACAGCUUAGCAGUAGUUAACUUGCUUGCGGCUAGCUAAGUCUGGUUUGCUCUUGCUAAAGGUAGGACUAGCUCUGGGCGCUAAUGGUAGGGCUAGCUCUGGGCGCUAAGGUCAACUUGAGCCGAGCUACGGACUUAGGAAUAGGAAAGAAGGCAGCGAGUCGCUUAGCGGAGCUCGUUCUAUGGACAUGACUUAGGCAUCGAGUGAAGAGCAAAGAAGAAGUCAAGCCAAUCCACUCUACUCCCAACAUUCCUUUUUUUAGGAGACUGAAUCUUGCUGUAAAUAUGGACAGAAAGCCUAAGAAGACCAAAUCCUUCUUUUGAAACUAACCUAUAAGUAGUAGUGAUAGCAGCCCCUCAAGGCAGGCAGGACGGCUUGUUCUCAAUCGGCGAAGUUAGCAUCAAUCCGCUUAUGCCCGCCCUUUCACCCGACCAAGAAAGACUCAUAGGAAUCAACUGUCAGAAAUCCCUCGUUAAUAUAGAGAAGAGAAAUUCAUAAAUGAAUCCAAAAAGAAAGAAAAAGGAAUAGAACUCAGCUACUGAUAUUCCAUUAUCUCAUUUUAGAACGCGUAGUUCCUUGUAUCUUAUAUAUAGGAUUUGAGACCUACCUAGAAGUCUGGGUUUAGAAAGAGUUGAAAGGUAAAUUGACCUGGUAAAAGCUUAGUUAUUUAAGUAUUUGAGUAUCAAUAUCUAUAGGAAAAGAGUCUGAUUUUGAAAGCUGUCCAAAAGGAAGGGAAUGAUUGCUGAUAGAACCGUAUGUAUACAAUUGGUGUGGAGGACCAUUUCUGCGAGCCCUCCUUCUUUGGAAUUGAAUAAAAAGUCACAGAAGGGGACAAGUAACUGAUUAAGGAAAGGCAUAAGUUUCCAUUUGCCAAGGAGAGCAGUUCUAGAAAGAAAGUGAUUCGCUGCUUUAACCCUUUCGGAGCUUCCAAAGGAGUCGCAGAGAUUUGAAUUGGAAAAGAGGAUCCCACUUAAGAUUUGUAGACGGUCCUCUCACUGUAAAGAAAGAAGUAAAGGAGCGGAAGUCGAUUCGCCAACGGAGAGCGAAGUAGGACAUUCAUACGAUUUGCCAACGGAGAGGGAGGUAGGACAUUCAUACGCAGACACUCCAUUUAGGAAGAUGCCCAGAAGAAGGUUACAAGCAUAUAAUGGAUUGAAUAGGGUACCUAAGGAAAGGACUAGAAUAGAUUGUUAGCCAAGAGAAUAGGGUACUUUAGGACAGACUAUAAAGGCUUGUUAGCCAAGAGAGAAUAGGGUACUUUAGGACUAGAAUAGAUUGUUAGCAAGAGAUUGAAUGAAUAAGCGAAAAUGCCCAACACAGCCUAUACUAAGAAAGCGAAUAAGCUCUUGUCAGGUCUAGAAGCAAUCACUACACUGGGAAUUACACAGCGACCAACAGUACUCAUAGAAAUAGGAAUAAGGCUUCCAAAGAAGAGAAUCAAACCUAAGAGAAUGAAGCUGCUACCUGAACUCGAAAACAAAAAACUAUGGCUUUGACUCCUGCUUUUAAUGGUUGAACUCGGAUAGCGUACUACACCGAUAGGAGCUAGUAGAAACCAAUGGAGCUAGUAUAAACACUAGGGAACUAAGAAAUCCAUAGAGCUAGUAGAAGACCGAGAAGCGAUGCCGGGAAUCCAAACACUGCUUUUGAACUUGAAACAUAGGGGGAUCUAACUGGACUGUAUCUACUACUUCCAAGACUGUUGCUACUUACUUCAAUACUCUAUCUUAAAGUGGAGUUUGGGCAAGGCAAGUUCAAUAUCAAGUUUUCAUAGGGUAGCCUACAACUUCUAGUUUACAGUUUCGUCUUGUUUUCCUGUGACAGAUUCUCAAAUAAGGAACCACUCUGAACUCAAUGACCACCAAGCCCUAUAUCAAGUAUUUCUCUAAUGCCUAUUAGUCUGUUACUGCUGCUUCUUGUAAUGAAAUAGGAAACGCGUAAUCCCUUUAUCAUACUGAUACAAUAACACAGCAGGGAAUCCCCAACUACCGAUAAAAAGAAUGUGGUUGCUGCCUAUAAGGCUGGAAUCACUGCAGGAAAGAAUCAAUCGCGCAAUAGGGAAUCGAAGACAGAGGAGCAGUGCCCGGACCGACUGUAACCAAUACUUAUAUAAGACUCAUCAGAAUGCCCACUCGGGGAUCAAACUCAAGAUUGAAAUCACUUGCCAACGAGACUUACCCCACUAACGGGGAACUCGGCUACUGCCUAAUAGCACUGAAACAAGUGACUCAACUACUCUUAUCUAAGUAAGCCUUAGAGUCUGGCUUGUCUGCUUCAAAAUGGUACUACUGCGUCUAGGAAUAAGGAAGAAAGGUAUGACUUCUGAGAAUGGGAGCACUGUUGAUAAGAACCAACCUUAUGGGUAAGGUACAUCGGAGUAGGAAGUAAGAAGAAAACCACGCCGAUAAGGCUUUCACUCAAAACGGAUAAUCAACAUGCCUUUCCGACAACAAGGACUGAACCAAGGAAAUAAGGCUUAAGGAGUGAAUCGUAGAACAUAGGAUCGAGCAAGAGAGAACUCGAAUUGAUUUGAGUAGAAGCUUGCCCGACCCUCUAUAGAAGCUUUGCCUAAUACCUCCUCACCUUCUUUAAAGAGCACUACACAGCCUGAGGGUAACAUCCGUAAGUCUGCGUCUGAUGUGGUUCUAUUGGUGAUGUCCCCUGCAUUGGUCGGACCAACAUUUAUUCCUAAAGUAACAGCAACAAGUAUGUCGAGCAGCAUCCCCGAUUAGAGCCGCACAGGCAAGAGUUCUGUGUCCGGUCCGAAGAAGAGGUGACUCCUCAUUUCUUGUCGUAACAGCAUGAAGUCUUAGGUAAGCAUCGCACAGUCUAUGAGCUACAUUAAUAUACUCAUUGAUUUUUAUACGAAACCAUAUUCCCUUGCACACCUAUCCUCCAAACUGAGUCUUGCCUUACUGACUUAUUAGUCUACAUUGUCACUCGAACGACUAUAUAGAUAGGAUGCAACUAAGGGGUAGAGGCGCGGAAGUGAAUUAGUAAGGCUUUUGUUCUUUGUACGAGGUGUCAGGGCUUGGUCCGCCAGGGCGUAGAAUUAGGCUUUGACUGUCGGGUUCAAUUCCGUAUUUGUAUUUAAGGAAAUAGGCAUAUAGGUAGAUUUCCUACUUUAUGGAAAUAGGCUAAUGUGGUAAAGAAAUAGCACUAGGUCGGUUGGUAAUAAGGAGAACUAGGGUUUCGGGCAAGAAGGAGUGGAAGAGCAGACUUUUUAGUGAAGGGGGGAAGGAACGAAAACAGGACUUGGUCAUAAUUAUUUAUAACAAUUCCUUUCUAUAGAAUACCGUAGCUUUUCCUUAGUUUGUAUACAGAAGGGUGCGCUCUAACUAGAUUUUGGAUGCCCCAAAGAGCUACCCCCAACCCGAGUCUAAGAGAUAAAGGCUAAGACAAUGCAUUUAAAGUACUAGGGUAAGCAAACGGGAUAUAAGCAUUGGCUGUUAUAAUAGGAGAGCUAACUAGUUGGUUUUCAAUAAAUUCCAUUAUUUCUGUCUUUUCUCCUCCCAGUGUCCGCCUAGAAAAAACCUGAUUGGAGUGGAAGGGAUCCUAUGAGCCAGGUGCCAACUAGGUUCCUGCGGUUAGGAUUAUACCUCGGAUCCAGAUCGGGAAGUGUUGUUUUGGGGGAUGCCAGCAAGGGCUAGUUGUCCAUCUUGCUUGUUAAGAUGUAAGACCUAAGGUCUGUGUCGGGAUCCAGGUCCAGUUGAUGCCCCCAUCGAGGCAUGCACCAACCAUCUUGAUUCCUUCGGUUAGGGUUCUGGUUACAAUUCCUAUGGUUUCUAGGGGCUCCCUAUUUGUAUGACAUUUCGUUUUCCCCUAACUGGCGAUCCAUGGGCAUCUCCGUACACUUUUGAAGGUACUGUGGAGGAGAUCUUAUUCUCAUUUCUUUCUAUAGGACUAUACACCCACCCACCGUGUAAGGAUCCUAGGUAAACCUUCCUACCAGUUGUAAGGUAUAUUUCUUCUCUUCUGCUACUUUGCCUUUAGACUGGGAUUACCUUGUCAGUUAGUUCUAGGAUAUCCUAUGCGUAGAUUCCAGGGGGUUAGAGAUCGGCUCCGUUUUACAAUAGGAAAUUGACCCCGUACAACUAGGCAUUCUCAAAUAGACAGCCAGUACAUGAAAGUCAGACAGAUAGGAAAGGGUAUACCUAACCCCUGAUAACUUCUAUGUGGUUCUACAGUUGCUCAUACUCUCUGACAAAACUUGAUGAGCCGUAGCGGUUUCACUCUAAGACUAACCCUACCAACGAGGUAUCUUUAUACCCUUUAGACUACUUAAUAGUCAGGUGCGCCCCAUUGAAAGGUUUCGAAUUUCUAUCCAUUUAUAUCAUGAGUUUUCAAGGAUUGGUCUCUUGUGGUUGGGGAUGUCAAAUAAUUCCUACCUUCCUGUGAUGCAUGUCAACGAACUGGCAAAGAAAGAAAGAAAGGAUAUCGAAGGCUGAAAGGAGUGGCGCUGGGAAAUGAACUAUCACUUAUGCCCUAGAAGCCAUCUGCAAUGUUAACGGAAUAUGGUAUAGGUCAAUUGGGUCUAAAAGGAAUAAUCCUAAAGGUCCGCUACGCUUCUUUUUGGAAGUAAACUCUCCCAUCUUUAGUGCGCUCUUAGGUUCUGUUCUCUCUUGAAGUGUGUUUUGCUUUCGCUAAUGAGAGUUGGUAGUUGGCUUACUUUCUUGUUAGAGGACAGGUAGUUGACUACUUGCUGUUGUUAGGCGGUGAACCAACCGGGUGAUUGUUGGGGAGAGAAUGAGCCCCAACACCAACCACCCACGGGGGAGGAACUUCAGAAGCAGAUGUUAGACUUCGCCGCCUACUUCCGCUCAAACAGAACCAAGCCCCCGCGACACAUGGUAGAGAGCCUUAUCGAGGAGCUUCAAGUAGAUUCAGCUUCGGACGAAACCAAAGGAACGAGAUUUCCCUACUUAUCUCGGGUAUCUUGAACGAUCCGCACGCAGUGACAGAUGGUCAACGGGCGAAUGGCAUUUCUAUAGUAAACAGACUCAGUGUUCAAGGGCUCCGUAGGGAAUCUUAGUCGGUUUGUGAGCGCCUUCCGGUAUAGCUAGUCUUCUGUCCGUCCCGAUUGCCGCUAGUCAGUAGCUCGCUUCCGGAUAAACUACUAAAAACAGUGCGCAAGCAAACACAUAAUCGAAAAUAGAAGGAUCAGUGCCCGUAGCUGAGUUAGGUUUAGAUGGUCGUGAUAAGCUCUACUAUAAAGAAAGCCAAUGAGUUUUAUGAAUAGAGGGAGUGCUGCUCUCUAAGGGGCUUUUCCGGCCAGCCGUUGAAUUCCAUUCCUCGAUGCAAUCCUUAAUUAUCUCUUCUCUGGGGCGAGAGACAUGAACAAAGCUUGGCGCGGAAUAAAUACAGGUAUAGAAAGGAUCGAACAUAAAUAAAGAUAAGAAAGGAUCUUUCAUAAGAGAUGAAAGGAUCGAACAUAAAUAAAGAUAAGAAAGGAUCGAACAUAAAUAAAGAUAAGAAAGGAUCGAACAUAAGAGAUGAAAGGUGCUAAGAGCCUACUAGAAUGGAAAAAGAAAAGUAGACCAUAGGAGUCAAAGAGAAGAAAUAGCUGCUGCACGUUCGUUCAUACUCAUGCUCGGCAAGAACGACCCUCAUCAAAAAGCGGUAUAUGUCCUAUGCAGCAGAUUAUAUCUUAUACUAUAGCUAGAACUCUUUGUAAUUACACUCAUCCAGCUUUUCCAUAAGAGAUGAAGCUUUGUUCUGCCGACUCCUUUCCAACUCAAUGAUCUGUUCCUGGAAAGAUUAGUGGGCGGUCUUCAGAUCCUUGCGUACAGCGUGGCAUGCAUCAAGGAAGUGCAUCUUUUCCUUAAGGGCUUAUAAAGUUAUUUCGCUUUAGCUACUACCUCAGCCACGAUUACGUUCUUCUUCUCCAAGAUCAUAUAGGGAUAGAACUUAUUCCGCUUUCCCCAAAACUAAAGACUUCCAAUGCAAUGAAAAAAGCACGACUCCGCUUAGAGAAUGGCGACAAAGCCCUGUGACUCAAAAAAGCCCUCUAUCGGCAACUGUAGACAUAUCCGAAAGUUCUACUAGAGCACACUCUCGGAGGCGGCGAAUCAAAGAAUGACCCAUCUAAUUCGAAAAUAUAGAAAGACUGGAAACAAGCAUAUAACCCAGCACUCACGAUUUGCUAGCCACGGCAUCACCAGUAAAAGAACCCUGAUUGCCUUAUUCCAGUAUUAAGGGAAAAGAAAACCAAACAUAAAGUAUAGAGUAACUACGAAGACCAAAAGCCCGGCAUUUCCGUCUUAGAUGCCCCCCGUCGAAGGCAAGGCAGAUCUUUUGAAUUCAAAGAAGAGCCUUAAGAUCAGACAAGAAAGAAGCCAAAAUAAUUCCUAGUAAGUUGCGGAAAAGAGAGAGCAGAGGAUUUGCGACCUGUUAAUGUACGAGGUAGGCUUGAACAGCGUAGGCUCUUUGCAAGAAGGGUAAGGCAAGCGCAAGGAUUGGCUGACAGAGUUCAGGCGAAUGAAGAAAAGCUAUACUAUAACGGACUUGUAGCUUCUAGUGCUCGAGUGGCUUGCAGCUUCGGGUGCGAAUACGGAUACCGCUUACUUUAGAGCUCGUGCUGUUGCGAGUAAGUAGUCUCUCUGCUCAUAGUCGUCCCGUUCAUAGACGCUAGAGCUACUACGAUAAGGCUAGCUCCUCGUAGAGUGGCAUUAGCUCCUCUUCAACCAGUCGAGUUCGAGUGCGCUGGUAUACGAUGGUAUAGGGUGCUUCUCUGAUCUUCUUCUUCCCACGAUAAACGAAAGAAUUCCUUGUAGGGCAAAUACAGGACUUGUAAUAACUUCUACAUAACUGGGAACUAUAGCAGCCCCUGAGGAAUGGACUCGUUUCUCUAGUCUUUACCUUUGAUCUCCAUCCUUGUAAUGCCGACUCUGAUCCUUCCUGGCCGGACUAUAUCAUAUAUCGCCUUCACUCUACGGUCUUUCUUCAAGAGAAUGCCCUUUGUCCUAAUAUACUAAUUACCUGACUCAAACAAAACCACCAACAGGUCCUUCUUUCAAACUCGGUCAAUCUGUUUGCGAGAAAGAGAAAAGAGAACUUCCAAACUAUAGCAUUUUCCAAGAAUAGCCCUUAUUCCUUCAACGGCAGCAGCAGGGUGGUCUACGAUCAGUUCUAUAAUAUAAUAUAAUAUCGGAGUGGAAGGGCAAAAGAUUCCAUUCUUCCGAACCCCAGAAAAUGGAAAAAAGAUUGGAAUUUUGCUUACGUCCUAUGGCCCUGCUACUCUGAUGCUUUGCCGAGCUCCCGACCGAUGUCUCGAUCCUAAUGGAAGCGCUUUCUUUUUUAUUGAAUCUAGUUUUUGAAUACAUUAGUUUAGACUACUGAACUAGCUCGACCACGCUUUAAUUCGAGACAAGGCGAAAACCUACCAUACUGGAAAAGCGGGACAGAGGAGGAAGCACAAGAAGACCUACCAAAAGCAUAACCGAAUCUAUCAACAAAACAAAGCGUGGAGGAUCACUUAGUGGAAACUCGAUGGAAAAUAGAAUCUUAUGGCGGUGAAACAAGAAUAUCCCCUAAUAUAAUGAGAAUUCUCCAAAUCUCACUCUAACGAGGAAGCGCAUACUUAUUUCAUAGACUCAUAAAAUAGACUUCCUUCCUUUACCUUUAGUGGGAAAAUUCCAUUGGGUUAAGUGGAACAAUUAGCAUUAGCCAUUACAAAAAACACCUACUGUACUGGAACUUGAAGGAGGAGGGGCGGAAACUCUAUGCCCUUGGAAAACAGAACGGAAGAAGGGAAAGCUGCCGCGCAACACGAAAACUGUACUUUGAUUCUUCAUUGCUAACAGAGCUUACUUACUUGACUUUGAUUCUUCACUGCUAACAGAGCUUACUUACUUGACUUCGAUUCUUUCUCUUUGUGGGCUAACUCUUGCUUUCCUGACCUAUGUGCCUACUACCACUAUCUAUAUGAGUCUGUCUCUCCUUGCUUUCGUUCUGUAACAUAACACUCCAUUCUCUUACUAUCCCUUGGAGAAUAAAGAAAGAAACUAGUGCUUCUAAGCCUAAUCCCUAUAACAGAGUAAUUGAACCAUUACUUCUACUACUUGCUUGGCCCGGGCUUUCACUACAAUAAAACUAAUAGAGAAUGCAACGACUACUGGAAGGAAUGAUAUAACUACUCAUAAGAAUCGGACAACUGCUAAUAGGUCUCGAACCGGUAAGGGCCUAACUCGCUAACGCGCAACUGACGUAGUUGCUUGUUGGAUCGAACUGGCGCUUAUGAGACCUUAGCUACUGACUUCAAAGCUGCCCUGAACCCUGUUACUACUGAUCUGGAUCCUUACUUGCUAGCUUCCAACUUCCACUGCUUAAUUGUAUCCUUGAUGUCCACUAGUUAGCCUGCCCUUACAGACUUUCAAACUCUCACUACCAUCGGGUACUCUUCCCUUCCUUACAAGCAUUCUAUAGUUCCCCUAUGAUUCUGACUUGUUUGAUUCUGUUACUAGAUUCAUUAGUAUAGGAGUUGUGUUCGGGAGCAAUCCAAUCCAUAGUUCUUAAAGAAAUCAAGGAGGAGCAAUCCAAUCCAUAGUUUCAUCUGUAUUAGUAGCCCGAGAAAGGCACUAGUGCGCAUCUCCUUUUUGACCAAAACCAGAGUAUGAUGAGACUGCCCUUUACUAGGAAUUGGAAAGUCAACUAUACUUACUCAGCUUUAGUAGAAUUCUUAUUAGCUGUUAGAGCAGAGCCAGUAGUAGGAAAUUGAGUUGCUUGAUCGCUAGCUAUAAGGUAGAGCACUUUCACUACUUAGUUUCAUUCUGACUUGAUAGUGACCCCCAUAUAUACCGGAGUCGUGGUCAGUAAACUAGUUCAAUUAGUUCAAUACCUUAACCUUAGUUCAAUAGAGGAGUUACAGAGUGAAGUGAGUAUCGAUGUAUUCUUCUGCUCUAAUUGGAAUUCUUUUAGGCUUUCUUCCGUUUCCUACUCCCCUGAGUCGAGUCUGUCUGGUUCAUAAUCUUGUUCGGAUAGCCUACGUAGCAGUUCUUCAAGUCGAGUGAGGGUGCGAGGAAAGGAGACAAGAUGCUUGUUCGAGGAAAGUAUGCAAGAGAAGGAGCUGUCAGUCUAUUUCAAUAUUUCUUUACCGAGUGCUCGAAUACAUGACUAAUGAGUUUCACCCGGAUACGGAGAUAGAGAAGAUGCGGGGGCGGGUCUGUCUUCAAGUUCCCUGUCUCCAAGAGAGGAAAAAAAGGACUUGCUCUUGAUACAGCUACUGCUUCGGCGUCCAGUUUACAGGGGCUUGGUGACGUGACUUGACUUCAUACAGGAAAGACCUAGACUUAAUGACUUGACUUCAUGCAGGAAAGACCUAGACAAAAGUGCGAGUGUUGUAGGUGCCUCUUCAUCACUUAUAUAAUAAAGAAAAGAAUUUCAGUGGGCAUGCUCUUAUACGUAGUUGCUUAUCGUCGGCGUACUUCUUAGCCUCUGUCUCUGGCUCCUAAAGUAGUUCAAAUGCAUGCGCUAGCUGAAUAAAGGUGAACUCCGUACUGGUUAUAAUGGUAUUUAUUGUUGCUAUCGAUAAGAGAAGAGAGCCUCAUUCUGUUUUGUUGCUAUCAAUAAGAGAAGAGAGCCUCAUUCUGUUAGAUUAGAUGAAAUGGUAUCUCCUUAUAAGAGGGAUAGAUCUAGUGGAUAAGCCUUAGGGAAGCUGUUAAGGAGGCCCUUAUUGUAAGUUGGGAAGCAGUUCAAUUAUCAGCAACAAGUGUUCGGGAGCCAGCAGCAACUGGAAACCAUAGAGCAGGAGCAGGCAAUUCACUUACCGCAGCACAAGCACCCGACCCGACCUACACAUGAAGGGAACUUUAAGACAAGACUCAUUUCAUCUCCAGCCGAUGAUUCUCGAUUGAGUUAUACUCAAGGUGUAAAUGAUCUCUGCAAAAAGGGGGUGAUAAUGCCUAUAAGCAGGCAAAGCUCCUAUCUGAGUUCUGACUUCAAUAUGGGGAAGCAAUGCUGUAUUCUGUUGCCAUAGCUUUUUAUGCUUCUCUUCACUAUAAUGCUUCCUUUAAGAACAAAUAGGCGCCUGAAGUAAAGGAUCGGAUCGGAAUAGGAUCCAAAAGUCAAUCACCGGGUUGCGAGUUAAGUGGUGGAGAAUAGAAAGGGCACAUGGGGAGCAGGGGAGCGCAUAGAAUGAAUUUGAUUGCCUAUAAAACAGGGCUAUGUAUAGAGUCCGCUUGUUAGCUCCUUUUCCAAAGUCUGAUUAGAUGUCUAUUUGAAUUUCCUAUUUGUUCUUAUCCUUGUCUGGAACAGAUCUCUUGGCCCCUAAGGGACUGGUCUUAAAGGGAAGUUUAGGUCGAGGUUAACACUUAUCGGGGUUAACACUUAUUAGAGGCAGAGGCAGAGGGGCCGGCCUACUAAAUGAAUUCUUCUCUUAUAUUAGGAUAACGUUUACUCCUAGACGAAACUCGAUAUUCGAAUUCUCUACAAGGGACAGGUCUUCCGCUCAGGUACUUCCACUCAGGGAACAGAUAUCAUAGAGAGCACUGGGUAGGCAAGAAGGAGGUCAAUAAAGAAUCCGCAGUUGGUAGGAAAGGGCAGUAUCUUUUCCCUCUGUUAGUACUUCAUCAGCAGGAAGUUUAGUUGAGUGCGCCAACCAAUACUGUAAGGGUCAAUUCCUUCUGUACCCAUCAAUUAUCUUACAGAGUUGGUUACUUCUUUAAAGAGACUAUCUUCAUUCCACUCAAAGCAAAGAAUUCCACCAUUUCGCGCCUACCGGGUUGGUGAGUUCCCUUGCUCCAGCUUACCUAGGCUAGGCGGGGUACGAGACAGCUAGCAAUUAGCAAUCCAUCUAAUACAGUGAGAAAACCAUUGAAAAGCCCAGCUUAUAAAUGAAUCUGACGAGCAUAUUUCACAAAUUUGUAGACCAUUUGCCUUCGAUGUUGGUGCAUAGUAGGUUGUUGGAUAUUAGGUAAUGAUUGCAUCUAUAGGUGGAAUGGAUAUUAGGGUCUUGGGGAGCUAGUUCUUUUUCUCGUUGGAAUACUAAGCUAAUCUAAUUACAGUGCUACGAGAAACCCCCACUUUGAUAGUACUAAGGCAAGCAACUGGGCAAGCAGACUACCGGCUAAUCGGAAUAUGCCUAUCAGAUCAGAACCCGACAUAACCCCCUGACCAACGUCGUCGACUCCCAUCCCAGGUAUCUUCCCUUGAGGAAAGGCUGUCUCAGUCCUAUUAAGAAGUUAACGGUCUAUAGUAGGGCCUAGUUCCCGUUGUAUUGGAUUGGAUCUAUCCUUAUCGGCCAACACGUCUUUAAAUCUAAGUAUUUGUAACAAAGUCGCUUUAGUCCUAAUAGUGUUAUUCCUUGUGAUCACAUAUUCCCUUACUCUAUUUGCUUGACAGAAAUCAAUCUGAUCAUAAACAAAGGGAUCGGCACCCUUAAGCUGCUUUAAAAACGGGUUUGCUUCAACUCACUUGAUUUAGUAGUUUCAAGAUUCCUAGCUUCCUUCAAAGAUAAGAGAAAAGACUGCUGAUUUAGUGGUUUCAAGAUUCCUAGCUUCCUUCAAAGAUAAGAGAAAAAGACUGCUUGUCCCACACAAAAGAAAGACUACUGCUUGUCUCACACAAAGGAAAGACUACUGCUUGUGCUACACUUUGUUAUACAGCCCGUACAAACGAGGAGGGGCACAUGUUUGAUAGGUAUACUGACUUACACACGGUAUCACAAUCGAUCAAAUAAGCCUUUCUUUCUCACAGGCCUGCUCAAGCAACUCCAAUAAAAAGUACUCUUGAGCUUUCAGGCCACGGAGGCUCGCCCCACCAUGUAAAAAGCAUACGAGUCAAUUAGCUCAAACCCCAGGAGCAAUAAAGGGUCAAGUCCGGUUGAUCGUCUGUGCAAGUUAGGACAUGAGUUCCGGUUCGCCCAAGGAGUCUUUCCUAUUCCCCCAAGAGAUUCUAAACUAGCAGACUCCGGAGCACCCCAACUCCACUUGUUGACUAAGAUACAAGGGCACCUGAACCUCUAUCCUCUCUAAAUUCUAUCUUAUUAUUGAUAAAGAGAAAAGGAUAGUGAGCUUAUCAUCGGGAUCGGAGGCUGGUCCUGUGCGAGUGUAAUCUACUUAUUGCUAUUCGAGGUCUGUUAUGAAAGUGGAGUGAAAUUGUAAUAGAAAGUAGCGAGGGUUGGUGCUCUAGCUCAGCGAGGGUUGGAGAAGGUACCUGGCUCGGCUCAUCUAACUUCAUUCUGACUUGCUUCAUUAAGACCUCUGGGUACAACUAUGACUUGGUUCCAUUCUUACCUCGGAUCGGAGAAUUAAUAUCUUUUCCAAUAGGCUAAACUCUUUACUUAUAGCUUCAAAGCCUCUCCUCUGGCAAUAAAUACUGAUUCAAAAGCACCACCAGGGGAAGGCAACCACUGAGGAAUAGAAGUUUUCUCAUCAGCGGGAAGUUCAGAGUUCAGAUAGGUAGUUGCGAGGGCUGGAGAAGCUACCCGGACUGCCGCUAGAGUUCCCCCGUUAUUACAAUAUAUGUCUUCGUAGCUUUAUGCUAGUGAGGGCAGGCUUUAUUUGCGGGGUGGGUCUUAUCGGUAGUAGUUUGACUCUGAUCAUCAUGGUCCUAAUGAGUUUCAUCCCCAACCAGUAUUGUAGUCCAGAGUCCAGAGCAAUAACUGUAUGAGUUGACAGAGCCCAUAGGUAUAGAAUCACUUGUUACUAAUGUGACUGAUAGAGCCACUCAUAGGCAAGGGAAGCAGUUCAGUCAGAAGGAGAGAAGGGAAGCAGUCUGAGUAUAAGAAUGCAACUAGAAACUGCCAAGUCCUUUCUUCACCUCCCUAGUUGUUAUUACCGAGUCCUGCUUUUUGGGAGCUCUGGCAAAAAGAUCAUCAAAAACGAGUCCUCUAGUAGGGAAGUUGGAUCUAUAAGAGCAAGAGCAUCUGUUUCUGUUCGCCUAGCCCUUAAGUAAAUGGUAGAAAGGAAAUCCGCUGCUACCGGGCUAAUCAUUCCGUUUCUUCCCAGAGUUUUGCCUUACUUAUAUUAGGGAGGUCUGUUAUGAAAGUUAUGUUAUUGUGAGCAACAGUAGGAAUGAGUUCAAAAGUAUUCAAAAGUUCACUAUACUAGUCUCAGAAAACGGUAGGGCUGCUCUUUUAUCCUUAUUGAAUGGAAAGGACAUUCUAAUUCCGCAGCUGACUUGCGAACUGAUCCUUCUCAAGCUUCUGUAGCAAAGCAAAGCCAGUACUAUCUUUCUCUUCUGCUGAUGCUCCUGACUCUAUACUUGUGGAAUCAAUAGGUCCAUUCUGAUAAUACAUACCCAGAUCUUAAAGCAAGGGAACCCCGAAACUUACUAGAAGGGCCCAACCUCUCCUAUCAGAGGGCAAUUGCAAAUAGGUAGUACUUACUCGACCCUCCCUUAGCUCGAUAAGCUCGACUCUCCCUUAGCUCGAUAAGCUCGACUCUCCCUUAGCUCGAUAAGAAAGUGUAGUUUCAGAAGACCACAUUUCAGAAUGAAACCCGUAAGUAGCAGCCUUAAAGCACCCAGUAGUAGCUUGAGAAGCCUUAAAGCACCCAGUAGUAGCUUGGCAGUCGCCUAGGAGCCUCAUUCCGGUAGAAGAGAUGCUCUAGUCCAUAGUCGAGGUCGUCAAUUCCAUUCUUUUCCGUAGUAACAGUAGGAUAAGAGGUAUACCGAAUGCAGUUCAUAGUAGCAAGAGAGGAGCAUUAAUUAAGGGCACAGGACAAAGAAAGCAGGUAGGGAGUCAUUCGUUGAGAUCGAUUCUGAAUACCGAGUGGAGUCUGAAGUUGACUAGUAGUGGUAAGUGGCUGGCCCUGACUCAUUUAAUUCAUAACUAAAUAAUUGUUUGGUGCUUUAGCUCCUAGUAGUGGAGUAGUUGAAUAAGUAUGAGUUUACAGUUUCAUCAGUAUGAGUUUACAGUUUCAUCAGUAUAGGAGUGAGUUAAGUCAACGAUAUCAUAAGCCUUAUCAUAAGCCGUAGCAGUAUCCAAUCAGUCAGCAGCAAAUAGUUCUUCAAGUUACAUAGAGUUUGGGGCAGAAGAUAAAGAUCAAGAUAGCACUGGCAAGGAAGCGCUAAGUUCAUCAAUUUCAUCUGUGUUUGUUGUCGACUCUCAAUCAGAUGUGAAAGCCUUAACCGAGUGGUGAGUUGGUCCAGGGCAGAAGAAACGACUAAUUAAUAGGCUUACCGCUACUACUAUAGUAACUAGUAAAAGAAUAAAGAAUAUCGUUUUUCCUUCCCGAAUUAGAUAUUAGGCCUGAGUUAAGGUAUGCAAUUUAGGAUUCCACUCGUACUAGGCGAACUGACAGAUAAGCGGAUAGACAAGUCCAGUAGUGGUAAAGUUCUGGUUCUUGACAAAGUACUGUUUUCCACUACCUAGCUCAAUCCCCGGUUUCUUACCAAAGAGUGAAAAGAAAGAGCAUAAGUGGAAGUCUAGUUUGUAGUAUACGCUUGGCAGUUGCCCUUAUAGUAAGUUGCUAGAGUAGAGGUGUAGUUGCCUUGCCAGCAGCCAGUUUCAUACCGAGUGCAAUCUCUUAUUGGAAUGAUUUGUUUACUUCAGAUCCACUGGUGCUUUACUUCAUAGCCACUGGUGCCUAGCUGCGUAGGGGUCCUGUUUUGCCAGUGGAGUAGUCCAGAGCCAUAACUUGAUUAGCAGACUGAGGAGAGAGAUUGGCUGUUUCAUCCCUUGAGUACAGCUCCAGUGAGAGUGGGAUUCCCCAGUUGCAUUCUUUGCCAGUAGUUGAGAGUAGCUAAUGGAAUUCUGAUUUCUAGAAGUAGAGAGGUCGGGAAGUAUGGACUAGUUUCCAGUUGCCAGAGGAGAGGAAAGGUAAAGUAUCCAGUGUAGUUUCGAGUGGAUAGUGGAAUUCUUUAGAAUGUAAUUAGUUGACAGAGGGGAGAGAGGCAUAGGCCUAGGUGAAAUGCUGUAGACAAGAAUGAAGCCUGGGAACAAGCUGCGUAGCCCAGAGCAAUAACAGUAGUUGACUUACCGGUCCUAUACUCAAGAAUGGAGUUUUCGAAUUGACUUGACUAGGAUAAGAAUGAAGCAAGUCAGAGUUCAACUUCGUAGGGAAAGUCAGAAUGAUAGAGCUAUGCCCAAUUCUCUUAUAGUGGAAUCAGUAGUAGUUACAUGUAGACUUGCCUAGCCUAAACUCCUUGUAAGAGAAGAGAAAUAUUCCAUUCCUUGUAAGGUAAGAGAGAUAUUCCAUUCCAGUAGUAGUAGAGAGGGGAGCCAGAGUUUUAUAAGAUUGAUUUCAUGGUAUAUGCCCUACCGCCCGAACAAAGCACUUUAUGAACAACACUUCGCACCAACCUCUUCUCGCCCUUAUCCAUACUUCGCUCCUUCCUUGAAGAAUGGAGUUUCCUCGGCAUGAGAACUCUUCUGUUAUCAAUAGGAAUUGACCCUGACCUUUACUUGCUGAUGAUCUUGUUCCUUACGUUUGAUACCUUCCCUUCCUUUGUAGCGGCGGUUAACUUGCCUUGUAGCAACCCUGUCCCCUGCCCUAUUUGUAGUUGCUUGCCGGGCUUUCACGCUAGAUUGAGAAUCGAAAGGAACGGGCUUUCACGCUAGAUUGAGAAUCGAAAGGAACCAGGUAUGGGAGUACUGCUCCUGUUCUUGUUCCAGCUCAUGACUCUGGUCUAGUGGUUACUUGGCUAAUAGUGUCUUGUCUAGUAUACGCUUGGCUGAGAAAGAGGAAAGGUUGUUAGUAUCAGAGUUGAGGUCAAGAGGAUUGAAAAGAGGUAAGUAAACUAUAGUAAAGGAGUGAAAGAAGAAAGAAUGGUUAAAUAGGGAUGCCCCACCCCUAGUUAAAGAGUUUGUAGAGUUAAGAAAGGAGUUAGUGUAUUUGUAGAGGUAAUAGAACAGUAGGAGUGAGUUCAAUAAGAAUCGUGGUUCUGCAAGGGGAGGUCCUGCGCUAACAGGAAGCUAGGCUAUUGUAGAAAGAUCAGAUGCUGGGGCACGAGUUCCAUUUCUUCUUUUGUUUGUGCUAACACUGGCUUUCCAGGCUUUGGAGUGCCCUGUGACAUCUCUUUCUAUACAAGGGCUCGAUGGAUUCCAUUACAGAAGCAACUACAGAAGGAAAGCUAGAAACAGAGUAGAAGAAUUAAGGUAUAUGAGCAAGAGGAUGGUUAUUGUAGCCAUGGGAGAGUUCAAAGAACCAGAGGGGAGGUAUAAUUAAUAGAGUUUAGUUACGACAACUCCGGAUGCUGUUAGAAAUACAAAUUAAUAGACUUACCACUAUACAAGCAUAGAAGACUCAAACAGUUAGAAUUGCACUCCGUAUUUACGGUCUAAGUAGACAAAAGCAUUCGACUCAUAUAAGAUGUUAGUUAGUACGUUGCCAUGAAAAAGUCCUGUGUGUUUGUUUUCGGCCCUCCCUAUCGCCAACCGUUAACUCCUUCCUUUAAGAAUAGAGUGGACUUUACUACUUACAGCAAAGCGCAUUCAAGCAGGAAUGAAGAAACCAUCCAGUAAGAAUGAAAGUAAGCCAGAUAAUCCUUCAUUUUGGUGUUCGUUCGUCUUCCAAUUCCAUUCCAUUCUGAUUUCUUGCUCUAGUGGUGGCUUGGUCAACAGUAUAUGAUUCUUUGUUCACAGAAGACAGUCAAGUUCCAACAAGACUAAGUGCGCUAACGGGAGCAGCAAGUGUUUUUUCAAGUUAAGUGUAGGUCGGGGCUUAAGUGGAAUCUGUUUGUAGGUAAAGUGUAAUCUCUUUGUGUGCGAGUUUAAGAUGAAUCCCUUAUACCUCCUAUAACAUGAGCUAGCUGCAGAUUUAAGGCAACGAGAAAUAUACACCCCUAAGAAGGAACUAAGAAAAAGGGGAUUUUCGCAGAUAGGUCGGACUGAGCUCCACAUGGAUGAGCUACUGACUCGUUGUUGCUACGACUAAUGAACUGCAAUAAGGGGCUCCUAACCUGCAGAAGGAUAAGUAGGACUCGUUUCAAUUCCAGUUUUCGGCUAAUGUGAGUUGGGGCAAUCUUCUAGUGUUGUGGUAAUUUGAUACAUUUCUAUGCGAUCUCGGUGAUGCUUAUGAUAGCUCGACGAAAGAAAGAUGACUGUUUGAUUCGGCGCAAGUGCAAUUACUGUUUAGAGAAAGAUUCCAUUGGGUACUUUUGCAGCGCUAAGUGUGUGGUCCAACUGUCGUAAAUGUAAGUGAGGAUGCUAGUGUUGUUGGUUCUGAGUGAGCUGUCCGACUUAAUCAUUCGACUCCACAAGAAGAAUCUGCCGUGAAAAAGGAAGCUGCAAGUUCCGCCUUAGCUACUUUCAUCCUUGUUGGCAGUUAACCACAGUAGGCUUACUUGGACAAUCAUUCGACUUCAACUUGAAUCCGUGUUAGCGAAGAAAAUCCAAGAGUUUUGAUCUUAACCAGCAAGCGCAUCUGCCCUGAAUGCGAGUAGAGUUCUUUAUGCUCCUUUUUUCAUGAAAGAAUGAAUCCGUGGGUUGGCAGACCGAAGAUACGACUACUACUAUUCUAGAUGUAUGUCAAUUUCAGGCCUUCCGGAAAGCUAUCAUUACCUUUGACUCGACUUCCUCUCCCAUUGCACCAUAGUGAAACCGAAGAAUGGAAGAGAGAGAGAUAGGAAUAUCAAUGAGACCUUGGAUUCGAUAAUUAGCAUUUCUCUCCAAUUUAGAUAGAGUAGGAAAGAAAAAGUCAUCAUCUAUGAAAGGACAGGCAGAAACUAUAGAUGCAUGAUAAGCCGGACCUAUGAAGCUGUCUGGCCUCGCCCGGUCUUGACUUGAUCGAGCAAAGAGGGAAUAUACUAGCAGUGGAGAAUAAAUCAAAGCCAGAAGGUCAAAAAGAAAGAUCAAAUACUAAUUCAGGAAUACACACAUCAAAAAGAGAUUAGUAAGGUUAGACAUUGGAAGGCCUCCUUUCUCCCUACCCCGAACUGCUGUAAAUAUUUGGCCUGGUCCAUUAAGAUGUUGGGCGGGGCUUUAUCGAUAUGCUGACACUGCCAUAACUCCAUUUCUCCAAGAAAACAACAUCGACCUUAGCUCCCGGUAUCCGGCUCGGUACAAGGUUGAUUUCUCAGAGUAGGAACAAAACAGGGUCUAAUCCAAACUCCAGAUUUGCCAGUUAUUAGAGUGAACCUUUUCUGUAGGCCCUAAAUUCAUAGGGGCCCGUGGCCUUUCGGGGAAAAAGAGAAAGCGGGGGGGAUAGUGAAAUUAGAACAGUCGAAUAUUGACUUAUGGGAGCUUCUAUUCCCGUGGAGAGGUAAGCAAGUAGUAUAUUCCACCUUGCUAUACCUGUUGUAUCUUCCACCUUUCUAUAUAUAUCUAUUCUUUAUCCCGGCACCUUUCCUAUAUAUAUAUAUCUAUUCUUUAUCCCGGCACCUUUCUAUAUAUAUCUAUUCUUUAUCCCGUAUUAAGACUGAAUAACCUAUUUCAAAGACUCCCGGGUACUGAAAUUAGAGAAUGCCCAGGAUUAACGCCUUUAAGUAGCAGUGUCAGAGCCUUUUUUGAAUGAUGUACGAAAGCAGUGAAUCCAAACCUAUGAGAAGAGGAUCCACUAGACGGAACCAACAUCUAAAUAAAGGAAUCUAAAAGAAAGGUAUUCCAAAGGAUAAAGGAAUAUAAAAGAAAGGUAUUCCAAAGGGCAGAAAAAAGUAUGACUAAGUAAGAAGAAAGAAUUUCCAUUUCCAUCGUGGCAAGUGGAGUUUCCUCAGCCAGCAAACUUCCUAAUCCUUUCGUAGUGGUGGGGGGAAACCAGAAUAGGAGUCGCGAAAACCUCACACGCUGUGUCAUCUGCUAAGGGAAGAGUGAGGCGUAUAUAGUCAGAAAGAACACGCCUGCUUUUUUGUUGGUUCAUAGGGUCACUCUUGCCGCUGGUGGAACUGGCCGAAUCCAAUCAAAAACCUAGGAGAAUACAAACCAAGUCACCCAUUAAUUACCGGUGUCAAUCUCUUGUUUGCUAUAAUUCCGUUCUCAUUCGAAAAUGAAAGGGGGCAAAAUCGAAAAGAGAAGAAUUCCAUAUCAAAGCCUUUAAGAACCCUAGAAACUUGUUACUUUAUCCAAAAAAGAAGCCUUAUUGAUCAUAUCCAUUAAGGGCGUAAACCCUUCGCAAACUAAGUAGGAAGUGGAAUGAAUGGUAAGGAGGCAUCUAUGUCACGAAAUAGCCCCAUGGGAAUUCCUUGUCGCUGCCAUUUCCAUAUAGUAAAGCGCCAUAGAAGAGAUUAUCUAAAACCCGGCCAGAAAGACUCCAUCUUGAGUAUAGCAUUGCAUUCAAACAAGAUCAGUCGAAAUACAAACUCCCUCCUUUCCCCCAAAAUAGUGGAGAGCUGCAAAGGUGGGUAGGGUGGUAUCAAAGCCAUUUGCAAAAGGAACUAUAACUUAUGUCGGUGAUCAUAGGUACUAAAGAAAAAUUCCAUAGUAUAAUAGAGUACGACGACCUAUAGAUAGACUCGUAAAAGGGCCGCAAGUUCCUGCAGUUAUAACAAGUUAUGACCAAGUCCCUGGGGGUGGCUUGAGAAGGAAAGGAUGGUCUCUUAGGUUGUUAACAAAGCAGCAUACAAGGAAGCAAAGAAAGAUGCACCGGUUUUUGGGGGGGUAAUAAGGAAUAUUCAUUGAAGCAGGGGAUAGUCACUUCUUAGAAAAGCAAGGUGCUUCACAAGCCUAGUUGGAAAGCUUAAUUCGAAGAUGCGUCUUUCUCGCCUUUCUGCUACCUCAGAAGAGGAAAUUCCAUGUUCCAAAUCAAGAUGAAGCAGAUCAAAGAGGGAUGCCCCAACGGAACGGAACUGGCCUUAAUCCAAUUCAUCCAUUUUGUUGCUGAAUUUGAGUCUUGCAUCUCACCACUGCCGAGCGAAGGCAAACCAUGAGCGAAGAUCCAAUUCCACUCCACUAUACCGGUGCAGCUUUAAGUUCAUUCUUCCAUACCAGAAUAACCCAGAGCCGAGAUAAUAACUUCCCGCGAGACGACGGAAAUCUUCCUUCACCCAGGGACAGGACACUACGCAAUAGUAGCAUAUCCUCUGGAAUCAGCAAGGCAUAUCCUCUGGAAUCAGCAAGGCAUCUCCUCUCUCUUUCCCACUGGCUCUUAUUGAAGGAAGCUCAGCUUACUGGGGUAUCGGUACGCUUUCCCCAGGACGGACGGGUUUCGCCCUAUGACCACCUUUGCUCACUUCCUACAAUUCAUAUGAGACUUUCCUAAUCUGAUGUCUACUUCAGUAUAAAAGACAAUAGGCCCGAUUCCUUGUUCGAUAUUCUGUUUGACUCACUAAACCGUACACCACUCUGGGAGAUGAAAUCCUCGCCGGAUUGAGAAGUACUCGCUAGCUUGCUUGUUACGACUGAACGCCAGCUUACUAUUUGGAAUUGAAACGAGCAUUUUGCUCUUUGUGUCAAUAAUGUCUUUAUAUAUGAAUUGUCAUAGAAUACGAAUAUAUCUAAUACCGUCUACAAUAUCUUGACAAGCCAAUGCUUGACUCUUAUCCGAUUUUGCCUUUUGCCCUACUCUCUUGGGGCUCCCAUAAGACUGCUAUGAUGGGGCGUAGAUACCGUAUAGCUCGCGCUUCUUUGAUUCGAUAGUUCGAUAUAGUCGGAACUCUUUGCCUCUGAGUCCAUCUUAGGUGCGGUCUAACUCCUUAAAUGGUGUAAGUGAAGUGAAGGCGGAUCGAGCUUAUACAGCAUAUACUCUUUCUUAUCUUGUCUCCACUCCUUUGGGCCAGCAGGAUAGAAUGUAAUCAAUAAGCCAGCAUAUAUCAGAGAUCCCGUCCUAACUCAUGAAUGGACUAUUUCUGUCCGACAGAUGGAACCCUCGAAAAAACCGAAAUGAGGAGUAAUUCACUGCGCGGUAGGAUACAGUUACACGAGGAUGAAUCCGACUUCAUUUUCACCGAUCAAAUGCUUUCAAACCCAUCGUUACCAAUGGGACACUUCACGCCUUCCACUAAGAAAGUCAAUCAUGUCAAUAGACCCUCAUUUCUCUUAUUGCCUCUUUCUACACUUGCUUGCAGCGGUAGGAUAUUCUAAAGAAAAGAAAAAGGCAUUUACGUAGCGUGUAAGUAAGCGGCAAUAGUGCUAGACCCUUGAAUUACAAACAAACAAGAAGGAAAAUAGUAAUGCUACGAAUAAGCGGAUAGGCCAACGGACAUACAAUGAACAGCGACUCCCUAUACGAAAACAAUUGAUUGUAACACAUCGAAGACUUAUACCACUUCGACUGCUUCCACAAAUAGAAAGCUUUAGACCAGAUAAAGGAAAGGUAUUAUGGAAAUCCGGUGCUAGUGAAUCAGAUGUUUUAAGGCCAAAGAAGGGAUAUAAAUAGCUGUUUGCAAGGGAAGUGACAUAGUUAGUGGAAAUGGAACCUCGAAUGCAAGCUCCGAGGGAGAAGACAUCAGGGAGACAGGAAGGAAGUUUCAUUGUUCUUUGUGGUAUAUAAUAUAAUAAGAUAAGAGAAAUAAUCAAUCAAGAAAUAAUCAAUCAAUAAAGAAAAGAGAAAUGGGGUUAGUGGAGAAGAACUAUAGUAAGGACGGACGGACCUGAUUAUACGAUUAUGCGCCUUCCUUCUUUGAACGGGAAGUAUUGCCCUAAGCAAACAAGGAGGCUGCCUCAUACAUCGAAGGCCCCUACCAUGUUUUAUUGAAACCUAUCUCUUGUGGUACCCGAUCUCUGCAGGUGUGUAAUGCCAGUCAAGGUUCUGGACUACCUAAGGAUUUUCUUGCCUUCAAUCAGUUUGAUAACAAUGCUCUAAAUACAGAAAUAGUAUUGGAAAUACAGAAAUAGGAUUGGGCACCCUCCUCGUUUCUAUUCUAGCGGCCUUCCUUCUCAAUGCCCAGACAGAAACCUCUGCCUCAAUCCCGGUAUCAAUGUCCUGUGCCCCAGUUGUACUAUAAAUCCAUUGCCUCCUGUCCCUUGGUUUCGGGAAAGAUGCUACUCCCUCUACCAAUAAGGAAAACAGAUUAGGUUGCUAGCUUAGAAGGGACUCGUCGGGCAGUCAGAGCGUCCUUCAUACCAGCUUUGAAUAGCGUAGUAAAGUCUCAUUUACUGUCCAAAUCAAAUCCCCUACAACUUCCUGGGGUACAUUGGAAUUCAUUGCCUUCCUUCGAUGAGGAGAAGAGAAGGGGUGAGUGAUCCGAGAGAGAAGUAAGAAGAGAUGAUGACACAGACAGAUAUCAAUAGUCUCAAUGCCAAGUUAUAUGGACCAGCGGAAAAAGCAUCUAUAGGAUAGGUCAAAGCUAAUGAGAUAGACUAAUUCGGACUUUCAAAAGGAGGAGAAGACCCUUGUAAGAUUUGUGUUCGCUUCACCUAGCGCCUAUCUCUGCUACUCUAGAAGUUCUCAUUAGGACUUGGACCACUACUUUCAGGGGAAGUCCCAGCCGUGGUAAACUCUUCACUACCUGAUCAAAGAGGCUGCAGCAUCUCUGCCAUUUCGGCCUUGGGUUCUCUAUGCUAUUCUCUCGUUUAUGGGCCUCGAGGUCUUCUUUCCGUUUUUUCUCCAUCAAACCCUUUACCUGCUAACUAAUGCAUCAAAGAAAAAGAGCCAGGCUUUCAGCACCUUACUUUUCCAAAAGACAUUCUCGCCCACUUCAAUUCCAAUUCUCAUCUUCUUCUCCGAUCGGCAUAACUCUUUUGUCGACUCUGGCCUUCCUUACUGUAGAAAGCAAAAAAGAGAGAUUAUCAAAAAGAGAGAGUUUGUAGUGAAUGCGCUUUUCUCUUACUUAACUAUCAGUGCACUAUAAUCAAUAAAGAGCAAGCUCCACCCUAAUCUGAACGAUACCGUCUAUAGGAAACUCCGGAAUAGGUCUAGUUUGCUAGCAGGGUAUGCUCUUUCUUUGUAGUAUAGUCUACCUUUUAUAGCAGGGUAUGCUCUUAGUUGUAUCAUCUCAUUGUAGUUUGCUAGCAGGGUAUGCUCUUAGUUUUCUAGUAUAAUUCACCUUAGUUAGCUGGGUCUUUUUGAGUAUCAUUGUAGUUAGUUAGCCGGGUAUGUAUGCUUUUUUGAGUAUCAUUGUGUUAGCAGGGCUUAGUUCGUUUUCGUUUCUAGUAUAAUUCACCUUAGUUAGCUGGGCGCACUAUAGUCAAGAUGCUUUAGUUUGUGCUUGGGUAAGAAUGAUUUCCUCUUAACUAGCUUCUUUAGAGCCUGGGGAGCUACGAUAUAGUGUUAUUUCUCCUAUCCUGCUUGCCCUGCUUAGUCUCCUUGCCUUUCCCUCUUAACUAGCUUCUUUAGAGCUUGGGGAGCGAUAUAGUGUCAUUUCUCCAUUGCUUAGUCUCCGGGUUUGACUUUAUCUCCUCAGUAGGCUCUGAUUCCGCUUCCGCCAGCAAAGUUUCUGCCUGCCUCACUUACCUCCAGAGGCUCAGACAAUUCGCAAGUGGGUUGGUUUGCCUUAAUCUUUCCCUUUUUUCUUAAUCAAAGCAGAGAAAGUUUCCGCAGCAGUGCGCGGGCUUACUGAAGACAUUGCAGACUUAGGGUAGGGGGUUGAGCACUCUUGCCUACAAAAUCGAAAAACAACAACUCAUUAGUUGGCCGCGGAAUAAGUGAGUUAAACAAAACAACGAAAGACCGAAAAAAGAUAUGCCCCAAGGACUGAAGUCUGGGAGGAGAAAGUGGACUCGACGAGGGCUCUGGGACGGAUUCCUUUGUCUUGCUCUUUCCUUUCUUGUAUUGGAAGGUGGGGAUUCUCUUUUUUAUUACAUCUCCUGGUGAGUUCGAUUGGCCUGAAAGCAUGGUUUGUCUUCUUCCUCUGACCACCAUGUUCGAAAUUCCGUAUCAUUCCUUGCGUAUUGGACAAGUUGUUUAAGUAUAAGCCGCUCUUUCGCUCUGGUCAAAGCAGAAUACUUUAGUAGCGCCUUUCAGUCUAUGCUUUUUCUCUAUAGGUUAUGACUGCUUCUCACUGCUUCCCCUCUCCUUUUCCUUUCCAAACAAAAGAAUAAGCAAUCCCCUCAUUGCAUACAUAGAUGCUUCCCUAUGAACUUACCUUCCUCCCACAGAACUUAAACAAAGAGAGAGUGUAGUAAGUGAAUUCGCUUGGACUAUGCUAUAAUAGUCAUAGAAUCAAUUAGCCACUAAAGACACUUUUCAUGAUGGUCAGUCUAUUUCAGGAGGGGUCUUUUAUAGAUGAUGGUCAAAGCCGUUUCUGUUUACUAUACUUGGGCAUAGAAUGGGUUUCCUACUCCUUAUUUCAGCUAUCAGGAAGGAAAGGUAUGGUUAUGUCCUAAUCAAGCAAGAAAAGAGCACAGCGCGACAUGCACAGCGCAUGAUAGCAAGAGAGAUAUGGUGCGGAGUGGAGAUGUGGAUUCUCCGAGAAGCUUCACUUGUGGAGUGAGACCGAUCUUCUCUGAGCAGAAGCCUACCCUACCCAACGGAAGAGCUCCCACCACCCUUGAUCGAGAGUGAGCCUGUUUCAGUAAGGCCUGUUGUCCUGUACCUGGGCGAAGGAAGUCAAAAACCAUUCUUACUGCAAUCGAUACCGAAUCCACAUUUGAUUAGUUGCCCGCUUCUCUCUCUCGUUGUUUCGCGCCUUUCUUUACUCUACAGAACUUCCAGCGCCUUUCCAUUUCUCUUUUGUUAGGCAGACAGACCAGACCGAUUGCGGUCAAGAUGGGUAAUGGCCCCGCGAAGUAUUAUGAGACGAAGCUAAGGGGCGGGAAUCCAUUUCUGAUAAUUACACUUGGCCGAUCCAUUGGCGGGGAAAUCGCUGGUUAUAGUAAGUUGGAGCAGUAGAAAAAGUAGAGCUCGGUUGCUUGUCGGGCUGGAAACAAUAUAAGAUAUAAGACUCGCUGAUGCUAAGGAAAGGAACGAAAACAGGUGGACGAACACAGUUGAAGCUCCUUUCUUCGCAUUACCAAGUCCUGUUUUGGGGAGUUCUUCCAUUGGCUAUCCAAAAUCCCGGACUUUCAAAAGAGAUCAUACUAAAGGACGGCAGCGUUAAGAAAGAGACCGAUUGAACAGGCGUAUCUAUUUGAACUAGUUGAAGCGGUAGUCCCCGAUGUGUAAGGUCUCGCCUCAAUCUUUUUGUUGGGAAGGCAGGAGCGAGUAAAGUCCAUUCAAGACGGAAUUGAUCUAUUAGGGAGAAUUUGUCUAUUAGGGAGGUUUCCUUUCGUAUCAAGAGUUUUGGAGGCCAGGGAAGACAGACAGAUUGGAUCGAGAGGCGAUGCCUAUGCCUCUUCUUUCUUUAUCGAGAGGAUUCCCAUCACAUCAUUUGAAGUCUCUGGCGAAGGAGACAAGGGCGAGGCACCGAACAUGUUCUAUCCUAAACCUGCAUCCGUCAUUUGUAAGAGAAAUCCGCUUUUCCUAUUCACUAGUACACUGCGCGCUAAAACAAGCAGCCCCUUGUCUCGUAAGGGAAAACGCUAGGCUGUUUUUCAGAAGGCUUCUUCAAAUAUCCUAUUUAUAAUCAAAUUAGUGAAACUGUUUCCAAUAAAAUGAGUGAAACUGCCCUUAUUGAUGCUAUUCUGAAUUUGGCCCAUUUGUGUUUGGUCCUUACUUAAGGCUCAUGUGGAACCCGGCAGCUAUAGGUCGCAUUAUGAUUGGAAGUAAAGGGCUCCGAGACUUCGACUUCGCAUAGUGAGGAAACGGGAGCGUGCAGACAGAAAGCAAGAUAUAGUAAGCACUCAAGGGGGCAGGAAUAGGAUAGGUUAGUUUAGAAAUCCUAUGAAAUCCUAUAAGGCAGGGGAAGAAGAAAGGGUUAUCGCUCAAUCCGAUCUUUAGUCAGUGCCAAGACCCUUCUUUAUUAUAGAAGUAAGAUAUAAGUAAGAUAGAAGGAAGUAAGAUAGAAGGAAGAGCAAUUAGUUCAAUUCGAUACAUUCCAUUUCCUUCAGAAAGCUGCAGAACGAAGAUGGUGAAUAUAGUAGGCUUGGGCUCCUCUCUUGCUCUUUGAACUCUGGCUCCUUUGCUUGUCUCUGACUUAACGGAAAGAUACUCCAGUACGGAUGUGUUUGCUGUACGACGAAAACGGAAGAGGUCACAAUGCGCUUAUAUCAUAUGUGGUUCCUUAACCGCAGCACCUAUUUCUGAUUCUAGAUGUGUAACGCUCCAUCGUCCAGGGCCACUCUCCUUGCUUUCUCUCAUGAAUGGAAUCUAUCUAGCUUAUGAUACAACUAGGUUAAAGAAUAUCUAUUGCUCUAUCUUGCACAAGGUAUAGAGUGGAAAGUCAAGUGGAACAGGGCGAACAGAAAUAUACCCCACUUCAGCAGAAAUAUACCCCACUUCAGUGAGUGCGCUUGCUGCUGACUUAUCACUUACUGCUGACUUGGCUUUCAACCUAACUGCUUAGCUUACUCCUUACCCCAAAGCUUACUAAUGCUAGACGGCGCUGCAUUCAAAUAAUGAGAAAUUCGAACUGAACGUCUUGCACCUGCUCUGCUCCUGCUGAAGCUUUAGCAUAUUCUUCUAUAUAGACAUGAAAGUGAAAGUUCUCAUACCCACUACGCGAGGAUAGUUUGUUUGUCCGGAAGGGAUGCUUUGUAUUUAAACUCAUCUAUACCCAAAGCUCACUAACGCUAGAUAAUUAGGACUUUAUCUCGGGUUGCAUUAUAACUCGUACUAACGCACUUAGUGUUGCUUCUAGCUCCUGCCGCGUCAGUGAGUUCUUCCUUUGCUUCUAGCUCCUGCCGCGUCAGUGAGUUCUUCCUUACCUCUCUACUUUCUUCAAUUGAUUGAUUACUUGUAUCUUAAAGCUACUUAUCCCUUCCCUUUGGUGACUUUUCAUCUAUUAACCCUAGCCCUUGUGUUAUUAUGAUUAUUCCUACUCAGUAACUCCCUAUAUAUCUAUGUAUUAGAAUCAAUAUCCGGAUCAAAAGCGGGGCGAGGAAAGCUGUCUGCAGUGCCAAAGUUAGCAGAAGAAUUACCUGUUUCGUGUUCUUGUUUUGUCAAUGAGAGAAGAAAGUUGAGGAUAUGAAGCAAAAGAUUCAGCAAUAUCUUGACUUUUGUAAGGCUUUCGCCGGCUUUAUCUAACAUAGCCUAAACUCAGCCUCUGUGCUUCCUCAUCAUAGCACUCCUAUUUCUGACGAGCAAAUAGCACUCCGUAACUCCAAUGUGGUAUGCUCUAUUCCCUUGCGCAACAUCUUGGUUCAUUGAAAUUGCACUCUCGGAUCGAGCUCAAUCCUAUGAUUCUUUACCUGCUUAAUGAAACACCGGAUUUAGAGUCGUUUAAGCCACUGGAAACUCAAAUGAUAGCUAAUCAUAUCUGUAACCAACCCUUACUUUCGCACUCUUCUUUCAGUGCAUCAUUGAAUCCAUCUCUUGUGCCUGGCAUAGAAAAAGUCAAUACCGGCCUAGCCCUGCCCCUUCUUGCAACUUCUUCUUUUCUUGUCGAUGAAACUAUCACUCCAGCUCUCCCACUGUUAGCCUUUUUCCUUCCCAAAUAGGGUAUACGCUAGUGUUUUAAGAUAUCCUUUUAAAGGGUAGGAGGCUGGGUAAGCUGCCUGGAAAUGAAUGUAUCCCAACGACUGGAAGGGAAAAGUUGGCCAAGACGAAUUCAUUGGAUUAGCAAUAAUAAAGAGGAUCAAUAAAUCCAAUUCCUGACUCCAAGGCGGAAAUCAAGAUAAAGAAUAGAACGAUUGGCCCCAACAUUGCUAUAGUUUACUCUUUGACACCGAAAAGGCUUUCACGUGAGCAAUUGUUAUAAGUAAGAUAGUAUAAGUAAGAGAGAGAUGGGCAUUCCUACCUUUGGAUUCUUUGCAUUCUGUUUAGUCAUUCUGUAUGUCAUAAGUGUUUUUCUCUCUAUGGGAAUGGGGUUCCAAGCCUUCCAUGUAGGCUAUUACCUAUGUUCGUGAAUCCCUAAUCUGUCUAGCACGUAAUCCGAAUUUGACGUCUAGGAUAACAAGUGUAUGAGCUUAGAGGUCUCUCGCAAUUUCUUUCUAAGUGGAGUAUUCGGCUAAGGGUUAAUGCUAAAGUGCUUGUGUAAUGAUUUCAGUAUCGGUUAAGCCUUUCUAUUAUCUGUUUCAAGCUUUGGAUUUCGGUUCGCAUCGAGGAAAUGGGGAUGCUGGUUAAUCACUCCCCUGUGGCUUAGUCGACUAAGGUUCCAUCCUAUCUUUCUGUUGGUGCAGUUGCUCACGGGCCUCUUUCAGUAAGGUAGGUUAUUAGGUCUGUCCUUAAGUCUUGUAUUGGUUCUAAGUCUGCUAGUGGUGCUGCCAGCCUAGGCGAGUCCUUCUUUUGGUACUGUGUUCAUAGUCCAACCCCCAAAAUCUACUUAAGGCCUAUUAAGACUGAUGAGUAAAAGCCGAUCUACUCGCCCUUACUUCCAGCUCCAGAGUAAAAGCACAGAUGCUUUGCCUUGCCAUUCAAGUAAGCCAGUGAGUCGGUCCAUUCGCUAUGCCAUCCUAAGUCUAUAAGUCGUCUCAGGCUUGUGGUUACUCUCUUCAUUUCCAUUGCUUUUAUUAGCCAUCAGCCUUUAAUUAGAAUCGGUCUUUGAUGGUCGCGGUGUAAUACAAACGUAUAUUUGCUCUUGCAUUUAUUGUCUUAUUAUUAGUAGACGGUGGUGCAAAAUGUCGGGACUCUUGCAGAUGGUAAUGUUCUUCCUUUUUGACCCAUGCUUUGGUUGAGUUUAGGAGCAAAACCUUGUGCAUAAACAAAACCCCUAGUAAAUACUGAUCAUUGGCUUUAACGGAAUUAGACUAGAAAGUAAUUGGCUUUAACGGAAUUAUACUAGAAAGGGCAAAGGAAAACCGCAUUUGAGGAAUCAGACGGAUCCCUACUAUACUGGCUUGUUACUAUAGCGAGAAACUGGGAUUACUGCAACAGCAAAAAAGCACACUCUCACCAGCGAGUCCAUUUUAUCCAACAAAAAAAAGUGUGGAAAUAGGUGCCUGGGCAAAUAACCUUCUUUCAGCGAGCAACUUGUUCCGCAAAUAACCUUCUUUCAGCGAGCAACUUGUUCCAUUUAGAAGUUUCUCCUUAUGUUUGAAAGCGUGACAGAAGAAAGUUAUCAACAAGGGGAACCCCACUUCGACUCACCAAGUAGAAGGCUUUUGAUAUUGAUUGUUUGAUAUUGUUUCUUCUUAAGUUAUAUAGAUCAAUGUUUGGACUGUGUUUGCCUAGGGAAAACAUUUGCCGAUGUUUUGUAUUACCUACACUAGUGACUUUCUCGCCUUAGGCUUAGCCACUCGGAGCUCAUAGGGAGAUAACUUAUAGAAAUGAGAUUUACAAGAACCACUAAGUCCUCACUGUUCAAUACAAAGCUCUUGAGUCUUGGAUUUGAUUAUACCAUUCUAUUCCAUUUUGUUUGGCCAUUCUAUUCCAUUUUGGUAGUUCAAUCGCUAUAUUUCUUUAUUUAUUGAUUUAUUGAAUAUGAGUGUGCGGCUUGUUAUAAUGGAUCCUAUUGAUAGUACAGAGAAUGGGUCUGGCAUCUUUAUAGAGAUGGGUUUUUUCUUCGUAUGAUAUUGAUUCUAGUAUCUGGAGGCGUGGAAAUGAAAUGGAUUAAUAGUAAGGUGUGGCCAGACCACUGUGCAAAUAUAACGCUCGCGUCCGCGUGGAGAUGGAUCUCGCCUAGGCCAAAUAAGAUCUGGUUAGGAAUGGGUUAAGGAGUCAAAUGGCAUCCAAUAAUCGUAGAGAACAAACUAGUUCCUCAGUUCCCACUGCAUGCUUCGAGGCCACGACAAUUCCGGAGCACCCAGAGGAAGAAGAAAGAACAUUACAUGCUGCGAGGCAUCGCUGAUAACAUCGCGUACUGUUGCCUAGGAGAAACCCUUUAUAAGGCUAGCCAAGCUAAUAGACAAGUCAAUACUAAUCUAAUAGAAAGUCAGCAGCAAGCGGGCUAGUUCCAGAAGUGGAUUCUUAUGUGAGUGAUUUCGGUCAUAUCGGUAAUAACCAUACUUUCUCACUGGAACUGGAAAAAGCCAUCGACAUUCUUUUGGUCAACCCAUUUCUUCCCAAUGAUCUUCCCUUUCAGUUAGGCGCUUACAUCAAUAAGCCGAAACUAAGCCCAGAGCUUUUCCAGAAUUCUUGGAAGAAAGUUGCUUCAGUCGGUGACUCUAUGCCCUACGCUUCGACUUCCAAUGUUCGGUUGUGAAACCACAUGGCUUUGCAGAUUGAGCAGCAUUGAGAGAUUCCGUUUCUAGAGUCUAUCUCUAACUUCACCUUGCAGUAGGAUUUCCUUCGAAUACUUGUCAGCCACAAUGAUAAGAAGAAAAUAAAGCAGAGAGAAAUUAGGUGAUCUAGAAGAAAAUGAAGCUAUUAGAUUUGGUUGUCUUUGGUAAGUUUCGAAAUACUCAAUACAUUUUUGGUAAUGUAAGGUAAAUGCAGGAUUUGAUUAAGUAAGUUAGCGUAUGAGUAUUACUAAGAAAGUCUCCUAUGUGCUUAAUAUGCAAAUGAGCACCAUUGUUAAAUGUUACGGAUUUGUUACCUCGAUAAUAAGAAGCAAUGGAGAGAUUGGACAGGUCUGAGUCACAUGAUUUGUGGCUCCACUGUCCACAUACCAGGCAGGAUCUUGCACUACUUCUGGAGUGGCGAUGUGAGCGGAUGUUGCUUGACCAAUCAAAUGGGUAUUAAAGGAAGUCUCACUCAAACCACUAAAGGUUCAUGUGCGUUCCUGCUUGAUUCAAAUGCUCUUUUUAGGUGUGGAAGAACGAACCACUUCUGGACUGAUUGAACUAGUGACAAAAAUGGCUUUAUCCUUGACCUGCAUUGUGAUUUGGUACAUUGUGAUUCCCAGCUGCUCCUGUGUAAGUCUCAUCAAAACGAUACCAACACUAGUUAACAGUGUGUGUGUGACCGGCCACAAUGACUUGGUGUUCCAAUUAUGACUCCUUCCUCUUCCCUUUUCCAUGAGAAUUGACUCCUCCGAAGUUCUAGUUCUCAUUUCCACAGUGGUUUUUGUUAAGCAAAUUGUGCCAAUGGAGCAUUAGCUAAUUGAACUUUGGGUAUAUUAAGUUAGGAAUUAUCACUAAGUUGCUCAAUUCUCUGUUCAUGAACCAUUAACAUGUAUUGAGCUUCUUCAACUGAGACCUCCUGAGUGCUAUGUUGAAUUAACACGAAAACUGGGGCAUACUCAUGACCCACACCUAUAAAAGGGAAUGAAUAUUGUUGAUCUAAUUUAUACACUUACAAGCGGAGGGAACCCAACCCCGGAUCCAGUUUAGGCGGAGGAAGAGGACUCCGGCGAGCUUCCUCGAUAAAGAAAGUCAAGCUGGUAGUCGCCGAAAGUCAAGCUGGUAGUAUAACCCAUGGCAGUAUUGUUUGCGGGUGUACGAUCUAAUCCUAAUCCUAUACCAGCAGGAGGUUCGACUUCCUUCUCCUCAUCGCUGUGGGCCUCACCUUUUGAAAGGCAACAUUCGAUUCUUACAACGGAUAAAGCAACUCUUACCUUUAUGCAGGAAUCGACCAAAGAGAGAAAAAGAAUAUACUAAAGCAUGAUCUCUAGACUUCCCCCAGACCCUCUGUCCGGCCUAGCGACCGUAUCUAAGCUUGGAGCUCCUGUCUCCUCAUUUAGAGAGCUUACUUAUGGACCUCAUCCAAUUGGUUUGAUUUCCAUUCGGUCAGCUGCCCCUCAUCUAUUAGUGCAUCGCCAAACUAUAGUAAUGGGCCUUAUUAGGUGGUCCGUCGGUGCGUUCAUUCCGAAUUUCUUUGUACCGCCCAGAAGAGCACGAGAGAAAAGCAGAUCCAAUACCAAGACGACUUCUUUUCUCCGGAAGUGCAGGAGCUGUGUACGGGUUUCAAAGAGCCGAAGCCCCUUUAGCUUUCCCUUAGACUAGUUCCUAUUCCCAUGAGAAGGAGGACACACAAGAGAAGUGGUUUUUCUACGAUCCGCUUGCUUGAUUGAGUACCUGACUUUCAAACAAAUCGUCUUGAACUGAGUACCGAAACUCGCCUACCGUCCCAACACAAGGCAAACCUUUCAUUCAUCGGGCUUUGAUUCAUGAAGGCAAGCUAGUGCGAUAUAUAGAUGGAUUUACUCAGGUAAGCUUAUAUGGAAUAGCAACAUUCAUUGGUCGAUAGAUAUGGAUUGAGUGCCACCUCACUACGUGGUAUAUCAUCUUUUUGAUUUUAGAUCACCUAUUACAUGACAAGGAAAGCUAUCUGAGAGUGAAAGCCCAAACGGAUCUCUUUUCACGGUUCAGGCGAACUUCUUUCAAGGUAGCUUCCCCCAGGGAAUGAAUUGACAAAUAAAGCUUCUGAUUCAAAAACGGAGAAAUGCAAGUUCAAUGUUCUUCUGGUACAAAUAAUUGGAGCCUGGGUUUGGUUCAAGAAGUGGUAGCGCUGGGGUUUUGGGUGUAAUGAAAGAAGUCGCUUGGGCAAAUUCGAUAAUGAAUUCCUCGCCUCGGGCUAACCUAACUCAUUGUAGCGUAGGUGUAGUGGAGACUAGUAGUAAUGACCAAAGUGACGGGAGGAGGCUAAGAGUGGAGUCGGGAGCUAAGAGUAAUGACGCAAGUGAAAGGAAGAGCCUAUGCAUACUUUUGACUAUUCCGCGAAGGCAAUAAACUGCUACUGGCAUCGAUCGACCGGCAUGAAGACACUUAACUUGGGGCAACUCCAGCCAAUGCCCCGCCUCAUAAGGUUACAGCCAGGGAAAAGGUUGCAAAGGAAGAACUCUUGCCAACCCUUUGACUUUUGGAUCGAAUGUCUGCUAAAAGUUAUUAUAUCACUUUUUCCCACUGGGGUCUCACGUGUGGCAGCUGUUGGAAGAAACUCCGAAUCCUCUAUCGAAGCUCCAAGGUAUUCCCUAUAUUUAGUAUUCCCCUGCCUAAAAGAAAUAGUAAGUAGGGUUACAAUAAAGAAAAAGCAUAUAUCAAAUAUCAAGUACGAGACUGGUCCGUCUGGAGGACGAGCUCCUAGGACUCGAGCAAGAGAAGAUCAAGCAGAGGGCCUUAUAGUGUGCCUAUCUAUAAGUAGUUUCCAGGUUCCUAGACCCCGGCCGAUUGUGUUACUGCUUUUGUUCCCCCCAAAAGAAGAAUGGAUUUCCACAAAGAGGUUGACAUUUGUAGCAGUACAAUAAGGGAUCUAUGCCCUCGGUAACCAUCAAGAGCACGACCCGCGGCCCCUCUUCUGACUUGACUUGAACUAGUUGUGUCGUGUGCUGUUCCCCUCUGAGCCAAGAUGAGCUACGGCUUGACAGUUUAUCGAGCGCCUGUACUGUACCAGGCCUUUCCUUAUGGUAGUGUGCCUCUAUAUUUGUUUUGAGUUUCCCGCUUUCCAUAAGAAGUCGCUAUUGUUCCUAAAGGCAAGAGUCGGGUCCAGCUCUGUUCCCUACAAAUAGCUUAGUCAGAAAAGCUGCAUCCCUUCUCACUCGUAGGGUAGCUCUUUUCCCUCGGUGAGUCGCUUCCCGUCCUUGCUUGUCUGGUACUUUCAUAAUGGGUCUUUCGCUCUCUCUUUCGUUUAGUGUGAAAUCCGGAUCCCAGCUUACCCCAGAAGAAAAACCUUCCUUCGAGUCUGUUCUUGUUCUAAGGGCAUGGCUCUCCCACAUCUUAUUAAAAAACGUAUUUAGUAUAGGAAGUAAGUCGUGAAUCUCGGUCGAACUUCGGUACCUUAGCCCGGUCAACAGCCUAGUUUCCUAGACCUCCUUCUAUCCCGAUAUUGAGGCAAGCCCGGUACCCCUUAUUGUGUUACUGAUUCCGUUGCCCAAGAACAAUCAAACAGUUCGUAGCUCUAAGUGAUCGGCAGUUAGGACGAUAGAGAGUGCUCUAGCCCGGUCCCGUCCUUGCGUCCUUGUAUUCCGAUUGUUCUUACCGAGUGGGGGCGAAUAUCAAGUCUUUCGUUCCGGGGUUAGGCGCAGCAUUCCCUUCCUCCGUUGCCUCUGAGUUUAAUAAGGAUAGAAGCUUUCCCGGCCCUUCUAUUAGGCAUUAUUUGAGCUAUAUGCUAUUAUUCCUCUGAUAGUAGCUAGAGAUUCUGAUAGUAGCUAGAGAUCUAGUAUCAUACCAUUUUCCAAAGAAAGAUAGAUAGUAUGCUAAUAUGGUAUGCUCUUCAAAGAUAGAUAGUAUGCUAAUAUGGUAUGCUCUUCUAGGGAUGGAGCACUCUGUAAGAAGGUCUAAGCUUGAGUCUGCCUUUUCUAUAGCAAUAGUAGCUAGAUGGGAAUGUCGCCUAGCAGCUAGUAGCUCUCUCUUCUUAUAGCUCGGUAGUUUGAUGUUUCCAAAAUCCUUUAUGGUUAGAGCAAGCUAGGCCAGGCCAAGUAACGUAUACAAACACAUAGCAAGUAGGCGCCAAGUCCUAAAACCUUUGAGUUCACCCCUGCCCCUGGUUCUAGUUUCAUCCAACAAGCUACUACUCAUGAUGCGCGUUAGUCCGGCCGAGUGGAAUCGUAAAGAUCAGCUCUUUCUGGUCGCCUAGUUGCUUGUCUGGUAAUAACUCUUGUCUUAGUUGGCUACUCUCAAUCUGGCGCAGGAGAAUAAGAAGGAUGAGAAGCAUGGUUGGUGUCAAAGUGGUCAGCAGCAAGUAAUAAGUCAUCAGCAAGACGUUAUGCUCUGUUCUUGUCGAGUGAGGGGCAGACUCCGGUUGUGCGCCAGUGAGUUUAUUGAGUUUUGUAUAUCUAUCUAAUUGGGUAGUAAUUCUUUAAUCAGAGUCUUAAGUGUUAACGGUUCAAUUCAAAAGGGUAUCUCGCUUACCGGAGCCCUUAUUGGGUGACUCGAUCCAUUGUUUGUUGCUUUCGCUUACUCUUUCUUUGCUUGUUCUGUUGUUUGACCCUUCUCCGCGUUUCAAUUGAAUCGUGAAGAUCAGCUCUUUCAGUUCUUGUUAAAUCGAUGAGAUCAGUAACUUAAUCUGGAUCCUAAGCGGGAUUCGAAGCUUCAUCUCCUCUUUCUCAUGCCCACUGAGCAGUAAAGACCUGGAACUCGUAUUUUCCAGAAAGGAAAGGAUGCUUUUGGGCGAGAUCCACUAUACCCUUAGAACUUUAUACUUAAGCGAUGCAGAGCUUCUCAAUCAAUCUUCUUUUAAAGACACUGUAUUGCUUUAAUCAAAGAUGCAAAUGCUAUAAUAAGGUAUAAAACAAGGUAAUAAGAGUAAGAGAAAGAUUCAAUAAAAGGUUGACUCGAAGCAAGAAAGAUGGCCUAAGGGUUCCGCGGAAGCAACAGUUUAUUGCUUUCAUUUUAGUGUACCCUGGCUUAUUAAACAAAAGAAAGACUUGGGUCUCCAUUUAUGUCCUAAAGAAAGGCUCCGGUCUAUGUUUCUGUCCUAUACUCAAAAGAGAAAGGGCUAAGGUAGGUCUACGUUAAGGGAGUUCAGGUGCUUUACUUUUUCCACCUCUCUUGCAUUAACCAUAAGUAUAACUGUGUUUAGUAGCCUCAUAAAAGAAUUUCCAUAUUACUGAUGCACCACCCUCUAGAAAAGAAUGUUGAAUCGAACCUCUUCUCUAUUGCCCAGCCCACGUUGCGGUUAAGUAGAAAGUCAGUAAAGUAGCGAAAGGAAGCAGCAAUCUAGGGUACUGUUUCUUUAGUUGCCAGCUGCCAGUGGAAUACCUUGUGGAAUCUGCUUUCUAGUUAGGAGUUAAGGUAUUAAAUGAAAUACAUGAGUUAGGAGUUCAAUAUGAGUUAUCGGAGUUAUAAUACCAAUAAAGCAAUCCGGAGUUAUGAGUUAGGAGUUAUUAGUUAUAUAUCCAAUCUGGUAUGGUACCUGAGUUAGGAGUGAAAUGAAAUACCGGAUCCUGAGACUUAUGGCCUUGUUGGUUGUUUAGUCUGGCCUUUGGAGUUAUGAGUUUAACAAGUAACAACUACUAACUGGCAAGGAAGCACUAACAGAGCUGAGUUGAGUCAAAAGAGCAUAAGUGGAAAGUGAGAAUGUGCCCCAGGAGUGAAAGAAUGCAACCACUAUAACUCAGACUGGAGUAAUUGUGGAGGGAAUCAGAGUGAAACCAGUAAGUGGAAGCCUUAAAGCCAGGGCAGUGAGAAAGUAUGGUUAUGAGAUGUAGGCUUGGUAAGCUAUGUUGGUAAGCUAUGAAAUUGUAGUUGAUAGUUUCUAGUGGAAUGAUUUGCCUGUAGGUGAGAGUAGCUAUAUUCAUUCUUUGCCAGUAGUCUCGAGUAGAUAUUGGAAUUCUGACAAUUGAGCACCCGGCUUGUUCUCUUGUUCCUUACGUUUGAUACCUUCCCUGCCUUAGUAGUAGCUUGGCUGUAGCCAGAGUCAUAACAGUCUUAGUUUACAGAGCCCAUAGCCAUAACAGUAGUAGUUAACAGAGGUGGAUGAGCAAGAGGGUAAAUCUUAUAGGAUAAAAGGAACUAGAACAGCCGAUAGCUAUCUGAAUGUGGAAUUUCCCAUAAAACGGGCACAGAUGAGCGGCCCUGCCGCGACACCGAACACAGGACUUAUUCUUAACUGGCUAUAACUACUUAUUUGUCCUACUGCCGCACAACGGCGUAGCCGUUGCUUGCCUAUCCGUGUCUUGGCUGUUAUAGUGCAUUUGAGCCUAACAUCUUUAGGGUUCCCUUGGGGCAGUUACCUCCUAUGUUCCAGUUCAUAAGUCAAGAGUGAGAGUUAGCUCGGGUCGGGGUGUCAUGUAAUAGAUGUGGGUGCCUCGACUAGUAGGCACGUUUCUCCAUAACUAAGACUUCAAUUUGUUAGUUUACUUAGGUAGAUUAGAGCCCAGUUCCUGUUCGAGUCAGCGGUAAGAAAGGUCAGAAUGCAACUAAGAGGUAAGCUAGUAGUGUCGUAAGGAAGUCAAGAAUUGCUAUUCCAAAUCCCGGUACACGAUGGUGAUGGUGAAUUAUCCCCGUUAUUACAAUAGAUGUCUUCGUACCAAUCUCAUACUUACUAUUCAUAUCCUGCAAUCCCAGCUUCAUGUUUAGAGUGACGAGUUUCAUUACUGGUUGUGAGCUUGGUUCUCAUUAGUUCAGUACCGAGUUCGAUCCCUUGUCUCGAGUUAUCAUCCGCGGGGCACUUGUUCACUCUUUCCUGUAGUCAUUCCGGCCUUGGCGGCAACUGUUCUAUUCGCAUCAGCAAAGGAAUCAGAUUGAGCUCCCACUGUAUAAGACCAAGGAGCGGGCGGAGCAAAGUAAGGCUUAUACACAUUAGUCAAAGAACAAAGGGCGUUGGCUCAAGAAUGCACCCCGGGAGCAGGUAUUAAGGCUGGCAGGCAGUGGUUCUAUUCUAAUAGUGAAAAGACAGGGUCUUGUUACCGGUAGCUCAAUUCCCUUUUCCAGUUCUCGUAUUAGAAGCUGUGGUUCGAGCCUUUGAGUUGCUAGUUUAGUCCAUUAGAUAGUAGUCCAAAUCCUAUUAGUUUAGGCGCGGUUCUCUUCUUUACUACUGUAUGGAAUUCUCUAGUAAUGUUUUCAUUAACCUCCUCCCCACAAUGCGAGUCUUAUAGAGUUCAUAGCAUCUACGAAUGAAAGAAGGUAGUUGGAGGGGAAAAGCUCAUAAGAUAAGCAAGAAAGCAAGUAAGGAGCAAGAGACGGCGAGGCGAACUACAGAAUUUCGUUCUUUAGUUUUCGAACUAAGCUAAGGAGUGGUAGAGACUAAUUGGAUUUCCUAGUUCCCUGUUCGAUUCUUGUCCUCACUAGCUCAAUUCCUAGUUCUGAUCUUAUAUAGUUAGUCAGGGUUCGCUCCUAAGGUUUUAUACCUGAGUUGUCGAUCCUAAGGUCUUAUACCUAUAUGUAGGGGUUUCAGUCUGAGAAGAGGCAGUUCUACUCUCGGAAGCAGUAAUUUCCAUUAGUAUGAGUUUACUUCGAAGGGAUCUUGACUUUCCCAUUUCAUCCUUACUUCUUUGUUUAAUGCCGGGUGUGCUACAUUAUACCUAUUAGUUUCUUUCUUCUUUUCUUGAUUCUUGUAUUUGGCAUCUUGGUUCUAUCUCCAUAGGCGCCAGGGAUCAUACCUAUGAAUUACAUUCCCUAUUAUAAGAUAAAGUAUUAGUAGGCACUGGUUGAACCUCAAAGCAAUAUGAAAAUAAGGGUAGGCGAGGUCCGUUUUGAACCCCGACCGAUCAGUAGAAAAAGAAUGAGUUUAAGCUGAGGGUUGGCUAAUGACAAGUCGGUACUAGUAGAAUUCAUGUGUUAGAGCUAUAGCCUUGUCAGUUGCUGUUCGAGUAGCGGUAUAGUGGUAGUUCAAUGCAUUGGGGCAGCGUUCCAUUAUCACUUUCUAGUUGAGUUUUGUACGAUGUACUUCACAUUCUAAUAUAAGUCAACUGAAUGCUUAAUUGAAUAAUGAAAUAAGUAAGGCAAAAUGAGAGGUAUGCUAAGAGAGGGAAGUUGGGAGUGCCAGGGCGAGUGAGGCUCCGGAUCAUUGGUUAAAGAAAGAAAAGCACCAGUGGAGUUCCCAUCAGUGGUAGGCUCUCAGCACCUUGUGAAUUCCUAGUUGGCAGCUCGAUUCCUGUUAUCACUAGGGUCGUUCGAAGUUUUUCAUUGCAUUCCCGAGCUCAAUUCGGAUUUCUAUAGUAGUGAAAGCCCCGUGUUAGCUAGGUAAUAGGUAAAGCCCUGCUAGCAGUGAUUCAAUUGCUUCUGUAGGUCUUCUCGGUGCUAGUUGGAAUCCCCCUUUCGAGUUAUCGUAUGAGAAGCACCGGUUGCUAUCUUGCUUGUAGUAAUGAAAGGCUAAGCCCCCAGUUAGAUUCUUGUAGUUAAUAGCUAAAGCACUAGUUGUUAAUUCCAUUCUAUUAGCCGUAGGUGUUUUGGUUCCCGGUUAGUGAGAAGGUAGUCCUGUUUGGUUUACAUUAGUGAGAGUGUCAAAGCGAGUGCAGUAAGCCCAAUAGCAGGUCAGUCAAGUCAGAAUGAAAGUGAGUCGCGGCAUACUUCUAUAGAGUAGAUAUGGAAAUGAAAGCAAGGAAAGCAAGGGUCUAUGUAAUUGAGGUAAUUGACGGGUGCCCCAGCAGUUACAGGAUUCCAAUUAGUAAAGGUGAGGCUCGUAGGUAAAGGCAAAGAUAAAGAUCCAAUGUCAGUAGGGAAAGAAUUAGUUCGAUCCUAGAGUCUUGUUGUCUGUCGGGUAUUCUUUUCUUUGUGUUAGGGUUUGAUUGUUGGGAGCCUUAGUUUGAUUCCUUGUAUUGGUAUGAAAUCUAUAAGCAUAGUAGUCGAUUCCCGUAUCCGGGGGGAGUCAUUUCUUUAUUCUAAUUAAAGGUGUAUUAGAAGCGCUCAUUACAGAAUUCAAGCAAGGUAGUAAGUCUGAUGGACCAGAGGGCUAGAUGUGAAAGGAUCCGAAUAAGUAGUACAAGAAUACGGAAGAUGUGUGGGCAUCGUUAGGCUAAUAGUCAGCUGCUCCAGUCUUUUUGCCUAUAGUUGGAUCCCCGCUAGUGAGAUAAGUCUUGGCGUCGAGUAGUUACUCGUCCGGAACUAACACUUGACAUCCACCAAUAGAAUUCAAUUCAUAACACGGACAUAGAAACCUUGCUUUAGCUCUUCCGCUACAUUCAACAUUACUUGUAUUUACUUCUAAUAACCAAUUACUUUGCUGCUAUUUCGUUCACUUAUAUUAGAAUGUGCUAUUUCGCUCACUUAUAUUAGAAGAUGUUUUCAUACUUGCGGGUCAAUAGCUACAGGCCUAAACUCAAAAUGAAGGCUUCGACUACUGCUAGCAAGGCCCCAACUCGACAUAAGGAAUAACCCCAAGAACACAGGCUAAACCUAGUGCUUUAAGGCUUAACUACCAACUAUCAGAAUUGGGUGGGCCUAGUGCCUCUCAUGCUAAAACAAGGUACCAGGGAAUCCAAACACUGGACUCGUUCUUACCCGGCUUCUUAUCCCCAAAGCGGGACUCGUUCUUACCAGGCAGGUUCUCUCUCGCUCGUAGACUUUCCUCUCCCUUUGUCGGCUUAACCGAGUAGUUAAUGGCUUAGCGUAGUUAAUGGCUUAACCGAGUUGUGGUUUCAAUCCGAUCCGGGUUGGUGCUUGCUUGAUGUUAAGGGUCGUGGUUAGGAUGCAGGCGAAAGACAUCGUGUGUCAGCAUCAGUUCAAUCUCAUUCAGUACUAACGGGGGAGUUGCCACAUUCCAUUCUUAACAUGGAGGAGAGUUCGUCAAAAUCCAAUCAAGUUGUGUCUUUACUUUGAUCUAUGCCAGGUGCUCGAUAACAAGCUUUAGAAUAAUAAGACAAUAAGGAUUUCCCGAGUUGGGGCAAGAAGAGAGUCUCCUAUAUCAAUAGAAGAUCCAGAAUGAGACAAGCAACGAAAAGUACUGUUUUUCCAGUUAUAACCGCAAACUUGUUAUAGUAUACCGAACCCAUCUCUACCAAUGAAUAAGCACCCGACACAAUAACCUCUCUUGUAGACAAUGAGCCAAUAACGGGAACUCGUAUGGAAUUGGAAGACCCGAUUGCAGCACUUGCAGCUGACGACAACACCUCUGAUUCCGGGCCUUAUCCUUCUUCCUCACCUGUUCUUGCUCUAUCUUCUGCUUUGACUCCUAAUUAUGCGGGAACUGUCACUUUAAGUGCAUAUUGAUUAUUGGCAUCCUCAGCCUAUGCGUAUGGUACUGCUGCUUUAAGAGCUAAUAUCUGCACUCACCCGGGCAAGAACUAGACUUGAUUUCCUCACUCACACUGAACAAGCACCAACCUUGACUUCUUUCUCUUCUCUUAUGCCCGGAACUAAAACGAAAUAAGCUAAUGCGCCAUUAUCGGUAAAGGAAGCCAAAUAGGUUGCUGACGCCAAUGACUUAAGGGCACCAAAAUGAGGAAGUUCAUCAUGUUAUUUAAGAUUACCUAAGUAUAUACAAUACACCCUUACCAGUUUGCACAACAGGACUUGCUUUAGGAGUUCAUUAAGCUCACACCCCAAAAUACAAGUAAUCAGUACACCGCAGCACACUUAUUGAUUGAGUUGGGCUUCUUUCUCGUCUCCAGACCUAUACUCAGAUGAUGUGUACUAAUCGCUUAAGAAGAGAUCCACUUGUAAUCUUGGCAAAGCGCAUUAAGUAAGUAGGUCCUGGAGACAACACCUCUGAUUCUCUCGUCGAUUCCACUCUGACUCUCUUUCAGGAUACCCUGAGCUCGAACAGAACGAACCACUUGCAGUUGACCUUCCCUUUCUUGCAUUCCCUAGCUACUGAUCCGGAUCUUUACUACCCUACCUAUGGUCUUACCUUCCUUACUGACUUUCUUGCUUAUGAGCGGGGAUCUAUUAGAAUUUGUUAGUCGUCAAAGAACUAGACAACGGUAUCAGCAGCCCGAGCCCAAACUCUUCUCUAAAGGACGGCCGACAUAAAUAACAGCAAACAUCACACUUAACAUAAUGUAUUUCUUAUUUGAUUAGUUAUGCCUGCUGGUGUCCUCGCCCACUCUAAACAGUAGUCAGGAUGCUAAGAGGCAGAAUCAGAAUUAGAUCACCACCCAUAAGACUUUGGCUCAUAGCUCUAAACCCCUCUUAAAGCAUUUAUUUCCCCUUUUUGCCUUCUACUGAUAACUACCAAACUAUCACUACGCUCUCUCACCUCCUGUCUCUUCGGGCUAUAACCCUAAUCUAUUCUUUCGGGCGUGAUACUGCAUCUGAUCUUGUCGACUCAACUCGAACACCACUGUAAGUUCCUCAUUGAAUUUAUUUCAUCAUAUAUCUUCUUAUAUAAUUACCUUAACCUAUUUCUAUACAAGGGCUUUUCACCUAUUCUAUCAAGCGUCGACACCGAGAUACAAUACAUGAACUGCUUACGCUUCAGAAGGAACUAGAACUCCACUUGACAACUUUGAGCUACGAGCUACAUCGGUCACAAUCAGUAAAUUCUCGCAUUCAAUCUACCAGUAUAGAUCUCUUUGUAAAGACGUAGCUUGUUAACCUUCACCCUCUCGAACGAACAGGCAAUUCUCAUCAUUAUAAGCAACCUCCACUCUCACAACAUCUUCUCUUUCUUACGUCUGAUCCAACUUAGGCUUCUUCUCUUGUAGACAACUUGAGAACUGGAAACAAACACUCUAUUACUUGUUUAUGAAGUCCCAUAGUUCGAUUGUUAGGCUGACUUUCCCUUCUUCGAUCCACCAAACAACUGUACAAGUGAGCGGUCCGAGAACUCAACACAAAACAAAGGCUUUAAAAACAAGGGUCGAUGUAACUGAGCUGGUACUUCUCAUUCCUUAGCUAUCUACCUGUACUCUUACUUGUUCGGGCAGGGUUUCAUGGGCGAAUUCUGACUUUAGCGCUAGAUGUGUUAGAUCGUACCCAUGAGUUGUUGUCUAAGACUCUAAAUACCUGAUUAGAUGCGCAACUAUACUUCUUAGCCUGCUUUACGCUGUAUUAUUUCAUUAUUGAAUUGUAGCUCCGCUCUUCUAAUACUAAUUUCUAGUUUAAGGGCUAUGGAGAGUAGUCCAACCUGCUCUACCUUUUCCUUCCAUUCCAAUUCUCUUGUUGCACAAAUUGACAUUACUUAUGGAAAUUCCUGUUUAUGAGUUAGGGCCUGGCACUGCUUUCUUUCAUUCACGAUCAAUAGGAACUUGAGAAGUCUGCUACUGCUUUAUCUCAGCCUUAGCCGCUUCUCCUUGUUUGAAACCUUAGCUGCAUCCUUGCUUUCUGUAUCUGCAUAUUGAUCCUCGGGUGUGUGUGUUGGCUGCAUGUAGGGUUUUGUUGCGUGCCAUACUCUAGGGUUUGGUUUCAACCCAUAGGGCAAUAGAAUAGGUGUGUUCUUGUGUAGCAAUGAGAAAUAGGGGAAUGAUCAAUAGGGGUGUGCCGGGCCGGUUAAUUACCGCUCACAGAAUGAUGGAUGUGACUUUCGUAAUGAACCCUAUUCGUAGCGUGCUGGCUCAAAUCAAUAGUUUGCCCGGGAACCAUCGAUACACGACCUAACGUGAUGCGCGAGAACCUCCCGUGCGCUAUUUAAGAAUGAGUUGAUGACCCUACCUUGCUACUAUCUGAAGACUUAUUGUGAUAUGACUUGCAGAAUGAAUGACCCGAUAUAACACGAUACUACCUUCUACGCCUGUGGACCAUCGUUGCAUGUAGGGAUGUAGUCCGAAGAACGAGUGAAUGGUCGCUCAUAGAAUAGUCAAAUACUCACAAAUAGAAUAUGAGAAAACACCAUGCUAAUAUAAGUUAACAUCAUAAUCAAUUUCAGGGUUGGUAGGCUCUAACUCAUAGGCAAGAGAGCAAGUAAGUAGUGGUGGUUUCGAUCUACAACUAAAGAAGUAAAGGCAGGAUAGCAAGCCUAAUAGCGAGCAAGAGCUGCUUUUGGGUCAGUAGCACAAGGUUCGAGUUCAGGCUCGGUUCCGAGUGUCUUUCUUUUACUUAUUAGUUUGGAUUCACUGUGGGAAGGAGUAAGUCCGAUAAGUAAGUCAAAGAGUAAGAGAAAGUGGCCAAGCAACGACUAGACAAGUAACUACUAAUGACCAAGCAACUAAGCAAGACGUUGGGCGGUAGCCAAUAAACAGUUCUUACGAAGUUAUUACAAUAUAUGCCUUCGGCGGCAGGAGCCCCGGUAAUAUUAGUGGAAUUCUGGGACGAGUGAGAAGAAGACCGCUACUUAGCUACCCGGCUGCAUUCUGGUUAGCACUAGUUUCAGUAUGUGGCUAGUUAGUGUCAUUCUUAUCUACUACCCUGGAUGCUCUGAUCCACUACCCUAGUUGCUUGGCCCUUGGUGGAAUUGUAAUGACUUGGCUGAUAGCUAAUAGUAUAGGACCGAUGAAUCAAUUUUCUCAAAUCAUAAAAAACGAAGUUAUGAGCAAGUCCUUUCCUGGCAGUCGUUUAUCACUUUUUUUCAUAAAUUGGAUUUCAUUUCACCACCUAGCCCGAGUAACUGAGAUACCCGCGUUCGGAAGAUUUGUCAUAUAUCUCUUAUAAACCCCCGGCAUCUAUCUGAUCUUGAAACUAAAGAUUCUCCUGCGCCACCUUAACCUUACUUGAAAUCAAAAACACCUGGCCGCAAGCAACUGGUAACAUCUCUUCUUUAACGAGGUCGGCAAGCAAGGUCUAAUCUUUAACCAGAGUUGAGGUCGCCAUCCCUUGUUGCAUCCGUUAUCCUAGCUGCGGGGGACUUUAUUACUUAGUGCAGGGCCGCUAGUCAAUCAAUGUGAUGCCACAUAUCCAUAUAUUAUUAGUAAUGCACCUUAACCCUUACUUCCUGAACAAGCAGGCAUACCAGAGUUCACCUUUCCUUUAUGCCCGGUAAGUCAAGUAAGUCAACUAGUUCAAUUGCUCUUAACCAACCCUGUGUACAAGAAGUAACCAAUACCCCUCAGUAGCUUGAUCGGGAUCAUCUGCUUUCUCAAAGUAAGUGAUAAGCGGGUCUUCAAGUUUCUCAUUCCAUUUCAUCUCUGGAGCACCCGCCUGCCUGGAAUGGAAUAUCUCUCUUAUCUAUAUUACCGGGUAUUUAAUUGUAUCCCGAGACUCAUUAUAGAGGAACUUACAAUAAGGGCCUCGAACACCUGAUUUAGACUGCUUCUCUGACCUAUGGCUCAUAUAACUGCAUUUCUUUGAUACAUGAAUUCUUAUCCAAAGUGUUUUAGUUAUGAACCACUAACUAAUAUGGAUUCUUCACCGCCUAAAUAAGAAGUUGUAAACUCUCACAGGACAGGACAUUCCGCAGCUUACUUUAGAACAGCUUCUUUAAAUAAGUAAGUUGGAUUAGUAUUAGAAUGGAUCUACUCUUUUGACUACUACUUAAAGGGGAUUCCACUAGAACAAGAACUGGAUCGGUAUUCCACUGGGGAUAUGAAACAAGGGAUGAAACUCAAACAAGAGCAACUAUACCUUCAGCAGAAGCAACUGGUUAUUCUCUUUUAACUACAUAUUCUGUUGGGCCUGUACCGGCAACUGGAUGCAUUCCUCGACCUGUUGUGGAACUGGCAAUUCUCCAAGUGACAAAAAGAAAGGGAAAAAGGAUUAGUUAAGUCUCCAGGAAAGCACUCUCUUACUUGUUGAUGCCGCGUAACGGGUUUACUGACGCUAGAACUUCAGAAUGCUAACGCCUAUCUCUCUACCAUUAGUAUCAUAAAUAGAAGCAGAAGAAGUUGUUAGGCCAAACAACUAACUACUAGUGAGUUUUACCUAGACAAUUAGUUCAUUUGAAACAGGACAUUCCACUUCAUCCGCGUCCUGAGUGAACCUGUUUUUAUGGCGGUAGCGAGCGGAAAGGACUUACCCGCUUUCUAUUAGUUGACUUCCCGCAAUAGCGCUGGGCCACUCUCUUUCCUGAAUUUCUUGAGACCUUCUUUCUUACUUGAGACCUUCUUUCUUACUUAAUGGAAAACCUGUACGGGGGAGUAUAGAGCUGUUAACUGUAGUAGUGAGUUUACUUACCGGUCCUCUACGAAACUAAGGAAGAGAGUUGUAGAAGAGAGUUUACUCAUUAAAGAAGAUAGUUCCCCUCCACGCCUAGGUCUUAUAGAAACAGGUAACCACCCGCUCCAAUAAAAUAGUAAGUUAGUACAACUCAUGGUAUAAGCUUUACUUCAACAAGCAGUGAGGCCAUGCGAGGGCAGUCAGUCUGGUAUUCGAUCUCUAGCUAGAGUUGGUCAAGAAGGAACUUUGCGCCUCAACGCUAGGCCCUGUACUUGAUUCUUCCCUUUCACAACACAGCUAACUCAGUACUCUCUUCCGCCCCUACCCUAACUCGACUUCACCUCUGAUUCCACUGGAAACAGGAUAUUCUCCACGACAACUAAGGUAAAGAACAGAACUUAACGCUGCCAUUGAUGGUUACCUUGACCACCCACGCCUAUGUCCUUAAUGUAAGAGCUGCCUAUCAUCGGUAUUCUGAUACAUUUUCUUAGAAGCUGCGUACUUAAUAAUAGGGCUAAAGGAGAGAAGGGAAGCUGUGUAUUUCAAAGCAUAUAGAAGCCCGGAACCGACCUAUACACUUACGAGGUAUUGGUAUUAAGAGAAGAGAUUUGAUAGCAAAUAGAUAAUAUCUCCUCUGAUCUGAUCUCUACGACCUAACUCACCCUACGGAUGCUGAUUCUCUAUACGACCUAACUCACUUAUAAUUACUUGACACCUGAACCACUUGUUUCGGACCUCAAUCUCUUGCCAGUUCAUUCUAACCUUACUCAGGUGCCUGAUUUGAUAUAAGAAAUAUAGUUGCCCGAUCUAGCGCAUUUGGUGGGAGACAUUAAGGCUUAACCGAAGAGGUAGGCUAAAAGGACUUCUUUCCAGAGGUGGGCAAGGGCACCCUAUUUUCCUUGGUCAACCAAUACAGCUUUUCUUUCUAUUUCCACUCCCGGGUUGGCAAGAAGGAGCCCAUGGGUUGGUGACUGUCCAAUAAAUCCAUUCUCUUUCCUCAACAACCCCAAGUCUAUAAGGAAAGGAUAGAUAAGGAUCUACAGAAGAAGAUACUCAGCGGACUUGACUUAGAGGCACUGCUGAUGUUCCAGCUCCAUACGAGUAGGUAUAUGAGCCUCAUUAAGAAGACGAACACUAGCGGCAGGCAAGGGGGACAAUAAGGCUUUUCAAUAGUAUACGAGUUCGGGUCGGCAAAGCUAAAGGGAUGCUUGUGCCAUAGUUGUCUAGGUUUCUUGCGAGUAAGAGUCAGUUUCUCCUCUAUAUAUAAAGAAAAGAAGUAUUUGUUUCCUCGGCGCGUAAGGGAGCUCGUUAAGUCUAGGAAUUCAAAAAGAUCUUCAUCAGCAGUGAGAGUUAAGUAUACCAACCAGAGAGAGAGAAUAAGUUAUGCAAGUAGAAUUCAUUGGUCAACCAUUACUAAUAAGCGGUCUUCUACCCUAAGUUCAUGAGUUUGCUACGAGCGGUGCGAGGGUUCAUUAGAGGUCGGGGCAGACUAUCGGGAAUAAAGAUCUGACUUUGUUUCAAGAGAAGAUGGAUGCCGAAGAGUGCGAGUAACGUCUAGUGAUUCUGCUGAUCUACCUGUUGUUUCCGCUGUUCCCUUAAGACCUAGGCUAAGAUGAAACAGCCAAUCUAUCUCCUCUUGCAACUUCAACUCUCGGGAUUACACUCGGGAUUCCACAACUCCUGAUGGAUAGCUGGUCUAGUCUACUCGAUCAGAGGCAAGAGAGGUUGGGGCAUAGUAAAGUACAAGCGAGGAAUCAUAAAGUAUCGGCUUUGAAGCUUGAAGGAAUGUAGACCUUUAGUUCGGGUCGGGUGCAAGUGUUGAAGAGAGAUAUUAUCCACUGCUUUUAGGUGAUUCUGUUCCGCCAAGCGUAUACUUCUCUAUUGACUACUUGCUGAACACAUGGGUUAUACUGGAGUCAAGAGGGAGUUAACUGUUAUUAAUGUAUUAAGUAGCUAGCUUCCCUACCGCCAUUAACGAACAAAGUUGAAGCGCCUGCCGCUUGAACACUUUACUUGGUUAUUUAUGACUCCUAUACUAUUGGCUAUCAAAAAACACGGGAACUAGGCUGUAAGUUAGUUAAGAUGUACAAAUAGGGGUAAGUGAGUGAAACUAGCUCUUCCAACUCUGAAAGUAGAACUACGCUUGCUGGGUCCCUUGCUAGUUAGAAAGCCUUUGCUUGUUACAGUGUAGCUCCAUUAGCUAGUUCUGGUAGAGAAACUAAGUUAAUACGAAGCCUUGCACUCUAUUCUUCCCGGCCCCGAACCCUUUUUCUGUUUCAUUGUAUAAGUAAGCCGAAUCCACUAUUUAAGGUAUUUGCUGUCAGUGAAUCAAUCUCGUCUCUCUCUUUGGCAAGUCAGCAGCAAACGGUAUAGUUCGGCAAAAGAAUAAGUGGGUGCAAUUCCAUUCUGUUGGACUAGAAUCCUAUAUCUAUAUUAAUAUCCAUAUCAACUGCCCACGUAGCUUGGCAAAAGUAAGGUUAGCAGAGCAGCAAUUCAAGUAAACCAGUCUCGUGAGUGUGUGUUGGCAACGAGAAAAUGAGUUGGAUUAGCAGCAGUCUAUUUACUUCAAUCUAUACUUUUCAGAAAGAGUACCUAUGAGGGUUGUCAAGAAAUGGAACUCGCUUUAGGGUUGGCAAGGAAGAGGACUAGGGUCGGGCAAUAAGAUCGGAAUUCUCACUUCUAUGGUGAAGUCUUUUUAGGCACCUAUGGUAUGUGAGCUACUAGACCAAAGUAUGAGUUAUGUGUUUGAUUCUUUCCAGUAAUAGCCUGGUUAGUCAAACAAGACUCAAAGGAGGGGUGGGUAUACUCAAUCUAUCAAGUCAGGAUCCCGGGCUAAGGCGAAGAAUAAUAAGUAACAUAAUUUCCGCUCACAGGAUAAGCUUAUGGGGUUAUGGGGCAUCUUUUCAUUGAAUACAACUAAUAUCGCCUCUAAUGCAUUUCCAGCCUAUAACACAGGUGUAUAAGAAUGGACCUAAAGAGAUUAAGUGUCAAGGGUGUGGGAAUAAUGGGAAAUAAUACAGAGUGAAACAGGCGAGUAACAGCUUCAAGUAAUAACCAAGCUAGUGAGCCAAAGGUAGUAAUCAAAAGAAUGGUCAGAACACGAUGGAGAAGAAUUUGACUCGCUGGACGCACCCUUGCUAAGAUAGGAUCCAACUACCGAUAACAAGAAAUUCAUUGAUAAGUAAUAGAAUGAAAACCCAGACAAGCUACCACUACUCAUAAGAAGUAAAACGACCUCUCUACCACUACUAAGAAGAAUAAGGGAUACGACUCCUACUAACUGGUCUUCAACUCAGAUAUUCCUACUUAGACUACUUGUUUGGGAUUCCACUUGCACAGAAAGAGACUCGUAGCCAACUAAUAUGUAUUCUGAUUAAAGGGAAAGUCGAGUCACAUUAUACGCUACUUGGGGGAACAGGCCUACUUUGAUCUCUAGGAACGUUACUUUCAGAGCCAACAACUCUCUCAAUCAGGUCUUCAAGCCAACUACUUAAUAGGUCAAACUCACCACUAAAGCACCGAACCAGCCUCUACUGGGCCAAGCAGGCAAAGGGAAAGCAAAGAACUGAGCUCUACGGGGAAAGCCAGGGUAAACUUCAGAACUAGUUUAGGAAAGAAUUCAUCAAUGUAUUUAGAGCACUGGAUUGAUUGUCUCUCUCUACUCUAAGCCAAGAGCGAGCACCAACACUGGCGAACUUCUUUAUUAACUAACUGAACUUCUUUAUUAACUAACCCCGGGCAUUCAUUCCAUUACAUUACUUGCAUUAUCGCUUAUAGGCUUUAGGCUGACUUUCUUUUGGCCUAACUUUCCUGGCUAUUAGUUCUUUGACUCCUUUCUACCGGCCUUACUGUCCACUCCCUAAAUCUGACUUCACUGUAUUAUAGGCUUUACUUGACCAUAUUAUAGUAUGCCUCUCCCUUAUUCUAUUCUUGAGAACCCCAUUGCAUAUUUGAUCUUACAAUAAGGAAUUGGACCACUACUAACAUACUAACAAGACAGAUAUCACUACUUAUUGGAUUGAGACCGCUACUUAUCGUAUUGAUGAAACCGGGAAUCAAACCCAUAAGUAAGUAUACCAAAACAAUAUACUAACAUAAGAAAGAAACUACCAAUACCAAGACCAAGUUAGUAGAUACAGAAAACAAAGAAGAAAGAAUUGAGUAACACAAAAGAAAGAAUGGAAUUAUUAUAUUCUAACGAUAAAAGAAAGAAGUAAGUUAGGAUAUCGGUCUCGAACUAGAAGCCCGUUGCUAUUAGGGCACUACCUUAUUUAUUAUCAUAUCAUAAUGAAAUGUCAGUAAACCAGCCAAACUAGAGAAUAUGUGCUUUCUAUUGAUAAUAUGUUUUCGUCUCUAUUUAGAAUAUGUUUGUCGUGUAAUAAGAUUGAUUAGUCAUUGGACUCCUAAGUAAUAGACCUAAGCUAAAGCAUCGGAAUGAAGCACAGAAGCUAGCCUUCCUUUCCUACCCUCGGAUCUGGCUUGACUUUAUAUGCCUAUGAGCCAACCCUUAUUACUUCAAUUAUUAUUUACCUUCUUAUUCUUACUGCCCGACAUCUACAUCUGUAUCUUGUCUGUUAGCCUGCCAUACCUUCAUCUAGAUCUCACUUUCCUUAUUACUAGACUGCAGUUCGACCCAGCUACUACUGCCUUAAAUGCCUAGUUUUGAGUUGCACUCUUCCGCCCCUAACUCGAAGUCGAAGUAACCAAGACUUGCUUUUGUGUCGGUUAUUGAUAUGACAUAACUUUCUCUACUUUCUCUUAGCUUCCAUGAGUCUAACACUACUGUGAUGGGGAAUCGAACAUUCCGGGGCACCAUAUUCGAUUUUGGAAUACUCCCGAAUAGGUUGAACAGUCAAGACACGCUGCAAGAGAGGCCUCUAUAAUAAGUUGAGGCAAGUAAGUAUACUACCUCCAAGUUCCGUAUUCUAAGGAAAAGGAUUAGAAGCUCUUAUUUCAUUAUUGAGAACAGUCUUGCUCGCCUCCAUUCCUGUUAGCCAGGUAGUAAUUCCAUAUUUCAAGAGAAAGUAUUUAAGUACACUAGCGCAUUCCCAGUUUCAAGUUUAGGAUAGGUCGGUUCCACUCUGUGUAUUGUCCCCUCUAACUCUUGGGUUACUGUUUGACUCCCUAAAGUCACUUACAGAAACGAAACUCUGAGAAACCAUACCCCAGCUAUGUAGAGUAAGUUGCCUAUUCUCCCUAUUUGCAGUUAAAGUAGUCAGAAGCACCGGCUGCAGUCUAUGAGGUACCAGUGAAAAGCCCUAGUUUCCAGUUCAAGGUUUCGGUCUUAUCGUACAGUAGUGAAGAAUGAUAUAAAGGGAAGGGCAGACUAAAGUGACCAAUAAAGUAAAUAGAACCAAACUAAGUAGUAGAGGUACGAUCUAGUGAUUAAGGUAUUGCACUCAUAGGUAUGGUCCAGCACACACAGAUUAAUCAAAAGUAGUAUAGCAUGGAAUCCAAGGAGUGUUAGUAGCCAAAAGUCUUCAAAGUGGAAUAUAUUCUAAUUAAUGUCGAGCAAUCAGAAUCAAAUAAGUAAGUCGUAGGUUGAAACCGAUGUUAACAAGACCUUGACCUUCACCUAGGAACCCGGGAUGGUUAUAUUAAGAAUAAGAGAUAGGCAAGGCAGCUUAGGUAGCAAGAAAGCAAGUAUAUAGUUUCAGAACGAAGGCAAGGCAGCUUAGGUAGCAAGAAAGCAAGUAUAUAGUUUCAGAACGAAGGCAAGGGGAGGUAGUUUGGGAGCCAGGAGAGAGGUAGUAUAGUGAAAGCUUGUGUUUCGAGUUGAGUUCACUGAGUUCCCAAACAGUAUAGUUUGGCCUGUUAGGCAUUGGGUUGAUUCUUGUCAACAGUAGUUCUUUCUUAUAUCUACUGCUCGGUGGCUUGGAGCUAUGCUUGGUAUCCAGUAUUCUGUAUGGAAUUCCUUUUACACUGGACCUUUUGGAAUUCUGAUAGUGGAUAGCUUUCUUCUUUUCUUGUUCUCCGGGGCGCCUAGAGUUAAUCUGCCUAGUAGUGAUUCCUUAUAUAGUAGUAUUGUAUUGGCUUCCGUUCAUGGUAGCUAUAAGCCUGAGUGCGUGUCCGCUCUAGGUUAGGUGUGUUUGUGUCUCCCUUGGUUAUGUGUAUGGUGUGUUUGUGUCUCGGGUUUGUUGGUUUUGUUUCAUAUGUGCCUAAUGGUCGAUGUAGUGUUACCGCUACGUGGAUGUCUGUAGUAACAUAGUCAUUGGUUGCAUAAGUAACAGCGGAGUUGUAAUUAAUAGAACACUUUUACUUGGUUCUAAAGCGUAGUAAUGGAAUUGGCAUUGUAUAAAGUCAGCUGCCCGCUACCUAAACUCAAAAGAGAGAAUAGAGCAGUGCCUUAACAGACAGACUAUAUCUUUUGGCGGUUCUCUGUAAUCCAACUAAUCACUACCAUAGUGGAGCUGGCGCUUCUCGUUCUUUAUCUAGUGAUAUGGAGCCCGCCUUUACUCUUUUUGUUUCCAAAGCUCAGUAAUAGCAUAAUGAAUUAAUAUAUCAUCAAAAUAGAAUAAUAAGUGCCAAGCAACGACUAUGGACGAUCCGCAGUCCAGCGCUCUCAACCAGUAACAAAUGGCAAAGAACUCAGUCUAAACCCAGUAGUCAAAAACCUUACCUUUACUACUCAACACCUUACUUGAGAACAGAGCAGGACUACAAUUACCGGGGGAGUAUCAUUCUUUACUUAUGGUUUCAUUCUUACAGUUGCUUGGCCCCUUGUUUAAAAUGCACUAUGUGCUCGGGGAGCAAGAGAAGAUAAGAGGGAUAUGGGGAAUACCAGAGUCUGGUGCUAGUCUAGAAGUGACUUCCAACUUUGGAAAACAGCUUAAGUCAAAAGAGAAACCAUAGCGGAGACUGCCCUUUACUAUUCCCUACGACUACAGAAUGUCAGGCAGGAGCCAGAGCCUAGUAGUUAAAGGCUUUAGUGGUAGGCUACCUCUCCUAGUGUGCUUGGUCAGACUUGAGGGCGGGGCAAUAAGGGUUGAAGCUAACGACUAAAACUCGUUCCUUUCAUUCUUCAUUAGUUGACUUAGCUACCAUAUGAUUUAUUCCCAACUGACAACCCUCGCACCGAGUAGUAUAUUAUAGUUGACUUUCUUCGUAUAGUAGAGUCAAGUUCCUAGAGUCAUUAGUUUAGUUACCCCAAUGACUUAAGGGCACAGGCAUGCUUUAACGACUUCACUAUAACCACUCCUGUUUUCGGCGGUAGUGAGUUGCGGCUUUACCUUAUCUUAGCUUUUCUCCCCUGUCUCUCGUUUUUCAACUCCAAAUUCCAAUCCUUCGACUUCUUCCUGGAAGGAGAGUAUUAGUAUCCAGCGACUUUCUCGCCUUAUGUAUUUAUUGUUUCGUACAACUAGAAGAAGCAUCCUGCUAACUAAGAAUUGAGCUAGCGAUAACAAGACUAUAGCUAGCAACGGCGAAUUCUACUGGAAAGUAUAAGAAUCAACUAAUAAGUAUGAAUGAAACAGUGCAAGGAAAGCCGACAAGAUAAGAUACUGUGCCAGGAAAGCUGUCAGCAGUGUUGUUUACUUGCUUCUAUUUCUAUUAGUGUAGAUGUGGUGGAUGUGCCUAUUCGCGCAGUAAGCAGUUUUAUGAGGUUACUAGUUUCUGACUUAUAUUAUUUGAGUGAGAUUCAUUUCCAUUGAAUUCUUUAGAUACAGUUUUGAAGCAAUACAGGGCAAUACAGAAUUGGGUUCAAGAGUUCGGGUUUUACAGCAGGGAGAGAUAGACUUCCAACAAUGAGUGGAAGAAUAAGAGCGUUUACGGGAAGUCCGCCUCUGGGUAAGGAGUUGUAGUUUGAAAGUCAGAUUGAGGCGCAACCACAAAUAGGGCUUGGGCAGCUGGGGCAUAAAGUAAGGCUUUUGGUUUGGCAGUCUCGAUAGGCUGAUAGACGCGGCAUUGAGAACGAAAACAAAGGGGCAAAGACAUAGUCAGUAGGGGCAAGAUCCGGAUCGUAAGUUACAGAAAGAAAGUCAGUAGCUAAAGACUUAAGGUGGUAAGCCUAGAGUUCCCGCACUCAUACUUUGAUUAGAUAAUAGUCGAUUCUCUCUACCAGUGAUGUCAGUCUCAUCAGCUGUAGCUCGAUUCCCUAUCUCUUGAUUACAACCUGGCACUGCUUACUUUGAUUACUAUGUUCCUCUUUGACUCUGACUAUUUAGAUAUAACAUCUGUAUUUGCUUACUACGCCGGCUAUUAGCCUUCCCUUACUAAACUCAUUCCUGUAGUCCACCUGCUUGUAUUAAUAGAGAAACAACCAUACUAUCUUUAGCACCAAUUCGAUUCUUCCUUUUCUCAUUUAAGUUAACUAACUACCUGGUUGCAUUAAAUAAAAGAUAUAGUUUGCAUUAUCAUUAUACUAAUUCUUCCUUUUCUCAUUGAUUAUGAAAUCUUAUAGAAGCUUGCCCACACAGGGGUUUCUUUCAGUCUAUAAUAAGCUUGAACGAUCUCUCCUCCCUUUUGAAACUAAACUCACUAUUCUCUUAGCGCCCCGACCUAUAUCUUCAUUAUGUUUGUAAGAAAUCCAGCUGCACCACCCAUUCAUAGAGUGUCAUCGCUUAUUCAUAGAGUAGUCUCGCUCAUUCAUAGAGAGUAGCUUCGAGUGUAAUCGCACCCAAACAAACAGUCUGUCUCAAAUACAAAUGCAAAAAGAAAGCUGCUUUGCGCUACUAAAAUAGAAAAGAAAAUACCUUUUUUAGCCCAAAUAACCUUAUCUAAAUAACCAUCAAUACAGAAUGCGAGAGUGAACUAGAAGACUCAACCCCAAUGGCGAAUGCAGCUGGCGGGGGGCAUACAAAUAUCCAGUAAAGGCGGAGAACAAGGUAUGAGUUACAGGCCAAUAGACAGUCAAGGGUUAUCUAAAGGAGUUGGAUCGAAAAGCCCUUUCUUUACUAUAACUAUACUAUGAAUUUGAUGAUUCAUUUGACAUAUUUUGGAUAUUCCUCUGCAGGUGAAGAUUCGGCGUCGGCCUAGGCUUCUUUAUACCUUGGAUUUGGUACGAGAGCCUAUGCUUUAGGAACAGGCUCAGGCUCCAUAGCUUCAAGUGUAAAGGAUCCUAUCACACAGACAGACGAGAAAUGGGAAAACUAAUCACUGGAAAACGAAUCACUAGAAUUGAUGUUACCUAACCACUUCAUAUCUUUCUCUUUCUUUGAAAACUCCCCGGGUAUUCUUAUGGUAGGGACUAGGAGCUCGGAGUUCUAGAGUAUAGUAGGUGGGAAGAAAUCACUCGUAUGAGUUGUUGUGACGGUUACGGUAUGCAGUGCUCAACCGAUAGGAACGAUAGGUUAGGAGGAACGGAGUAGCUCCAAAGAUAUAGGAUGUUUUGGACUCUACCGAUAUUAGCUGGUCCUUUAGGGAACGAGCUACAUAAAAGCGGGUGGUAGGCCGAAGCAGGUUCUUGAGCUCGACGGAAAGGAAUAUUUCUUACUGACUUACGAGCUACAUACUUUCAGUGAGAAGGAUAUGGGUACGUUGCCUUGCGCACUAGUGGUUUUCAGAUUCCCAGAGUACAGCGCAACGUCCGACCUUAAUGGACGAUAGGGGCUCUUUCUUAUUCUCGAAUCCCUUUUUUCAGUACAAAGAAUCAAGUUCUAUGCUUUAGACGUCAGCCGCAUCUGCUACUACCUAUUCUAGCAAGAAAGCAAACCACCAACGGAUCCUUCCACUUCUAUCACAGAGUCUAAGGGUUCCGCGAACCGAGAAACCUUUUUGUUUAAAGGCCUCGCACUUGUGUCUCCCGUCAUGACGACAGCCGGCCGAGAUGAUAGAUUGACGUCAGCCGCACAAUAGCCUGUUUGAAUCGAAUCAUAAACUGUUCGUCGUGGGGAGUGCUAAUCGAGGGCUUCACUUCUUAUUUCGCUAUUUCACUUCCCUGCUCUGGUUCAAAACUAGCUAGGCAUCUUCGUAAGUCUCGUUAACACGCCGGCAUUUAUCUUGGAAUGGAGGACGGAACACCAAAUCUUUAUGUCAUUAAUUAGACCGGCAUUUAUCUUGGAAUGGAGGACGGAACACCAAACCUUUAUGUCAUUCUAAAGAAAGGGGUGAACCGGUCGCUUACCCUUAUCUUAUAAGCCUUGUUAGAUGAUUCAUAAAACCUUGCUUCUCUUUCUGAUGAGAAAGCUUUAUUGUAGUUUCUGCCUCUUAUGAGCACCUUCUAAACCAUGCCCCACUAGACUUUGUUAUGAGCCAGCUUAACCCUUUAGUUAUGUUACUUCUAAAACUCACUCUAUUCUAUUAGCUGCAGUUGUCCAAAUCAAGUUCACAAUCCUACAAUUUCUUACUAUAACCUCCAUCGAGAGCAAGAGAAAGAGAAAAAGCUCCCCGGGAAGGAAGGAUAACUCAAUUCGAUCACUGAUUAGAAACUCGCUUAAUCACCGUAGAGGUUUACAGGUAAAUCGAGGUCUCUAGCAUAUCCCUUUUUAGGGCUUACAGUUCAAUGUCACUGAUGGGGAAUCCAUAGAUUGUAGUAGUUCCCAAGAAGAACGUAAAGAAACGAGUCUGUAUCGCCACUUUACGAAUCUAAAUGGCAGCUUGCCCCAUAAAGAAAAGACAGCUAUCCCCUAAAAUGGACCCGAAGGUGGAUGCGAUUCUAAAGAAUGAGCUUCCUGGAGCCUCCUCCGGCUAAAACCAGAUCCUAAUGCAAGUGGCGGAUCAAAUCCAUACUUUUAUACAAAUUCUCGCAAAGCCUUACCAGUCAGGGAGGCUAACGAAAUGGGCGAUCGAACUCAGCAUCUACUACAUACCUUCUAGGGCCAGAGUGGCCGGGCAUCGUCGAAAUCAACUCCUUCCUUCGAGGCGGGAGCAGACUCAACUCAAAGCCAAAGACCGAGAAUGAAAGCGUACUGUAAAAAAAGAGUGGAGCUAGCAGGCAGGAAGUAUUUUCCAACUGUCGACCGGAGCCAAUGAAUUAGCCAAAGCAGCCUCCGCAGCGAGCAACGAAUCUUAUUCCAAUUCAACAACCCGGUUAGUCAUAGUUAUCGACUCAAACAGUACGGAACCCAUAUAACUUAGCUCUUAUUGCGACAUUCCUUGCUUGAUAUGUAACUCAUUUCCAUGAAAGCAAACUAGAACUUGAGCUGCAACCCAACUAACAACUGUGAUAUCGAAAGCUGUCUCUCGAAGAGGCAGUAGACACAGAAAGAUCUUUAGAAGGGCCUUCCUACCGGACAGAAACAUUAUUUCCUAGACCAAUACGGAGACACGAGACCAGGCGAAAGCCAAUCGAAGGGCGCCCAAUGUGCAUUUUGAAAUCUAUUACAAGGGUUCGGUACAACUAAAAGUGUUGGUUCUAAUCUUCGUCGAAAGGCUGAGCCCCCCUUGACCCAUGUGAUUUGACUCCCUCGGAAGCGGUAACGGAGCACCUCGGGUGAGUUUGUCUUCUAAUACCGCAUGGUACUAUUUCACUCGGGCUAAUUUGAUUAUUGGUUUAGUAAGUAGCUUCUCGCAUGUGUUACUCUUCUGCUUUAGUGGGUACAAAGUUCGGAUUGAAGGAAAGGAUGAACGCUGGCAAAAGAUGCUGCCUUCUCCGCUUAUAUGCUUGUUAACUUAGUCGAUUCCUAGAGCUACUUCCGGUCGAAUAGCAUCUGAGAAAGAACGUUGUGUAAACAUCUGUAAUAAGAAAGACUUCUGAUUCGUUAUCGUACCCCUUUACCAUCGGCAGAUCCCUUUCCUUACUCGCUUUAUUUGGUAUUCUGUCGAGUACCUUCUUUCGUUCCUCUGAUAGCUUCUUAUUGGGCUCUCGAUUUUCUUUACACUCUUUUACGUGCCAUGUCUAUAGUGACUCUUUAAAAGAGAAUCUAAGUAUAGUGACUCUUUAUAUACGAGCGAGGUAAAAGCACAAGGAGCCCGGUAAUAGCAUAGGUGCUCUUGCUCCCCUCAGUAGGUUCGAUUGAGCCUAACCCUCGAAAUAAGUAAUUCAAGCGAGCUACCGUGUCCUUACCCACUAUGUACUCCAAAAAGGAAGCCAUCCACGUAUCUAAGAUGGUUUUUCUUAAUUUGCAUCUCAUCUAAACUUCAUGGUUUAGUCACUUUUAUGGAAAGCCCGAUUGAAGCCGAAAAGUAGAUAACAUAGGAGCGGGGUAGAAACCCUGUUUGGAAGAAUUCCCUCUUCAGACACGUUGGACUCUUAUCUUACUAUAAUGAAUAACUGUUCAGUGAGCGAACCUUCCCAUAGUGUAUCGACGGAGUCAAGCUACUGACUUUACCAUGUUCUUGGACUGAUGACUCACGGCUUAGGGUGAACCAAAAUUGAUUGAUGAAUCGAAGCUCUACCCGACUCGCAGCGCAUGCCACACCCACGACUUAUGUACCUCCCUUAGAAGUCCUAAUCUGCCUAUGAGACAGACAACUUACCUUAGACUUCGGGGACCGGCCAAAGCAAAAGGGGAGUGGAACCGUCAGUCCAGACGAAUCCAGAAAUGCAUUUGAUAGCGACAGUCUUUAAAGGCUCAUUUAUAGGGUUCCGGAGUCUUCAUUCUAUUACAGGAGUAGGUUUUGGAAGCCGUCACCAGUAUAGAAUCAGGUGUAUAGAGCCUCGGAAAGUAUGAUGUUGGUUAGGGAUAUGUGCCUACUUAAGAAGAUUUNNNNNNNNNNNNNNNNNNNNNNNNNNNNNNNNNNNNNNNNNNNNNNNNNNNNNNNNNNNNNNNNNNNNNNNNNNNNNNNNNNNNNNNNNNNNNNNNNNNNNNNNNNNNNNNNNNNNNNNNNNNNNNNNNNNNNNNNNNNNNNNNNNNNNNNNNNNNNNNNNNNNNNNNNNNNNNNNNNNNNNNNNNNNNNNNNNNNNNNNNNNNNNNNNNNNNNNNNNNNNNNNNNNNNNNNNNNNNNNNNNNNNNNNNNNNNNNNNNNNNNNNNNNNNNNNNNNNNNNNNNNNNNNNNNNNNNNNNNNNNNNNNNNNNNNNNNNNNNNNNNNNNNNNNNNNNNNNNNNNNNNNNNNNNNNNNNNNNNNNNNNNNNNNNNNNNNNNNNNNNNNNNNNNNNNNNNNNNNNNNNNNNNNNNNNNNNNNNNNNNNNNNNNNNNNNNNNNNNNNNNNNNNNNNNNNNNNNNNNNNNNNNNNNNNNNNNNNNNNNNNNNNNNNNNNNNNNNNNNNNNNNNNNNNNNNNNNNNNNNNNNNNNNNNNNNNNNNNNNNNNNNNNNNNNNNNNNNNNNNNNNNNNNNNNNNNNNNNNNNNNNNNNNNNNNNNNNNNNNNNNNNNNNNNNNNNNNNNNNNNNNNNNNNNNNNNNNNNNNNNNNNNNNNNNNNNNNNNNNNNNNNNNNNNNNNNNNNNNNNNNNNNNNNNNNNNNNNNNNNNNNNNNNNNNNNNNNNNNNNNNNNNNNNNNNNNNNNNNNNNNNNNNNNNNNNNNNNNNNNNNNNNNNNNNNNNNNNNNNNNNNNNNNNNNNNNCCCGAAGGCCUUAGUGGCGAGGAGAAAAAGUUCUUGUGCGAUAGGCCAGAUGAAGGUUCAAUCCCAAAAACGAGCUCAACCCGCUAUGGAAGAGACUGUUUCAGUCUAUUUUGGUACAGCAAAGUUCUGUCAAGGAAGUCAAACUGGAUUCCAUUCUAGUCUUUCUUACGAACGAUGAGAAGACGGAGUUAGUGGCCCUGCUUAAUGAGUUCAUCGAUGUUGUGUUGUUAGCAGGCGAAGUCUCUGUCCCUGGUUGUUAGCUGUCGAAGGGGCCGUGGAAGGGUAUUGAAAAGUUGGACAUCAAAAGCUCGCUUACUCAGAUAUUUCUUCUAAAAGCGGUCCUGUCCUAUUAUCUUGAUUAGAAAAGUGGGCAUAAAUCCUUUACUGAGUGCCAGCUUGUGCCGCCUCUUCUCAAAGGGGGGAUUUCGUCUAUAAAGAAAGUUUCUUAGCAUGCAAGCAACCUUGCCGAAGUUAGGUUAUGAAAGAAUGGGAUCUAUCUAGUAGCAAACCAGCAGCAAAGCGCUUCCUCGAAGCUUAGACGAGUAAGAAAAACUGUGACACCGAAGUGGACUGAUGUAGAGGACUUUAGGAACCUAAGUAUCUAACUUGAUAAAGCAAGAGUUGGAGGUCUUGGGAUGUUAUUACUACUGCGCCACUUAUCAUAAUAGAUCAGAAGGCUUUGAACAAGGUAUCCAGUAGAAAAGAAGGCUUUGAACGAGGUAUCCCGGAUCGGGUCAUAGACUAAUAGAGUUAAAGAACCGAACCAGUUAAUGUAUCCCUGUUCGCAUGGUUUAUACGGUAAACCCUCUGACGGUGUAAGUAGCGACUCUCUUGUCUUUUCAGCUAACCCGUCAACUUAUUACUAUCAGGUAUAGCUCUCAUGAAUACGCAGUUGAACAACCAAUACAGUUAUUGUUAUCAAGUCCGUAGUGAUCAAACAGCCAGAGACAGGGUUCUGACAGAAACUUGGGAAGUCUUGAAGUUUUAUUGAAAAGCUAUAUUAUCAAGCGAUGGAGGUGAGUCACUAGUAUGGCGACGUUUGUAAGACUCUCUAUUAUCCUUGCUAUUUGGUGAAUCUUAAUGGGGCCCGGCCCGCCCCCGGAUACAAUUGAGCUAGUAGAAGCGCUCGAUACAGAAGCAUCUUCCUCUACAAUAGCUUGGGAAACCUGAUUGAAAUGCUUUGGAUAACCAAGAGGCGGUAGAAGCACCCCGUGAUAGCGGAACCAAUACCACUUUUCCUGUGAGUGCUGCGCCCUUUCGUACUGACCGAGAUACGGAAGAAUGGCUAGGAAUUCCAUGCAUUUUCCUUUCAUAUGAGAAAAGAACAAAGGGGCUGGCUUCUAGGAUCGUGUCACCUAUGCAUUUAUGCUGCUAACCACUACUGAGUAAACGGCUGUACCAGUGAAAUCUCAUAUGACAGAAAACGCCUAUAAAGCACUGCGCUUUCCCUUGCCCAGAUGUUAGCCUUUCUAAGUCAAGUAAUGGUUACCCUUAGCCUCGUAACAUUUGACGACUACUUACAAGCGACGAGGGGACUACUUUGCCUCCACGGAAGAAGAGACGCUCUCUAGCCUUAGGAACCUGUUUAGAAUAUAACUCUGGUAGGGAACGUGUGACAUUGGAGGUGAACGAUCACCACUGGUCCUAAGCUAUGAUUCUUCGUGGAUUACUACUCUUUACUCAAAAGAAUCAAAUAUACAUCCUCUAACAUUAUGUAACCCAACAUCACUCCUAACUUAUCAAGCAACAACUGUAGGGCCUGGCCUGUGCUCAGUACGGGUCUUCAUUGUUAAUACUUAAGUCGCUUAAUAUAGAAUUCCGUAACAACCAACACUAAGUCACUUAAUAUAGAAAGAGUAUAACCCUAAAAACGGACUGCUGACUAAAAAGAAAGAGUCACCCUAAAAACGGACUGCUGACUUACUUAACUCACAAUUAAGGGCUUCAGUUACUCUUCUGCUGGGCCUAAGGAAAGAAUGUAGUAGAUAACUGUAAGCAAGUAACCUGAGAAGUGCACAUGUUCUAUAAGCAAGUAACCUGACAGCAUUGCUUCGUUUAAUAACUCUUAUCGGCGUACUCCAACUCAGUUGUGCUAACGUGAGUUUCGGAGUUUGUUUCUCACCAGUGAUAAAAGAAUGUAAGUGAGUCAUAGGUUAUCAAGUGAUAAAAGAAUGUAAGUGAGUCAGUAAUAGUAUUUUAAAGCAGGGGAGGAAAUGGAAUCAGGGACUUAGUAUACGCUUGGCCCCUGCUAGAUGGCUCCGAGAGACAGAUCAAUUUAUGAAACCCCGGUAGUCCAGGUGAGAGUAGAAAGGGAGAGUUGUUUCAUGAAGUGACUAGGCUAGGAAGCCCACCGAUUCCCCGAACUGAUACUAUACCAAUACCUAAGGCAGCUAACAGACAGAAUAAAACAGGUGAGUAACAGCCCUGAAAGCAGUACCAACAAGACUUGUUGAAGACCUUAGCUACUGAGUUGAAGCCUUAGUACCAUUAGCUGCAGUCUGAGAAGCGCUGGUUUGAGUCUCUCCGUCGGGGGUUUCAGUCUGAUUGGAUCGAGUUUCAGGCACCAAGCAACUACGUCAGACCAAGACACUCGGGCAAGGGAUAUCCUCAGUUACUUUCUUGAUUUCUUGAUUUCUUUCACUUAUGCUAGUCUCUUCUUUCUUUCUUUCACUUAUGCUAGUCUCUUUGAACUCACCCCUCGUAGUAGUUUAUACUUGUAUGUUUGUCGUCUUGGCUUGGCGCUUCCAGUCCUUUCUUAUCAUUUCUUCUCUCCACUUAUAUAAGCUACAGGUCAACAACUCUACCUUAAUCAAUUUCCCAUCUUGCCUCCCAAGAGUAUAGUUUCCUUUCCUAGCACCGACACAAUCACUUCUUUCUAAGACAAUAAAAAGGUCAAAAGCCAAGCACUACAAGUGGCUUCAGAACUCUAUCCUAUAAGAAGAAAGAGUAUUUUCUCGCCUGUUAACUCAUCCAAUGGCUAAUCCACUGUAUUAAGAUCCCAGUUAGUAGUUGUGCAAGUCCACCAAGCCACGUAUACUCGGGGAAUGUUUGAAACUGACCAAGCAUAUACUACAAAGGCAAAACGGGAGCCAAGUAACUGCUAUGUGUUUGUGAGCCAGAGGAUAGUUAGUGAGAGUUGCCAUUGCUAAUAAGAAUGACACUCAAUGAAAAACAGGCUACUAUCAGAAAGAAUGGAAUGAAUUGGGCCAUAAUACAUAACUCGCUAGCGCAUUACCCUUAAGUCAUAGUGAUAGGGAUGGAAUUGGGCCAUAUAAUACAUAAUUGCCAGCACAUUAACUACUUAUGCUUUCUUUUGAGGUCAACUAAGAGACUGGUUCGGUGCUUUACCAGAGGCAGCAGAGGCAGAGGCACGGGUGAGUUAGCCGGGGAAGGAAGAAUGGAAUUUGAAGACAUUCAGAUGGGAGCAAUAGAUAUUAUAUAUGAUGGUUGCCAUAAGAGGAGAAGAGCUGUCCUACCGCCCGAACAAAGGACUUGUCGAGACUUUCCUUGACACUCUAGUUUAUGUUCGUUGAUUCUACUGCUUUGAUACGAGGUGUCCAGAAACUUCAUCAUUAGCCAGGCAGAGGGAGUGGAAGAAGAUCAAUCUAGUACUGGCUUUAGAAUCGAAUUGGAAGACAUAGGCGAUGAACUCAGGAACAUAGCUAACCUGCCCUCUUGCCUUGACCAAGUUGGAAAUAAGCCUGAUUGCCCUUGCCCAACCAGUAUAGUAGUGAAGUCAGAGCCUAAUUCUGGUAUCAAACGUAAGAUCUCAAGUCUUAAGUAGUGGUCUGGUCCUGUUUCAUCUUUCAUCUGUAUGAGUUUACAGAGAAGAAUGAAGCGGGAUAGAUCUAGCCAAUUAAGUAAUAAAUAAAGAAUACAGUGUCGAGGGGAGAGAUGAGUUCAACUAAUAAGGGUUAAUCCAUUUAUUCAAUACAAUUACCAAGUCCUGUACCCGGGUACCCAGAGUUAUGAGCAAGUCCUUUUUAGUGUUCGCCUGUACCUAGGAGUAUAGAGUUGUACUAGAGUAGAGCUGUCCGAUUCUAUUCCCGCUGCAGUACAAUGAGCAGCAUGCCAAGAUCCUAAUGUUUCCGAAUAAAGGAAAACCUGCGGGAGACAAAAGGGAAAAGGAUAUCAUAGGUCUCCUGGGUAAGCUAGAGUAAAUACUGCAGACUGGAGACAGAGGUAUCCUAACAACAGAGGCUGGUCACACCAUGAUACUUUGACUAUCUAAGAAGGAGCCUGCCUCCCCACACGCUUAUGAUGAGUAUAUCUCCUGUAAUGCCCAAAUGCCUAUUUCAUAGUUGCUUACAAAGAGAACUGUGGAGGGUAGCGAUCAGAUAAAGGUGGGUUAGGUGCUCUCCCUCCUGGAAUUUGCUUGUGUCCCCCUGCCUCCUCAAACGAAAACCCUCAUAGAACGAGUCAGUGACGUGCAGGUGCGAUGGGAGCAGUUCAAUACCUUUUAUAAACAAUAUCGUCCUUUUACCCUCGGUGUUCUUCAGGAGAAAGACAGUGAGCCCCACCAUCACUGGGACCAUAUGGGCCAAUCCACCCAUGUUUGCCAAAGUUGCUGGAUUCCGAGUUUGCCUAUUUUGCCUCCUGGCCGCUCCAAGUUUACAUUAGUGGUUUCCGCGUGUCUAACAGCCUUAGUGUUUCAUAUACGCAAGAGUUUGAGAGAGCUAGCCGAAGAAAGGAGUUACUGUUCUGCCGGGCUGUGGAAUUAUGCCCUCUGCUUAACUUCAUUAGGCUAAUCUAACUCUGGGAUUCCACUCGAACAUCAUCACUUGCAGCUGAACGGAUAAUUAAUACUUCCUUAGCUUUCCAUUAACGAUUCUACUCUCACAUCAAUUGUGGAACGAGACCUUUGGUCGCUAACAAACAUGGAUUUCAGUCGAACUGCACUUUCGUACACUAACCUUGCAACUUUACUCGUACACUAACCUUGCAACUUUACUUGCUCUUGCAGCUUACAAUCCCACCUCUGAUUCUCUAAUUGACUUUCCUCUGACUUCAUAGCUCAAUCCUCUUCUUAUCCCUUAUGAUUAUUCUUCUCCCUUCUUCUUAGUUUCGGAGUAGAAGAACCGUUCCCUUUGUAUUAUUCUUAACCUCUCUACUAGGCUAUUCUUAUUACUUUAACAUCAUUUCCGGAUCCUACUGUUGAUCCUGAUUGAGAGUCCUUUCCGAGAUACUUUCCUCGAACCCCCCUUUCAGAACCGCUAGUAUACUUUCUGGAUCCCGAUCAACCUCUUCUUGACGCGCCAACCUCCACUGGUCCUAGAACUAUUACUGGUCAUUCUUCUUAUGCUUGAGCCUCAGAUCCUGCUUAUAAUCAGACAAGCCGACAAGUGACUACUCCAGUUUUCGUCAGGGCGUCAGCGAGUUUUAUUAUCUCGCGGUAUUAUCUAGUUUCUUCCGAUUCUGUUUCGAACAGCUUCCUAAUCACAAGUGACAGAACAAGUAUACUUUGCACAUAAGCCUUAGAGCACCGCCAGCUUACUUUCGUACUGCUUGUGAUCUCGUAUACUUGACUUUGGUUUGGCCAAUAACCUCUUUCAAGUAUCAAGUGGAGUAUCAAGAAAAGAAAGAAGUCGAAGAAGGAUCAUCUGCUGGAGAAGAAACAGUGCUGCAUCCAGGUGUUGGUGGUUCUUAACUUCCAGUAUAGGCAGGCCGGGCGCUAAGCGAGACUACUAAAUGCAUCAGCCAGCGAGGGGAAGGGGUGUAAUAUAAGAAGUAACUAACCAGCCCCAGGGCUCUCUCCCUCAAUUCCCAACCCUAGUUCUCUUUCCUUUCUGAAUUGACUAAAACAGGACUUGCUUCUCACUCAUACUAACAACAACUAUGGCUAACGCUCUGAUAACUCAACAAACAACCAACUAGACUACUGCUAAGGUAUAUGUUAUUAGGCUCAAAUUCAUUGUCUCCUGACUCCUUUCCUUACUCAGAGGCAGAGACCCCGUUGUGCUAAUGCGAGUUCUUUGAAUAGAAGUGAGGCACCGCACCGAAAUAAUGGUUUCUACUUGCUCUAGUUUCGUUAGCGCAACGUCCCGUCCCGACAAACACCUAAUGCCAAUGAAGACAGGAACUCUUAUAACUCUGUAAGCGCUAAACUGCUUGGCUUGUUGACUUGUUGAAGAGAAAUUCCGUAUACCCGUCAUUGAAAGAAGUCACCAAACCUAACAACAAUUACUUACUCAACCCUUUGUGACUCUAAGGAAUAGUUGUAAGAUAGUGCACCCGCAAUCGGCACUGACUUGACAUCGAGCAGCGCAUAAAAAGAGGUGGAAUUGACUUUCGACUUCUCAAGCAUUAACCGAACACGCAACUAACCGGUACCCUCCCAUCUACAAGCAAGAGGAAGAGCGCCAAAGGGAAUAAGUCCAGUCAAGUACCAUAGUCUAGCCUUCAAUGUGCCAAUCGACAUUCUGAAAGUCAAUAAGCACGGACGCUAAUAAGUUUUGAAACAAAAGAGAAGCCGUCAAGUCAUAAUAAAUAAGCCAUAGGAAAGCUGUCAAGUUAAGUCAUAAUAAAGAAGCAAUAGGGAAGAGCUUUUGUGUGUUAGUGAGUUACAACAGUAAGGUUACACUUUCUUACAUAAGUUGUCGUGCAUGUGCAUAUUCUAUGGAAUUGAUCUUUCUUGAGAGUGGAAUUUCACAGUGUUGUUACUUUGACUCUUUCUUACUUAUAUAAUAUGAAUAGGAGAGUAUAUGCACGCACCAUCUUAUAGCUAUCAUACCUGGCGAAAGCAACAACCUUAGGAACAGGCAACUAGAACAAGCAACAUUAGGAGUUCAAUCAGGUUACUUGUUAGCGCGUUAGGCUUAUUGUGCUUGCUCAGGUGCUUACUUUGCCCUCACGCCCAGAGACCGACCUUCGUUUUUGGACCGCGCUUCAACGCCCUAUCAUACUUAGGCUUCCUUGAGAUUUCUUCCUUCCCACUUCUACUGAGCUUCCUUGAGAUUUCUUCCUUCCCGCUUGCUUUCUUUAGACUUCUUUCUUUCUCGCUUAUCUUAUACAGAUUGAUUUCCCGCUUAUACUGAGCUUCCUUCCCGCUUCUAUCAAUUCCUUCAAACAAGCCCUUUUAGAAAGCGCUAUCACGUUUAGAGUUACUCGCCUAAAAGUGGUUGGGGACUCGAAAUAGGUUAUAAGUCAGGUCGCGGGAGAGUGGAAGACCAGGGACUCUAAGUAUAUUCUAUAUAAAGAGUUUGCCGAACGGCCUAGUCUAACUCUUUGAUGAGGUGGUUUUCGUAUCACGGAUCUUGGUGAACGUUGUAGUAGUUCAAAUGGAGGGUUCCCAACCCUCGGAUCGAAUUUCUUUCUCUGUUUUUGGUACCGGCAUGUCGAUAAUUGCUUUCUUUAGCGCAGGUCGACUUCUAUUUCUCUUCUGCGGACAAUGAACCCGAGUAGCUUACCUAACGAAGCACCAAACCAACCUGGCUUUAUAUGCUUUUUGAGGAUGAAGACGAAGACCUUAUUUCCGUAAUAUGUCAAACACUCUCUGGAAAUUCACGGUAUUCUUAAGCCCAUGACGAUCAUGUCAUCGACAUAGACCUCCAUUUCCUCAUGCAUCAUAUCAUGAAACAGCGCAGUCAUGGCUCGCAUCGCCCCGGCAUUCUUUAGACCAAACGGCAUUACCUUGUAACAGAACAUGCCCCCCUAUAAGAUAUGGUUAUCAAGUUCUCUCUCGCUGAUAUGGUUAUCAAGUUCUCUCUCGGUCUUGUCUUCCUCGGCCAUCUUGAUCUGGUUAUAUCAAGAGAAAAAAGCAUCUAUAAAGGACUGCAUCCCAUGUCCAGCGGUGUUGUCCACCAUAACAUCAAUUUUCGGAACGGAAGAUCAAAGAGGAUUUUGGGCUUGCCUUGUUUAGGCGACUCAGAGAACCCGCUUUCCAAUUUAGGGAAAAACUGUUCUCGAAGAAGCGUGACCAUCCAAUCCAGUAGAAUCUCGUUACUAUCCCGUGUGGUUAUGGGGGCGGGCCUACUGUCCACUUUGUGACUCGGGCGGCAAGCAAGUGAAUGUGAUCCCACCCUCCAUCCGCCGGUGUGUGUGUGAGCUUCGCUCCUUAUAGCUCUACUUCGCUGCCGGCCACUUUCGCUCCUCUACCAUAUGUCAUUGAUUCAUUCUGUGGAAGUUAGGCACGUUACUCGAUAGCGCGGGCACAAUACCUUUGAAUGCAAACAAACAAAGAAUAGCGAGACCACAUAUCAAAAGGUUGGUUUUGAACCCCCCAUCCAUUGUUUAGAAGUCCCUGAGGGAGGGGGACACGGGUAUUUACUAAAGAAUAGAUAUAUAAGGGAAACUUUCCUAUCUACUAUAUCUAUAUUUCUUCAUCGAAGAAGGUGCCUUCCGAGUGGUUUGGUCGGAAAUAAAUGUUUGCCUCUUUACAUUUCCGUUUCUUUCGAUGAAAUCGACCCCACCCCCUGUUCUUAGACGGGAGUAGAAAGCUCGAAAGCUAGUCUCCGGGAGUAGAAAGCGCGAAAGCUAGUCUCAGCCUAUGUAUCUGGACAGCCUUUUCUCAUCUCGGUAAGCCUUGCCCCUUCGAAAUUCUAGAGGUAAUGAGAACAGUUGACGAGUGAGGCGAGGGGUUUCUUCCUCUCAAUCGACGAGGGCUUGAGUCCACUACGGCAAGUACAAUGCGCUAGCAGUAUAUUCUAUAACGCUGGCUUCUUCUAUAAAGAAAGCAGUCCUUGGGUUUGGGACUCCGUCUUGUCUUUAGGGACUAUAUUCAUUGUCAUUAAGCAAUCGUUUCUUGCGUUAUCUGUUUUUUGCGUAUAAGAAUCGCGGAACGUAUGUGGUACCGCUUAUGGUACUGCUUGUGGUAAAGACUGCUCUUCCUGUAUACUUACCUCUCCUUCGAAUCCUCUCUCUUUCUUCCAUCAUUGUUCUGUAUGCAGUUUUCUUUGGCCACUCGUAAGUAUGCUUCAUUUGGGGAGGGUAAGCUUCGAGUGUUGAUACCUCGAUUCUUAUAGGCUAUAGAUUGGCGGCAACAUCUUCCAUAGUUAUCUAAGCAUUCCUGAAGAGCCUUAAGGUGGGUUUCAAAAGAAGGUUUCUCUGGGGUAGUUAGGGAGGAUUUGGUGGAUUAGAUCUGAGACUGGGCUUUUCAUAAAGCAAGGACCUAAAGAAGGAGCGGGGUUACUUUCGAAGGGGACGGAAAAUGAGUCUCUUGAGCCAUGAUUUUCAAAUAAGAAGCAUCUAGAGAAAGGAGAGUGAAAGAGGUUGAGCACAAGAAAAGAGAUUGGAAGAGAAUUAGGAAGUAAGACCAGACCGGUAAAGGAAUGAGAGAUCCUCUGAAUUCUUUGUGAGGCUUCCCCAUUUUAGUGAAAGUUACCCCAUAAAGUCCAUCUACGGUCAAUCAGUUUCCUUCCGACUGCAUUGCAAACUCUUUCAUGCCUCACUCCACUAUAAUAAGGGAAUUCCAAUAGUUGUUUAUUAGCUUAUGUAUUCUAAAGUCAUUGAGAAAUUCGUCAUUAAGAUUAACUGGAUCUAUUCGGCUAUUUCUCUUAACAUUCGCAUAGUGUCCACAUUUCGGGUAGAGGAGACCUUCCUUUCCAGGAAAUGGGAUGAGUAUUCUUCACCUAAGGAUACCGAAACCACUAGUAGUGAGAAAGGGCUUUCGCUGCUCUUCUCCUAAACCUCUUCAAUUAGAGCUAGCUAUAGAGCGAACUUUUGCUAUGCUUUAUCACUUUUGCUAUGCUUUAUCUAUAGAGGCGGGGUUCCCCCUCCACAACCUGACCCUACCUACCAACAUACUUUAGUACAACUUACUCGGUCCUUCUUCAGCCACUUCUUCGAACGAUUAUGAAAGAGUAGCAAGGCCUUCUCAUAGCCUUUGAAUCGGAAGCCCUGCCCUAGACCAGACCCAACUCGCUUCAGACUCACUUUCAAGCUCACAAUUUCCAAAGUGUUCAACUUCAAAAGAAAGGUAGGAGAAAGACUCUAUACAAGCUAAAAGCGGCUAGGAGUACUCCAGCACUACCACCAGUUAGUGAUUCAACCACGGCGAAAAUGGACUGCGGUUAUACGCUUACACCAAUCCUAUUGCUAAAAGAGCUGAUUCAAUAGCAAAUUGCUAAAAGAGCUGAUUCAAUUGCCAAGGUGCUGAAAGCCUUCCCUUAUACUGCCAACUAUGCUAACUCUUCUAUUCUCGACAGAUGGUUUAUUCAGGGGAGCUGUAGAAAGACCCGAAAUCAGGCAUAUUCUUAAAGCAUCCUUUACGCCACACAUACUUCUAAUGCCAGGAGAGCUUAUAAUAAGUCCCUGUUAACUCAUGUCUACUUCUCUUUCAGUAAGAACCAAUUUAGUAACAAUAACAUUGGACUAAAUGCAAUUUUCCUUCCUAGAGGCCAGUGGUAGAAAGCUCAAUCGAGUUUGAGUUCCUCUUUCUUGGGGUCAAAAUAGGCUAUAAGUAGGCCGUUUGCUAUUGCUUGCUAUACGAGCAGUUUACCUUUAUACGGCUUGCUUGGCUUUCCUAUCGCUCAAUUGUGUGGUGGUCGACCUUAACGCCAGAAGAAAGCAAGAUGAGGUCCAAACUUCGUAGACGUAGAGGGAUACUCUAUUCUCCCUGGUACUAUAUUCUCCCUGGUACUAUAUUCUCCCGGAACUCUACUGGAAUCUGUCAUUCUAGUAAAGGUUGGGCGAGAAAGACGAAAACUAGAGUCUAAUUCUUAAUGUGCUAGAUCAUACCUGAUAGUUCUAAUUGCAGAAUUUCAUCACCUUUGCUAUUUCAUUUUCCUAUAAAUCAAAGGUGUAUUGUUUUAGUGCUUAAUGCUUCCCUAUUAUACAAGAAAAGAAUCAUCUUCCCGAUUCUACCGAGGCAGUUUAGAUGAGCAUUGGGCUUCUUUAUACGAUGAACUACAGCCAACUUGAAACCUUACUCGUGGACUACACUCGAACUAUCAAGCUUAUUCUUGACUUACCGCUUCAAAGCCAUUCCCUAAAACAGAAGAGAAACCAGCGUUAGGAGUUUACAGCACUUCACCAGUUGACUCUUCCUUUCUAGUUCUGUUUGUUUCCUUGCUUCUUUCUAGAACUUGCCUUAGCACAACAGCUUGUUCGUAGUUGGCAGGCGUGGGGAAGGUCAAUUAGAUUCUUCUCCAAGAGAUGGAAUGGGAAUGCUACUUGGUGAGCGGGUGCAUUAGAGAGUUCCGGACUGUAACAAAGGACUGGUCUUCGACAACAAAAGAAGCCGAAGAUGAGGCACCGAAGAUAUUCUAUAAUAGGAGAGCACUCGUUCAUGAAGCUGCCUAACACUAUCAAGCAGGAACGAAACUCAACCCGUACUAACACCGAUGAAGACAGCACUUGCGCCUUAGCGAGCUCACAGUUCCAUUAAUCUUUCCGUUUUCACAAGACAAGCAAUGACGUCAGGAGUUCCAGAUGCGCUUGAUGGUUUCGUUGUGCUUACGGGAGGGAGUUGAGUUAAAACAAGGUCAAUUCGAUUCUUCAGUAUAGCUGGAACAGGUUAGGAAGUUCGUUUGUGUUCCUCUCAGUAAGUUCACUAUCUUCCUUCUAUACACACUAGGAACGCAACCUUUCUUUAGAGCCAGCAGUCCACUAUGUUGUUACUCUCUUACAUAGUAGGUACACCGCAUUCAAUUCCAUAAGUUCAGUAAGGAAGCAAGAAGCAGUUGAGUAAACAGUGAGUUUCGAGUUAGGAGUUUUCACACGCUAAAAGAUAGGAAGCUUAGCAGUUACUAUAUUAUUCCAUAUGUGGUGGAAGAAAGAUUUCCUUUUCCACUUCUUGUUCCAUUGCGCGCGUGGUUUAGUUUAGGAAUGUUGUAGAGCGUGAGCUUUAGAGAAUAAGGAUUGACUGUUUUGAAGCAACGAGCAAACUAACUCUACUUCAGUAGACCAUGCUGAAGGCCUCUUUAUCGUCUAAGAACAGAGGUUAUACGUAGCUAAUGGCAAUUCAAGAGUUUCGGGGCUACCUAUCUUGCUUGUUCUUCUUGUUCAUUAUUAUAGAAUUGGAAAUAUAGGAUGGAAAUUGGGCUGAGUGGACUAAGGCGGCGCUACUAAUCCGUUGGACGAGUUUCGUACCGAGGGAGGGUUUUUGCACCGAUCUCUACGCUCGCUCUGAAUACUGGAGCGAAUUGAAGGAAUCUCUAUUCUUUUCUGUAUUUAUAGGUAAGGUGAAUCUAAGGCAUAUAGCAAAGAAGAAUAACCAAUUAGCAAACAUCAAUCCUGUUAUUCCUCACGUCCUGGAUCAUUAGAUUAGAUAAGAAUCCUCAGAUGAAGAAAGAAACUAGGAAUGUUACUACAGUGUAUAAACAAAGAGUUCGAGAGUGACUUGACUCAACGAACUAAUGCUUAUGUGCUAGCCCCUCGAUAGUCUGCUCAACGAACAAAUCUCCGGCUUUUCAUUCCUUUCUAGUGACGGGUAAGAGAAGAUAGCUCGACCGUGGUAGCCCCGUAGAGGAUCACUUGUACCACCUUAGGAAAGUGCUCACUCGGUUAAGGGAGUACAAGCUAGAAACAAAUGAAUCUCGUAGAAGCGGGAAGGGAGUUAAUGAGUUAAGGUAUUAAAUAGGGGUAAGUUAGUAGUUAAAGGGCCAAGUAACCACUAAUGUCGAUUCCGCAAGUCAAGUGGAGUUCACCUUAUUGCUUUAAUCAGUGAAUCUAGAUAAGAAAGAGCUUUGUAACGUGUAGAACUCAGUAAUAGGGGAGUCAACUCCUUCGCCACCCAGAGACAAAGUCAGCUAACACAUUAUCCCAAAGCCCGGCCUUAUAGUCAUUUGCACCUCAUACUGAACUGUCAACAAAUCCACUCGCAUUUAGGCUUAUUGCUCGGAGUUAGCGCCCCAAGAGAAGAGAGCCAGCAGUCAACAGGAAGUCGGCAGUAAACUAGAAGUCCGCAGUAAACAGGGAGUCAGCAGAAGAAUAAGCUUCAGGCAGGGGCAAUUGCACUUUCUCCUAACACGCUUUACCCCAAUAAGUAAGCUGACGCACGACAAUCAUCUACUGUUCUUUCGAGCCUCCUUCCUCACUAAGGUGCAACAUGAUACUAAGCUUGUUUCGACUCAAACUCCCUAUCGCCGAAAAUAGGACUGGAAGCUAUAAGUACAGAAGUAAAGUCUCAAGGAACCGGAACCAUAGGAUUUGCCAUUAGCUACCUUUACCCUCUGUUCAACGACUCGAAAUCAAGGCUAAGGUCGGGUCUCUUGUGCACCCAAAGAGACUAAAGUCGAAGAUACCGCUCCGUUAAAGCUAGAACGUUUAGUUAAAGCUAGAACUAUAAGAUACAGCUCGUAGUCUUUUAAGUGAGUUUAGAGAAAGAUGCAAGUCCUGUAGCCAAAUCCAACACCCUGCCUUCCCGCUUCAAGUAAACGAUUUGAUACCCGCACCUGCGCUACCAAUAGAGAUGACAUCCUGUCCUGUGCUACCAAUCAAUCCAUUUUCUCUUCUUAUAUGGCUUGGCGCUCUCUACUCCACUCUUAAGUUAGAGACAAGCUACUACUGACUCGUACAAACUCUUUACUUGCCUUGCUCUAACAAUUACUCAUUGAUACUCGGGGCAAGCGUAUACUACAGUAGCGACCAAGCUUAGGGACAAACAACGCGAAGACAACUAUCAUAAGAAGAAACUUACAUAUAGUAUAUUGAUGAGUGGUUAUUACUAAACCUGUGCCCUGCCGCCAAGUCCUGUAUCUGAGAGUCUGUAGAGUUAUGAGUAAGUCCUGUGUUCGGGAACUCAAUCCUACUCAUUUCAUUCUGACUUAAGAGUUGUUGUUUGUUAGGCACUAGUGUCAGGGUUAAAGCAAGUUGCGUAAUACUAAAGCUAACAAGCAAGAUAGAGGCCCGGCAGAGAGCGAAGAAAAGGAAGUCAAGCAAUACAGAUAUGCUGUCAAGUCAGAAUAAGGUUUAGGCAGGACAGGUUCCUAGGCAGUAAAGCAAGGAUCAAUGCCUGUGGUCUUAUAUUAUAAUCAAAGUGAGGAUAGUCAGCCUAGUUAGUGGGUUCUAUUCUGAUAUUUCAUAGUUAAAGAAAGAAACCCCCACACAAGAAAGGAAGAUUGAAAGACCCACAGCACAGCAGGGAAGCAUGACACUUUUCAUGAGCUGGGGCAAAAAGAAAGAAGAAGUUAUGAACAUUCACUGUUCUUUAAGGCUUCUUUGACUGUGCAAAUGCUGCUGUUCAGGCUGGAUCGAAAGUUGUAUCCAUUUUACAGGAAAGGAAGAUACCAUCGCUGAUCGUUAUUUGCAAACCCGGGCACUGAGAAGGCGAGGCUAAAGUGGGCAGUGCAGGCAAAAACAUAGCAAGUAAUCACUCGUUAGAAACUUGUUAUUCCGGGAACUAGCGGCCCUGCCGCCAUGAAAGCCGGACUCCGGGCCAAGCAACUAAGUAAGACGGCCAAGACACGGAUAGACAAGCAACGAAGCAGGAAGGUAAGAGUGAGAGUUAGUUCGGGCAAGAGAACUGGUAUAGAUAGGUUGGUUUGGUGCCUGAAAGCAGUGCAAGCAAUCCUUCCACUAGUGCAUCUCAGCCUGUAGCAAGUAGGCCUGUUCCUGUGUUCGGGUGCUGAAAGCCAGCAAGCGAUUCUGAAAGUGUAGUUUCGAGUUUAAGCAGAAGCUGGGGCAGAAUCUAGUACAUGCGCAAGUUGGGUCUGCAGCGGAAUUGCCUGUUGGAGUUUUCUCGUAUUUCACUUUGAUCUUGGAAAGAAGAAUUGAAGACUGAAUUUGCAACAUCAACUGCUUCUACGGAUAGAAGACCAAGAAAAGAAAGCGCUGACCACUGCAGUAGAAAGCUGGGUACCAAUAUUCGAUUCUUCAGCUGUUAAGGUUUAAUUGGACUAAGAUCUCUGGGAGUGAGGGCGAGACUAUGCUUUAAGCAUCAGCAUCAGCGUCAGGGAGCUGCAAGUUCUCAGGUUUAUGGCGUUAAUUUCGUUCUGUUCCUGUCUUCCGCGUUAGUGGUUAAAGUGAAGUUAAGUUCUGAUAAAGAAUCCUGUAUUGGUGGAGCACAGGGAAGGGCAGACUCAGACAAGUAACUACAACUACAUAAAUAAACGAACAACGUCUUGUUGCCGUUGCUUUUUGCAUUUGAGAUAGCUAUCAUCUACCAAGUGGAAAAAUCUGCUUGUUUCAUUUGAGAUAGUUAUCAUCUACUAAAAGUGGAAUAAUCUGAGAGAAAAAGCCUCCACGGGUAAAUAAUAUGAAACUCAAACUGCUGGGGCGACUCCAUCCGGUCCAGAGGACUAGCUAACCGGUGAAUAAAGUUAGUCACUCAAUUGAAGUAGGGAAUUAUGAAAAGAAGAGCGGAACAAUCUCCUUAAGAGAAGAAUCCAUGCAAUCUAACUCAAUCAAUAAAGUCAAAAAGCUUCCCAUACUAAAGUCAGUAGUCACGAGAGACUAUACUAUGAUGAAAUCCAGAGAUGAAAAGGUUCCAAUGAAUUGUAAUUCGACGCUCCUCCUCCAUUUAUUAAGACUGUAGGCCUGUUUAAGUAAUUGGAGGCUAGACCCAUAAAUCAAGCAAUUCCAUCGAAGGUAAUCAAUAAAGUUGUAGGACCGGUCGGUUAAACGGACUAGGGUAGGGCCAUGGGAGAUCGAUGGGAUUACGCGGAGCCAAGUGCUAGACUUCUCCGAUGCACCUCUGACAAAGCAUUGAAAGAAGAAGACAACGCUAGUACAAUACAAUAGAAUAGAAUAGUAAUAGUAGACUCCCUAUAAUACAAUAGAAUAGUAAUAGUAGACUCCCUUUAUGUACUAAACUCAUCGCUAGUACAAUACAAUACAUAGUAGACUUACUCCUAGUCUUGUCUUUCUUUAUGUACUAAACUAAUACUGUGCAAGGAAAUGUCCUAAACUAAUACUGUGCAAGGAAAGACCCACAAAAAAGGGGAAGCAAGGACCCGAAUAGUCAGAGGCCAAAGAUUCAAAGGAGAAGGAAGCACGGGUAAAGAUUUCUAGUAAAGAAUUCCAAGAGAGCAGACGUAGGCAAGUGAAGACAGAUGAGGAUGGCUAAACUAAGCAAUGCUGCGAAAGCAGACCACUCCCACGAACGCAAUCCGGGAUCGCUUUAUUCCGUAAGUUCCAAGUCUACUAAAUCAGUAGACGACAAGCUGUAACGAAUGAAGACGACCCGAGAGCCAUUCUUUCGAAAGCAGCAGCUGCGGAUACAGGCGAUGCCCCGUAAGCAAGUACUCUCAUUAUGCACUGCACAGUCAAUCACGCACUGAUCCUUCCUAUAAACCUCAAUUAGUGAAAUGGAAUCUCUUCGUCAGAAUCAUCCUUCUCUUUCAUGAGAUUAGCAUUUUGCUCUCUCUUCAUUGCAUUCGGCAUGAUCAGGGGGUUGGUUGGUUUACCCCUUCCUUCUUUGGUGGGCCUUCCUGCCAGACAUAAUGUUUCUGCCUUGUCUGUAAAACUUCCUUAAUAGUGUAUUUGAAAAUCAUAUGUUUGAUACAGACUUAUUAAGAAGGAUUGUGCUCCUGGGCCUGGAGAUUCUGGUCUUUGUACUGAUGGUAUCUAUUCUCAAAUAACGGAAAUUAGCUCUAUCGCGCAGCUAACGGCUGUUUUCAUUCACAAUCCCUGCGGUUGAAGAAGGUCCAAUGUACAGGUAAGUGAAACUGCCCUGGAAAAGCUUGAGAUAGGUGCUUCCAGCUUAAGUACAUGGGGAAUAGAGGUCCUAUAGUUUAUUGGCUCUUAGGUGGACUGUCCCUGUAGCUAAAGUCAAGCCGAGUUCGCCUUCGCAUUUUCUCUUUUUUGAGACAGGGGGAGACCUAACAAACUCUCUAUGUUUGUCCUUGCAGCUAACAAGUUGGAAGUCUUCCCGGAGUACCUGUUAGCUGUUCUAGUUCAGAACUGUAUGGGACCUCUUGCUUAGGGCGGUGUAAGCAACCCGGCAGAAGUGGAUCGGAAGUGUCCUCUUUCACAAAGGUAGUCUUAGCAGCCUAAGUAAUAGUAAGCUAAGCCUAAGUAAUAGUAAGCUAAGCCUAAGUAAUAGUAAGCUAAGCCUAAGUAACAGUAAGCUAAUAAGUCAAGAAAGAAGGUGUAGCGAGAGAGCUCAUUUGUUUACGAUUCUAUUCAUUGAAGUCGCCUAAGUCAAUUUCCAUUAAAGUAGGACGAGAAGGGAGAUGAGAAGCCCUCUGGAAUAAGAAAGACCCCAAGUGAGCCCAAGCAGCCUUAAGAAAGUCAAGGAGGUGCGCUGCACUCAUAAGGUUGAUUGAGAAGCCCGUUCGUGAGUCCGUUAAGCAUUUAAUAAAGAGAGACUCGCUCAUAAAGUAGGUUGAGCGGUGAAUUCUAUGAAUCGAGCCCAGCCCCGUCUUAGUAAUUAACUAAGAGAUAUUCGUUCAUCUUCUCAACAAACGUUCAUCUUCUCCACUAAUAAUUCGAAAAUCCAGAAUCGGCUCAAAUCUCUGAAUCGGCUAAUUGUUCUCUGAUAGCGCCUGCUCCAGUAUAGAUUUCUCGAUUUCUAAAUGUAUCUAAGCCUUGGAAAAAGGGUAGUAUGCUGUAUUUCCGAGAUUGGAUUUCAUAUUCGAAUAAACCUCGUAAUCGUAAGCAAAGUCAAGUAGGCUUUUGAGCUAUGGGCCUAGCAUAAUCCAAAUCGAUAUAGGUUCCUGUAGGAUUGGAAUUCCCCCCUUUUGGAAAAUCAGACGUGAAGGGUUCCUUUCAUCCGGCUCAAGUCCGUAGGCGCGUAGGAAUUCUAGUGAUUUGUUCAAAUCCAAGACAUAAACAGAGAAAAGUCAAAUGCUUCUUCAAAAGAACCAGAUAAAGAAUGGACACAAAUAAAGGAUAUCUUGGAAUAGAAACAAAUAAAGGAUAUCUUGGAAUAGAAGAUAUUUCCUUAUCAUUCCUUUCCAUAGAUUUCUUAUUCAUAUAUUUGGAUUAGAAUUGAUGAAAAAAAGCGUGACUAUACCAAGAAUGGGUUAACGUAGGAAUAGGCGUAUAGGUUAACGUAGGAAUGGGCGUAGAAUCCAAAAAGGAAUUCUGCAUUUAUAGCAAGUUGAAACAAGACCUUUGUAACUGUUACAGAUGUACGAGGUGUCGGGGGGUUUUGAUUGGGCCUAGCUGGUACUUCUGGAUUCAAAGGAGCAGCCCUAAGCUGCUCAAGCUGCGGCAUUUCAUGCUAUUCGUACUGUUGUUUAGAAGGGUAUGCAACGAGCAGAAGUUAUGAGAAAAAAGGGUCCAGGUCUCCAGAAGAGAUGCUGCAUUACGAGCCAUUCGUAGAAGUGGUAUACUAUGAAUGAAGGUUUCGUACGUGAUGUAACACCUAUGCCACAUAAUGGAGACCCCCUUCCAAAGAUGUGUGUAGAAAUAAUAAUAAGAAAACUCCUGGAAAGAAAGAGAAAUAAAUGAUUCAAUGAUCUGAGAAAAGAAUAGUAGAAGUAUAGUAUGGUUCGAGAGGAAGUCGCAGGAUCUACUCGAACACUACAGUUACGGUGUGUUGAAUCAAGAGUGGACAGUCAGCGUCUUUCUUAUGGUCGGUUUUGUUCCCACGCCUUAUGAAAGGUCAAGCCGAUACCAAUUGUAUUGCCGUGCAAAGGGCUUUACUAGGAGAAAUAGAAGGAAGAUGUAUCACACGUGCUAAAUAAGAGAAAGUGCCGCAUUAAUAUUCAUAGAUCUAUGGUAUUGAAGAAUCGGUACAUGAAAUUGGACGAAAUUGGAAAGAAUAAGUAUAUAUAAGUCAUAUAUCCAUAAGAAGUAUUGAUAAGUCAUAUGAAUAUUCUAGAUAGAUAAUAGAUAUAUAUAUUGUGAUAGACGCAUCCAUUUGCAUCAGGGGCCCCGCCAUACAUACAACACCGCUCAUGAUAUCAUCUCACCAACUUCCGUGGAAAUAGUUGACACAACACAACAUCUAUAUAUAGCUAACCUGACGGAACCAAUAUCUUUGUGUAUUGGAUUACAAAUCCGGAGGGAUCGUAGAUAUCGUACGAAACCAACCACUCACUCUCCAAAUAGAAGUUAUCCUCGAGAUGCUGUAUCUAUGCCUGUUCGAAGCAUGCUGUAUCUAUGCCUGUUCGAAGCAUAAUAUAUAUCUAGUAUUCUUUCUUAUGGGCCAAGAGACACUUUUUCUAGAAAUAUGGACGAAAGGAAGUUUCACUCACUCCUAAGAAGAGAAGGAAAGGAAGGAAGCACUUAUUAAGCUUCUCUAUAUUCUAUAUCCAUAUGUCUUUAUGAAGCUUCGCGUCAUUUUAUAUAAAUAAGUAUUCCUUUUUCUACAUGCGGAGGAAGAGGACAUGAAUUUCCAAUAAAAUCAAAGUACGGCCCCGAUUAACUAAUCUCCGGAUUAACUAAUCUCAAUCAAAACUCUAUCUCAAUUCCAUUUCCAUGUAUUUUGAUUGACCAAGAAGAAUGACCUGACCCAUAAUUGUAUCAAAGGGAAGGGUAUUUUACACUGUUAGCUAGUUCGUUGCAAGUUGAAACUAAAUAGAGGGCUCUCCACGCCUACGAUUUUAGGAAAGAGCAGAGUUUAGGGGCCAGAUCUGUUGAGCUCAGGAAAGUGCUUUAGUCAUGUAAGGGAAGUGAGCAAAUCCUUCUCGCUUUUGAUCUUGUCGAUUCCCCUUGGCUUGGCUUUGGCAAAGAAAGCUGUCUACUAAAUAAACCCGGAGCAAUUUCAUAGCUACCUUCGAAGAUUAUAGUGUUACUCCAUUUUGGGUGUGAUCUAGUUCUUUGUAGGGCGCCCCUCUUACUCUGAGUAGGCAUAGAGAGAAAUAGCCCCUUACUGCUUUACUGCUCUCCGCUGCGCACCGUCGGCUUGGCGAAUCCAUCUGCCUAACAAUCAAUCUCAUAGAUAACAGGAAGUAGAUCAAUUUCGGUCUACACCUUACAGGAGGAAGAGGUCGGAUUGCCUAAACUAACCAAUACAACUCUCAAAAGAGCCCACUAACGCUAUAUUAGGUGGUAAAGACAUAAAGAAAGAAGCGUCGCAAUAUAGAUAGGUGGUAAAGACAUAAAGAAAGAUCGUGUCCGUGAAUGAUCGGGUUUCAACGGCAUCCCAACAUGGGGAUAUAGGACGCGUGUAUAGUUCUCAUUGGAAAGAAAGAAGCCACAUAUUCCAUAUCUUUCCCGCCUGACACAGUUUGACACGCAGUGAUACGGCUCAAAAUCAUUAGUCUACGAAGGAAUCUAAAGAGAACAAGCACGCGGGAAAAAGCAAGUGUCUGAUCAGAUCAAUCAAGAGAUAGGGCUUCGGCCAAACAUCUUUUUCCUAAGCUAAGACGGACGAGAGUGAGACUAUUGCAAAAUCUCUUUAAGGAGAGAGUGAAGCAUUCCGCUGGGCCAGAGGCAAGUUAAAGACUAGUAGAAAGAAGUAUUUGAAAGACAAGUAGAAGCCAGUUCAAAGACGAGUACGCUUACGACAAGUAGAAGCCAGUUCAAAGACGAGUACUAAUAAGAUAAGCCUUGAGUUAACCUGUGUUUGGAUUCCUAAGGUGGUAAGUCAACUCUGGAUUUGUUUGUAAUAAGAGCGGUUUUUGACUAUACCCACCUCGACCCCGAACCUUGCUUCACCAUCUUUGAUUCCGAAACUAUUGUAUCUCCGCCUAUCUUUCAUGUCUCUAAAACGGAAACGCUUAACCUAACAUCCGUAUUUUCCCCAGGAUUAAGAUAUGAAGCGGACUUGGAAGUCAGAGAAGGUAUUAGUUUUAUUGAACUGUAUUUCUCACUGCUCACUGGGAUGGAUUUCAUGACUGGGCGUAAAGGGCACGUCGUCAGCCAGCUUUGAUUCUAUCUAAGGUGCUUCUAUGACUAAAGUGUGUCUUAGAAAGGGGAUUGGAAACAAUGGUGAAACUAAGAGGCCUGCUUCGUCUUGCUCUCCUAUAUACUAAACGGACUUGCCAUCUCUUCUUGAUUCUUUACGGAUGGCCGCCUUCUUGAUUCUUGACAGAUGGUAUAUCUCACCUACUUGCCUGAUUCUUGACAGAUGGUAUAUCUCACCUACUUGCCUGAUUCUUGACAGAUGGUAUAUCUCUCUCUUGCUUAACACUGGCUAUAAACAAUGAAUGAAGGAAACCGCUUAUAAGGCCAUAAAGCUAUUGUUGCAACUUGAGUGAGUUUGGAAGGAUAACACUCAAACCGAUAUAGGCCGGCCUGCCUGCCUUUUAGAACGUUUUAGACUUGGAGAAAUAUUGAUUGCUGCCUGUGUGGCUAACCGAACUCCUGCGCGCAACGUUAGUAGUUGCUUGCUGCGCAUUUCUUUCUAUCCCUUCCCUAUCUGGUGACGCUGGACUAGCCGAGCCUUUCUACUCUUGCUGGACUACCUUUCUACCUAUAACUUUCCCCAACCUUCCAAACUGUCAAAGAUUAGCUCGUGCCUCUCCCGGUAUGGAAGCCAAGAUGCCAAUUAGAGCUCCAAUUGGUUAUUGAGAUUGCGUUUCUAUUCAUUUUUGGACUAGUUUGAUUGUACUUUCUUUCCACUGAAACUAUUCCCGUAACUAUUUCUUUCCACUGAAACUAUUCCCGUAACUAUGGGAGGCACUCCUCUGAUACGGAUACUGAUGCACUGCUUGUUAGCGGUAAAUAAGAAAUCCCCUAUGUUGAAACGCGCAUGAAUGAAAGGGUUCUCCCCACGAAAUAAUCCCCUAUUCCUGCUAUUAUCCUAUUGAUUGAAAUUGAACUAUCUCUUUCCUCUUAAUAUGGUAUCGCGAGAUGAAAAACCGGACGUUAAUCAAAGCGAAAAUAGGUUUGGGUAUACUACUUUAUAAGAUAUAUAAUAUAAGAGAAAUAAAGGAAUCCAGAAAGAAUAAGCUAAAGAGCAAAUAAUAGAAGAAAGAAUCAGAGGUGCUAAGAGCCUUGCCAUCCGGGCUUAUGGGUCCUAUUCUUGUGAACCCGGAGGCUUAUAUAGUAGUAAGAUCGAUGCUGUAAAUACUUCACGCUAAUUCUAACAGUAAUAAGUAAGGGAAGACAAGAACCGAUUCCACCUCAAUCAGCUCGACCUUUUAUGCAAUUAUGAACGGACCACUAUCUCGAUUCCAAUGCAACUUCUCUUUUUUGAGCUGACGUAACAAACGUAGUGAGCCUCCCGAUGAAGCCAACAGAAAUCCUAUCCGAAUAUGAAAAAGAAAAGGCAAUUGAAUUAUGGUGGUAUACCAGCCGCCAGUUCUUCCACUUCCAGUUCCAAUCGGAGCAUAUAGAUCCGUAAAUAGAUUAGUAUGUAUAGCCACUUCCGUGGUGCUGGUCGUUUUUCGAAUGGACAAAAAGUAUCUUUUUUCUGGGAACAUGGUCAACCAUAAAUUCUGAUGUGAGUGAUUCUUCAUCCACCGAUGCAGAAAAUGCUCUAGUUUUCCAUGAUCAUAUGAGGCAUGGAAGUUUCUGGGCAAGAGGUCGGCGCGAAGUGAUUCAUCAUGCUCUAACAUUAACCGAUCGCUCGUUGGGGACGGUUUAUAAAUAAUCAAAUUACCACAAAUAGAAUGAGAAGUGGGUCCGUGUAAAUGAUCGAGACCUCGCAAACUACAACGUUCCUUCCCCAUAUGGAGUUCGGGACCCAAAGGCAAGAGUUGAGUAAACUGUAUCUUAUUCGUAUUAGUUGACCUAAGCCGCACCAUUCUAGCUGGGAUGGGGCUCGGUCUCUGAACCGUACGUGGGACGAGUUUGAGCCUCAUACAGCUCGGGCCGAAGACCGGGGGAAGUUUAGGAGAGAUGGGGGAGAACCAGCUGCUGCCGGUCGAGACGGACAGGAAAGGUUACGGGGCAAAGUUCAGAAGCUAUUCUCCUAACCCCAAAAACAUCCCCUAUAGCGCUUCGCGUUCUUUCUAUUCUAUACCAGUCCAUUCUAGCUAUCAUCUUCAUCUAAUUAGUGCAGUAGUAGUCGUCUGCCUCUAAAGAAGGAAGGAAUUGGCUUGGCGGCAAUGGCUAUUAUAGUAGGGGAGCACUUGACCGCCCGCGCAUUCUCUCUCGCCCUAAAUGGAAUGGCUCUCUUAGCUGCGCCCUGACUCGAGUCCCCACGUCUGCUUUUAUCCGCCCACAACCCUUGGAUUUGCCAACACGACUUAAGGGCCCUACCUGGAAUUCUAUGCUUACCCGGUCCGGGACUGGCUUAUUGGGAAGCCCGUUCCCACAGCGCUCACGACCCGGCUGGCCUGCCUGCGGUAGUGGGAAUUCUCCCGUUCCCUGGUAAAAGCGUUGGUUGGAUGCGGGAUCUACUCCACGAGGAGCGGUACGGACGUAGAUUAUAUCAUCACGACCUCUCUUUGCGUACCUUUAGGGAUGCUUAACGCCACUUCGCCAACUGGCAUUACCCUAGCUUUCGUCUCUCUCAGUGUGGUCAGCACUGGGUGUUUCCGAGCUGCGAGGCUUACACCCAUUCGCAUUAGUUCAUCCAAAGUUCCCUACCCUUAUGCACCAAUUUAGGAAUAAGCCAUCUUCCUAUCAAGGUUAAGGAGUCAACUGAGCAUCUCAGCGGCGGGAUUGAAUACCCGGAUCGAAUCAGAGUUCACGCCGCCCACCCGGAACAAAUAAAUAGGAGGCGUGGGCCACAGGUCGCACAUAAGCCACCGGGUCGCACGACAGAAAAACACCCAAAAGAAAGAUGCAGACUCCUCCAUGUGAGAUAGGAAGAUUCAUCUGCACUUUUUGGUAGUAGUCGUGACCAACAGUCAUCAGCAGUCGGCUCGUUGGUAAGGCGAGAGCUUCAAGCCUGGCCAAGUAACGGAUAGACAAGACACUAGGCAAGUCGACAAACAACGUCUUACUUAGUUGUUCGUCAGUUGUUACCGGACAAGCAGACAAGCAGGCAAGUAACUUAGUGUAGCGGCAGGGAGCUUCUUGUUGUGCUAAAGGAGUUGCUAGGCUGUUAAUAGUUGUCCGCUGACGCGGCAGCGCCCGCUCACGCUUCGCAGACUUAUCACGUGGUAUAGAGAAGAGAGAUAGAAAGAAUUGACAACUGAGCAGACCGCAGAAAGAUGAGAAAUAUGACAAGUCCCCUAUGGAUUCGAUAAGAAGGAAAUGCAGAACGGGAACGAUACGAAAUACAGCAUUUCUUGCGGAUGAGCUUCUCCCAAUUAUGUCUGGUAAUAGAAUAGGGCAGCUUGCUCUGACCAACACUCCACUUUGAGCUCUGUCCAUGGAGCGUAUGAAUUUCCUGGAAUGUAGAUAGACCAUAAAAAGGAAUGAAGAGAUAGGAAUAGGAAUUAUAGUACCAUUGGAAGAAGGGGCACCAGUGAGAACAUCUCUACUGACGAACCAUUGAAAUAGUACGGGUGCUGCCGUGCCACGAGGCACGACCAUGGAAGUAAUGAAAAAGAAGAAGUUCUGUAGUUGGACCAUAUACUCUAUCCGUAAGAUUGGAGCUUCUCCCCAGAGAAAAAGAAAGUGUGAACAACACAUACCGAAAGGAGUACCCAUUUGCCGACCAUUAAUGACUAGUUCGAACACCAGGAGCUGCGUUGAAACCCAGAUAGAUUGAGUUUGGACUUUUCCUAUGUUUCCUAAUGUUUUCAAUAAAACCUUCUCGUAGAACUAAUGAAACAAUGUUUUCUGUAAGAGUUGGUAAGAAAUGCUAUGAAAACCCGGACUUACUAUGGUUUCUGUUAUAUUAGUAAAUGCUAUGAGACCCUAUAUAGAAUAUUUAGUAAAUGCUAUGAGACCCUAUAUAGAAUAUGCAAUUCGAUAGAGAAAUUCUAUUGAUUCUAAGGAUAUAUACUGAUACUAAGGAUAUAUACGGAUAUAGAUAGAUAGAUAGAUUAUGAAUGAUCACAACACAAUAGAAAUGAAAGUAUCCACGUGAGACAGAAUACACUAAUUGAUCCAUAUUCUGAGAUCAUACUAUAUAUCAUAGCUAAUUAUAUAUCAUAGCUAAUUGAGAUCCAUAUUCAGAUAUCCUACGACUACCAUAUUAUAGGCGCCGGCUAUACUUACCACUUUCUAAUACCGAAUCAUAGGCUCUACUACUUUAGAAUACCGAUGGAGCUAAUGUUAGUCAAAUGAAACUGUAUCAAUUCCUGCACCAAUAACUAGAGUUCCUUCCUGCCUUCUUGAUCAAUGACAACCACUGCAUUGUAAAAGUAGUAUCAUACCGUUGUCACAUUUGAGUUCCUUACAUUUACUACCAAUUACAGCUCGAAUGACUUCCGAUCGAUCUUGAUAGUGGCAUAUUUGGCACAGCUUCCUUGAUUACAGCAACAAUAACGUAACCUAUAUGAGCCUAUCGAUGAUUACCAGCUCCUAUGAUUCGAAUACACAUCAAUUCUGGAGCGAAACUCUUAUACGUUACAUUCUCCAAGGGGAAUGAGAUAGAUAGAUCUUGGAAGUCAGGUUUUUUAUUGGAUAGUGAUCUCGGGCACGAGUGGUUUCUCUUCUUCGCGGACCGUGAAUGGCCAUCGAAAGGAGAAUUGGAUUCUUAUUAAUAUAGUGGAUUUCUAAGAUUGGACGAUGAGUUUGGAUCCAUUGUGGAAUAAUAGGCUGUGGUCUCGAUAUGGGGCUAUGGACUGUGAUUGCUUCCUGUAUGAGCCUACUGUGGUUGGGCUCUCGUGGGCGGAUUCCAAGAUGUGUACUCAUCUUCCAACAAAGAGGACAGGACACACUGCUGGUCCACGCAUGAGAGCUCCUCUGAUUGUGUCUUUCCGGCAACUCGCAAAGCUCACUGAUUGGUUCAAACCAGAGAGGAGAUUCAGAGGCAAAGUUUCGAACUGCAAGCAUACAAUCCAUCGGUGUAUGGAAGUUCGGUAAAGCUAUAUUCAAUCAAACACCCACUUGGGGAAGGAUUGAGGGGCAGUUCCUUGGCCGAGACCCAUUCAUUGGCUAUUGCAAGGAGGAAGGAAGUCGGAGAACCAUAAAUUCCAAGUUCAGAGCUCAAAUCCCUUUUCGAAAUUGAACAGCUCUCACUCUUGUGCUUCGACUAAAACGAAACUCCCAAAUAGUGGAAAAAGGAAAUCCAAUUAGAGAUAAGCUGCCUAUGAGCAUCAUGGCAUAGGUAAAAGAAAGGAAACAUUAAGUUAUUAGAGGAAGCAGUGAGUCAGCUGUCAAAGGGAAGGGAACAAUCAAGACUAAAGCCGAUCUAGAGACCCUCAGUUAGAAGCAGUCCUUGUCCGGAACCUUAUAGUAAUUAAGGCGAGAUCAUUAUGGAAAUAGAAACCUCACCCACUAUAGAGAAAAGAAAGGAGAGAAGAGAAGAGAAGAUAUUGUAGUGGAAAGGAGAGAAGAUAUAGUAGUCGAAAGGAAAGACAGACUUCAAGGUUCAAUAAAGAAUGCAGGUGGAAAGUGGGAGUGAAAACCUCAAAAGCCAUAGUUGGUUUCUUUAUCCUUAGUGAAAGCCUUGCCUUGUUAACAUGGGUUGUAGUCUGUUAUCGCUAGUGCCAGUUUGCAAGCAAGGAAAGUCUCACUCUGAGUUAGUGGUGGUAUUGGUAUGAUUCAGUGUAUUCCGGUUAAAGGAGUAGAAGCACUUGUUUCAGUCUAAUAGUAGCAGUGAAGGUCCUACUUAAUGGAUUGAUCACUCAUCUAGGAGGAAAAAGCCUUGUUAGCACUAAUUUCAUUCUGAUAGUACACUGUGCAACUCUGGAUUCUUUUAUUGAUUUAUUGUAUGGAUCCUGGUUAGUAAUUGAUUUACUAGUUUUGAGUUUCUCGCCUUAGAAGCUUUAGUGCAAAUAUGAGGUAGCUUGAAACAAGAGAUAAGGAAUGAAAAGCAGAGUUAAGAGACUUAGGAUCGGAAAGGAAAGACAUGCCCUGGGAGCGGGGAGUCAGAUCUAGUGGUUACGUGUUCAAGAAUAGAAGAGAGUCAGGGUAGUAAGCUAGAUUUAGUGCAUGGAGAAGCAGACUGAAAUGACUAAUGGAAAGAGUUUCCCUAGUGCGGGAGGGCACAAGGAAUUACUACCUGCCCGAGAAGACUUCGCUAACUGAUAAGACUUCACUAACUACUUAGUCAAAAUGGAACUGGUGUUUCACUCAAUAUGGGUAAGGUAAUCAAACGAGAACAACUACCCUAUGGCAGUAGUGCAAGAGUUAUAACCGGGCAAGUCCGCUUUAGAUGUAGUCCUUUCCUUAUUUAGUAGUAGUGAAGAAAGCACUAGUUCCGGACGAGUAACUACGUAAGUUACGAGAAGUAUAGCUCAAUUCUUUUUGUUAUAAGUUAGAGAAUCAAAAGCAGAGUGAAGAGACUAAAGGGCUGUAAGGACAGUUUUAGAGUCAAGAGAGGCAGCCUAAUAGUGGGGCUUCUUUCAGUAAUAAAUCCUUCUAGCCUUGACUCCGGAGAAGAAGUCCUGUUCAUAGCUAUGGCCGAUAGAUCGAUCAGUGAAGCCAAGCCGGUUACAUAUCUGCUUCAACUCUAAUGUGAUUUCCAUAAAUGUUUCUUUUUGCUUUAGGCGCAACUGCAUUGGCUAUUUACGAGGUAAGGACGGCCUACUCUAACGCUUCUUCAAUAAACGCAGGUGUGAAGCAUAUGUUUUUCGAGAUCCAUUACUUUAUUAGUGAAAAGCAAGCUAGGCCCCCAAUAAACUCACUAUUCCUUAGGUAAACCAUAGCACAGCUUCGUUCCAAGCCUUCCACGGAGACUAAGGCAAUCAUAGAUCAUAGCUACGUCUGAAGGCAAGCAAUGAAGUAGUUAAAGUGCAAUAAGGUCUAAUUCCAUCAGUGCUCAAGCCCUAUUGUCUUCCUCGCUGUCUACUCCUAUAGUAAUGAGUUGAAAUCCCGUGUUUCUACUUUGAUUAUGUUACUAAUGAGUUGGAUCCCCCGUUUACCGUUCAUUCCUUCCAGUGUGGGUUUGAUCCUGGUAGUGAGUAGGUGAAUUCCAAUAUAGUAGACCAAAGUCUAACAACAUAGGAAGAGUAUCUUUAUACGCGCAUUUAUUAGAUUGAUUUAUGAGAGAGAGCCCUCUGCUUGCUUAUUUCAUUAUGAGGUACGAUGUAGUGAUCUACUAAUAGGAAUAAGAGUCUAUGGGUAUGACCAAUAGGAAUAAGAAUAUGGGUAUGACCUACUAACUAUAAGAAAGGAACCGCUGAUAAUCAGAAUGGAGUGAAGAAGUAAAGGACCAAUGUAAGGGUAUAAUGCUUAAGCAUGGAACUUGGACUUAUACUCUCAACUGGGCAUUGAAGGAAGGAUUCUCAUAAUGAUACUCCUACAGCUAAGUCAAAUCUCAGUUUACUGGUCAACACGCACCCCUAGUAGAAUGCACCCACUACUAACAGGAGUAGCACCGAGGAAUAGAAGAAUGGACUGCUCCCCUAAAGGAUGGACUACCUCACAAGAACAAACUCGGAACUUAGCCUUUAUCCCCUACCUAUGGGCUUAUGUCUCCUUACUUUUCUUUUUACUUCUUUAUUUCAUUACUCGAUUCAGUAUUCUGUCAUCUUUUAUUAUAUUGAUUUCUAUUCUAUUUUUCCGUGGCAUGUGUUUUAUCAUAUCAUAUAAUAUUGAACUACUGUGCUAGUGGAUCAAACUCCCACUCUACUAGUAAGCAUCGAACUCGGAACUGGGACUUUGACUAACCAAUAUCAGAAUGAGACUAGAUACCCGGAUCCCAUGUUCUUGCUGAGGUAUGCUGCUACUAACUCCUUUGAAACUGAAACUCAUGCCCCAAAGUGCCUCUAGGUAAUGUUAUGAUCCAGCACAUCUACUAGUAAGAGUACGGAUAUGAUCUAGCACACCCACAAAGAAGAAGAGCAAAAUGAACAUAUGAUAUAGUGCAUACAAGAAUAUAGAACCAAUCUACUGAUACAAAGACUGGAGCAAGGACAUACGAGAAUAGAAUAGAGUAGAAACCCCGGAUCAGAGGAGUCAAAAGGUGGGAGUCAUACUAUAAUACAGCAAAGUCAGAAUAAGAUAACAGAAGGGCGGGGAUUUACUUACUGCCCGAUUAGACUGAAACCAGCUGUCAACAAGAUUCUAACUGCUAGAGCUAUCAGAUCGAAAUAUAACCUCGCUAACGGGGUUUGUACUACUUGAACUAGAAAAUCAGACUUGCUAUACGCUGUUAAAGGAAGCAAUUGUCUUACCACAUUCUCCAACUAAUACAUCCCUUAGACUUAAAUCAUUACUAGAAAGAAUAGAACGACCGGGUGCUAAUGAUACUUAUCCCACCUGCUGGGAAUUCUAUUAAGCAGUUUCACAGUCGUGGUCUCCAACUUGAACAGAAGAAGCAACCUAUUAAGUCAGAAUCGAGUAAGUGAGCCAAAGAACGAAACACGGGCUAAUGAGGUUCGAACUCGUACUAGAAAGAAUGACUAGGUAACCCAAUUGAUUGGAUUGGGAAUACAGGACAUGGGUAUUGAGUAUCCGCUUUGAACUAUGACUAUUAUAGUAACAGCAAGAGUAGAAACCCGGGCAUAAAAGAAUGGACCUACCUAAAGCCAACCUUUCUAUCAAGUAAAGUAGGAAAUACAUAAUGACUUCCUGCAGUUUUCACUCGCUACCGUUUUAGCUCAGACUCCUCCGCGCCAGUGUUUAACUCGCUACCGUUUAACACAAGCACCCGAAACCAGACUUGAAACAGCUAACUACUCUCCUAUUGCUCCCGAACCACAUAGUAAGUAGGCAAACAACCAAGCUACUACAAAGACAUAGCAAACAACAAAGCUACUACAAAGACAUAGCAAACAACAAAGCUACUGCUAGAUGAGGGUUUUAAGAUAGAGUUAGUUCGGGGCGGGGUUAACUCAUUGAAGUAACAAACUGGGGCAGGUCGGGGUGUAAUGUAUAUAGAUGUGUGGGUGUCUCGCCUAGUAAAGGUGCCUAGCCUGAUGAAUCCCUAGUUUAAUCAGUAGUAGUAGCAAGAGGUAUAGAUUCUAAGCCAACAAAGAUCUCUUACCUAGCAUCAAAGCCAGUAAUUGACUCUUCAACUUACAAUAAGGGAACUUACAAUAAGGGCUUCUCUACCACUAUUAAUACGAAUAAGGGAUCUACUAAUCAUAUACUAAACUCAGAAUAAGAGACCGGUCUGAAAGCCUAUUAGAAUUCAAUUGAAAGCUGGUUUUCUCUCUUCCUAGGUAAUUUGCCAUCAAACAACAUAAGUUCUGAAAUAGCUCAUUUCAAGCCCAUAUCUUUAGGGUUCGACUUUGCCAACAACAAGAAUGGAUGAAACGGCCCUUACUUAUUUAGGCUUGCCCAACCUGAACUACUAUAUCUGCUGAGCAUCAAACCUUAACUACUGUCUCUCCAGAACAGGAGCAGAAACUUACAAUAAGAGCAGCAGCUUACUUAAGAAUUGUAACGGGGGUAUUAAACAAUCACCAGAACUAGGGCUUCGAACACCCAGCUACCUGGCACCCGAAACGAACUAACUCUAUCUGAAGGCCCGACCUCUUCUCACCAUACUUGAGAACUGUAACUGGCACUGCUGCUGAACCUUCACUUACUUGCAUUCUUACUUGAUUACUUCUUAGGUUCAUUCUGAAAUGACUUAUUCCUUGUUGUUAGUGAAAUUAUGGAAUUCCUACUUAUGGACUACGCCGUUCCAUUCUUUUAUUCUACACCAUGAGUUGGUCUCCUACUUUCCUACCUCCUAACUGCUUCCCGUGCCUCUCUCGACACUGCUUCCCGUGCCUCUGAGUUGCUCUAUCAGUCACAUUAGUUACAAGUUCUUCUAUACCUAUGGCUCUGUCAACUAAUUAAGAUUUGGAAUAGGCAAUAGGCACAACUUACUAUACCCUUAACUACCCUAACUAGUAAGUAAACUCUCCUAUCGCCAACUACUGGACUAGCAACUCGAAAACUACACUUUCCACUUGAAACGAGACUGAAACUUAUAUGCUCCUUGAAAUCACCCAUAUACUUUGUUGUUACUUGCCCCUAUAUUAAAGCUGGUAGUACAGAGUUACUUCACACUUUUCAAACUACUAUGUCCUUCUUUGUCUUUGUAUUAGAUAUGCCAGCGAGUAGGAGCGGGAUCGGGUACUAUUGCUACUAAGUGACUUGAUAGUUAAAGGUUGGUUCAGAAUAUCUUAUUAGCGAGGGCAGCUUUAUAGAUGCCUUAAGGAUAGUCUCUUUGUUCAUGAGUAGAAUUAGGGUAUCCGUUAAAAGCAGCAAGAGGGGAAGGUUAGGAAGCUGGAGUUGUUGACUGCCCUACUGCUAAAGAAGAGUGGAUAGUUUCCGUUUUACUCGAUGCUCGAGAGCUAAUUAAUAAACUCCUGCCUUUGUUUAGUUUACAAAGAGUUCUAUACUAGGUGCUCCAGAGAUCCAAUUGAAUGAUUCACUUCAAAUAAGAGAAGAGGUCAGGUCGGCAAAAGACAUGCUGUUAUUAAGUAAGAUUCAAAAGAUAGGGAUGCAGUGUAUUGAAAGGGAAGUAAUGUUAGAUAGGGAUGCAGUGUAUUGAAAGGGAAGUAAUGUUCAAUUCAAAAGGGUUAACUCGCUAAUGCUAAUGAAAAAGGUAAACAAGCUAUUAUUUACGGAAUUUGAUACGAGCACUCAAUCGGGCAGGAGAAGAGUCGGAGGUGCACCCACCCAGAACUACUACUUACUUACUAAUAACUUAGGGCUUACUAGUAACUUACUACUCUCUUACUAUCUAACUUAGGGCUUACUUCUAACACUGACUAGUUAUAGGCUUACUCUCUUCGGUCAAUCGGUGGGCUUACCUAGUUACUGCCUAGGGGCUUCCUUCUUCUGAGCUUCCUUCUUCUUCUAGGCUUACUACUGACUUGUUUACUUUGGGCUUACUACUCACUUCAGGGAGUCGGUGGGCUUACUAAUAACUAGUGUCAGUGAAUAGAUACCCAACAUAGGCCUGCAGCUACCCAGCAUCAGUCUUAGUGCCCAUACAGAGCAUCUGACCGACCCCGAUCCCUUCCUAGGCAACAGUACCUUUACUCACUGGUUGAAGUCUGAGGAGCACCAAUAUCAUUCUAGUUGCUAGUGGGUCGGUUCUUUAACUACCUUGUCUCAGGCUGAUCGGAUCUAGUUCUAUUCUGUAACUACCUUGCUUCAGUCUUUGACUCCCUUGUCUUAGUCUCGCUACCCUUGCUUUCAGCCUUAGCUACCUUGUUAGAGACCCAUACUAGCGACCCUUGCUUUAAGUCUUGGAUUGGUCAGCUCUAUUCUCUAACUCCCUAGCAUCGGCCUUGGAUUCAAUGGUUUGGUUCUUAGUAGCAGUUGUCUCAGUCUCGCCCUUACUAGCUCCGUUCUCUUAACGACUAGCUCACCUCUUUCUUCCUUUCCUACUCGUUCACCUCCAAUACUGUUACUACUGAGUUCAAUUGCUUGCCCCUGCUUGGUUCAAUAAGAAUACCAGAGUAGUAGGAAGUCAACUAGUUCAAUUAGUUUCAUACAGGUUAGGUUCAUUCUUAUACAAUACCGGUAAGUCAACUAGUUCAAUUAGACCUCGCUUCAAAGCUUUUACGUGAUGCUUCUUAUUCCUUGGUUACCCAUACUUGAAGUAAAGAAUGCCAUCAAACCCUAAACUCCUAAUAAAACAAGAAAAAGGACUCGCUGAAAACUAAUACUAACACCAGAUAGGGUAACUUAACCAUGUAUGUGCUCUUAACAUUUCAAUCUGACUUUCGAGUUUAGAUCAUAAGAAGUAGCAGAAGGAGGAGCUGAAGCAUAAGCAGGGGGUUAGCUCGGUGUUGGGUAUUGACAAUUCCCCAAUUACAAAGUUUUUGUUGGAAUAGAUUUGGAUUAGAUUUGAUUCAAAAGCGUGAGAGGCGUCAGUUAGCAGUCGGGUGCAGGUGCUUUCGGGUUAAAGUCAUAAUCUAGUGUGGUUUCUUGGGGCAUAAGGCUUAUGCUGAUUCUUUCUAAUACUUAACAAGUCUCCCCCGGGCACAAGAGAAAAGAUGUUGUUCUCAAGGUGCGUUGCGCAAAUGGUUCCGCUAAAAGGGAUGCACAGCUUAGCUGUGUCUUUAUUUUCAUCUAUCCUGGGCUCUUUAAGAUAUAUGAUAAAGAUAAGAUAUAUGAUAAAGAUGUAUAUAAUAUUCUUAUAAUGAUUGAUAUAGGACAGACCCAGACUGAAAGUGCUAACUAUAAUCACAGGUCAGUUUCAUAAUGAUUUGACUUCGGAUCAAGACUAAGUGCGGAUGGUGGGUCGGGAUCUAUCCUGGGCUCGGCUCGAUAAUCAAUGACUUUUCAGCCCUAAGCGCGGUCUACUUCAUUUCAUACGAGUCUCUUUAUGUUCUUUCUAUAUAAGUCUAAUCAUAGUGCGAGUCAAGUCUGUCUCUCGGAUAACACAGAAAACCAAAUAAUAGCAUAGAAUUGGAAAGCUGAUAGAUAAGGAUCGGGCCCGCCAAGUCACGGCAAAAGCAUAACAUAUUCUUUAUCAACAUUGAAACUGUAGUAACAAGGUAAACCUCUCUGCGGAAACCUGAGAACCCACCCUAGCGUAACAAAGCUAGUCGCUGCAGGGAUAAGUCCUAAAGUCAGCUGCAAGCGCAAGGCAAGGGCUAGCUAGCACAUCGCAUUAUCAUCGCUAUCCUUGGGUCAGCACAAAAAGAAAGCACCCUUUAUUUAAGGCAUCGCAGCUGACGCUGCCCUCACAUCAAAGCUUUGCUCAAGCGAUUCCAUACCAAACUUUGAGUCCUAACCAUCCAUUGAAAGAAACCAAGAUUUCCGACUGGAUUAGAUAACUCACAACAUUGUUCAAAACCCUUCCUUUACUGCUUUUUUAGAUAACUCACAGCAUUGUUCAAAACCCUUCCUUCUGCUUUUCAAGGGAUCUUUUCUCUCGGACCGGGGACACGAGCGAAGCUUUGUCACACUAGGGCAUACCCUUGAUAUACAGCCUCGUUGAGAUAACUUGCUUGAAACUUGCUGACUACCAAACUCACCUAAACUAGACUUAGUUGACCAGACAUAAAGGCUAUCCGAACUCCAUUAGGAGGCUCCCCAAAACAGGACUAGUAAUGAUAAAAGUGAAGCGGCUCUGCCUUUUCACUCAGGCUCCAGAACACAGGUCUCAUCCGAAAUAAUCUAAAUAAAAGGAGUUUCUCCAAUGGUAAAGAAAAGGAGCUAGUUCACUUAUUCUUGUCGUAGGUUCACUCAUUCAGUAAGCUACCAUUCACCAUCGGACGUGCAUCGAAGGGCGACAUAGCUCAUGCAUCACAAGGUAAUCGGGCAGUCUUCGGGUUUCAUCUGCCAUUCAUGAAGUUGGCGAUCAACAGCAAUAAAGCAUGGUUAGGUCAACUUAGCCUUCAAGUGUACCGUAGCUCGUUCUUCAAGGAUCAAAACCAAUUCUGUGCUAUCGGGGCGCGGGGUCGAGCAGCAAUAGGUGUUUCGGGGAACUAAUUCUUCAAGGGUGGUUAAGCACAUUCAGUUUACGUUACAUAACCAAUUCUACGAGCUACCAUUCAAUCAGUCAUCGUGGGGGCGAUCAACAAGAACAAAUGUGUCUUCGAAGCCCUUAGCCCGUAACUCAGGUCAACUAAAACCUCCCGUCUAUCCACGUAGAGUUGGACAUCGCAUAAAUAGAAAGUUUGGGAAUUGAGCUCAUCAGUCAAAGGCUGAAAACAAUCCAAACACUACUAACAGCAGGAGAACCAACGUACACAAUAACUCAAUACGGAACAAAUACUGUCGCUACUAACUAGCAGAUCAACUAAUAAGUCAAAGAAUCAAUAUAUAAACCCUAACCCUACCGCCGAAGACCGAAUACAUCACUUUAUUUUCACUGUAGUAAUAAUUGUUAUUAGCCUCACUCCUAUUACUAACAACACUCUUUUACUUAUUGUCUUGUCUCUUUGCCUUAGUAUACGUAGCUUGUCUGGUUAUAACAGGUUCUUCUGGAUGGGAUCUUUUUCUAUGAAUUCGUUCUUUUUCUCCCCUGGAGCUGGUGAAGUAGGUAUUAUUUUUCUCGCAAUGACACCUUUUGAAGGCCCAACACGGUUAAGUAGGUAUUAGUUUGAUUGCAAUGACACCUUUUGAAGGCCCAACACCAUACUAUAUAAGUCCCAUAUUGCUGCGUGGACUGGAAGCAAUAGAAUCCUUGGGCUUGGGAGCAAUCCGGGAAAUUCCAUUCUCCUACAGGAGAGCGGUAGUCCACAACUUGUUAUGAGUGCUUGUGGUCCUUUCUUUACUUGAAAUUCCAAUUCAUUAAUUAUUCGAAUUCGCAUCCUGGGCUUAGCUUAGGGAAAAAGAACUCCCGUGUUUUAGCGCACAGGAUUAUGGCCGAGUUGUUUGUUGCUCGGAAUUCCAUCUAGCUAUGCUAUAAUCAUCUUGAAGUUCAAGCUUUUCAUAUAAGAGGGGAAGUUAACAUAUUCCAUAAUCCAUUCAUAUAAGAGGGGAAGUUAACAUAUUCCAUAAUCCAUUCAAAAAACUCCUGACUGCUUCUGUGGAAUAUAAGUCUAAUCGAAUAUAAUGGAAUAAGAUGACUUAAAUGAAACUAUACUAAUUAUCGCUUGAAGUGAGAACUUGCUGAAAGCUCUGAUCAAUACGUCUUCUUUCUUUUUCCUUCCAAAUCGAUUCUGGGCCCUUACCUCGCUCUUUCUUGUGUAUAGAAGUCUAUUCAUCAUUUCGAAAUUCAUUAUUUCUUUCAGCCUUUCAAAGAGGACUGACACCUAUCCCGGAAUGGACUGGGAGCUCUCGCCUAACCAGGAGCCAGGAUGUUUUCUACUACCAUUUUCUAUUGGCUAGAGAAAAGAAUCGAAAGAGUUCCUCGGCUAGCCAGCUCCAAUCUAGAACUGGAAGGUCCCCUUUCCCACUUGGUCUGCCUCUUAGCAUUCCCCGGCCCAGACCACAAAGAAGGAAAGAGCGCGUAGCCCCGGCGGAUCGAUCAGGCUGAAAGAUAUCGACAUGAUUCGAGAGUUCCCCCUGAUGUUGUUCUCAAUCCCAGUGCUAGAUAAAGAGGGAGGUCUACCUACUUGGCCCCGGGGACGGAAUGCGGUAGGGUGAAAAAACGAACCCCCACGCUCGAUUCUAGAGACAUGCCCACAACAGACUGGCCCAAUUUACCUGCAGGUCUGCCUUUAGUAUAGUACAGGGCUCAAUAAAGACAUAAAUAGCAAAGAAUCUCUAUCUUUAGUAGUUUGAAGGGUUCCGCUCAAUCAGUGAGUAUUAGGAAUAGGGCCCUUUGCUUUGAUUAAGGCUCAAAUGCAUUUCAACUGCCUUACAGUAUCCUAAAUUAGAUCCGUGUUUUUACAUAAGCUCGCUCUCUGUUUCACAUGGGUUAAACUAAGCAAAAGGGGUUUUUCAACAGUGUUCUUUCUAGGUAUAGGUAUGGCCUAGAGUGUCUGCAUUCCUUUUUCCAGGUCUAGCCUUUGUCUUCCAUACACUCUUAAAGCUGCCCUGGCACCACUGGAAUCGGGCAAAGGAAGGUAUCGAUGCUUUCAACGAUUAGAUCGGGCUCUCCUAUAGCCCAGCCAAUUGCGCUAGCCCCGAGGUCGAAGAAGCGUGAUUGCAUUCCUAUUCCCACAGACUAAACAAAAGGAUGGAGAGCCUUUCCUGUAAUAGGUCCUAGCCUAGGGACCAAUAUUCUGAUUGGUUUAGGUAGGGCGACCGGCCUAAGCAGAAAUCCUAUACUCGGAGAUGGUCCUCUCGAAGGAAUUGGGACCGAGCAAGCCAAGCCAGUCGGAAGCAAAGGAGCUAAAGCCCAAAAGUCACUGUCUCUAGGAUCUGCCCUCCGUUGGGAUAGUCCACACUGGAUAACUCGUCGAUCGGGCUCUCAUAUUGCGAUCGGAAGAGAAGAUAGGAUCAGUACAUUCUUUCCCGGGUCGAUUUAGUAGACUAGACAGCUUUCUUAACCAAACAAAGUGGGGAAUCGCUGAGAGAAGCGAGUAGGAUAAUGCUGACGGAGGAACUUCAUCAAUCUCUCUUCACAAUGAGUUUUCUCAGUUCCAUUCGAUUCACCUUAAAUAACCCAGAAAGAGAAUCAAGUCCAUAUUAGAUAAGACCAAGAAAGAAAGAGAAUCAAGUCCAUAUUUGUAGAUAAGACCCAGAGAAGUAGAAUGGAGUUCUGAUUAGAUAAGUUAUCCAAUAUGUAUACGUGGUCUCAUAGCAAAAAUAGAACGAACCACUCCCCUUUCUCAUCACAAGCGAGCUGUCAAGGGACAAAAAAAGGUGCAGGACUUGCAGGCAAAGGCGGGAUCCCUAUUGGUAUGAGUUCGGCCCAAAGAGAAUGGCGCCCAGCUUCUUGUUUGAGGUAAGAUUUGAGUAGGAAUAGUAACAGUGUCUGAGAGCCCAACAUGAGGAGAUACUUUAGUUUAGUGAUUUGGAGAGUUGUGGUCCAGACUUAUAUACGCGGUAACACUUCGGAUACAGCCUUUACAGUAUAUUUAGGUUCUCCGUUCUUAUAGCUUUAGUCUAGGUUCUCGGUGCUUGUGUAACGCGAUUGAAUAACAGGACGUCGAAGCUAUAGCGAUCAAGUUCCAAAGAAAGCGCAAUCUAUUGCUACUAGGUGGAAUCAUACUUAACUUUUAUGAUAGAUUCAAGCGAAGGGAAGGGCAUUAACUUCAAUUUAAGAGGAGGGCAAAGUUCCUAUCCCGCAACGGAAUAUCUCUUACUUAUCUGUCUUAUGGGAGGUCCAAAAUCAAAGGUGGCUGGCUUACUUAUUUAAGUCAUAGUUUGUUUUCAGCGGUGGCCCAGGUUUCCCAUCAACAAAAGAUAGGGGAGGGGCUGGCUAGCAGGCCUUUUACUGAAAUGGCUUUCCGCGCGCUCGAGUAUCCAAAUAUGGAUCUCUUGAGUAAGAGAGCUUUCCAAAUAUGGAUCUAUUGAGUAAGAGAGCUUUCCUAAUAGAUAUCUAUUGUGUAAUAGAGCUUUCUUUAGUCUCUCCGGAAUCUUAUUUCGAGCUAAGACAAUCUCUGAUUCGGAAAAUAUCCAUUAUGACUCUGCUCUAUAAAUCUUAGUUACUAUCUUUGAGAAAGUGACCGUAUAAGCAUGUUCUCUCUUCAUCUUUGAGAAAAGUGACCGUAUAAGCAUGUUCUCUCUUCCUUAUUUAUGGUGUGGAAGCCCCUUGACUUGGAUAUAGGGGAAGCAUAAGUAAGCUAACAUAUAGCACAACUACUGAAAGACCAGCAUCUGACCAAUGGGAUCCUGCCGAGCAACGGGAACUAACUGACGCUCCUAAUAGAACAAACACAGAUGAAACUCAUUCACCACGCGCAAAAGAAGGAAGCUAUUAUGCCCGGAACCAUGCUGAUGCAACUGAUCCUUCUCUUGAAAACCAACCGUUUCUUCGCUGAUGCAACUGAUCCUUCUCUUGAAAACCAACCGUUUCUUCUCCUUAUUUGGAUCCGUAUUCAUCUCCAUCUCUAAUCAACCAGGAAUCAUUCCUUCGGUAGUUAGUUAUGAGCAAGUUUAAGGUACCUCUAUUCAAUGGUGAAAUGACUAUAAGGCCGGGCUCUAUUCAAUGCUUGCUGCUUCCUGUCGAAUGGAUUUGAAAACGGAUGAAACUAGCACUAUCACUCGUAUGAAGGACUUUGCGCUCCCUCUAUCUUACUACUCUUAUGACUUGACUCUUCUAUCUAUUCUUCUAGCAGACCUCGAUCAGCACUCUCCUAGCUCAGCACUCUGGUUCUUACCCUUAUAGUGGGCUAUUGAUUCUCUUAUUAUAGAAGAAUCUAUAAUACCUAGCUCAGCACUCUGGUUCUUCCCCUUAUAGCUCCAUCCUAUUAUUCUUCUGGUUCUUCCCCUUAUAGCUCCAUCCUAUUAUUCUAAAGUAGACUUUCCUGGCUUGAAACCCUACCCGUAAUCUUUUGUUUUAUUGAUUGAAGACCCGACCGACUACAGGACUUGUGUCUGGCGCCUCCCUGCUAACGCUCGAAAACUGGAAUGGAAUCCAUAUAUAAACAAAUAAUGAAUCUCAUCUAGCUGCACCCUUGGCACUACUUCAUGGAAUCUCUUAAGCACAUGGUAUAGGGUUCAUGACUCUUUAGUAACGACACUUAACAGAACAAGUUCUUUCUUCAUCUUGAUCGGUAGCUCGCACAGCUUCUUGCCCAUUAGUAGUAGCUUUUCUCUGUUCUUAACCUUGCCUUGCUUCUGAUCUUGUCGAUUCCACUCCUUUACUUACCACAACCGUAAUAUAAGUUAUCAACGGUACAGCACAGCGAUAUCUUAAUUAUAGGGUACGCCCGGCCCGCAUCUAACAUGGAAUUUCAAUUGGACUCUGGAGCUCAAUCCUCUGAUUCUGUAAUUACUAUUUAUUUACUUAACUCCCUUCUUGACCCGCACUCGUAUACUAGGGAAAGUCAAGAACAAAGCUAGUAUGGGAAAGGAAAGUAACGUAACCUAAACCCUCGGCUGGAACAAGCAACCAACAACAGGACUAGUUUCUUGGGGGCCGUCAUUAACCUAGCAGCCAAGAGAGUUGGUGUUCAGUCAACGAAUUCAUUAUUCUACUAUUAUAUAUUGGAUUCUUAAUUACUAUUUUCUAUUUAUUUAUUAGUUAACUAUUUCCUAUUUUGUACUACUAGAUUACUCGUUUGAUUCUAUGGUUUGACUACUUUUUCUUAUACCUGUACGCGCUGGAUUGGAUCAUAUUAUCAAGAAAAGCCUUUCUUACUUAUAUAGGGAUGGGCGCCUCAAGGGCAUGAGUAGAAGAAAAUCCAAGACGAAAUUGAGUCUUAAAAGCAAAGAGGGGGAGUUUUCAAUUGGAACAUGUAGGCAUUGAGUUCAGUAGCGAAAGUCCUAGUUCUUAGUUUAAGCACUGUUGGCAUAAGUAUAAGUUUGGAAGCAAAGAGAUUCCGUUUGAAAGCUCUAAGUAGUAAGGCUGUGGGGGGGCUGUUGAAGCACCUCGCUAAGUCAUGUAAGAAAUGAGAUAAGGGAGGAGUUCCCUGUUAAGUAGGUCAGUCCUGCCAGCAGCGAUAUCAGAACCAACCCCAGGAGUCAAAGCCUAAGAUGCGUUAAAGCAAGGCUAAAGCAAUGGAAACUGCUGUACUAUUGAUCUUAAUUGUAGCGAUGGAACUGAGGAUCCAAUACAGUAGCGAGAGCCUUGUUAGCAGUUAGCAGGAGUUCUAUUAUGUGCCCCAGCUGUGCAAGUAUUAAAGAGAGUUGUUUGAUUCCCUAGGUGUGGGACUCUGCUCCCCAAUUGCAUUCUUAAGUUGGGAUUUCAAUCCCGAUGCGGCUAAGUAGAAUCCCUAUGCCCGGGGUUUACUCUGUUGCUAAUGAGUUUUCUUUUGUGUCAUCAGUUGUUGCCUUCUAUUACUGAGUUUCCUAGUUAAUGGGUUUAUUCUAAUGGUUGUUACACUAGUUAUACUAAGCUUGGUGGGUGUCGGGCAUGAGUAGAAGAAUCCAAAUCAAUAGUGUCGGUUUCAAAGCAGAGAUACGGAUCACGAGUUAAAGCAAGAAAGUAAGUAAGGGCUGCUUUAGCUGCCGAUGGCUAGGCGAGGAAAGGCAUACUAUACUAGUAGACAGGAAAGUCCGGUUAGCUAGGAGUAGUAGCAGCCUUGCCCGUACCUAUUCCAUUCCCGUUUUUGAACGAAAGUAUUCUCGGUACAGGUUCCACUCUUUUUGUUGGUCUUAAUUGGUCUCGUAGCCUAAUAGAAGUUGGAAUUAAGUCCCAAUAGUAAAGGAGUCAGAGCUAGUUCCAUUCUAUUGAAUAAGGAGUGAAGUCUUAGAAGCAGCGGUGAAAGCCCUAUAUUAGUAGUUCUCUCUCUCUCUCUUUCCCAAUCCAAUGAAGAUAUUAGUAACAAAUGAACUAUAGCAGUUUCACUCGCUACCGCGCAACCGACUGACGCUCUUAUUAGCUCGCUACCGCGCUUUAGCUCACUUUAUCGACACUCAAAAAGACAGGACUAGCAGGUCAGACUCUAAGAUGUGGGUGUUAGUUUCUACCUUUUGGGCAUAGGCAUUGAAGGCAGUAGGGGCGUACUAAUAGGCAGUAAAGACGGGCUCAAAGAUAGGAAUGCCAGAAAGGAAUGAGAGUAACUCAAUCAAACCUAGGAACAUAGGGAAUCAAGGAAGUCAACUACAAAGUAACAAUCAAAGACAGGAUCGAUUAUUGUUAUCUGCAGUUAGAGUUUCAGUUGUGACUAGAGCAUUAGGUUUUAUAUAAGCUUGAAACAGACAAGCAAGGCUUAGAGUAUGGAAGGGUAGGUUGAAAGCAUAGAUGCAGUUUCAGAGAUAGUAAAGCAAGGCGGAUAGCAAGCAGAGAGAUAUUAAGAUAGAAGAAAGGAAGCCCGAGAGGCAGUAACGGUAGGUUUUUCAACUAAGGUUCGGGUUCAGCAGUAGAAGAAUCAUAGGUUAACUAAAGAAUGAAAGUAUGGAAUGUAAUAAGAAAGGAACGAAAACUGGAGUAGUCGUUGCUUGGCCCGUUGCUUGGCCCCUUACUUUGGGCAACACCUUGAAUAGCUUCCCUUGCCCACCUCGCCUCACCAGACUUUCUCAGGGGAUAGGGCAGAAUCAUAAUAUCUUAUAGGCGUAGUCGUUUGGCCCCUACUAAAUGCAGUAUGUCUCUUAUUAUAUCUUCAGUAUUUCUCUUAUUAUAUCUCAUUUUCUUCUAAUAUUCUAGGGGAUUCCAUUCAACUAACUCAUAACUCCUCACUUCCGGAGUUCACCUUUUCAACCAUAACUCCUCACUUCCGGAGUUCACCUUAUUAAUAGCGGCAGUCUCGGCCAGGGGUCAGUUCAAUUAAGUAGCUAGUUGCUCUUGUUAGAGUGGAAUUGUAGCCAUUGGCAAACGCCCUAGAGCUAAGCUAACGAACCUUGCUAGACUGGUAUUGCGAAGAUGUAGAGGAUAGAGGAAAGGUGCUUUACUUUAAUCGUGUGGAAUCAUCUUCAGCUAAAGCAACCUAUAUACGGUCACUUUCGUAGUGGCUUGGCCCUUACUCUCAUCUCGUUGUUGUUGAACCACGCCUAUCUCUUGUUAGAUCUCUUUGCUGAGUAACGAUCCGCUUUCGACAGACGCGAAGACUAUAACUCUCCUCUACCUCUGUCAACUCCCAAGCGUAUACUAGGCCCCAAACUCUACUCUCAGUUAAGAACCACUUCUAGACUACCUCUGCUCUGGGCUCGAUGAAACAGCCAAUCUCUAUUUUUCGGCUAAGCUUUUCUCUGUCUUUUUGUUUGGCAACGCUUUUCUCUGUCUUUUUGGCUACUCUAUCUUUCGAAACUCAAUCCUUAAUACGAACAGAUAUAAUUCAGUAGGGCAGGUGGGCGCGCAUUAUUAUUUAGUUGGACAGUAAGUGGAGAGGGUUGUUACUUACUUAUAAAGCUCUAGAGAAUCAAUUCCUGGAGUCUCCUUGUCUGCUUGCUCAGUUACAAAUUCAUUCUAUCAUGUUCCCGUGCUUCGAACUCCCGUUAGUCUGUUUGCCGAACUAUAACCUUAAGUCACAUUCAGUACUUAGGCGCUUCAGAGGAACCUAUCCCAUAAUCAGUAAAGGCAAUCAGUUAAGUGUGUGAAUAAGUGAAAGUGCCAGAGGUCGACCACGCCACUACAAGUUUAGGCGAAAGAAAGAAAAGAAACCAGCGUUAAUUAGUUUAUUCCUUGACUUUAGGUUCUGCUCCACCUAUUACCUCUCUUUCAUAGACUCUCGCAUGCAAAGUGAAAGUGCUGUGGAACUCCUAUUUCUCGUCGUUGAACCCAUGUUUCCAGGUUGCUAAUGGCUAAUUGACCUAUCUUGUCCCCAGAAAAACGGUCUUUGUAAUAUUUCUUGCGCCAAUAGAGCUCCAGUUAGCCUUACUUGUGCUUGUUCCUUUUAUUCAUGUUCCGUUGUUUGUUCCCUAUAGCUCUAAUACUCCAAUUUAUGUUAUUCCAAACACUGCUACGUAUAGGGUUCGGCUGUCAACUGCCAAUAAAGAUGAUUUGAUUUAAGCAACGAGUACCUCCAUUCAAAAGAUGCAAGGUGCUAAGAGCCUACGAGCUUGUUCGGGACAAUCAAUCUGGUCAUAAGAGUCGUUUAAGGCAGGGGAAACUCCGAGAAUGAGGAAUCGUACCUCAAUGAUGGAUUUGCCAUGAGCUCUGUUUCACAUGGGUUCAAGUUAGCAAAAGAAUCCACUUUAUGUGUUUGUCCUUCUGAAGUUGACCUGACCGGGAGAGAUGGAAUUCAUUCCAGUGUUUGCGAGAUGCUACUUUUGGACUCGUAGAUGAAACUCUCACUGGCAAUUCUUCUGCGGGAACUGUCACUUUAAGAAAAGAAUAUUUAGCUGGAGGGUAAGGAUAGUUAGCCAUUGCUUGUGGAGGUUCCCUCCCAUUUUAAGGGUAAGGACACUCCGUUAGCACUUAGGAACGUAGCUUGUAGAAUAUAAUAGAGUGGACUCGAUCAUAAGCGGGAGAAGAAUACAGAUCCGGCGAGAAAGCAGAAGAAAGAGUAUUUGAUAGCUAUAUCCUAAUAAAGAAUAACGUAAAACAAACACUGUUGUCUUGCUUAAAAACUCCCAUACAUAAGCGUUAGCGUAACGGUUAACUCCAAUUCAUUCUCUUAUGCUGCUAUGCUGAAUUACUUGAAUCUCUAUCUUACCCCGAUUACCUUCUUAUAGUAGAUCUAGCAACUUCACUUUGAAUUCGACUUCACAGCUUCUUCUGCUUUAGAUACAGCUGAGAAUCUCUGAUAUCUUACUGCUCAACCUGCUUACUAAAUCGUGACUUGUUCCCUCGCUUUCAUAAAUGAAUCUAGAUAAGAGCUUAGUAACGUAUAGAAUAACUCUGUAACAAUAGAGUACACUCCAAAGCUUAGUAGCAUAAGUACUUUGAACUUUCACUCUUACGCUACAGUGAGUUAUAGUACCCGGUAAUUGCUGACUCCUGACUUGAAUCACGAAUGGAGGUCAAAGGGAAUUGAGGUCUUGCUUGUUUGUUCCACUCAUUUCAUCUAAUCUAAUAUAAGGAAGAGGAAGCCAAGUAUAAGGAGGAGGAAGAAGGCAGAGGAAGCCAAGUAUAAGGAGGAGGAAGCCAAGCGACAACUGUGUUCUUUCUACGUUAACGAGAUACGAUACGGAGAGCAGUAGGCUGAGUUGGGCCAUAAGAAAGGUCAACUUCUUGUCUCGCUGUAGCUCACACUUUGUACUUUAGAAUGGGAGUUCCUGUUCGAGUGUAAUCAUAGAUAGAAUCACUGGUUAAGCAAGAAAGUAGACAUAUUCCAUAAUUGGAAGUAAACAACACUCUUAGGUAUUAAAGACUCACUCACAAACGCACUUAGACUUAGGAAGAACCCCAAACUCACGUUAGCACUUAGGCAAAAGAAAAGAAUGAGAAGCUAGCCUAAUUUAGAAAGAGUCAUAAGGAAAGGUGCUUGUUUGUCGUAAAUAGAGGUUAUUGUACUUCAUUCAGUGGAAAACACCUAUACUUUCAGAAGAACUUCCCGCUGUGCUUACUUUCUAUCUACAGCAUCAAAUCCUUAACUUGACUAUCUGAUUGCCCCAACUAACGCUUCAUCUUGAGAGCACAGAGGUCUUACCGACAGUGGGCUUAGGCUCAUCUCUUGCUCUAGUACAGUAGCUUGGCCCCCUUCUUUUAACUCAUAGUGAACUUAUUGAUUCUUCAAUUCGGUAUUCCUUUCUUUAAGGCUUAGUUUCCUUGCUUUCGGACAGAGCAGAGGGAUAAGAAUCGUGUUGGUUUAGUCUGACAUAGGUCAUUAUCAUAGUUCGGGUAGUGAGCACCGGCACUAAAUCCACUAGCCCCAGAAUGAGUAUUUGUAGUCACCCAGACAACUCCUAACCUCCUAAAUGGAACUAGAAACUAGGGAUCGAGUAUUGCUAACUAACAAGACGGAAAACGACUACCGCCAGAAUGCAUAUACUAAUACAAUAAAUAGAACUUUGUAACCCAAGCCUGACUUUCAUGUCUAUCAGAUUGAAAACACUGCUUCUAAUAGCGGAACUUGUAGCUGGGGAUCCGACUAAUGAGUAAGAGAACGCGCCUACUGCUGAUAAAGCUGAAACCGAUGUCAACAAGAACCAACCUCAAAAGUCAGAAAAAGGGAACCAACAUCCAAGUAUAAGAGUGAAAACACCAAGAGAGAGAGAAGAAUCAAAGAAUCAAAUAAAGGUGUUGAAACGCGGUGUGAAUGAGUGAAUCCUAACCUAGUGCCAGUUAAGUAUAAAGGUUAGGUAGAAGAAUAUGAAGCAUCAGCCCGCCCCUCUAACUAAGCUAAGCAGUUUCAACAGAGGGUCACUCGCUCGCUAACGGGAGUUUCAGUAGGAAUUUCAGAAUGGAGUUUCGGAAUGUAAGACAAGCCCCACUAGCGAACAUAGAAAUAGAAUCCCCUUUAAGUCAGCCACUCGAGUUUCCGUUUUCACUUUCACAGUUUGUAGUUAACAUUUGAUAGGACGCCUUAAAAGAAAAAGACCACCCAUGCGAGCAUAAUUCAUAGAGAAAGCAAUUGCUCAUGCGCUGAGACUAGUCGAUUUAUCAAAUGCCUAAUUAUGAGGAAGAAAUGGAAUGUCCCAUAUUAGAGGACCUUGAUCCACUCCUUUGGAACCAGUCCCGUACUACUAAAUGAAUAAUGCUGAUUUGUUAACCUGCAUCCCCUAGUCCUUGUCCAUAGCAAUAGAAAGAACGAGAAGAACUAAACUAAGUAAGGUAACCUAGUCCUUGUCCAUAGCAAUAGAAAGAACGAGAAGAACUAAACUAGGUAAGGUAACCUAGGUAAGGUAAGCAUUAUAACGAACGAGGUGAAGAAGAAGAACGCUAUACUUCCCCACAAUUCCAAUUGCAUCAAAUAAGAAGAUAUGGGGUGAGAUGUUAGAAUGAUAGUAGGAUGAGGUAAGGCUCACAUCUUAAGGGUUCGGUUCUUCAUCCCGAUUAUCCCGAUAGGGUAGGAAAGGUCGAGGUAAGCUCUUUUGAAAACUCAUUUGUCUAUGUCUAUUCAAAUCAAAACCAAGCACGGUCACUUCUUUAGGCAAUAAAAUCAGAGUUCAAUCCCAGUCUCUUGUGCUAUACGCAAAUAGAGAUUUCUGCCCCGUUGUUGGCAUAUCAGCUUCCAUAGUAUAAGUUAUGUUCCCAACCUUAGAAAACCUAUACUUAAGACCGGCAAUGCAGCUAAUCCGAGUGGAGACUUAGAGCUUUAUUCGUGAAGAGAAGGGUUCGGGAGCAAUUCCAAAGCUUCAACAACAGCUAGUUCUCCCCUUUGCACUAAAUAAUAUACGAAAGAUGUGGCAAAGAAGGCAAUCCCCAGUCUUCGCUCAAGCUCGAGCUCCUUUUUCUACAAAUAACUCCUAGAAAGUAUGGUGGCUAAGGAUCCUUCUUUAAUAGAAAGAUGGGUUCGACUUCUUAUCUUAUUUCGAUCUCUUUAUCCAACUCACGCACAGGCGCAUGUAAACUCCAACUAAGGACCUAAGUCAAGUGGAACCGUUGAACGCGCACCAUCCCUUGCCCGUGAAAAAGCGCUUUUUCUGCUAUGAAUGAAAGCCCUCUCUCUAUCUUAAGAAAUUACUACUUGUGGCCGGAAGGAUCGAAACCACAUUCGUCGCCCCUUUUCCAUACUUCUGGUUGGAUUCGCAUCACAUAUAGAGAAGCCAUAAAGAAACUAUUUGAAACAAGCCGUUCCCUAUCUCGAAAGGGGCCCAGCCCAGGUUUCUUCCUUAUUUGAUUAGUACUUAGUUAUCCGGGUUUCAUGCGUAAGUGAAGUCGACACUUGAAUAAAAGAAAGAGCAGUCUCACCUGAUCCGCCAUAUCCCUACGGAUAAUCAUAGCUUACAAGACCUAUUUCUUUCUCUUACGUGCCAGUACAGGGCCAAGAGUCAGGAUAUACGAGAGGUUGCCCAGCAACAAUACAUAUUUACGAUCUUGCUCGCUUUCUUCUUUUCAUUCCAUUCGAGCUUUGCCUUCAGACAUCUUCCGCAGCAACCCACUCUUGUAUAGUAAGUAGUUUCAUAGUCUCCCCAAUAGUAAGUAGUUUCAUAGUCUCCCCAAAGAAGUACUUUCGUGAACUGCACUUUGCCUAUUUCAUAUCCGCGGAUUAGGGCUAUAUUCCAAUCCAAGAGAGAUACGUGAAGUGGAUUGAGUGUACAAAAAAACACUUAAACAGACUCUAUAGAAGCCAUAGGCUAGACCCAAUAGACUCCAUUAGUGAAGGUUCAGUAUGGUAGACAGAAUUCGUUGAAGUAUGGAAGCGCUUGUGAGAGAAUCUGCUGCUAUUGAAUCAAAUUGAAUCAGCAACCGCUGCUGUUGGUGUUACCGGUCAUAAAUAAUAAGCAAUUGGGGGGGAGCGCACUUCACACACACUUUUGUUAGACUUGUAGCGAUUAGGGGUUGAGCCCUUCGAUCCUAGAAAGGUCGGUAGUUAGGUUGCUGGAGGGAUGCAAUAUAGUUGCUAGCGUAAGAGCGAAAUAAAAGGAGCGAAAGCGUCAUAGGGGAGUAGGGAUGUCAUUCACAGCUAUACCUAAGGAGGGCUCUCAUAAAUAAGUUGGGAGAGGAAGGAUGUAAUUCCGCUCUACCUACAGAGGGGCUCUAUCUAAUAAAUAAGUUGGGAAGGCUGUCAUUCAGCUUUACUUACAGUAAGGAGGCUCUCUUCUAAGGGAUAGGCAGGAUUGUAAUUCCGCUCUAUUUACAGGGGGUUCCUUAUAAGUCAGAGGAAGGAUGGCAAAAGAAGGACCAGAGCAGGGUAAAUCCAAGCCAAUUGCGAGAUAGCAUCCGAACACUUAUAUCAAGAUUGAGUUGAUGAAUCAUCCGGACUUCUUUGAACCGUAAGCGAGGAGGUGCACGCUCUUAUGUCUAGUUUCGAAGCCAAUACACAGACCAUUGACGCUAGCCCAAGAAUGUAUCAACCCGAAUACCAUCGAUGGCAUUAUUCUACCCUAUCCCCAUACUAUGUGCAUUGAUGAAGACAAUCCAUCUAAGUCAUGCGUAGACAGUACCAGAAUGUUAAGUUAGACGUACAGGAUCACCUGUCUAUUUCGAUGUGUAGAAGUUAGCACAGUAUUUCCACUCGGGGCGCCUAGAGCCCAGCCCCUUUUUCACUAUGAUGAAAGGGAAGCGGGAGAAGUGGGGAAAGGAAGCAAAGUCUCUAAGCCGACCAGAAGCUAAGGAGAAGGGUGCUUUGAGGAAUCGUUUCGUUUUAAAGACUGAUGAGCAUAUUAACCUAUUGAUUGUUGGAGUGGAGAAAGUUCUAUCUCAGUUUCAGAGGUGGGCCGCUCAUAUUCUGGGAGUGGAGAAAGUUCUGUCUCAGUUUCAGAGGUAGGCGCAUAAGCGGGAGCGAAUACACUCGUACGGCUCUAUCUUGGCAAAGGAGUUGGGACUGGUGCUUAUGGAUCUUUAUCUAGCCUAAAAGCUACACGGACUCUUACUUUCGAUCAGGUAGUGAUGCAGCGGGCUUACUUACUUAAAUGGUAGUGAUGCAGCGGGCUUACUUACUUAAAUGGAAGCAAAGGUGGGCAUGUAAAAACCUUUCUCGGUUACAGAGAUUAUUGAUCAAGCCAUCCCUCCACAAGCACGCAUUAGGUAUAAGAGAAGAGGACCUUAGCUAUUUAGUGAAAAGACAGGUUAGUUUGUUUGACUUCUUUCAUGGUAUGUAUGGACCAAAGAAGGGGUUCUGCUGCUAUCGACACCCACUAUUAGUAAACAAGCCGACUUCCCUUGACACUCUACCUACCUAGUUGUUGCUUGGUCGCUACUUACUAUAUUGCUUGGCCCUUGACUUUCACAAAUGAACUAGAACCUUACUUGCUCGGUUAUCAUCCUUACUAUCCCUGCAGCGCAUUCUUACGAAAAUGUCCUAUCAGGCUGACUUUGCUGGGCACCAACCCUAACUUCUAUUCUUGAAAUAAGCAAUUGGAUCCUUGCUUUCCCUCUUACUACCCAGUCGAUCAGUCUGCCCUUAAUGCCUAUGUUCCUGCCUUGUUCCCGAUGGAUACCUUAGCUCUUGGAGAAGCUGGAACUAAAGGAUAUUCUACUAUACUAGGUAUAAGCUAGAGAUGCUGUGGCGCAUAUGGUACUUCCAAAUAAGAGGGUACUGUCUUUGGGUAUAGGAAGGAGAUUCGUCGUUAAUCUUAUGGCUUCCGCCUCUUUAUCAUAAAAAAGAUACUGACUUGGGUUUGGUUUCCAAAUCGUCACAGACUCUUUCCAGGUUCCGAGUACAAGGCACUCUACUCGCCCUUACAACCUCUGAACUGUUAUUGCUUUAUUACUUGCUGCGCCGGUGCCAUUUAGCUAUCCAAUUCCACCUGCACUGUGAGAAUCCUAGCGCUACACACUUGGCGGCCAAUCCUGUGUUCCAUGCCCGCUCUAAGCACAUAUAUAUAAGUUUACAACCACUUCCUUCGCCCUUCCCUGUCUCACUGAGCCGCCUCACCCAUCGUUCUGUUCGAUCAUUCAUUGCCCUCCUAGCUCACUACCCUAGGAGAGCCCCACCUCUUUCUUUUAAGUGGGAAUUAUUCCUUUGAAAGGCAUGGAAAUCCACCUGAGCUUGCUCAUCGAAGAAGAAAAGCUUACUCUAUACGCCUUGCAGAAUGGAAAGCCGACGUCGAAAAAGCCUUUGAAAGCUAAACACUCGAGUGAUCAUCGAGAUUUCGACAAGAGUCCUUUCUUUUGGAUUUUGGAAAGCGGAUACCCGGUGUGAUGAUGUCAGGGCCACGUCACCUAUCAGUCUGUCUACUUGAUUUGAUGAGUUAGGAAUGAAAACCUUAGCUGUACGUAAAGGAAGCAGGGUGCUUCAAUAGGAUAGCAGUAUGCCAAUCCAAGUCAGGGAGUCUCCGAUAAAAAACAGAUCGAUGAUAUCGCUAGACAAGAUCGAGCCUCAUCAGACUCGUGAGGUAGGUUAACUAGGUGGAAAGUUCAGGUCAGCGCAGUGGAGAUCGAAUGAUGGAUGGAUCCUUCUACUGUCUUUGAACCGAGACUAUGCAAUUUCGAAAACAAUCUAUAGGACUUGCUGACCGUAACCUCUACUCUUGAUGAAGAACCACUAUUGCUAGCAUAGCACCACCGAUUUCCACCCUCAGGUCUAACAAUUCCUUUUGAAUAAAUAACAAUGUAUUAAUAAUCGAAUCAAGAAGGAUGUCGACUUCAUAUAACCUUGCGACGACUCUAAGAACUCUCUCUUUCUUCAAGAAAUGUCUGUCUUUAUGCUAAACUAAAUGAGUUGGUACCGCCCUUUUCCUUUUAUAGUAAAGCGGAUACAUACCUUUUUUCAUUUCGCAGCUUUUUCUUUCACAACUCUUUCUGUCACAACGGAAAUCAAAACCUAAUGCGGAUCUAAGCUCUCUUCAAGCCUUCCUUUCGGCUAGCUCUAUUCUCACUUGACUUACUUCCUUCCUUUCAAAAAACGAUGGAAUUUCUCCUUCGUAGAUUCUUGCGGCUGUCUUAUUCUUUCUUUCAGCUAACCUGGCACAACCUGCACCAAUCAGAAAAAUAUGGGAGAGGAGUUUUUCCCCGGGGCUCGGGGCGAAUCUAGCCGAUGUGGUGAGACCCUUUCUUCGAGCGGAGGGGUCCGGACCUAAAAAACCAAUGGGGAUCCAGAAUCCGGCACCCUAUGGCACAGCGAGCUCGUCCUCGUUUACUCCCCAUCUGACUUUGAAAUAGACACGUACUAUUGGAACCAGAGGUAGUUCUAAAUCGGAGUAAUUCAUCUUCCUUACGAACUCGAAGAGUACGUCUCGAGGAGGAGAAUACUCUCUUUGUUACUGGAUAAGGAUAAGUGCAAAUAUAGCGCGGAAAUGAAAGCUAGCCUGGAUCAAGCCCCCUCUCAAUCCGAAUCGAACCGAAUUCCGAAAAUCUCUCCAGAAGAAACACUUGGUUUUCGUGAUUUAUUAGCACAUGCUGAUGGAGCACCCUGCCUUUGCCGAAAGGGUACCUUAGAAUCCCGUAGACGGCUUAACGGAUUUCUUUGACGAGAAGCGGAACCAACUGGAUAGCAACAAAGGGUAGAGCCCGGCGGAAAGGGACUGCAGAGAAAUCCCAUUUAUAGAAGAGGUAGCGCUAGAUUUGAGAGAGCGCGGGCCUAAAUAUUUCAAUCAUAUGUUGGGCGAGUCUUGCUUGUUCUGUGCUAUUUCCGGGUCAUCCAAUGGUCUUUAGUAGUUAUUAAGCCUCGUAUGCCUCCGCGACGGCCAUUUAUGUUGUACCCUGAGCUUUGUAAGAGGAAGUCGGGGUCUUAUGGAAGCUGUGAAGUAAGUAGAUAUGGAGUACUCGAGGCCCUGAAGCGGAACGAUCAAAUAGUCAAAUAUAUGUAAACAAUAGAGAGUCAAGGACGGGACCGGGCUAGAGCACUUUCUAUCGUCCCCAUCGUCCUAACUGCCGAUCACUUAGAGCUACGAACUGUUUGAUUGUUCUUGGGCAACGGAAUCAGUAACUGUGCCGGGCUUGGCUCAAUAAAGGGAUAGAUGCUGGCCUAGGAAACUAGGAUGUUUUCCAUGCAUGCCUUGUCUAGUUCAUAAUGCUAUCUCUGGAAUUCGCCGGCUGUGAGUAAGUAAACCGAGUAUUAUCUUAUUUCACCCACUAUUGGUGGAUCGACAGGGAUAUCGGGUAUAUAAUGGGCGCCUUGAGAAAAACCCUUAUACCGAGGUGGGUACGUAUGCAGUGGACUCCCUUCAUCUACUUUAUGGAAUAGCAAGAAAGAGAUACGGUCGAUUGGUACCUCGAUCUCUAUCUAUGAUGCAGCUCGUGCAAUGCGGUUGAUUACGAUCUCGAUCUAGCAAAUGACACAACACCGACCCUUACUUCUGAAGCGCUAAGUGAAUCAGUCUCGGCUCUUUCUUUGGGUGCUAGUGUAACCCUAUAUGGAAAAGUAGUUGUUCAAAAGUCCAGAAUUCCCUGUUUAUGUUUCAAUAGAAGAUGGAGCUAGAUCUGUGAUAAAGUCAGCUGCAAGCGCAAAGUAGUCUGCAAGUGGUUCUUCAAGGGUAGGUCGAGUCAGAGUAAUAAGAAUAGUCAUAGUCAGGUGUUACUUCUUUAUAUGAUCAGUGCACUCAAUGACCUUCUUCAGCGCUCAAAUCCAAUUCCUACAAUAAGAUCUUCAUAGCAAGAAACAAGUAGCAAAGUAUUAACCUAUUUAUUGAUUUCCGUUGACCUAACUGAGAAAGGUAGACCAUACCAUGAAAAUCCAACUUUCGAGAGACUAUUUCUCUUAUUGCUUUGGGACCCCGAGUCCAUAAAUGAAGUAACAUUACCUACCCCCCCUAUACGCCACAUACGCCACAUACGCCACACCCUUAUCCCUUUUCUCUUGUUCCACAGAAUCUGAUGUUUGCUUUGUUGUAAAGGAAUCAAGUAGUGAGUCAGCUGUUCGCAAGUAAACUGCACAUGGCAUAGAAGCUUAUAAGGACACUUAACAAACAACUAGUUCCAUUCAAAAGAUUGAAAAGGGAAUAGAGUUAUCGUAUAAAUAUUAGUCAAGAAAAGGCUACGGAAUCCGCGCCUAGAUCAGAAGCCUUCCUUAUUUUUAUUAUUUGAAGCAGAAGUCGAAGUCAAAGCAAGGCGUUCAACAACUUAAGUCGAUUCAAAAAGUGGAAUACUAAACUAAAGUAAGCUGUAAUUAGGUAUAGCAAAAUAGUCUGAUUCUACAUCUCUAUCUUCGGCUGGAACAAUACUUUCUACUGUGCUUUCUGAUCCAUAUCUUGAUCAAGCAUCUAAUCUCGCUUUUUCUCCUUAUUAACUUGCCAGACUUAAUGGCAACACCACCGCUGACCACUUCUGGUCUUGAUACGAGGCCUUAUUCUGAUCCCGAUCCAGAUUCUAUUCCCGCUUCGCUUUAAGGUUCCGUUGUUUGUGUGACUUUAUCCUUCACCUUUCCUUUCUAUUGAUGCUUUGACUCUUUAUUAGUCGAGAGUCCAGCUAGAGGCAUCAGCGCUACGCCCCCUCUCGAUCUGGAACUUUCGCAAAGCAUCCUCGAAAGUUGCAAGAAGGGCCCUUUAUAGAGCGAUGACAAGCAGGUAGAUUAAAACAAAGCGAGAAUGUUAAGCGCAUAUAGCUAUUUAUUCGAACAUGGGACACCAACCUUUCAUAAGGGGUCCUCCCUAUGGGGUUCUUUGUUGGAAUCGAAUUUCAAGGACUCCUGUCAUCCGUGUCAUAGCAAUGCAAGACCCACUCCAUAAAGCUGUGUCAAUCCUAUUUGUUGUUAGUACUGAGCCGGAUAUAGGAAAUCAGAUUAGAGACUAGUCCAGAGACACCUUUUUGACAUAGCGUGUAAUGAUAACACCCGUAUCAAUAGAGUGAGUAAGAUCUUAUCAUGGUUGUAUGGCUAAUGACGAGUUAUAUAGCUGACUGCGAGAAGCCAGCGUUUGUGAGAGCGGUCUUUCACUAUCAAUCAAAAGUGCUUCCUGCCUCAAUAACUUAUCGAAUGGACGACCACUAUUACUUGUGGGUCUUCGCUCACUUACACGAGCCGCAGCCGGAAGACGAGGCCAUGUGACCCAGAGAAGGUCCUUCAAAUCCUGGGGGACUCCCGAGCUUAUGGUAUAGAUGGCCCCUUAUAUACAAGACAUUCCUCUGAGAAAAGAAAAGAGAGUCGAUCAGUAACAUUAGGUGUUAAUAACAGUAAUAAGCUGGAAUUUACUUGCUCUAGCGAAAACUCUUUAUUUGACUCUAGCUCUUGCUAAUACAAAUAUUAUUAUUCUUUCUCGGUGUUGGAUGUCAAUGUCAAGUCAAUAAGGAAUUCUUGGUGUUGAAGGCUGUCAAUGUCAAGUCAAUCAGGCAAUUCUCGUGCGCGGUCAACUCAUCAAAUGUGGUUCAACAAAGAAUGAAUGGAAUCUCUUGCAUAGUAAAUAUCAUUGAAUCUCUCUUGCGUAGUAAAUAUCAUUGAAUCUCUCUUGCGUAGUAAGUAUAUGAGUAAUGAAUUUCAUAGCAUAGAUAUUUCUGGCCUAUAAGAAAGGGAAGAUGAAACCAAAUCACUACAACCGCUUAUAAUCACUACAACCGCUUAUAUGAUAAUAAUAAAGGGCAGAUUACACCAAAUAACCACUAUAGUCUUUCUUAGUUUUGCGCACCGGAAUCCAAAAUAAUAGAAUUGCUCGGUAUCGGCACCCGCUCAUCAAGUAAGCUAGCGCACAACCAAGUAAGCGUAAGCAUCACCCUGUUUGCUCCCCGAAACUCAAACUAUUAUUAGCACAAGUAAGUAAGUAAGUUAGUUAGUCUAAUGUGCCCAGCAAACUCCCUAAGCGCCUUGUAAACCAGGAAGAAUUCUAUCGAGCGCCCCCAGUCAACAAAGAAUCAGGACUUGUUGUUGCGGGUGCAAUUCCUUUCUUAUUGUUUAGAGUAAAGGGAAGGGCUACUACUAAUCAGAAACGACUCUCACCUCAGACUACUAAUCAGAAACGACUUUCACCUCAGAGCUCUCUUUCUAGGCACUGUUCCAUUGCUUAUAGAAUGGAGUAAGACCUAGACUUCCAGUACGGAACCCUAAAGCUGGUUCUCCACCGCUUGUUUGCAGCUUGUUCAUUUGUAGUUACUUGCCUAGUUGCUUGUCUGCAUGUCUGCCUACGAUAUAAUCUUUUCCUCAAGUCGAGUUCGGGUGCUUGCUUGUUAAGUCUACGAGAGAGGUCAAUAGUGUCGGUAUCUAUAAGCUCAUCUCUUCUCUCUGACGAUAUCACAUUCAAAGGCCCGCUCUCUAAAGCAUAACUGGUGGUGCGGUAAGCCAAGCCUGGAGUAAACAGAACGAGCAACGCGGGCAAUCAUUAAUUAAGAGAGUGCUGCAUCACUUAUAGAUUUCGAUUUCAGUAAACAGCCAGUAGAUUUCGAUUUCAGUAAACGCGCAUUGCUUUCUAAUAUAUCUCAUAUGGGCGUUCCACUCCUUAAAAAAGGACUUGUGGAAUGUGGGUGCACCUGUUAUAGAAGUUUCUCAGUCAAAAGCUAGUCGCCUGCCUGUUUUCAUCAUCACCGUGAGGAGCCGAGCCGGAGCAAGACUCAAUGCGUCAGGGGCGGAAUUAGUUCAUUCUUUGACUUGUGCUAACAGAAAGGGAAAUCAAGAUGUUAGAUCAGCAGUUACAGUUUGAAGCUAAGAAGCAAGAAAGUCAGUAAGGUGCUGAAAGCCUAAGAUACACAGGAGCUAAAGAAUAGUGGUAAGCAGCACGGGAAUGAUAGCCAGGAUAGUGAGAAUCGGAGACAGCAGUAUGGGCUUUCGAGCUAGGUGUGGUUAACUCGCUACCGCCCUUAAGUUAGGAGUCGUAAUAACAAGAAAUACAUUAUUGGGAGUUGAACUUAACUGCACAAAACAAAUAACUACAAGUGUAGUAAGUAUUUAAGGCUGUUCUUUAUGCCUGUUGUCUUCGGCAGUUGUGUUUUAGGGCUUGGUGGAUCCGACUCAGUAAUGAGAGAAUGAAAACAAGGUAGGGCAGCUCGUAGGUAGUAGAUAAGGGCUAAGUUAUGUGUUUGAGUCUAUAAGAGGAGUAGCCCCAUCUAUGUGUCAGUGUUAUUUAUUCCCUGGUUUCGAGUUCAAGCCCUAUUUCUUUGUUCAGGGUGGAUUCUCAUACUAGUUGGACCUAUAUUAUUAUUCGGAUAUUAGUAGUAUGACUCUAGUUAUUCCUAGAUGCACUACACCGCACCCAUACUUCUACCUAUGGGUUUUCUCCCCUGGCUCGAUUCUUGUCAACACUAGCUCAAUAUUAUUGUUUGCGCUGCGUUUUCAUUCUAUUACUUGCUUGUUUCAAUCCCAUCAGUUGUAGAUGCAUUCUUAUACUUAUUAGUUUGAUUCACUCCCAACGAUACCAAUCCUCUUACUUACUAGUUUGAUUCUAUUCCUGGAGGCACUAGAUCGUAUUCUCAAUAUAAGUCAAUAAGCUAAGUCAAAGAGCAAUAGACAGGAAAGUCUGAUUUAGAUCAAAAGGAGGGGCAGAGCUAAAGGUAGAGUCGGCUUGUAGGGUCCGCAUUCCCAUACUGAUGAGGUUCAUUCUGACUUCUUAAAUGACUUAGCUCGGCCCUAUACACAACUAAGCCACUCAAGAGUCCGGCGCUGAGCCCAGUUCUACUCUUUUCUUAUAAGGAACUGUAUUGGAAGCACUAGUAACAUUCCCAGUUUCUAGUUUCUCAUCUUAUACGUUGGGUUUCAUCUCGUUACUUAAGGAUUGAAUUCCAUUACUUGGGGGUUGCAUUCUGGUUUUGUCAUAUAGCAAGCCCUCUUCCGCAGGAGAUCUGGUUGCAACACUCGCCAACACCUAAGGAGACGACACUUCAGUACCACCGCGCUUCAAUAGCAAAUAGUCUACCCUUAACCCGGAUUUCGAACCAAGAACUGAUCUCACUGCUAAUGAUCCAGAUCCCAUUUAAGAUCUUGAAACUUUGUAAGAUCUGGUAGACUCCACUUUCCCUGCUGAAGAUCUAGCUUCUGAUCAAUAGGAAUCCGCAUACGUUUCCCUUUUGCUUCUAAACUCAUAGUUGAUACUGCGCUCGCAACGCACCUUUAUUUCUAGAUUACUUUCUACGCAACGAUAUACUUCUCUUGCAGACAAACAAGCUGGAAUUGCACUUGCUGAACGAUUCCACUGGAUACUUUGACUGAUAGUAGUAGGGCGCAGAAGAUCAUCUUGCAGCCAAAUCUUGGAAUUGAGUAUAUAGAGCAUGUGGUAUAUAAGUGAGUCAAUACCCCCAGGGACUUGCGCUUGCUUACUUACUUUGAACUUCAGACUUUCAAGCCGGAGAGCUUCUUUCUAUUUACGAUUACACUCUAACCUUUAUAUCCACUAAGUCUUGCCCGCUCUCGACAAGCAAGGAACUACAGCACCAACACUCGAACCGAUUGCAACUUACUUUUCAUCUACUACUACUACAGGAACUACAGGAUAUGGCUCUGCUCUAACUGCUUACCUCUGACUUGCGCCCUUACUCCGGCAACAGAUCUUUCUAUUUCUUCUUCUGGAACAAUACUUUAUCAUGCUUAUGAUCCAGCUUUCAUCUCUUUGCUUUCCUGGCACUACGGAUUAUCGAACUGCGGAUUCAGUUGCUUGUCGAACGUCACUUUCCUCCCCAGAGGACUAGGCGGAGGACUAACGUAAGGCAGAGUCAGCAUCAGCCGGAGUAGAUUCCAAGUCUGGAUCUGGCUCUCCAAUUCCAGUUUCGUUCGGGUGAUAGCCUUCUUAAGCGGUAAGUCCAGUAGUAUACGCUUGUCGGCAGUUUUCUGGUUUUGUUCUAGUAAGGGAAAUAAGGCAAGGCAAUUCGAGUCACCAACACCGAUCAAAGUCGCUAAGGCUUCGGCAGUGGAUCAUUCCAUUCUGCAAUUCCACUAUUCAUUCGAUUCGAGAGUCGAUUCUAGCUUCCUUUAUACUGUUCCUUGGAAACAGCUUAUCAGCUUACUUUUGCCAACACAGCUUGACUUUAUCGACACAGUAGAAAUCCAAUCUUGAUAUUGAUAAGAUAGAAACUCACACUAUACUUGUUGAACCAUUUACUGCUGCCGACUUCACCACAACAUCUAGACUUCGCCCCCAAAGAGAUGAGUAUGCACGGCGCUUCAAUUGACGACUCACUACUCGGUACUGAAGUACCAUAUUCUAAGUUGGGCAGCUGAUGAACUUAUUUAUACACCUGACUUAUCAUCUACUGCUGUAUCUGGCUCUGCUCUAACUGCUUCCUUUAGCGCUGAAUAAGGUGGUUGAGGCCUCUUUCUCGUUGUUUCAGCUCUGGUAAACUCCAAUUAUAGCUCAUCUGCAGAGUGGGCAUGAGAAAAAGGGGAUUCUGCUUUCUUUCUUUUGAGGCGCAGCUUAAUUCUUCAACUUUCAGAGAGGUUCUUCUUAAUUCCGCAGCCCUAACUAAGUCCUAAAGUAGAGAUAGUUGAUUGUGUUGAAGUGGAAAUAUCAAGAGGUGCUUCUUAUGCAAUAAGUCCUGAUUUCGUCAAGUCCUGUUUUUGGGGCCGCUAGAGUUCCCACCAUUAUUACAAUAGAUGUUUUCAGCGGGAAUCCAAUAAGUAAAGGUCCACACUCCUUUCAUAAAACAAGGUGAAACUGCUACUCGGUGAGGUGAGUCCAGGAACUCCUAAGCGUGGAUAGAGAUUGUGGAUUUUCCAUAACCACAUUACCCGUUUGUUAUUUAGCUCCGGCCAUUUCCCCUGGCUGUUAGAGUUUACGACUCUGUCAACUUAGCCAGGAACUUGGGAAGAGUAGUAGGGUCCGCGUCAGCUUAGAUGUUAUAGGGAAAGAGUUAUUAUUGAGGAUAUUCCUAGUAUGGUAAGCCUCGGAUAUCGCUGGGCUUUCUCUCGAAUAGAAAGAUGACCCCGAUAGAAUGUGUUCUUUUUGCACUUUCUCUUUGCUAAUAAGCUAAUCCAUUUUGGUAAUGAUUGGGAGUUUACAACUGGUUUCAUAUGGUGUGAACGCAUCUGUAAUUGGAUUACUGUUGAUCUGUCUUUUGAUCUAUCGGGUUGUCCUCAACGCCAUAAAUUCUCUUCAUAGUGGGCAAAGGUUCAAUCACCUCUAAUGUUGGGCCCGUCUUUUGUUUCAAGCUAUUCUAUUGAUAACCAAUCCAUUUUCUCAGGCUCUUAGCACCUGUACUUGCUCAUAACUCUGGGAUACCUCAGAACUUCGUUACAAGAGUGCAAUCCUCGGUGAAAUUACUGGUUUUGAGUGAAGGUAUUGCUUGCCCCGAUUCCAUUCUCUCAGGUGGGUUUUGAUUCUCCCUAUAGGCGUUUCGCGUCUUGUCCGCACUAGUUUCUUUCUUAAAGUAAGUAAUGGAAGUCUUAGUUCCUAGGGGUGAAAUUCCAGUAAUAGAAGCAGUAGCACCAGCCUCAUCAGUAGUAGCUCCAUUCUUGUAUGUCCUGGUUUCGCUCUUGUAUUUGUUCUUUAUAUCUUAUAAUAGUGGGUGUACUUAUACAUUCUCUUAUAUGAAUAGUAAGUGACUUAUCUCUUAUAUGAAUAGUAAGUGACUUAUCUAUCCAUUCUCUUAUCAUAAGUCAUAGUAGCAUAUCAUGUGGUUUUAUUGUUUGAAUAUGAUAUAGAAUAGUUGCAUGUGUUUUAGUUUCACACAAGAGAUAUAGGACCAAGCAAGAAGCAACAGACUAGACUUAUCUACAUUGCAAUUGGAAUAAGAGUUUGGCGUAGUAGCCUUGUUAACAGUGAUUUGAUUCUAAUCAUUAGUUGGUUUAUUCCUUUUUUCUAGUAUCAAUAUGAUAAGUAGCGGUUUUGAUCUACUAGGGUUCUUUUGAAUCCUUUGCCUGUUGUUAAUUCCAUUCUUAUAGGGUGUAGUUGAAGCAACAGACUUGAUGUCAGUAGCGAUAGGCCGAGAAGAAAGCUGCGGAAGAGUCAAAGCAAGUGGCAGUUAGACUUAAAUAAAGGAGAGGUAGCCUUUCAGACAGGAAGAGGGCGGACUUCAACUAGCACAGGCGAGGCUCUAAGGCAUUAGUGGAAUUCAACGAAGACAUCAGCGGUAAUAACAAAUACGAAAUCCAUUAUGUGCUUUUUAUUAUUGCCAAAUACUGCUGUAGUAAGAACAGAAUUAUGACUAUUUACUUACUGCCGCCCAACGCCUUACUUAGUUGCUUGCCUUUGUUUGGCAGCUACACUCUUAGAAGCAGUGGUUGGAUCGGAUCCCCUCUGACUUUCUAGUGGGACUCCUUAUUUCCUUGUUUCGUUCCUUCCAGCAGUGGAUGCAUUCCCUGUUAUUACUUCCAUUAUUGUUAGCAGUGAUUUCGUUCUUUGACUACCUAUAUGGGUCUUCUCCUUUUACUACUAAUAUUGGUCUUCUCCUAGCUUAGCUCUAUUUGUUCUUGUAGUCAGGUAGCGCCUUACUGUAGAGUGCAAUUCCUCUGAUUAAUUCGUUAGGUUCCUCUGAUUCAUUCGAUAGUUGAGUAUCCGGACUUUCUUGUUCGGUUCUUGCUUUUGUUAGCUUCGGUCCCAGAUCAUACCCCUUUUAUUGGCUGCGGUCUUAUACUUCCCUGUUUGUUGAAUUCUACAAGGACUUGUUCAUAGUUCCGAGGUUAGUUCAGUGGGCACUGUUUCGUUCUCUUACUUGGGGUAGAGCAAUGAACUUUACUGAGAAUACUUAGAAUAGAGAUGUGACUUAACGAACACAAGGAGAAGAAGAAACAUUGGGCUUAACACCCGCACCAUAGCUCUUAUCGUUCAAUGAAAAAGAAGAGACCGACCCUUUUCGAUCUAGUUACUAGAAGCAAACCACUCUGAAAUAUUCUAUAAAUGAACUUGAAAUGCCAUUAUAGGGAGUUACAUAAUGAGAUAAAAGAUCGGCAGGUCGAAGCUACAACUACUGAGGGAAAGGCAGGAGAGGCUACCUUCUAAGGUAGUAGUAAGGUCAGUUUGCCAGUAUAGCAAUAAUGAAUACAAGCAGUAAGUAGAAUAGUAGUAAGCAUAGGAGUGUCGGGGUAAAAGAAUCAAAGUGUUGAGAUACAGAACGAAACCACAGUGCUAACAGGACUCGAACACUGCCUAAUGGCUUCGCUAGUGCUAAUAGGGAUGGAGCUGGUGCUUAUGAGACUUUCACUGAUGCCAACAAGACUAUAUGGCUUUCAACCGGGAAUUGCACUGGCACUAACAAGGCGGAUACCACUAAUUGAAAAGAGUUGAUCUAGGACUAAUAAGAAUCGACCUACUGGUAGCAAGACAACAACUUGGAAUUCUAUCAUUGAUAACAAACAAUCAAGUAAGAAACAAGCUAAGUAGUAAAAGAAUGGAAUGAAUUAUGAAAAGAAUGAUUUGUUGUCUUAUACUAUUACUUAUAGGGGAAUUGAAGAAGAGGAUAGGCCACAACUCCAGAAGUAGAAGGAUAGGCGUGCUAACACACAGGGAGGAGGAUCCAACGAAUUAGUAUAGGAGCCAAACUGGUACUACUAAUAAUUGGCUAGGGGAGGUCCAUAUCAGAGGCAUCAACACUCGAACACAAGAAUAGAACUCUCAAAUACGGGAUGAAACGGGGCAGUAUAAGAAUAGAGCCAGGGGACACGGGAGGGACACCGGGGCACCUCGCUAAGACAUGGCACCUCGCUAAGACAUAAACUCAUACCUAGGUACUGAAAGCCUACUUCUAAAGAGAAUCGAACCAAUAAGUAUAAGUAAUAGAUUCAAUCCAGCAAUAAAGAAUGAUGCGAGGCCGAGUGCAUUGCUAGAUGGGCCGGAUGUCAAGAAUCAUAGUAAUGUCAGAAUCAUAGAAAUGUCAGAAUCAUAGUACGUAUGGCAAGCAACUGACAACUAAGUAAUAGAAUCAUAGUAAUUGUAAUAUAAUAAUUAAUGUAAUACUUGUGUAAUUGUAAUAAAAGAAUUAAUGUCAUAAUUGUAGGUAAUAGAAUCAUUGAUAAGUAAUAGAAUCAAGCAAUACCCCCGCAUACCUAAUAGCCAGGAAUAACCUAACUUUCCGUACUCUAAAACUGGCGCUGCCUCUACUCAUUCUGUAUCUACUUAUUUGGAUAUUCUUUAAAUAAGCCCUUGCCCUACAGCCCAUUAGUCUGCUCUUCUUGACUUUGACUCUUUAACCUAGGCUUAUAGAUGAAACACAUAAAUAAUACACAUAAGCUAGUCGGCCAACACAUAAGCUACUACUUUGGAGAAUUACUUAACCCAAGUUAGAGCCUGACUUUCCUAUAUCCCAGUCUAUAUCUCCUAGCCUAGCUAUCAAACGAAAACCAAUAUGGAUAUCAGCCUUUCCUUCCUCGAUAUCAGGUUUACUUACGGGGGUAUUAUAUACGCCUUUGCUGGCUAUCAGUAUCAGCCUAUACCUGGAAUAGAGAUUAUGGUAUUGAUUAUAUUAAGUACAACCCGAAAGGCAGGAAGUAAGAUGCGGCUUCCAAAUAUUGUCUGAGUUGAGACGAUGCUUCACCCAGACAGAAGUGUGCAAUCCCUAGUAGCUUAUUCUCUCUAUUCCAUUCUACUCGGCUUAAGCUUCCGUCCACCCAACAUCCGGAUUUCGAUCUUCCCUAUCUAAUGACAUUGAGACUGCUACUUAAGUAAGGUACCUCGGCUGUACAACUUGUAACUCUCUUAUCCCGCCUUUGACUUAAUACUUGUUCUGUUAUUGGCCUGACUUAUAGCACUUUGAAAUCCUACUAAGUCUCAUGAGUUCCGGAAGGCUAAGGGAUCAUCGUGUCUAUCCAUGAGGCUGAUGACUGAUGUCUGGUGGCCUGGAUCACUCUGUAUUGCUAUCCGACACAUCCCCUUUUCUUUGGGACAUGGGAAGAGCAUUGCAAAGUCCCAGAUCUCUUUCGCCUGCCUUGAAGCACGAGACCGCUAAGGAAUAAGUUGGAAUUCGGCAGUCCUGCUCUUUUCUCUUUCAGUUGCAGCAGAGGGGAAGGUUUCAUUGUUUAAGGUCUUCUAUUUUCUCACUUAAGCUGGACUUCUCUUUGCUUUUUCUUAGCCCGAGUCAGGCCGACUUAAAUAAAGAUAACUGGGUGCCAAGCCUUUAUCUUAUAUGAAACCAUUUCUUUCUAUCUGGGAAUCAUAACCUACUUUAUACCAAAGAAAGGGUUGAGACUUUCCUUCUUAUCCUAGUUAUUGGCACGAGUAUCGAUAACCUAUUUAGUAAGGAGCAAUAGACGGAAUUCGACCUAGAACCGUUAGGCUAGGCUCAUUAGAGUAGACGCAAUUAGUCUGGUAUGGCUUAAUGAAUGGUUUCAUCAGUGGAUUUUUGGCGAUAGCUUGCCUUUGCUGCUUUCAAGGCUUUCCUUGGGGGUGAGUUUUCAAAUGCUUUUUUAUUGAGUCAGCUGUUGCCCUUUCUUUUUGCUUCGACAAUAGAUCCAAAUCGAGGCAACAAAGCCACCCUACUUAGAUCCACGGAAAGCUUAUUGGAUUCUGGGGCGCCACAAGACGAAUUUGUCGUACAAGGACAUUCGGCUUAUCAGAGGCAAUGGCCUUCGCCUACGUCAAAGACAGCUGAUUGAUUCGUCCUACUAACAUGUCUUCCGCUGGGAUUGGGUGUCUGGUGGUAUCUUCUGCCAGAACCAAAGGAUUGUUGCUUACCUGAGUGCGCUAGUGCAAUUAAGGAAGCCGCACAAUGCCAAAUGAGGUAUCUGGGCUUCCUCAUCCAAAUCUGAUCCAUUAUCAAGUUAUGGACACGUUCACGAAACCAGAAGUCUUUCGAUCCCUUGCUGUCAAUGCCAAUGCGUGUGCUUAAGAGCUGGUGGCAACCGCACCUAAACUGAAAGAAAAAAGAACUAACUGCCCCGAUAUAUGUGAUUAAAGCUAUGCUACGGUUGGUUACUUAACUUGGCUUUGGGUUGGGGUGCAAGUGAAGUCUCCGAAAGAAGAAUAAGGAUCUGCAGAAGAAAAGUAUCCAAGAAAAUCCGCUGUAGAAAGAGAAGCUUCAGGUCGAGUGUUGUAUCCAGUAGCAAGUACGACAAGUCACUUAGCAACUACUACAAAAGAAAGUGGAGUCCUUAGUUGAGACUAGUUAGCGAGUUAAUCACCUUAGUUUAGACUAGUUAGCGAGUUAAUCAAAGUGCUAUAGGAGUUUCACAAGGGUAGGUGUAUCAAGUGGAAAGCGGAGUUUUUCAACCUGUUCUUAAUGCGGGUGAAGCUAAAGUCAGGAGUAAUAUGCUUUAGAGCUGCAAGUAAGGAGUUCCAGAAGCCACAAGCGUAGGCGAUUGGGGAACAUAUUAACAUUUACCGGAAAGGAAAGGAAGCAACGACGUUAGUUCGAGGUUAGAAAGUGAGUGGAAUAGCUUCUAUACUAUGCUUGUAGCUAUCUAUAUUCCAUUCUUAAAGCAACUCGGGGUGCCUCUGUCUCAGAGUAAGCAGUCAGGUGGUUACUAAAUUCGAUAAGUUGUUAUCUUACUUUACGCGCAGAAGAUGAGAUAGAGCUGUUGAGGAAGCCGAAUCGAAACAGUGCAAUCCAAUGAAAGGUGAAAGGUGAAUGCUUUAUAUAGAGACUAAACAAUCAGUGAGAAACGCCAAUCUUAAGCUAACGGGAGUUAACGACUUGACAAGGCGCUCUCUAGAUUCCAAAAGAAAGUGUUUGUUUACUCGGGGCUAACGGGAGCUCAAUCACUUUUUCAAUUCCAUGAUGACUUCUUGGAUUUUUCGGCAAAAGAACAAGUGGUGUCUUUGACAUUAGAUUCUAGACGAGAUUCAAAUAAAUGAUGAACUUUAAGUCGAGGUCAAUCAGUAUCAGGGAGUCUAGGUUCCUUGCGAGUGUUGAGCAUAGUUUCAUUGUUCAAGUUUAGUAUGGAAAGGGUGGGUAAUCAGAAUAACUUAUCUGUGCGAUGCAAGAGAGUCUACGAGAGAAUAACCUAGAUCUUAGGUAGUGAUAAAGUCAUAAGCAAUCGAUUAAACAAGUAGAGUUCGGACAGCCCACGUAACUGAGCCGUAUCUUAUAGCUUGAGAAGAGUCUAGGUUCUGGUCCGCAAAUAGAGUGAGUUCUUGUACGAGGUCUGGGCCCUUAUUGGUUGUUUGCUUGUGAGAAAGCUUAAGUAGGCUGUUGCUCCUUGUUCCGUAUGAGUUGCAGAUCAUAAGCCGCAGAAGAAUCCGUUUGGUAUCGACGUGUUGGCCCAAGUUCCAGUCCUGUUUUAAGCAGAAGUAACGGCCCAGAAAUUAGGAAGCAGUGGAGCAAGAAUAAGUGUGCUAACGAGAAGGGAUUGUUUCAAUUAAUGAUUUGUUGACCGCUCAAUUCCUUUUUGAUAUGGAAAAGAUUGAGCUUCCUUUACUGUCCUGUUUUCGUCUUCAAGUCGAUGUUAUUGGGGUGUUUCUUAGAGUAGAGUAUCGGGUGCUUGUCAAUCGGGAAAUAGAGGUGAUUGUGUUGGUCUCUAUAAGCUCCAUCUCUUUCUGAAUGGGAACUACGUGGUAACCUAACAGCUGACUCACUACUUUAAGCUUCUAGCUCCAGCUUUCGGCGAAAGGCGCUUCAACUGGAUUCGGGUGCUAGUGUUGUUGACGAGAAUGUACUGGUUGCGCUUCACCUUGAUUAUGACCUUAUUCCGCCAACCUUGAAUAAUUAGACGAGAUUCUGGUCUUCUGUUAGCGCCCCGAAAGCUCACAUUAUUAGAUGGCGAUGUAGCACUUUGGCUUCUGUACUGAAGGUGGAGUUCCUGUUCGAAAGUUGUCUACGAGUUAUGUUACUUGUGUUUGUCUGCGAGAGAGGUGAUUGUGUCGGUGAACAAGUAAGCUGUUCAGAAAGUAGAUUUCCAGUUCCGAGAUGUAGGCAUUCUUUCUGUCUAUGAAGGCGGAAGGCCUAAUUGAUUUAAUUGAAAGAUACAGAUAGAGCAGGUGAGGAAGCAGAAGCACUAACAACAGCAAAAGAAAGAUCUUUAUCUAAAGCCGAAGCCGACGAACAAAGGACUUGAAGUUGACUGUUACUAGAAGUUGCUGACGCCACGGAUUUGGGCUAUUUUAUCCAGGCUUCUGUAUCAAAGCCAGUCGACAACAUCAUAUGGCUAACUAACCUACAUCUAUAAGCCCUAGCUCAUUACCUCUUCUCCCGCUGAGAAAUCCCUAUUUUUCUCCAGACACUCACUCCUUUGUUCAAGCGUCAGGCGCGAAACUGUGUUCGGGUGCUGAAAGCCUUGAAGAAAAAGGGUUCUCUCACUUUAUCGGUACAUUACCUCUGUAACCCACGGUUCUUGCGAAAGCCCUGACAUGCCAUUGGUAGUGAGUUGGCCACACGCGAUGCUCUUAUGCUUUAGCCUAGUGUUACGCCCCCCCGAAACUCAAAUGGGCGAACCUUCCAUGUGGUCCCGGUACUCGGUAAAGAAUAUUAUGGAAUAGAAGCGAGUAAAGCCGCCUCGGAGACGAAAGACUAUCCGACACACAUAAUCAUUGUAUGUAGUAAUAGCCUUGGUAUGAGACGAGCAGAUGAUCCUUUAAACUGUCUUAUUAACGCAAUGAUAAUGACUAUCAGCUACGACACUGCCCCCUCUGAAUUCAAUGCUUACCCAAGCUCCUCCCCCAAUGAACUCCUGUUUCUAGAAAUAAGGGCGACAAUAAGACAAAUGGAAUCAACCACACCUUCGCAGUACACUUAGACCUCUUUCAUUGAAAAGGAGAAUCCGCUUAUACACUAAAAGUAGGGGCCCCCUACCGAAAGCAAGUGGGAUAAAGUGUUUCAAAGGUGGAAAAAGUCACUCAUUUCUCUGACUUACACUAAAAGCUAUACUUCUAACUAAUAGCUCAAAGGCACAUGGCGAUAGAUGCUUCUUGUCCUAUCUUUUUCAGUAAGGAAGAAAACACUUUGCAUGCCUUUCUGGACUGUGAGGUCGCUUUGGUAAUGUGAGCUGGCCUACUCCUUUAGUAUGGAGCCACGAGUAAUCAAUUGGAUUUUUAUUGGAAGUCUCUUUUUCUCAUUUGGAUGGUGGGCCUUAUAUAUGUGCUCGUUGUAUGUCUGUCUCAUCUGUUACGUUUCCUCAUUUUCUAUAAGAUCGUUGCUUUUUUAGGUGUGACGACAACUUUCUCUUCUUUUAUGAAAUAUGUCUCUUCGGGGGGCCGCAUGAAAAUGGAAAUACUGAGUCCUUUUGAAAUAGGCUGUAGUAUUGAGUCGGAUAGGAAGUAUUGAGUCGGAUAGGAAGUAUUGAGUCGGAAUCCAGCUCAGAGUCAAUUAAUACUUUUCGUAAUGUUAUUAUGGCAGAUAACGAGGCGGAGUUAUAUAGAAUAAGAAGGAUCAGAAGAUAUCUAGAAGAAUAGAAGGAUCAGAUAUCUAGAGCGGCAGGACUACUAGAACGUGUCCCCCCAGAAGAAUAAUGGUUCUUAUUCCAGACUUUUGAUAGAGCACUUCGAUCAAGCUCUGAAUGUCGACCAUUAUCGCUUUUCUAUGGGAUAUCUAAGUCGACCAUUAUCGCUUUUCUAUGGGAUAUCUAAUAUAUGGAAUUCCCCUUUUUAGAGAAGAAGGCAAUGUAGCAGGACCGGCUCCAAAAUCUCAUGAUCAAUUCCAAUCAUAUUCAUCGAAUUAUGAAACUGGGCCCUUAUACCGAUGUCAGAAAGGAAGCUACCAACUAGAUGAAGUCGAAGAAAGGAAGCUACCAACUAGAUGAAGUCGAAGGUAGAGCCAGUGAGCAGCCUAAGCCAUGCUUUUCAGCGACAUAUCAUAGAGGGCAGUCUCAAUUCCUUUAUUAACCAACUGCCUGAAGACGAGACACAAGCGAUACAAUCUAUAUUCUAUCGUUCAUUCUACCGAGAUUUUGAACUACGAGGAUUUCCGCCGCUCCUUGGGCUUGCCGCUCCCCUAUUUUCGGUGGAACUACGUCUGACCUGAUCCCUAUAAAAAGCGGGGGGGAAAUACAGACACUUUUGAAAACCUCAUUCCAUUCAUUUCUAGGCGGGGCCGGAUGGUUGUUUGAUUCUACAAAUAGUUAGUUUAAGUGAGUUGGAUGACAUAAAUAGAUAGUUUAAGUGAGUUGGAUGACAUAAUGGAUUACCUUCUACGGGAAUCUUCCUCUUUUUCCCUAGUCCCAAUCUAUUAGUGGUUAUUAAUCUCAUUCUUUUGUGGCAGUUUGACUUUCUUUUGCUGUCGUGCCAGGCGCUUUUCUGGGUUCUACUUUCUUUCUCUGGGAUUUGGAUUCUAUCUAGCCAGAGUCCGUUUCCGUUGUUGACUAUACAAUCAAUAUCAGUAGAACACUUUUGACCAGUAUUUGUUUGCUCUUCAAUGUACAAAAAAGGAUAGGAGAUCAUUUCGAAUAAAUAAAGUCAAGGUUCGAAAGCUAGUAGGGAAAAGCCAGUUGUUUUUUCCUUGCUAAAAAGAAAAGAGUGGUGCUUCUAUUCUAAUGGAGCUAAUAAGCGCUCUGACUAUAUAAUUGACAACCUAUACUAUACACGUGCAGGGGUUUCUCACAUCUACCAGACUAGAUAAAGAUCCCUUAUUCUAUCGAGCUAGCCUACAAAAUAUGGCAUACUCCUAGAAUUCAGAAAGACUACUAGAAAUAUUCGAAUUCAUAAAUACCACUAGAAAUCUUAUUAAUACAUUCAUUAUAUAUAGAUGUAUAGGACACCUAUCCACAUUAGACCACUGGAAAUCAGAUUAAUACAUUAUAUAUAGAAAUAUAGGACACCUAUCCGGGAUUUGCUUUCAAGUAUUUGACUAACAUUCUAAUCGUGGGGGUUGGAAGUGCAGAAUACCAUUGGAUUGUGUUUUUUGCUUUGGCAGAAUACUCUCAUAGGCUUGCUUGCCCAUCUGGAACUCCUUUCUUGUAGUUUCUUUUUACCUCGUCCCAUCCCGGGGUACUAACUCUGUAGAAUUGAAUCCCUCUUCGAGCCUGUUCCAUUGGGGUACAAAGUUCGCCUACACAUUUCGAUUGAGAAAAUGGGUAAGCGCAUCCUCCUCCUUUUGCCUGCCGCCCGGCGCCCCAAAGAGGAUAGGAUACAACUAAGCGCUCAGGACGAAGACUUAUUCCAACAAUACCGCGACACAACAGCAGUUCCAGCAGUCCAAUAGUAUGAUGUUUACUCCCGAAAAGGGGAUAGUUUCAAUAGUCGUUAGUUUUCCACGUGAUUCGAAAUAGUAGGGUGAGCGAAUCCAACUCCUAUCUCGUUACGCUGAGAGCUCCAGCUGGGUUAUAGAAAGGCCGGGAUAAGACCUUUCAAUGGAAGGCCAUUUUCCGCCAGGCAGCACUAUAGAGAGACCUUUACAGAUCUUCUCAAGCAAGCAAAGCAGUAGAAUGAUUAUGAGAUAACUCUCCCUUAGGCAGGAAUGGAAUUGAUAUGCUAUUGAGAAAGAAAUCAGACUCCUCCCACCAUGCAGCGUGUAGGCGCAUUCUAUGAUGUUAGAAGGCUAUCGGCCCGGGCACUUGGAGUACGGCACUGGGUAAAUAGCUAUGUAAACGGAGCUCUGUCACAGAUAGAGCGGGGACUUCCUUAGUGAGUGGUACAUGAAGCCCAUGUCAAGAAAAGCUUCAAAGUACUGAUUGCAAUGUAAUAGCUUCAAAGUACUGAUUGCAAUGUAAUAUAGUAUAGCCCAGCCCCUUCGGUUGUAGGAAAGGAAUCCGGGUCCAUUCCGGAAUGAUGAAGACCGAUAGAAUAGAAUACCCCAAGCCACUUUAGGAUUUACCCUACAUAUACUCGGGACCAACAUAUCAAACUAUAUUUACCUUUCCUCUUUCUAUUUUACAGGUCAGGCAAUAAGAGAAAGUAUAGAUCGGCUCAUUCAUUACAGUAAGGGUUCCGGGAAGUCAAUAAUUGAUUAGUAUUGGUGAGUCAGGGUUCCGGGAAGUCAAUAAUUGAUUAGUAUUAUCAACAAUGGGUGACCUUUUACCCCAAAUUACUUCUAUGGGCGCAGGGGUUGUCAAUUCUCUUGUGGAUAACGGAUCAUUAAUGUCAUUAAGGGGUCAAGGGACAGAAAGAAUGUCUACGACGAACAAAAGACUUGAGGAACAGCUCACUCCUAACUUGACUCACUGAAUGGAAUAUCUCUAUAAUGACCCUAUUAUAUACAUACUACUCCCUUCUUCUGUAUCUGUAUAAGAUUAUACAAGUACUAUUUCAUCUGAUCCAACAGAUCUUGCUUCAGCAGAUUCUCUGGAUUGUAAUCCUUAUUCCGCUCUUUCUUCUUUUCUUCCUCUAACUGUGCUCGCCUUUCCUUUAGUACCCUUCGAGUGAGCGCUCUCUUAUACGUUGCUAGUUGGGUUCCCCGAGAAACUCCCUUCUUUCUACGUGACGAGCUUCUUUCUUCCCCUAAGCUUCCAGACAAAUCUUUGCUUGUUCCUUGGUUGUUGAAUGAAAUAAUCAAUCAAUAAAUACAGUAGCGCACAUAGUAUAGAGGUAAAGUCAACUCACUGCUUCCCUUCCGCCAUGACUUCAUUAAGCGAUUGUCACCGCGAGUUUCUUCUUUCAAAUUAUAUAGCUUGUUGCAAUUGAUAUAAUGAAAAUAGGAUAGCGGACUCCUUAUCGUAUAGCUUACUCCUUAUAUAGUAAUCGGACUCAAUAAUAUCAUUUUGGCGGCAGGAAUCCUAAUUAUAGGACAGAGACAGCUUAGUUCUAUUAUAGGACAGAGUCUAAAGCGGGAGAAUAUGCGGGUCAAUAAUCUGGAUAAGAAUAUGGAUCAGGUACAGGAUUUGCAGCGAUAUAAGUUCUUGGCUAACCGAGUGGAGUUGUGGCUUUAUUAAUUAAUACAGACCUUCUCUUUGGUUGGUAACGUCAACAUCUUGUUCCGAGAAACUCCGUAAGCGCUUUCACUCGCAAACGUUUAGCUCAUCUCCUAACGCUCCCAAUUCAGAGUUGCUUGUUUCUCUUUCAACAAAUUAAGGAACUGCCAAGCUACUACUAAACCACAGGUAUUCUCACUUUACCGGCAACAAAGCAGCUUCUCGCAACAGCUUCUUACAUGGAUUUACUUACCGCUUCAGAAGGCCAUAAUCAAAGGCAAGGCAAUCAGGCUUCAUUCUCGUUCAACAACCCAACCUUGAGUUGAAUACUUUCAUUGCAUAAUUUAGAGCCCAGAGCCCUUACAGUAUUUUUUCUAAAUCUCUAUCAUACCCGGGCGGGUAACAAGAAUGAAUCAGUUUCUUCCUCUCCAGCUUCUGGUAAAUAGGAAUAUGCUUCCCUGUCUUUUGAGUCUAAUACUCCACUUCACUUGUUCUUGCUCUAGUACUGUGACUGAUGUAUCUGCUCUAACUGCUUCCUUUGGCACUACUUACUGACUUUCUACAACAGAACUACUCCCUCCUUACUUUAUCCUGAAUAUCUCUGCUAAGGACAGCACAGCUUCUAGACGAGAGUAAAGGACAGCACAGCUUCUAGAUACGAUGACACUCGAACAGACAGAUAAUCCGGACACAGCGCUGAAGAAUCCCCUAAUCAAAACACAGUACAAUAAACAAGUGAGUAGUUACCAACGAGAGGAAGAGGUCAAGAGAAGAAAAGUCAUUUCGUAUGAAUACCUAUAGAUGCAUUAAUUUACCUCUAGGGUAGAAAGGUAAACCGCCCACAGCUCCUACAGCUACCUAACCUCUGAAGCCCCCCCGAACGUGGUGGUCGAAGACAUAUUCUUUUUGGAAGAAAAGUUCUAUUCUCAAAGGAUUGUAAGGUGAUUCAAACAACCCUCUUCCGCUUUGACUUUCGCCCUUUCUUUUGUCCAUCAAGGUAGGAAGCCCCUGAAAUGCUUCUGAUUCUCAAAUGUAGUUCCUAGGUUUCUUCUUUUUCGUAGCAUCAGAACCUAACCUAAGGAGCUCUGGGCGCAGUCAGUCUGCGACGCUUCUUCUUUAUUUGAUAGGCUUCCCUCUAAGGCCCCUCUCUUUUCCCCUUUUCGAAUGUGGAGGCUCAGGCCCCGUGCCCUACACAAUACCGACAUCAGCCGUCUCAAAGCGCUUACCAGCAAUCAACGAUUAGUUUCAGUGAAAAAGGCUUUGUCUCCCUCUUUACCGAAAGAACCUGUUCGAAAAGAGCUUACCCCAACCUAACAUUCUUCCCUAGUUUGCAGGGAGCUAGGACAAACUAUGGAAUCGGCCAUAGUGGAGCGCUUCUUCAGUCUGAUAUUGCCGAUAUUCAAGGGAAUACUAUAUAUAGUGGUGUAUCUGGUGAAUUCUAUAGAAUUGAGAAUAGCUCCAAUAAGAUUUAAAGAACCCUUACCCACCUGCUAUGUUAAGACAUUGAAGUCAUAGCAUUGGCAGUAAUGCAACUGUUAAUGAUGUAGUUUACACUACUUGGUUUGAGUCUUGUAAGUUGACUAUAGGUUAUGUCAUGAAAAUAGCUACAGGAGGGGUUUCCUAUACAAUUGGUAAUGCCAUUUCUGUAAAUGAUGAUUGCGGUAAUGCUUUCCUAACACGGGUGUGUAAAGCAGGCUCAAGCUGCCCUGAUCUGAUUCGCAAACAAGCCCUUCGAAGUGUGUUGGAGGGGAAGUGCUCUUGUAGGGUCAUUACUAAACCAAAGCAUUAUAUGAGGAAGUCGUUUUGUCUACCUUAAGACACAUUGAAGCAUCACUUAUGCGAAAGGAUUAUAUGCUCAGGGUCUUGCUUUGAGUGAAAAGUAUACAUUAUUACGUAAAUGCCCUUAUUAUGGAACAGCGAUUCGAAAUGUUCGGAAUGUGAAUCAUAAACCCCAAAACAUUCCAAGGAAUCUCCUAAAGAAAGGCCCUAUGAGAAAGAAAGGAAAAAGAAGUUCAAAACUAGUGUUAUAUGACAAAACCCAGAGAAAAGGAAAAGCUCCCCUUUAUGAAGGAAUCCCCAAGCCGAGUCUGGUCACCCAAAAGUAUGUCCGGCAGAUUAAAGGGAAAGGAGUUGGUUGCCUACUCUGUACCUCCAAUCCAAAUAAAGCUGACUCUAUAUCAGCCUAAGUCGAGAAUGACGAUGCGACGGCUUUCAAAAGGAUAAUGCAAAACGCAUAUUUUCCCAUGCCUUAAGGGCUGGACUAGAACUGCCCAAUCACCGUCCCUGAACAGGCAGACAUGACGGACAAUCUCAAUUCUUACCAAAUACGUCUGGGUCACACUCUCGAGAUCUGCUCAACUUGGAAGUCGUGGAUCCAGAACUCAAUCAAUCAGGGAAAGAUUGUCUUUGCUCAAAAUUGAUACAAGGAUCCUUCACGAACAGGACCCAGCACCUGUAACAUAGUAGGCUUAGGGAGCAACUCAGAUUCUGAGCUUACCUUACAACAAUAAGAAUCAGAGCAUAAGGUGGUACCGCGGGAGUGAAGGUGAGGAAUACUGAUCAGAAUAAUCCGCUUUUAGGUAUCCAAAGUACCCAGUUGCCAGUCCGACAAGUAACUACUUAGCUACUAGGCAAGUCAACUACUAACCAAGUCCCGUUUUUGGGAGCCUGUUGAAAGAAAAAGGGCCCAAUUGUUUUGGACCGAAGGAAGCGGUGGCAGAUUACCAUAUGAGAGAGAGGGGGCAUUUCCUUGGGUUCUAAUUCCGGAGUGAUGUGGACUGGGCCUCGCAUCAUUGACAUGCCUGACAAAAGACAAAAUGAUUUCUUACAUUGUAGCUCUUUCUUGUUGUAUUGGCUCAGAAAGACAGACCAGAUUGAAUAUUCUCUUUGCGUACAGAAACAGUCAUUCCAGUCCCGACGCCUACUCAUGGAUCGUAAAAGAUCGCUUCAGUUAGAAAGUCCCUUCUUUCUAUGCGCCAGAAUCGGAUUGGAGGCAAUUCAAAGGCUAUGGAGAACAAGAUCCAGAGAUUAGAUGUCAUGAGCUUGUUCGGAUGAGCAAGAUAUGCAGAAGAUGUGAAAGCGAACAAAAUGGCCGAGACUCCUUAUUAUACUUAUCUCCUUAAAGAUAGGGAGAGAAUUUGCUUGCUAAGUAGAGUGACUUCAGGGAGAACUACUGGAUCUUAACGCUCUUAGCACCCGAACACAGGACUUGCUCAUAACAGGAGCAGCCCUGCCGCGCUUUAACUCACUUUAGCUCUUUUAGCUCGCUACCUCUUUAACUCGCUGCCGUUUAGCUCACUUCCUACCGCCCAAAAAACAUCUAUUGUAAGAAAAAGAGUGGAGCGGCCCCAAAAGCAUCUAUUGUAAUAACUUGUCAUAUCUAUUACCUUGGCUACCGCACUUAGUCUUGCGCCUAAGCUUGGUCGUUAGUAGUUGCUUGGCCUAUUACUGUUGCUGCCGCUGAAAACAUAGAUUGUAAUAACUUUGUUAUGACUAUUACUGGCUACCGCGUCACAUUAGCAGUGCCUUGGUGGCUUUCGCCGUUGCCCAAAAGCUCCUGCCGCGGCACAUUAGUAGUGCCUUGGCCCGUGGCUUGGUCAUUAGUAGUUGCUUGGCGGUCGGCUUGGUCGUUAGUAGUUACUUGCCUAGUUGCUUGGCGGUUUAGUAUACUGUAGCUACUAAGUUAGGUUGGGUUGGUGGAAAGGUUCAGUAGGCUGUUGCUACUCUCCUAGUCUCCGAGAUAGGUUAUUGGCUGAGCGGUCAGUUCAGUUGUCUUAGAGGGAAAUAAUGUCAGCUCCAUUCCACAAGCGAGUUCCUUGACCCGAAGGUAGUAGCAGUAGCCUUCGUAAGACAGAAUAGAGUUUUUAGUGUGAGAAGAUCUUAUUGCAGGAAAAGAUUUGUGUCUGGAAGAUUGCCCCAACUCACUACUGCAGUUACUAGUUCUUGUUCCAUUGCUUAGUCUCUCUAUCUCUAGUCAUUUAGCUUUCAUGCACACAUUAUAGAAGUCAGUCACCGGUUACCAAACCCAUUACUGUUACUGCUUGUUGGAACGCAGCUGCUUGUUUCUUUCACUAUACCACUUAUUUGCUUUAACCGAGAAAUAAGCUCAGUAUUAGCAAGAGCCGAGUCAAGUGAGUAAGUUGCAAGAUCCGUUCUUUGCUACGAGGUUCUUUAUGGAGCGGGAACGAAAGAAUACUUUCUAUCAGUAGGUGCGCAAAGUACCAUAUGAUUUAUUGGAUUUCCUGGUAGUUUAGUUCCUGUUCUUUAUCGCUCAGUAGGUAGAGUGGAAUCGUACUAUUACAAAGAAUCAUAGGCUACACAGCAUAAUAAGGAUCAAUAUCCGGAUCAGAGGCUGGGCGGGUAAAGUCUUGUUCAGAGAAAGAAUCAAAUACGGGUGCGCGAACGAGUGUAGUUUCUGUUCUCAAGUCAUCCGUGUUUCAGAGCAACCUCCGCCUCCAUUCGAACUUGAUAGUUGAACGCGCUAGAUUCAAUUCCGUCUUAUUGGCAAGGGUAUAAGUGGUAUAUCGAAUGCAAGGUAAGAAUUUUCUAGGUAUGAUAGAUAUUGGCAAGUAGAGGAGAUAAGUAUCGAGUUUACAGUGAAGUCGACAAGUUCCCGAGUUUACAGUGAAGUCGACAAGUUCCCUUCGAUUCUUGUAUAGGGCGGGGCAGAGUCCUUUCGUGUUGCGCGCGGGAGGGAAGUGUAGUUCAAUGGAGUUCUCGUUGUUCUAUUCAAUACAAAAUAGGAGUUCUGGAGGAAGAGAGUUCAUCUGUCUUUAGUGAAGUAGGUCUUCCAAGCGAAUGAGGAAGAGAGUUCAUCUGUCUUUAGUGAAGUAGGUCUUCCAAGCUCAAGGAGUCGCAAUUCUAUCUAUAUGGUGUAUAGCUCAAUUCCAUUCUAUUCUGUUUUGUCACUCCACCCUUGAUUCUUAUUAAUUUCAUCUGAAGGACAUAUGAGAGAUACCCACAGAGCUGUAUUAGUUAGUAGAGUAUGGUAUGAGUGCUCUCUCUUUAUGUGAAGCUAUUCUUCCUCAAUAUCUUUCUCAGGCUCUGUUAUACCUGAUUCUAUUUUCAUAUAGGAGAGAAGACAGACGCUAUCUCUUUCUUCUCUUCUAUUCUCUAGGUAAUUCCUCACAGCCAACAGCAAACCAAUAGGGGUCGAUUAGCUUGUUUUUUUGUGAUCACAAGCGAUCGAGCAUUUACUGGAUCUUGCUGCAGCAGGAGCAAGGGAACUCCCCUGGUUAUGGAAACCAAUGACUCCCGGCGUAUUAAAGCUAUACGAGAACCACGCUAUUGAAAGAAGAAUCUCAUGCCCUUCUUUGGCUGUUAGCAAGUCAAUUCCUUCCCGAAGCUGAUUGAAGGCAAGACAAUGCUUUAGGUAUUCAAUGACCUUUACUGGCAUUACACACCAUCCCCAGUUUUGGGCCCUUAUCGGUGGUCUGGUCGAAACCCCCAUGCCAUAGACCUUUCUCCCCUUUUCGUAGGGACAAUCGGGUACUAUUCGUUCUUCCGGGCCACCCUUUGCACUUACCCAACAUUUCAUGAUUUGCUAUUGUGUAGAGAAGGGGGUAUAUCCUGGAGUCAACUUUGAUCGUUACGCCGUCCUAGGUAACGACGUGGUCAUCGCUGAUAGCCAAUUCGCCCUGGCCUAUCUGGACAUAGUGGAAGAGUUGGAGGUUCUUCUUUCCAAGCAUAAAUCCAUUAUCUCCGAAAAGAGAAGUACCCUGCAACCCUUAGAGAGGACUGUUCUGCGAUGAUGUGUCGGUCAGUGAUAGGACUGUUCUGUGAUCAUGUGUCGGUCAGUGGCUUCACUUGGUGCAGUAGUAGCAUGUCCGGUCUAAUGAUCCCAGAGUCAAUAAUCAAAGAAAGCCUUCUUGAGGCUCAGAACGAAAGAUGGAGGGCUAAGUCGACCGAUCAUAACUGCCUUCCCAUGGCUUUGAAUACUAUGGUACCUAUAAGAUGGGGGGCUCCAGGAGUAGAGUAACCCAGAUCCUACUGAAACUUCUGGGUGCCUAAAACCUAGGCUAACUUAUUGGAAGACAGACUACUUCUUGAAUGCGAAAAUGGAAUGAAUGCACUAACUAAACUUAAGAGAUUCUGGUAAUAGCUUUCAUUAGCGCUUUUCAAUAAUAUUGGAAAUUGCCCGUCCUUCGUGACUAAAACUUUACCUCCGUAACAAGGCACCGUCCCCCGGUCCAAGCAAGCGCUGUGAUUUUACCAGCCAAAUGGAGUUUAGCCAAAUAAGAAAGAAAGAGAAGUGGAUUUUCUUCCUCGAACCCUUUUAGCUUUCUGCGGCCCUUCACUGCAGGACAAACAAGAGAUGAGAAUAGAAAGAUGAUAGAGAAACUAUUCUAGGCUAGUCCGGGAAAGAAGAUAAUAAACUCCUUAUCAAACACACUUGGGUAAGGCUCCAUUUAGCAGGACGCUUGUUAUAAGAUAAGGCCCACUGGGGGAAUACUCGCUCCAAGAGAGGCAGAUAGGUUCUCGCCAUAUUUAUCCACCAGCAGAUAGGUUCUCGCCAUAUAUUUAUCCACCAUAGGUAAAGACAAGAAAGAAGGAUUGUAGGAAUUCCAACACAGCCUUGGACCUCACCAAAGGUGCCAACUGCUGUAAUAUAGAGGAGCUCGCUUUAUCGUUGUAAACUUGUUGGCUAAGGCCACUCAAUUAUUCAUUAAUUAAAGAAUCCAUGUAUGCACUUCGCCUCGUCUAACGGACAUUAUCAUCAAAAGAAAGCCUUUCCAUAGCCGAAGGAUUGAUCUACAUAAUGGAUGUCUUAAAAGAGCUCGCUAACGCUUGAAACUCUCCUAACCGUUAGCGCUACAUUCCAUUUCAAUAUAACUUAUGCACAUAUAAGAGAGGAAUAUCUGAUAUUGAAUCUCACUGGCAUAGUAUAGAUUGGAGUAACCUAAACCACCUUCAUUUCUUUCUCAAAAUGGAAUAAAGUGCACAUAGCAUAUAAAAGAUAGUAAAGUAACCUCCCGAAAUCUAAGAAAGGAAUUUAGGCAUGGGAACCCAUAUUUUCUCACUUAUAUUUAGUAUUUUGAACUCUUUUGCUUGCUUGUCCAGCUCUAUCUUCUGUCCCCUUACUUUUCUUUAGGGUAAAGGAUAAGAUAAGAUCUAUUCUUACUAGAGCUAACAAAGAACGACUCUAAAGCAUACACUAUUUGGGAGCUGCUUCACCUUUAUGGCCUUACCCCUAUACUUUCAGGCAGAACCUAGGGAAAGCGGGAGUCAAUCACUAGAAUCCAAGGCAGAAUCUUUGGAUAUCGGGAAUCAAUCACUAGAAUCCAAGGCAGAACCCAGGGAGAGAGUCAAUCACUAUAAGCCUGAGCUAUAAGAGACUAUAGUAAGACGGUUAUAACAUACAAUAGCUCCUGCCGCCGACGAAAGAAGAAAUUGUAAUAGGAAAGGGCCAAGCGUAUACUACAGACCGCCAAGUAACUACUAAUGUGUAGCGGCAGGGCUGCUCUUCUCCCUCUUACCCCUCGCCCAGUUGCCGUGGCCUGGAUGAAUAAUUGGUUCCAGAGCUAAGUAAGAGAAUUGAAACUAAGAAAGAAGAGAAGUGACACGAAACUCACUCUCUCUCUUAUAAGAAUCUCAUUGGCACUGUCGAAAGAUAGUAGGUAGGGUUCUUUUUCUAUUUCUAUUAAUACAAGCAAGCAAUAUAGUGGGGAGAGUCGUUCUGUUCUUCUCAAUAUAGUAGAGAGAGUCGUUCUUCUUCUGAUAUUCUUACAAGAGAGUUUCCUCAGCGCCACUACCAUAUAGAACUUUUGAAUUGAGGUAGCGGGAUGCCCAGCCUGACUUAUGAUAAUGACCUAGACCAUACUACCAUAACAUAAGUAUAUGAACUAGAUGCACUGGAUCAAUACCGUCCCAUAUGCGCCUAAUUCUCUCAUUCAUAAUAGCAGUACCAUCCUGGUUUCAACUACAUUUCUUCUUCGGGCGACAGGUCUUUCGUUUUGGUCGAAAGAACGGUCUGGUCGGUCGUCCACACACUCGUUCUUAGAACUACGGGAGUUAGUCUCCGGGAUCAUAUCUCACAUUCAUUCCUUUAGUUACAUAACAACCAAAAGUCUGUGGAUGGCUUCUUCUUCUAGGGGCUAAGCGCAUUCAUCGGUCAAGUCAACAUCGUUCAUUCAUAGUGAGGUGGGCGAUGAAGAAUAACAAAGGCGUCUCUCCGAACUGAGUCUUCACUUCUUGUAAAAUAGGCUCAGUCUGGAAUAGCACUCAAUUAGUCUGUGGGCGGACUCUAGGGCCAACUCGGUCAGUCAACGCACGGUCGUUCGUGCAUCAAGGUCCCGUCCCUUGCACCACACUCUUUAGGCCCUCAGGUACUCCAGUCUCAUUUCGUACCGUCUGCAUCUUAUUGCCCUGUGAGUUUUCUCUGCAUCUUAUUGCCCUGUUUUCAUAGUAGUUUGCUUUUCUUAUCUAUAUUUUCAUAGCAGGUUUGGUUUGCUUCGAUUAUCUAAUAUAGAUUAGACUUGGUUAAAAUAAAAGCGUACCGUACUGUCCAGCAGAAUCGUCAACUUUCUUUCCCGAGUUGGCUUCUUCGUAUGAGCCCUAGCAGCAUCUAUUCCUUACUCCGUUUUCUUUUCUGCUUUCAAGCCAUCGUAGUGAGCGGUGACUACAUAGGUUGGCUCUGGUUUCGUUUGAUUUCUUCCGUGUUCUAUGAGCCGACAGCAAGCAGGACUGCGAAAGAUUAGUGAAGUUGUUGAAUGUCACCAGCACAGAUCCUCCCAAGCAUGAAAAAUGAGGAAAUAAGCAAGCUACUCGUUCCUCGGAUCAGGAGUUUUGCCUUUACCCUAUGGUUAUUCCUCGAUCGUUCAUGGGAAACUAUCGUCUGGUGGCGACUAAACCUCUGUCAUUGACAUGACCUUUGCUUUAUCAUAUACUACCUGGUCCCUUCGAAAACUAUCUGUCUCGUCUCUUAUCCCCUUUACUAAUGUUCAAUCUAAAUCCCGUGACUUGCUUUCUUUCAUUGGACUGGGCAUCCCGGAUCUCCUUUCUUUCUUCGGUGCUGACAAACAACUAUACGGUCAAUCAAUCUCCCCACUCAAUUAAUAUCCAUCAGCAUAUAGGUCUUGUUUUCUUUUCUUUCUCUCAUGAGUCUUUCUUACUGUCUAAAGGAAUGUUACGUACGCUUUCUCGAAGGCUCAUCUUGUAUACCAGUGCCAAUUCGGUUAGAGAUGUUUGUCCCGAUUGCCCAUACUGGAAUCUACUAAUGAGACAAUUGUCAUUGCCUUUGGAUUUGGCACCUACUAGCAUUGGUCCAGCAGUGCCUUUGUUCUUGCCAUGAGUGAUCUUCAUUCGAUCAAAUAGCUCGAGUCAUCUGUUAGGUGGGCCAACCGACCGAGUUGGGCGGGGCAGCGUCCAUGUAACAGAACCGUUAUUCUAGCCAAGAAGACCAUUAUUGAUCGAUCAUUGGCAAAUCACAAAAUCAAUCUCAAAACUCAGAAAAAACCCUCGCUAAGAGGAAGAGUCACUCAGACAAGAGCUAGGUAAGCAAGCAAGAAAAUCCGUAUAGGCUCGCUAAUUGGGAGGCAAGGAGCACUAUUAUCCAGGAUCUGUUAAGAUCAGCCUUGGUUCUUCUGGUCGGCUCGUAUUAGCCUGUGCUUUAUGACAGCCCCGUUGUUCCAUUCCUUUAGUCUAGUCUUUUCAACGGCUGAAGUCGCGGUCAUGUCUCGCCCCUAGUGACUGGUUCCAUGUUUUCCCCAAAUUCCAUCAGUUCCAGUCGUCUCGACACGAAAGCAAAGGAUCUGAGGGCAGCCACUAUUUCGACUUCUUUAUCAAGCAAGCAAUACCAUUUAUACUUCUUUUCAAGUGAGCAAUAGAGGAGGAUGUAGCCUGUUUAGUUUCAUUUAAUAAAGAGAGUUUCAUUUAAUAAGUCAUUUCUGGUUUCAUAUUUAUCCGCUGAAGCAAGGUGUGGUACAAGUCGAGUUGGGGUGCGACAGAAAGUUUCAUAUAGAUCCAAAUCAGAUGCUGUGCCAAGAAAGGAGACAUCGACAACAUAAGAUACUGGGGGUCAGGACCAGACAGACUGACUCAGUUGAAAUAGAAGAAUAGAAGAAGCUGCGGUGUCAAAGUAAGCAACUUGCAGGUCUGUUCGAGUGGAACUUACAUUAGAUAGAUAUUGGUAACCAAGGAUAGGAUAGGACACUCCUUCGCCCGAAAAGUAAGUCAAAGGAGAGUGUCGGGUGCACGGAUUUAUACUCUGCUAAGACAAGUUUACCGCUAACAGAGUUUCUGCUCAAUCCCAAUCGGGCAUACAGUUCUGAUUGAAUUAAUACUAGCUAGCUCUUAUUCUUUAUACUCCCAGUUGGGUCUUCAACUUUGGAUUAUUAUUAGUGAGGGGGUGGGGUCUCGUUUCAUUCCUCUACAGGCUGCCGCAUUCCUAUUCUUAUUGGUAGAUGUUUCAUUCUAAUAAGUAUUGGUAAGGUCUAUAGUUUGAAGAUAAUAAACAGAAUCAUAGGAUGGAGCUAGAGCUAGCUCAUGACCUAUCCUUUCAGACCCGCUUAUUCUUAUUUGACUCAUUUAUGUGACUCAUUUCGGGAGAUUGGAAUCGGUAAAGCAUUGCCUCUGAUACUUAUCUAUGGAAUUGGGCAAUACUCUUAAUAAGGGAGCGGGGGGGAUCUAAACUAUUCUGAUUAUUAGGAAUACCAGAGUUUCAGACCAGAGAAGUAGAUAGUUCUGAAUUCCACUCUUUCUUGCCAACCCAGUACAGUACGAGUAGGAAAUAGAGAGAAAAGCACCUGCUGCCCGGGGUAGUCAAUAGGCCAAGUCUCCAGUGUUUUAGAGUUAUGAGGUAGAUUAGAUUAUUGGCUAAAAUGCACCAGAGGGAUCGUUUCUUAGUUUCAAUGUACUAUUAGCCAUUAGCAGAGUUGACCUUAUGUUAAACGUAUAGAAAGAAGCCUUCUUGCCCAUUUGUAGUUACUUGUCUGGUAGUAGCUUGGCGGGUAUAGUAGCUUGAGUUAGAUGAGAUGGAGGCAAGAACAGAACAGAUAGAGGCGGACUGCUUUCCUGGCACCUACCUACUAGUGUCAAAAUACAGGUGACGAAUACAGCACUUGCUUAUCUUAAUAACUACUUCACUUGAGCAACUAGGAGCUGAGCUGAAUCUACUGUUCCAUAUUAUUAAUAUACGAGAACAUAUAGACUCGAACAGGCAAUAAGAGUUGACGAACACAGGACUCGGUAAGAACUUGUACAGACCCCCUGAGCUCCAAAAAACAGGACUUGCAGUAGUCGCCCUUACUUAUAUGAAAGCUGCUUGUCUGGCAUUGAAAGAGACUAUCCCAUACCGCAACACCUAUACCUAUUGCCAGAAUUCUUAAUUGAACUUAGUGAAUACCCGAUAGCCCUGCUUCAUCUCUUACAGCGGAUUCUGGAGCCUCUUCUCCGUGGGCAUUAGAAAUAGAUGCCUCACACACCGCUACGUGGGCAGUUUCUAUCUUUUUCUUGACUUUCAUAAUAGAAGUUAGUUAAUAAUAACAGAGAAUAUAGAAAUAAUAGAAUAUAAUGGAGAAUAGUUGAACAGAACCACUUUACGAUGAAACUAGAACAUCACUCAAAAGAGCGGGUAGGGCUUUAUACGCAGCACCCAUAAUAGGCACCCACAUCUAUUGCCUAGCCUAGCAUAUACAAGGAAUCCGUUCUUGUCUUAUUCUUAUUCAUAGACUUACUUGUUCCAUUCUGACAGUUUGAGUCUUCUAAGCUUGCCCUCUCAAGAUUCCUGUCCUGUUUGAGCCCCGGCAAAUGAUUCUUCCCAGGCUAAAAAGAGUCCUCCCUGACUAAAAGGAUUCUCUCUUUACUAAAAGGAGUCCUCCCUGUCUAAGUGCUGUGUGCAAUCCCUUUAUUUCAGUUAUGCGCUAAUAAAUCCUUCUUGUUGAAAUUCUGUUACUACGCAGUUUUGCUUGCGUUAGGUAAGUUUGAAGUGAGAAAUUCCAUUGAUGUUUGACUUGGCACAGUCGCAACAGUGUUUCAUGCUCUAACAGUCCUGUAGAAAGCUUGCAGUCCAGUGACAAAGUAGAAAGUGGCUUCCACCCUUAAACAAGACUGACUCUUAACACGUUAUAUAACAUAUUGAUGUUGCUACUGACGCCGAAAACAGAAGUGGGCUUGGCUCUUUGCCUUUGCCUAAUUCUUUGCACUUUCUUUGCCUUUGUAGUAGUUGGUAGUUGUGGCUGGGCUGUUGACUACUAGAGUUUCACUAGAGCUGCUCUUAUAGUAAGUUGUUUGUAUACUUAAGGGAGUUGCUAAGGUUAACUUGGCAGAUCAGAAGCUGUUUAAAGUAAGUCAUCAGCAAACGUUCAACGAGCCCAGAAUAAGCUUUAUCCUGAUUCAAAAGAAAAAAGGGAGACUAAGGGUGGAAAUGGAUUAAGGCAGGCCAGAUUCAUAAGAUAGAAAUUCUUAUAUGCUUGACUUGACAGUGAUGCGCAAGACUCAGUUAAGCGCUAAGUUGAGUUGUUGACUUUACUGGCGAAAAGGAGUAAGAUUGGUUGUCAACGAGAGAAUCCGCUGUUCGAAAGGAAGCUGCAAGACGCUCCUAAAGUAUAGAGUCAAGAAAAAGUCCUGUUUUCUGGUGUCAAAUUAAUGAGUUGGACUGUAGGAGAGUGGACAUAGUAGAUUCCACAAAAGAGGAGUUGACCCGCGAUGCUCAAAGGUAGACUUUCUUUGUUGACCGGGCAGUAACUAAAAUGAAGGGUGGGCUAUGUAUUGACUAUUUCUAUACCAACCGAUGUGCUCUUUACUUCAACUCAGACUUUCUAACUGAAACUAGCAAGUCAACACUUCAUUUAUGGAGAGCGCCAAUCCAAUAUCUCCCGUAAGCGCCGAGUACACUAAUACUUAUUCCCUUUCGAGCGCAUGUCUAUAUGUUAGUAAUCUGGCCUCCUUCUUGACCUCUAUGCGAUCAAAGCAACAAAGAAUUCAUUGAACUCUUUCACUUCCCUUGUUUUAAUAAGAUAGAUAAGAUUUAGAGGCUGUAGAGGCAGUAUCAGAGGCUAAAGAGCGAUAUCCAGCUUCUACUAUUUCCAUUCAUUAUUCUCUUUAUAAAGGAGAGUCAGCUGAUGGAGUCAAAACUACCACUGAACCACCCAUACAAGUAUGUAACCAAGCCCGACCCAACCCCCACUUCAAGUUCAGAAGAAGCCUACGAUGGGGCUGGAUCAGAUGAUGCAAUCGGUACCUAUUUCUUUGAUACCGGAAUUAGGCCUUGAUUCUUUAUAUCUUAUUGAUUAGUUAGUUCUUUAAAAACUGGGCUACGUUGCUUGGUUAGUAGUUACUGGGCCUGGUCUCUGUUUCUGUCCGGAAGGUAUUAGUAACUGACCUCAUUCUGUAAGGAAAGAGAACUGGGCUAGGGCAAGGUAGUGAACUCGUUAUCCGUGGCCAUUCGUACUCAUAAUAUUCUAAUGAGAAAAUCAAUGUCGAAACAACAUGUGCAGGGCAGGGCGAUCGGACGUGCAUGGUUCGUUCGUUCAUCUAUGGUUCCCGGGCAAACUACCUUGGACUUACUAGCUCGGUUCUUUAAGUACAAUAACUCAUUCAUUGAUUCUUCGGUCGACAUCCAUCCCCACAUGCAACAAUGGUCCCCGGGCAUAUAAAGUACCUCGGGAAUUCCUUCGUUCGUUCGUGCACCAAUGAAGGAUUGAAUGACAGCGGUGGUCGCUCGUGGGCUGAUGAUUGAACCUCCCGUGCGUUAUUGAAGACUUAGUUCCUGGCCGCUCGUGGACUGAUUGGUUCUACCUUUCAGAAUGAGGUUUCCUACUAGCAUUUAUUGUUGACCUACCUGUGAAUUAAUUACCUAGGGGCCGGACCACCAUGAACGAAGGUCCUACCAUGAUGCACGUACACGAUGGUGAUGGUGAUGGUGAACGAUCGCUCACUUAUUAAAGGUGGUCGCUCGUGGACUGAUGUGCUCCUCAAGGACUAUGUGUUUUUACCUUUCAUUUCAUAAUUAGUCCCUCGCCUAGGAGGUGUGAGCAAGCUUAUAUCCAAGGUCGGGCAAGUUUACGGACGAGGUCGUUCAAGCUUAUGGACUUCAAUCAAUCCCUGUUCGUUGUUGGUUGUUCGAUCAAUAUGUUCUCGUAUAGUAAAUAAAGUAAUAAGAAAAGAAAGAAAAGAAACACUCUAUGAGCGAGCAAAGGCUGCUUUGAUAUCUGUAGUGAAAGCCCUAUUCCGAUUAGUAAUCUCUAUGCCAAUUAGUCUAUUUGGGCAUGUUCCAAUCUAGUGGCGCAGUGCUCUAUCCGCCAAGUAAUGUAUAAUGUGUAGCGGCGUUAGUGACUUUCUUAUUGGAAGUAGCGAUAGUCCAUAUUUUCCACUUCGAUGUCUUAGAGCUAUGCCCGAUAUCCGGUAUUCUGUCUUUCAUUCCGGCUUUCCCUUAUUAGCAUCAGUAGGUAUUAGUAUUUGUAGGCUCCCCAGCCCGAUCAGUAUUAGGUAACUUAUGAGUUUGAUGCCCCAGUUCAAUUCUGUGACUUACUUGCUCGAUUCUUGUCAGCACUAGUCUCAUAUAUGGGUUGAAAAUGCACUAGAACAUCACUUUUGUAGUUUGAUGGCGGAUCCUUCAUUGAAACAUAUAAAUAUGAGAAAGAUAGAAUACCUAGCUCAUGAUUCUUUACCUAAGGUAACCUCCAAUGCCUUUCUCUUGCGCCUCUGAAACUCUCCCUAUCGGUAUGAAACAAGAACCAGAACUUUACUACCGGGAUUCCACUUCACGGGGCUCCUGCCGCAUCACCGAACACAUAGGGAGUCAGUAUAUGAAUAGGGUCAGAAUGGAACAAGCCAGGCUGGGUACUAAUGAGAAGGGCAAUAAUAAAUAAUUGCUAGCGCAUGAAGUAAUAGAAUGAAUAUUGUUAUAGAAUAGUUUGUAUAUGAAUUAGAAUAAGACAAGAUAGCAUUAGUUACUAAGAGGGAUAGAUCUAGCGCAUCUAGUAUAGGAGUCAAGAGUUCCGGUAUGAAAUACUAACUACAUAGGAGUCAAGAGUUCCGGUAUGAAAUACUAAAUACCAAGAGGAGAAUUCUGUACCGCCAAUUCCGUUUUAGGGGGCUCCGUUUCACAUGGGUCUGUAGAGGCUUGAAGCACCUUGCUUGUUCGAAAGCGCUUGCUAGUUCCCUUGCAUGGGGAGAUAUUCUUUAGUUGCAUCAUUUCCGUUACUUGGGGAGUUCCACUAUCUGCUCUCGGGGCGCUAACGGGCGAAGCCCUGCCCUUGUGCUUGUUGAAUGGAAUCUAGUGAACCAAACCAAAUAUAAUAGAAGAUAGUAACAACACCUUACUACUGACUCUUUCCUGACUCACUUACGGCUUUGCUUCUAAAACUCACGAUCGAACUCCACUCUACCACUUAUUGCCUUAUUGCCCGGUGCACCACGAAAGUAAUUUAUGACUUGUGAAUCUAGCAUAUCGAGAAGAACCCCGCUUUUCAAGGACAGAGGCAGAGGUCUCCUUUCGAAGUUUCUACUUGCUAAGUUGUGCAUGCAUUAGCUAGUUCCAUUUCCAGCCCCGAGUAGUGGUAAAAGUAGCAUAUGACAGAAUCUAGUAAACAAGCAGCUUCCCGUUCUUUAUUAUUCUAUUUCCUACUUUACUAGGUGUUCGAUAGACUCAAUGAAAAUCCAUUCCAAUAUCAGUUGAGUAAGCUGUUAGCUUUGGAGUAAAGGAAUACAGUACCAGUAGUGAGUAAGCUGCAGAAUGGACGGAUUUGAGGGCCCUUAGCACAAGGUGUCUUAGAGAGAGAGAAUCGUAAGUGACAAGAUCAUAUCUGCGGGAUCCUGAGUUGGCGCAAGGCAGGCAGCAGCAAAGCAAUAUAUAAGUCUCUUUUUGUUCCUUGAAAAAGGGAAUAGACAGACACUUGACAAACUCAAUAUUCUAUACCAGGUUAGCCGGAGGUAUUGAGAUAGAAUAGCGACCCUAUUGCUCUUAACCAACCCAUCCCUACUAAACAGGGCUUACUCAUAAGUUGACUACUGACUCCCUUCUUAUGGGCUUACUCAUAACUAGUAACUGACUUCAUAGCCUAGUAACAGAGGAAUUCCACAAGCCUACCCCUUAACUAGACACAUGGCAAAACAGGACCUGAACAAAACACAUGAUAGGCAAAACUAACCCAUAAUAGGCGCAACCACAUCUAUUCUAGCGACACCCCCACUAUUCAUUCCAAACACACUCUCGACUAAGAAUUCCACUGAAGCGACUACCUUCUUGCCCUCACUGGGUUGAUUCUUUAACUACUUAGGUCAGAGUUCACUUUCAUUCUCACUUUCCAACUAGCUCCUACUAGCUCCUACUAGCUCACCUCUGAGUACAAUUAUAUAACUUAGUUAACAAGGCUUAUACCCACUAGUUCCAUUCCGAUACUGAGAUUGACUGGUUUCACUCUUAGCCACGCCCCCGCUGGUUCAUUCUUAGUCAUAGGAGUUUCAUUCUGACCUUUGAGUUCACCCCGACCCGAGUGGAAUCAUAUAUAAAGAGAAGAUCUAAUUUAGUAUGAUUUCCUCUACUGUGUCGGUACUAGUGUCUUGGCCACCUGUUUUUCGGUUAAUUUAGCUCUUUCUACAGUGUUAAGUCCACUACCCUAGCCUCGUAUAGGAAUUCCAUAACUACCCUAACAAGCAAGUAAGUAAACGACACUACCCAAGUAAGUAAACCAGCCGACCCUACCCUCGUAUAGGAAUGCAACUCUUAAGUAGAAGCCUUAAAGCCAGGGCAGUGAGACUGAAAGCAAAAGGAUAGUGAUACUGAGAUGAAGUAGCGUAGCGGCAGGCUCGGAGAAGGGGGGCGAUAGACUGUAUUCCUAGUUGAGGGCUAUAAGUCCUGUUAGUCAAGGUUUCGUUCUUGUACUUCUUAUAGUAGUUUGAUCACUUUGGUAGUUAGUUAGGUCUAUUAGCGAACUAGUGGAUCCUUGCUCCUAUUAUUAGUUGUAAGGUUGGAAAGAGAAGAAGGGGAGGCACACAGGCUAGGAUAAAUCAAGGGAAGUCUAAAUAUGUUCCCCCGGGUUGCAAAUAUUGUUCAUAGUGGUUCGAUUCGUAUAGUUAUUAGUUGGAUUCUGAUUAUAAGUCAGUUAAGUCUAUUCCAGUAUGUGCUACAUCGUACCUAUGAGUUGUGGGAAUACCUAUUUGUGGUGUGUGUCGUCAGGUAGUAAGCCCUAGAUAAGGGAGAUAAAGAAAUGAAUAAGGGAGUUUCUGUUUUCAAGUAAGCAGUAGAAACCUAAGGCAUUAUAAUCAGAAUAAGUGAUGUGUUCGUACCUGGGUAAAGGAAUAGACACCACACUCUGGAUCAGAGGGAAUCCAAAUAAUAAGUCAAUAAUAAGUAAGGAUGCAUCACCAGAGGAACUCGAAUGGAAAGUGAGAAAGUAAGCCCGAGAGGCAGUAAUGCAAAGGUGUGAUAUCGGGUAGUGAAAGCCCAGUUUCAAGUUCCAGUAUUGCUAGCAGUGUUUUGAUUCUGUAUUAUUGGUUGGAUUCCCUGAGAGGGAGGUGUCCUAUAGUGAUAUAAAGUCAAGUACUACUGAUAGCUAGUGCAGUUUCGUAGGCAGUAAGCAAGGUUUGAGUUAAGUAGUUGCAGAGCCAAAAGAUAGAUCUAGGUUUAAAGCAAGUAAGGAGCCCUGCCCGAAGCAAGUAAGUAUCCAAAGCAGUAUUUAAGGAAUCCGAGUAAGGGAAGUCAUCCUAAAAGGCGAGUACAGUAAGUCAAGUCGUUAGGAAAAUCAGAAUCAAAGAAAGGGCCAAGCAAGUACUAUACUUAUGACUUGUCUCGGCCGAGCACUCCCUUAUAUCAAAUCGGUACUCUUGCCUCUUAGCCUAACACCCUAUACUUAAAUUCUCUUACUUAUUAUCGCCAUUCUGACUUGCAAACAAACCCCCGCUCCUGUCUACUACUACGGAUGAUAGGCUGUUACCACUCACUAUGGCUUUAGCCUACCCUUUCUUCAUCUAAGGCUCGCUCCCCUUGCUUUGAAACUAUUUCUCCCCACCUUAACUCUUUAACUCAUGCCUAAUAACCUGUCUUUACAACUUCUUUUCAUUCCAUUCCUUAACUAAUAACAAGGGCUCUCGCUACAGCUUCUAAGACUAAUGGCUAUUGCUGUCAGGACUUCAGUUACUGCCUAACAGGCUUACCUUUCUGACUUUAUAUAAAAUCGUAGUUGGCUUAUCGGUCUAUGAAUGAUACUGGAAAUAAGUAAUAAGUAAUCAAACUGCACCUAUAGACUCGAACAGUUACUCAUGCUUUUCACUCUCUAGCUCCUGAUCUCAUAUCUUGACUUUCUAUAGAAGCACGAGAUUCAUAGCUGGCUCUCUCGCUUCUAAUUCUGAGUAUGUCUCUCCCGUCUUUAAGGCUGCCUUUCCUUUCUUCUAUUCUUUUCUUUCACCGUUGAUCCGGACCUUUGCUUUAUUGUAUUGUAUCUUAGCCUACAUCUCCUGUUUAUUGGUCUGUGGCUACUUCCUGGCAUCCUUGCUUCCACAGAUAAGUCUACCGAUCCUUAAACUCAGCACUAGCAUUCUGGAUUUCACCUAUGAGCCUGCCUCUUUUGUCUUUUAAACGGAUAUUUGCUUGAGAAUAUUCUGACUAUCCUUUGUCUCGGCCUAUCACUACUGCCUUCAAGUCUGCUCUUCCUGUCUUUGAUUCUGAUUCUACUCUAUUUACUACUAUCUGAGAAGUUUGACUCUAUUUACUACUAUACUAGAGCUAGCAAUACCUUAACAAGUACGGGCAAGGCGGGUAUUACUAUAGUGAGAAUGAAAUUCCAAUAGGUAGGAUGAAACCACUGAUUGAAAGAAUAAACACCGAUAACAAGACAACAGCCUUCAAGUCAGAACUAUACUAAUAUAAAUGACUUUUCUCCUCCCCCGUCGGAAUAGACUAGUGCACAACCCCCCGAGUCAGAAUCGAAUCUUACCCGACAACAUUCAACUAACUACUCCCCAACCCGAGGUCUGUAACAAGGGAUUGCACCACAGCUAGCAAGGCUAUAGGCUUACACAAUACGCUAAUAGAGGGAACGGAGCCCCAACUUGAUCAAAGCUGUCCUUCCUUUCUCCUAUUCUCUGUACUACUCUUUGUAUUCUUUAUUUCACUCAGAAUUCUUCUACUAAUUACCUAGAACCCUGCUUCACUCAACUAUAACCUGGCUCGUGAGUUUAGGUAUUCCCCUCCUUGCUGUUAGCCAGCCUCUCCUUUAUCUAGUUCUUCACUACUAAGAGCUAUUGUAUAAGAAUAAGUCAAUCAAUGCUAUUACACAUAAGAAGAAGUAUCUCGAUGGCGCAUCCCUCUUUUCUGGAAUUCUGAGAUCAAUAUCUCCAUUCUCCAUAUCUCUAUUACCUCUUUGACUCUCUGUUUCACCUCGGAUUCUUUGCCUACUGGGCGUAACCCUUACUGCUAUGGGGAGUGGAUCUGACUUUAAGUAAUGCUAACGAUACUUGCACUGGAAACUGGGGCUUCUCAUAACCAACCUCAAAACAGGCAAUCCACAGCUAAUACCAUUGGAACUAAGCUCGCUAGCCAUAUUCUUUCAACCAUGUUCUUUAAACACAUAUCUAUUGGCCGCGUAACAUUAGGUCUCUUCACUUGUGGGUUUGUCUCCCUUUACUGGUACUAUAAUAAGGCUUCUUUCACUCUGUCCUUCCCGACUACUGGUCUAAUUAUCCUGUCUCUAUUUCAGUUACUGCCGGUACUUACUUUAGAUCCUGACUAUUAUAAGUAUACAGCUACUUGCUCUAAACUGUUCUUUCUUGAUGACAGUCUGAUUCCACUAUUCCGAACUCCCUCUUAAGGGAUUCAACUAAUUCACAAAGAGACUAUCCUAAAGGCAUCUAGAAAGCUGCCCUCGCUGAAGCUUAUUAUUCUUCUGGUUGGGCCUGUAGCACUCCCUUCCGGUAAGGGUUUAGCGCUUAACCAACUUGGACCCCAUAGAAAAGCGAGUAAUCAAUAAGAUAAGUUAGGCAAUAGCAUCAGUAGAAUCAGGAUAGGUAGGCAAUAAGUAGAAUAAGGAGAAAUAGGCAAUAAACCGCUAAUCGAUAUGAUAUAAAAUAACGUUUACAACAAAUACAUAAUGAGUAGGGCCAUUAGGAUACUUUCACUAGUACCGAUAAGAAUUAGAGGCGUUUAAGUUCAAUACGGAUUGAGAUGUCAGUAGUGGAAGUCCUGUUUCCUGUAUCGCUAUGGGUUUACUUGCUCUCGUUCUUACUGCUGUAUUUGAGUCUGAUAGCAAUGGUUCCCCCCUAUGGGUGGAGAGUACAAAAACGGAAGAAAAUCACUGGUAACAAGGUGCGAACUCAUACUAAAAGGAUGCAACGGGAACUCCAGCUACUACCGAUAAGACCUUAGCUCACAACUAGGGCUUGCACGACCUAUUUAAAGAAUGGAACGGAGAACUAGGGCGGUACCUCUAAGAAAGUAACUACAACAAAAAAGGAUUGAGCACAGAACUAAGGCUUUGACUCCUGUGUGGGACAUACGGAUCUUUUGACCGUAUCUUAUGGCCUGUGACUCCUUGCUAUGACUCUUGCCCCUCUGACUUGUAUUCUCCUAUAAUUACUGAUCCUUACUUGUAUUCUGUAGUUCGAGUUAGGGUCUUGCCUCUCCCUAUGAACUGAAAGUAUUGCUUGUGAGUUUGAGUAUCCUAAUUGCCUACUUCAUUCAUUAUUCCGUUUAUUUAGAUUAAUGAUUAUGUUAACUUAUAUUGAGAUGUAUUGAUAUAUAUGGACAUGUAUUGAUAUGUGUUUUAUCGUACUGUAAUUCGAGCGAGGAGAGUCCACUAUAGCUCGACAGAAGGAGAGGAAAUCAAUCAAUAAGGGGUAGGGUUUAGUACCAUACGCCGGGUGUUGUUGUGCCAUAUACUAGGCGCGGGUUUCAAUCCAAUCAAUAGGUGUGUUGCGUGUAGCAAGGUAUAGUUUGGAAAUGCAAAAUCCCCGGGAAGGUAAGUUGAGAGGUAUAGCUUAGCUCGGGAAGGAGAGGUCUAGUUCGGGAAGGGGCAGACGGAUUUGCUAUGUUUUUCACAGGGGCUUAGUUCCCGCCCAAAAGCUUCAUUGUUAUAGUGGAAUCCAAUGUCAAAGUUGAGUUCAUUGCUAUGCUAGAUGUCGGAUGUAAAGAAUAAUAGUAAUGUCAAGAAGAAUAGUACGUAGACGGGCGAAGGCGAUCGAUCCUAGAGUGUGUUUGUAUUGUAUGCCAUACCUAGCCUAGGGUUUCAAUCAAUGUUUCUUCAAUCAAUGUUUCAAUCACCAUACUCUGGUGAAAAUCCAUAGGUGUGUGUUGCCCCGGAGAGUCCUUAGAGUGUUUUUACUUGCUUCUGUCUUUUCUCAUGAUAAUACGGAUGCACAUACUAGGUUAGUUGGCAAAGAAAUCAAUCAAAAGAUGUAGGGAGCGUUGGUAAAGAAGGAGCUCAUGUCCACUUUAUAGCAAUGGUAGGCGAGAAGGAGCACGUACUAUAUACUCUAAGGUUGGUUCAAGUAUAACUAUACUAUAGGUUGGUUCGAGUGAAGUCAAUUCGGAUUUAGUGCCUAGAUUCAUAUUCUCUCUCAUGUGUUUCUAUGCUUAUCUAUUAUAUUAUAUUACAUAUGUUUCUAUGCUUAUCCAUUCCAUAUGUGUUUCUAUGCUUAUCUAUUAUCUUAUUCUAUGCUUAUCUAUUAUCUUAUAUAUUAAUACAACCAAGAUGUAGUAUAUUUGGUGCAAGCAUUCAUUUCUUUUCGCCUAUCUAUUAUAUCUUAUUUUUUCUCACACUUUUGUAUCUUUUUCUCUUGUCUCUUCAUUCUAUAUUAGUAGGGUAAAUUAUAGUCGCAUUCCUGUUAGCACUAAUUGAGUUCUGACUUUUGCCCCAGCAACUGAGACGGAUCCUCACUUAUGGUAUAGGCGUUAGGGUGUGAAAGUAAAGGCUUUCAAUUGAUUCUAAGCUCGAGUAGAGGUCCUCAAUGAUCUAUUUCCCAUAAAACCCCGUAAGUGCCGUUCUAGUUCAUUUGACACUAAUCACUAGUAAGCAUCAGAAUCAACAACACUACCAGACCAGUGAGCAUAGGGCUAGGAACCUAGACUAAGCAUGGUAACCCAGGGACGCCUACGGUAAUGAAAGCAAGCAAUGGAGGCUGACAAACUCUGAUCCGAAUCCGGUUUUCAAAUAACAAUACAGAGAAGAAAAGCAAGGUAGGUAAGACCUCUAGGACGGAUAGUUAGAUUUAGAUGAGUACACCACUCGCAUUACAGCAGUAGAGGUAGCUUAGGUAAGACAGAGCAGGCUUCUAAAUAGGAUAGUAAGAACGAGAGCUAACAAAGCAAAGAUCCGGUUCGUUCAGUAACAAAGGGCAGGCUCGGGGUAAGACUUAGUCCAUUGUUUCAUUCUUCCCAGUCGUCUCGUAGGGUAGGUAUUGCUAGCCUCUUAUAUGCAUAGAGUCGUUUCUUGCUUUUAAGACAGUGAUUUCAGUCUUCUAGUUUACAGUUACAUUCUCUCUUCCCGGUUUAGUUAUUAGAGAUAGUAGUUAUCAUUCCAAGGUAGUAAGUGAAAGUGCUAGUUCCUAGGUUCCGUUUUGCUAAGCUCUGGUUCCAUCCUAAUUAGAUUAGUCAUGGCAUCAAUCAGUCUUAUUGCUAGUAGGGCGGGCUGGCUCAUUCUCCGGGCGGUAAGGAUGAGAUCAAGUCAUAGUAUCCUAUUAUUACUAUACAGCAAAAGCAAAAGUCAUUGAAGUAAUAGUGCCCGGGGGUCUGCUAACAGAAUUCGUUAUUCCAUUUUCAUAAUUAGUACUUUGCCGAUGUCCGGAAGAUCACCAAUGCAAUGCGUGAACGAUGUUGUCCGAAGACUAAUUGGUUGCACUUUCAGAAUGAGUGACUAGGGUACCAAUUGAAGACCGGCCAAGGAACGGAUAGACAAGCAAGUCGGAAGUCAACUCCUCUUAUGUAUGGUCCACAGCACUCCUUACGCGAGAUCACCUUUAGUUAGUGAGUAAGCAGUGAUUCUAUUGUUUCUGAUCUGAUCCUUCGACUUAUGAGUCUUCUUCCUCAAACUAACCAAGCAACGUAUAAAAAGGCAAAGAGCGGUCACUAAACAAAUAGGGAGUCUAAGGUUUCCUGUAAGAAUUGAACUCAGUAUUGACGGUCUAAGAAUAUUCUUAAGGGCCUGUACUAUACUUCUUUCCCAGAACUAUCCUUUCUUUUCCUUUCCUUCCCACAACAAGUAACGAAUACAGGGUGGGGCUUCUAACGCUCUGUAGAGGGUAAAGGAAAAUCCGUUAAUGGAACUUUAGCUGAUGGACUUGUUUCUUAUACCGAGUAAACAAAUCAUUCAAUCUUUCCAGCACCAGGUAUGGAUCCUAAGUAAAGACAUAGCUUGUGAACCCUUUCGCCCGGCAGUAGAUCCCCAAAACUUGACUUGUGAAAGGGCUCGUUAACGCUUCUGCAGUUUCUCAUUCAACAUUCUAUUCAGAACUGAUGCUUGCCCACUUGCUAUGUUUUUAAGAAUUCAGUUAGAUGAGCCAGAGGCUGAGGAGAAAGAGGUGUAGUUAGACGAAAUUAGGACUCACAAGAUAAGCACUUGGUUAUGACCAGUUAUUAUGUACUUAUGUUUCUUAACGUAAGAAUAGAUUUCUGACUUGCUAUGUGCUCGGGAGUAAGAGAAGAGGAUAAAGAAUAUAGAUCCGGUAAAGGCAUAAGUACUGAGAGUGGGAGUCUAGGUAUAAUCCUUAAGAGGUGGGCAAAAGGGAGACAAUAAACUCUCUAUCGGGGUAAAGUACUGGCUUUGAAGCGCAAAGUAUAGUUCUUGUUUCAUCUUAUAAGGAAGAUCCGACAGAAUGCUUAGGUGCAAGUAAGAGGUCAGGGCAGACUAUUGGCUAUUGAAGCGCAACAAAGUGUGGUUCCUGUGUUACCGACAAUAGAGAUUAUACCAAGAACAUGAAGUAUGGACUUGUUAGUUAGGGAACGAAGUUGAUAUUCCUACGAGUUACUAAGUUGAAGACAGUCAUAAGCAAGUCCUGUGUUCAGAGGAAAGAACCAAAUAGGGCACACAAGAGGUCAAUUUCUCUUCUUUGAAGCUCAGACACUGUUAGCCCUUCCUUUUUCCCUAUAGAUGGUCAAGGUAGUAGCUUCAGUAACAGCUCUUGCACCCGGGAAUAGGCAAGGAGUAUGCCCACAGCGAAUCGAACGUAUAUGUUAUCUUCCAAAUCCUAAAAUGAGGUAAGAAGAGGGGAAAGCCCUAUUAAUAUACUUACUGCUGCAAGUCCUUUCGUCGUCGCCCUCGCCAACCCUAGUGCAACUAAAAAGCAAGAAUUGACCUCUAUAUAGCUAACCUAGUGCUGUUUCUCUAAAGUGAGAAUUCCACUCCCCCUCGCCAACCCAGUGCUUUUAGAUGAAAGUGAGAAUUCCACUCUAAAGUAGGAAACUUGUACACAGAAGAAUGACAGUAAAAAGGUUUGAAUUGAAAUUAGCCAGAAGUAUAAUAGAAGCAGAGCGGGUAAGAGGUAUAAUAGAAGCAGAGCGGGUAACUCACCAGAAGAGGGUAACUGCGCUCUCCACUCUUAAGUGUGAAUUGAAUGGAACUCCGCGUAGUAAGAAAUAGAGGAAUUCGGCAGGUCUGAUAGAUCUUAGUAACACUUAUGUGCCCUUUCUAGCCGUGCCCCCUUCAUUGAAUAAUAGAAUGAACUUCACUACGCCCCCCAACGCCUCAUUUUGUAAUAGAAGAAGUCCGCUGGAAAUAAAGAAUGAACCUUGAAAGUAAGAGUAGAGGAAUGAGGUUGGUUUCAGCUUUCAAGUAAUAAGAACAGGUACGGUACGAUAUAGCGUAUUAGGAGAUAUACUCUGAAUAUCAAGUCGUAUACAAAGAAUGGGUAUUAUAUAGUGCAUUAAGUAUGAAGUAAUAGAAUUAGUAACUACAAAAGUAAGGGCUCUUUCUAUCUCACCAACCCGACAAGCUAAUACUAGCUCUAAAGUCAGAAUGAAACGAACAAGUAGGAAAGGAAUCAGGUAACUCCUGCACUGUAAGAAAGGAAUCAGGUGAACUCCUAGUGGUGCUCUUAACCAACUAGCUAGUAGUGCUCUCAACUACAAAGGCAUCAUUCCACUCAAAGCAAAGAAUUCCACCAUGCCUACCUAGUGCUCUGAACCUACCUAGUGCUAUGUGCUCUUAAGAAGGAAAGGAAGCUAUUUUGUCUAUCUUUUCUCAUGCUCCGGUUAAGGUAAAGCUACAACCAAAUCAGAGGAGAGGCCUGGCGUUGAAGAAUGAGGUUACGGUGAUUGAUUGAUUGGCAAACAAAGCAAUAAGUGAAAAGGGUGUUGAGCCCGCUAAGUACUUUCAAUCAGGGGCCAGCAGUGGAUUCCAUUACAGUUUUCGGCGAUAGUUAGUUUGAAGCGCAAAGUCAAUCAGUAUAGUAUGUAUCUUUGGGUGCUCAGUGUUCAUAAAGUUAUGUUCGAGUGUUGUCUACUGGAUCGCAUGCUGUGCUUUGAAAUGAUGUUCUAAAGUGAAGUUGCCAGUUCCUGUGCGAGUGAUAGUCUUCAGACCGAGGGGGAUAGUUUACAGUAUAGGUCUGUUAUUCAAGUGUAGUUCAAGGUUCAGUUUCAAGUGCUCCAAGUGGGUUAUCAGAAAGUGACGUGAAAUUGUCUAGUAGUAGCUUGGCGGGUUGUGUUGUUUACUUACAUGUUAUGGUAGGGUGAUUUACUUACUUGUUGAAUGAAGUGACUAGGCUAGGAAGGCAGUUAGUAGUUAUGAAGUCUGUUACUAGGCAAGGGUAGUUUACUGACUUGGCCGGUAUUAAACAAGAACUCGAACAGGAACAGAAAGGUAGAAAACUCUCGAGUAAGAAGAACACCGGAAGGUGGAAAACAGAAUACUUAUAUAUCUGCGGAGCUAUCAGACAAGCUACCACGGAAGGUAUAAAACAACAGAAUCAAACCGGAACUAAUUGAGAGAAAGAGAACUCCUCUGCUUUGCCCUCUUCAGCCUUACCUUCACUUUCAUGCUUGGAUCACUACUAGCCAAGUAUAUACUAGACUCGUACAUAAAUAGGUUAUAACUCGGCAAGAGCAAGUCUGAAUUAAUAGCUAAAGUAAGCUUACACGUCGGUUAAGGCAGUGGCCCCAACAAGUAACUACUAGAGCGAGAAACUGCUUUAAUAGAAGUAAGGCUCGGAGCCCCAACAAAUCAGAAUUCAACUAGAUAGGAUGAAACAAUAGAAGCCUAACUAUCCAUGCGCUAGAGAAAGAAGCGGGCCUCGGGUAUUGGUCACAUCUUCAGGAGUCUUGCCCACUUAUAUAUAUACUAAAUCAACGAGCUUCUUGAUACGGUCCCCACUUUCUCUGUUGUUUUAACCUAUGUGAAACAGAGCGUAUGUCAUAUGGCCUCUUACUUAAGCUAGCAUAAGUCUCUUCAAUUUCAUUUCGCGUUAAUUCCACCCUUGUUAAUCCUAAACCAUUAGCUUUUCAUUUGCCUUACAUCAAGCUAUGUUGUACAAGAAUAGCUAACCAAUUCGAAAACUGUACGAACCUGGAAGGAGCGUCGAGCGGUUGCCGCAUCAAUAGAGUUCAUAUAGCUUAUAACUUCGGGCUUCAUAAGAACAUAUUCAAUCGUUCCUUAUCACUUGACUAUCCGCCUUGUCCCACAACUCGUAAGGUAAGCAAACCAAGGAACUCCUAAAGUUGUUCGUAAAGUGUUUCUCGGGAGUUUCUCCCUUAUGUAUCUUUCUGCUCAUAUACAGUUUAUGGUCGUAUUCUCAUAUGAUGGCGUUGAGAAUCUUCGCCCCGAGUUCUAGCCCAUCAAGACAGGAAGAGAAGGCAUUCGUCAUCGGCUUCCCUGAGUGUUUAGUCGGGCAUACUGUCUUAGGUAAAGGGGUAGGGUCAAGUUUACCGAGUCGGGGGGGUGGAAUCCAAUCUGAUUUCUCUCUCCGCGGGCUCAGUUAGUUUUCAAAUGAGUGGUUAUUAUCUAUCAAAGAGCGAAAUUGGAAAUAGCUAAAAAAGGUAGUCUAUAAGGAGGGUCUCAUGGUUUAGAUAAGCAAAGAGACUCAAUUAUGUGUAAUCUCUCUGUCAGCGCUUGUUUCGACCGCUAUCCCUUAGUGUUGCUGGGCUAACUUAAGUCUGAAAAGUAGGACUCGCAAGUGCAUUCAGUUAAUUAACUAAGGAAAGCUCUAGGCUAGGUCGCAGAAGAAGGGAUAUCCGCCUAGAAUCGCUUGGUAGUCUCCCCUCUCAUGAAAUUGUUAACCCUAGACUGCUCAUAGUAUCCAACUCGAAUGGUAGUAUUUCGAACUACUCGCAUCUAAGGUCAACCCCUCGACACCAAUAUGACAAACCUAUGAUCUUAGCGCCACGACAGCAGCUACUCAAGUUCGAAUCUAAUGAUACAGGUGCCCCGUUAGUUUCCAUCACUCUCUCACCCCCGAAUGAACAAUACAAUACUAUUGGCUUUCGCCCUUCAGGUUGCUUCUGCUUGAGAUGUCCGAUUAGAGUGAUACGUAAAUUCUGGUUUCUUGAGCUGGUCUUGGGUAAAGCCAAUCAAUCAACCCCUACGGCAAGCGCCUCAUCUUCGCCACCGAGCUUAUUUGCGUCGUUUUGUGCCUCAUUUUCGAGUCACUCAAAUCCUUAAUGUCGUUGCUUUUAACUGACUGAUGGAAUUAUGGAACAAGCAAAUCCUUUCUAGAAGCAAACGCCAACAUGAAACCUUACUCCACCAGUGGAAGCAGGACGGACAAUCUGUUUAGUUAGCCAUAUAAUCCUUCAGUGCACGUCCUUUUACAUUGCUAAAGGCUCUAGGCGGAGUAGCAGGAACAAGAUGUAAUUAGUUAUGAGCCCAAACGAUGGAUUCCAUGAAUUCUUGCCAAUAACACCACGGCUACGGAAUAGAAUCAUGAUACACCCAGACAAAACACCUAAGAGAAAACACAAGAUGCAGAUAAUGAUCAAAACCAUAAGCCCGCUAGACAAGAUGCAGAUAAAGAUGGGAACAAUAAGACGCUAGAUGCCAAUGCCCAUAAUCAAUCUCGGAGCCCACCCCUAUAUAAGAAAUCGAAUAGCCUAUAUAAGAAAUCGAAUAGUCAUUUCACUCAUAGCAAAGUUUCCUCCUGUAAUAAUGGUGACUACUCCUUUAGCACUUAUUCCACCCCUAAACAUCCGACUGCAUUUGACAACUCGAAUGGAAAAUCAAUCACUACCCGAAAUCGCAGAGUACAUCCAUAAUCAACCUAAGAAGACAUGAUUCCAGGCAGAUACUUGACAUGUCGCCCAAUCACAAGGAAAACGAAACCAUAGAUUAGCAUUCUGUUGUCACCCGGAGCUUUUAUGCUGCGCAAUAGGGUGUUUUUACCCAUUGAGCUAUGCAGAGGGUAUAGCGGUCUCAGAAAACAUAUCUUGGGGCCGCCCUCAAGCGCUCGCGGUACGUGGUAUAAUUAUGAAUAUACGAUAUAUACGAUCCAAAACAGCCCUCUCUCAAUACAUGCCAUAUGAUUGAUUGCCUCGCGGUGUCUAAGUACACGUGAUCUAAUAUCUUAUUGUAUCGAGAAUAGUAGUAUCAGAGUAUCUUUACCAUGAAAAUGAAUGCAUGUGCAUCAGCACCAACUAUGAGAAACCCACCGAUCCACAUGUAAUGUGUGAACAACGAUGGUUACCCUAGUUAAUUGCUAUGAUUGCUAUGUAUGUAUAGGUAUGGUUACCCUAGUUAAUUGCUAUGAUUGUAUAGGUGGGGAUGUCAUACAUAUAGUGAGCUACAAUACAAUCUUUCUUAUUUAAAAGAGCCUAACAUAGCCAAGUCAGGUUAAGAGAGAAUUGAGCAUGCCACCCGCGUUGUUAGGAUUGAAGAGAGAGAAAGAAUGGAGUCCUUUAUAGCCCUGGCCUGUAAAUGGACCUUUAUGAGCCUAUAGUCUUUAAGGCCAUGACAAUGCCCCAGCCCCAGCCCUGUUGGUUCUAUACGCGAUCAGGAAAAGAAUAGCAAUAGCUAAUAAGGUGUGAUCAAUAGCCAUAGCUAAUCCAUAGCAAAUAAGGAAGGUGUGCAACAUCGGUCAGCCAUAGACCACCUCACCAGUUCUUUUGUUAUUGGAUCCAAUCCUCCACGAAAAGAUGGAUUUGGUGUCCCGCCCAAGAAGGAUACCUUCGUCCUAGUAACCCCUGCAAAGAAAGUCGUUCUUUUCUUUUACAUUGCCAGCAAAGUAUCGAGUGCAUGCAAAAUCAAUAUCUUACCAACGAUGGCACUAUUAUAUACUAAGGAUGUUUUCGUUUACCUUCUACUUCCUUGGUGAACUUGGUGCCAUAUUACUUCCACAGGUGUAUCGAUAGGGUAACCUUCUUUCCAUGGAUAACAUAUUCCGGAUCUCUUAUAAUUAGCUUGUGAAACAACCGGAACUGCUUAGUUUGACUUCGAUGCCAAAGAAAUAAGUAAUUAGGACCAAAGUCUCUGUUAUCUCGAACGAAUUCUCCAUUGCUGUAUUAUUUCCAUUCUGGAAUCAUGGUGGGGCCUGUCCGAAUCAAAUAAUAGAAAGAGAAAGGCAUACCAACAAGAUAUCGCCAUGAGAGUUUGUUUGAAUAUAGAGAGCGCGAGCCAGCCCUCUUGAACCAUUAGAAAGGGUGCUUCAUAGACAACAUGAAUAAUCAAACGGGGGGUCGAUGUUCUAUGUUCUAUAUAGAGACCUCUUUCUCGUCUUCAAUAAAUCCAUUAAGAAAUGCCGAUUUGACAUCCAUCUGUCCAAUUUCCCAUUUCCAUUUGAGCUGUGACUCAGGGGAGAUUAGCAAUCUAACUCUUUCCAAUCGAGCUACUGGUGCGAAUACUUCCUCAUAGUAUAUCCCAUUCACUUUUCUACCUUUUCAACCCAUCGGGCCUUGCUCCACCUCUACUUCUUUGUCCGUGUCUUUAUACUAUACUGGAUUUUCUAAUGAAAGCUCAUCAUCAUCAUUAGUAUCCCUCCCUCCUUCCUUCGAGUCACCCCUUUAAGAUGUAGAAUGCAUAGAGAAUUAUAUAGAAAUCAAAUAAUCAUAUAUGGUUGGUUUCAUUGAAAUAGUAUAACUUCUUGUGCUUAUUGUAAUUUCACUUAUUGAAUGAUGGUUACGUCAACCCCAGCUGAUCUAGGUGAUGAUUCAGGUGCUCUGAAUUACGAAUUCUUUUGACAAUGUAAAGGAGAGUCCAUCAGUCCGUCCGGCCUUAGUCAUUCUAUCAGAUACUCCAUUUGGUUGGGGCGUGUAUGUCAUGGUUCAUUUCAGUAUGAUUCUAGAUUCUCUUUCCAAAGAACUUUCAAAUGCAAUCAAUUGAUGUUUAUUCACGACCCUUAUCUGUUCUUAAGCAUUUUUUCCUACCUUUGUAUUUUCACCAAGUUCAUUCAUUCCUGACAUUUACUUUACUUAGAACUUAUUAGCUUGCAUUUCCUUAAGUAAACCUCAGUUUGACCACUAUGAUCAUUAGUAAAGGUAAUAAACUACCUGCUUCUGGAAAGUGAUAUUGGACUGUGAUAAGGUUACAAACAUCUGAGUGCACCAGAUCGAGUCGAUCGAUGCCAUGCUCUUUUUCUGCUUUUCUUCUUUAAGGGCUUCCUUUCUUGUUUGCUCAUGACACACACUUCCUUCACAUGACUUUGUUGGAUCAGUAGGUGCGAAGAAAGUCAAUUAUACUAAAUAACAAGUGGAAUCCUAUAGAUAUAGAGGUGUUCUGCAUUGGUUGAGUCUCAAGGAGAAAUGGAAGGCAGGGUAAAGCAACUCGCUUUAGAAUCUAAUAAAGGAAAGAUAAAGCUAGAGGAAAUCCUAUAGAAGAGUGACGAGAUCCGCUGCUACAUCGGGAAAGGAAUUGGAUCUAAUAUAUCGGAAAGGAACGAGCUGCUUUCCUCCUCUUUGAUUUCUUUCAACUCCGGCUAGGUUGUCUUAAAGACCUAGCGAAGAUAUGGAACAAGAUAGAGUGUGAGAUCCACAUAUUGGAAAAAACUCCUUUCCUUACCUGAUUUUAGGCCAGGCGCACAUACUAGUUCUCACUGUGGGACCGAACUGGAAAUGGUUAUGAUUCAUAAUAAGCUUCAAAACCCAUGCACACUUAUGUGCCGCCCGCCAUUGCCUAGCUCUAUACUCCGCUUUACUUCAGUGCUUUACAGUGACACUGUCUUAUUGCAUUGCACCAGGCCCGAACCAAGACUCAAGCCUGUAGUCGACCUUUCAUAUACCUAAAUCUUCGUAGCUUACAAAAUGUUGCUUCUUUCUUUGGCUUAUCGCUUACUAUACCUCAAUGGAGAUGGAUCUAAGGCCGUGUAAAAGUCAGAGAGAUUAGACUGCCCACUAGCUAUCUCACAGAUAUACAUGGUUUCAUCCGAAAGAAAGGGAUUGGCGCCGAGCUUUGUAAGGGAAAGGAAAGCGUCAGAUUGAUUGUUUGGCAGUAUUUGUUUCAUAGUAGUCCGAGAUUACAUGUCUUUUUGUUCACACUAUCUCCUGAUUUUCACCGGGCUAGAAAACAAACGAAAGUGGUAGGAUUGAUUAGAGACUUAUUUCAAAGCUCCACCACCCCAACCUUUAAGGAAUCCGUUUUUUGACCUCCCCCGCCCGCUUCAUUCGUUUACUCGGAUUUUCGAUGUUCAUUCACAAGGUGUUCAGAGAGAGAGAGGGGUUGCGUAGAAUAGACAUACGAAGCUAUUCCAAUUGGAUAACUUAUGGAACUUUCUCCACGUUGGAUGAGUGAAUACUCUUUGAAUACUAUGAUUAUUUCCUUCUUCUUUACUAUGUACUAUACCAUUAGUCUUGAAGAAGCUUUCCAAAUAGGAAACUCAAAAGGACCAACUAAGCCGGUAAGUUUGGACUGUACCCCCAAAGAAUGGGAUGAGGCUUAUGUCUUUAUUGCCGCCCCCGCUGCAACAAGAGGAAAAAGGCUGACAUGAUACAUAGAUUCAGAGUUAGCCCUUACCACUCUACAUGUCCCAUCCUCUUACCUUGCUUGCUCAUUCGAAAAACCACUUAACCAAAACCAAACCCUAUUGAUUGAUGCGGGGAGAUGAAGGGACUAGACAAGGAGCAUACGUAGCUGCAUCGAAGGACCAAGUAAUAGAGAAAUGCCCACCCCAUGGCUUAUGAGGUAGAUUCAUCUGGCCGGAGGACUAGCCAAUCAUGUAGGGAGACAGCCAGGUUCUUUAAACGUAGGCCGUAGAACGCUAUAUCACACCAAAGGAGACCUUUUUAUUGACCCACCUGCUCUAUCUAGAGUUUUUCCACAUCCAUCUAGAGUUCCUUUUCAUUGACCCACCUGCUCUAUCUAGAGUUCCUUUUCCCGGAUAGGCGUCUCACAUAGCUAUCUCUAGUUAGCUGCAAUCGCCUAGCUAGUAACCGAAGGAAGGAAAGAAGUUAAUGGCAUCCGUGGGUCGUUGCUUGGCCCUUUCUUAUUACAAUUGAAGCUGUCUUCAUGGCGGCAGGAGCUUCAUAAAUACCAGCCAGAGUUGCUGUAGUCAGUCAAGGGAAUCAGUCAGAAUAAUAAGUGAGGGUUUUUCACUGGGAAGAAAAGAUUCUAGGGAACCGGAUAAGAAACACAAAAGUCAGAGACAAGCAUAGGGUUACAAGCAACCUUGCCCUUUAAACCCUUAGACAGAAAGAAGUAAUCCCCUUUGCCACAUACGUUACGUGGCUUCCGGCCUAUUAGAGCUCUUUUCAACACACUAUUUCUAAUGCUAGAUCGAUCGGAUACCAUUACACUCACGAGGAUAAUCAAUCUUCUACUUUCUUUAGAAUACAGAGACUUUCUCAUUAGAGUUCACUGCGCUUGCUUACUCGAAAGAAUAAGGGGAGUGACUAUAAAGAACAGAAAAGUGCUGGCUGGUGUUAGAUCCCCUAUUUUGCUAUAGUCCGCCGGUUACGGCUUGCUUUUAUGAUCCUCAACCAAUAGGCUUACAACUUGACUCGCUUCUUACGUCAAUGGAACUUUCCACUUCUUUAAGCAUCUACCAGACUAUCCACUUGACUUGCCAAUUUCGUUAGCUAGUUCUUUAGCGUGUAAGGAGUGAAGCAUGAAUUGAGGUUUUUGCAUCUAGGGUAGGAGUCGACCAAAUCAGAAUUAAGCGCAGUGAACCUAGGAGCUGCGCAAGGAUAUUAGGCUCAAACGCAUUUAAAGGACAGAGCAGAGGACAGAAGAAAGAGGCGAAGGCAUCUGCUCAAGUAACUGUUAGCACAACUCACGAGACUUCUAUUUUCGAAGCUUGUUCCCCGAGAGCUUAUAGUGCACCUAUCUAUUCUAGAAAGAACUCACCUAUAACAUAGAAAGAACGAACCUAACUAACGCCCGAACACCUCUUCCUUUAGACUCCACCCAGUAGAAGUAGAACAAACAACGGCAAAGCAUUAAAAGAGUAAACAAGUCAUAAAUAGAGUUUUUCAAGCUAAAGAGAAGCCGUAAAGUCAACAGUUAGUUUCAGAGGAAUGGGGCUAUAAUCAAUUCAGAUUUAUGCGUUAUGUGCAGUGUUAGCUUACUGUGCUGUGCUUCUAGAAUCAUGUGUGUGUGUGCACUAUUCUAUAUAUAGUCAAUAAGCUACUCCGGGUGUGCUAUAGUCAAUAAGCUACUCCGGGUGUGCCUAUCCUCUAUUCAGUAGAGAACAAGAGCAACGGUGUAAGCAACCCGCUAAGCGCUAAGAGAGUUUGCCGGCAAAGUAUCCAUCUUUUUUCACUGUUCCCUCCAUUCUCUUAUUCUCUCAUAGUUUCAGUAUAGUUUCAGAGUUAGCAUUCUCUUAUAUUCUUCUUUUCUUUUAGAAGUUUCAGAGUUAGCAUUCUCUUAUAUUCUUUAUAGUUUAGAGUUAGCAUAAGCAUUCUCUUAUUCUCUCAUUGUUUAGAGUUAGGUAGAGCCAGCAGUAGCAGUAAUAAGUGUUUAGUUACUAGAUUCUAUAUGAGUCACGCUAGAUAUUGGUCAUGCUAGAUUCAAUGAUUUCUUUCGAGUGGAGGGGCAAGUUAGCUCACUUUUCUCUUGGGGCGCGCCAGACAAUAAGUUUCGUUACCAACCCUUACCUUACCUCACAGAACCGCGAAAACGGAUAGUUCGGGAUGCGUCGGGUUACUCUCAGAGCUUGCUCUUGCGCAGGUUUGAGUAUGGUUUCCAAUAUACUUGACUAGUUUUUCAUCAUCAAUCUCAUGCUCAUCUCUAUUCUCUACUGCCCACUCAACUCGAGAAUCCGCCGAUGCAGGAUCUUUAUAGUUCUAAUCAAACUAAUGCUCAUCUCUAUCACUCCAAUUGUUGGAUGAUUCGAAAGGUACGUCCGAGUUUUCUUCUUAGCAGAUGGGGAUCGAAGAUCUAACUAUGAGUUAUGAUGAUGAUAGUUUCUUUUAAAGUUCCAUGACUUUGAUGAAACUCCUCAUUAGCAAAGAUUCGAUUUCCGCUAAGGAUUCUCUAUAGCAGAAGAGGCUUCUAUCCGAAUCAUCUUUCUCAAACCAAACCUUAAUCCGUUAGGUCAAUAUACGCUGGAGGCUCUCAUUAUUCAUUUACUAGGUUCGGUGUUCCACUGUGUACGUGACUUACCAGUAGUGAGGGUGUCUACUUUGAUCGAACAGCAUUCUUAUACUCUACAGUCAGAGUUCAAGCAGGAAUCAAUAAAGCUUUAGUUAAGCAUUCCGUGAAGUUCUCUUUCGAUAAGUUACUAGGAAAAAUGAUGCUAUUUAGUUUGGGUUGGUUGAGUUCUUGCUCGACCGCGGAUUAUGAUUCAAAGUUCAGCAAGCUAUACAUCAUAGGUUCUAACUAAGUUCAGCAAGCUAUACAUCAUAGGUUCCAACUAAGAGUGAAGUUAUAUACUCUACAAAUGUAACGCUAUGUGCAAGUGUCCUUACUAUUCGACUCAAUCUUCCCAUGUUUUACAAGCCGUUAGAUUGGACUUAAUACGGUCGAUUCUCCUUCAACGUUAGCUUCUAUUAGGGGUGGUUGGAUACUUAAGCAGACUAAGUGGGAAUUCCCUCAUAUCGAUGAGACUCUCGAUAUUAGGUUUCAUGAUCCUAUGCGUAUGUGCAAUGUGUUGAAUACACUUCCAUCUCAAGUCUUGGAGAUAAACAAGCGAGUCCUGUCGUACAAUCGUGAAGCCCCAUAAGAGGAGGUUCUUCUUCUGAAUAGAAGUAUAGCGACAGUCAAUCUAAAAGAAGCAUCUAACGAGGUUAUGUUACGUCAAUGACGAAGGUGUGAGGAAUGUGUGUAGCUGUCACAAGCUGUUAAGUUAUUUCACUAAGCGGGUGCAUCGAGCUAAGUAUGCAGAAUGAGUCUUAACUCUUUCGAGUGCAUACGCAGGUUCUCAUCUCACUUGGAUCUUCCAGCGUUCAUUGACUUACGUGGUCGAAUCUACCACACAGGUGUCUUGCAUUUUCACGAGGGCUUCAAGUGUUAUCUUAUUUGCUAACGCUAAACAACUCGAACAACGUUAGGAGAAUGAUCGAGAAGAAUGCUUUUCUCAUGUGCUGCUGCCUUUAAGCUUACUUAAGAAAUUGACAACGUUUCCAAAGUCUAUAGUGGAGUAGAUUCACGAAGUGAGUCGUUCGGACGAGAUUGCACUUUGCACAGCAAGCUAGUGAGCCUUUUGCAGUUCCUAGCUGACGUGUCUGUCAAACGAAAAAGUGAGUAUUCGUUUUCAUAAUGUGCCAGUGAGUCAAGAUGCAUCUGCGAGUGCUUAUCAAAUCAUGAGUGAUCUUUUGCUUAAUGAAGAACUGGCUAGUUAGGUUUAUGGUUCAUUGUUCAGUCGCUCAACUUUGCUAUGAAUUUAGUAGAAAGAUCCUGACAUAGCCAAUAUCAUGAAGUAGGUGAACUUGGUUUUGUUCUUUCUUGAAUCAACCAGGCGUAUCAAGAGUACUUCACGACAGUGCAGGACGUAACAAAAAGCUUCUUUAUGGGUUGGUUUUUCUAGGGUGGGUGUGCAAGAAUAGACGUCGGGUUACUCUACGAGUGCCUACGUUGGAUAGGGAUAAGCGCAAGACUCUAGACCUGCGUCAACUUUCUUCAUCUGGCUUUCAGCUCCUUUCUUUCUAGCUGGUGGAGCAAUUGACUUCCAAAAGUGAAGCUCCGGUACAUCAUAACGACAUCCGUUGUUUAGGCGGCAGCAAGGUCAUACUAGAGUUGGGUUGAGUAUAACUACUGUUUGCACUUAUGAGAGAGAAUCCUAAUUCUAAUAAACCAUCUUCCCUGUGGAUAGGCCCAAUUCCAUCUUUAGGUUCAUAUGGAGUUAUCGACUUUAUGAACGGAUGACAUCUCAAAAAAGAAAUGAAUAUACUCAAGGUUUAGAACUGCUGAAGAAGGUAAUAAUCUCGGUGUUGGCUUGGCUUCAGAAGCACAUUCUCCACGUCCACGACACCUUGCUUCAAAGCCUUAAGUAGGAAUUUCUGAUUACCCCCUUCCCUUGUUGCUUCCUUUCGAACUGUAAUUCUCCUGACUUUCAAACAAUAAGAUUUCAUGAACCUUACCCACUCUGUGAAGACUACGAAGUUAUAGCAUCGGCUAGAAUGCAACUUCAAGUACUGUACAACUUUUGAGUCUGGUAAGGUUACGAUAGGUUAUAUCAUCAAAAGUCCGAUUGGAGAGAUUUCAUAUAUGGGGAGCUAUUUCUUGAAAUGAUUCCGGCGGGAAAGCCACUCGGUUUAUUUAAUAAAGAUGGAGUUUGGAAUACGUAAUGCUUAAAGCUGAGUUAUACGAGAAUACUCCUGGCAAACUAGUAUUUAGUCGAGCCUAUAUUACUGGUAUUAAAGAGAAUACACCUAUUAGUGUUGAGGAAGCUGAUACCAAAAUCAAUCCAAUCUUGUCUGACUCCAAAAGAAGCUACUUCAAUGGGCGUCGUUAUCCCGAACUCAAACAUCAGAGUAAAGCAAAGCAUGCUUUCAUUGUUGACGAUACUGAGACUGUUCUCAUAUAUAAUGUUCAUGUGCCUUAUGCUGCGGGUUUAUGUUGACGAUACUGAGACUGUUCUCAUAAAUAAUGUUCAUGUGCCUUAUGCUGCGAGUGGUUAAACCAGAUGAUGAUCUUGGUGCCAUGCCUUAUUAUUCAAUUGACACAUUGAUUGAAGUGAUCGUUAUGCCAUAAUUUCCAGAAAAGAGUAAUCGUAUGUUGUUCUACUUUCCCGAACGUUUAGCAUUUGUCUUAAAAGCGGUCAUAACUUAUCACGAUUCGAUGGGAUUCUAUAUUCUUGGGAUUCUAUAUUCUUAAUAAAAGAUUAUGCUUAUCAUGGGGAUAAGUCAUCAAUGAAACCUAUCAUGAGGAACCAUAAGCUUUACGAGUUAGCUGUGUCUCGAGAUGGGAAACAACUGCUCCGUCUAAGAGAUUAAUACACAAAGAUCCUUAGUAGUCUUGCUACAUUGGCUAGGACUUUCUGUCUUCGAUUAGGUUCGAAAGGCUCCAUCCCACAUGACGAAGUGCAAGUGUCGAAUCUUUCCCCUUCAGGUCCCAGGGAAUCGCUCUGAUCCCCUACUUCUCUUUAUUAAUCAAGUAGGUUGUGUACGAUAAGCGCUGAUCCCACAGUUUGCUCUUCCAGCAUCCAUGCAUUAAGAAUUAGUAAGUGGGGGUUCGGUUCAAAUACCUUCCUUUUGGACUUUCUUUUUCCUACCCCGCUAACGGAAACUCAGGCUUCCAAAAAGGCCUUUUCCCCGGGCGGCUUCGAAGCCCCUCUCCAAAUGGGCAACCCUUAGUUUAGAGCCACCUCGAUUCAGGAUGUCGGAACACCAACCGGAUCGGAAACCGAUUCCUAAACAUACUUAGCUUUGGAACAUCGAUCGAAACCCUUUCCUAUCUAGUUCAGCUGAUCCUUCAGUUCCAACUAAAUCGGAAGCUUCAUUCUACAGACGAGAGUAGGCUCGAGGAGGAUAGGAUCCUGAAGGGCUUUGGGUCAUUUUGUUGAUGUCCUUUGGUUAGACCUUUGGCUGGAUCGAAUCCUUUUCGCGCGAGCAUAGCAAACGAGCAAUUGAGUCAUAUAAGAAAUCCUGUUUGUUGCCUAGUUCGGUCUGCUACAAGGCUAUCCGAGUUCAAGGGUGUCGUUGUUUUUCCCCUUAUUCAUUAAGAUUGGGUUGAUGUAACUGGCCUUUCUCUUGCUGUUGUCGAGUGCCUGCUGCUUGACUUCUUUCUGACAUCCGCCUAUCUUACAUUCUUUAGAGAGCAAGCAAGGUGCUGAAAGCCAACAAGUAGUUUCGUUUUGGAAGCAAAGCAGUGUUUAUUACCUAUAGCAGCAUAAGUCACUUCUCUUCAACAAGCACUAUAUUCUACAUGAAACUCUUUAAGUCACUUUUCUUCAACAAGCACUAUAUUCCAUUCCUUCUUUUUCGCUAAUGCGCACCCAUCUUAUUCUUUCAGUCAAACUAUCCCCGCUUGGUCAAUAAGCUUACGCGCAACGGGGUUAAUCUAUUCCUUCUUAAAGGAAGCUAUGUAGGUAGGUUACUUCAUUCUAUAUUAUCUGUUGCCAAUUAUGUCUUCUUGAUUCCACACUGGAUUCAACAAGUAAGCAAGCAAGGGAAGCGCACGAAUAAUGUACUUGAGAUAAGGGUUCGCUCAGUACAGUAAGAAGUGUUGUUUACGUUAUUAUAUCCAUCUUAGGCUAGAAGAGGUAGAAUCUAUUUCCGUAAGCAAUGCUGUCAGCUGUAAGGUAAGAUUCCUAGGGAAGAGAUGCUGUAUGAAGAGAUGCAGAUGCUGUGUAUUUACAAUGUGUUCUAUAACAAGCUUCUUUACUUUUUGCUUGAUCAUAUAGAGUAAGGUAAUUGGAAAGAAUUCUAUACUAGGUCGGGCUCGACACCCUUAUUUAUUUCAACUCAACCUUCCCUUCAGAACCAAUUGUAGCUGACUUACUUUAUGUUGCUCCUUAUACAGAUCCUUAUGUGAACCCUUCUUUUCGGGAGACCUUUUGGGGAGACCUUGCUGCUCUUGUUUAUUAUUAUUAUAUACUUAUUGAAUGGAAUUGUUGAGCACUUAGGUUUGUUUAGAGCACGAAGUGUGACCUUCUUCUAGAAUACCCCCCCGGCUAAUGAUUCUGUUUCUGACCUUGCGCCAGAGGGUUCUAAGUCAGUUUGUGCCAGCAGGUAAGAUCAGAUUUUGGGUUAGGUUACCAAAAGUGUUAUAAUGGAUUGGUUCACUAUCAGCUCUCGGGGCGCUAAUGCUUACUGACCCUAAUCCUAAUGCUUACUUACCCUUAACUACUCUAAUGCUUAUUACUGGGGCCGGAGUAGAACAACCAGCAUUAAUAAUAGGGGCUUGAGACUUACGCUGGAGAAAAGAGAGUAGAUUCGGCUGGCUUACUUAUACGAUGAAACUGGAACAGGACAUUAAUAAGCUGACCUCUUACUACUGCAGAUACGGACUCCUGCUGAUCUACCGGUUGAAGAUUACGCCGGGCCGGGAGGGGAAAGCAAAUAACUUACCUCUAUGACUCGUAUUCAACACAAUCACCUCUAUCAUCGCCAACAACAAGAACCUAAAAGAAGAGAGAGUUGUUGCCACCUUGGGUGUAUUCUGAGGAGACUUAAGCGGAAAGACACCACUUGGUAAGAAGCUCAAAAAAGAACUAUUCUAUAUAAUGAUGAAAAUGCUAAGAUGCACUAUUCUAUAUAAUGAUGAAAAUGCUAAGAUGCUUCUUACUGUUAACAAACUGAAGUUGAAAAACCAAUAAUAACCACCCUAUGAAAAGAAACCUUGAGGUGACAUUAGGCGUUGGAGAUAGAGCUAUCUUAACCACCUGUAAAAAGAAAGUAGCACUCCGCCGAAAUUAACUGCAAAGACAAGAAAGGAGAGUUGUUUCAGUUUAUUGCACAAAUGCAAACACAGCAACUUCAAUCAACACAGUGGAAUUGGAAAGGCUUAUCCGCUCUUGAGUUGGCUUAUGUGCCUCUUGCUAACUGGUAUGUUGAGAGCCAAAGUGGUAAUAACCCUAACGUUAUGUGGACUCAAAUGAGUGUCUUUAGGAAAACCUUGAGAACUGUUGAUGAUCCCUUAAACAGGACUCGGUAAUAACUCUCAAAACCUAAAACACAGGACUUACAGAGUAUAUUAAGUUAAGUAGCACCCACCCGACCCUAGACUUUAUUCACACAGCGGAUUCUCUCCCUUGUCGGAGUGGAGGUGAAUAUAAUAUACAUCGGAGUGGAGGUAAAUAUACUGGAUUACUAUUUCUUAUCGUAGUGGAGGUAAGUCAUACUCUUAUCCUUCUCAAGCUUCUGUAUCAAAGGAGGAAUUACAGAAUAGAGUUUACUUACAAGUAGUAGUCACUACUAAACCUUUCUUAUUAGACCCCUAAGGCAACUAUACCUCCAUCUGUUCUCUUCUCUUGCUCCGCUACAUCCGGAGUAGGGGAAUCAACCCUAUCUUAAACUCUCUAUCUGGUGUUGGAGACAAAAGAAGAUACUCGACUUGGACCACUACGAAUACGGGAUAAGAAGCGAGGGUGGUUAGGUACUGGCUGGCUUCUGAAGCACUAACUGACUUAUAUAAUAGAACAGAUCAAACUCCCACUGCAGACUGCUUUCCUGGCACAGUAUCUUAUCUUGUCGGCUCUCCUUGCACUACGGAUUCUCGAACAACAACUCUCGUUUGUCAAUAGUUCUCGUACCGUGUAUAUAAUUGGGUAAUUAGAGAUAGAAGAUGAGUUUACAUUCCAAUGAAAUGAUUAUAUGCUUGACACAACAAGCAACUCACCAACAUUGGCACCCAAAGAAAUAUCUUCUAUUCUCUUAAUGAUUCAACCUCGUAUUCAGCCCCAACCCGAACUCUAUUGGAAGUUCUGAAUUGACCUCUGGAGCACCUGGUAUCCCAUAAUGUAAGCUAACAAUCAACAAAGGAUUGAAUUUCAUCUCUCGAGCUUAGAGUCCAAGAUUCAUUUAUUUACUUCACGGAUGUUCUAUCAAGUUAGAAUUGAGCGCGCAGCAGGAAAAUCUUUUAGUGCAUUAACUCCUGACGCCUAACCAAAAAAGUACUUACAGCUGAUUGACUUUCAACAUAUAGAUAUGAUGGUUGAGAUAGCUACGUGGGAGAAUCAAAGCGGGGUUUUGAAACAAGAGAAUAGGACUCUGAUCGACAUGGUAGCAAGAAUAAGGAGUUAGAGAAGCCAGCCUCAAAGGGCGGGGCAUGACAUACUUCACCAAUUGGAUAGGAAGAAAUUCUAGUAGUUGCAGUUUUCAAGUCAGGCAAUAAGGGCUUGGCGGGCAGAGGUGAUUGUUAUCGCUAGUUUGAUUCUGCCUAUAUGUGGGGCACUAGAUCAGACCUAUACUCUACUUAUUCUUAUCCUGAUUCUCUUAUUAUCUGAAACUAUUAACUAGCAAUUGAUCCUAUAGGAGCAAGGAGCCGACUAGUCCUAAUCGGAAUUUCACUCAACAUCAAGAUCCUAUGACAGGACAGGGCCCUAGGCAACAAGCAACGAAACAAACACCGCAACCCCUACUGAAAAGAAUAACCCUGUGGACAAAAACUCUGACUCGCUCCGCUCUCUUGAGUGCGCUGCGCCUCCAUCGACAUUCUAACUAUCUCUGUUAUGAGCCUGUUGCCGCUUACCUGUAUUCUUUAAUUCGACUGUUAGUCCUACUAUGCUUACCCUCAUUCCCCAACUAAUGCCUUAAAGGCUCCCAUAACUAUGUCAGUAUUACACUAAUAUAAGUGAAUUGAAUAAUAAUUAAUAGAAGUCAAGAAUAGCAGUCAGUUUAAAGACUUGCGGCUAACGAACAUAACAUCAGAGUGCAAGGAGCAAGUAUAGGACCUAACUCUAAAGUCAAAGUGGAGUCGAGGAGAAUUCACCUAAGUAGUAUUAGUCUCAAAGAAGGAAGGUGGAAUCAGAGGAGACCCAUAACAAGGGAAUGAAACCAAUACAGUUAGAAUUGGGCUCGACAAUCACCUACUUCAAAUGAAACAAGGGUCGAUUACAUUGAGCUAGUCAUUCUGCUGAUGAUACAUCUUCUGCUUCAGAUCCUAAUACUGCUUUAGCUUAUCCUUCUUAUCGAGUCUAGCCUACUGCAGACUUGAUUUCGCCAACUCCUGAUUGGUAUUCUGAUCCAGAUCUUGGAGACUUAACUAGAACAGAAGAUCAGAUUGAUUAAUUGAAUCAUCUUGCCCAUGUGAUAUAGAUUGAAGUAAACACACACCAUCGUGAUAUAGAUUGAAGUAAACACACACCAUCCCCUUAUUGGGAAUCUUACAGAUCAGGUUUCCUCUAUGGUUCCAUUCCAACACCUACCUCUCUUCUUUAUUACUUUCUUAUAUAUAGCCUGGCCCUUGUAUACUCUUAUGAAAUUAUGACUUCUUGUGCAAUCUCUUUACAAGCUUUGACUUUUUGAUACCUAUAUUCUUCCCCUAACUCGGCUUGGACCACUACUUGGGGCAGGAAACCAAGAUUGAUCAUCGUUAUUCUACUCUCUUUUCUCAUGCAUGCCCACUACGAAUCAGAGGUGAAGUCGAACCCUAAACCCCAAUCUUUAUGGCAUUAAUGAAGGGCACAGGACAUUACUCAAAACCCUAUAGUCAUUAGUCUGGAAAGAAAGCGCCAAGCUCCUACGUAAGACCAAGCAACGAGGCAAGUCACACCGGUCCUAACCUGUUUUGUUCCUACUUUCCUGUUAGUAUUAGCUUGCCGGGCUUUGAAGCCAUAAGUUCAUGAGUUUAUGUUGAAUCCGCUGAGUCUUCUUGGGCCGACCUUACCUCUACUUUGAGUUCAGAACCGAUUGCUUCUAAUCUUGCUUUAGAUCCUACUGCUCGAACAGAUUAUUCUCCUGAUUCAUAUCCAGAUCCUGCUUGAGCUUGCUACCCGGAUCCAGCUUAUGGUCUCGUUGACAAAGGAGAGUUCUGAGACAGAAUCCAAUCUCAUGUCCACUGCUAGGUGUUCUGUUCUAGGUGAAUCGACAACAUAAGAUGCUGUUUCACGAGAAGAAGUAGUGUGAUAUCUUGGUGUUGGUGAAAGAAAGGAAGCUAUUAGAUAAGUUCGGGCAAGAAUAUAAUAAAGUACUGGCUCUGUCUCUGCUCUACCUGCGGACUUUAAGCUUUCAUCACGUAUAUAGUAACAAUGAGAAUGAGAAGAUAGGCACAACGGCAGCCACAGACUUCCCGGCGCACCCGCCCCAUACAGGACUUUUACUUGAUGGGAGCAAUUAGAAUAGUGGAGUAGUAGGGCCAGGCCCGGACGAGAUACAAAACAGGAAACUUCUCUUGGCUUCUCUUGCAACAACAGAUUGCGAGUUUCAGGCUUUGCUUUCACCCGCGUAUACAGACCCAUGUUCUUAUCUACGGACCUAUUAUGUUCUUAGUAUCCGGAGUCGCCUACACGGUAAAGAACUGGAACCUCCACUUUAUGAUUCUGAACCGACAACACAAUCCUCUUAACGCGCCCAGUAUAGAAUUGAGUAAAUACCCUUAUUCCCUAUCUCUACGCCCUUUGCUCGAACUAACCUUUACUUUACCCCCCGGCUCUAACUCCAGUGCUCCAAAUACCAAAUAAAGAAGAGAACUUCUCAGAGGAAACUCAAUUAUGAAAUGAAAGCAGAAACCUGGAAUUCCAUUCUCCAACCCUAUUCUUAAAUGCAAAUUGAGUGAGUAGUCGUUUUUACUCAUAUCUAUCUCGGGUGCUCUAAAGUGGAUGCUUCUAUCUAUAUAGGAUUACUAAGGUCUAGCGCCAAGAACGGAAAGAGUACUCUCGAAACAAGAACACGAAACAAGAGUACGAAACAAGAGACUGCUUGACUUAGCGCUUCUAUCGGAGAUGAACUAAAGCCAACUCCUCUAUCGUAGCCAAACACUUUUACAACAGAAAUAGACUCCAGAGCGGCAGCACUUGUUGGUUCUUCAAGUAUGGAGUCUAGAGAAGGUUAUUCCGCAAUUACUGGCUUUGAUGCCCUACCCUAACCCUAAGUAAAUGAGUGGAAUCCGUAUUUGUUGGCGCAAGUGCCAUUAUAAGUCUUUUCAUUUAGAAUUCUCAACUGCUUAGGUGUAGUCUCAAGGAAAAGACUCAAAAGAUGGUGUUAUCGACCCGACGGAAACAAAACGGAUGGUGUUAUCGACCCGACGGAAACGAAACUGCAAACUAAUAACUCCCUAAGCGCCGAGUCAAGCUCACUAACACAGAAACCUGGAACCGGACUAACAAAGUCUUACCCGAACCGAACUCACUUUAGAUUAGCACUAGUUCUUGUUGGGUCGAGGAAAACAGCAAACGUCGCCCUUGCUUGUUCCGUUGCUUUAAGAAUUGUAAUACCUUCUACUAAUACAAUGCAUUAAGUAGUUCCUUACAGUAGUCGCUUUUUUCUUUUAUUGAGUCUUUCGAGCUUCGAGCUAAAGUCAAAGUUAAUAAGUGUAUAAUAUUACCUAAUAGCAUUUCUAUACAAAAUCAACUCGCUACUCGCUAACCGCACUGAGUCUUCUUGUGCCGAGCCGAAAUAAGCACUUUUGUUGGCUUCUCCGAAAUAAGCACUUUUGUUGGCUUCUAUAAUUAUUCUUUCAUGUAGGUCUACUUCAUACGAGUUUCUUUGGUUAUUCAUUUCUAUAUUAGGGUAGUAGUAGUUCUUCCAUUUCCAUUUCCACUCUAAACUCCGUAAGCGCUUAACCGAGAUGAGAUCGUAUAGAAUGAGACGUAACGACACUAACUCCCGUCAAGGCUUAAUUGCUAGGAAGAUUCAUAUAAUAUAGUUAACCACUCGCUCCUGUCCAAGUGCCCCAUCUCUCAUUCCACAGCCACUGCACUUAAUGCCUUAUUUUAGAAGAAGUAAAUCCACUAUUACGGAUUGGAAUUCCACCAAUGCUAGCAGGAACCCAGCUACUACUAGAAAGACAACAGCCCUAAAGUCAGAACUCCAUCAAUGCUAAAAGGAAUGGAACUACCUCUUGCCAACCCUUCAUAGCUUAUAAGCUUAGCUUCCAAAUCUGACUUUCCUGCCCCAUCUUAUAGUAAAGCUACUUAUUUCAAGACUUUCUCCUUUAGUAAAGAAAUACACCAGCAAAAGAAAGACUAUAAGUGGGCCUACACAGGAUGGAACUGGCGCCUGUCAUACCUUAACAAGUAAAGGGGAAUUCCAUUAGUCACUCUGGGAGACAAGUAACAACUAGGCUACCACCCUACCAACUACUACUGAUAGGAAUAAAUCAAGUAAUAAAAAGAAUGGACCUAGGGCUACCAAUACCUUCCAACUACAAGAUAAGGGUUACACCAAUACAACUCAUGCUUAGCUGUUGGACAGGGGUGGCUUUCUUAUUUCUGCCUAUCAGGGAACCAACUCUUGCUUGACUUGCUUUGAUUCCGACUACUACUAAUAAGGAUUAAUACGGUAGCGCGUAGCCCUUCUCUAUUGGCACCUACGCAGCCCUUGCUCUACCUUAUCUUAACCUAUCCUUCCCGACCAUUGGUCUUACGCCACUUACUAUAGGUCUUACUUUUAUGUGGAGCAUAUUAGUUUGACUUUGCUUGCUUUGAGGCUACCUCCCCUUCUUCCACUGCUAACUCAAAAACGGUUACUAAUGCCAGCGAGCCGGUAAUUGAACAGCCUAUAUCCUUUGUUUCAACCUUGUAUUGCUUUAUCCAAUUCUCCAGCUACGGGGAACAUAACCUGUGCCUUUCUUCUAUUAUUCCUAUGCUUGCUCUCGUUUGGGUAUGCCUAUACUGUAACUAAGCCUACCUUUCCUGACCUCGCAUCUGUACUCGCUAUAUCAUAACAUAUCAUACUAUACACAGGUAUAUUGUGUGUUAUACUAGGGUGUGUUGUGCCGUACGGAGGUGUCAAUCAAUGGAGGUUUGUUGGCGAGCAAGUAAAUAAAUCCAAGAAAUAGGGUUAGUUGGCCGGGUAGGUAAGUACUCUCUUUUUGUUUUAGGCUCAGAGGUCGUAGUCACCGGCUAUGAGUCAAGAAGGUAAGGAUCCCUCAAGUAACCACUAGACAAACUGCCAGCCAAGCAAAAAACGAAGAAAUAUGUCAUAUCCAUAUUCUAAUGAGAAAACACAUAUCAAUACAUAUAAAUAUAAGUCAACAAAAAGAAUCAGAAUGGAGUAGUUCAAAAGCAGAAUAGAAGGCGGGGGCCUUGGUGCAGUAAGUAAGAGACUGAGAGCAAAGGGCCAAGCAACUAGUGAAACUAAGACUUCAAUCACUGCUGGUAAGAAUGGAACAGUGCCUGCUAAGUCCGAUGCUAGUGGUAUUGAUGCUAGGGCCAAGUCCUGUCCUCGUAUAUGUCUUCUUUCCCCCUUUUCCAGCAAUAGGUACAAAUCUUUCUUUUCUCCCUUUUCUUUCUAUCUUAAUGAUUAUGGAAUUGACGGACCACCGACUGUCUAGAUGUGAAAUAGUUCGUGCAUGGAAUAUGAGUUGAUUGAAGUAUGGUACCUGAUUGAAGUAUGGUACACCAACAUAGACAAAAUGAUACAUAUCGGCACCCGCACCCUUAUAAAUCAAAAGGUAGAGAGCGGGCAAGCCGUUGUUUGUUCGAGUUAAAGCGCUUACGCGAGUGACUUCAUCGCCUAUUGCUAUUGUAUAUAAAUACAGAAGUCAUAUUCCCAGAUACAGAAGUAAUAUUCCCAGAAGUCUAUACAAGAGCUCCACUUUUCCAUUCUUUUCUUGUCUUGUGUUUAGGCGCCUUAGCUUUCUUUGAGUUUUGUGUAGGUUCUCUGUUGGUUUGUGGUUGGUCUAGUGUUUCCUUCCGAUUGAGUCGGGCCAGUGGGAUCACCGGUACCCCUAUUAGAUUCAAGGUGUUGGGUUCUGCUAAAGAUGUGUCUCAUCCUUCCGUAACGCUCUCUUCAAUUCCAUUCAGUUCAGUCACUCUAUCGGGUUCUGCUAAAGAUGUGUCUCAUCCUUCCUAUUGCUAUUGCCCACUAAACUCUCUAUUAGUCAAUAAUAAAUAGUCUAGAGAAGAUAAGCGGGAAGAGAAAUCAUAAAUAGUCUAGAGAGAGGGUAAGCGGGAAGAGAAAUCAUAAAUAGUCUAAAGAGGAUAUCGGGAAGGGAAAGAAUCAAUCAAGUAACUACAAAGAAUCAAUCAACUAACUACUAUAAACUAAAGGUCCGGGUGCCGAAAUCGUAACUACUAUAAACGAAAGGUCCGGGUCUAAAGCGAUUUGACCUAUCUUACUCGUGACUUUCCCUAGGAUUUGACCCAUCUUACUCGUGACUUUCCCUAGAAUAUCCGUUUCCCCAGGGCGACUCUACAUCCGGGUUCUCAGCAAACAAACCCAGAGUAGUUGACCACGGCGUAAACAACGAGAACUCUCCUAAUGCUUCUAACUCACUCAUUUCAUACUUGAACUUCCGUGUAGUUCCUUCUUGUGUUGCGGUUCAAUUCCAAAAUGCCAGGGAUAGAAAAUCAAAGGGAUGCUGUAUAGAAAGAAAUCGGGUCAUUAUUUAGGUGCUUGGUUUGCUCCUUACGCUCUACGCUCAAAGUCAAGUAUACUUUUUCCUAAGCUUGCUGAGUCAGGGUUUUUAGGUGGUAAGGAAGAAGCAUUGUUUUUAGGUAGAGUAGAGCCAGUAGUAAUGGGUCUUUUUCCCUAUGGAGCAUAUGUCUAUUCUAUUCUUAAAGCCACUCGGGGUUCUUAAAGCCACUCGGGGAACAAGCAAUCUUCUCUUCUGCUUCUGAUCCUUAUGAUUCUCUCUCUCAUGGACAAGAAAAGAAAGAUCAAGCGCCAAGAACCUAAUCUGCUCUAUACUUAAGUACUAAAUCAGCCUAAGGGAAAGCUCUCAAAUGGCAAAUUAUCUUAGUUUUACCUAUGUUCAACUCAUCUUAUGGAAAAUCCCCCAUCCAAUUCCCUAUUGGCUGUAGAAAUGCAUUUUUGCCUGAUAUCUUUGCAUGCUUAGCUUUGACCAUACCUUUGCUUUCCAACCUUUCUUUUCCUUGACUUACCCACCGCUACAAAGAAUUUCAGAAUACAUCUCCAUUUACCUGCUUCUAUAUUCCAUACUGCAUCCCUUUUCUUUUGCGUUACUUCCUAACUCGACUUAAAGCUCGUCGCUAACUAGGAUUCCACUAUCACACCACUAACUUGAAGUCAGAACUGCAACACCGUUCCAUGGGCAUUCGAAAGGAGCUUAUUAAUACAACAACACUCGCACCGCUACCGCCGAUGACAAAAACGACACUUGCCCCGAAAACGAAUAAUCUGACUUGUUUGGUUGACUGCCAGCCUUAACCCAUAAGUACUUCAGUAUAGUUCCAUUCCAGUUCGAGUAUUGUCGUAGAGAGAAGCUCUCCGUCAGUAAAGUAUCAAGUAAGUAUCGCUUAUAUAGUGGAUCUUGUAUCGUAUAUCAAAUUGUCAUCCUCAAUUCCAACUUCUUUGUCAGUGCAAUUUCCAUGAUUUUAGGCUUCUGCGCUAAGAGAUACAAAAAUCCUGUUUAUGUUCGACUUUCCCCUGUGCAAGAAAGAAAGAUUCCUGUCCUGGUGCAGGCGCAAGAAAGAAAGAUUCCUGUCCUGUUUUAUCAAUACGAGUGAGGGCAAUUAGAAGUUUAGAGAGUGGGUGUGCCUUCUGAUUCUGGUAUGCUAAAAGCUUUUCCCGGUUCUGCUUCUACGCAACAUAUAUGAAAUUGAGAAGCACUAGACGGCGGAACCCAAAAUUCUAUACGCUAAUUCUUAAGUUUAUUACCUUGCUGUUCAAUUCACACUUUGGAGGUGACUUAUUCUACUUAUUUGUUUCAUUCUUUUUUGGAGGGUUGGAUUCUUUAUUUACUUGCUCACGUGUCUAUUCUAGUAGUAGCUUGGCUCUGGCCUUUGCGUGACUACCUACCCCGGACUCAGCAUCAGUGAAUUCUUUGACUUCAGAUUGCUCUUCUACCGGCAAGCAACUACAAUAACAGUAUAAGAAUAAUCUGCAGGAGUAGAUUCUAAGUAAAGAUCAUAGGCGCAAGUCAGCAGCUGUAAUAUUCCAUAUCUUUUGUCUAGUAUUAAUGAGCCUUAAGGAGUUCUAAAUAAUACUCGAAAGUGAAGUUAAUAAACCGAGUGUAGGUUCCUCGCUUAGAGUGGAGUUAUCUUCUUCGCCCCUAAGUCUCUUGCUCUAGGAAUAGAGUAUUUCUCUACUUGUGAUUGGUCUAACUUUACAAUAUAUCAUAUCAGUUUGACUUGACUUGCUUUUACUUGAAGACUAAGUCGACUACCUUGUUGACCGACCUACCUAUGAAUUACCGAGGUCGUACUUCUUUGUAGUAAAUAAAGAAUGAAGUGAUAGAUUUGAAGAACGAAAGUCAAUAGUGAUAGCCGGUAAGGGCAUACCAAACCAUGGGAGUGGAACGUUAACUAAAGAAGAAAAGUCAGUGGUAGAAGGCUUCAAGUGGUAUGGCAUACAAACCUGAAACCGGGAAACAACCCUUACUGCUAUUAGAAUGUGACUCAACAGCAUAAGCCUAACUUAUCGGAAUGACUCUUACGACCCGCACAAACUAAUAUAGAUCCAUCUAGUUAUAAUCAUUAACUCAAUUCUCAUGUUACAGCUGGAGUCUACCUCUCUUUGCUUGAAAACUGAGGUUCCCCGCUUAGAGUCUGUUUUGGUAGGAAUAGAAACAGGUACGAGACAGCGCAUCUAACAAAAGGAAUAGAACUACUAUUUCAAAGAAUCGCACGGGUGAGUUUUGGUAAUAUAAGAAUGCAAUUACUAAUACCAUAAAUAGAAUUAGGUAAACCGAAUGCAAUUACUAAUACCAUAAAUAGAACUAGGUAAACCGAGCCUUACUCCCGAUGGAAUAAUCUGACUAACUAUAUAGGCAUUCCAAGCGCCCUGACACUACCAACUCGACACCUGCUUUAUUGUCCUCUUAGCUUAUAUCCCCUCGCUCUCAUUCUCUAUGUUGUUCCUCGUAUCUUGCUUCACUGCCCCUUCGCCUAUAUCUCCUGACUAUGAGUAUUGCUUUACUGGCUCUAAGGCUUACUUGACUGUCUCCUAUUCUUAUUAGCCCGUCUUCCAUUCCUAUGUUUAGUAAUUGACUUGUUAGGACGAUAUUCCUUAGCUACCUUAGUUUCGAGUUAGAGUGGAGCCUUACACUCUAGUUAACAUCACCAGUAGCAGACCUGUAGCAGUAGGCCAGAUUAUUAACACCCGCACUUCCCCCUUCCACUCUUAGGCUCCUGUCUUUGAUUCUAAUACUUUUAUGCGAUGGGACAUGUUAGAGGCUUGCUUUCCUAGCUGUCAGUAUUACUUUACUGGAUAUCAGUCUAUACUCUCUUGUUUUGAGUCUCCCCUAACUGCUUAUCAGCCACCAAGUCCUAGUCUCUGGGGUUAUGAAAGUCAACCACAUAGUCCUUUAGUAGCGCCUAUCAGUCAACCCCGGGUAACUUGGUCUUUGUUCGUUCGUGCCAAAGUCAAUAAAUUGGUUGAUGAACUUCACCAAUAGGGGAAUCCAGCGCUACCUUAUUUAUUAGAAUAAUGAAAUGUAAGUAAACUAAGCAAGCUUUAUUCACCAGGGCAGGGCGUACAAUCAUACUCCCGGGUAGCGCAAAGCCUUAGAAAACCCGCAGCGAAACAACCAUCUGUAUUAAUUAUUAGAUUCUAUUAGUAUCACCCUCAUUGCUAUAAGUCCUGAAACCACUCCCGUUGUAUUCAAAGCAAAGUAAGUAUACCAGUCAGAGCUAUAAGACUCAUUUACUUGUUUGGUAUCGCCUGUCUAUUAUAUGAGAAUAAAAUAACCACUUAGCAACCUAUCUUGUAUAUCAACCUUACUCUCAUGCCACCUAAGUCCGAUACUGCUCUAUCUCAGCCUAUCUCCCCCAGCUAUCAAACGAAAACUACUGUUCGAGAGGCCUACUUUACCGUUUCUCGUUCUCCAACACUAAUGAACCUAACCCUAGCUUGAAUUCCAUAUUGAACUUAUUGUUGAGCCUAGACUUGUUCCUAAUAAUCUUGCCUGAAAACGGAAACCUCUUGCCUUGACUCUUACUUGCUAGUGUGAACCUGCCUCUUUUGUGCACCUAAUCUUGCUUCUUAGUUAUGGAAUCCAGCUACUGCUGAAAGGGCUGCUAUUCAUAGCUAGUUUCAUAGCUGGUAUCGAGUUACCCGAUCCUGUAUCUAGGUAUCUAUUUCCUUUCCUCAAAUCCGUAUUGCACCUCUAUCCAUAUCAGUCUGUCUUUUCUGUCUCUAAGCCUUACAUGCUUUAACUGCGGAUCUAACAUCUGGCUUCGAACCUUGCAUUACUCCAUCUCGAGGCUUGCUCUGCUGGCUAUCUCUUACUAUAUCCUUAUUUGGAGUCCGAUUCCCCUAAUAAUGAGAGUCGAACUGGUAUCUACCUAUAUGAUUAAAACAAGCAACGGACUCACUACCGCUACACUCUUUCGAUCCAGAUCUUUGCUUGAAUCCAAUAGUGCCUUGUCCAGUCCGUAAGGGGAAAGGAAUUGUUAUAACAACUCCUUUGUUCGUCUACCUGUUUUCGUUCCUUUCUUUGUGCUAUAACCAAGUCCUGUAUUCGGGAGCUUGCCCUACAGGUAGUGACUAGACCACUUGCAUAUCGAACGGAUCUUACUCUAAAGGGAGUCAUUGCGAUAUUACCUAGGAAUUUACAGAAUACCAAACUUGGAUAAUAGGUAGACCACUGCAGAGAACCCUUUCGUAGCUACGUUCCCAAUAAAAAGCCGUAAUCCUUCUUUCGCCUGUUAGCCACAUCAAACCUAAAACCUAAUAAACCAAGACUCAGUCACGAAACCUCACUGCACACUAUAUCUGUCUUCAGCCAAUAAAAGACGUCUAUACUAUAGAGAAUCUGGCUCGAAAAGAAACUAGGGAUCAUGAACCCCCUCCAUAAUUCUUUUAUACAGAAUGCUCCCUUUUCCGCACGGGCUAGAUAGCAUUUCUUUUGUCUUUGUCUGGAUGAGUCUCGGAUCAGUAUAGGAUAGCACUCGUCCCUCUUAUCCUUUAGCUUUCGUGUGUCGUGGGAGUAUACCUAUAGUGAGGCAGGAUUCCAAGUUUCAUUUAUGUUUUAGAGAGGAAAUUCCACUUUUCUUUACCUUUACCGGCGGAUGUAUGAGCUGCUCUGAUCAAAUUGGUUGACUUUUACGUGAAGUUGGGCUUAAACACCGAGAGAAGAAUUCAUGAUAACUCGUAGCUACUGAAAGAGGAUAGGUUUAUGAAAUGCUUUAGUGAAUACCACCCGCCUUCCACUGGCCGAUCAAUAAUAGUAGGCAUUCCGCCAGACUCCAUGACUCGGGUUAGGUUAAUCAGCUCCACUCCCUAUGCUAUUGAUAUGCUCGAGCCUGAUCGCUCAUAUGAGGACUUCCACUUUCCAUCGGCCGGCAAGAGUUUCGUCUUACCCGCUUAAUUGCCCGAAACCAACCUUGAAAGGAAUAGUUUGAACUAAUUGCCUGUUUACCAACAAAAGUCGGGUAGGGCAGGGAAUGCCAAUGCCUUUGAUCAGAGUCAGUCAAUCUCCUACUUACUAUGCAACUCGCCCUUUGUGUCUUUAUCAUUAGGCAGCGACCCUUGUCAAGGUCUUCCUCUUGACUUUUGACUAUUAGGCUUACUAUGACCACACUGGUCACUUUCUUUCUAACCACAAACGGGAUCAAGGGCAUCAUUUACUUACAGCGGCAACUAAUUCCCUGCGAUAGAAACUUUCCAAUCUCUUAUGUUUUGGAUAAGAGAAGACUAUCUUAGCUCACGGUAUCACCUCAGUGCUUGCCCAUAAGGCGGUUUAGGUUCGAUCGGGUGCCCUUUUGAUCGAUGGGAAGCGAUAAGACCCCAAUGAGAGGAUUGGCAUGAGAUCUGUUUGGUCUCUUAGGUGAGCUCAAUCAUCAUUGCCCAAUAGCUGCUCUUUCCUUGGGGAGUGGAAAGUGGGCAUCUACCUGGCUGUUAGGCCGCCACAUCUCUUCCGCGACUCAAGAGAUCCAGUGUUCCGGCGAUUCUAGCGACCACCAAGGACCUGACUGCAUUCUUUCCUGCCGGCCUCCAAACCCAGGUGAGUAAGCACAAAACUAACGAUGUUACACUCGCGUAGGGUACGUAGCGUUCAGGAACAGGAGGUAUCAAAGGUAGAAUGGGGUACUCGCCGCUACUAGUACCAACUUCCCUGAAAUAAUGGUUCCCUAUCUGUGUGUAGCCCCGGUCGAGAGGCAAACUCGAAUAUUCAACACCUUUUUCCUUUCGCGCAAGAGAGAUCAAAGAAGCACUUUCGAGCGUCAUUUAGAUGUCCAAUCCCUACGCAGCAGAAAUGGUACACUAUCGAUCCAAGCCGGGCCGAUAAGAUGAGAUGGACUAGAAGAAAGAUGUGGCACUAUCUUUGACAGUUUUUUCGAAGUAGGGGCGCUAUGAUAGAAAGGAUUGGUUCACCCUGAGGGAAUGGUACCAUAUAUGCUUUAGCCUGUGCUUACCGACCGUCUUAAGGCCGACAUUUCCUUCGUGUGGACAGGACAGGACCUUUGUCAAGGUCUUCGUACGUGUGUAUCAAGGCAUUAUCAAGGCUUUCUACGUUGGUUGGACUGGAAAAGGACAAUGGCCUCCUAUACUUGGCCCUAAAUUCGUUACCAAAGCAAAACUCAAGCAUUCGGGUAAAAAGACAUCAACUGAGAAGAGAUUGCUUGCUCAGUCUAGGCAGGAGCUUAACUGUGUUCGGGUGCUGAAAGCCUUUCUCGGAUCAUUUGGUUGGUCGAUGUAUUAAGAGAAAGAGAACAGACAAGAAGGGGGUCAAAUACCAAGCUAAAGAAGGAAAGUGGAGUUCUCGUGAUGCUUGCUGUGCUCGGAAAGCCCACUACUUAUGAUAUAUAUUUAUAGGUCUUCCUACUACCAAAUAGGGAAGGAGUAAUCUUUAGGGAUGAUAAGGCGGUCAGUGUCUAAUAUUUCCUCUCCUAUGAGAUUCUCUGAGCGGAUUAGUCGAUCGAUUUAUGGUCCUAGGCUAUCUGCUUGUAUUAUAGCUCGGGUAGGUAAGGUUCCAGUAGUCGUAGUAGUAAGGAGUCAGUAUACAUAUUUUAGAGAGAAUGAAUUGUUGUGUUACCACGAGAAGAGGGCAGGGAAAGUUCAUUGAGCAAAGCCUAAGCUCUUUGAAGAGACAUGAGACAAUGGGCGCGCUUACGAAUGCCAAAGCAAAAGUCCGUGGUCAAGACUUAUAUAUACCCGACGAAGAUCUUGCCUCAAUAGGCUAAGGUCGGUCUUCUCCUAUUCUGUCAAAUAAGACUAUAGCUUAGCGCCCUCUGUUUAAAUGAACUAAUCCAGAGCUUGUAGCGAUUCCUCUACCUACUGGUAAUGUAUGCGAGAUUGGAGCCGAGGAGCAAGCAGUUAUAGGUAUACAAGGUAUGGAACCAUCUCUGUCUUAAAAGGAACGGAAAUGAGACAGAGCAUAGGAAUGACACGUGAUGUAAAACCAACUCCUACUCCAUUUAGGGAAUUCGCACUCGCUGUAACUGAACUUGAUGGGCGAGCGGAGCUCUCUUUACAGUCGGGGAUGAUAGGCGGACUAGGGAUAUUUUCAAGCUCUCUAGAUUCAGGGAUAUUAGAUAGAGGCUGGCAACUAAGGAGCUUCCCCUACAACGGCAAUGGUACUGCAGGAAAAGGCCUUAUUCAACAGCAAGCUUUCAAACUCAUUUGCUUUUGUCCGAGAAUCCACUUGCUCACCGGAAUGCUUACCCCUAUAGCUUAUUACUAGCUCGCUAGCAUCAAAUAUCCUUAUGGAAUUGUCAGUUUCAAAGGGGACAGGUAGGUACUGGCUAUGCAAAGAAAAUAGACCCUACUUAUUGACUGUACCAUAUUCUCUCGUCUGUGGAUCGCCAAAUACACUUAUACUCUAAUCUCAAGUCCAACCCUAAGGAGAGCAAAGGGAUGAAGCAGCAUCUAACCUUUCUUCUACUCUCGAUUUACAAGAGAAAGGAAAAAUGCCUACGACAGGAGGGGCUAAGCAAAGUAAGGGGAUGGUAAGAAAAACACCAAUAAGUCCAAAGAAAUGGCUCAACAAUGGCAGGUAGGAGGACAGCAAUUGGAACUAAAGCCUCAGGCAUAAAAAACAGAUUAGAUAUGAUAAGAGAAAAAACAGAUGAGAUAUGAUAAGGUAAUACGAGAGAAAUACUAGUCAAGUUAGUAUAAUAUACUUAGUAUAUCGUUAGCCCCUUUUCGCCUUAUGUUGAGUCAAUCAAAGACAGCUGAUAUGCGAUAUGACAGAAAAGAGUGUUUUCUUAAUUCGUUGAAGCCUGUAAGCAAACAUCAAAUCCUUGAGCCCGAUCAAAAGUUUCAUAUUUGGUUUAUGGAAGAACGGGAGAUCUUUUUUCAUAGCCUGUUAGAAUAGAAAAGCCGGAAAGCCUUAUAUCUUGAAAUGCAUUCAGAAAGUUGAUGAGAAAAUACAUGGAUGUUCUAGGGGGCGCACUUCUGACCCUAAAACCCCUUAAGGGAAGGGCGGUGACAACGGGUAGGAUAAAUCCAUUUAGGUUGUUUGGGCUCUAUAGGGAUUUUCUCUUUCUCCUCUUUGACAAGAGAUGCUUACUUCAAAUCGUAUUUUCUCACAUGGGCGACAAAGAUUGCUAAGAUCGGAUCGAGGAAUCGCUAAAAUCUAGAAAAAGAGGACUGACCCUCACGGGAAUUCCCUUCUUCAACUCAAUCUAAAGUGCAAAACUGUGACACGGCAUAUGGGCCGCUACCUCCCGGCUCUGAGACUGCUACGCUGCUAGGCUCUUUUUGAUUCUCUUAUUUUCUAAUAGAAUGUCCGAAGAGGAGUAGCCCACCGCACUUUCCAUCUUUUUCGAGAUCGUUCCCUUGGUCUUCCUCAGAAUUAUGUAGGCCAUCCGCCUAAUGGAGUGGGCUUAGUUGAGUCUCCUUACUCUUUUCAUUCAUGAGCUAGGAGGACUAUAAUCUAAGGGCGAUUCCAAUCCUUAGCUUAGAAAAGCGUCGGACGCCUUGUAGUCCUUGGUGAGCGGAUAGAAACCAGUCUCAAUAGAAAAGCGAUUCUUCUUAAUAGAAGUAGGAUAUGGAUCCGGAUCAGAGGAUAAAGUAAGCGACGAAGCUGGAGAGGAGGGCGAUCUUUCUAUUCUAGACAAAAUGCCAUAGAACAGGCGUCACGUGGGCAAGCAAGAUAGGGAGAAUUCUUCCUCAUUUGAUUAGUGGAACAGAGGUCACUCUCGAAUUGACUGAUUCCGAUUGCCCCCCGAGUUGUAGUCCAAGUUGUCAAUGUCCCGUUCUAGCUCAAAUGUUGUAUAUAUAGUUUAUUGACUUAACCGAGAUUCUGGCCUUCUCUUACCUUGUAGUGAAACUAAUCAAUAAGAAACACCGGGGCGUAACUAAACUAUGCACUAUUUGCCUUGCUUGACUUUGAUGAUGGCUGUACUUAAGAAAAGCCCCUUGUAGUGGUUGGUAGGUAAGACCAAGGAGCUGGAAACAGGACACUGAUUGUCCCGCUCUAGUUUAUGUAACUCACAUUUGAAAGGAUGCUUUCACGCUAGAAGGAUAGGAAGGGCGAUAGUAAGCAGCUUGGUAGGAAAGUGAGUUCUUCGGUUACUUCCAAUUAGUUUAGUUAGGUGCACUCAAUUCAACAACAAGCUUUUGCGCUAAGGCAAUCAGGAUAGAGAGGUUAUGUUCUUGUGCUCUAAUUUCUAAGGCUGUUGAUGCUGCUUUUACUUAAUUCGCUCUAGCUCCUCUAAGGCCAGUUCCGCUUCUUGUAUUGUCGACAACAGAAUCCGUGGUUUACACACAAAGUCAAAAGAAUGGCUUGUUCGUUCAGAAGAGUUCGACACGACAGAAUUGGAAUUGCAUCAUUUUCUCUAGCGAAUAGGGGAAAGUAUAGAGAGUCACCUCACCCACCUUCACGCGUGGCUCUAGCAAGGGAAGGGUAUAAAGCAAAAGUAGAAGGCAGCUCAAGGAGAAAGCACCAAGGGCAAGAAUUCUUUACAACAAAGUAUAGGGUUUGGUGUGCACUCUCAAUCUGAAUUUCCACGAGUGCUAGGUGAGUAAGGAGAAUGGCUUUGAAAGCUUACGUAAGCACUCCGCAACAAUAAGAAAUACAGGCCCGCGCAUAAGUAAGAAAUAAUUGAUUGUUUGUGACGCUCGAAAGAUGAAGUUCAAGCUGGAUCAGGUGAUUGAUUGGCUUUACGUCGUAGGUGGAGAGAGGUGAUUGUCCGUCCCGCUAGAGCUCCUUGUACACCAGAAUGGGCUUGUCCCGCUUGAGCUCAAAGUACUGAAGUGGAGUAGAGAACUGAUUAAGCUAGGUUAACUUCAGUAGAGUAUGUUUCUUUGGGUACGAGUGUUGAAGUAAGAGAAUCCGCUGGAGAAAGAUCAGAAUCAGAGGCUUCAAGUUCAUUCAUUCUAAGGACAUAAGCACUGUUGGAGAGUUUCCAUUUGUUUGGUACCUAUGAGCUACCUUAAACAGAGGUUAAACAACGAGAAAUGGGCCUUACGAAGCCUUUCUUUAACCGAGAAAUCAUCCUUAUGAAGCGCGGUGAAGUGGGGAAUUGCCUUAUAGUCCUGCACCAAGACUUGAUUCUUGCCCCAACUAACACUUCAUCUUGAUUUCGAUCCCUAGUAUAGAAAUAGUACUACCUACACGGGAAAGAAAAGCACUAUAAGUAGAAGCUCUAUGGCAAAUGUGAGACCUCUAUGGCAACAUAAAUCAAAGAAAUAUAUAUUAUAGGAAUCAUUGUAUUUGUAUAAUAGGGUAGAUCUCGCACAUUAGGUUGUAUACUAAGAGUAGGUCUUAUCUAGUGCAUUAAGAGAUAGAAGAGGGAACUAACCCUUUCAAAAGGAAGAAAUCACCUAUACGAAAACUGGACUUGCAACUCAUACAACACCCGUUAGGGCUUUAGUAACUGACUUGAACUGUCAACUCCCUUUCCUGGUAAGCUAAAGAAGUUAGGCAUUCAGAUCUGAUUGUAGUCAAGGAUGUUAGGCGCAGUCAAAGAAUUCAUGUAAUCUCUCCACUUAUAUAAGCUACAGGUCAACAACUCCCUUACGAGCUCGCAUUCAUUUUAGUGAAGAAUUGGAUUUCAUGGAAACUUCCCCACAUCUGAGGAAUACACCGUAACCUAUAGCGGUAAACUCCCUUACCUGAUACCUAAACAGCUUCAGAUGGAAUUGAUUCUUCGGCUUAUAAUACUUCCCUUGUUACUAGGGUUAUAUACUAAAUACUCCACUCUAUCCCCUUUACCUCAAACUAACUGGUCAUUCUGUAAUUCUGUAAUGAUGUAAUGAGAGCCCACCGAAAAUGGAGUACUAGGCGCAGAGCAGAGGUAAGCUCGCAAGGACAAGCAAGUCAGCCCAAUAGCAAGGGUUGGUGUUAGGGAGGCCGGGACUUCGUUUUCAAGAAGAGUCGGUCCUUUCGUUAGCUAGAGUUCAUUGACUUGGAGUUAGGUGACCCAGUAAUAUGUCUUUUACCUUAACAAGGAGCGUGAACGUGUGAUAUAGACAAUUUCUCGGGUUUCUCGAGCGGGACUCAUGAUUGCAUGGGUGAGAGAGAGGCCCUGAUUGGACCAGGCGUUACUGCCAAAAGUGCGUUUUUCCUAUAAUCAAUCAAUCCAAAUCCUGUUUAAAGACAGACUGAACACUCCCUAGAGUUAGCGCUCCAAGCCCUCGCCCGAUACCCGACACUUUCCAAGGAAGAAUCCUACUCAGUAUAUCAUCGGUAUGGAUUUCGUUCUCUGGUUCUUGCAGUAAAAAUAGGUGCCUGAAUAAAUAGAAUAGAAGAAGGCUUUCCGCUCCUUGUGCUUACCUCUGCACUGACCUGAGCUUGUGCUCGAAACCUAACCCGCUGCUCCACUUGUUUAGAUAAGCAAAGCCCUACACGAUUCAUAAGGAGACCCCCGGACUUCCAAUCUGAUAUCGCAGUUGACUGGGCUCACUACCUUUCCUUUCAUUCUUUAAUCGCAGGCACGUUAGUUGGUUUUCAACAAUCGGAUCUGAAUUCAACUAGCCAGUCGGGAUGCUGGUCUCCGCAACAAGACCUAAAGGAUCUAUAGUAAUAAUUUGAACAGUGCUUAUAAGAAUGAGCCCAAUGCCGGCAGGCAAACACAACUGCAAUAAAGAACUCCACAUAAUGUAUUUAUUAUGAGUUAUGUCAGCUGAUGUCUUCGUCAACUCUUAACUUCACCUUUCACUAGUGCUUCUAAGAAUUGAGCUCAUCGGUAAUAGAAUGAGAUACCAUCCACAAGAUCUUCGACUUUCAUAUAAGUAGUCGGAAUCAAACACGGAAGCAAGCCUUUCCCCCAUGCCCUUGAGCCUACCCUUCCUUACCGGCACUCUUAAACCUAGUAGGCCGAUAGAUAAAACGACUCCUCCUAUGAGAAUCAAACAAGGCAUCCGGGUCCACCCAGUAACGUAUAAUUUGAUGCGGAGGAGUUGUUUCCCCUAGCUAUAAAACUCACUAUCCUUGGUUAAGAUCUACCGCUACUUGCUUUUCACCUAACACUCUUUACUUUCGUUCUUAUACUCCUCGGUUGCACUCUUUACUUGAGGUUAGAGCCUUCCCUUCCCCUCUAUGAAUUGAAGUAUACUUCUCCUUGCUUUCCGGCUUAAGCGCUUUUUUCGAAUUCUAAUACUCGUUGAUACGAUCCAGUGCAUCCAGGUAAGGGAGCAGUCCAGUCAAUCUGUAUACUACUAAAGAACUAACCUAUUAGUCAAAGAAUUCCAGUGGAGUGGAUAAAGUCAGAAUCUUCACCCGAAAGCAGGAUCACUGUAACCAAGUCCAAGAACGAGUAGGUGUAUUAGGGAAUCCAAAUCACAGGUAAGAAUCAAAGAAAGGAGUAGGAACUAAAGUAGUGCCCCCCGACCUACAAGCUUGAAGCACGGAACUCGGGCUUAACUAACGGAUAGUCAGAAUUGGGCUAGCGCUAAUAAGACCUUAGCUCAAAACUAUGACUAUUGCUACAGCCUCUAAUACGGAUUCUUAGAAUCUGAAAUGAACUGUAGUAAACCAAGCCAAGCCCUCCCUUACAGCCUUCGAGACUUGUCUUACCGCCUAAGAGCCUGUCUUUACUGCUUUACAUGCUUUAACAGCGGAUCUGGAUCCUGACUUGAAUCCCUUAACUAGUGGUGUGCCUUUCAUCUCUUAUCUCACUAUAAUAAAGAAAUAGAGAAUACAGGUGUGAUCUAACGCACCUACUGGAUAACUAGAAUACUACUUAUAGGCGGUAGAGUAAGCCCUAGUUCCAGUAUAGGGAAUGCUAGUAAGAAGUAACAGAGUCAAAGGGUGUAUUAAGAAUCAAAGCCAAUAACGUGUCCUAUAAGGAUUGUUAACUACUAAUACAAAGAAUAGAACUAGUGAGGGCAAGCAUGAAACUCACACCAAUCAGAAUGCAACCAGUAAGUAGAAGCCUUAAAUGUCCCUAACUAGUCCAAGAAUGCAAAUAGUGAAACUAAGACUUCCACCUGUGCUGGGCAGAAUGGACUACUGUCUGCUAAGACUUCAACUAGAUUCCGACCCUUAUUAGAAUUUCUUCACCCCGUGCUCCUCAACCUGAUGAUGCUACAAGGGUGCUUGGGCUGCUGCUAGGUAUGCUCAGACUGGCACUGCUGCUACUGAUGCUCUGUAUUGGUAGCUAGGGUCUCAAUUGAUUGAGCUAGUAUUGGUAUGUAGCCUAGGGAGUUAGAAUCAAACCAGUGAACCAAAGAAUUCCAGAAUNNNNNNNNNNNNNNNNNNNNNNNNNNNNNNNNNNNNNNNNNNNNNNNNNNNNNNNNNNNNNNNNNNNNNNNNNNNNNNNNNNNNNNNNNNNNNNNNNNNNNNNNNNNNNNNNNNNNNNNNNNNNNNNNNNNNNNNNNNNNNNNNNNNNNNNNNNNNNNNNNNNNNNNNNNNNNNNNNNNNNNNNNNNNNNNNNNNNNNNNNNNNNNNNNNNNNNNNNNNNNNNNNNNNNNNNNNNNNNNNNNNNNNNNNNNNNNNNNNNNNNNNNNNNNNNNNNNNNNNNNNNNNNNNNNNNNNNNNNNNNNNNNNNNNNNNNNNNNNNNNNNNNNNNNNNNNNNNNNNNNNNNNNNNNNNNNNNNNNNNNNNNNNNNNNNNNNNNNNNNNNNNNNNNNNNNNNNNNNNNNNNNNNNNNNNNNNNNNNNNNNNNNNNNNNNNNNNNNNNNNNNNNNNNNNNNNNNNNNNNNNNNNNNNNNNNNNNNNNNNNNNNNNNNNNNNNNNNNNNNNNNNNNNNNNNNNNNNNNNNNNNNNNNNNNNNNNNNNGAAAGCUCUUCUCUUAAUAUAGGUUCCCAAUAAAUCCAUAGGUAAGGUUCCCAAUAAAUCAUGCCUUCAUUCCUUUCUCAUUUACUACUUAUUCAGUGAAGCGCUCCCCAUGCUGAUUGAUUGACUUCUUUUUCUAGGAAGAUCUCAACUCUUUCUUGUCCACCCUAUUCACUUCAUAUAUCUUCUUUUUUACCAACCACAGAUUAUUAUCCAUAUCAAGGCAAGCAACGGACAAACAACGCGAAGACACCAAGUAUAAGAAAUCACAUAUCAAUUAAUUCUAUCUUUAGAAAUGCUAUCUUUAGAAAUGGAAUCUAUCCCAGAGCUCCCGUAAGCUGAAGAAGGCUUAUUUUGCACUCAAUGAAAUUGAAGCUUACUUGCGCACUGCUUCUAUUGUGGAUGACAACUAAGGUAAAGCACCAACCUAUCUCUACUAGGGAAAGCGGAAACAUUACCCUUUACCUCAGACAGGAGUACCGAUACUGACUUCAAGUAUUCAUUCAUAUCUCCCCACUUAAGAAGAACAGGUAGGCGGGAAAGACAGAUUGGGUUUUCUCUAAUAAGGGAUUGAAGUAAGUAUUGCCAGUCCCAACAAGACGUUCUGCGCGUAAAGUCACCUCGCAUCCCUUUACUCUAAACUGUAUUCAGUAAAUUAAGUGUUAGAAGUCAAGUAAUCAAAUUAGAUGAUAGGAACUACAACAAAUAUCAAUUCUUAACAACACUCUAAGACCGACACGUAAGCACUUAUGCUAACACACCCCGCUCCGCCAGUGGGCAAUAAGCUCUUGCUCCCUUACUUUUCUUCUUCCUUCUGAAUCGCUAAGUAACACAUCUUCUCAAAUUGGAUGAAAGAACAAUGCAUGAAUUUUCCAGACCAUCUCCUCGUGGGGCUAUCUUAACAUAACUUUCUUAAUUCAAUACAAAAUCCCAAUUAGUCGCAUAGUUUUUCUAGUAUAGAAGGAUUGAGUAACUAAACAGCGAAACACUACUUACUAGCUCUGCCACUCUAGAGAAAUAAUAGUUUCUAGAUAGAUACUUAUAGAAUACAGUAAUAGUUGAUAGAUAGAUAGAAUACAGUCAUUUUGGAUAGACAGAUACUUAUAGAAUACAGUAACAAAACAAUGCUUUGCCUCUUUUUCGAACUCCCCGGGUGCAACUCAUUCAUUUGACUGAACUGCUUGGCUUGCAACAUUUCAUCCUAGCGACCCUUGCUUCUUCUGCUAACUCACUACUUUAAUAACUUGCUUUCCGGCGUACCACAACAGGAUCUAUUAUUCGCCUUCUAACAUAAACCCACUUUUUCACUAACGCCCGAACUCAAAUAAGCUUCUGCUUUAUCUUCUUCCAGCUUCGUUAGCGCAAGUCCUGUUUGUUUUCUUACCCGAGAUCAUAUAGCACUCAAAAAUAUGACCUCCUAUUCUAUUGGUUAGCUAGUUUCACAACAGCCUUUACUGUCUCAAUGAGCUUCCCCCUUAUUGAUAGCUCUCCAGCAAUGGAAUAUAAUGAUACUCUCAUGCCACUUGCCUGAUGUCAAAAGAGUGUUGGAUUGAAAAAGGGUAAAUCCACUCGCAUCUUCACUAUUAACUCGCAUCUUAACAAUUUGAUAGGUCCUAAGGCAGUUUCGUUUUUCUUUGAUGCUUACGUUGGGCUGGGUGCAACCCCAUAAUCAAUGCUCAUAUAAAGUCAGGGCAAUCCGUUGAGGGUUUUCAAAGUUCCUCUGGUCGACCACUACUCUACUGGGUAAAGCCAAUAACCUACACAACACUUUAAACGUACUCGAACCUAGACUUCACUCAAAACACACUUCUUAUCCAACUCGAUCUUCAUCAGGCAAACCCUAACGGCUGAAACAGCAUUUCUCAGAAUUCCUUAUGCUUGAAAUGAAAGCGGAUUGGUCACUUUUCCACUGACUUCCGCUUACAGCCUUGACGGAUCCUACCUAGGCUAGGCUAGGCCUAACAUCGGAUGAAAGAGUUAACUUACUCAGAUUCUUCUUCUGGAAUGAGGGAUGAAUGAGUUCAUGAGCUUGACUAAAUGGAGUAAGGGCUGGCUUCCUUAGCUAAUGCGCAGGUUUAGACCAUAGCAUCAGCAGCUUUCCUUUAGUGUUUUUCUGGAUAAACCACAAUGGAUAGGCGGUCAAAAGAAGGGCCCUUACUAUUAAUUCGGAACGAGGCAAGUGCUCUUCUUGAAUGCACCGGCUGAUGAGUCGAGUCGUUGAAGCAGAAAGCUCAAUUCAAAGAUAGGCGCUAUAAGGAGUUAGACUUAGACCCUUUCUUUAUCUAUGAAAGACCAGUUUAGAGGGAAGCAAGCCUAUGACAGAGCGUACAAGCCGAAAGAUGAAACCAAGCCUACAAAAGCUAGCAGGCAUAAGCACUAAUUAGGUCCCUAAUAAGGCCCAGCAAUGCAUGUUGAUAUAGUCCACUGGAACGAACUCACAACUCAAUGGGGAAAUUGGCUUAUAGCACGACUCGAAGAAAAGAGGUGUAUUUAUAAGAACAACAAUUCUCGAGCGGCCCAGCAACGACAAGUGAAACUUCACACAGCCAGGAAGGGUUGAACAAAUCUCCGCGCUUCAUCGCGGAUGGGGGCAUUAAGGAGUAGUCACCGCUCGUCCGCGGGGCUCUUUUAUGGUAACUACUAUGGACGAGUGUACAAUGUCAAAGUGUGCAUUUGCAUUCCGCGGUUUCACCAACUCGCUCUUGUCCAGUAGGCCCAACGAACGAAUCGAAUUCCAAUGGAUUGAUCACAGGGACCUCUGCGAUCUAAAGCUUCGACCGAGAAAGGGAAGUUCUGAACGACCCGACGAUGCCACGCGCAACUACCUGAAGUGUGUAGUCAUUGAGCCCGGCCCUUAACGUCCUCCCCACUCAGAGUCAGACCUUUUGAUCAUGUCGUUGCUGUGCCGCAGGGCGCCCCUUUAGUUCCUUUACUCAUGAUCUCUCUCUUUAGUAGGUGAUGAUCUUACUCUGCAGAGAGGUGUGGCUUCUCCUGAAUGCCAAGAAAGACCAGUAUUGGCCCUUUAGCAAGCCCUUGCAGCCAUCUCACAUUAAGUCACCUAUGCUUCCGAGAGUAGCAUAAGAUACUUGUGAUGGAAUUUCGCCUUAAUGAAUGCGAGAGAUUCAUCCAAAAACCAAACCGGAUGACUAUAUGUUUCAGCAGAUCAUAAGCGAGCCUGCGCUAGCCUUGCAAUCAUUCAUCAACUUCAAGGCGAGUUCGAAAGCUUUACAAUUGACUUAAGGAGAUCUCUCUCUUUCUCUAGAUCUCUUUGGAGAGCCCUUCUUUUAGCUCUUUCUUCGGAGUAGACGGACUAGGAGUUACCGAUUCCGGACUCAACAACUAAACAAGUCCUGAGCAAUGUCCCUAUGCAAUGUUCCUGUCUUGAGGCUACUUUGCCUGGUUGUUUUACUUAGUCUUUCUUUCCUUGACAAGAGAACAGCCCUUAGGUUAGGGGCGGAAAGAUCACAUGUUUUUUCACACUGUUUUAUUAGGAUUCCUUCUGAGCCGGUAAACCUACAACUAUACGAACAGUCCUCUACAUUUCGGCCAAGGAUGGCAAAUCAAACAACUUGAUGUCCUUUCACUUACGACACUCAUUUUCAUGAAUGACACUGAGUAAAGAGCCUAAUCGACGACUAUAAGGUCAUUGGAAAAAGCGAUUCUUUAGGCACGAUACGAUUCUUCCUCAUAAUAAGACUCCACCAUGAAAGGCUGAGGAUAGUCUCCCUACUGGAAGGCUCCUAUAUGCAAAAAUAUAUGUGACUGCGACAGAACCGGCUGGAAGUCCUGUCUGCUGGGUCCAGCACUCUUCUACAAUUCAUCUACAGUCUAAGACCAGCAGCCGACCAACCUCUUUUUUGAGAAACGUAGCAUAGUCGCUUCCGGUGAAAGAGGUGCUCCUGUCUUUGGAAGAUACUUUCUUAGAGCCCAGCCCACAUAGUGAGUGGUUUCCCGGACCAUGAAAGUCUCUCUAAAGCUUGCAUAGUCGCUUCCGUCUUUGGAAAGCAGCACAGUUGCUCCCUUGGGAUAUUUGAUGAUGAAAGCAAAGUUCCCAGCUGCCGAUUGAUGUUUCACUCGUGUAUAAUCCAUCUGUUUGACUCAAUGAAUUGCUGGCUUCCUAUCAACUCGAAUAGAUUGAAUCUUGGCAGAGUUAGUGACCCACUUUAUAACCAUCUGCCUAUACGGGGCAAAGUAAUCACUUGAAAGGUUUCGGAAGAAAUCCCUACUUGGGAGCUAAGCUUGGAUCAGAGGUGGCUUUACUCUUAAGAAAUUCGAUUUCAUAUUUGUGCUGCCGCUCUAACUUCUAUUGAUAGACCCUUCGUGGAGAGAGCCAUUAUUGGGCAUAUAGAAAUCAGUACUGUUCUGUGCCCCGACUACGUCCUCUUUUUUGUACCAAAAGGCCGACACUAACAGAGCAGGGGCCCACUAUCAAAUCUAGGAGUUACCGGGGGGCUAGGAAAGGGGAAAGUCAGGAAUAACACAUGAGCGACGGGCGAAGAGCAGGGAGAUCGCCUUCGGCCCAUAGAGAAAAGUAUCAAACCAGAAAAAGAGAAAGCAGCUUGAGGUGAGUAUGGGAGGCAAAGCUGGAUCUCAUGAGUCAGUGCGACCAUGCCCGGGUCCCGAUUCCUGACACUGAGCUAACUUUCAUUGAAAUAGGGGCUGACGUCAGCGACACGGAGGAAAGCUAAUGCGAUUUGGAUAAUCAUGUUGCGAGGAACGGGAUGCGACUAUCUGUUUCCUUUGCCCAAAAGCCUUCUGCAACAACAUAAAUGGCACGUGAUAAGAUCUGCUGCAAGGAUACGCCAGGACAAAGUAGCGGCAGGGAUAAAGAUUCCAAAACUUCUUCUAUUGACAGAAGAUAUGGGAAAAAGCGGAUGAGAUGGGCAAGUCAAGUUUUCGUCCUGUUUCAUAAGAUAAGAUAAGGGGCCGAGCAACUGGUCUUUGCCCAGCUAUAAUUGCACAAUUUAUAAAGAAUGCUCUCAGCUGUAUUGUAUUCAAAGCCAUGAAGAAGAUCUUCUGGACCUUAACUCUGUACCAUUGGAUGCCAGAGUGUAGGAUUUUAUUGAGUAAGAGGAUCAAGGUGUUUUUGGUAACCGGAGCGAAAACUCUAAUUGAAGAUACUUACAUGGGGGUAAACGAAGCCCCGAGCCCACCUCUGACUCUAUAGGCGAUUCAACACUCUCCCUAAUGGAGGGAACAGUAUAAAAAUGAAAGAAGAACUUGGAAUGGUGCUUGCUAGGAAUGAAGCAAAGAUACUUAAUAAGAAAAUGUCUGAGGUAUUUGAUGGAUCCGUUGCUAAGCCAAAGACUCGAACAGUAUCAUUGGCUGCUAUGAUUGGAGCUGUGAUAUUAGCUAUGGCGUUAGGUUAAUCAGUAACAAUAAGGGAAUUGUGCUCUAAUUUAUGCAGUUAUUUAGGCUACAGCUAUUCAUAGUUUAUUGUCAACUUCGUAGAUAGAGGAAAGAAGGGAGAGUGGAGUUGCUUAGAAUGACACUUAAUAAACAGCAACUCAUUCAUUUGCUCAAAUCACCACCAUUACCAAACCCACUUCGUUAACCUUCUCCAUUUUUUCUACCUGGGAGUCGGAUACUUCCUUUGCAACUUACAUCCUCUUUUCCACGCUACACUUUCGAAGCUUUCCUCUCCGCGGAUCUAAGCGUAGAAUCUAAGAGAGAAUUUCACGGGGAUAUAAUACUAUUCUGCAUAUCGGUCUCCCAAAGCCUAUAUUGUUGGUUUGGAGUUGAACACAGCUGAUAGCAGGAUGAAGCAGCAAUGCAGCUUGCGAGAGGCCGCUUGCUCCUUUGUCCACUCUAUUUAGCAUGGUCCUACAUUGAAUGGAUUGGUGGGAACAAUCCCCUGAUCAUCAUCACCAUGAUUCUAUUGUUACCACUUAUAAAAGAAAGAUGAUAACUUCGCUGUUGGAAGUCUGUUAUAAUUGGAGCUGGGAGGGGGCCCCUCGGAGAAAGAGAUCCAUCUUUGAGCUUACUCGGUGGUCUAGCUCUGCUAAAGUAGUGAUAGGUAAGGUCCCUCGGAGCGAAGUGGGUCGGCUCUUUACCUAUAAUAUAGAGCUGGGGAAUCUUUCUAAAGAGGGGAGGGGAUUCUUGAAGAGUGGAUUCGUGAACAACUGACUUUCUUCCACUUAUUAAUCCCUCUGAGCUUGCAAUUGAUCCUUCCAUUUCUGCUCUCGCUUAACUGAUUGAAUACGAGGCCGCUAAGGAAGAGCUUUUUAUGGUUGUCCUACUCGGGGAUAUAAAUUGGAUUGAUUAAGGCAUUCUUGUUGAAGCAUAAAUGUCCACCCGUAAAGACCAGUGACUGCUACUCACGAGAUGGCAAAUGGUUGAAAGUCCAAAAGUCAAGCGGAAAAUCCAGUAUGAAAGGAACUCAGACAAAAGGCAGCCACUCAGAGGUGAAGCAAAGCACGCCCUUCAGAUUCAUGUGCACAAUUGCUUUCCGCUAUGUAACAAAGCUUCCGACAACUGGGCCUAACAACAAGGGACUAAGCGCGAGUUCUGCUGUACGAUUCUAUUACUAUGGAUGCCUCCUCCUCUUCGCCAAUCGGUCAAAGCUCAAUCCCAACUCUAUCACUAAGAAAACACGUAUUCAUUCGUGAAAGAAACCCCUCCCUCAGUUGAAGACAGAAAAGAAAAUCAAGCAUUCGCCUAUUUACAGACAAGGCAAGCAGAGCGAAUAAAGAAAGAUUUACAUGUCAGCAAUCAGGCACAACAUUAAUUCUGUCUCUUUCUUUCUCUUUGCACGGAAAUAGCCUCUUGACUGUUGAGGUGGUUAAUCAAAUGAGAAUAGUAGAAGAAUGAGAAUAGUAGAAGAAUCGGACAUGGAAUGCGCUCUUAUCGGCGUAAAGAAAGAAGGAGUCUUGGUUAAGCCAGAACUUUGCCAGCUUUAAGUGCAGUUCCUUGCCUUCCCCAUUCUUUCGAAGUUGCUAGUACUCUCUCUCUCCUUUGCUCCAAGGGCGGGAUAAUAUAAGCCAUAAUAUAAGCCGGGAUACUUUGCUCCAAGGACGGUCUAAUAAGAAAGACGAAUAAGAUAUUCAGAUGUUUCUUAUCAAGUCAGAAAUAGGGUUGAAGGGUUGUGUUGGGCAUAGAGAAAAUGGUCAGAGGAGAGAGAGCUCGGUUCAACAAGUGGAGGUCGAGGCCGAAAGGAAGCAUAUUCCUAUACGCCGCUAAACUCACCUUGCUUCGCUCGUGUCUCCUUAGCACUCACUGUUAAUCGAGUCUUCCAUGCCCAACGACCUCGUGGAGUUCACUCCUUCCCUCCUCAUCGAUGACGCUGCCUUCCCUCUCUAUCCCUAUAUUCCAGUACAACGGCGGAAUCGUGUAUAGGGAACUCGACUAGCUACCUACCUAACCUAAUUUGAACCGGGAUCAAUGAUUGAUCUUAGUGAAACAUCUGACCCUCCACGACUUGGAGCCAGAUCCUCCUAAGAACUUAACAGAGCGUACCACACUGAGAUAGGAAACCGUCUAAGACCGGAAGAGCUAAGAUCGAGCAAGAAUGAAAGCUUGUUUCUUCCGGCGGCGCAGAUCGAGAAGCAUGUAUCUGAUCUCCCCACGAAACUGGCCGCCUUGAACCAUUCUCCUAACGUCCGCGACGGAGCUGAUCUACGCCUCUGCCUCUGCUUACCUUGCUUGCUACUAUCUUCUGAGAAGACAAUAAGACAAACAGCACAGACUUCCCCCCUUCACCAACAAUUGUAGUAAGUAAGUAGUCCCGUAUGACAUUCUUAAAACAUAUUAAUAUCUGGGCACUUUAGGAGGUCAAUCUUCCGUGUUUGAAGCUACUGCUAAAGUACGGACCCUCAUCUUUCUUAAAAGGAUAGGCAAUUGAGCGAGAAUAGGGCAAUAGCGAUAGACACAGGAACGGAAAUAGACUCAUUAUUUCCAUAGAGAAGAAUUCUAGCACAAAACCACCUUUUCUGUAACAGCGUAUUCUGUGAUUAACUGUCACAACCCAUUAAAAGAGCUUCUUCUUAUUCCAUGCUAGCUAUGACCUAGCCCCCAAUAGAAGAAAGGCUUAGAAUCAAUGCUUUGACCGGUAAUGCCCCUUCUCUCUCAUAGCCCUGCCCUGCCCUCGUGGGAAUCUCAGAUGUUAGAAAAUCCUCCAAGGCUUCUUCCCCAAGAGCUCUGCUAACACUGGCUAAUGACCUCGCUCGAGCUGAAACAAUGGAAUUCGCCGAGGGGGUUCUUUCACUUAUGAAAAGGUGGUUGAGAUAGAUGGAGCCCUGAACGGAAGUUCCUUCGCGACCUUUCCCUCUACCCUUGGAACAAAUUAAUAGGCGCUUCCAUUGCGAGAACCUUUCAUCCGAAUCACAAACGAAUUGGAAGCAUUUCUUUGAACAGCUGAAAAGCAUUCCACCUCGGAUGAGGAGUCGUUUCCAAAAUAGAAGUCAAGUCAACUGAUUCAAGUUAGUCCAAGCAUUUACUAAUACAAAUAAGGGCAAGAAAGCCUUUGAAACGAGUGAAAAUCUCACUAAAUGGUGAAUUGGUUCAUUUCCAUUGAAGAAUCAUACGCUGGUUGAGAAUAAGCAGCAGGUGUAAGGAGGGAUGGCACUUAGGAAAGGAAAUUGAAGCCAGUUAAUCCAAUAAGAUAAGAAGAGGCAUAUGCAAGACCAGAAGAGGUUGAACAUGAAUCUCUAUAAACUGUAUCGAAAAAAGGGACGUCUAUUAAGGAAAUCGGAUUGAUGCAAAAAUCCACAAUGUUCGGGAGGUUUGGUGAGAGGGGUGGUCUCGGAUAUGGCUCAGAGUACUGCCUCGCUUAGUCCAGCUGAGCUCCAUUAUUGAGACAACCAUAGAGUAAAGGUACAAAAUACAGAGAAAAAGAGUGUAUGCGAGUAAGUGAGAAAGCUUGAGCAUAUUCUUUUCCGUUUACUCACUCAUUUGAGCUCUUCCUGUCGAUCAGUGCGACUCCAACACAUACUGAGAGAGCAGAGCGUCCCUUAUUUGCGUAGUAGCAAGGCUUUCUUUCGUGAGCUAGCCUUGUGUGUUUGCUUCCUCCUUUCCUAUCUGUUUCGGUAAAUGCCUGGCUAUUAAUAAAGCUAGCGUGGUAACGAGACAGUGAGUGAAUCGGUUAACGAGACUGAGGAAGAUGCCUAGCUAGUUUUGAACCAGAGCAGGGAAGUUAUUUAGCUAAAUAGGAAGUUAAGCCCUAGAUUAGCAAAGAGCUCUAUCCGUUCUAUCCAAUAGACUAUGAAGUGAAAAGGCCAGUAGGAAGAAGGUCCAAUUCAAGACAUGCGAAGUAAGUGAAACUCCCGUUCCAAAGUGACCAUAAGGAAGUGGAAAUAAAUAGGAUAACCAGAUUCCUGCCGUUGUUUAUUGGCUGUUAGGUCGGUGAAACUUUCCCUGUAGCUAAAGUCAAGCCAGUAGUUAGAGUUCUAUGUAGACCGGAUGGGACCUAACUCACUAUCUAUGUUCGUACCUCCCAAAAGUUGACCCUCAGUCCGAGUUAGCUCUUAUAGUUCAGGACAGUAUAGGACCCUUAGGGCUUUGGAAGCGAGCAACCAACCCGGCAGAAGUGGAUAGGAAGUUUAUGACAAAGGUAGCUUAGCUAAGUAAGAGUCCGUAAGUCAACUGAUCAGGUGUAGCGAUAGAGCGGUUUAGUUGACUCUUUCUCGAUGCUUUUCAUAGCGUAGUAAAGUACCCGACCCAAGGGAAGAAGUCCACUUCCCAUACUAGGAAUUCCCAGAUGAUUUGGCAAAAAAGAACCCAAUAGUAUGAGAACCUUAAACACUCGGAGUUCUGUCUUUAUUCAACAGUAAUAAAGGUUAUUAGCCUAACGGUGCUUUUUAUUACCUUAUAGCCUUUCGUAAAAGCAAGCACCUAAAAGAUGCAAUUCCUUUCGAAAUAGGGGCUUCCUAUAUCACCUCGAACAAGAAAUCGAUCUCCCUUGAAAAACACUAAGAGUUCCGAAUCGAAAAAGUAAACCGAACUUGAAGGAAGUUCUUAUCCUAGAAAGAGUAACCGAGUGACAAAAAAACCGGGCCAAGGAACUACUGUUGUCCAUGUAAGGGCUCGAGCUAUAGGGGGAGGUAGGGAAGGCAAGCUUAUAGACUGCCUUCAAUCCCUGUGCGGGCAAGCUUAUAUACUUACUUCCAUUCGAGUUCAUUCCUGUUCGCUAGUGAUCUAUCUCUUAUUAUGAUAACAUGAAAUUAUGAUAACAUGAAAUCCUAGGCUAGGUACGAAUACGAAAUAGAGAGACUAGGCUAGGUACGAAUACGAAAUAGAGAGAAAAGAUCCUAGGUAGUAAAUAGAGAGAAAAUCACCAGUAUAGUUAGGGAAGGGAAGAGUCAAUUGGGCCACAAGCAACUACAUUUCCAUCUUCGGCUUCCUUACCUCCAUCUAAUCCUCUUGGAAUUUCAUAUCUAUCUUAUCGAGCAUAUGGUAAAGAAACCCGUAAAGACAUAGCUUGCCUCUCUAACAGGCAAUGAAUAAGCUUACUUGCGCACUGCUGAUUGAUCUCAAUGAUUACACUCACUGCUUUGUUACCGUAGAGCUUACUUUAUACAGUUCCGACGCAUCUUGAUACGACAACACUCGCACCCCUAAGAUACUUGUUUGAAACUAGAGGAUAUCGCUACGGGGGCAUACCAAUAUAUAAAUACGAAAUUCCAUCGUUUGUUUUUUGGAUGACACUUGCGUGAUACUAAACCCUGUAGUGGGACUUAACCGCUGAUUCUAUAUACUCAAUUCAAAACUACAACCAACUUGAAACCAUACUCCACUUCACCAUAAAGAAGGAAGAUGACCCCUGCGUCUAUACCCUUAACCGAGCUCAGCUUCAGAGCCUGAUCCGUAUUCCUCACCUGCUAGUAAAGUUGGAGCUAGGGUAGGAAGUACUGUUUUCAUCGCCAUAGUGCUUACAUGAGUAUUUGUAAGCGGAUAUAUAAAUAGUAGGAUCAAGAUAAGAUAGAGAGUCAGUAGACCUAGCACCGGUCAUAAUUAUUGUAAGAAUUCUUUAAGCUUAUUUCAGGUAAUGGUUUUGAUGCGAGGGCAGCGUCAGCUGCGAUGCCUUGAGUGGAGUCUCCUUAAGUUCUAGGUAUAGUAUCUAUCUAGUCUAGGUGUUGGCGCAGCUGCAAACGAUUCUUCGAGUGAGAAGUAAAGAGUGGAAUCUUUCUUAGUUGGCAACGAGUCUCUUUAUGUUGCGUCCUGUUCCACUUUCAUCGUAUAUUAUAUAGAAUAAGAGGUGCAGCUCAGUUAGCGCAAGGACUAGUUUCAUUGAAGAGUUAGAAAGAACUUCGCAGUCAGCAUAAAGACAAAAAAAGAAAGAAAAUAAGAAGAUCAAUCAGCAACACAAUAACCUCUUCUUUAUACUGAACUACUUAGCGAUGUAAACCCUUCUUUAUAUAAGGUUAACCCAACUCGAAUAGCUUAUUUACUUAGUGCUGAAGAAGCCAAUAAUCCGUAAGGGCAAGAAGUGUAGUUACCAACCGCUUUCUAUCUUAAGUCAUCCUAUAAUAAGAUAAUAUAUAAUAUAGAUUGGUUUCUUAUACAGUGUGUGUAGUAGUGGUCUAAGGUCUAAGUCGUCCAUGUGAGGGUGCAGGCGCUAACGGAGUGUCAAUUUCGAUCUUAUAUAGGAGAACUUCUUCCUAGUAGUUGAGGCAUUUACAUAGACUUGAUUCGCCCAUAAAGAUGUUAGCCUUUUGGAACUUGAGCUUAGAUUCAAUGCUGGAUUUGCUAGAGUGGAGUGGAGUGGAGAAUUACCUGCCCCCGUUCUUGUUGUUGGUGACGAAGCGCUAGGUAAAUGAGUUUCAUCAGUUCUCUGGAAUCCGUUAUCCUAUCAGUUUUCAUUCAAAUAGAAGUUGGCAAGAAAGAGAGCACUAGGUCAGUUACUUAUUCUAUUUCUAUUAGAGAACCCCCUUGAGAGUUGAAUACCUGUCAAACCAGAACUACUUGGAAUCUACGAACAUAGCUAACCUGCCGCCCUUAUUAAACACACUGCUUCGCUAUUAAUAAGGCGGUCUUAAACUCUGACUCCUUACUAUAAGAAGAAUAAGGGAUCUACUAAUAAGAUAAUAAGAAUAAGGGAGAUGUGAGUGAGCGCUACGCUUGUGAAUUGAGGCAGCCUACCUUUGACUAUACAUUCUUGUACCCUUGCUUGGCCUGUGACCUAUGAGUUUCAUUCCUCUUUUCUAGGUUAUGUCUUUUCAUUCCUCUUUUCUAGGUUAUGUCUUAUAGGGUAGUGUCGCAUUCCCAGUUCAGAGUUGUGGACUCCUAUAAGCACCAGCUGAAGUCUAAUAGUAAAUACGAUUAAUAUCAACUCAGUGUAACUAGCGCCAACAGUGCCUAACAAGCAACAACCGCUAACUAGGGAUUGGACUACUACUACUAGGGAUUUGACCUGUUCCUUAUAUUCUAAAUCCUACUACUCGCUUCCAUUGCUUGCUUUUCAAACAAUCACUCUUUUCUCUUACUCUUACGAAGGGCGUUGGAGCUUCCAAGUAAGGAGACAUGUCUGUGUAUUCUAAUACCACUUCUAAUAAAUAAGGUAGUCCUGAAGACUAAUAGCAGUAUCGAUAUCAUAAUUCACCCAAGUAGUAGUAUCGAUAAUAAUGAAAUAAGUAAGUAAAAGAAAAGAAUGAAGCUAAGGCGGGGUGAUAAAACACUUACUUAGGAGCUGCCCUCUUUCUUGUCAACCUCACUCUCUUUCUGGUCGACUGUUUUCAUUCUCUUAUUGCACCAGUUCCGUCUGACUUGAGAAUUCUCGUCUAUCAGGUAGUGUUUCAGGGUCUUGUUAGGCACCUAGGGCAUCUGCCCUGUAAAAGAAAGGAUCCAGAUCAGCGGUUAACUAACCAAAGUUUCUAGUUUUGAAGAACUGGAGCGGGUGGACCAAAGCCUUGUUAUCACUAAAUUUCAUUAUGUAUUCUUAUCUUGAUUCUUAUCAUAUUAUUAGACAGUAUAGGUUUCUUUAUUAGAAAGUAUAGGUUUAUACCACUAUCAAGUAUAGUAUACCACCUAGAUCACAUAAAACAAAAUCCGUGCUGUUUUAGUUCAUUUGUAACUAAUCUCUUUUGUUGAUUAGAGUUAUUACUUCUGAUGUCUUCGCAAAUCGAAACCAAUAACAAUUCGAAUUUCGCUAAGGGGGAUGCGAAUAAAGCUGCUGCCAGCAAGGCUAUAGCUCCAAGGUAAGGAUUGAUUAUAGUCAGAAUAGCGUUCUAUAGCCUACAACACAAUGAAAAGACCAAUAGACAGAAUUGAGCUAAGCCACCUAGUUCUCUCGGGCAGUAAAGGUCAACUUGAAUCUAUAGUGCCAUCAGACAGGAAACGCACACGGGAAUCAAACUUCUCAAUAUAUCGGUAUAAGAAUCCAAAUAUCGGUAUAAGAAUCAAACGACUUUUACUACUAGUCGGAAUCGCACUAAAAAUGAGUCAUAGGCGACUGCCCCAAACAAGAAAACCUAGUGCUUCGAAGACCAUCACUGGAAACUUGUAAUUCAACAAAGAAGUAGGGAUGCACUACUACCCUAUGAGAUUCCACUAAGUAACCCACUCUUCGACUACUGAACCCAACCCUUACUCGUGCCUUUCACUCCCACUACAUUAGCUAAGUCUAUCGCUACUGCACUAAGCCUGUUGCUCGUUAGCUCAAACCUACCUCUCCUUAGUUUCAGUGCGACUCCCGGCUAAUAAGGAUUGAACUAAGAACUAGUGCUAACAAGACUUCCGCGAGUAGCAAGAAGACCACAGCUCUUAAUACGACAUCCAAGAGUAGCAAGAAGACCACAGCUCUUAAUACUACAUCCAACUAUUGCCUAUGAGCUAAGCGGUAUCUACUUACCUUCUUUCUGGAUUUGGAGAUUGGCUCCGCUCUUCCUCGCUAUCACUCUUUGGUUACUGACCUUUAUUCCUACCUGUUAGUUCGGGCCUGUCUCCUCUUCCUAUUAACCUGCCCCUCUUAUCUGGAGACAAGCCUUCUUGCCUUGAGUUGGAGUCCGCGACUACUUCGUCUCAUUCUUGUUUAUGGGUGUAGGUCUGCUAUUACUCGGCCUAAUACUUGAAUGACGGAUCUAACAUCCGAUACCCCUGCCUAUUAGCCUACUAUUACUUAUUUAUAUUAUUUCACUAAUACCUGUGAUCCUUUAACUCACAACUCGGGCUUGCUCUGCUGUCUACUAGUUUGACUUUACUGGCUAUUAGUCUGUCAUUCCCUAUUUGGAUUCUGGAUUUUCACUUUCAUUAUUAUAGCUAUGAAUAUGAGUAUCAAUCUAAUACAAAUGCAAAACACAUGAACAAGUCUUUAGUUUCAGGCCAUAACUACAAACAUUGGAUACUCACUUUAAUGCCUAAGAGCCACCAAGAACUACACCAAUAAUAAGGUGCUGAAAGCCUACCGAUAACAAGGGCUAUGACUCGAAACCGGUAAUUAAUCUAAUAAAAGAAAAGAACUCGGGCAUCGCACUUAUAAGUAGAAGAAUUAAUACAGAAGUAGGAGAUCGAACUCAGCAGCACAAGAAUAGGUGGGAGCCCUAUGAGAACCAAUCCCGAAAUACAGAUGUGAGGCUGGGAAUGGUAGGAAAAGCCGAAGAAAGAGAAUCAGCAGUGCGCUUGUAAACUACCCAUGGUAUAUAUUGGAGUAAAGAAACAACCUGAACACGCAAUUAGUUCAAUGAAAAAGCAAUGGAAAGGGGGCCAAGGCACGCAAAGACAAGAACAAGUGCUCAAAAGUAAAGGUCCUUCUCCAAAGUAGGAAUGAAACUCAUAAGUAGUAACUUCUUUCAACAAGCACUCCCGACCCGACUUCUAUACUGCACUGCCUCUUUGAACUCUGUCUUUCCUUUCUCUUGGCCUGUAGCUAAUACCUUUCUUUCAUACAGAGUAAUAUAAAAGUAAUAGGGAAUUGCACACUGCCCCCAUAGAUUGAACUAGUGCUUCUAGGCAUUAAGCUGCUAACUCGGACUGCUGCUACUCAAAAUCAGAAUGGAAAAUGGGAAUAUAGGAUAUGGGUAUGAUCUAAGGCAUACUAAGCAUAGGCACCAACCCAGCCAGCCUUGAAUAAGAAAACACUUGGAAUGGAACCGCUGCUAGCAAGAUUGACUAUCUACCCGAUAAGACCUGAGUCGAUGCAUUAGGGAAUGUAAACACAGGUGCCUAUCCUUUAACGGAGAGCAACUAGGAACUAUAAGACUGGAUCUGGGAACUAAGCCUUUGUCUACUUAUCUAUGAGCUUGCUUUACUGGCUUUCAAACUGACACCGCUACUACCAAUACUAUAAAUCGAAAAGGGGAAUAAAACGACUACCUAGCAGAUUGAACUACUGCAUAAAGAAUUGAGCUGCUGAUAACCAGACUGAAAACAACUAUACUAUUGGACUAAAUAAAAGAAUAGAGAAAUACGCCCACUGCUAACAAGGUGAACAACACAUCUGUAUCUACUGCAUCCGGUCCUUGCUUUAAGUCUACGACUACUAGCUCUAAAACCGAAACUCGAAAUAAAGACUUUCGAUACUACCGGCAUUAAUUAAGGGCAACAACUAGUGCUGCUGACUAAACUUUCACUUGAUAUCCGGAUCCUUACUUCCAAGUCUAACUCCCUUCUUAUAUCCCUCGCUUUCAUGCUAUAGCUAAAAUGCCUGUGAGCCUCCCUGAAACUAAACUACUAACUGAUAGAUGCAAAUGAUAGGAGCAAAGAUCGAACUAGUGCCAAUGCUACUUUAAAUGGAAACUGGGAAUCAAGACAGGACAUAGGAAUCAACUUAUAAGUCAGGAUAGUAAUACAUAGGCUGGAAAGAUGGAUAGUAAUACAUAGGCUGGAAAGAUGGAUACUAAUACAUAGGCUGGAAAGCAAGAUUGAAACACAGAACCAGGAAUCACACCUAGUCCCCGAACUAAAAGAAUGCUAAAGCUGUAUUAGAAUUAGGAACUAACCCACCCGGGUUGGUAAAACUACUUCAGUUAGCGAGCCGGGGUUGAUGCGCGUAUAGUUCUACCGCCGACCUAGGAACGGGAGCAGAGCCUGUAUUGAAUGAAACUCAUAACUACGGAGCCAGCAGGGCUUUCUACAGAGUCGGGGAGAGACAAGUCUACAAGCGUAUACUCUUAAGGAGUCCAGUAUUAGGGUCACUAUUCCACCGGGUAUAAUAUCCAUUAGGGUCACUAUUCCACCUAACCAAGGGUUCUUAACCAACCUCCUAAUCCACCUAACCAAGGGCUCUUAACCAACCUCGUCUGUGCUCCUCUAAGAAUUGAGUUUACUUGAACAAAUUGAACUAGUUGGGGACUUACCUCAUUCCAUAAUUUCACUCAUUAGAGACGGGGUAUAUCACCAUCAUCAGCGGAAUUGUAUAGUAAGUUGUCAAGUGCCGGUGCUUCUGAAAGUCCUGUGUGCGCCUGUCCGGAGUGGAUAAAGAAACUAGAUGCAACAUCUAAAGUCAGAGCGGGAUCAGGAUAUGACAUCAAUGCCUUUGUAGUAGUUGGUAGUAUUGGCUGGGCUGUGGACUCGGUGCCCUUAUAUGAAGUCGCAGGGCUUUUUGAAUGAAGUGACUCGCGUAGGGAUAGGGGCUUUUUGACUUCUGUGACUCGGGCAAGGUAGUGAAAUCCAAUUGCAUCAAACUAACGGGUGAUUAAUUGAUGUCAAAUUAGGUAUAGUUAGCAGAGGAGCAGCAACCGCACACAGCAGCACGGACAGAGCAGCGAACCCUAAGAAGAACCCUCGUGCUCCCACGCUUCAUGAAUACUAAGCUUAUGACGGUGGGUGUCAAGUUCAACAAGGCAGUACUUAACGGUGCCACCGGAAACCUUAAGCGUAAUCGAAUGAACCGUCUCAGAAGUGGGGCAGGCGGAAGGGCAAUAAGAAACCGGUGCGGAAGAAGAAGCGAGCAGAUCGGCAUCCCGAGAAGUGAACGUAAGUGACAGCGAGUGGGAAAUGGGGAAUCCUUUGAUGUAAGCUUGCGGAGGUCAUGAGGCAUAACAAGCCUGCUCAGAGAAAAGAGAGGUGGGAUCCGAGGUUAGGUCCAAUUCCUCAAAAGCAUCCUGCCAACGGUACUGAUGACCCAGCUCGGGUGAACUGAUUAGACACCCGAGUGGAAUUCUAUAACUACUGACAUGAGGAGCUAGCCCAGUAGUUGCUAGUUUGAUUCUGAGUGACACUUGUUUCAGCCUGAUAGUUAGAUGCCUUAGUCUGGUUAGCAAGGGUUGGUGUCUGAUUGGAUCGAGUUGAAGGCUUGCUAGCACUGGGUUAAGGGCGGAAUCCAGUACAGGAUCAUAAGAAACAGAAUAAGUCUUGGUACACCCAUCAUAUAUCUUGGUACACCCAUCAUAUAUUAUAUAUAAAUGAAGGUAACUAACCAUGUGCAGUUGCUUGUCUAGUGGUUCCUUGGCCCUAUUCUAUUGCUUUUGUAGGACUUUCCGGACUGUAAGUCUUACUUAUUAACUAUACAUGAAUUGAUGGUCACAUUAUUAUACGAAAACAGAUUAUACUAUAAGAAAACAUAUUCUAAUGGAAUCUUUCUUUUCUCUACUUCGAUAGGAACAGAAUAUAGAUCAGGUGCUGGCUUUGAAGCGCUAAGAGAAUGAGUGGAAUUGUAUCUAGAAGCAGUGCCAGGAAAGUUCACUUCCAUACGAACAAUCAGAAUCGUGGGCAGUAGCGAUAGCCUUUCCUGCCUUAUCGAUGUGUUAGAGUUAUGCCCGGUAGUAUCUUGGUAUCCUGACUAUUGAGUCGGAUUCCGUCCUAUUAGUAGUAGUAGUGAGCUAUUUCAUUUAAUAUACAAUAUAGUGAGUAUUAAUAUAAGUAAGGGCAUACACCUGAUAUGAGACACCGAUUACCCAAUACCGAUACUUCUACUGUUAUUUCAUAAUGAAAAGAACAACUAACAGAAUAGAAAGGCAGUAACGCAGGGUUGAGGUCACUAGUUAAGGUACGAGAAGCAUUGAUUACAUACCAAUGGAUAGGAUAGUAAGGCUGGGGGACACCCAUAAGAAAUGUAGUAAGUGGGCUCAGGCGAAGUAAGUCGUUAUAGGUUUAAUAGGAAGUUGCGUAAGAGUGAGCUCUGGGCAGGUAAGAUCCCUAUUCCGCAGUUACAGAAAGAAAGUAAGCGCAGGCUAAUAAGUCAAAUACAUAUUUUAGAUAAGGAGCGGUGGGCUAACAACUAGGACAUUCAGAAGUGAGUGACAGGAACAAUCCAAAGAGUAGUAAACUAAUAAGUAAGCCUCAAAACAAGGACAGGCAGCCUCAUAGGUAGGAAAGGAGGGUUUGGUUCCAGUAGUUUACGAGUGAAAGCAGAGAUAUCGUUUUAGAGUAAGGAGACUCAGAUUACCAGUUUUCUCUCAUAAGUCAAAGAGUUUGAUUCACAAAGGCAGUGCUCCCUUAACUUUAUUCCAACUUCACUGACUUACUUGUGUAUCCUUUCACAGCAACCAAUAAGAAUGGAGCCUAGUACAGUACUGAUUGGGCUUUAACUAAUAGCUAUAAGAGAGAGGCGAACUACCUUACGUCAAGUAUAUGAGAUUUCAGAUAGGUUUAAAACACUACAGAGAAGGAUUGGCUACCCGCACAUAAGAUUGGACCACUCCCCCGAGUUAUGGGAGUUCCAGUUUUCGGCUUACAUAAGAUAGUUUGCUGGCGAGAAAGAAAGAAAUAGAAACUUACAUAACGCAGAAAAGUGCAGUUGUUGAAGAUAAGGAUCAGACUAAGUCUUCUGAUCAUAAGCAGAAAAAGGAUUAUAAGCAGGGAGCAAAAUCGAAGUUUGAUAAGAAGCCGAGUUAUUUAGCUAACAAAGCUCUUUCCACAACAAUUCAAUGAGAAACUGACAAAUCCAAGAAGCGUGUUGAGUAUAAAAGCAGUGCGAAAUCCAAAAGUCACUCCGGGUCAACUGCCGUUAACAUAAGUAAAAGAUGCAAAUGCUAUAAGGUAAUAUAUAUAUAUAUAUUAAUAGGUCAGAUUACGACUCCAUUUUCAGGCAAUACAUAUUACUGUACUGGUGGACAAGGCGCAACAAUUCUUUUGUUUCGGGAGUUUCUCCUCAAAUCCUAUAUUACAGAAAUGGAGUGAAGAAAUUGAUCUUUGAUUGAGUUGAACAAGCUACUACUUGCUUUUAAAGCGUUAACGUAUAGGAUCAAGUUGGCAAUGGACAAGCUUAGGCGCAAAGAUCAUAGGUUGGUUCAGGUGUUGUGCACGAUGGAAAGUCAACCAAGAAUAAGCUGGAUCCUAUUGAAUAAGAAGGAAGAUGUAAAGUAUAGUUCGACAAUAGAAUCAAUCCGCAACAAGCAAAAGAUACUGUUUCCAGAAAGGAGUAGAGAUCAUAUAUUGGAUAAAGAUAAGAUGCAAAUCGAAAGGAAGUUUCCAUUCCUGCUUUGACUUGUGCUAAUAGAGUUGAACGAAGAAGCCGAAUGCUCAUCCGCUAAAGCGCAGUUAAGUAUCGAAUUGACAGUUCCUUGCUCUUAGGUGUAUACGAGUUCCUGUAGCUCUUUCCCUUAUUGUAGAUAUAGAUAAUUGGCUUUCUUGCCUUUACUUGGAUGUAAAUAAGUACUGAAGUGAAGUAGAUUGAUUUCUAGUUCGAAUAUCUUCUGUCUGUUGUUAACGUUGGUCGUGGAGAGAGAGGUGAUUCACUUCCAGGGAGAGUAAGCAGGAUUAGUUUCAUAAGCGAGAGCAUAGGCAUUAGAAAAGUGGUGUUCCGCAACUGAAGAAAUCUUAAGAAGGUACAGAAGCAACAGUCCAGUCCUUGCUACUUCAAUUCCAUGAUUCGGGUACUGCUUCCAAACCCAUUAUUAUUCCGUAUCCGAGUCAAGCUUAUUAUUUCUUUCUAUACUCCAAUCAGCUAUACAGUAUUCUUUUCUAUUUCAUUUUUGCAGUUCGGUGAUUGUUGACAGUGAUUCUAUUCAGUAGCUGGAUCCUUUAUGGCCUGUUUCAUCAUUAUAAGCAGUAGGGGAUUCAACUAUCCGUACUGGACACUUAAUCUUAAUACAAAAGAUCGAACCUAGCUGUAAAAGAAAGAACUCACUUUAUGGGGACACCCACUACUAUCCCUUUUCUUCUUUCUUCUAUUGUUAGAGUUGGCUUCCUCCUUGCCAUUCUUGGUCUUAUGAAUGGAAUUCCGAGUUGAGAGUAGGACUCUUUGUAUACUUAGUGGUUCUAUGUGCUACUAAACAUAUCCUGUAUCACUAUUCCUAUGAUUAUUAUUACUAGUUCCAAUCCGACACUGGCUACUUAUACUCUGUAGCUUUUCCUCCUUCUUGUUGGCAUUAGCGCAAACCUUAUGACUCAAAUCUAUAUUCUUUAUUACUUAUUUCACUCCUUGUAUUGGUUAGUUCAGAUCUUACUGCUUAGUUUUCUUCUUGACUCUUUUCAUUACCCCACACAAGCCCGGUAUCUUUACUUAUAGGCUUAGACUUACUAGUUGGGUUCUUGUGCUUACUAUUCUCAGUCUAUUUGCUGGAUGCCUUACAUCGGAAUAAUAAUAUAAUAAUACAUGUCCCUACAUCGUACCACUAAGAGUCUUGAUCGGGGUUCAGCUACUCUAUUUACUGUUUGAUUACAGCUAUGCGCCCUUCUAUUCUUUUUUCUGAAAUCAAUCUGUGAUAAGUGCAGUGUGCCCCACUUUCAACUGGGAUUACACUAGAACUUUGACUACACGACAAGGACCCGAAACCCCACUUUCAACCUUCCAUACCGCUUCGAUUGCUGCUGACUUAGCGCUUGCUGCAGACCUUAGACCGAGAUACUUUCCUCGAACUACAUCUGAUACUGAUCUCAUCGGUUUAACAAGCACAGAUUCAGAAACUCGAAAAAGGAGAACAGGUCGGCAAGGAGUUCCUGCAGGACCCCCAAUUGUAAUAAUCCUAAGUAGCUAAGGUAAGGCGUUAAGGAGAGGAGAUAUAUUCGAUUCAGAUAAAGUAGUCGCUUACGCGCAAGUGCAAGUUUACUCAGUGCUAACGGAGCUCUGUGCUCGAACUUAUGUGCUAAAUUCCAAUCUUAGAUAAUAUGUGUUGCCUUCUUCAGCUUGCCUUUACUUGGAAAUAAGCUGCCCUUAAACGACUCGAAAUAGAGGUGUUGAGCCCGCUAAGUACUCUUUUUACAAGUUCUAGGUCGAGGAAUAAUCUAGUCAUGUGGAAUGUCCUUCUUCUGCAAAUAUAUAAAAGGAGAGAUUCCAUUCAGGAUCGAACAAUGACACACAGGUAUUGAUUAACGAACAACAUAGGAUCGACCCAGGGAGAGACAAACAUGGGUUAUUGAGAGCGGGGUCAACGUCCCUAGUUGUUUUCUUAUAUUACUGAGUGCGAUUCCUACUUCUGAGUUUGAUUAUUGUUAUCGACGGGUUGGUUCCCAGCUUCCAAUAUGAGUAUGUUUGGGUUAGUAGUUCUUUCCGGUAGUUAUUGAAUUCUCGUAUUCCCUUCUUUCCAGUGGUGGUAUCAGCCUCCUCUCUAGUAGUGGUUUUGUCUUAGAGGCAUUAGUCCAAUUCUCUUUCUACAAAUACAGAUGCGGGAUCGGUAUCGGUAGACUCUGAUCUAACGGGAGGAGGAUCAUAAGAGUGCCUAGCAAGCGAGACUAAUAGUAAGGAGAAGUAUACUGAUAUACAGGCGUAGCAGGCUUAUAGUUCUUAGCUGGUUGUGUGGAUAGCCAGUAUUCGCGGUUGGAAAGUAAGGUUUAGGUCCAGCAGUGGCAAUGAGUAAGAAGUACGGACAGGCAUAUCAGCUUUAGACAAGAGAACUAGAAUCAAAAACUAAGGGGAAAGUGUGAGAGCUAGGAGAUAAAGAAUAGAAAUCCAAUAAGGUUAGCCAGUAUCCAGAUUGUUGGUUCUCUCGACGAGGUUAGUGAGUAUCCAUACCGUUGGUUAAAGAAUAAGAGCAAGGCGGGGCAGACGAACCCCUUUAAGGUAUCGAAAUAAUCGUCAGCGCGGGAAGAUAAGAUUCUGAGCUAGAAUAGGUAGACUUAAUAUAGCAAGCAAAGACCCGUAUCAGUAGUUUGGAGUACUUGGUUCCUUUGACUAAUUCGUCGAAUAAUAAGGACGUAGUGCACAGUCCAGCACUCUCAACCAGUAAAUAAAGAAUGGAAGCUAGUAAUCAAAAACGAAUAGGUAGAAAAGUGAGCCCGGUCUAAAGCAGUAGAGUACUAAAGCUCAGAAGCAAGUAGGCUGGAAAGUCAGAUUUUCUCACAAGUAAGUAAGACUCCAGGGCUGUAGGGCCGGACCAACCAGUCAUGUCCUCUAUUGGUGAAGCCUAAUAGUAAGGAGCGAGAGAUCGAAAGGGGUGAACUACAGAAUUGAGUUCAGUAGCAGCGGACUUAUAGCUAGUGUGUGGAUUCUCCUUUAUGCGCUUAAUUCCGAUUAGCAGUGGUUGCAUCCUUAUCAGUAGGAGUUGUUCUCUUAAGGCGGGGUAGUAGGUCGAUUCUUGUUGGCCCUUCCUUCAUUCCACCCACGCCCAUUCUUAGGGUUAGUAGCCGGGUGCACCGGGAUUCACUUAUUUUACACACAAAUAAGAAAUGAUUAUUUGCAUCGAAAGUCUGCAGCAUUGUAUACUCUAUUUAUACUCUAUUAUAAUACCUGGGCUGGCUUACCAAAGAAUGCAACUAUCAACUAUCAGACUGAUCUAUGAUCCAGGGUAAGAAAAAGAAGAGAGUUCCCCUCCUAGCCUAGGUAUUCUAGAAGCUGGUAACCUCCCCAUAGUAACAAUUAGUGACAUAAAGGUCUUCAUGAAACUCGUUAGUAUACGCUUAGCCCAAUAAGAUGUCUUAGGCGGUUAGCAAUGUUCAGAUCUUAUCUCCAAAGCCAUAACUGUAUUAGUUGCUGUAGUAGCUUAGGGUGGUAAACAUCCUCAUUUUCUGUUUCAAUAGGGGAGGGAAUAGUACUAAUUGAGUGUGCACCUCGUAUGUCAAUAAGUAAACUCACUGGUAGCAAGUCAUUCUUCCCUAAAGCUUCUCACUUAUGGAAUCUAGGAUAGUGCUGUGCGCAACAACUUAUAUAAGAUAGUCACAUCACACUGGUAACUCACUAAUGCCCCCUUGCUUAAAGAAUAGAGGUGAAACAGCUUGCUUUGCUUCCUUUAAUCACUCAGAUGGGCAGCCGAACGCUAGACUCCAUCCAAUACGCAACGCAACGCACAAGGGAAGGGUUCCGCUCACGUUGAAGCUCCUGCGUUAGAGAGUUUUCAGUUUGCUUACUGGAUUUUCCCUUGCUUGUUCGGUGAACUCGUGCUAGUACUUAGGCGAAAGAAAAAGAAUAUGCGCACCUUCCUUAUAUUCAAUGGGAGAUUAAACAACACAUAUGAAAGCUUCCUUUCCUUCACGAAUUGGUUAACAACACUAUCUUGCUGAAAACGGACGUUUUCGCGUUAUCGCAUACUAACCCCGAGUUGCCUUGUUUCAUUGAGUGCAAAAGAAUAAAAGAAAGAUAAUAUCGGAUAAGGGAAUAUCAGCAUAAGGGAAUAUCGGAUAAGUACCCUAUCAACUUGGAUUAUAGUAAAGAGUCGGACUAAGCACUUGCAGGCCCUAUACAAAUAACUUGGGCACCGCACCGAAAUAAUGGUUUCUACUUGCUCCCUUCCCCCUUUGAGAAUGAAAUGUAGUUCACAGACAUAGUAUAUAAAAUGAGUAACAACACCAGAUCAUUGCUUGGUAUCGGGAGUAUAUCUUCUCUUCUCUACGUGGGUGGCUUAGGAGAGCUCUUUACUUAUUGUUUUGUUUAUAUCCCUUGAUUUAUUAAUUUGACACUAGGAGUGGGCAUUGGCAUAAGAAAGCGUAAGCGUCCGGUGUAGAACUACUAAUACCAGCAGUUAUACCUUUUCACUUGGCUUGCACCCUUGCAGGUUCCCUUUCCUUUGUCGUGAACACAUUAACGCAGAUCUCUCGAACUUAUUAUACACUCGAAACGGAUUGCCCGAGAUUAUGUCUGUCCCAACUCAAACUAGCAACAAAACAAACUACUACUACAUAGAGAAAAUAGUAAACAUAUGUCAGAAGAAUAGAGAAAAUAGUAAACAUAUGUCAGAAGAAUAAGAGGAGAAUUUAGGGCACCCAUAAUGUCAUUAAGUCAAAAAACAAACACCAAAGCUAACGCUUAUAUCUGUUUCGGGAUGCGUUAGCGCAACUGUGGCUGACUCACUGUUGACUUUCUAUAUAACCAUUGAAUAUCGGCAUCCCUAACCAUUGUGAAUAUCGGCACCCGCCGCUCGCUAUCUGCAAUCUUUAGUAACCCGCCGCUCGCUCGCUAUCUUAAGUAAUUUAUUGGCGUUAUAUCGCCCACAAAUCUUGCCUUUGCUUUAGCCGUUGCUUGUAUCAUUGCGUAUUAUUUCAUGGAGAAUAUCAUGGCGCACCAUAAGUUGGUUGUUGAAUAGAAGUCACAUAUGCAGCUAGGGACAAAACCAAACCCUAUAGAGACUUACAACACUCAAACAUAGCAUAGGAGCACUCCCACUAAGAAAUGGAAUAGCUCAAUUCUGGGUCAAAGGCAUAACAAGGUCUCAGUAAACCAGGAGAGAAAUGCAAGACUCACCACUAACAGACCCCGCAACAACAAAACUAUAAGCUUACGCACAACAACAAGCAACUCAAUAACUCAUCGCUAACGUGAGCGGAUCAACGCUUGUUUCAUUCCAUCAGAACGAACGAACACUAAUAUUCAAAAGUCAUUGAACUGCUUACAUAUGAUUGCUUACUGCUGACUUGAUGCUUCCAAGACAAGACUUAUAUCAUAGGCGCACGCACCCUUCAAGUGGACAACGGCUGACUCUAGGGUCUCAGGAAGAUAAUGGAAUAUCAUAAUAGUAACAAUAGAGCUAUACACCAAUAUCGAAAUGAGUAAACUGCAUGACUCCGGACUCGAAACUCACUUCACUCCCAUUAGCACCCCUGAAACUAGAAUAAAUGAUGUUUCUUCCCGCUGCUAGUUCGCAACUAAUAGAAAUACGGAACCUAUAACUUCAGACUAAUAACAUAUAUGAGGUAGAUAGCAGCUAUCUUCUUAUCAAAGCUUACUAGCGCAACCAAACACAAUAUCAAAGCUAACUAAAGCAUCCAAACACAAUAAGCGCAACAGCUUCUGGAACUAAUAUUGAGUACACAGCUUAUGGUGUUGGGCUAUGGGCAAUCAGGCCAUUCGAGUCGACAACACUCUCCACUCGCGAAAGGAAAGAGAUAAUAUCUUAAUAGCAUACCCAAUAUAGAGAUAAGUAAACUAACUAGCAUACCCAUAUAGAGACAAAGUCAACUAACAGCUUUGCUUCAAGACUCGCACAAACAAGCUGCUUUAAUAUAAAGGCAAGCAAGCAACAACUAAGGCUGGAGAGUAGAUGCUAUAUGGUUGUAUAUCUAUUUGUCUAAUAAAUGCGAGUUUCAACAGAUCCGUUUAGGCCAGUGCUCAGUAAACCACAAGAAAGAAGAUAAGACUACCUACAAACACGUACCCGCUAAAGCACGCGCUAUGCUAUGGGCCGCACCCGCUCAAGUAACUGUGUUAUGACUUGAGAAAGGGCUAUUCCACUAGUAGCGCUUUCUAUAAAGAAUAGAAUGGAGCGUGACCACACCACAUAUAAGAAUACAGUAAACAACCGCUGCAUAGCUUGUUAGAGUUCUUCUACAAUAGCGUGUCAAGGAAAGCAUUCUGGAUUAGUUGGUUGAACAGAGAGAGGUUAAACGACGCAAGAAGGUGCUAAGAGCCUAUUGGUUUCUGUCUCCAACAACUCAUAUAUAUUGGUUUCUGUCUCCAACUCCAUAAAUGCGCCCAGCUGCUAUCUGUGCUUUCCCUUUGCCUGAUGAUUUACUGCUUUCCCCUUGUAGAGUAGUUUCACUAAUUAAUAAGACCUCUGGCGCCCUCCCUGACUUGAAGAAUGGAAAUGAGUGCACAUCUCAUAUAGAAUGGAGUAACAACACUGAUUGACUUAGCGCUGAAGAAGCAAGGAACUCUACGACUACACUUGAACCCAGACUAACUAAGGCACUUUGGAACAAUCAACUCUUAAUAAGAUAAUAUCGGCACCCCGAAGAGUUAGCUAGAAUAAAGCACCCCGUAACAACAAUAAGCAGUGUUAGUGCGUUAUACUUAAGACUUGUUCCAGCAAUUGAAACUCUCUCGCAUAUGAUAGAAGUGUUAGUCACCUCCUCCUUCCUUCGCUUCAAAACAAUAAAGAAUAGAAGAUAGAAGAUAACAAACCAGGAAAGUCCGCGUUAGCGCCCCGAGACGAGAGUCAUAUGUUAGUUUCAGUGCAAUUCUUUUGGAAGUGAAAGGCCAGUCAGCCUUUAUGCGAUUAUAGAUUCUGUGCUUGCUUGAAAUUAUGAAAGAAAGAGAACAAGCGGAAGCAACGACGAAGUUUCUAGUAUCCACUUUUGAGCGAAGUAUCCACUUUUGAAACAGUUAGCCCAGCUUUUCUUAGUAAAGGCAGUCUCGAUCUUUAUGAUUCCCCUGCUCUUUGCGAGCUAGCCCGGUCUUUCAUAAACCAGCUCCUCUCAGAACCCGGGAGAGAGACUCAAAGCUUUCUCUUUUUCAAUCCUUAUUCAAUUGAAGAUAAACACUUUAUCUCCCCAAAAACCACUGUGCUUCAGCUCCUAAAGUAAAGGCUCAUCGACAUGAAAUCCUUUUUCCAAAUAAGUAGUGCGAGAUGUAAGAUAACGUAAGAGCCCUGCUCCCAAUCAUCAGACUAAGAGAACCCACACCUGCUUGCUUUUUGGUUCUAUGAGUUCAAACACACACACCUUCGAAUCUACAAUCUAAGUGUUUCGGAUUCUUCAAUUCAUUAUUCCCUUCCCGAGGGAAGUCAGAGCAAUUGCUUUAUAGCAUUGAGCCGAGUGUGGGGCAGUCAAAUAAUUCCCUUUCGAGCUAACGGAACUGCCAACAAGAGAAAGAAGAACUCGAAACUCUCCCUCUCGACACGAGGUAUAUAAAAGAAACACCUGCUCUUAGAUACCCAAGUCUCCAUGGUCGUUCUUUUGAAACAUCUCUUUCGAUUCUUCUAAUGUAAUGCUCUCAGUCACCUCACCUCGUACUACCUUCCAUUGCGCAUCCUGUGUAACAUCAAGGAAAUGGAAGGCUCAUACUACCAUACCACGGCGGGAGGUUUUCUUCCAACACAUUUUCCCUAUAGUGGAUCUGCCACAGAUUGAGUAUUUUGUAGAUGGUAACGGCAGCAAGUGGAUCAUUCAUACGCUAACUCAACUUCACAUAUUCCCUAUUUUUACCCACCUUCUUCUUUUCCUUGCUUGUGCUCGGUUUUCUGAGGAAAGGGAUCUAAAGCAAAGGAUAAUGGGCAUUACAGAACCCACGUCGCGCAGAAGAAGAUUGACCUCGGUGAAACCUGUCUCGAUUGUGCUAAUGUGUACAGAAGCCAAUCACUUAGUAUACCAGAUUAUGCUACUUGGCCACUCCAAUUAGCAGGAACAAGCAUCGAUUACGAUGAGAAGAACCACGCCGUUCCUGUAGUCCUGCAGAGGGACAGGGACUUUGGAAUGGAAUGUUAAUGCGACGCACGCAGAGAUGUGGCAGAACUUUGGAUCGAAAAUGCAGAAAAGAUAAGCGAGGAUGAAAGUCCAAGUUGUAUUGAAAAGCAUCGGUUACAAUUAGCGAACUGUGUAAAGGUACAGGACGGAGGAUCAAUGAUGACUGAGAGAGGCGGAGGAGCAACGAAGACUUAUAAAGAGCCAAAGAAAGGGUGGUUUAGAAUCAGGUCUACUAGGAUAGGAAAGUUAGCUAGGACCCGAUCAAAGGUGGGGCUUGCUACUCUAUACUAUAAAUUACAGCAGUUGUGGCAAAUGGGUUGUUGCAGUUUUUUACAAUGGUAAUGGUCGAGCGAUUGGAGCAGACCGGAUGUCACAAGGGGGUUCGCGACCUGAGACGCGCCUCUUAUUUCCUUAUAUUAAUCCCUCCCUUAACAAAGAAAAGAGGACAAGGAAGUUCAGCAAUGAUCUUAUUUCCUUCUAUUAAUUAAGCCCCAACUGUUUGAUUCUUGCUUUUGAGCGGUUAAUUGAAGGGAACAGGUGGUUUAUUGCAGGAAAUGGGCAAGGCCCUAUAGCGUCGGGCCAGAUUCUUUCUAAUGAGUCUCCUUGUCUUUGUAACCAGCAUGAAUUCCGGAAGUCAGCAACGAAAGAUAGGUCUUAAUUGUCAGUCUCUCGAGUUAGCUAAUGGCAGGAAGAAGCGGAUAAGAUCCCGGAGGGACUACUCGCCUUCUAACAAGACUAUAUCUCUAUUACCUGUCGUAGCUUACGUGAGAAACAGCAGCUAACCUCAGGAACUAUUUCAUAACCAGCGGUGAUAGGCUCUAGGAAGCAAGGUGGAUAUGUUCUUAGUGGCUAUAAGUAGAUCUUCCUCUGGCUCUUCUCUUCUGCUUGCCAGUCGGAUUAUUCCCCUCCGAAAUUCCUUUUUGACCAUAGAUGUUAUUCUUCCAAAUCCCUAGAGGCAGGCAUGGGUCAAUAUAGAAGAAACAACUCAAGCUAGAAACCGACAGUGAUUCAAUAACCUACCAGUGAUUCAAUAACCUACCAGGCAUGGGUAAAAUAGAAGAAACAACUCAAGCUAGAAGCCGACAGUGAUUCAAUAACCUACCGGGGCUAUCAUCAGAUUUCUACUAAUUGGAAGUGGGUGUUCCUCGAAGCUUAGACGAGUGGAAUGGAAGACAAACAACUGUAACACCAUUCUCCGGAAGUGGACUGGUUCGACUGUGAAAAGAUGGAAGCUGAUGCGGAGGACCUGAUUGAUGGAUGCCUAAGAAUCCUGCCUGAGAAAACCUGAGUUGGGGGGGGGCCCAAGGUCUAUGAUACCUCAAAGUGUUCCAAAUGAGGUUUCUAGGCAGACAUUAGCCUCCGAGCGAAUCUACGCCUAGGUGUUUUAGCACUCCGAUCGUCUAACAAAGAGGGGAUUUCAGCCUAAACAACAAGAUCCGGUUGCCCAUCAGUUCAUUAAUUUAGGAUUUCCUCAAACAUAGGCACUCGAGAUCCGUCUUCAUGCAAGGAAUGUGGUAAAUAGCCUGGCAAAGGAAUCUUCUAUAGAUGGACCGAAACCUGACCUAAAGGAUUAGCCUGGGGCAGCAAAAGUGGUUCAAAGACUUAACCCUAUCCAAUUGCUGCUAACGAUGCUUCUUUUUUUGUGUUUACUGACACAACGAGCCCAACAGGAACCUUACCUCUGAAAAAUAGGACUUGAUUACAGUAAGUGGGGCUGGCUCUUAUAGGAUAUCUAUUUCUAUCUGAACUAAGGUUAUCCAGGUAUCGAUCCUAGUAACAUGUGCUAAAGCACCUUUCCGGCAAUAAAUCCGCUGAAUAUGCUUUUGGGGGAGACUCCGCUCAGAUCUUAUUCUGUAUUCUUGUUUGUCUUAUUCUGUAUUCUUUCUUGUUUGUCUUAUUCUGUAUUCUUGUUUGUUAAUGGGUGGGCCAAAGCUUUGCUUUGCCUAGCGUUAGCGAGAAAACUACAUAUUUCAAGGCAAGGCCAGACCAAUGGAUUGAUUCUAUGGCAAAGGUGGGUCUGAAAGCGUGUAAAUAGCUUCUGGUGGACCCAAACUCUGCAAAAGAAAGGGUAAAUGGAUCCGAACUUUGGCCUGCCUUAUUCUUUUUAGUAUAGGCAUCGAGGCUAGAAGACUGUGAUAGAAAAACACUCCGCGAGGCAGAAUCUUCCAACCAUUUGUGUGUGGUUGUAUAGUAAUCCAGUUCGGCCUGAAGACGGGUAUAAAGUCAGUAAGUUUCGAAUGGGAGAGCAAAAGAGGCGAAUAUCAAUGACCAGACGAAUCCGCUGCAAGGGCAUCCGCCUAUGUUGUUACGCCAGUGAUUGUAUAAAAAGAGUGAAACGAGCAGACCUUGAAACCUAUAUUUGACACCUAUUAGGUAUAAGGUAAAGACUCUCUUCCCUAAGCUCUGAUAUAAGUGAUUGAACCUCUGAUAUAAGUGAUUGAACCCUGAACCUUUAUAAGAAAAGAAAGUGGCAAUACGGCGAAAGCAGCCGCCGCUUCUUUCUUCACAGACUGCGUAGUGAUAAGAAAAUGCUCAUGCCGUUGACUCAGAUACAAGACGGAAAGUGGUUGAUGACGACUUUGAGUAGGAGGACUAAUUCAUCACAACAGGUUGAAUCCCUUGACUGGUGUUUUAUUAGGUCUUCUUAUCCAGCAGAACACUUGCAUCUUGCUUUAGAGGCCCGAAUGCUUUUCAUUCUUCCAUCUUUAUAUCGAGGGAUGAGGAACCGGAUUCUCCUGCUUGCUUUCCGGAAACCCAUUUGAGCUCCUGGUGUAGGUGGCGUGUUUCAAUUAGCACUAAAACAUUGGGGGAGACUUUUCUCCUCAUCGCUAGCCUGUUUCCAAGAGGGAGAAGAUAAGGUAUUCUGGCAAUAUACGGCAUACUAGUCAUCGAUUCUUUGGACAUGAGCGAUCCAACACAACCUAGGAACAGUUGUACGCCUACAACUCCCACCUACCAGACCAAGGGAAGAAGUGCUCUCUCCAUAUUGCCUUUAUUUACUAUACUGUUAAAAAAGUGUGGGCAAAAGAAAGGGAUAUAAGCAGCUGUGGAAUCCAGCGGCAGGAUAGAGACCAAAGCGGGAUUCAAUGACUUUUGAAAGUGAAAGGAUGAAAUCCAGAAAUAGAAUAGGAGAGGGAGUUGUCGUCCAGCCCUAGUCUUUCGCCUUAUAAGUUAUUCUACGCGCGAUCCAGUGCCGUUGAAGACGAGAUUUCUUUUGACGUUACGAUAUGUCUCUGGGUUGCCCUAAAUAGAGGGAGGAUUGAUUCCUCUGGGAUUUAUUCCUCUUAAGCUAGAACCCUAUCCAAUUGCUUUUCCUAUUCCUGAGUUGUAGCUUUCUAACGAUAAGUAUCCGAUGGCUAAGCCGUGGAAGGAAUACUCUGGCUAAGGCAUUGGAGUGCCCCUAUAAGAGUCGUCCUUCUUAUAAGCCAUUUCCCGUUAAGGGUCAUAACCUUCUAGCAUUGGAUAUUAUCUUACGGGUCAUAACCUUCUAGCAUGGGAUAUUCUAACAAGUCAGAAGUUCAAUAGCACCAAGAGCCUAAAGAAAGGAAAGGGUCUCCUUAGUUGCUUGCCAGUUGAAGCAAUGCUUUGUCUUUGUUGUUACCUUUCAUUCCAUUCUAUAUGUGGAACACUCUAUUCCUUCUUUUCCUUCUUGAGCGAGAGGUUAGUUAGCUUUGUUUUGUUACUAAUUGAUAGAAUUAGAAUGUGCUUGCUUGAAGAUGAAACUCAUACUAGGAAUGGAACUCGACUGAAGGAAUAUGCUUAGCGCUGAAGAAGGCUAUAAUCCAAAUAAGGGAAAUAAGGCUUUCACGACCCGAGGCACUUAGGCGAACUCAAGGCGAUAGCUAAUAGAAUUGAUUCAUAAGAGAACCUAACAGUGCUUGUUUGCUUGUUGAAUAUCGGAGAGAACCUAACAGUGCUUGUUUGCUUGUUGAACUACCUGCAGCUUUAUCUGAUCCUACUCCCACUCAGGAUGCCACAGAGCCUUGACCUGGACCUGAUGAUUCUGAUGAUACUGUUUCUUUCUACUUGCUCUCAGCAUUCGAUUCGAGAGGAGAUUCGGCUUCUCAAUAGGAUUCAAGUGGAACAGUCUAUUCUUAUGCUUCCUUUCGAACGGCUUCUGAUCUUUAUUCGACUCCUGCUUCGUAAGCUUCUGAUUUUCAAACUUCAACCCGGAAACAGCAUUCUUAGAUUCAGAAAUUAUUUCAUCCGAAAGUAACUGCACUCGCCUAAGCCAAGGCCAAGCUAUUUUCAAAAAGGCCUCGUAUAUAUAAGGGAAAAAGUGCAGAAGGAUUAGGAGCUAACCAUAGUGAUAUGAAUGUCCGAUCGACUUAUAUAUUGAAAUAGAAAACUUGGGUGCUCCCUUUGCCUGCUGACCCGAAAUUCACCAAUACGGAUAUUUUCUAUACACUAUAGGGCUCGGUUUAGACUAGGCUGUGUUGCUUGAUGAAAGAAGCGGAUCCGGGUGGUUCAGCUGUACUCCUUGUACCUGUCUCUUCCUUAUUCGGAUGAAGGUGAGUGUCAAAGUCUAGCUAAGGAGUAGGUCGUCCUAUCAGAUGGAGCGGAUAAUUACCCCAUUAUCUUUUUCUUACUAGUUGGGGUCAGGAAGUCUCUCUCAUGCCGUGCUCUGGCUCCUGAUGCGGUAGUGGACCUGCUCUGCUUUGUCCUUCAAUCCAAAUGAAGGGCUGUAGUUUCUGGUUUUCAUCAAUGACUUUAGGAGGUUAUCUGUACGCUCAAUGGCUGCUAAGGGCUCUCAGUAUUCUUCAUAGUUUUUCAAAGUCAGUGGGUUGUUCGAAAGGGAUAUACAAGCGGAAUGAGUUCAGAAUCCAGCUACGUCAGGUUCGGAAUGGAAGUCUAUCUAAUAGAAAUAGGCUAGCUCGCUCGACCAUAAAGAGCAAGCCAGGCGUGUAACAAGACUCUACUUUUGACAAGAGUCCUCAGCCUCAAUCUAUAUGGUGAAAAGGUCUUCUAGGUGAGUCAAGCGUUACCACCUGCACUCCAUCUAUUGGCUUGUUACCUAAGAAAUCGAACCUCCUUAUGGAGGCUCACCUAUGCCGGGGUUGAUAAGAUCGGCCAGCGAAAUCCAAUAUCCGAAUGUUUACCAUUUCUUUUUUGAAAAAGGAUCUCCUUCUGGGGUUCAUUGAGUUCAGCUAACCAAAAUGUUGAUUCUUUGGGUUUGGGCGGUAUCUACUUGGUUGAUCCGGAUUCUCUUCCAUCCAUUUAUUACCUUUGAGGCUGCGUCUGGAACUAUAUAAUAUAGGUAGCAUCAAUGAAAGAUUUGGUCCUCGUUUAACCAAGGCGAUGGACUGAAAAGCGCCUUUCUUGGGUUAAGUGCUUUCCAAACAGUUGUUAAAGUAGGAGAUCGCAGCUUCGGCCGAUCAACUCUAACCUUUAUCUCAUCGGCGGGUGGAUCAAGUAAUUUAAAGACGUUUCUUUCUCAAUCCAACGACAACGAUGAUUACCUAUACAUGAUCUCUGGUUUUUCCUUCCCUUUCUCUUAGUAAGUUGAACAAAAGAAUGAGAUGAAGUUGAUUCCUAAUUCAGAAAUUCUCAGUUGAUUAGCAAUCAAUGCUAACUAAAGAAAAGGGGCAAGAACACCUUGAAGCUUCCAGCUGCGUUGUUGACAUGAACGGUGCACGAACGAUGCUCUGAGUUAGCCUAAGCCUUGGGUUAGCCCAUUUGAACGGAUUCUAGCCCCACCACUCUUUAAUAAAGCUGCUAAUGUAGCUUCUUGCUUCUUUGAAACGUAUGGGGCAGCCGCUCAAGCCAUUGUUCUGGUUGCGAAGCUAUGAUCUGCUUUCAGUUGGUCUCGCCAGUGUAUUCAGAAUCUUGUAUAUAGAAAAGGGAAGUGACUAAGUAUGGUUCAGUUCACGAAGGAACAAUAAUAAGCUUAUAUAGGGCGCCCGACCAAUGUAAAACAACUCCAAUAUGUGGCUCAGUCUUGACUACACUGCUCUAAUAGCCAGACUCCAAAGUCGGGGCGAACGCUCAUGCUUUCUUGCUGCUCCCCUUAUUAUAUAAGCGUGGUAUAUCGACGUAGAGCUUUUUCCAUUUCAUAGGAAUGAAUGGUUUGCUAUACCCCCUAAGAUGGGAUCGUCAUAGAUUGCGUACCAAUCCCCACAUCGUUUGAGCUUUUGGAUGAUGAUGUCCGGCGGAGUCGUCUCCAUGAGUUUGAGUUGCUCGGCUGGGGUGCUCGUCCUUACCUUAGUAUCGCUCUUUGGACUAGCAUCAGCGGCUAUAUCACGGAUUGAAUCCAAUCAAAACUCCCCCCACACAAAAGGGUCCUGCUUGAUAAGGUACCUACAAAUGGACGCCCAGUUUCUAUGAAAUUGAACAUCCAGCGUGCUCCCAUUCAUUGAAUACCCGCCUUAUUCUCUUCGUUGCUGUGUUUUUUGAGCCGUAUGCCCGUGUAAAGGUUUUCGCCGAUUUCGGAAUGGCUUUCCUUCGCAACAAGAAUGGCGCGGCAGUCGAACAGUUCCUUAAGCCGGUCCCCACUCUGGAUUUUCGGUUGGUCUGCCCUCUGCGUGACUUAGUGUUAGAAGUAUAUACUAUCGGGGAGAGUAGACACUUUCUUUUUAGUCAUGGCGAUCGUGUGGCAUCUAGUCAACUUCACGGCAGGAUUGGAUUUGGGAACGCUUAAUAAUAGAUCUCUCUUCACUUUUGAUCAAUAUGAGGUGAUCGUAAGACAGUAUAUAAUACUCGUGAUUCUGGCAAUCCAAUCUGUAGUGUGUAAAGCUUAAGCCCCCUAAAAGAGUUUCCAAAAUGGCAUCAUCAACACCUGGAUCACAAUCCCCAUUGUCAUUGGACCGGUCCGCUGUGGUACUAAACCAUCUCGAUCACGGGUUUCAUUCAGAAAGUGUUUAUGUUACGGCACAUGCAUAGAUGGAAUGAAAAUGAGGCUUUUUCCCACACCCCGGAGGGCCCAACAAAGUGAAGUCGAAGUUCCAGGAACGGUAGCUCACUGAACGAAAUCUAUUGCAUUUAGUAGGGAAGUAGUUUGACCGCCCCUUAGUUGUAAGAAUCAAUGGAUUCAACAAGGAAAGACAAGGGAAAAGCAAUGCUUUUUCUUAUCGACCGAACUAGACUUUAGAGUUUGCCAAUCCAUCAGAACUUUGGUAGGCCAAGGUGUAAACGAACAUAGAUAAGCUAAACUAAUGAAAAAGGCAGUUUCUUUUUGCCUCCAACGCAAAGCAAGAGAGGCUCGCAUGGUGGUUUGGAAUCAAUUAUUUCUCAAUGGACCACCCUUUCUUUGAACCUUGUAAAUGAUCGAACGUAAAAGAUAUGAACUGACUCUUAACUCACAAUAAUAAGCCUAGGCCUACCCGCUUUCCUUUCGGUCAGCUGCCACUCAACCGCUUUAGGGACUUCUGGCCAUUACUAUCAAAAACACUUUCUUUUCACCUUAGUAGUCCUAUACACCUUUACAGACUCCAUAUUUGUAGUACCUAACGCGACAAUACAAAACCAGACGAGAGAUCUCUCUCCACCUCAUUAGAGAAGUUGAUACUUAGUCCUUUUUUGUUCAGGCUAUUCUCACCUUUUGGGGCAUAGGUAACAGCUUUCUGUGUUUCCAUUGCCCUCAGCCUGUAGGGUCGGGCGCCCAGAAAAGAGGUCGGGCCCGGAUAAGACCUACCUUAUUCAAAGAAGACGGGAGGUGUCGGCUAGGCUAUUCUAACCGAGCAUUAACCAUAAGUGGGCCUGGUAAUACUUAACGCUUUAGUCCACAAAGAAUUAAUGGAUUUUCAUGCGAAGAUAGGAAGAUUUAUAGUCUCUCUAAGGGAUUAGAUGAUUAAUAUGUGAAGCUUUUUCAUUUCCUAACUCGACUACCCUUAACAUAAAGAAAGCCCAUAUAAUAGAAAGUUGCACCCAAUCUAGACUCCACUCGAACUUAGAAAUACUCAUAUAAAGUAGACCUUGCCUCAAAGCCUUUACUUUAUGUUAUGUUUCUACUUUUGAUUGAGACUCAACCGACGCAGAACCAUUAACUCUCUCUCUAUGACACUACUUUGUUUGAGCGUAAGCGGCACCCCAAGAUAUUCCAGAUGAUUUACUUAGCGUAAGGUACCGAUCAUCCAUAUUUGUUUCAUCCUCCCCCUUCCUUGACUUUGUCGUUCACUAAUUAAUACAGAUCUCUGGAACAAUACACUCAACCGAUGGAGCACUCAACUUCUUGCCUUUACUUUGAUUAAGGAUUCAGGGCAGAAUAUAGUACUGGCCCCAACAACAUAAUGUACGCUAAGUAGUCAAAGUCGUCCAAGUUAAGACUGUAGUUAGCCCAUGAAGACAGAAGGUUUCUUUACUCAUUCUAAGACAACACUAGCACCCAAUUGAGACGACCCCUACCCUACUGCUCUAGCAAGGGUAACAAGUAAUCAGGUAUAUCAACGACACAAACAAGGGCACAAGAAUAAGCAACGUGGGGAGAUAACAAUCUUCAAGCGACAGAACAAGGCCUCAAUCUCCUCUAUCUAUAAGCAAUGGGCCUAUCCUAUAUUCUUUGACUUUCUAGGGAUGCGGAUAUUCUUCUCUAUUCUUUAUUGUUUUGAAGCAAAGCAGUGUCCCCUACGAUCGAUAGAAGCUCACUACACUCCAAAGCUACCCGGAGACAAAGAAUCAAUUCUAUCUCUGAAGCCUUAUUCUGCUUCUCAUUCUGUGCUAAGAUCAAUUCGAGUUUUCCUCUUAGCAAGAACAAGUAAUAGAGUUCCAGAAGACAUUGUGCUAACGAGGUCUGGAGACGAGAAAGAAAGGGCCAAGCAACGUAGCUCUGUGAAAGCAACAAACUAAGGCUUAUGUACUUCAUCAGUAGAGUAUCUUGAAGCAAGGGCGAGAAUGGAGUACUUUUGCAUAGGGUUCCUCUGCCGAUACGAGUUCUUAAAGCUAUGCUUUGGGGUUGGUUACCAAUUUCUAUAUAAUGUGUCAGUUUUCUGAUUUUCUUUGAAUUGUCAGUUCCAUAAUUGUCAGCAGCAAGCUUAGAAGCGGGAGUAGUUGAAGAAGCCUCAUCUCAGUGAAAGUGCUUUUCGACAGAAUGGAAUUUCUGGAAUCUGGAUAGUUACGUUAGUAUAGAAGUAGUUAGUAAGAGGAGCUUAGCUUUCAAGGUAUAGUUCGGUUUCAAGUGUUGUUCUCGUAGAUAGAGAAUCAGAGGCUCAAGUCAGGUCAUCCGCAAGCAACGAAGCGGGACAAUACGUUUACCAAGCAACGAAGCGGGACAAUACGUUUACUGGGUUUGUUUCUGUAUUACUAAGUAGUUCAAGUUUGAAAGAAGGGCUUUGAAACGCUAAGUCCUGAAGCAUAAGAAGGAUUAGAUGCUGUUUUAGGUAACAACAUUCUAUCAGUGGUCCUAGAGAGAUUAGCUCCUGACGCACAACUACUACUUGCUGCUGCCGCUUGAACAAAGGAAUUGAGGAAGGACGAAGAUACUCCAAAGCUUAGUCGAAUAAGUCAAACUUGAGACUUUCACUCUUACGUGUAAGUGAAGUUACAGUAUAGUACCCGGUAAUUAGAGAAUAAGAGUGCAAAGAGGUUAAUGAAGUCAGCGAGAAUGGAUGGGAAAGAAAGUAAGCAAACUUUAGGGCUAGUAGCUCUGCAUCGGUGGUCUAAAGGAAGGGUUGGUUUCGCGGUGUACUGAUGAGGGAAGGCUUUUGAAGCAGUAAGUGAAUCAGGCGAUAAGUCAAUAAGGUUGCGGUGAAGCAUCUAAGGUGUUCUCCUCUUUGGAACAUAUAGAAUAAAGUCACAAGAAACUCACGUUAACACAACUCAUAGAACUCCUAAUGAUAGUCAACUAGCGUUAGCCGAAUAAGGACUUGUUGGGCCUGUGCGAAGUCAACCCUAAAACUCAUAGUAAGGAAGCUGACGCGCAACGCCUUCUGGUCCUCUCAAACACGCUCGCUAGUACUUUAUCAAGAUUAUUCCCCUCAACGAAAACUUUCAUCAUUAAGCUAGGAACCCCGAAACUAUAACUCGCAGAGACACCUGAUCAGAGCACGCACCUUUAGCUAAGUUGAACAUAGGGUUAAUGCAUCUUAUGGCUAAUCAGAAGGAAUGGAAUGGAGUGUGCACCUCGUAUGUCAUUUAGUAGCAUAACUCCUUAAUCACAACACUUUCACUAUAGGUCCGGUCCGGGUCCGCUCACCGACACUCCUUACGCACAACGGAACUCUACUUCAGGACAGAAGCGAAGACAGAAGCGAAGGAUGAGGCAAUCUCAUCUGCACUUUCUCCGUUAGCGCCCGAAUUCCCUUUCACAUUUGUUCUUGCUUAGAGUCAAACAAAGAAGGAUUCUCUAACUCCUUUAGCGCAGAUCGAUUUCACUGGCACUGAUGCGCAACUCAAAGAUGCAUUUCCAUUUGAUUACUGGUGUUCUAUGUUCUAUAAAGGGGGAAUAGCGAUUUUGCAAACAGGAAUUGAGCAGCCUUUCCUUACGCGCUGAAGAAGAUAGGACAAUAAGUUUUGUUACCAACAAGAACAAGAGCAGAGGUCGACUUAACGGAACAAGUAACAGAAUAAGAAAAAGGAGACUGUGUUGAGCAAAACUCAUGUAAUCAAGUAACCUGACUCUAGUAACUCACGUAAGUGCUUAGGAAUCAAAAAGAAGAAAAUGUUGUGCAAACAAAACUCAUGUAAUCAAGUAACCUGGUAAUCAAGUAACCUGACUCUAGUAACUCACUGUUGACUAAAAUAUGGAAUAUCGGCACGGCACCCUGAGCAGCUCGUUUGCUUGUUCUUGUGCCCUUGUAAAACUCCUUACGCACAACCUCUGGCGGCGCCCUUGCCUUUAAGAUUCAUUGAUGCUCAUUUAGCACACAUCUAUGUUAGAUAGAAUUCCAGUAAAAACGGAGCAUUGUAACAGAGCAUUGCUUUAAUAAGCCUAAGCCAUUACUGCAUUAAGCUAUCGGCAGUUAGCAAGUUCUUUGCGUUAGCACGGUGUAUUUAAGUGGAGUCUGUCUCGUGUACUUCAGUGGAAUCUUUCUCUUACCCGGAUUACCCAAUCCUAUAUGAUCUCGGUGUAGCGCCCCGAAAGUCAAGAAGAGAAUUUCUCGAGGCCUAAGAGAAUGUGAGUUCGCCGCACCUUAUUAGACCAAGCACAGAGAGAGGCAUAGGCAUAGGUUAAACGAUGAGAAAUCCUAAGUUCAAAAGCCUUAUAUGCCCUGUGCAACAUCUUUUCCCGCUUCUGCUUCAUAGAGAGAAGUGAUUGACUUGACGUCGGUAGAAAGAUGAAGUGAAGUUACGCCCGAAAGAUCUGUAGCUGGUAAAGAGGCGAAAGCAGUAUCAUCAGCUGUAGAAAGUCAAUCAAUCAGUAUAGUAUGUAUCUUGGGGUGCGAGAUAAUCCGCAGUAGAAGGGACAAGAUAGAGAAUUUGCCAUUCGAGUAAUUGACCGCGACUCCAAAUAAGGGUUUCUGCUACUUUAUAGUUGUGUACUUCAGUAUGAGGGAAGGGCUUUCAAGCGCUCUAAGUAAAUCAGUUUCGUAGAGUUCCGCUCUUCCAUAUGAAGCUAGGUGUGGAUUCCAUUCUGUCUUUCGAGUUUAGUAGUGCCUUGGCCCGUGCCUUGGCCCGUUCCUUGGCUUAGUUUCUUAUUCAAGCUGUGCUCUAGGUCUUGUCUAGUCGUUGCUUGGCCCUUCUCUUCUUUAGUUCGGGGCAUCAUCUAGUACUGGCCGGCCGGGGAAAGUAUUAAUCCAAUACAGCAGGCCCUACAACAUAAUGCGCGAGGUGCUGGAUAUAGAGAAAGGUAUGAUUCCAAACCACUUUUCUGGAUAUAGAGAAAGGUAUGAUUCCAAACCACUUAUAUACUUUAGCUCUCCAUCAGGGUUUCGGUGUACUUCAGUAGGUAAAGAUACUUGAGUUGGCGUAGGAACAAGAACUCUAUCAUAUGCCGAAGCGGAAACUAGAGAAGAUGUGUGCGGGGUAAGAGAGUGGGCGCAGGGUAUUUACACCUUUCUAUGCCCUGUGCUCUAAAUGAAUAAUGCCAUUCUUUCAUUUUGUUGUAUGUAAGUGCCUAUUCGGAUUACUUUAGAGUUUCGAUCAGAAGCAGUUGCGCUUACAGAAGGAGUGAAAAGCUAACGUUUAUUUAGUCUUGCAUAGAAUAUAUAUAUGGUAAAGAAGCUAGAUCAGAAGCAAGAAGGAAUGUAGACCUUUAGUUCGGGUCGGGUGUGAGUUAAUAUUUCUCUGUGGAAUCGAAGUUUCAGUUUGAAGCGUGAAAAGUAUUGCCUGUCCCAAUAAGAACAAGUGAAGGGACAAGCAGAUGUUGUACGUCAGUGGCGAAAGGAAAAGUGGUGGAAUUCCUUGUUUACUCGCCAAAAGAUUCCAUUAAUGAUGAAGACAAGCCAGUCUAUACAAGACUAAGUGGGGAGAGGUUCGGUAAGAGAGGUUAGAGUGCUUGUGUCUAAGGUCGGUGCUUGUGCGAGAAGUGAUUGUUUUGACCUUUAUUGUCUUAGAAAGAGAGAAUCCGGAGUAGAAAGAGAAGAAGAUAGUACUUAUUAAGCAAGGUGUGGUCCAAGUCGAGUGAGGGCAAUCCGAAGCUUCUGCACUUAAGUCAGCUGCUAUAUGGUAUGGAUUCCAAUAAGAGUGUAAUAGAUAUAUUAAGAAAUUCAAUGAAAAACGUAAAGUCGACCAGAGAAUUAAUCAGUAGAUGCAUCAGGCCUAGUAUCAAGAUCAAGUCCAAUCGGUUCCUCAAGUCAAGUAAGAGUGGAAUCGACAAGAUAAUCAUAAGUAAGAGCAUUGGCAACAGUAUCUGAAGCUACAUAAGAAGGAAAGUAGACAACAGAAUCCGCAGGAGAAGGAGUGAGAGCUGGUAAAGAAUAAGAAUAAGAUGAGGCAGAAGGGAAAGUGGACUUUCAUUGUUUGUUUGAUCGUGAAGAUCAUCUAUCUCUUUGCGAGUGGAGUUUCAUCGUAUAAAGAAGAAGUGCCCAGAUGAGGCAGAAGAGGGAAAGUAGACAUCGACUCUAGAAUCAAUAGGAGAGGGAUCUCUCAGUGGGAAGGCUUUCAGCACCCGAACACAGGACUUUAGCCAACACCCGAACCACCCCUGUACUCUUUCUUUACCACCUCUCCUCUGGCUACUGGGUUCAAUUAGAACUGAUUCCACUCGGUCGGUACUAGGUAUUCUAGAACGGAUUCUACUCUAACAAGAACCGGGGCAAGCAAGAACAAGAGCUGGAGCUGCACUACAUGAAUUCUAUCUUAUAAUAUAAUAGAACUGAUUCCACAGCUAAUCUCUAUCCUGAAGCAGGGACAGAAUAACUACUUGCCUGCUGACUCACUUUCGGCUUAACCUUGAAUUGCACUUUAGCCAACAUCCGAACUAGACUUGAAGACGAAAACAGGCCAUUCUCUAAGACACCUUGGGCUAAGGGAAACUCAUAAAUACCAAUGUUUGGGGGGGUUCCUCAAUUCUAUAACUUAUUGCACUAACCUUCUCUUCUUUAGUUACUACAGGGGGACAAUCAGUUGAGUUUCUUUCGUAGGGGAGAAUGAGUAACUACCCGCGCUCUAUCCUCUUCCUCUCUUUAAAGAAAGUCUGAAUGAAACUAAUACUAAGGAAUGAAUGGGAUCCCACUUACCACUUAUAGGAAUGAAACCCAUAAAUAAGUAUAUAGCGCAUCCCUAGGAAUAAGAAUCCACCUAGAAAUUGAGGAAUUAAAGAAUAGGGAGAUACCCAUAGCAAUAAAGAAUUCCAUUCGAAAGUAGAGUAUACGCUUGUCGACUUGGCGUACUCUCUUAUUGCCCUUUCUUUCUUCUCUGAACCCUGAAACAAUACCACCAGCUCUAGCGGGACAACAACUUUCUACUUUACCUCGAGCAGAAAUAUACUCAAGGACAGAUGCGUUUGCGCCAACACCCAGAUAUCGAACUAAGGAUUCUCUGGAAACUGAUGAAGAUCUUGAAACUGCUUGAAAUCCGACCUCUGCUUUUGUGAUCCUGCUUUCUAUCUGUCUUCGGUUGAUUUCGAGUCUACUAGCCUAUCUAUGUUAAACUCUACUUCUGUAAGGGUAAAGAACAGGAACUCAUAUAAGCCUUAAUCCUAUAGUGGUCCUACUUGGCCAUUGCUCUUUUUGGGUCUAAUCCUAUACUCAUUGCGUAAAAUGGCUUGCACCCUUCCUUGUCUGCUCGUCUCUUACUUUCGGGAUUCUAUUUCCAUUCUUUCAUUCCGACUUAUGAGCUUGCUCACUACUUAGUUGCAUUCUGUAACCACACCUAGGUAAAUCCUCUGUCAUAUGAGUUGAAGUCAUUGAGUUAGUGUUUCAGGCUUGCACUGCUGGAGGUAAUUCCGAGCCUACCCAGUAUCAGUCUUCCCUGUGUCACUAGUGCAUUCUCAGUGGACCUACUUAAAUGAAAGCCUGUCAAUCCCUGUAGCUUCGGUGGACUAGUUAAAGCCUGUUACUACAGAGUUGCAUUCUGAGUUUCCUAUAUAUAGAGAAGAAUUCAUUUGAUAGGGAAUGUUAGUAGUUCAUUAGUAGGAAAGCCCUUAUUGGAAAAGAGAUCUUGUUUUCUGGUUGAUUUUGGAUUUGAUUGUUUCUGUUAUUUGAUUGUUUUUGAUUCCAAAUUGAUUUAUCCCAUGCGAUUGGAUUGGAUUCUGAAGUCUACUCUCUUCUUUAUAAAGAAACUAAUAGCUUCCCUUUCCACUCUAACUCUUUCCUACCUCGACUCUGUCAACUAAGUCAGUAAACUACCCGAGCAUCAAAGCUAGCACUCAAAGAUAAGAAUGGAAAUGCAAGGCAGAAACUAACUAUCCACUUUUCACUCACAAACAACCAAUAAGGGCCCGACCGACCUCUUAUAAGUGUUAACCCCGAACCGAACUCUUACCUAAGUAAACUAUCCCUCUGAUCUUGCUCAUGAAACUCACCACUCGAACAGGACUCCCGGAGACGAACACAGCACUUUGUCAACUAAUUCCAUUCUGACUUGCUUGUCAACUUCAGACUAUACUAGGGAUUCCGGAUACUCUACUAAAGAAUUAGCUGUGCCAGGAAAGUAGACCAGACCACCACUAAGAAGAAUUCCACUCUAACAACAACAGGAGCAGGAUCAGACUAAGGAUUUGAACCAGGAGCAGGGUAUGCCUAUGUUCUUAGGCUUCAAAGGAGCGUUAUUGACUAGCUCGCUACCGCGCAACAUGAGCAGUUGCUUGGUUCUUUUGUUUGAUGGGAAAUUCUUCAUUGAAACUAAGAAAUAGUCCUUAGAGUGCAUUUCUUCCCUAUAGAUUUACCCUCUUGCUCUGCUCUUUAGUAUCCAUCCCUGCAUCCCUACUUCCGUAACUAAGGGACCGGUCUUCAACUAUCACUCGCCAAGCAACUAAGGAAGGUAGAAAACAAAAGAAGAAACCCAGCUUCAAAGCCUCUCCUCAGGACUAGCUUCCUCUCCCCUAUCGCUAACUACUGGCUCUGCUCUGUCAACAACUACAGACCCGAACUGAACUUAUUCUCUUGCCGACCUCGCCUCAAGCUUACCUCGAACAGGACUACAACGAUCCUAUCCCCGGUUGCAUUCUAAUAUUGACUACUGAGCAGCUUUCUCAUCUACUUCUCCUCUGGCUAAUUCCUCUGUUUCAGGGCAGAAUCAACUACUUAUUAAUAGACUUCCCGCUACUCCUACUUAUACGACUAGUUUGGGAUUCCACCAGAACUCUCACAGGAACAGAACUACUCGACUCUCACCUAGACUCAAAGCAAGCAAGAUUCUUCUUAAACACCCGCACUCUUUUCUUUAUAAAUCAAUUAAUAGCUUCCCGACCUCUACUCUGGACUAGAGCAUCUCUUCUACCUAUGGAAACUGUAAACUAGGAACUUAAUGAGGUAUAUCUCUCUUCUAGGGAUAGAAUUCCAGGUAGUUAUGACCUAUAUUGACUAUUUCUUCCCUUGCAGACCUCGACUCAGGCUCAUCUAAUCUCUUUCCACUCCGGCUUCCCUCUCUACAACUACAGGCUCUCCUCUUUCAACUAAUGCCAAACAGGUCACCAACAAGCACCGGCUACUAAUAGAUGGAUGAAACUCGGUUAAGCCUUAUUGUAAACCUUGCAAAACCCUGUAGUGCUUCUUCAACAACUACCCGCGCCUAGUAACUGACUUGAAACUCCAUCCACUUGAUACUUAACCUCGAACUGGGGCAAAGGGCUUCUCUCUUUCUACAAAUACAGAUUCCACAGCUGACCUUGCAGACCUCCUAAACUGCUUCCCUUCUCUCCUUCUUACUGAACUGAAGUAAAGUAUCUUUCUGGAACUCACCAAAACACGGUAUUUUUCAUAGCAAUCGGAUUUCCCCAGCUAGACCGAUCCAAUCCAAUUAGAUUUGUGCGUUUUCCCGGGAUUUUAGAUAGCGACCCAGUUUUCCUUCCUAAACCCAGAAAGUGAGAUUCUAUUUUCACGUUUUACCGUGUUUUUUGGUUGCAACCAAUAAGAGCUCCUGCCGCGGAACGUUAGUAGUUCCUUAGCCCUUCCUGGAAGGUCUGAUUGAGAUUACAAUUUCACGUUUUCCCGUCUUUUUUCGUUGCAAAUAGAGAAAUAGUAUGGGAUGGUACUUCACUUAGACUUCAACUCAGUAUUCCACUGGCAGAACUUCUGCUGUUGGGCCUGGUGUUGGUUCUUUCAAUCGAGUGUUAACGCCUACCUCGACUCAAUGCUAAGUGAAUUAGUUCUUGCCCACCGAUUACCUGCAUCUAGUUUACUGGGAUACCACCGAUUCCCAGCUACUGGAGUAGUGGAUAAGAAUUCAACCUAAGUGUUUGAGAAGUAAGAAUACAACCACUAACAACUAGAAUCAAACCGCUAGGGCAAAGCCUGAAACAAGGUAUUUACAGAACCAAACCAGUAACAACUAGGCUAUAACACCUAACAACAAGACUGAGCCAGUGCACAAUCGGCCUGAAAGCAAGGGUAGCUAGACCUCAACACCUAAAACAAGCCUGAGAGGGCGGAGUGAGAGAAUGAGAGCAGUACCGAUCAGAAUUGACCUAAGGAACCGGGUGUUGAAGAAGUCGGGUCGGUAUGAACCUAAUGCUACUAGUAGUUGCUUGGCCCACUUCACCUUGCUUCAAAGCCUGUAUGCCAGCUUUGCCUGUAUGCCCGGUAUGCCAGCUUGGUCCCUACUAUAUUAUAUCUGGUAUGCCCGCUUUGGCCCUACUAUAUGCUUUAUUGAUCUUUCUAUAGGAUUCUAGAUAACAGAUGAAACUCAUUCCAGAUUGGAAACACAGAGUCAAGGAGAACUGAAGGAGACGUAACUAACACACAUAUCAAAAGGUUUUUUAAUCCGCGGAAGCCAAAGCAGUGUUCCCUUAAAGGAAGCAGUUAUUGUAGAUGGACCGCCCCCUAAAACAUAAUGGGGGGUAAGCUUACUCCUGAUUCUCAACUUGUUGAACAAACUAAUAUUAGCAUCUACAAACUCUAUGACUCGUUUAGGUUAAAAGCAAAGGGAAGGUAUCGAGUCAACCGUACUCCAGUGCAGGAGCAAGCCAAUCACCGACCCGCUUAGACAAUACAAGCCGCAGAAAUGACACUCGAAUGGCCCGGCCCAUAACAGAGACACCAGAAUAUACUCUUUCUUUUGCUAAGGUUGAAGCCAUAUUCAAGGUUGCUCGUAGGGAAAAGUGGAUCUCGCCCUGUAGUUAACUUACGAGUCCAAGUUUCACAACCAACGGCAUAGCCCAGUAACUACUAUACAAGUAGAUAAGUGACUUUCGAAGAGAGGGAAGUGUAAUAAAGAAAGUUCGGGUAAAGAAGUAUAGUCCAGGAGUGGGCAGUAGAGAAAAGAUACUAAACAUUCCAUGAUUCAGUAUACGCUUGGCCUCGGGGUUUGGUAAAACGAGUCCCGUCAACUUGUAUAUAAGUGCCAUGGUGUAGCAGUGAAGUUAAGGUCAUCAUGUCAGGUUAGGCUCGCUGACGCGUAACAUUAGUUUGCUAAGUUAAGUGAGUCAGUUCUUUUUUGAGUGUGCUAAAGCCUAAUGUGUAAUUGGUUUAUGGGGUAUAUGGGAUAAGAAUAAUGAAUCCAUGAUGAAAGCUAGAGCGCAAAGGUGAAGUUAACAAAAGGAAUAGCUGCUCUCUCUGCAAAUAAGGAAUUGAUUGAAUCUCUCUCUUAUCGAGCACCUAGGAAAACAGUCAAAACAUUAAUGGAUUAUCGAUCACCUGACCUGGUCCAGGCAUAGAUCUGAGUAAAUACACUUCUUGCUUCCCUUGAUUAUUCUUCUUCCUUCCCGUCCUUCCUCCUUUAUUGAAUGGAAAUUGAAACUCCCUUACAGUUAGUUAGGGCAAUCUUAAUGAAUUUGUUGAACGUAGAAGAACCGUUCAAACUUAGGAUCCUGAUCUUAACCCAGCUUUUUGUGAGAAAACAAGGAAUUUCAUUGAAUUAGUUGACUACGGAGAGGUGUGGAAGGAUACUCUACGCAAAAGUGAACUAUACUCUUUGAGGGUGAGCGAGUGAAGUCUCUUUUGGUGCUUAUUCAAGUCCUGUCCAGUUUGCGAGAGAAGUUCGGUACGCCUUAGUUGCAGACUUAGAUUACUUGUAGGGCGAAGUAGUGUCCUGUUACUCUAAUUCUAUAUGUUGCUCUUUCUCCUGCCUCCAUCUUAUGCUUAUUAUCCUUAUUCACUUAUACUUAUGCUCCUUAUUCAUAUCUUGAUUCCCUUGCUUCCUCACCUAUUACAGUUGGCUCUAAAGAAUAGAAUAGAAUCUCGGCGCCAUCAUAAAAGAAUGAAGCGGAAUCAAAUGCAGGUUAACUCUUGACUCUAAGCUUAUCCGCUUGGCUGCUGUAAGUGCUCCAAAUUCCAUACUUAUAUGACUAGCUUUAGAUCUUUAGCCCGCUCCUUCUGUUCGCCUAGUGCGAGUGUAAUCCCAUCUUUCAAUCAAUUUCUACAUGUUAAGAAUCUGCUCUGUUCCUGUUUGUUCUGUAGGCCCGAUCUAUCCUCGCUUGCAGCUGAAGAAGUAAUUGAGGCAUAGUCCCCUUACAUAUAGAAUGUCGGCACCACGAGUUGGUUUAAGAAUUGAGGCGGCUGCCUCCUUUGAACAAAAAGCUUCUUAUUCCCUUCCCUGAACAAAACCCUCUGCUCAGCCAAUAAGCUCUUUCUCUUUCGCCAGCUAACUAUCUCAUGGUAAGCACCCGCUUCAUACUCAUCAGGAACCUGCAAUUCUACACUACUUACUAUUCCUCUUCUGACUAAUGUUACUACAUCAGCUGUGCGUUCGAGUGUUGGCUAAAGUCCGGGUAGUGGUAAAGUUAUGGUUCUUGUUUCAUACCGAGCUGAAGAAGUGGAAGUGAAAGGCUUACUUUAGUUGUUUCAUCCCCUUAAUUAGGAGUGGAAUCCCCAGUGACUUUAGUUGUGAGUUUUACCUAUAAGUAGUUAAGGUAUUGUUCGGGCUAUAGCCUAUAGAGAACCUGGCCUGUCCGAACUAGGGAUAGAGUUUCACUAGAGCUGCCCGAGUUUGUCUACUUAAGGGGUUAGCUUGUUGGACAAUUAGUUGAGUGACCCCUCUUUACCUUUGUAGUAGUUGGUAGUAGUGGCUGGGCAGUUGGGGAAAUCAAUAGUAUAGGCGACAUCCCGAGUUGCUUGUUUAGUAUAAGCUUGCCUGAGAGCAAAUAGGUUCAUUCCAUUCUUUAGUUGUCGGCCUCGGCCUGGCCUUCCCGUCUUUCACUCUGAAACUCCUUUUUCUCAUUCUUCAACCCUUGAACUUAAGUCUGACUUUCUCCCCUGUGAGUCUGUAACUCCUGCCUGGAAUUCCUAUGUGAAAGUGUGAGUCUUAGCCCCUGACUUCGCUGUCCAAGUAAGAUACCGGGCAUAGGCCUUUUACUCAUUAGCAUAGGAAUGGGCGUACUAACACACAGGAGCAGAAUUCCACUCAUUAGCAUAGGACUGAGGAAGCAGCAGAUAAGGAAUGCACCUUAGAAGUAAGGGCAUCGGGCUAAGAAUGGAACUUUAAAUACAGAAGUUAACUCACUCGUUAUAGUCUGCCACCCCAUGCUCGCAUUCUUGUAGUUGUACCUGGCAUUGCCGUUCUCUUGUCUAAAACUUCUACUCUUCUUUUAUAGCCUUUAAGGUUCGCACUUUCAUUCUGAUGCUUGAGUUUGGUCUGACUUUCGUGUCUCUCAGUCCUAUGCUCUUGUUUCAAACCUACACUCCUUGCUAAAAUGCCAAUGUUCCAGUUUCAGUCUGACUAUUCUUUAUCUUAUUCUUAACCCCCAGGCUCUGACUCUUCCGCUCUUGUCUCUCGGGCUUACCCUCCUUGCUUAAAGCCUUGCUUUUGAGUUGAAGUAUCCCCCUAAAAACUCGGACUCUUCCGUUCCGCUCUCUCUGUAUUACUAUUCUGUCUAUAACUCUGUCGCUCCUAACUACCAAACUGACAUUCCUUUAGAUUUGUAAUAAACCCUGUAUACUCAUUCUUGAUUAUUACCUUGGAUUAGAGUUAUUACUUUGAUUCUGAAAUUGCUUAUACUUCGAACAGAGAUCCUCUGCUCUAAGGCUUGGAACUAUAAGUAUUAGAAUGUCCGGUAGGGGCUGGCAGUUGGUUCAGAAGCUAAAACAAGGGAAUCAGGCUCUAAAGUAGGGCCAAGCAACGGGACAAACUACUAAGUAAGCCGGGCAAGUCACUAAGGGCUAAGUAACUACGAGUUACACUAGUUGCAUUCUUUGACUAAUGAGUUUGAUUCUGACUCUCACUACUUAGUUGCCCUAGAUGCUGGCCUAGUAAAAGACUUCGGACUUCCUCCUUACUCCUUACUGCUGGCUUCCUCCUUACUAGUAACUUAGGGCUUACUCAUAACUUCCUCCUGACUUCGGGCUUACUCUUUGAACUAAGGCCUCUAUACCUCUAAAACGGAUACUUGCAACCCGGCUCACUGGUAUGAUUACUUAAGAGAACAGAACAGAUAGAUACAAAUACGGAAUUCCAAUCUAACAAGAACAGGGGCGAGCUACUACUCUAACUCUGAGGGAAGGCACGACCUGAAGUGAAGAGAAGAGGGGCUUCCUGAGUGAUAUAAUCUUUCCAGUUUUACGUCGGUGUCUGAGGGCCGGACAGAGCUUUAGUUUAUUUAGCUUCCUAUUCCGAAAGUUCAGUAUGGGGUAUUGCUGCCUAUCUCAUACUUUAUAUUAAUAUUUGGACUUUUACUUUGAGAGAAUUGAUUCUGGGCUUUGUCUUUAAGAGAAUUGAUUCUGUAUAAUAGUAAGGGUCCCCAUUGCCCACUAACGGUAGCGGCGGUUACUCGAGCAACGGAUUCUAGAACACCUGAUUUGCGGCAUAUCUGUCAUUGGGUAUUUAGGCAUCCUUUUCGAAAGGUAGGAAGUAAGUGAGCAAGCAAGCAAAAAAGCAACUAGUUCAAUUCAAAAAGAUGUUGAUGUUGUGCGCCUUACUUGAAUAAAAGCAGUAAGCAGUUUUCUAAUUUAGAGUUGUUGUUUCCGAGGGAAGCAGCAAUCAAUUAGAAAUCGAAAAGUCACGUUUCAGUUUCAAGAUCUGACAACAGUAUCAUAAGCAGCGGAAUAGCCAGUUCCUGUUUCAUAGUGAAGAUCAUAUACUUCUGUUCGCGCACCUCUACUUAUUGCUGACUCCUGACUUGAAUGUUAUACCUGCUGCGGACUCUCAAGUACAGAAUAGAAAAGAGACAACAACUUUCUACUUAACCACUCCCACAGAUCCCGAUCCUUAUUCUUCCCUUGGUUGUUGACUUGCUCUCUUGAUUGAAGCUGCCUAACACACCCCAAGAAGUAAGACUGAAACGCGUAACUAAGACUUAGUUUGAUAAUUCACUCAUAUGCUCCAGGGCGGCCUAGCACUACUUUAACUUAUCACUUGGUAUUGAACUCAUCAGUAUUAGUACACCACUCCUAACUCCUGAAGUAGUCCUCAUGAGACUAAAUACGUACCGAGAGAACGAAACCGACAAGGGGCCCCAGGGAACCACUCUUAAGUAAGUAUACCGGUCAGAGCUAUAAGACUAACUUACUAGUUGGAUUCCGUACCUCUUGUUUCUUGGCCCGACACUACUUACUUAGAUUAUGUAUUCUUCUAUACACCUAGGCUCUUGCAUUCCACGCCAGUUUCAAACUUAUACUCAUACUAAUCAGAAUAGAACCCGUGUGAGCUAUACCAAUACCAGACAUUUGAUUCCAAUUCAUUAGUGGAAGAAUACCUGUCUCAUCUGACGAAACAGAACUUAGCUCAUUAGCGUAGGACCUAAACAUAUCAAAGUGAGCCUGGCACUCCGAACUCGUAUACUGAAAUUGCUGAUCUAACAUCUGGCUUCACCCGCAGUUGUUUGAGUCCUGUUACUUGUCGAGUGAAUUCAGUCCUGUCUUAGGGAGCCCUUAUUUGUGUUAUCAUAUCCAAAUCGGGACAGGUAUCCUUGCCUUCUAGUUAAUUCCUUAUUAAUGACAAGUUUCAGUCUGAUGCUUAUUCCUUUGAUUCCAUAUUUGGUCUGAUACUUUUACUACUGGCUCUAAGUCUUUUACUUACUCAUUGCAUUCUGACAGGUCAAAAGAGAGGGAGUCCGCUCCUACUCGCUCUAAAACUGCCCUCAUGCUUAGAUGGCGAGUUCCCCUUUCUUUCAUGCGUAGAUGCCGAGCUAUAGCUCUAAGACUUACUUUUAGUGUAACGCAUGGGACUAAAGCAGCUACAACUAAAGAACAAAACCUGUGCUAUUAUACUGAAAUCAUAAAGCAGGAAUCUAACUAUGACAUUAAUAAAGGAACAGCGGCUAACAAGGCUUAUCCUUCUAACUGGGACUUCUACUCAAAACUAGUGGAUUUUUCUCUCUUUUCAUUAUAAGUAAUAAGAGUCUGGCUGGAUGAAACUCAAGGGUAGUAGACUAAAGCUAAGUACUAUUAGAAUAUGGGCCUUAGUCAAUAAUUGCUAGCGCAUCUACUCUACUAGUUAUAAUACAACUAAUGCCAUUGGAACUAAACUACAAACUACAGGACUAAAUCAAACAAUAAAGAACAGGACUGGUGUCUCGGAGAACCAAACUCUGUAUUUGGAGAAUAUGAUGUGUGGUAGAUGCAUCGCAUCCCUAGUGAAUUCAACUCAACAGUAAGAGACUUCAACAAGUAUUAGUCCGAAUUGAACUAUAGUGACUCAAAGGAUGAAAACACAGCUAAAGAACUUCACUCUCCAAGCAAUGGUACAAUUCACUCUCCAAGCAAUGGGACAAGUUUCUAUUAGAGGAAUCAACACUCGAACAGGAGACUUAGCGUGGGCCCGGGUAAUCCCCUAGUAUAAGAGCAAGGGAGUGAAUAAGUAAUUCCACUAUAACAGAGGAAUGAGCCCCUCUUUCCGGUAACUAAGAAAUCAAUACAGAAGUAAUAAUGAGGAGUAGUCGUAGGCAUACAGAAGUUCACUAUCAGCUAGGAAUAAUAAGUAAUGGAAGAGGAAAGUAACGACUACAAAUGCAGGAUUGCGCUCAGCAGUCCAAGAGUGAAGCUAAGAAUACAGAUUACUGCACCGCCUAACAAACAACAAAGACUACUGGAAUGCUACUACCAAGUAUAGAUUCAACUAACUCCUCUGCUAACAAGGAAUUCAACUAGACACCAACAAGACGACAACAACCCCUACUGAAUGAAAAGAAGAAACCUAUAGACACCAACUCAGACUCGCAUUCCUGGCUACCGGCCUAUAUCUCUUUGCUUUUACCCUGACACUACUAGGAGCUAGAAUGAAAUCACUACCGCCGGCCAAGCAACGGGCCAAGCAACUACUACAGUAGCGCGGCAGGGUUUCCCCAGAGUAGUUAGAGAGAUUCAGGCCUUACAUCCACUGUGACAAAGGUCAUAGCAGGGAAAAACACUUCAUUCACAGCCAGGAAAGAAGGCUUAAGGGAAGGUUCCUGAUUCCUUGACCUAUGCUUCGGUUUACCUCUAUGCUUCGUUGACCUUGGAACUAUAUUCCUCUUUUUUGAUUGACCAGCGGGACUCCUAGGUUUUGUCAUCGCCUUGCCGGCACCUUCCUUCCCUGAGCUCACCUCCUCUACCACCUUUCUAUAUGCCCUUAGGAUAAGUCAGUCUGUCUGCGCAAUCCGCAAUCAUUAACCCGGCUCUACGUCUUCUUAAGAAAGGUGCGUCUGUAUUCACUUGCAUUCCGACCCGAACCUGAGAACUAUCCACAAGACCGCUUACGCCAAACUCGAGAAGAAGCUUUAGAAGGCGAGGUUACCAUUACUUGUUAUUCCACUAGUGAUAUUUGGGGCAAGAUCAAUAUAUAGUGAUCCGUUAUGAUUGUUCAAACUACGGUAAAUAGUGGAAAGUAGUUAGGCCUUACUUAAGUCUGGUCUCCUCUCCCAGGAGUGAGUCGAUGAAAGCCAAUAGACAGAAGCAAGGGUAUACUUUUCGCUUGACAGGAACUUACUUGCAACAACCGGCCGCGUCAGGAGCUAAAAGCGCGUCAGUAAUUAGUGAUUUUAGAGUCAUUACCGAGUCCCUAUCUGAUGGAUUUGCCAUAGGAGGAGUUUCCAGUAGGUUAAACAACUUCUUUAUUACUUGCUAUGUGUUUGUGAGCCAGAGAGGGCAGGGAAAUUGGGGUUGCAUCCAGUAAUAAUCUCAUAUCACUGACAAAGAAUACAGAAUCCACUAAGGGCUCAUCUACCGCCAACUUAGAGAAAGAAGUAUAUGAUGAAGCCUUAACCUAGCCAAUGGAGUAGUGAUCGGUAACACCUCUGAUUGUUGGUUACGUUACAGAUUGUCCCGCUAUAGCUGGUAUAGUUCCAUAAGCCGAAUCACAGUCCAAGUUCUUAUGCCCACCUAGAAGAUUAAGGGAUAUGAAGAAAGUACUGGUUCGGGUGUUGAUGCUGUAGUAGCUCCUUCCUUGUCGUGGAGUAUAGGAUCUCUCUGUUCGCCCUGUUCCACUUAUAUCGUAUGUUGAAGCGGAAUCUACUCUCCAAUCUCAUGCCCACGUGGACUAUGCGGUGUGUGAAGCAUCUAUUGCCGGUGUUAGUGUGUCUCUUGACUCUAGAUCUUAAGCAUAAGAAUGAAAGUAGACAAGCGGUUCUGCAAGUUCAUUGGAUUACGGGUCGGGUGCUAGUACUGUUGCUAACUUAUAUUACGGGUGCUUUCAGUUGGUUCCACAAGUUUUGUUCCUGUUCCGGAUCUGAUAAUAAGUAAAGGGAAGGGGGUUUCAAGUUUACCAGUCGUGAAAGUUGACUAUAUGAUUUGUUUGUAACAUUCCUUCCUACCCUACCUAGGCUUAUAUGCGCUGUACUACAAAUUCCUGAUUUUUGUUUCAAGUGUUGAGUCAGCUGUUCGCCCAGUUCGACUUUUCUCGUUGUUUAUAGAAAGAAGCCCAGAAGAAGCGGAUGCUGGAAAGUAAACUAAUCUGACUCCUUCGCCAGGAAAGUAAACCUCAUACUGCUUGCGCACAAGGACGAACUCAUCAGGUGUUAAAGCCUUAUUUGCCCUACCAUAACUUCUUCAGCGCGGUGAAGAUAUAGUGGAAUCUUUCUUUGUUGCUUUAGCCCUCGAAAGAAAAAAUCCAGUAUUUGUUGACAGUGAAAGUGAGCUGUGCGUUAGCUUAGUAUAGAAAAGGUCAUAUUACUCAAUAUAGAUAUAUACUAGAGGUUAAACAAAGGGAAAGUAAGCGUUAGCGACCCGACCCCGAGAAUCAUAAGUGUCAAGUUACUCACUUAUUGCUUUUUGAAUGAAAGUAAGCGGUGAGUGAAUAAGUUUCAUCGUCAACAGUUCGAGGAAAAUCUACAUCUACAAGAGAAGACUCAGUUUCAAGAGAUUGUUCGGCUACUGGCUUUGAGCACGAGGUUUGCCACUUCAUUCUAUAAUACGGGUAAGUGGGGAACAAGAAUGAUGUCCGUUUGAUAGCAUCUUAUCUUGUAGUUGAUCAUGAAAUUCUCAAUUCAGAGUUUGUUGGUGACUUCUUCUACUUAGUGGUGUAAUUCCCAAGUGACUAAGUAAGUAUUAUAAUAGUACUAUAGGAGUUUUCAAGUGUUCAGUAACUACUCUGGGAUACUGUGCCAGGAAAGCUAUGUACUUGUUUCUAUCAUCCCUAGCAAUUAGCCCUAGCUCAUUACCUCUUUAAACUAUCCCUCUCCUCGCGUUACCAUUCUGUUACUGACUAUUCGGAGACUCUCCUGUCUGCUUGUCUGUGAGUUUCAUUCAGUUACUUACUUCUAGCCUCUGAUCAAGUAUCUUCUCCAUUCUCUUGUUCGCACAGAGCAUCUAGUUUAUUUACCUACUUUAUCGCUACUCAUAUAAUAAUUUGUAUAGUUCCAGUGACUAGUUUAGUACUAUUUAUCUCAAUACGGGCAGAAGAAGUCAACCUGCAACUGGAGACUUUCCCCUUACUGAUUCUUUUAGAUACCCUUACUUUUCAGGUACAAGUCAGAGGUGAGUAGCACGCGGGUCUUAACUUCAAGUUUCGGUCGGCUAGAGAGAAUCAGCUUGAUCGGGAGAAUAAACAGUUUCAAUAGCGAGAUCCUAGGCAGUGGCCGUAUCAAGUCCAGUUGAUAGAAAGGCUAAACCAGGACGUGGUUCUAACUGCUCCUGUGUUAAGGUAUUCUAUUCCAUUCAGAAGUCGAAGAGCUUGUCGACUUGUCCAUUAGUAGUAGCUUGUUCCUUAUAGCCCUUGAAUACUCUCAAGAUGGUGUGAAAGCAUAAUAAGGAUAAUCAGCAGUAUCAAGUCAGUCAGUAGUAACCGCUAAGGAAGCAGCAUAAUUAGAAUGCCCACGCCACUGAAGAGGAAUUAGCCAGCUAUUGAGAUAGAAUAGAUGACAAACCUGCGCUCUAAACUAGAAAUACAGAAUUGAAACCCUAAAGUCAUAAUUGAACUAAGUAGCCAUAGGAUAUGCUUUAGUGCUUGUGUUAAGCAAGUAGUCAAUAUAGAAUAGAGGACCAGUACAAGCAGCCAACAUAAGUAAGGGUUAGUUGUUAAUUGGCCCUAUCAAAUUCGAUCUUUAUUAUUAAGGAUGGUUCGAAUGCCAUGCCCCUUCCCUUAAGAAUUGAGUGAAAGUAUUGCCAGUUGCUCGAGUUAUAGAGGUAGUUUCAUCCCGAGUUUUCAUCAUAAAUAGCAUCAGUGGUGUGGGAUGAGAAUGGUACCCCUCUUUCUAACCAUGGGACCUAUCUUGCUACACCCUCUAUUUGGUUUUUUGCACUCUAAAGUUAUAACUCUUCCCUUCAUCUAAUCCGAUCUCCUGGUUGGUAUGGUCCCUUUCUUUAUAAGCUCUGGAAAUCCUUUAAUGAAUCCAUUGACUAUAUUCCUCGCCUAUCUUGCUGGUUCCUUAAUGAAUCCAUUGACUAUAUUCCUCGCCUAUCUUGCUGGUUCCUUUCUUUAUGGUUGCUAUCUCGUACCUUAUGUUUUAGUGCUAAAGCUUCCUACUGCCCUAUUUGUUUCCCCCUCUACUAGGCUAAUGAUUCUGCUUGAGUUUAUACUGUUUCCCUUGCCGAUUCCUCUUCUCUUGUAUUGCUCCACUUUCCUUCCCGCUUACCCUUACUUGGAAUCAUAAGCUGACUAUGCUAAUGCUGACUCAACAAGCAGGGGUCCAACUUCAUAAUGCGCGAUAAGUCAAUCAGUUUCAUCUUAUAUAGAAGCCUCAGCCGAAUGCCCAUCGAUACUUGUUUAAUAUCAUCUAGAUAAGAGCUUUGUAUAGAAAUCAAGUCACUGGACUGGACACUCCGCUCCAAAGCCACCCUACCUACCUGUAGACCAAGAUCAGAAGCCUAAGAUGGAUCAGUAGUUUCAACAGAAUCAUCAGCCCUUAAGUAAUUGGUUUAGGCAGUAGAUCCCCUUAAGAGUUUCAUCUUUGUUUGUUAGUGAAAAGAGUCCCGAGUUAACCUUUCUUUUAUGCCUGGGCUUCCCUUAUUAAGAACUAGUCCGUAUUUGGGUGUUCAUCGCCUUAGUCAAAAAAUUCCAUUCUAUUCUGAAGUAGUAGGCUUUACUCGGGGAUUCUUCAGUAGUAGCUUUUACUUGGGGAAUGUUUUCUACUUUCUUAUCCGCUAGAUCUAUCCCUAUUCUUCUCCAGACACUCACUCCUUUGCUAAGGUUAGCUUGUCUCUUUGACUACUUAGUUCAAUUCAUAGGUAGGGUUGCAUUAACACUUACUAUAAGAACUAUUGUCAAUUCACUCUUAUAAUAAUCACAGAUAGAGCGUAAUGUAGGGCAACCCCCUUUCCCUGCAGCUGAAGUCAAAGAAUUCACUGGCCUAGAUCCAUAAUGCCUAGCUCCAUCCUAUUAUUCUCUCCAUCCUAUUAUUCUAAAGUAAACUUUCCUGCGUAAUAUAAGUAAGGCACCCCGACCCGACCUCUAUACCUCUUGGCACAUAAGUGAGGAAUUGAAUGGAACCUAUGGAGCACCCGGCUAAUGAUCUUAGAACUGGAAGAAGCUUUUAACCGAUCUUAUAACUGAUAUGAUAUUCUUUCUUUCUUUAGAAUAUGAUGAAACUACGGGCCAAGCUACGAUACAUUAUAACUCGUUAUAACCAAAUCCUGUUUAAACCCAUAUUGUGUAAGUAGAGCGUCAAGAUGAGUUGUUUUCUGGUUUAUUUGUUCUUUCUAAUUUAUUGUUCGAUAGUUUUCUCCCAUCAUUCUUAUCACUUAGGGCUUACUAGCUACUAACUUAGGGCUUACUACUAACUACUAACUAGCUUCGGGCAAUCGGUGGUCUAGUAACUGACUUCAACAACUACCCGCCUCUACUUCUUUUGUUUUAGCAUAGCACCCGACCUCUAGUGUUAACGCCUAACUCUCCUCUGUCAAAAGCCAAUCUCUUCUCUCACAGACAAAGAAACUCCACUUUCCUUUUAUUGCUACCAAUACAAGGUAAAGAAUCCAAGUUUGUUAGCCAUAGGCAUAGGAGAGGAAGUAUUGUCAGAGGUAGCUACCGGUAGUUAAGGGCUUACUUUAUGCUAAGUUAAGGGCAAUAGAGUGCUUGAUGUCGGUCGUGGAGAAAAGUCAUUGUCCCGCUUACACACAACUCACAUCUUACUCUUAUUGGACUUGGUAUGGUACUAGAGAAAGACUCAUUUGAAGACAUAGGCUAAAUAGGGACUCCAAAGGAAGGCAGUUAUCAUGUCUGAAUCCGGACUUGGUAAUAACAUAGAUUGCUCUUCGGUCUUAGACAGCUCCUAAAGAGAUAGUCACUACCCCUCCGCUCUUAACCUAAUCAAUGUCGUAUAAGAAUUGGACUUGCUAGUUCUAAGAGAGAAAAGAUGAGAUGCCCAGCAAGAGCAAGAGAGAGAAGACCGGUAGGCAUGAGAACUGUAUUGCCAGGUCAAGUUCCGGAGCAUUAGAUUACAUAGCCCACCUCUCCUCGAAAGUAACUGAGGAUAUCCGUUGCCCACCUCGAAGACCCGCUUUCAGCUUACUUGAGAACAGAAACAUCAUUAAUGAGAACUGGAACAGGCAAUUCUCUUUGAACUCAAAACUCGGAAUUGACCUACCGUUUCUAAGACCUUUACUAAAAAGAAGGAAUCCAACAAAUAAGUGUGAGAAUGAAAACACCAACUAUUAGAAUCAAAAGCAAAGGCUCUAACUAGUGCUCCUUACUUAUGAUAAAGAAUCCCACGACUACUCACGGGGCUUACUGUCCUUUAUCUAACCCUCCCUCUACUCUUCUAUGCGUAUAACACAUGGGUUGGUGGACUACCAAUUUCGACUACUCUACAGUAAAUAAGAGAACAACUAGGGACUCGGAAUCAAAUAAGUAAGGAAAAGAAUAUAAGGACUCGGAAUCAAAUAAGUAAGGAAAAGAAUAUAACUACCAAGAGAAAGAUCCAGACCAACGCUAAAGAGAAUUGAGCUAUAAUAGCUAUCAGACUAAGACACUGCCCCAACAGACUAGAAACUUCAACUAGGGGAUCCAACUGGAGAUAACAAGGCUCGGAUCACUGCUAGCAGGACUGUAUGACCUACACACAUCAAUAAGACUUUACUGCCGCUCCUAACUACCAAACGGGCAUGGCAUCCCUUAAUCCAUUUAUGGCCUAUGAGUUCGGGCCUACCUCUCUUCCUCGCAAACAGGCACUCCCUUCUUGCAUUCCUUAUUGCCUGCCUCGCCUUUAGUUAAGUCUACCUUUCCUUUCUUCCAUUCUCGAUUUCCGGAUUGAUUCCAAGCCAGCAGCUGACGCUGCCCUUGCUUUUGAGAGUGUAGUGCCGUAUUUAUGUAAGUAGCGUGUCAUGUAAUAGUAAGUAGCAUGCCAUGUGUUUUAUUGGUUUCAUAUAAUAUAUAAUAGUAGCCCCUGUGUAUGGUACGUAACCUUGAUUGAUACAUUGAUUGAAACCCGCGUAUGGCACAACACACCCACGACUAUUGACUCUUAAGGGAUGUGUUCCGUAGGGGUAUGUUGUCGGUGUUCGAUAGAAGUUUAGAGGAAAGAAUAACUAGAAGAAUGGACUUUAGAUAGUAUUAAUAGAAGUGAAUAUGAUAAGCGAAAGAGUGUAGCGGCAGUCUACUUACACCAGUAGCUCUACUCUUAUUGGUAUUGAUUGGAUUCCUUGUUAGUAGAGGUGGUUUCCCAGUUUCUGACCUUUGAGUUGGUUUCCCAGCCGAGUGGGGGAAGUCCAAGUUUCGAGUUGGGUUCAUCUGUAAUCGAAUAAUGAAUGAAUAUAUUAUAUCAUAAUAGAGUCCAAAGCUCAGCUCAGUAAUAGAAUCAUUGGUGGCAGGGUCAAGUCAAAUACUGAUAGAUGCGAGAUCCGUGGCUAGAGGACCCGAUGCAGUGUUUAAAGAAAGAGAGGAGGCCUGUGGUGUGAAAGAGGUUGUUGGGUUGAAAGCGAGGGAAGGGACCAAGCAACGGGCCAAUCAACUACUACAAAGGCACAGAGGGGGACAAGCCAGCCGAUCCUUAUUUCUUCGUAGGCGAGCGGGAGAGUUAGUGACCUAUUCUAUAUCAAGGGUUAGUUACCUAUUGCUCUUAACCAACCAGUGCUUCUUAGACUCCCUAUAGAAGUUAUCAGAGAGAAAGGAUUUUCAAGCAAGGGUAAACUGCGGCAUACAAUCAGUUCAGUUCACCAGUUUACAGGGGUUUGGUAAAAAAUAAGAGAAAUUGACCUACUUCUCGCCACCCCACCUGAGGAGUAUAAUUGAGAGUUAUAGGCUUUAAACACCUGAUUGGGAGUGACUUGUAUAGUAGUGUCUUGCCUAGUCUUGAUCCAACAAGCAGCCAAGCCGACAAUGAGUAAAUAUAGGUUGACAGCCCCAACUAGACUACCGGUACCUACCAUAUCUUAUAUUUGGAGUACCUAUGGAAUUCUAUCCCUAGUAGUUAUCGGGCCAAGGAACUACUUCAAAGCCAAAGAAAGAGACUACACUUAUUCUCUUGCCCACCUCUCGGAGAGGAGAGGAGCCUAACUUACUAGCCUUCGCAUUCAACAUUCCAUUCUUUAUACGAUGACUUUCAAUCCUACUCCACGAGACCAACCACUUUGAGCGUAGAGCGUACGCGGCACAUUGCCGACCAGAGAAGUCAGGAAUACGAGUAGAUUCCACCUACCUAUGUUCUUUGGUUACCAUAUUCGAUAUGUGUGUCAGUCAGUUCAAAUAUAUGACUUUUCUUUCGCCCAAUAGCAUUAGCGAGUUUACUUGCACUCUCUGAAACAAGCUUUAGGCGCUAAGGGAUAGCCUAUCAACUCUAUGACUACACUCGAACUAGGCGAACAAAAAGACAAGAAGGGCAAAAGAGGAUAUUCGGUUUCUGGAACUCUCCUUGAAGUGAAGAAAAAGAAUAGAUAUCUUAGAGCAUAUAUCUAAUUUAGGAAUGAAUGUCAUCCAGCAGAAACUCCGUAAGCUUAAGUAGUUCGCUAACGGGAGCUAAAGAAGGCAAGGCCAACACUCGCAUCGCAAACGGAAAUGGAAUAUCUCUCUUAUUGAGCACAUGGGGUAUAGUAUCGAUUUUUGUAACAAGAGAGUACACUCCAUAGCCCUUACUUUCUCCGGAGUCUUAGACAUUUUUGCCUAUAAUCUUGAGACCCUCUUAACAUCUUAAAUACAUAUUGACCCUCUUGCUCUGUAACUCCGGACUUAUGUAUUUCAUUAGAACUCCUUUAACUCCGUACUUUGGGGUGGAAUUCUGAUAAUACUGUUAUGGCUCUGGACUACUUAUACCACUAGUUGGGGCAAGAACUAUACUGGAAUAGCUUCCCUUUAUGAGCAAGUCCUUGCUAGCGCAUCUAGUAUAUCUUAAUUCUUCUAUCGAGCUGGUACGAUCUAGCAUGCAUAGCUCCAGCCCCGGAUUCUCACCUUAUCGAGUCGACUUCAAUGGAAUUGCAUUCUGAGUUUAGGGUUGACUUCACUUAGUUGCCUUAACUCUCUAACACUUCUUUCUUGCUAAAGUCUCUAAGGUAGGAAUAUGACCCUUUGUUUCUAUAUGGAUGAUAUUCCUAUUGAUAAAAGAAGAGUUCUCGGGCAAGAAGAGAAUCAAGUACUGGUGAGGAGUAGAGAUCAUACGAGUAUAUUUCUGUUCUUGCGGGAAAGGAAGCCGAAUCAAAGUUCUCUUGCCCACUACGCGGAUUAAGGUUAGCUAAGCAAACUACUAAUAAACUAUCAGAAUUAUGCUAAGCAAACUACUCGUGGAAUUAUUAGAAUCUAAUAACAUGCUACUAUUACAUGACAUGCUACUUACUAUUACCAUUAUUAUUAUUAUUAUAGAAUAGAUAGAUAAGUAACCGUAUUAUUCUAUUAAGAGAAUAGCACUGCACUAAUGAACCCAGCCACUGUCUAAUAGGCUUACUGCCCUUACUUACAUUAUCAAUAAAAGAAUCAAGAGUUUACACAAUAACUAGUUCUCUCGGGUAGGCAGGGAGAAUGCCACUGGGGUGCUUUCUAAUUCUAAUACUGAACUAACUAAUACUGAACUAACUGCUAGCAAAGAACUAGCACCAAACUAUACAAAACCCACUCGGAUUCUUUAAGCACUGAUACGGAUCUUUGCUUCACUAGCUCCAAAGCCCCUACUACUGAUUUGGAUCCUUCCUCUCAAACCUAUAACCCUAGCUCUUACUGGCCAAACCAACUAGAAGUCUCCCAUUACUUUAUCUUAGCUUGACACCGCUUACGGCUGUUUAAACUGAAGCUGCUGAUAAACAGACUCGAACUACUAAUCAAAGAACUAACUAAACUAGGAACUAGGGGGGCUACCCAUACUUGAACUCAGUGCACCGGAGAACAAGAAUCAAGCUAGCCACUAUCAGAAUUUCACCAAGCAGUAUAAAAGAAUGCAAUUCAUAAGUAAAAGACCAACUAAAAGACCUCAACAAGUACUAGCUUUGAAACAAGGUAAAGAGGAGAUGGGUCCUUUUCUUAAUAGUGCUUGGAUUACCACCUUAUAGUCGAGUUCUUUGCUUUCCCGAGCAGUGCUUGCUUGGCUUUUUACCUUAGUUGUGUCGUGGAGAGAGAAUCGAUGCAGUGCGCUUGAUUGACUAGCGGCCCUGCCGUUCCUAUAGCUCGCUACCGCGCCUAACGAGGCUUGGUCAUUAGUAGUGUCUUGGCGGGUAGGGGCGGAUAAUCUACUUGAGUUCGAGUUUCCUCUAGGUUGCGAGUAAAUGUUAUCUUAUCGAAAUAGAAAUAUUUGAGAUAUAGAAUUUCUAUUGGAUAUUGGGGAGCAGCUGCUCCUAGGCUAGGCGAUUAUAAGAUUAGUUUCGAGUUUAUGCUUUCAUUUCGAAAUUGAACUCUAAGUUAAUAAAAAGAAGAAUGGGCUCCGUAUGAUAUAAGUCAGUAACCAAAUGAGAUAAGUAAGUAACCAAGGAUAGGAGAUAGGUAUAAAAGUUCCUGUUCUAGGAUCAGAAGUUGCAAGCGGCGGGGCGCCCAGAAGAAUCAUCCUUAGUUCUCAAGUCAGCAGCCCACGAUUCUGCAAAUGAAGGAGAGGUUGGCCAAAGGGAACAAGUGCUUGUUAGUUAAGUCGACAUCAACAAUAGAAGAAAUAGUCGAAAGGAACUCAGCAGCAAUGAGGUGUGGAUCUCGAUGAUAAUAAGAAUCAAAGGAUUGCGCUAGGUACGAUAUAAAGAAGUAACCGACCAUGUGCUCUUAACUCCCAAGCCAAAUCUGAAUUCCACAAAUGAGUACAAAAAUGUACCUACAUCUUGUCAACCCAGAGUACUAGUAUAAUCUUAACAAAGCUAAGUAGAAAUAUGAUCUGAUAUAAGAAAAAACAAAUUCAGAGUGGAACUUGGCAUAGAAACUCGUAAAGACACUGAACGCACAAGGACACGCACUUCUGGACCAAUACUGGAAUCUGUAACUGGCAAUUCAUAAGCUUCAUAUGCUCCUGCUUCUUAUUCAGCUUCGUAUAAAUAUAUCUUAAUUGUAUUUUCAUACCAUAUAGGUUCUAUUACUAACUCACUAACCAUACUAUUACUAACCAUAUAGAUUCUAUUACUAUUAAGUAACUAUAUAAGUAAUAUAGAGUGGAGUAAUGAUUAGGAGAAAAUGAUAUAAGUAAUAUAGAGUGGAGUAACGACUAGAGGAGAAAAUGCAAAGUGUCAGUGGAAGUUGGAAAGCAAGUAAUGGAAGCUGACAAGCAAGGCUUAGAGUCCAGGGAGGCAGACUAACAGGGUAAAUAAAGGAUUUCAAGGUGUGGGUCGGUGCUAUAGUUUCUAGUUCAAUUCCAUCUUGUUGGCUCGGAGGGGCAUACUGGAACGAGAGCCAGGGUAGGUAGGGAGCAAAACGAAGAAGUAUCUGAUCACCCAUCAAAGAGAAGAAUGCCAGGAACGCGAAUCUAAGAGGAAUGCCGGGUACAAAUACAGAUGUGAGGUCGCGAGGGGCAAGGUUAAGAGUUCGCAGUGACAUACUAAGAAUAGAGUAGUGGAUCUAUCCGGUAAUAGAGUAGUAGAUCCAUCCGGGUAGUGAGUCACAUUUCACCCAGUAUAGUAUCCAUUCUGAUUAGUCGUAGUGUGAUUACUCGUUUCUAGAUUCAUUCUGUUAGUAGUAUAAUGGUAGUAUAGUUGGAUGCGCCCUACAUCGUACUUAUUCCUAUGCCAGAGGAUUCUAUUCUUAUAGUUAGAGUAGUUAAGGAAUACAAGUAAGUAAAGACAGACUGAUAGAUUCGAAGGGCAGGCUAACAGGUGAUAGGAUAGGAUCUAUCGGUAGUUAAGGAGUCCGGUAAAAUUGAUAGGUUCAAAUCAUAAUCAAGGGCGGCCCUAAAGAGUGGGUACUAGGUUCCGUUACGUACUAGGUUCAAGUCGAGUAAGUGGAUCGUUGGUUAAAGGAUAGCAGUAAAUCAGAGCAGAUUAAUCGUUUUUAGUAGCUUGGUGACUUCGCUAGAACAUAUAAGAAUCAAAGUCAGCAGCUAAAGAAUAGAGGCUCAGAGUGAGAGUUGGUAGUGAAAGCCCGAGAAGAGAGAUACACGGAAUGAAAGGCAUGAGCCUCAGCUUGUAAGUGAUACGUAAAUACGGGAGGUGAAGUUUACCUUGGAGACUUGAUCUUAGAGACAGGAACUACAGACUCAGGGCGAGUGUAAUAGAAGAAUCUCGGGUGAGCUGAAGAAUGAGAGCAAGGGCAGCAAAGCAGCUGGCUAGAAAGCAUAGUUUCAGGAUGAAAACAAGUCACGUAAGCCUGAGUUAUCGUAUGAAUACUUGUCGAAGCGAGUUGGUGCGCUCUUUCUGUAAACAGCAGCUCUCGCUCUUCACUUCAGCAGAAGCUAAUCCCGAGGGUCUGUGGGAAAUAGGCUUUGAUUGUGGAAUUCGGCCAGUAAGCAUGAUGAGUCAACAGUUCGGCACUACCCUUUCUUGCGGAGGCCCUAUACUAAUAACUUGGCUUGCAGGACAAAGGCAGCUACACCGGCGUUAGCGAGCUUGGCUUUCCUUCCCUUUCCUUUUGCUACCCGAUCGCUCUUUUGACUUUGGCUCUUUAUCUGUAUACUAUUUAUUAUACACAUCCCCGUUUCUAAUCCAUAAUAAAGAGAUGAGUUAGGAUUCACUAAAUAAUAAUAAAGAGAUGAGUUAGGAUUCACUAAAUAAAGGACAAAAAGAAUCAAUGGGCCACCCACAGGAGAACCAACCCUUUCUCGUAU
rnacentral:lncRNA from 1 species